GUCGCCGGUGCGGUGGGGGUGCACGAGCUUGUUGGCAGCUAGUAGCUCAUCAGUCGGACCGCAUGCGGUUGAGCUGGUUGAGCGCGGGCUGGAGGAUGUUGAAGAGCACCCAGCCGAUGGCGGGAGCGACGACGAUGAGCAGCAGGAGGCCCCGGCUGUCAUCAGCGGGCGCCGCGGCGGCGAGCGCGGCGAGAUCCUGCACCGACGCGGCGGCGGAGGCCUCGGGCGGGGAUGCCAUCCCGGCGGCGGUGGCGGCGGCACCGAGGCCGAGCCCCGCGACCACGGCCUGGCUGCGCAUGCGGUUGAGCUGGUUCAGCGCCGGCUGCAGGAUGUUGUAGAGCACCCAGCCGAUGGCGGGCGCGACCACGAAGAGCAGCAGCUGGCCGCGGUUGUCGCUCCCGGCGUCGGCCGCCGCCGCCACGUCCGCCAGCGCCGCGUCCGACGACGCCAGCGCCGAGAAGAAGGCGCCCGCCAGCGCCGCGGCCGCGGCCGCCGCCGGCGUGGUGGUUGACGUUGACGACACGGCCACCGCCGCGGUCGUCUGCUUCUUGGCCUGCGUCGUCGUCGGGACGCGCAGCGAGACGGCGCCGCUGGUGGACGGCGCCGACCGCGCCACGAUCUUGGCGGGUUUCAGCAGGGCCAUCGUGGCUAUGGUCGCCAUGGCAGUUAGGCGGGGCAGAGAUGGCGGUGGCACCGGCGGCUGCUGCUGGUGGUGGCGGCGGAUGUGAGGUGUGGUGUGGGUGUGGCGUGUGGGUGCGCAGUGCAGUGCAGUGCAAUGGCGAGGGCGAGCUAGCUUUUUCGUCUCGGUGGCUUUAUCUCUGCAAGGUUGGAGACGCCCAGUGUGUGCUCCAGAAUUGACACCUUAUCCUUGCGUCUGCAUGGCCAUUGGUCGCGGAGCAACGGGGUGGGUCCCGCAUCGACACCAAAGGGAGACCGAAGGUUCAGACAAUCGAAAUGAACCUAGACUGCUCUAGAAAUUAGAAUGCGUGCGAGAAUAUACUUCCGUUAGCGAAAUAUACAUUUGGAUUUGGUCGACAACAACGUGCCCAAAAUAGGGCCAAAUGUCUAAUUCUGCCGAAAGUUUUUUUUGGACCCGCUUCCCCUUUGCAUCCCUCUAGUAUCAGAAUUUCACUACAAAUACAAGCAUGGCUUUGCCACACGGUCAUUAGAACACUUUCUCCGUCUCAGGCCCUUGGCAUUUAUAGAUUCAUAACUUUCGCUAUGUAUUUAGAUAUAUCAUAUAGCUAUGCGUAACAAAUUCUAUAAAUUUAGAAAUAUCAAAACGUUUUAUAGAAUGAACUAAGGCGUAACCAUUCCAAACCAGCUCUUCUUUUCACAUUUUCUACCGCAUUGAGAUCCACUACGCGUCUGUCUUCCAUUGCGCGCGAUAAAUGAAAUGUGAAUUAUCAUGCGACACCAUUACAAUCACCGGACACCAUUACUAUUCCGGUGGGUGGUGAAAAACAGCACCAAGUCACAAACUUUGCAAAUGUUUCAAAUUUUAUAACACCUUAGGCAGUGAAUUAGUUUUUUAAAAAACAUUUUUCACUUGCAUCGCCUUGUAUGAUUGUACUCGACGACUGGAACCGGCAACCCCCAGACUUUGGUACAGGAAGCCGAGGCAAAAUGAGAGGGCCUGUAGGCGGCUUGGUAGGACGGCCAAAGCUUGAUCCUAGUUUCUUACUACUUUCGUUUUAAAAUAUAAGAUGUUUUGAUUUUUUUUUAGAUACAUAGCUUUUGCUAUGCACAUAGGUAUACACUAUGUCUAAAUACAUAUUAAAUCUAGAAGAUCCAAAAUGUCUUAUAGUUUGAAAUGGGAGGAGCAUUUUAGAGACUAGGUAAUCAAUGUACUUGAAAUAUCUCCUUAAAAAAAGUACUUGAAAUAUUUGUGAGUAUCAAUCUAAGCAGUAUCCUCCAGCCUGCAAAUAGACCAUUUCUAAGCGCACACAGCUUAGAACGAAAUGAUCUAUUCGCAAGCUCAGGAACUUUCAUCACAUCAGCCGUGCAUGAGACACAUAAUCUAAGUGUUUAACACUUCUUGGCAACAUCUUUUUUCUAAGCUAGUAGUAGUUCAAGAUAGUUUGACGCAAGUUGGAAACCCCACAUGUUAGUUAGAAGCUUUCCAAAAUGCAAACAAUACGUUGCAAUUUUGUUCAAACAAAUUGAAACGUUUCCUAUACUCUAUAUUUAGAGAUUGCUUCACAUACUAGUUACUCCCUCCGUCCAUAAAUAAAUACACGGUUCGUUUCUCGAGGAGUCAAACUUUUUUAAGUUUGACUAGAAAUAUAUCAAAUACUUCAUCCAUCCCAAAUCAUAAGUCAUUUCAAGAAUCUUGGAGAGUCAAAAUAUCUCAAGUUUGACUAAAUUUAUAUGAUAAAAUAAUACUAACUAUUAUGAUAUCAACUAAGUAUCAUUAGAUUUUUUUUUAGUUAUAUUUUCAUAGUAUACUCACUUUAUGUUACAAAUCUUAGUAUUUCUCUCUAUAAUUUUGGUCAAACUUGAAAAUGCUUUAACUCUCUAAGAUUCUUGAAAUGACUUAUAAUUUAGAAUGAAGGAGUAAUAUCAAUAUUUGUAUCUACAAAUAAGUAUAUUAUGAAAGUAUAUUAAUGAUAUAUAUUACAUAUGAUAAAUAUUAAUAUAUUCUUGUAUAUAUUUAGUUAAACUUAAAAAUAUUUGAGAUGCGCAUUUAUUUGUAGACGGAGUACAACUAAUUACUUCACAUUUGGAAGGCCCAGCAGGCCCAAAUACUUCUUCAAGGCCUAUGGCGGAUUGGGGUGGUCGAGCCCAGUGUGAAUCAGAAAAAGGGCUGGGCCGGUUGGGAGUUUGGAGGAAAGCGCCAACGAGCGCGGAGCGCCUCGCCAAGCAUGUAAAGCAAAUGAUAAAUGCAAUGAAAAUCAUCAACGAAUGACAGUAAUCCAUACAAUGCAUUGCAGAGGACCAAAUUAGAUACAGCUUAAAAAUGAAAUAAGGUAGCAGUUAUUCACUCCCUACACUACCUCCACCUGACACAAAUACGAGCAUCAGAGAAGAGGCCCCAAUCGAGGAAUUAUUUGUCAAGUAGAAACCACGACGCAAAGACGAAAAAAAAGAGAGGCAAGUUUAUCACAAAUUUUCACAGGUUUGUUCCAUGAUCAUUUUGAAUGGAAGACACGAUCCGCUCUCAGGCUUCCAACUGGAGCUUCUUGAUCGUGUCGAUCUGCUUUGCCGGGUUCAGGCCCUUGGGACAAGCAUGCGUGCAGUUCUUGAUGGUGUGGCAGCGGUAGAGCUUGAACUCGUCGUUGAUGGAGUCCAGGCGCUCCUUGGUGAACUGGUCACGGCUGUCCUGUAUCCACCUGGAACAUCGAAUGGAUAUUUUAUAGCACAACCCAUCGUGGUAUGGCAAGCAUGCCCUACUUGGGCAUCAGAAGUUCAAAGUUCAAACUGAACCGAAGGGGGCAAGUAUUUCAAUCACUUCAUUGGAGAUAAAUAUGAAAACACAAUCACAAAAAUAAGGAAACUAGACUCUAAAGUUUAGAUACCAGUAUUUGGAAUCUACUCCCAAAUUAUAAGUCAUUCCAACUUUCUUGGAGAUCUCAGGUUUGACCAAGUUUAUAUAAUAAAAUAAUAGGGACAUUUAUGAUACCAAAUAGUAUCAUUAGAUUCUUCAUUAAUUACAUUUCAUAGUAUACCUAUUUAAUGCCAUAAGUCUUUGUAAUCCCAACAUUACUUAUGAGAUGCUUUGACUCUCCAAGAAAGUUGAAAUGACUUAUUUGGGACAGAGGGAGUACACAUAUCUGCAGCAUGUAGCAUUUACAGAUAUGCUGUCUGUCCAGGAGAAACAGUUUCUUAUGGCAAUUAGGCAGUAAAAACACUCAAAAUUAUUACCUAUGGGAGGUGAUAUUCAAACAGUGCUUUUUGGAGCAUAAAGUUAAGGCAACAAAACUGCCCCCAUUAACUAGUUUUGAUUAAUCUCAGCUCAACUCUAGGAAUAUAAAAUAUUGCAUACCAAAAAAACAAUAAUGUUAAUUAAUUACACAAACUGCAAACAAAGUUGGUUAUCAUAUUAUUUGAUGAAAGUUAACUGCUAUAUCUUAGUUCCUAUGAUCUAACAGAAACCCCAUGUGCACAUCAAAUAAAUUAAACAGAGGUAAGAUGAAUCAAACAGCUGAUGUAUGGAUCAUACAAUCAAAUAAAACACUAGAAUAACAAAUGACUCAACAUAUCAGAGGAUCACAAAUAUGCAAUGCAGAACAGACUUCUGAGAAGUGAGAAAGAAGUCCAGAAAGGUAGAACAAAAAGUAGCCAAACAAACACUAAAACAAACAACUUAGGAAGUCGGAUUACUCUAACAUACAAUAUUCAUAAUAAUUUUGAGCACAUGAUGUAACCUUUGGAGUGAGACGGUAACUACUUAACAAUAUAAAGUACAGAGUAACUGAUAACAGAAACAAGCAAAACAUAUUCACAACCCAGUGGGAAGAUAACAGAAAAAGAAACAUUUCUGCAUUCAGAAACAUGUUCCAAUCCUUUAACUUCAUAAUAAGUGCAUAAUAUCCAAAAAAACAGUGCAGUACACUGAUUCAGCUAAAACAUUUAAAUAAAACUGGCUGCUGGUCAGAAACUUUAAAGCUUGUUUCAGGGAUCACACACUGAAAGGUUGCAUGUAAACAACCUUAUUUUCCUGGACUACUGCAGAGCUAGCGGUUUUUUCUACUGGCUCAUUAGCAUCUACCAUGAUGCUUUCUUUACGCCCGUCAGUUCACCCUUGUUUGCCAAUGUGCGGAACACAAUACGGGACAUGCGGAAUUUCUUGUACACAGCGCGAGACCGGCCUGUGAAAAUGCAGCGGUUUCUAAGGCGUGUCAUGGAGCUAUUUCUUGGCAACUUGGACAACUUAUAGCGGAACUUCUCCCGCAUAUCCAAUGGAAGAUCAGGGUCCCUACAGACAGCCUUAUACAGCUUUCCCCUCAGCUCAUAUUUUUCUGCAAGCAAUCUACGUUUGUGGUCCCGCAGGUUUCUCUUCUCUGACACCCCAUGAUAUCCUCGAGCUUGAAGGUGCAUGAACAUGUUGGGUUUUGGUUUGAUAAGCGUCCCCCACAGCGGAAGCCUAAAAAGGGUGAACGUGUCAUGGACUUAGCAACAUCCUAAAACUUAGAGCAAAGAAAAUUUAUCAUAUUAGACAACUAUCAUUCAAGGGAAACAAGUGCAGACAAAUCCACAAGAUGUUUGAUCAUCAGUGUAGUUUAACGGUGAUGAAGCGAGGAACUCGCACUCUCUAUACUGGAAGAGAGGUUAGCAGUUUAGCACGCCACUGCCCAACAACUUAUCAGAGGAAUUAGAUUCACCAAAACAUCCACCAUAUGUUAAUUUAAGUUGGGCGGUGUGACGUGUUUACAACUCAUAAGGUAAAUGCUAGAAGAAUACUGGUACCACAAUGCCUUUAAAGCUGCCGAAGCAAUCUUCUGUAGAAGUGCAUUCAACAUGUUUCCUUCACUAGUCAUACUAAUAAUCAUAAGAUCAUAGUCACAGCAGCCACUCAAUCAUGAUCAUGAAACCAAUUCUCAUUGGUGUUACUGCCACCAAUAUAAACAACAUAGGAUCCAUCACAUCUAAGGAACAAACAAUUCAUCAAGACAUCAGACCAAAUAACCAAUCUACCUGGAUCACAACCCGUUUCCAGGCUCGUGUAGCUAAGCUAUCAACUAUAUCAGUGUACACACAUCACUUCAAUUGGCAAUCUACUUGGAUCACAAUUAUUUUCAGGCCGUAGCUAAGCUAUCAACUAUAUCAAACAAUCUACACACAUCACUUCAACUCGAAUUACUUCAUGACCAGAAGAGCAUGACUUGCAACCGAUCAAUCACACAUCACUCAGCAAUUAUCAAACAGUUCAAAUGGAAUUACUUCAUGAUCAGAAGAGCAUGACUAACAACCGAUCAAUCACACAUCAUUCAGCAAUCAUCAAACAGAUCCAGCAUGCAUCACUCAGCAGUCAUCCAUCACAGUAUCAAAGGGGGUGGCGGUGGUAUACCUGUUGGCGUGGAGCAGCGCGGCAGGGCCGAGGUACUCCUCGGGGUUCCACCAGUAGGAUGGGCAGGAUGUGGAGCAGCAGGCGCAGAGGAUGCACUCGUACAUGCCAUCGAGCUUGGCACGAUCGGCCUUGGUCUGCGGGAUCUCCUUGCCCUGCUGCGGCGGCGGGUCCUUGCGCUUGAGCCACGGCUCGACGCUCUUGUACUGGCUGUAGAAGUUGGUCAUGUCCACCACCAGGUCCUUGAUGACGAACAUGUGGGGCAGCGGCGAGACCGUGGACGCAGAUGACGCGGAGGAGAUCUUGGUGAGGCAGGCGAGGCCGUUGUCGCCGUCGAUGUUCAUGGCGCAGCUCCCGCAGAUGCCCUCCCGGCAGCUGCGGCGGAAAGUGAGCGACGGGUCCUGCUCGUUCUUGAUCUUGAGCAGCGCGUCCAGCACCAUCGGCCCGCAGUCGGACAGGUCCACCUGGUAGUCCUUGAGGUGCGGCUUCGUCGACGGCGAGUCCGGGUCCCACCGGUAGAUCGAGAACGUCUUCGUGUUGGCCGCUGCCUUCGCCGCCGGCGGAGGCGGAGGCGGCGCGGGGGAGGAGGAGUGGGGCUUGGACGCGACGAGGCGGGACGAGAGGGCCGGAGAGAGGAGCGUGCGCGCCGCCGACGAGCGGCGGAGCAGGGCGGCGGCGGCCAUGGAUGGGUGCGGAUUCCGAUUUGGGGGGGUCUCCUUUUUUUUUUCCCUGGAAGGUUGGGAGGCGCGUGGUGGGCUUGUGAACGGAAGGGUAUUUAUAUGUGAGGUCGUUGGUGGGUGGAUGACAUGUGGGGUCGGGGGAGGGAGCGAUCGGAAUGCCGGUGCUAGGGUUGGGGGUGGGAGGAUGACAUGUGGGGCCAUGAUGGGUUUGGUUUGGGCCCUGGUUUGUGGGUGGGAGCGUGGAGAUGUGGAGGACUCGUGGGCCGCUCGCAAGAUGACAAAACAAAGUUGCUGAGUUUGUAGUGCGGUUUUAGGUCACUUUGGUGAUGAGUCUUGAAUAUUUUCCCUCUUUUUCUUCGCUUUCUGUUUGCGUUGAUGUCAUGGUUGACAUAUAUUUUUUUUGGAAUCACUGGGGAAUUAUAUGAAAAUGGUCAUAAGAAAGUAGUUACAAUUUAAUUUACGAUGAAUGGAAAAAAUAGCUUAUUUAUUUAAUUAUGUUUCUUAUAAUGGGAGCGAAACAUAUUCACCUUAGACUUAGGGUUCGGUAGGGGUUCAGAUUCUCGUAGAAACCUUCCGGUUUUAGAUUUUGUCAAAGGUAAUCUCUUCUUGAGAUCGUUGGCUGGUAGCCUAGAUUCUGAUUCACGGGAAUUUUAUAUAUAUAUAGACAUGCUCUAAAAAUCUUAAAUCUUUUGUGAGGGAGAAAAAACUUAAAUACAACACAUUUUUAAUUUGUUGCACCAAAAAAAUUACAAACAAAUAAGAUCCAAUUGUUAGAAGAGAAGGGAGGCAAAACAAACAAAUAAGAUUCCAGUUUCCUCGCAAAAAAAAAGAUUCCUGUUCCUAGACAGAAGGAGAAGCGUUUCUGAGGUGAAACGUUUCAACAUUUGAUCAUUUGGCACAGAUUAUUGGGUUCCACAUGAGAAUCCAAAACGAUUCUCCUAUCCAAACGUACCCUAGUGUUUAGGGGUGUGUUUGGUUGACAUGUGAGCUGUGGAAAGUUGUUGUAACUGAAAGUCCUUUGGUUAUAACAUCUUUGGGACCAAGUCCGAAAAGACUGAUUAUAUGCUAAUUGACUGUAGGACACUAAUUAAUUCGGUUAUUCACAUAUAAUAAAUAUCUUAGGAAGGGAAACUUGAUUUUUUUAAUAUAUUACAUCCGUUGUAGAUGUAUGAUCCAUAUAAAUAGAUAGCUUAUCAAGGCGUUGUGGUCGACAUGUUUCGGAUUUAAAAACAAUUUUAAAAAUCAUAUAGACAAAUGAGCUUAUCAAGACGUAACUGGAAUUUAAUUGCUGAUGAAAGGAAGAAAAAUGAACCCGGUUAGUUAGGUUUGUGAUGCAUAAUACUUAACCUCUUAAUAAACACCUGUAGAAGAGAGGGAGAAACAUCAGAUCACGGGUGCCACUCGCAGGUAAAUCUUCGGAAAAAAAAAAUCAGGCUCCCACCUAGCCCAAUAAAGACCCGUGUUCUACGAGAAAGAGUCAAGGCCUACACGGCUACUCCCACCGUCCCACGGGCCACGGCCCUUUACCCCCAAGAAGCUCUGCGCUUCUUCAGGCACGCGCACCACCACCAGUCCACCUGCCUCCUCCGCAGCUGCUGAUGACCACAUUUGCCUUCGCGUUCGUGUUCAAGGCUUUGCGCAAUGUCCUCGAGCCGGUGCGCAGCUGCAUUCGUGGUCUGCAAGGUGCCAAGGUGGUGGAGUUCCAGGAUUAGGUGCACGCCUCCUUUCCCCACGUGUAUGUUGUUUCGAGGCGUUUGAUGGAAGCAGAGCACGGAAGGUGUUGGAUGAAAUGUUGGUGAGGAAUGUGGUUUAACGCGAUGAUCAAUGGCUUCGCCGGAUGGGGUGAGGUUGAGUAUGUGAGGCGUAUGUUUGAUCAAAUACCCUGCAGCAAUGUUGUCUCAUGGACCAGGAUGAUUGAUAGGUAUACUGCCUCUAAGAGGAGGCUGUUGCUCUUUUCUGCUAGAUGAUGGCUGGAGGCAUUAGCCUGAGUGAGGUAACUGGUUUACUAGAUAUUCCUGCAAAUCUAGUCUUGGAUGGAUCAUUAUGGGUGAGAUGCCGCAUGGGUAGAAGAAACCUAGUGCCAUGGACAUCGAUAGUUUCUGGUUUUGCAAUGCAUGGGCUGUCAGUUGAGGCACUUGAGUUGUUUGCAGAGAUGAGAAGAGCAGGGAUUAGGCCCAACAGAGUCACCUUCUUGAGCGUCGUCGAUGCUUGCAGUCAUGGGGGGCUGGUAAAGCAAGGGCUAGCGUUUUUUCAAAAAAGCAUGGUUUUAUAGUACAAUAUAGAUCCAGGGGUCGAACAUUUUGGGUGCAUCAUAGACAUGCUAGUUGCUAGCUAGGGCUUGGAUGGUUGUGUGAGGCCGAGCAAACAAUAGACAAGUUGCAGUCCUAUGGAGGAUAAUGUUGGGUGUUUGCAGUAAGUGUGGAGAAGUUGAGAUGGGGGAGCGGGCGAUGAAGAAGAUACUAGACUUAGAGAAUGCGAAGGUGAUUUUGCGGUGCUAUCUGAUUUGCUUAAUGAGCUUGGUAGGUUCAGUGAUGCUGAACAAGCACGGAAUUUAUUGGAUGAGAGGAAAAGGAGAUCUAUUAAGGUUCUUGGGAUUGCUUUGGUUAAUGAGAUUCAGUAGUUGCUGAUUGUCCAGUCUGAUGAGAGGAAGAAGCUCUCUCAAAUUUUAUUGCAACCUUACCACUUUAAGCUCCCUGUACUAUACCAACUUCAAUAAAUCUCCAGAUAUUUUACCAUUUUUUUUCUCCCAUGUAAAGAAACAAAAUUAAAUUUAAUUGUUUCUUGGUUGCUAAAUAGAUUGUCAUAAUUGAUAUGCCUGCAGCCCAAUAUUUGUUAACUCAGCGCUAUCAUUGUGCCAUUUCACUUUGUUUUCCUUUUGUGCCCUCAUAAUAAGCCUCAAAGGCAUGCUGCAUUUGUUCACUUGUUUCCUCCUAAAAAAUUACUGCUUUGCCCAGUACAGCUGUUUGUUAGAGCUUUUACCUAUUUUACAUUUCCUUGCAGGAAGCAGGUGAAGUGAACCUCAUGUCUAGUUCUUGCUCCUCUUUAACUAAAUUGUCUUGUAAUAUGGAAGCUGUAAAGAAGCUCCAUGCUCAUCUCAUUAUUCCUGGCCUGCACAUCUGUCAAUAUGCAGUGUCCAAGGUUAUCAGAUCUGAUGCUCUUUAGAUAUUAGAUUUGGUUUUUACUCAUAAUGUAUUUGAGCAGAUCGAAUUACCAACAACUUUUAUUUGGAAUGCUCUACUCAGCGGUUAUGGAUAGGUUGGUGAUAUUAGUAGUUCAUUUAUCAUUGCCUUCUUUGCUUUGGUCUUCACUAUUUCUUUUUUCUUUCAUGCUGAAUCCUAGCAAGGACAGUAUGUUCCUCUUACAGUAAUUCAUUGCCAUGUAGAUGUGGAGAUCAAUUAUCAUUCACGUUGUAUACAGAAAGUCAUUUACAUGACUAAAUUGUGUCCUUGCAGCUGGGGAAAAAACCAUGUAGAUUGUAGCCACUGAAUGACAUCAAUCUCGAGCUAUAUAUAGAAACCUUGCUCAUGUGCUAAAAAAUAACUAGCGCAGUACCUGACUACCUUCUGCAUAAUUGGACAGUCUAUAUAAGCUGUGCAUGUUGGGGUUGCUGGGAUAUGGUAUGUCUUCAGGCAGCAUCAAUGACAGUAACUGUCCUGGUAUUUUACCUUCCUAUGGAUGGUUAGAUUGAAGGUGCUUGUGCUCAGCAUGGACACUCCAUGUCGGCUGCUGCAAAAGUUAACAUCAACAUGUCGCUUCUUUGGUGCAUUUGCCUUUCUGUGCCAUGCCAUGUAUGUGUUUUGUAUCAUUAUGCAUAAAGAGGUGUAUGAAUUGAGUUGUAUUCUGCAUGAUCCAUAUACUUGGUGAUGCAGGGUCUAGAUGUUGAUAUUAUCUGAAGAUUGUUUUACGAUUUUGGUCGACAAUUUUCAAUAGCUUGUGAGAAUAUCCAGGUAAGUGUCCCUUUAAGCUCUAGAACUAGCUUCUUGUGCUUAUUGACUGUCAAACCUAUUUGUACUCUAAAGUUCUAGGAUGAACUGCUAAAAAAUCCUAGGAAUGAGCACAUGUAGGUGCUCAAUUAGGUUUUGGAUUUUUUUUUUUUGUGGUUUCAUAUAUAGCAUGUGUGGCUUACCCUUGCACAUGUUGCUGUUUCAUUUUUCAAAGGAUAAUUUGCUGAUGUCUAUUCUUCUAUUUAUGUAAAUAUCAGUUACAUCUGUAGUACCCUGCUCUACAAUCUGUUUAGUUUGGUGUCUUCCUUUUAGUGCAGAUAGUGUUUACAGUACACUUUAAGCCCAUUUGAUUAGAUGCAGUGCCUAUCAAUAUAGUUUCAUGGCCUAUGAUUUUCAUUUUUGCUCCUAGUCCAGUAAUUACAUUUGUAUAUAUUGCAUUGAUGCACAUAGAAAUGAGGAUAUAGACCACUAUUUCUGCAUCUAGAAAUAGGGAUCUGUACUGGCAUGUUUCUGCUUCUGGAAAGACCAAAACAUGACUUUCUUCUGGUUGGUUGUUAAAUCGAAGACUGUUGUGCUUGCAGUUUUACCACCCAUGAUGGCAUGAUCAUCACAUCCUUGACGAUCUGCACAGGCACAACGCAUGCAGCCAAGUACCACCCGCCGCAUCCAUUGAAGUGGGGGACGUUUUUUAACUCUGCUUGCCCUACCCUACCUACGGCUACGGGCCUUACCGCCAUGAAGAGACCUUGGUCCUUGCAGCUUGUCCUGCCGCCAUGGAGAUCCUGUCCUGCUGCCCAUGUAAUGGGGGGCACUGUACACGUACCCUCCUUCCCCAAGGCCCCAGCUAAGCAUGCACGCAUUUGUCCAUUGUCUACUGCCGCCGCUACUGUUCAUUGGCUGGCCCUACCUCACUCCAGUUAUUGCACGAUGCACGGUAAAGCUGGACCAAAGAGUCAAGUGUGAGAUCCUCAACAUGGACCUUGCAGAUGCACAGCAGCAGCGUUCAGUAACAACAGCAGCAGGAAGGAGCAAGACUCCGUCAGAAUUCAGUAACAACAUGUAGGAGUAUGUGAUGAAGCUUUUUACCUGCUUUUCUCUAGCUUUCCAGGUGUGAUGAAAUGCUCUUAUCAGUCGAUAUUUUUUCUGUCAGUCAGUAAUAUUUUUCUCUCACAAUAAUUCAGCCAUCACUUUUCAGACCUUCAGGAGAAUCUCAAAUGCACGGCUCAGCAGCUCUUGUCCUGUGGCUCUUGUCUGCUUGCCUUGCAGACUCCAGUGGCAGUCACUGCAUGCAGAGCCUUCCCCUGUGCACACCUAAUCCAAUCCAGUGCUCUUUUCUCACAGCAAGAAAACCCAAAAAACAGAAAGAGAAGAGGACAAGGCGACACUAAAACUAUUGCUCUUCUUUGGAUUCUGAUAUUCCCCCAAUUAUUGUUUUUGUUCUGUUUCUCAUGUAACUCUCAGAACAUUGGAUCCUAUAAUUUUGUAACUUUGUUUGUGUGUUUACUAGCUCAAAUUAUUAGCAUAAUAAUCAGCCGGGUCGGAGCUCUUAUUUGUUCACCAUGUUGUGUGGACUGAAUUAAAACCAUCUGAACUCUACUUGUCUUGCAAUCAUGUGGACUGGGGCAUCGUCUGUGAAACUUUUUUUUUUAUUUAAAAAAGAAUUAUUGUUCACCCUGCUAGCAUGCUUAUUAGCAGUAACAUAACAUAUAAUCUCAAGUUAGGGCUUGAGGCCAUAUUUGGAUCACACUUGACUAGUGAGCACGUCUACCUAAAUAUUGUUUUUGGGUACCACUAGUACUGUGUACUCCCUGCUCAUGCAAAUGACACAAGGACAGAUGGGGCAAGGCAAAACUUGCAUCAUUCCAAAGUACAAAAGGGCCAAUGGAACUAUACUUGUAAUAACAAUCAUGUAAGUGGCAAACUAUUGGAAGAGGUUUGUAAAGUAGACCAGCAUAUAUGUAUAUAGGAGUAUGUCUUAUCCAUGGAAACAGUUGGAUGGACCUCGAUUUUUUUUUCUCGGACAGGAUUGGACGACGCGACUUGUGAUUUAGUUUAACUACACUGUCAUAUGCUAGGGUCUCCCUGUCCCUAUCUUUGUAGCUCCAAGGACGCAAGUUAAACGACGAAGGGUCAAUUCGGACGCCCCAAGGCCGGAUCUUGGAUCUUUUUAGAGAGGGAGGCCCCUACAAUGAUCUAUGAUCACUACAAGCUACCCCAGCAGUGUAGGGCAGACUCCCGGUCCGGUUGAAGGGCACAAGAUAAGAUAAUGACACGGCCUGCUGAUGGCUUAUACAGUAAAAAAAUACAUGUAAAAUACAGUCAUUAGAAGAGUGUGGUUAUAGGCACUGAUACGGUAGCCAGCACAUUGCACGCAGUACUUUGGCUACUAUAUAUUCUCUCCGUCUAACAAAGAAUGAAAAUCUUGCUUUACAAGAAGUCAAACAGUCAAGUCUAACUAAAUAUAUAUAAAAAAUAAAUGAAAUAUUAAUAUUUAUAAUACAUAAUAAAUAUCACUAGAUUAACCAUAGAAUAUAUUUUUACAGUAAAAGAAUUUGAAGGUACAUAUGUUGAUACUAUAUUAAGCUUGAAAAUACUUAACUUCUCGGUAAAUGAGAUAUUCUUUUUUUCAUUUUUUUUUACAUGGAGAGAGUAGCUGCUACUGUAAUUUUUACAUCAGUAUUCAAGCUGUACCGUCUGUGUCACAUGGACGCACGGGACCAGGAUUGGACAUGUCUAAAAUGUUAAAUUCUGCUACUGAAACAGAUAUUUGCCUAGUUUAGUAAAGUUGUAUAAUAGCUAUACCGUUUUGAGAUGGUUUACUGAAGGUCAUAAAAAGUUGUUUAAGGUCAAUAUUUAAACAUGGUGCUCCAUCUUACACGCUCACUCGAAAGAAACAUCUCUAAAUUGAAUAAGAGUAUUGUGUAAACAAGAGAAACCAGCUAUUUCAAUGUUUAAGAUUGGGCUUUGCAGAUUUGUCAACGUAUCGCAAAAAAUGUCAUCUUUAUAAAAUGGGCUUCACAUAAUUGCCAUUUAGUCAAUUUUGGUGCUAGAUAGGAGUACUCGAAGAGAAACAAUUGGAAAAAAAUAAAAGAGGCAAAAUGGCAUGUUAAUCAAGGUGUGUGUGUGAUCUAAAUGGUAGUUUUGCGAAGUUAAUCUUGACAAUAACAGAUUUGCAAAAUGCACUCUUGAAAAUGGCAAAUAACUAAUUUUCUUGGGAAAUAACUAAUUUUCUUGUGCAAAUAGAAACUUUAUUAGAACUAGUUUGAUUUGGUGACUACUCUCUUCGAUCUGUAAUGAAUGCAUUCCAAAAAGUUUUAAGUUAAUUUAAGGGAAUACUCAAAUAACGUAUGUACCAACAGAUUAAACGCGCGUUGAGAUUUUUCAUCACAUAUGAUCUCUCAAUGAGAAUCAGUUCGUUUGGUUAGUAUCCAUGACAAAAUCCUAGAGUUCAAUCAUGACUAAGGGCAAAUCCACCAAUGAUGCUGAUUAGAGCAAAUCACAUGUACAGGAGCGCAGCAGCGCCAGUUACGGACGGCGGCGAUUUGAUUUGAUUGGAAUGAACAUGCAUGAUGAUGCGAUCAUUCCCCUGUUUCUCUCUUUCUUUGCUCAUGGGCUGGGUCGGCAUGGGCCGCCGAUAAAGUACCACACUGGUUUCAGCGGUAGAGUUGACCAGCGAAAGACCAUCCCACAUGAUGGCUUCAAGUUUCUCAAAAAAAAAAAAAAAAAGAGAUGGCUGCAAAAGAUGAAAUCAUAAUCACUCUACGAGUACUAAUAAUUUACACUAACGGUGAUUAGUAUAUAAAUCUAGAAGAUUAGGGAGCAGUGUAGUAUAUUUAAAGUUUUAACAUAAAAUAAUUAUAAAAAACAGGUCGCCGGACGCCAACUAGCGUUGGUCUGGUCCCCGCCGGUUGCUGUCGGUUUCCACCGGAUCCUCGUUAAAAGAAGCGAGGGGUUACUAAAAAAGAAUGGCAGAGAAGAGGAGAAGGUCCCGAGCAUGGAAUAUCUAUCCAUCCAUUUGUGCACAAGAAACAAUUUUUUGGAGGGAAAAAAAGGGAGAAAAGCAUAAUCAGCACAAAAGCAAAGAACACACUUGCUUGAAGCAAUGCUAGGAGUAGUAGGAGUGUUAACCUAAACCACCACCUUGAUUCUUGUGACAGGGGCAGGAGAUGAUAGGCUGAAACGGAAAAGGGAGCACGGGAUACCGUUGCUACUGAUUUCUUAAUCAUUCAUCAUCAUCAGGAGACUGUCAAGAAAAAAAUAUAUUAGUUCUGGUGAGGGACACGAGGCAGGAGGAAAUAAGCAACCACUAAUUACUUGUGCUGUGUCCUCUCACUCUCUAGAGAGAAAACAAAUGAUUUCCACAGAGUUUUCGGUUUUUUCUACCAGCGUCCAUGCAGAAAAAACGUACAUUGUGCCGUGUUUAAAUAUAUAGCACAUGCGAAUGGCAAGAUCGUCAUUUUCAACAUGUUUGUGUGGUUUGUACCGAUUGACUUGCUCUAGAAACAGAAGACAACCGCCACGUCAAAUGGUUCGUUAAAAAAGCACACACGGAUUGACUCACUUUAUAAACGGAAGAUAACGUACGUGGUAUCAUGUUUAAACAAGGACCACGUACAAAAAAAAAAAGAAGGAAAGACCGUCUUUCAACAGAUCCACACAGUUCGUUACAAAAGAUUGACACGAUUGACUCGCUCUGAAAUGGAAGAUAACCGCCAAGUCCGUUCGAAAAAUACAAUUCACAUCAUUAAUAUUCCUAAUAUAUAGACCGUUAUUGUCGUAUAUAUAUUUAAAAAGUUGCACACGAUCUACCACAAAUGUCCACCGAAUGAGUUGCUCUAUAAACGGAAGGUAACUACCACAUCCGUUCGAAAAAUACAAUUCACAUCGUUGAUAAUCUCCCAAGAUAGAGACCGUUACUGUCGCAUACAUAUAAAAAAGAUUUCACACGAUCUACUACAAAUAUCGACCGAAUAACUCGCCCUAUAUACGGAAUGUAACCGUCGCGUCCAUUCGGAAAAUACAAUUCACACCAUUGACAAAAUUUCAAAGACUGUCAUUGAUGUAUAUGAAAAAAACCAAGGCGUAAUCUAAUCUAAAAACCUAAUGCCUUCCCCCCAACGUUCUCAUCUGCAUUGAUUCAAAACACCAACUGCAAAAGUGCAGCCAAAAUUCGGCAAAUCUCAAAACAACCAGCCAAGAUGAAUGACUAGCAAAAAAAAAAAAGAGAAACAGUAGGAGAGAGAGAAACAAGGGGUGAGGAGUGACCAGAGAGACGAGACCACGGUCAAGCUCCCAGCGGUGGGGUCACGAGCUCCACCCCCUCCUCCCGGGCCCACCGCCCCACAGUGACACCACCCCGUCACAGUAACCCCCUCACGCCGCCCGCCUCCCACCGCCGUCGCUGACAACCGAGCCCCACCUCCGUGGCCCACCUGUCAUCCACUCCCCCACGCACCCCCGCCGCGAACCAUCGCCUCCCACCGCAACGGAACUGUACAGAACCCAAGCAGAGAAAAAGACCAAAAUACCCCCCGCCCCCGAGCGGCACGGCGCACGAGGUUUCUCCCCCGCUCCGCUCCCGCCAGGCCGAGCAAGCACCGCACCGCACGCCACCGCUUCCGUUUCCACCCCCCGGCCGGCCCAGAGAUUUACGGCACUCUGCCACUCCCCGUCUCCUCCUCCUCCUCCUACUCCUCGCUCGCUCGCCUGCCCCACCUCUUCCUCCCUCUUCCUCCUCGCGAGCGUGUCUCCCGCUAUUAAUGUAGCGGCGGCGACAGGGAGUCGAGUUCGGCGCGGCGGUGCCACGACGAGACGGCGCGUGAGGAGGAGGAGGAGUGGAGGACAAGGCGCUCCGCCGCUCCGGGCUCGGGCAUCCGUCGUUCGUCGUGGAAGGCGGUAGGAUUCUGCAGCUGCUCUAAUCCCUCCCCAUCUCUCUAUCUCUUUCCAUCUCUUAGCUCUUUCCAUCUCUUAGCGAUGUUGCUGCUUGGGUUUUUGUUCUUCAUUUUUUUUUCUCGGCUGGAUUCUCGCUCCGCGGUUCUGGAGAAAUGCUUGGCCUCGUCCCGGUCGCCGGAUUCUUCUUUUUCUUUUUCCUUUUUUUAUUAUCCCAAAAACCUUCUCUUCUCGUGCGGCGAUUCUGGAAUGCGGAGCGAAAUUCUCCCGCUUGAUUUUGGUUGUGGCGACUUUUUUUUUUAUUUACCGCUCGUGGAUGCAUUUCGCGCUUGCGUUGUUCCUCCCAGUCCCCGUACGGGUUUUUGGUGUAAAAUAAAAGUCCCGGGAUUGCUCGGAACCAAGCAAGGCGCGAGAUUCUCGUCUCUUUUCCGCUCGGUUUCCUCGGGAGGCCGUUCGCAUGGCAAUGCUGCCUGCGGGGGGAAGAUCGUAAAGGAGAUUCCUUUCUCGAGAUUUUCUUUCCCAGUUUGCAUUUCGGUGCCCCCGACCCGGCCGGUGCUCCGUCCACCGGGAGGACGGAUUGCCUGUCGCUUCGACCGUGUGUGUGUGUGUUCACCGCGCAAUGCCUGAAAUUUUCUUGUUCCGUGGUAGGCUUUUUGUUUUGUUCCAUUCCAUGACACGCUGGUGGUUUGGUUUGCGUCGCAGGGUUCGCCAGUGGAGGUAGUAGCAGUCGGCAGCAAGAUGAUGGAUGGGAGGCGGCAUUCGGUGGACAUCCCCGUCUCGAGGGCCCUGGUGGCCAUCAUGCGGUCCAGAUCCCUGAGGGACCCGGACACCAACUCGCUGGCCAAGUUCUCCGCCAAGAAGACCAUCUGGGAGGGCUGCUCCAUCGACGAGGACGAGCAGCAGGAGGGGGCGAGCAACAACAAGACCACCUACGGCAGGCACAGCUUCAGCUACAACGCGUACGAUCACCUCCAGCGGAGGAGGGAGGAGUUUGGGGACAGCCUCAGGUCCGGCCGGCUCGCCGACUCGCCCAUCAACAUCAUCAAGGCCAAUGCCAUGGCCAAGGCGGUGCUCCAUAACCAGAGCUGUUGCUCCGCCAUCUCCGGGAUGUCAUCGAGGGGCGCAAAGGACAGGAGUUUUGGUUUGGUGGGUGAUGGGGAGGAGCUUGGCCGGAGGGGGGAGGCCAGCACGUUCCAGGAGAGCUCCAGGAGUUUGCUUCAGAAGUACCGGCCCAAAUCUUUCUCCGAGCUUGUUGGGCACGGUGUUAUUGCUCAGUCUCUUUCGGGUGCUGUUCUGAAAGGGAAGCUUGCUCCUAUCUAUCUUUUCCAUGGUCCGCACGGCGUGGGCAAGACGUCCAUGGCUAGAACAUUUGCAGCUGCGCUCAAUUGCCGUUCCCCUGGUGGGAACCAGCCGUGUGGCCGCUGUGACGAGUGCGUGGCCAUAUUCUCGGGAAGCAGUAGCAGUGUGGUAGAGAUUGAUGCUUCCAAACUUGAUUGCAAAUCUAGGGUCGCGGCCUUGCUCAGGAAUGCCUGUGAAGUUCCUGCCUCUUCACACUUCAAGGUUAUGAUCGUUGAUGAUUGCCAGCACAUGGACAAGGAGGGAUGGUACUCUAUCUACAAUAGCCUUGAAGGGAUUCCUGAGAGCACGAUCUUUGUUAUGAUCACAUCUGAUAUUGAUAAGCUACCAAGCAAUUCCAUAGGGUGGUGCCAGAGCUACAGGUUUUGCAAGAUAGAUGAUGCAGAGAUUGCCCGCAGGUUGAUCAAGAUUUGUACUAAAGAAGGCAUGGAAUUCGAAGCUGAGGCACUGGACCUUCUUGCUCGCAAGGCUAACGGUUCCAUUCGAGAUGCAAUUCAAAUGCUUGACCAACUAACUCUACUUGGAAAGAGGAUCAGCAAAUCAGUUACACAUGAGCUGGUAGGUUGAUUACUCCGGUUUUCUUUCCUGAAAAGGAGUUGCGACAACCUACGAUUUUAACCGUUUUCCUUUGGAAACGGUCAAUUUGUCGGCACCUGAACUUCUUUGUUUUCCUUCCCUUUUUGUUACCACAAUCUACAGUUUUAACCCUUAUCCAUUGGAAACCGUAAAUUUGUCGGCACCUGAACUUUCUUUGUUUUUCCUUCCCUUUUCCCAGAUAGGUGAUGUCUCAGACGAGGAAUUGCUUGAUCUUCUCAAUCUGGCCAUGUCAUCAGAUGCUGCUACAAUUGUGAGGAGGGCCAGGGAGCUUUUGAGCUCAAAAGUCGACCCUCUGCAGUUAUUAGCUCAGCUUGCAAAUCUUAUCAUGGAUAUUUUAGCUGGGAAGCACCCUUCAGAUUCUUCAGAAGUUAGAAGAGUUAAUGGAAAACAUACAUGUAUGCUCUCUUUCUUCUUAAGCUUGAAAAUCAUGUACCUACAUAUUAAAUGUCCUCAGAUCUUGUCUGCUGUUGUUGAUAAGCUUUGCAGUAUCAUUUCUACUGAAUACUCUUGCAGUCUUGCUGGAGAUAAGAUUAUGUUUUUCGCUGAUGAGUUACCCGCAUAAUAUUGUGUCCUAUAAAUGCAUUCCAAAAUUUUUUAGAUAACUUAAGGGAAUACUCAAAUAUGAUGCAUGUAUCCAUGGAUUAAACCCAACUAAGGAGUUUCUUUUCAAAUUAUGGUUUUCUGUUUAGCAAACUUUGUUAAUCUGAGCAUGGGUGCCAUAUAGAAUGCCUUAUAUUUCAGUACAAAUUUUAGAGGGCGGAGGGAGUAUUUAGUAUUUACACUCACAGUGUAUACCUGUUUACUGUUUCCAUCUCUUUCUAACUUAAUAUUAAUUUCGCAGCUGCUGACGUGGAUGUACACAAACUUAGGAAUGCUUUGGAAAUACUCUCUGAAACUGAAAAGCAAUUAAAGACCACAAAAAAUCAGUCUACAUGGCUUACUGCUGCAUUGUUACAGUUUAAUAUGAGGGAACCCUACUGUCUAGAUGAUACUGCAGUUUCAAGCAUGUUUACUGAAAGUCAGACAGGUAAUUAAUAUCCUCUUAAUUUAAUUUCUCCUGAAUGUUGAAAUAUUUGAGAGUAAGAAGCACUGUGAAGUGGAACUAUGUCAAUGUCACUUUAUCAUUAUGUCACUGUCUGUUUACUGAUAAGUGAGCUGCACUUUGUGCAGAUGAUGGGACUGCAGUACUGAAAGAUGAGAGCUUAGAUACAAGUUCCCAUCUUUGUUCCCAGAACAAAGUUAGUUCUCUAGACAUGAAUUUAGGAGAUCCAGAUGUAUUGGAGACGAUAUGGAUGAAAGCUCUUGAAAACUGUUCAUCCCCUCCACUUCAAAAUUUACUGCGGAAGGAUGGGAAGUUGUCGUCUCUGUAUACAACCCAAGGUAAUUUGCUCUGUGUGUGGGACCUCUUUCUUCUUUUUUUUUGGGGAGACAGAUCUGUUUGUCACUGAAUAGCGCAUCCCUACUUCCUGUAUUUGCUGUGGUCCACCUUAAUACACCUUUCCAGACAGUUGCUCAGUGCUGCAUUUCAGAAAGGACAUGUUUGUCUGGACAUAUGCAUGAUAUAGCAAUAGGUAUGCUUGUUGAUAAGCUAGUGUUGUUGUCUCCUAAUGGGGGUGCAUCUUGCAUUACUAGGCAUCAAAUAUUGCCUGCCAAUUUGGACUGCAUACAUUCAGUUAGCAUCACUGUGUUCCUGACCAUGGAUAUUCUACACGUCAGAUUUCAUUCUUUUUUGCUCUGAAUUGUAGGUGUCGCAGUUGCUGAGCUACAGUUCUGCCAUCCUGAGGUUGUCCCAACAUCAGAGAGCUUCUGGAAGCCACUAUGUGCAUCUCUGCAGAAUUUGCUGAGGUGCAACGUCGACAUCCGAAUCAACCUUUCUCCUAUCUCUGGCAGCAGGGCUGGAUCCAAGGACUCAUCCGUCAGCCUUGUCAUGGAAUCAAGAGAAGACCGUCAGGCGCAGGACCCAGUCACCUCAAACUGCAGAACCGUCGUGUCAUCGAGAAGAGACUGCCCUUCCCCACUCGUGGGGCAAGCCAAGGAGAAGCCGCCUCACAUCCUGGGGUGUCUCCAUGGCGGCGCAGAUGGUGACACAGUGGAUACCGAGCCGAGGAUCCUGAGCUACCAGAAAAUCUCUGUCGUCCCUGCAGCAUCCACACCAGGAAACGCUCCCCUCAAAGCCACCGCUGGAGACACAUCAAAGGUUGAUGAAGGCAGAGUUCGUCGUGGCUGCUGCUCGCUCCUUCUACCCUGCAGUGUUUGUGCCCCCCUUCGGAAGUCCCGGACGCGGGAGAAACGCCGAGCCAAGCUGUUCAGCUGCUGCUUCUGCAAGAUCGGACCAGACUGCAAAACGAAGGCAGAAGCAGGGUAGUUUGCAGCAGGCCAGGAACAGAGCAGCCCUCUGCAGUUCAAGCUGGAGGCUGGGGUAUGCUGAUUGCCAUUUGGCUGAACCUGACAUUGUGGUUGUCCAUUCUUGCUAGUCUUCUAUCAUGUUUUCUGGUUUGGCUCUGGUGGUCAAAUCAGUUCAGACUUCAUCAGACUGUCAAAAGUGUGUCCAUCUCUAGACUGUAGCUUGCCUCCGAUGGGGGGAGAUACUGGUUGAAGACACAGCAGAUGUGCAUCGCUAACAUAAAGAGAUUUUAUAGUCGGAUGCUUAAACUUUCCUGGUAGCAUAACCGUGUUUGUAGUUGUGCGUUGGAUUUUGUUUUAUGUCGGUCUCUACUGUUUUCGUGAAAUCUUGAUGUGCAUCGCCGGGCUCAGGACGGCGGCCACUGCCGGCGAUGCUGCCGAGUCCCGCCCGCCUCUGCUGAUCUCCUCGCCUGCCUCCGCGAGAUGGGCAGAUGGCUCUCGCCGCCAACGCGUCGGAUGAUCGAGGCGGCGAGUGUGGCCACUGGCCACUGCGGACGCGAAGGCCAGGGCAUAUACGCUACGGCUGCAAAGGCUAGGGCAGCUGCAUUGGGCCAUGGAGUUUCUUGAUUUCUUUGGGAAAAAAAGGAUCUGUUUUACCUCAAUGAAUCAUCAACUUUAAAAAUCAGACAUCUUACUCCAUAAACUCGCAAAACCGUUAGGUUACCUGGUUUUGGAGUGGUUUAUAUUCAACUGACUGGUUUUGGAGUGGUUUUGAAGACAAUUUUGUUCUUCUUUAGUUAAAAAAAAUUCUGGUAGUAUACUUGCAAGGUUUUUAAAUCACAAAAUAUCUCUGAACUCUUAAAAAUUUCAGGGAAAAAAAUCUAGAGAUAGAUGAUAAUUCCAAAUAAAAUACUUAGAGCAAAAAGAGCUACUUUUGAAUUAAACUAGUGGUAAAGAAACAUAAGAACCAAGGAACCAGAAGAGCCAAGACAAACAAAACCUCGCCUAUUUGCUUAAACUUUUCUUGUAGUAUAACCAUAUUUAUAGAUGGAUGAUUAAACUUUCCUGAUUGCAUAACCAUAUUUAUAGUUUGUUAGAUGGUGUGCUUUUAUUUUAACCCCCACCCUAGAAGAAAUAGAAAUAAAUUCACCGUCUAAAUCAACUAAAACAUAAAAGGAAAUAAGUAACAUAGACUUAGAACAAAAGAGAUCAAGGAGGAAAUAAAAAGUCAAAUAUGAUGGUUACCUCCUCUUCUCCGGUGAUCUCUAUCUCUGCUGAACCUCCUCGAUCUCCAUCUUUGUUGACCUCCUCAACCUUUGAUGAGCUUUGAUCCAUAUUAGGGUUUUGUGGGUUAGGGUUAGGGUUAGGGUUAGGAGUUUUUCGGUUAAGGAAGGUUAUUUUGGCUGAGGUUGGAAAGGGAGGUGGUCGGAUUAGUGGUGGUGACUGAAGUGGCGAUGAGCGAGGCGGCAAGUGACAUUUAGCCAAAUCCGUGGUGGAGGUGAGGGGUCGGCUUUCCUCCUUCGAUUGGCAAUAGGGAAGGGGAGGGAUGGAGUGGCUGUGGUGGGCGGCGUGAUGGUGAGUGGCCUAGAAAUUUCUCCUUUGAUUCCGAUUAUGGGAGGGCGGAGGUGGAGCGGGGUUGGGUGAGAGAUGAAGCAGGUGCGGUGUGGUUUGCUCCUUUUAUUUAUAAUAUACUCUACUACCUUUAUGAAAUCAUUACGAAGGACAGAACCGACGCAGUGGUGAGAAGCCUUUCCACUAAGCCAAAGGUCUUAGGUUUAACACAACCUCUCUGCACAAUGUAGGGGCAAGGCUUGCCUCAGUUAUUCUUUCUCCAGACCUCACUCAUGUGGGACUUGCCAGCACUGGGCCUAACCUUUUCAUGAAAUCAUUAUCCCAAUCAAGGGAGCAAGAUGAAAUGAUUAAUUCAUCAUCUCGAUGAAAUGAAUAAUUCAUCACUCGUUGCCUGAUAAGAGCAUCUCUAACAAUAUCUUAAAAAAUGAGUCUAAAUAUUAGAGCCUUUCCAAAAAGUAUGAGGCAUGAAAAAAAUAUACUCCAACAGUUUUUUUUCUUUCUGAAAAACAUACACUGUCGUUGUCGUCGUACAUGCCAACUUCCCACAACUUAUCGCCUUGGCCAGCCAUCCCUAACACCCUACUUCAUACAGAAAACCUUAAAAACCGAAUUUUCAUCACCUACUCUACAUCCAAGUAUUCUUAGAUCUAAACAUAGUGACCUAGUUCUGACAAACCUCCUAUGCGGCGAUGGCCGUGUGCCAAGCCAUGGGUGAACAUCUCCACCAUCAUAACUCACACACACCCCAUAAACUCCCAAAUGGAAUCUCCAUUGCCUACUCAUAUCUGAAAAUAGUGGUUGGAUAUCCAAUUUCGGUGAACCUCUAGGUCGUGGCAGUAGCAAGCAGUUGAUGAUAAAAGGAAGUGCAAAGGAAAAAGAAAACAAAAAGCGCCAAGGCCACCACCACCACUGAUGGAAUAUGUACAUGCGCUAGCACGAUAGAUUGGGAGUUAGAAUACACAAGCGCAAUAGACUGGGAGUUUAAGGAUUAGAUGCACGAUAGAUUCCGAGCUAGAAUAAAGAGUUGUCGGAAUAUGUUUUCAUGCUCUAAGAGCAACUCCAACAGCUUGGUUAUUUUUAUUAUAGAUGCUAUUUUAGAAUUUGCAUAACAAAAGAUAGACUCCAACAAAUGUGCUACCUAGUUUUGUAAAAUAGAAAAUUAGCUAUUCCAUGAUUUCCUAGUUUUGUAAAAUAGAAAAUUAGCUAUUUCAUGAUUUUCGUUGGUCAUAUAUAGCCAACCACUGACACAAGCUAUAUGAUUUUGUAAAAUAGCAAGACUGUUGUGGAUCUUUUUUUUAAGAAGUUUUCUACUUUACAAAAUGGCUAAACAAUAAAAUUUGGCUACUAAUUUUAGCCAGUCUCUUGAAGUUGCUCUAACAACCCUGCUUGUUGCGCCGUUUGGAGCACGGGCAUUCUGGAAGAGUCAGAUUCAUUUUUCACAAGCUUAAUUCAAAAUUUUCCUAAAAGUCCUUCAAAAUUUUGAGCUGGAUCAAGAAAUUUAAAACCACACCAGGAUGGAGUUUUAAAAGCUCAUGAUACCGCAUCUGAAUUCCAAAUCCAUGAGCACUCGUCUCGCAUCAUAAAACAAAGAAAACAUCGGAGAUACAGUGCCAGUCCAGACAGGGAGGCCGGCGGCGCAUACUCAGCAAUCCAGGCAUUCACCAGACCACACCAUUUCCACAAGAAUAAGAGUAGCAAUCACAAUCCAACCAUCCAAUGGCACAGGAAAGCCGCUACGGCCUAUGAGGCAGCACAAAAUUGUAGCGAUCCGGAGGCGACGCUUCAUCCCACUGGCGACAUUGUCCUCCCCUGCAGAUUAUUAGAGUUGAAGGGCAGGAAAGCACCAUUGCAGCUAAAUAAGAAAGAAACAGCCAUAAUGCAGGCGGAGCAUGGCGCCAGAUCUUUUACAACAUGGUCUUUUUUUUUCUCUUCUCUGUUUUCGCUUGAUGUAAAAAGGGUCUAUGGGGAGUUAAAAUGAAAUGAAACAAGAACAGCAUGAGCAUGUCAUCAGAUGCAAGAUCUAGACACACAAGCCACCACCACCGCAACCAGGAGGGGCUCGCUCCGCUACCUAUGCGCAAGAGCAACGACAAACGAUGAAAACACAGCCAAACUGGGUUUGCUGAGCCACAUUUUACGGCCUACGCCUGCCUUCUGCUUCAGCUUCGUACUUCUCUGACCAGCUGUUCAAACUGAAGAUGCAACACCAAACCCGGGCAGGAGCCAUCCACUCUUCUUUGCGUGCUCCACAUAGGAAAUGAACUUCUCCCUGGCAUCAGGAAUGUCCAGAGCCAGGUCGUCGAGUCCAUCCCUGACCCUUGAGAACCCCUUGGUCAUCUGGUUGAUGGUUAUGAUCCCUUCACCAAAGCACUCCUGCAGCAGGCUCAGGGUCCUCUCAUUCUUCUUCUCCAUUGCCAUCACGAGCGCCUUCUUGACAACUUCAUGGUUGAAGAAAGACAUACCCAGUUCACGGAUACAGUUGCAUGCUUCUCCUAAAUCACCUCCACUCUCAUACUCUUCCAGGAGCUUUGUUAUCUUGUCCUUUGCAUCCUCCACAGCCCAUCCGGUUCCACCACCCCAGCACCUCAGAAGCCUCUCACCAGCAUGCCGGGCAGACACAAGGGAGCGUGCCAUGUUCAAUGUUUCAGCCCCGCUGCAGUUUGGUGGAAGCUUGCUGCUAAUCUCAUCCAAGUUUAGAGGUGCAAGAACAUCAUCAAUCACAGCCCUGGCUAGGAACAGUCCCAACUCAUCUGAGGCAUCCAAUAUAUCAAGUGCAGUGUCUUCUGCAGAUUCAAGGAGCAUUAUGAAUCCCUUGGCGAUGUCUUCAGACGAGAACAGCUCCAUGCUUAAUGAGGAUAGAAGAACUGAUGUCAUCUCUUUCUCCCUGUUCUUGCGGUCCAUAGCAGUUGUUAUGAGCUUCUUGAUGAAGAUUGGAUUAUAUUCUGGAUAACCGAGCUCUUUGACACUACGAAUAACCUCUGUUGUAUCAUCAGAUAGAAAGUAUUCGUGUAUUAUAGAUACAGCCUCCCUCUUGUACCUUGCCAGCUUCUCAUGUUCAUCAUCUUCAACGCUUCCGUUGACACCUGACUUCACAUAUGAAGAAUCUAGCCAUCCCUCAGAAAUGGCUUUUGAUACCAACAGCUGGAAUUCAGACUUUGCAGACGGUAUAUCAAGAAUGAGAUCAUCAAGACUCUCAGCAACCCGAUAGAAUCCUUUCAUCAUCUGACUAGAGCUUAUUAAACAUUCUUCAGAUGCCUCCUUCAGAAGUUUGGCAAUAAGUGCUUCAGCAGCUGGACUCUCCAUUCCAAGAGUAAGAGCUCGCUUCACCACCUCAUGAUGAAAAAAGGGCACUGCCAGCUCCCUAAUGCACCUACAAGCCUCAGCUGUAUCACCAUUUCUGAUGUAUUCCUUUAGAAGAUCAGCAAUCCUCUUCUUCACCUCUUCUACUGUGAUGUGAGUUGAACCACCCCAUCGUCGCUCAAUUAACUCUGCAUGGUGGGGUGCUGAAAGAUAGCUUUUCUCUGCAAUUUGUACAACCUGCAUACCCUUUGACGAUCCUGAGAGACUCACUUUUGCCUUGCUGAGGAAAGCAGGUGGCAGAAUGUCAUCAACAACUGCACGUGCAACGAAAAGUGCGAGCACAUCAACCACAUCAGGUAUGUCAACAGCCAGGUCAUCAACAGCCUCCAAUAGCAGCACGAAGCCCAGUCUGAUUUGAGUUGAACUGACCACGUUGCCAUAAAGAUAUGAUAGAAGCACUGAUGCCAUCUCUUUCUCCUUGUCAUGCCUGUCCAUUGCUGUGGAAACAAGCUUCUUGACAAAGUAACGGUGGAAAUCAUCAUAACCCAAUUCUUUAAGAUCAGAAGCAGCUAAUUUUACAUCACCAUUGCUGAAAUAUUCCUCAAUUAAUGGGAUAACAGCUUUCUUGUAGUCUUCUAGUGGGGUUGAAACAGGGGCUUCAACUAACUCAUAUGGCUCCUGAGUAGCAAAAAAAGAUCAACAUCGAUGUACAUGUAUGGUUGGAUAGUAACCACUUAGAGCUAAAUAAAAGGUGAACUACAAUAGUUUCUGAGAUUGAACAUUUGACACUUAAUUGUUUGUAGCAGAGUGAAAGAAUAAACAGGUCAAGAUCAUCAAUAGUCAUUACCUCGCCACUGUCAUAAUUUGGAUCAUUUCGGUCAAGGCAUGCCUCUGCAUCAGUAUCAAUUAGUUUGCCCCAAGUCCCUUUGCCACCAGCUCCAUCUGCAAUAGAAACCUCAGCGUUAAUUAGGAUACAGUGGAACAUAGAUAUAUUUCACAUUUUUUAUCUUGGGAAGUUUGAAACAUGGUAGUAACAAUCAGAGGCAUAACUCACAAUAGUAUUUACUAAGCUAUUGUAAUCACAUGGGGCCUAAGCCCAACUAUGUGUUGCGCUUAGAUCAUAGGUAGUUUAGUCAGCAAUCUCAUGCAUCACAACAACUAAAGAAUCGACACUCCAUAUCAUGCAACAGUAUCAGAAGACAAUUAGAUUUCCACAAUAGUAUAGUCAAAAGUACACACUGCACACUUGCAUUUGAUAUCUUUGCACAACACACAUGGCAAUCACAUGUUCUCAAAAGAUAGUCGGCCACAUGCUAUAAAUGCUACACAGGCUGCAUAACAUUUGGCCAUCCCUAAUAUGAUAAACUAGAUCUAACACGUAGAUGGAUCCUUUUCUUGUUUCUUAAGUUGCAAGGGCUGCAAUAAGAAGAAUAAAGCUAAAGGAACAUGAACCUCCAAAGUACACCUGACAACUGGUAUUUAAUAACAGUAAAUUGUGUCAAUACAUAUCCUGCUUUCACAUAAGAGAUAUAACGAUAUGCAUUAUUUCAGGGUAGAUCUGGAAGCAAACAUGCUUCUAAACAUAUCCCUAAUACACCAUGUGAAUACAAAACAAAUUAAGGAAACCAUUAGAGAAAGACAAAAAAGAUUAGAUCACAUUCUAACCAAAGUUUCUAAACAAAAAAAGGAAACUGUUGAAAGUAAGGCCAUAACAGCACCACAGACCAUGUUUUGACGUGCAUAGAUAGUUGGCAGCAUCAAGGAUGCAGCUAUUGCAAAGCAAUGCAAUACUGUGAUCAGGUGAAAACAAAGAAUUGACAAUUAAAUAAAGACAAUAGAAGCACACGUUCCCACUUUCCAACAAGCAGGUUGCACACACAUGCACAGACGAAGUCCAAAUAUUAUCAGCUAAAAUUGCCAACUGAAAGGAAUGGAACAAUUCUAACUUAAUAGGUUCAAGCAAUCAAGCUAAAGGAUGUUCUACUGAACCCCAAUCAGGAGCUCAGGACACAAUUUGCCACACAGGACGAUAAGUGAUUGAUAUAAAUAAUAAACAAAUGAAGUAGAUCUGGAACAUCAGAGCUACUUGAAGUGUUCCAAUAUGGUUCACAUCAUACCCACCAACAGGACAAUUUGGUGUUUCAAUCAACUGAACGCUGGUUAUCAGAACCAAAGGCACAAUGUGCAAUGUCAAUUUUACGUUACCAUGUUUUGAUAAGAACAGUUUGUACAGUUACACAGAUACACGACAAAAGAGUACGGUAGCGACAAAAAGAGUACGGUGGCGACAAAAAUAGCUAAAAAUCUGGCGAAUGAAGAUAGAAUGCACAUACCUAAAUGAACCGACCUUUCGACAGAAAUCACUACACAGCCAAAUAUACAAAUGUCAUGGUCCAACUAAAUCAUUCCCUUAUGGGUGGCUCAACCACCAGCGAAUCCCAUAUUGACAGCUCAGACUAGAAAUUAACCCGCACACGGAACAACCAUCAUGCACCAUGUAUUUAAACCUAACCAUCUACAUAACAAGCAUGCAGAUAUAGCACAGAAUGUUUAAAACGAACUGCUUCUAUACUUAACCAACCUACAACAACAAUUUCAGUUGGGCAGACAGAUAUAAGCAGCUAAAAAAAGCAUCCAUGUUCCUACAUAAUAAUUUGCAUCAAUGCUACAUUUCCUUUUUAAUUACCAUUUCCAAACCCAAGCUAUGCAGUCUCAACACAACAAGAGCCCAUCAUCCAUGGUGGUCCAAUUUCAUGAGCUACAGACUAGCAGGACACUAGAAAUCCAGAGCUAUGGCAACAAGAAGGAGACCCCACAAAAAAAGUAUAUCCCUAAUAAACAAGGAGAGCUAUAUGAAGCAGAGCUGCCGAACCUACAUUCGUAGGAGCAUAUGUAAGCAGAAACAUCAUGACGCCACAAUUACCAUUACACCCUAAUAAAAACGCAAGCCAGGCAGCAAAUCACUCACACAAACCAGCACCAGCCUAUCCUAUGCAAUCCUAUCCUAUUCUAAACAAACAAGCAAGGUACUAAACAUAGCAGGCGUGGAAUAGAUCGAGCAGCCAGCGCUACCUCACCUUUCUUCACCUUGAUAGUCUUCCCGGAAUGCGACCGGCGCACGUGCCUGGGCCCACCACCCCCACCCCCACAUCCUCCUCCGCCGCCCCUCCCGCCACCACCAGCAGCCGCGGCAGCCGCUGCUGCGGCGGCGGCGGCGCGCUUCUGCUCCAGCAUCUGCUGCUCGUACUGCUGCAGCAGCGCGGAGGUGGUCCCUCCCGUGGGCGAGCGCGGGGAGGCGAGCGACUGCGUCUCCGCGUUCUGCACCGCGAUCCGCAGCUUCUCCCGCUGGUCCUGCGUCAGGAACCCCCCGUCCUUCCUCGGCGACGUCAUCCCUCCCAGCCCUCCUCCUUCUCCUCCUCCAGCACCACCGUCACCUUCGUCACCACCUGCAGCAGCAGCAGCAACAACAACAACAACAACGAAGCAGCAGCGGCACCGCGCGCGCGUCAGCGAAGCCGGAAUGGAGGAGGGGGAGAGGAAGAGAAGGAGGUGAGGUGAGGGUUUCCUCCCGUCCGUACCUAGGGUUUCGGCCGCGGAUCGAGCCGGCGGCCCCCGAACCCGUGCGCGAGAUUUGUGUGCGAGCGAGUGAGUUCGGAUAAUUUUUUUUCCUCCUUUCUCUCUCCCCACUCUCCUGCUGCUGGUCUCGUUUUUUCUCCGCGAAGAGAGAGAGAGAGAAACGGGGGACGGCGACGCGAGUGUGACGGGAAGGAUAGGGAGGUGAGGCGUGGCGUGGCUUUAUACGGAGGCGGGCGGCGUGCGUGGGCCCUCCGCUCAGCGGACACGUUGCUCGUCACGGGCCCGCACGUCAUUGAGCCUGCCUUGUGGGCCCGAGCGGCCCGCUAGUCUGGUCCGGGCCAGCCGGCCGGCCGUCGCGGAUCCCUAUCCGGGGUCUCGUCCACCUGGCGGUGUCCGAGCGGCCGGCUCGGGUCAGCACGGGACGCCAACGGCUCACUGACACGUGGGUGGGUCUGGCUCUGGGCCCCGCGAGUCGGUGACGGAGGAAGGGUUUUGUUUGGGCCGCAGCUGCCUCGGGUCGUGCAGGCGUUUGGACCGGGCCGGGGCGGCGUGGGAGUUAGGGUUUUGCUGCUCGGGUGGGAGGGGUGUUGGAUCCUCUGUGGCCAACGGAACGGAACGGAACGGGUGGUGUGGUGUGUGGUGUGGACAGGCGCUGGCUGGCUGGCUGGGGGACACUUGGCGGGCUGUGAUUGGCGGUGGUGCUGUGGAUAAGGCAAAGCAGAGUGGCGGAUGACGGGAUGAGAAUGACGCGUAGGAUUUAAGUCAAGGUUCAGUCAUCAUCAUCAUCAUCAGUAUCGCUCACGCCAAAAUACUAUUGGGGGCUUUUGUUUAGUUGCCAAAAUUUUUUAAGAUUUCAUAUCAUAUCGAAUCUUACGGCAUAUACAUAAAACAUAACUAAUUGUAUAGUUUACGUAUAAUUUGUUAGACGAAUCUUUUAAACCUAAUUAGUCUAUAAUUGAAUAAUAAUUAUCAAAUAAAGCCAAAAAAAUACUACAAUAGUGAAACCUAAAUUUUUUCCGACCUAAACAAAGCCUCAUGGAUUACCUAGAGCUGACAAACCCACGUGUCAGAAACUCACGGAUUUCCUUGGGCUGAGGGUCUGUUUAGAUUGGAGAUAAAAAUUUUUUGGGUGUCACAUCGGAUGUGUCGGAAGGAUGUCGUAAGAGGUUUUUAGAAACUAAUAAAAAAACAAAUUAUAUAGCUCAUCAGGAAACUGUAAGACAAAUCUAUUAAGCAUAAUUAAUCUGUCAUUAGCAUAUGUGGGUUACUGUAGCACUUAAGGCUAAUCAUAGAGUAACUAGGCUUAAAAGAUUCGUCUCAGGAUUCUCAACUAAACUGUAUAAUUAGUUUAUUUUUUUAUCUACAUUUAAUGUUCCAUGCAUGUGUCCAAAGAUUCGAUAAGAUGGAUGAAAAAUUUUUAGGUGGGGACUAAACAGGGCCUGAGAGGAGCCCGCCCCUUUUUUUCGGGCACACAGUUUUUUGUUGCGGUAGAAAACGUUUCGUGCUUUUCAGCACACAGAAAGGAUCGAUUCUGGUGACAGUUGUCGUUUUUUUAAUAAGGAUGACGAUUGAUUUAAAAUAUCAUUUUGUAGUAGUUAAAUAGUUAUCAAUUUAACUAAAAUUUGUACAGAAGAAAUUACUACUAACAUUUGUAGUAGUAAAUAAGUGUGACUAAUUACGAAUAGUUUUUUUUUUAUUGUAGACAUACUAUUUGAUGAAGAUAUAUAAAUGCUGAAAUCUGCUAGAAAGAGAAAAAAAUAACUUAACUUUUAUUGUAAUUUUUCUUUGGCAUGGAGAGAGUAGUAGGUAGCAAGUGUUAUUCUGAAUAAAUAAAAAAACAAACAAACAAAAAAAAGGCUGCGUUAUUUUGGACUUAGGCCUUGUUUAGUUUCCAAAAAAUUUUGCAAAAUUUUUCAGAUUCCCCGUCAUAUCGAAUCUUUAGACGUAUACAUGGAGUAUUAAAUAUAAAUGAAAAUAAAAACUAAUUGCACAGUUUGGUCGGAAUUGACGAGACGAAUCUUUUGAGUCUAGUUAGUCCAUAAUUGGACAAUAUUUGUCAAAUACAAACGAAAGUGCUACUAUUUAUAUUUUGCAAAAUUUUUUGAAACUAUUAAUAUUAGAGAGUGUUGACGGUGGCUCAUUUGAGGUUUGUUUGUUACGCUUGCCUGAACUUAUCCAAAACUAGGGGGUCGCUUGUCGGCAGCUGAAAGCGCUAGCGUUUCGUUUCAUGAACAAGGCAUUUCUCGGCCGCUCUCUUUUCGAUCAGCAGUUUGCGGCCUCGACCCAAAACGUAUAUAUAUCGCUUUAUAGGCUGCUCCGUUAUGUUCUAAUAAGUAUAAUUAAGUUGGUUUAUCUCUAAUUACUUUUGAGGUGGACCUCUCGUCCACUUUAUUCGUUUGGCUGAUAAGCUACUGUUAGCUGAUUUGUUGUAAGAGAAAAGCACUGUUAAAUGAGUGUCAAGUUCGACUUAUAAGCUCAAGCGAACAAGAAACGAAAACUGUCCCAAUUCAAAAAUGUUUUGGUGCUUGAGUGACAUUACAUCUCGGCGAAUGAGCUACUACAUAGCAAGAGAGAAGAUAAAAACUUGGAAUUCUAGUGUUUGUUAAGAGCCAAAGGCAUUGGCGCAUGACGAGUCAGGUUCAUCGUGAAAUUCUCGCCAUAGGCCAUAGCUGAAAGAACGGUGCAACUUCAUCGCAUGACUGACUAUUGCAUAACAUCGGCGCUUCGCAUUCAAAUACCAAAGUAAGGCUUUGUUUAAAUUCAAAAAGUUGUUAGAUUUUGACACUGUAGUAUUUUUAUUUUUAUUUUACAAAUAUUAUCCGAUCAUGAAUUAAUUAGACUUAAAAGAUUAGUCUCGCGAUUUACGGGUAAACUAUGCAAUUAGUUAUUUUGUUUGACUGGUGAUAGUGUUAACAGUAGCUGAUCCGGCACGUGAAGGGAGAUAUAUGGUGGUGGUUUCUUUGUUAACCUUGCCUAAUCCAAAAACAGGGGCUGCUCUGCUUUCAACCUAGAUAAAGGCUACAACCAGGCCAACUUUACACAAAAUGCCAAAAAAAAAGUGAUCGGAACACACAUUCGAUUAAGAAAAAAUGGUUAGCCAAAUCGGUAGUAACCGGACUCAACCCAAUGCCUUGAAUAAAUGACUCUGUAUUUCUCCAAAAAUCUAGUAGCUAAACAAAAUCCUGAGAACAUGUGUGUGUAAUGUGCAAAAAUUCAAAAGAAAGACAAAAGCAGCAGCCCAGUCCUCGGCAUGGGCUGCACGGCUCCACUUGGUAUCGUGUGGGCAUGCUGCUCCAGUCCAGAGCACCCGCCUGAUUUUUUUAGUUUCUCCAUGAUCUUCUGCGCUUCUGUUCUCGCCCUAUUCAAGCACUGUUUUAUUUACUAUUAGAAAUAUAAGCAAGAAAAAACAUUACUCCAUAUAUGAAGCUAGUUACACCAUCUUUUGCUGAGUCCUGAUCACCAGGUCCCUGCUGAUCACUGAAAACACUCAUCAGUCAUUGUCACCAUCUCAAACAAGCAAGAAUAGCACCCAAUCUUACCGGGUUGUUUCUUUUCUCGGGUCAAAAAGGAAAAAGGAGGAGAACAUCUCAUUAGAAGAUACUAUGAAAAUCCAAAGGACAAAAAUAUAUAGUGAAAGAUGGAACCAAUAUACUGCCCAGUAGUCCAGCCUCAUUAGAACACACACCAGAAGACCACCUCACAAAAAUUAUCUAUGCUGCUGAAUGAUGAUCCUCUUUGCAAACUAAGAACUGCAUCUCAAUAUGAAAACAACAUCAUCACGGUACCUUUUUAACAUAUUAUUAGAAGACUAGAAUCAGAGAGCAGAAGUAAUGAAGGGUAAAUGGAAUCAAACCAAAAGAUAAAACUAUCACUCCUUCAAUUAUUAGCUCCUGGGAGGGCAAAUAAGUAAAGAUACCUGGAUUAAAUAGACCAUGGUCACACAAUCUUCGAACUGUCUAUAUCAUAUAAGAGUAAAAUAUCCAUAAUUAAACAUAAAGUAAAAUACGUUUUCAAGGUGCCAUAACCCAAUCAACAAUUCCAAAAGCGAACCAGAAAGGCAUGUCUUUCUUCGGCUAUAACAGGCCAGCAACCACCAGUAUGAGUUUAUAAGACUUCUGUCCAAAGGCAACCAGAACUUGUCAAUAGAAAUUGUAGAAACAUCUCGAUUCAAUGUAAUUACACAGUUUCCCUAAUAACCAUGUGACACUAAGUAAACAUUAGCUGCCUUAUAAUGACUCUGUUAGGAAAAAGAGUUGCACAGCGCCACAGCCGUGGACAAUCUGAAUAUUGGAAGUAGCAGGCCAUCGACACCAUAGUGGGCAUGCAAACCAUUGUAAGCUGCAACACAAAAUAGUAUAGAAUUGUCAGUGAAUAACAUACAAAAGGCAGAAUAUCAUAGAACUAAUGAUGUGACAGUCAAAAUAUAAGAUAGAGGAAUCAGAAUACAUCAAUUGGGUAAGAUGUAUGGUGAGCACAGCUAACAGUAACAAAAUGAAAUGUCAGAUACCUUUUUGCCUCUUAUGCCCAUACACCAGCAGCUAAAGUUAACCUAUGAAUAUGUAAACGAUAUCAUCCAUACCUGCUUCAAAUAACUGAGUAUUUUUUAGUUGGAGCAGAUUUAGGUAGAUUGGGAACCUGGUUGACACAAUCCUCAAGGACACGUUUCAACUCCGCUUUUGCCUUCUUCACACAAGACUCUGAGUGGCCCUCGAUAAACAGGUACAGUUUGCGCUCAUUAGCACCAACAAUUUUUCCUUGAGCAAUAUAUGUUCCCCUUAUAGUGAUAGCAACACCACCUUCCUGAAUAGGACCUAAUGUGUCUUUGUGAGUGAUUCUCCAGCGAGCAUGCUGUGGGAAAUCAUUAAUCUCAAGCUCAGCCUCGUAGUGGUCAGGAACCGCAUGGCGCUGUAUCCGUGCCAAAGCCUCAAGAGCAUGAAGCCUAGCUUCAUCAUUUGUGCUCGGUUCACCCACCGCCUGCACAUCAAGGUCAUCUCCUGCCUUAUGUACCUCUUCCUCGUCAAAAUCUGAAUCUGACUUUUCCUCCUCAUAUCCAUAUUCCAUUGCCUGAGCUUUCUUUGUGAACUUCCGCGCUUCAUCCUCUUCCUCAUUGAACUUGAAACCGCUUCCACCAUAACCAGUACCAUGGGUCCGCUCUGUUCCCUGCUUCACCUUUGCCAUAAACCGAUCAGCUAAGGCUUUCAGGUCAUCUGGAACAGUCUGUUCAGAGAGCUCCAGUGCCUUCACAAGAUCUGGCGCAUAUCGCUCCUCUUCCUCAGAAAUAAAAGUCACAGCAGAGCCCUUCCUACCAGCACGGCCUGUUCGCCCAACACGAUGAACAUAGUCCUCAUAGUGGUUAGGGACAUCGUAAUUGACAACCAACUCAAGUUCUUUCACAUCUAAACCCCUAGCAGCAACACUAGUAGCAAUCAGCAAGCUGCAGAUAUUACUCUUGAAAUCAGCAACUGUUGAUUCACGAUCGGCUUGAUCUUUACCACCAUGUAGAGACAAGCACUGAUAUCCAUGCUGGAACAAGUUUUUAAGCAGAGAAUCACAUUUAUCUUGAGUGUGGACAAACACAAGAAUCUUCCCCUUAUCACACCACUUCCCAAGCAACUCUAACAGCCUUAAGAACCUCUCACUUUCUGGCCGCACCUCGACUACUUGUGUGAUGUCUUUGUUCACGACACUCCUCCCACCCACCUGAAUCUCAACGGGCUUGAUCAGCACCUUGCGCGCCAGCAUCUCUACCUGCCGUGGAAAAGUGGCUGAGAAAAGCACCGUUUGUCUAUCUCGCCGGAUGUUUUGAAUUAUCCUAGUAAUCUGAGGCUCAAAACCCAUGUCGAACAUCCUAUCAGCUUCAUCCAUCACCAAGAAUGUCACUCUCCGAAGGUUAGUGAUUUUCCCAUUGCUAGUACAGAGGAUAUCGAUCAUCCUUCCUGGUGUGCAAACGACAAUUUCAGCACCUCGUUUCAGUUCACUGAUCUGCUGGGCAACCCCUGAACCUCCAUAGACAGCAACACAACUAAUGCCAAGCACCUUAGAGAACUUCUUAAUGUCCAAGUAUAUCUGCACCACAAGCUCCCUUGUAGGAGCCACAAUGAGCCCAACAGGACCAUCUCCAGGAGCAACAGGUGGCUGGUCUUUGACAUGCCUGAGCAUCGGAAGGAGAAACGCAAGUGUUUUGCCAGAUCCAGUUUUUGCAACACCAAUACAAUCACGGCCACUCAUGAUGACCGGCAACGCUUGCGCCUGUAUAGGCAUGGGUUUCUCAAAACCAAGCUUCUUGAUGGUGUCAAGGAGCUUGCUAGUCUGCCCACUCUGUAACCAUGUCUUAAUUGGCUUGGGCACAUCUUUCCCAUGCACCUUGAGCUCCAAUUCCUUCCUGUACACGGCCACUUCCUCGGAUGUCAUCUCCCUGAUGUCCUUUGCCUCGAUGUAGAAAUUCUUCUGGAACGGUUGGUAAUCAAUCUUGGAAUGGUCCACAACCCCCAGCUUCUCCAUCUUUGUCUUCUUGACACGCUUCAUGAACUCCUCGUCAUCCUCGUCCUCCAAUCCAGCACCAACAUCAUCCCCGACAUCUUCAUAAUCUGAGUCUGAGUCAUCCCCUUGCAUGAUUCUCCCAGUCCCCUUCUUCAACCCUUUCUUAGCAACUGCAUUGGAAGCUGGUACACUGUCCACUGAUGCUGCAUUCCGCUCCAGCAUUGCAACCUCCGGCAGCACCAUGGUGUUCAUGAAUGCGUCAAGUGGAUCAAUCUCUUCCUCAUCCGCAUCAGUAGGGCCACUGGUAGCAUUACCCCCAUUGUUGAAAUCAACAUCCAUGACACUGCUUCCGCCCAAAUCUGUGCCAUCCGCUUCCUCGUCAGAGUCCUCGCCCUCCAAGGUCCACUUCUUCCCCGCCACGGCACCGCCGCCCGCCUCGGGCCCGGCCCCGCUGGCACCCUGCUGCUUGCGGCGUUUCUCCUGCCAGUCCUUGACGCGGAUGCGGCGGCGCUCCAUCUCGUCGUCCAGCCGCUGCUGCUCGUCCCUCAUGCCCCCCUCUUGAUCCUUGGUAGCGGGCGCCGCCUCCGGCUCUGUGUCCCGGCGGUGGUGGUGCGAGGAUACGCGGUGGCGCUUGCGGUCGCGGCCGCUGUCGUCGUACUCCUCGUCCGCAUCCCGCCGCCUCGACCUCUCCCUAUCUCUCCUCUCCUCGCGCCGCGGCGCCCACUCCCUCUCCUGCUCGUCGCGGUCCCUAUCCUUCUCCCCCCUGUGGCGGCGAUCCCGGCCCCGGUCCCAAUCGAAGUCCCUGUCAUCGCGACGGUGGUGGGAGGAGGAGCGCUCGUGGUGCCUGUCGCGGUGGUGGCGGGAGGAGGAGCGGUCGCGGUCGCGGUCGCGGUUCCGGUCCCGGUCCCGGUCCCGGUCACGGUCGUUAUCAUCGCCGGAGACCAUGGUGUCGACGGCGGUCGGAAGUUUCGGGAAGCGAAACCCCAGGCGCCGGUCUGACGUGUUCCGGAGUUUGGAGACGGUGAUUUUUGUUUCACGAUUUAUUAGCAGAAGAUCAUUUUUUCUUCUUAUGUACUCUAAAGUUGAGCAAGCACGAUGAUUUGGCCCGGCCCGAUCUUAACUGGGCCCGGGCAGGCCCGAAGCACGUAGCGGACUGUGCUUGGGUCGACCUCUCGGCCCGCUGGCCGGCACGGCACGGCCCGCUUUUAACAGUAGGCACGGUAAUGGCCUGAUAUUAGGAAAUUUGUGAAAUUUGAAGUAUCACGUUCUAUGACUUGUGAAACUUGUGACUUUUGGCAAGUAAAAUAUGAUCUCAAAGUAUAUUGUGUUAUGUGAAUCGUGAAGUAUUAAUAACUGUGACUUGAAUGUAAUGUACUUAUGCUUUGUUAAAUUCUGUAUUAAAUUUGGUAUUUUUCAUAUAACGGGCCACGGGCCGGCCCGAAGGACUAUUGGGCCUCGUGCAUUUUUGGGCCGGCCCGGCCCGAAAUUGGCCCACGGGCCGUGCCUGGGCCGUCAGGCAGGCACGGUGGCCUGUGGAGGCACGGCCCGGUGGCCCGCGGGCCAUACGGGCCCGUGCCCUAUCGGGCCGUGCCUAGCACGGGCCCGUGCCGGGGCGGGCCGGGCCAGCCUGUUGCUCAUAUCUAAUGUACUCCCUCAUCCCAAAUUGUAAGAAUCUUAGUGAGUCAAACUUUUCUAAGUUUGACCAAAUUUAUAUGAUAAAAUAAUAAUUAUUAUGAUACUAAUUAAGUAUCAUUAGAUUCUUCCUUAAUUAUAUUUUCAUAAUAUACUCACUUUACGUUACAAAUCUUAGUAUUUUUCUAUAUAAAUUUGAUCAAACAUGAAAAUGCUUUGACUCUUCAUGAUUUUUGGAAUGACUUACAAUUUGGAAUAGAGAGAGUAGGUAUAAAGCUAUUUUUUUAAUCACACGGGUUAAAAUAGAAUAGUUUCUCAAGCUCGUUGGAACCUGCUUUCAUACCGGGGAAGCAGAGCUUAAAAAAACGAAUCCUUCGAGUAAAAAUUCUGUAGACACCUGUUGGUUGGUUUUGCCGAUAAUUCACCAGUCAUUAUUUAGGCUUCAGUUCGCAAAAAGUUUUGGAUUUCGACGCUUAAGCACUUUCGUUUCUAUUUGACAAACAUUGUCCAAUCAUAGAGUAACUAGGCUUAAAAGAUUCAUCUCGCGAUUUACAGAUGAACUGUGCAAUUAGUUUUCAUUUUCAUAUAUAUUAAAUGCACCAUACAUGUGCCGUAAGAUUCGAUGUGAUGGGGAAUUUUGAAAAUUUUUGGAAAGUAAACAAAGCCUUAGGUUAUAUGGACUUAAAUUAAUCUAUCUAUUAGUUUAUAAUGUUUAGAUUUACUAGAACUUUUUGUUAGUUAUUCUUCUAAGUGAUUUGAAUAAGCCUACAACUAGGCAUGAAAAGCAUUUGCUUAUAUCAUUGUAUUUUGAACCCAAUCAUUAAACUAGAGCAUGGCAUAGGAGAAACUUUAUAUCAUUGCCCACAUUGAAGUUUCUAGAGCAUCGGUUUUUAGUAGGGUGGAGGCUGAGGCCUUGUUUAGUUCACGAAAAUUUUUGGAUUUCGCUACUGUAGCACUUUCGUUUUAAUUUGAUAAUUAUUGUCCAAUUCUAGACUAACUAGGCUCAAAAGAUUCGUCUCACAAAUUACUAAUAAACUGUAUACAGAUAAACUGUGUAAUUAGUUAUUUUUUUAUCUAUAUUUAAUGAUUUAUACAUGUGCCGCAAGAUUCGAUGCGACUGGAAAUCUUGAAAAAUUUUGAGAACUAAACAAGACCUGAGCUCUUUUUCAUGAGUGUUUCCCCUCCCCUCUCGGCAGCAUGUGGGGUGUCGCGCUCCCCACUGUGUCCCCCCCCCCCCCCCCCCCCCCCCCACAACACACACACACCACGUCGGCUACUCCUCUAUCUCUUUGAUCUGAAUCAGUCUAUGGAAUUGAAGCGAGCUUAGCUACAGGGUGAAGUGUUCAACUUUGUGGAUUCGGUGACAACAGCAAUGGUGGCAUGCCUAGAGUGAGCUCGUGGAGAGUGGUGGACCUUGAGAAUGGGCUUGGCGGUGGGCUUAGAAACGGGCUAUCCAGUAGUGGGCCUGUGAUUUUUUUUUCUAAUUUUAAUCUAUUUUUGAGACCAGUAGUAUGCUUCUGAAAAUAAUAAUAAUGACUUUAUUAAGAGGCGCUGUUGUAAAUGAGAUUUAGCCGACUCCGAAAUUUGGUUUUGCAAGUAGUGCCUCAUGUAAACUUGAUCGACAAAAUUUAUAUUUAUGACUUUAUUAUCCGUAUUCGUUGUCUAAGGCCUUGUUUAGUUUCAACCGGUAAAUUUUAACUCCUAUCAUAUCAAAUGUUUGGACACAUGCAUAACAUAUUAAAUAUAGACUAUUUACGAAAUUUAAAACACAGUUAGAGAAUAAUUUGCGAGACAAUUUUUUAAGUAUAAUUAGUCCAUGAUUAGAUACUGAUUGCAAUAAUUACAAAUGUGCAACGGUACCUAUUAAACUUUAGUACCUCCAACCAAACACGCCCUAAGGUCAUUGCUACCUGGUUCGAUUCCAACCUUCACAAGUCACAUCACAUUGUUUAAAAAAACUGGUUACUCAACUUUUGGAUCUAAUUAUCCACAUACCAUUAUGAGGUAUAAUGUAUGCAACCCUUUAAAUUUGCAUCAAAAUUAUCACUACUACCAUUAUUUUAAAAAAAACUCAAAUUCCUCAUGAAAUCUGCAUAUAAAUUAGCAAUGUCUUCUAUUUAAAAGUAUUUAAAUAGCCAUAAUUACACAGUACAUGUUUCUACGUUAUUCGCAAACAUAUAUUAAUAUCAGUUUAUUAAAAUCUAUUUAAAGAAAAUAUAAUGUUGUACCAAAGGUCAAGUACAUAUGCAUAUGCAUAAGUGGUAAAUAAAUAAGUUAUGUUUCAGCAAUCAAGAAAAUUAUUCCUUAGCGACUCAUGUACUAAUGAUCCUAAAAAAUUAUUUAUUUUAUUAACCAUGACAUAUAAUUUAUGUAUUUUUUUUAUUUAAGAAAAAAUAUAUUUUAACUAAAACUGAUGUAUCUAUAUUGAUAGUAUAACCAAGGUUAGUGCAGACCUAUCUACCCAGUUUUUAAAAAUUCAUUCAUGUAAAAUAGUGAUUAUAUGGCUUAAUAAAUAUUAAUAUUUCUUAAGGUUACUACCUCUAUCGCAUCGUAGAUCUCAUUUGAUGUUCUACCAUAGAUCUUAAGCGACAUGGUGUAGGUUUUAAAUAACCUUAUAUUAUGCCAUUGUUGUGUUAAGAUUGCAAUGUACAACAUAAAAUCCUUAUCUUAAUAAAUAUAAAAUGAAACUUAAUUAAAGAUACAAUAAGCACUAGGGUUCCAACUUAACUUGAGGAUAAAAGUCUAUCACAGCUAUAAUAUAAAACUUGAAAAAUCAAAAUAUGGAUUCAUGGCAUCACAAGAUAUAAGCUAGCAACAACAAAAGCUACAAUUAGUUUAAGCUAAGGGUUCAAUGCAUAUUCAAUAUACAGUGAUACACAUAUGUGUCAUGCAAAGGAAAAAAACCAUAUGGAUAUAGAUGACGAAUAUAUCGAUUAGUUAUUUAUAAGUUCGUUACAACUAGAUGUAUAGAGGCUACAUAGUAUCUAUUAUGUCUAUUGUGUUAAAAAAUGAACAAAGAGAAAAAAACAUGCAAAUCAAUAAAAGUAAUUUUAUUAGCCAUAAAUAUUAAAUAGUAACAUUAAUAAUACUUAUAUAUCUCUUAAUGUUUUAGCGCGUGUCGUCGGAUCAUGGGUUGAUGAACUACUAGUUAGUUUAACUAUUAGAAAUUAAAUUCAUUUGGCCAACAAUAUGUAUAUAAUCUAAGGGCACUCCCAAGUCCCAAACCAGAAACCACAUAGUUUUUAUGUUAAUUAAUUAAGGUAUUAACUAAGUAUAAAUGAUGAUGUGGCACUACAAUUAAAGAAGAGAGAGAGAGAGAGAGAGAGAGAGAGAGGAGGAAAUGGUUUUUUAAGAGCACUCACAAUGCAAGACUCUAUCAUAGAGUCCAAGACAAUUAAUUAUAUAUUAUUUAUGGUAUUUUGUUGAUGUGGCGGCAUAUUUAUUGAAGAAAAAGGUAGAAAAAAAUAAGACUCUAAAUCUUAUUUAGACUCUAAGUCCACAUUGUUCGAGGUAAUAAAUAACUUUAGACUCUAUGAUAGAGUCUGCAUUGUGAGUGCCCUAAUAAGACACAAUGUCUACACACGAACCAAGACAUGAAAGGAUAUGAUAGGUAGAUGAGUGAGAGAGAAGACAUGUGGUUAGACAAAAGAUCAUUUUAUAGAAAUUAUCCAUUGGAAACUCUGUGGUUUUUAGUAUUGGAGUGCCAUAACUAGCCAAACUACACAGUCAAGAGAGAGCAAAGUAGUACACAUAUGGGUGAGAAUAAUGAAAAGCAGGAGGGAUAUGAUGGCGUGAGAUGCCGGCGAAGGGCGCAGAAGGGUGUGUAUAUGUUACAGAAGGUCUACGGGUGGGACAUAUAGGUGCGACAGGUUUACAUGAAUGAAGCUAGGAACUGGAUGUUUGUCAACGAUUUGGGCAAAGGAUCUGGAUAAAAGGUUGAUCAGUUGUGCUCUGAUCAAGGUCACUGCACUAUGCCAAAACAGCACAAAGGAGACACCUCAACUAGUGACUCGAAACUGAAAUGCGUCACUAAUAAGCACAUUAGUGACGCAGGUAAACAACACGCGUCGCUGCUAAGGUGUUGACCAUGCCCCAAGAACAAGACGCGUCACUAAUGGCAAGGUAUUAGUGACUCGUUCUAAGAAAACACGUCACUGAUAAUAAAAGUGACACGUUUUAACUAGGCACGUCACUGUUAUAGAUACAUAUUAGUGACUCUUCCCAACAAAACGCGUCACUAUUAAUAGUCGUGACGCAUUUUACGUAGACACGUCACUGAUAUGGAGAGAUAUUAGUGACUCGUCCCAACAAAACGCGUCACUAGUAUUAAAAGUGACAUGUAGUGUCCAGACACGUCACUCCUAUUUAUACAUAUCAGUGACUCUUCCUGUUGAGCCCGGUCACUAACUACCUGAUAACUCGUGCUCAUACAACUUAUAAUAACUUGCGUCUAAAUCAAUAUGGAGUAGGAGUCUUAAUAUAAAUAGAUUCCUCAUAUCCUAAGUAUUUAAAAAAACUCUUAAUAGUUAAAUAGAAAAGGAUAAGAAUUGCGUUUUUUAUUUUGCUCCGCUUUCUUUAUUUAGUUAGAUGUCAAUCGGAGGAAAAAAAAUCAAAGUCCUAAUCUGUAGUUCCUUCUUCUUCUUAUAUCUAUACCUAAUAAUAAAGAAGCAAAAUUUCAAGUUUUUUUUCGUCCAUCUUUUUUUGGCUCGUCUCUCUUUAGCUACCGGAUAAUGAAGAGUUUCUUCUAUCCAGACUUAUAUAUAUAUCCCAUACUUCGACAAGUUAGAAUAGCUUUUGUCUAGCAUGAUAUAGAGUUCGAUUCCAAAACAUAUUGGAUCAGGAACUGAACUCUAGAUUCGUAAUCUAUUCCUCCUUAAUAAUAGAAAGCCAAAAUUUGUGGCACCCAUUUUUUUCUUCGUGCGGCCAAUCACCAGUGUUCUGUCCGAGUUCACCAUGAUUGCCUGAGUUUAGAUUGGAUCUUUUUUUGUCUUUACUUUUUUUGCCAAUCACCAGUGUUCUGUCCGAGUUCAGCAUGAUUACCUUAGUUUGGAUUGGAUCUUUAUUUUUGUUUUCGUCUUUACAUUAUUUUUUCUCUCCGGCUCAUAGGUGUUGCGUACUUGGGUCUAAAAGAGUCGCUCCCCCUUCUCCCGUGGUGUCCGGACUUUUUUUCUUUGAAGUAACUAUAUCUUUUCUUAUAAGAAUAAAGAUAAUUUUGGUCGAGCUUUGUUUUGGAUUUUAGUUGAGUCUAACUAUUCGCUUGUUUCGGUUUAAAAUUGGUUUAAACUCGUGUUAGGCUUCCGAGUUAGAUUCAGUCCAUAACUUUCUUUUUUUCACGCUACCCUAUGAGACAAGGAGUUCUUAUGCCAUAAACAAAAAAUAAGUUAAAAAUAAUAAGAAACCAGAUCCGAAAAAGAGAAACAUAGUCCUAUAUAGUCAUAUAAAUAUAUAUUUAUACGGACACUGAUGAAAGAUCUAGUGAACAUAUAAAGAUAUGAUGGAUCAUCACAUGUUUUACUUAUGCUCCCUCCAUUACAAACUAUAAGACGUUCUGUUGUUUUUCUUGGUACAUAAAUUUUGCUAUACAUAUGCAGAUAUUUGUUGUGUCUAGCUACGUAGUAAAAUUUAUAUGUAUGUAUCUUAAAAAAAGCUAAAGUUUAAUUAAAACAUCUUGUAAUUUAGAAUGGAGAGAGUAUACAUCUGAAUGGAUGCAGGCUAGGCUAGCUAUGCACGCAACUUUUCUUCCUUCGAGACUCGACUGACAACCAUAUAUAUACAUGUUUUUGGCCAGUUCAUUCAUUCCCAGGCGACGAACAUGGUGACAGCAGAGGCUAGCACCGGAGGGGGCUGAGGACAAGAGCAGAUUCCCGAGGCCCGUAACGUAAGGCCACGGCCGUCGUCCAGUGCCGCGUGGGAGUAUUUCACCCAAUUCACAGCAGGCGAUGGUAGGAGAAAAGCGAGAUGCAAGAAGUGCAAUCGGGUGUUGGCUGCGGACACUAAAACAAACGGCACAAGAACACUGCUAAGACACGGCACGGGCACGGCAUCGGCAUGGCACGCCAAGGCACGGCACUAUGCGGCACGGCAGCACGUCGUGCCGUGCCUGUUAGUGCCACCGUGCCUAAGUGGCAGCCCAGGCACGGCACUAUGGAGUAGAAAUCGUGCCGUGUCGUGCCAGCAGGCACGGUGGCACACCAGUGCCCGUGUCGGUCCAGGCACUAAAACAUUUUUUUAUCAGCACAAGUAUACAAUAUUAUUACACCAAACAUAGCAAUUAACAUCUUAACAAUAGAUGGAAGACUGAAAAAUACAAAUGGCUAGUGUUGGCUCGGUCAUCCUCUUCAUCUCCAGAGAGGUCGCUCGUCACUGGCUCUAGCCGUAGCCUCAAACGACCGCCAAAAGCAAAACAAAAAACAACCAGAAGAAGUCAGAGGCCACAGGUAGAGGAGAUCAAAAGAAGAACAAGUCAGGCUCAAAGCUAGGGUUAGGGUUUCUUACCUCGCCGCCGACGGAUUAGUAGCAAUAGCUCCAAGCAGCAGUGGAUUAGCAGAUCUGCACAAAAUGAAACAAGAAUAAGAAAACGCCAUGGACAGAGGACGAGAAGAAGAAGAGGUGGGGAUCUUAUGUGCUUCUUCGGAGCUCCGGCGACCGCGACUAUGAGGUCGCUACCGCUGCCUCUACUGGAGCUGCUGUGGGGAUGACGGCGAGCCGCCGUCGCCGUCGCCCCUGUCCUUCCCCUUUCGCCAUGGCUGAUGGACGGAGAGUCGAAGAUGGAGAAGCAGAGAGACUGAGAGAGGAGAGACCGAGAGGGCGAGUCACGGCGGCCGAGAGCAAAUGAGCUAGGGUUCGGAUGGGAGAGGGGAGUGAAGCCGGCAUCGGCUUAUAUACACCUCGUCCCCAACUCUGAAUCCAACGGGUGGAAAUGAUCUAGGCUUUGGAUCCGACGGCUGCUGGCAAAAGAUCGUGCCUGUAGCGGGCCAAGUCCAUUUUCGUGCCGUGCCUCGUGCUGGCCCAUGGGCCGAAUAUGCAGCCCAGGCACGGCACGAGGUCGGGCCGUGCCAGGCACGGGCACGGAUGUAGCCGGGCCGUGCUGUCCUUGGGCCGUGCUUUCUCGGGCCGUGCCCGUGUCAGCCCAUCGGGCUUGGCCCAUCUGGAAAACUAUACGGUACAUAUACAUGCUAUCAGCUUCAGAUGGCGAGCGGGCCCUGCAGGGCAGCGGCAGCGGCAGCCCUAGUACCACUACCCUCUCCAUCCUGUGCUCCGUCGUCAAACCCUGACGAGCACGAGAUGAAUCAGUUGGUUAUGAAUGCCAGCUCGGUUCCUCCACCGCCAUUGUCUUUGCCCGGUGAUCACGACAUGUUCCAAAUAUAGGAAAUAAAAAAACAUUUAGGACUGCAUGCUACUCCACGCCAUGUUCUAAAAUAGGAAAUAAAAACCAUUUGGGACUGCAUGCUACUCCACGCCAUGAUCUAAAUAUAGGGAAAAAAAUAUGCUUACCAUGAAUGUUUUCUUGUAAGAAGUUGAGAUCCACCGCACCAUACUCAUCUAAUGGCAAGUUCAAGUCAAAACCUGUGCAAAAAAAAGGAAAAAAAUAAGAACCGAUGGAGGAUGAAUAAAAAAAAGCAAACAAGAAAAUACUGUCAUCUUCUUACCAAUAUUGCCAUCUUCUUGUAAGCCAACGUUUAGAUCAAAUCCCAAGUCAUUGUUCUCUAAUGGCAAGUUUAAAUCAAAUGCAGCCAUAGCAAGAAAAUAGAAGUAGAAAAGGAAAGAGUGGAUGACGUUUGGAACACUGGAAGAAAAAUAAAGAAGUCACCGCUGUUGCAUGUUAAAUAGAGCGUGCUCUGGUAGACGGACAGACACUGGCCUGCAAAUCACGCCAACAGGAAAAAAAACGCGCACGCCAUCAGCCAAAAAAAUGCGACGGAUUUACAUGAAUGAAGCUAGGAACUGGAUGUUUGUCAACGAUUUGGGCAAAGGAUCUGGAUAAAAGGUUGAUCAGUUGUGCUCUGAUCAAGGCCACUGGAAGCAAGAAAUAAGUAUCGAUCGGCCAUCGCGUACUCUUAGUAUCUGACGACGUAUUAGCUGGAGUUUUGCAAAGUGGUUGAUCUCUUACGUGAACCAUGCAUAGCCUAAUUGCAAUAAUACCCAAGCAACAUUUAACUAGCGCCGGCGAACGGCCCAAGUAUAUAUAAUAAGCUCAAUGUGCAAUGACAUGUGAAACAUGGAAAUGACCACGUACGUACUCUACGUACCACACGUUCUGACGUCCACAUCCACUCUCGGUCGUCUCUCUAUGCAGUGUUUGGCAACAUGGACGCCGGUAGCAACGCAGACAAAGAAAACAAUCCUCAUCCAUGACUGUGACCAUGUUGGCCCAAGCAGCAAAUUAAACCAACGCAAGAAAUAGUACUAGGCAUCGUGGAGAGGACCGCACGGCAGCAUUUGGGAGGUUCAAAGACGAACAUUUCAAGGUGACAUCUACGUCUAUAACCGGGUCUCACAAAAAACACAACAUGCAUGAUCCACCGGUUCCCCCUAGCCUCCAAGGGAUUGGGCCGGGGGUGACAACGACCGCUACAUCGUGCCAAGCGUGGUGGCCAUCGGCCUGUACCACACCAUGACUCGCCGCACCUGCAGAAGAUGGAGGUCAAGCACGGCCGUGGCCUACCACCUUUGCAGACUCUUGUUGGGUCAGUCCAUGGUGGAGGUCUAUGAGAGGAUCUUGUCGGUCGUAGCGUAUUAUGAUGUCAAAGACCCGUUGGUUCUCUUUGGAUAAAUUAGUUACAUGAGAUAUAAUCGAGGUUGGCAUAGUAGCAAUAAAAUCUAUAAUUUCCAGCCGCAAAAAAUUUUGCUUGGCAUCAAAAGAAAAUGCACCGAGCUUAAUAAAAUCAGGAUCCUUAUUGAGAUAAUUGAAUCCUUGUAUAGGUUCAGUGAAAUGCCAGCCGACGAAAUAUAUUUUGAUGAACCAUGGGCUCAUCAUCCUCUCUUUCUUGAGACAAAGCCAUCCUCGGCUUUGAAGCAGAGUUCUCAGAUAUAGCCCCUUUGCUGUAGUAAAGCCAUCAUUUGCUCAUGCAUGGGUCAAGUCAAUGUAGUUGGAACAUUAAUGUUUCACAUCAGGUUUCAUUGAGCUGCCGUUACCAAAAUAUUUGGAUCAGUAAAAGAAUUCUCUGACUCAAUAAUCGGAAAAGCAAUGGCCUCGCCUCCUUGCAACAAAACAGUUCUAGUUGUUUAGCUAUGGAUGCAGGCGGGUUUCCUGCAAACCUGCAAACAGGCUAAAAUUUUGCAGGUUACCCGGAAACCCACAAAAAUUCAUCCUAUUUAUGGGUUUGCGGACAAUUUGCCUUGCAUGUUGUUUACAGUCCUGUAAAUUUAUUUUCAAAAGGAGCAGUGCAUGUGUUAGGUCAACCACUAGACACGGUUGAAUACCCAUCUCUACAGAUGACUUAUGCUUAACUUGUGAACUCCACACCUAGCUAGAAAUCGAUUUUUGUCGCCGGCUAAAAAUUGAUUCAUUGCCGGCCUGCAUGCUGGGAGAGUGGUGUUUUUUAGUUGGCUAUAAUUGUUUUUUGUAAUAUCACGUUUACUUUUUCUCCUUUUUCCCUCUAAUAAAAAUUCGGCAAAACUUUUUAUCGCCUUUCGAAAAAAAGUUGAUUCAUAUUUUCUGGAUUCGUCAUAAGAGGUUGUUACACAAACAUGCAUGACUAAAAUUGCAGUUCACCCUCACGUUUACUUUUUCUCCUUUUUCCCCUCUAAUAAAAAUUCGGCAAAACUUUUUAUCGCCUUUCGAAAAAAAGUUGAUUCAUAUUUUCUGGAUUCGUCAUAAGAGGUUGUUACACAAGCAUGCAUGACUAAAAUUGCAGUUCACCCUAAUUAGGUGCUGUUUGGUUCGUUCAGGGGCAAAAGGCAAUAAUGGAAAUGUAAUCAGUAGCAGCGUGAUCUGUUCCAUGCAUGGUAAGAGAAAGCGGAAUUAUUUGUUUGGUUAGAGCUUUUAACGUCAAUCAUUUCCUUAAUUGUGUUUGACUAGCAGCAGCUAACCAGGUGAACACUGAAUAUAUCCACAAAACCCACGAACGCCCGCUUCUGUUGCCGUAGCGUCCUGGGCUUUGCGACAAAAGACAGAGAAAAGCAAGCAAACGCUCCGCCCCUCCUGAAGAAGACACAUCCGUUGGAAGUUGGAACAAGUAUUGAUUCUAAGCCUUAUUCCUUGCCCAAUCUCUGAUAUAGCAUUUGAUUCCAAGCUUCAUGCUAGGCCUUCACAUGUACUCACAUCAAACAUAGAUGGUCCCAGCCCCUAGUCCUUUUGUAUGUGGCUUGUGUUUAGAUUCAAUUUUUUUUGGAUUUUGACACUGUAACACUUUUGUUUUUAUUUGACAAACAUUGUCUAAUUAUGGAGUAACUAGGCUUAAAACAUUCGUCUCGCGAUUUACAUGCAAACUGUGUAAUUGAUUUUUAUUUUCAUUUAUAUUUAAUGCUCCAUGCAUAUGCCGCAAGAUCCGAUGUGAUGAUGGGAAAUCUUGAAAAGUUUUUGGUUUUUGGAGUGAACUAAACAAGGCCUUAAUGCAGUUUUGUUUGUUCUCCAGGUUGUUUUCCCCUAGCUUAGGUUCUGUUCGCCAAGCCGAAUCUGUCAGAUAUUCAACAAUAUUUUUCUGUCAUAAUAAAUCAACAGACAAUACUUUUAACCAUAACUUUUUAAACAAGCUUUGUGACAUCUGACUCACAGUUGAUCUGACAAUUGCCAAUCAUGAAGCUUGGAACAAUAGCCUUAAAACAAAGACUAGUCACUAGCUAGUGGGGCAUGCAUGUAGAUGACGCGUGAACAUGAAGAGCUUGGAACUAGAUGUUGGCAACGGUUUGAGCAAGGAAUCUUUCUGCAUAAAGGAUCGAUCAUGACAGCCCAAUUAAGCAUGCAUCCAUAUAUAUAUAUAUAUAUAUAUAUAUAAGCUCUACGAGCAUGCAUGACAUCGUCAUGUGAAAUUGAAAUCACCACUACCAGCUGAGCAAAUGUUUGGCGCCAUGGACACAAGCAGAACAAUCCUCAUCCGUGAAAACUCAACCCAUGAAGUAGUACUAGCCAUCGACGAGAGGACAGCUUUGGCGAACGAGAGGCUCAAGGCCGAAUUUUACAAGGUGGACACCAAGAUCCACCGGUUCCCCCGCAGCCUCCAGGGGAUUGGCGGCGACAACGACCGCUACAUCGUGCCCAGCGUGGUGGCCAUCGGCCCGUACCACCAUGGCUCGCCGCACCUGCAGAAGAUGGAGGAGGUCAAGCUCGCCGCGGCCUACCACCUUUGCAGACACUCGGGUCGCUCCUCGUCGUCCAUGGAGGUCUACGAGAAGAUCUUGUCUGUCGUAGACGACGCCCGCGGCUCCUACGACGUCAAAGACCCGUCGGUUUUUGGCCUGAGCAACCACGAGUUCGCGGCCAUGAUGUUCCUCGACGGCUGCUUCCUACUCCAGUACAUGAUCGGCGGCGGGGACGUGCCUGUGCUGCAGAACUGGAUGACACCCAGCAUCGAGAGGGACAUCUUCUUGCUCGAGAACCAGAUCCCCUGGUUGGUGCUUGAGGUGCUCAUAGAGUUCAUGCCCGUCGAUGUGCUAAGGUUUGUCCGCGGAGUGCAGGAGAAGUUUCACCCCGGAAAGGCCAAGGAGAAGAAGGUCCGGCCGUUGCCUGACGACGACGACCGCGGCGUCGGCGGCCGCGGCGACUACAAGCCGCCGCAUCUCCUUGGCCUGCUAUGGUACAUUCUUCAGAUCCAUAGCAUGCCAGAGCGCGUGCAGAACUACAGCUACAGGCCGCGGCCGUUGAAGUCCAGCAACGCCGUGGAGCUCGCGGAGAUCGGCAUCAGGUUGGCACCCAGCACGAAGCCAUGGUUCUGGGACAUGAGCUUCCGCCGGGGCCGCCUGUUCGGCGAGCUGUGUCCCUGUCGCCGGUGCUCCUGAACGACACCACCGCGUGCUGGCUCGUGAACCUCGCCGCGCUGGAGGAGGCCAACACCUCAGCUGGCUCAGGCGCGACCGGAGAGUACUAUGAUAAAUACGUCGUGAGCUCCUACCUGUUCAUGCUGGCGAUGCUCAUGGAUAGGGAGGAGGAAGUGCAGCAGAUGCGCUCAAAAUAUAUCCUCUACAGCACAUUGAGCAACAAGCAGGCGCUGAGCUUCUUCAAGGACCUCGCCGACCACCUCCGCUUCGGUGAUCCCUACUUGUUCACCUUGAUAGAAAUCUGGUCGUACCGGCGCCAACUGUUGAUCACCAUAUACAGGUUCAUAUACAAAAACUACAGGGCUAUUGCCGCUGUCCUGUCCAUUGCCGGUGUGUUGUGCAGCAUCUUGAACGCACUGUAUUCGCUCAAGAAACCCUAUAAGACUUAGCUAGCUACCUAGCCUGCCCCCUUGCUUCGCCUGUUAGUAUAUGCUUAUACUUACUUAUGCCAUAUAUAACUCAUAUUUGGGCAGCUUCUGCUUAUUUUUCUGAAAUGUACCUAUAUAUCAUGUAACUUUCUCCAGAGCAAAAUUUAUAUUUAGUCUAAACAAUAAACACAUUGGAUUAUUUUGGGUACACUCUUUGCAGUUCAAAGAACCCCCUUAAAAAAUUAAAAAACCCAUGGAGAUCGAUUACCCACCUAUAUAUUAGGCAUUAACAGCGGCUCAGUGCUGAUAAGUCCUGGUUUUCCCUCUUCAGUUACCAUGUAAUUGCCAUGACAUGGACAGAAUGACAUGCUCAAUAGUUGGUGACAAAUUCCAAAAUAAAAAACUGUAGCCGCCGAAGUCACAAACUGUAGACGAAGUUCAUCAGAACCAACUAUUUCAAGUUUAAUUUAAAGGCAUAUGAACCGUAGUAACAAACGAAGCAGUUUUCAAAUGGGAAUUAUAAGAAACAAUCACAGCUAAUGACUGGAAGUAAAUCAAUUUUUUUAUGGUCAGGGGGAGGAGGCGUUCUCCACCUGAAUUUUAUAUAUUGGUCCAAAACAACCUGUUAUAAUGUUUACAAGGCAUUUGUGUACGUCUCAUCACAAGGUCAAACUGUGGUACAACCACAAUUACACAAAAAGGGAGAAAGAUACUAUACCAAGGCAUAGAAACCCUUUGACGAUGUCUCUAGGGAGGUGAAUGACGUAUAGACAUAAUCAUUGUCUACCAAGUAGAAACUUAGCAAGUCUUUCGUCCGGUUCAUGUGAUGGCCGAGGACCCAAGUGAAUGAGGGGUCCAAGCCUAGGUAUAUGCAAAAUAAUCCCCAAAACCUAUAUAUAGUCCAAAGUCCAUUAGCAAACAUCAACCUUCCUAUGUAACUUUUCCUUCUUUAAUCCAAAUUCAUUAUAUGUAUUGUGUUUCAGACUUCUAGUACUCUGCAUUCAAAUAGUUGUGUUUUUCAUCUAAUUUAGGUGUUAGGAUUUUAGAAUGCUACCUAAGAAACAUUUGUUGGGGGCUGAGAAAAGAAAACAAAAAGAUAAGAAAAUUAAUUUGUUCGAUCACAAAAAGGUGCUAUAUAUAAGUUUUUUUCUGCUUAAGCAGUGUUGUGCAUGUACAUAGCAUUGGAUUUUUUUUGUUUUGCAAGUAAAAUUAGCUUAUAUAUAUUAUAAAUAAGAUUUUGUACAUGGUCUAGAGGGGCAAAUGUUGUAAUAUCUCCUCUCUUAGUGUAUGAUGAUUUUAGUUCCAUGACUAUUAAAUUCUUGACUUUCAUUUAUAUAAAUGGUCAAUGUAUUUUUAUCAGUUGUUAUGUUCGCUCCAACUCUGUAAGUGUGUUUUUAUGUUAUGUUUUAGUAUGAAUCUUGUUGAAUUUGCACGUAUCAACUAGUGAUUUAGAAACUGAUACGUGAUGUAUAUAGUAGACCUAAAAGAAGAGGCCUGACACAAGGACUCUCUGUCCGAGGGUGUAUAGGUCACAUGCGCACGGCAAAGAGCAAUCUUGGGUAGCUUGCAUCUUCUUCUUGCAUUGCACUGCUAUUUGGCUCUUUGCAAAGCUUCUCAAGUAGAAGCAAGGAGCAUGAGUCUGCUAGCUUGAUAGAAAAGUCAUGACUAAAAGUACCGUUCGCUGAUUUAUUGUGAGCGACAGAUAUGUCUCAUAGAAAAGCCAUUUAGAUGCAGCGCCCAUGUUAGUACCACACAUGCGUCAAGUGUAACAAGUCACACAUUGGCAAAAUGGUUGAUUGCCGGAGAAUUCCUUGACAUAUAUGAUUUCUUCUUAAAAAAAGCACUCCUCAAGGAGCUCUAUGGGACUACCAAAUACACGAAAUUUGGCCACUAGAGAUUCGUGCAAAAUAAGUUUCUACUAUAUGAAUUUAGGGCGUUUGGGAUCCUUACUCCGGGGCUGAAUUUGGUGAAGACUAUUAGUUCCAAAGAAACCGACAGUACAUAUAGAGGGGGGGGGGGGGGGGGGAGGCUAAAUUGACCCAUUAAGGUAAGAACAUGUUGGCAACCUCAUAUUUAUUAUCACUUGGCAAAUAGACAUGUACUGAUGACAUUCAUCCAUAACGCUAAUUAUUUAUUAUUCUCUCUGAUGUUAAAAUGUAACAGCUUUGUCUGCUUCCUUUUAUUUUGGAGGAUAAGUGCGAUCAUACUUCCAUUAUCUAAAAGGACUUAUUAAUUAUUGCCGGUGCUGGUGCCGGUGACGGUGCCGGCGCGGUUUCUGGUCCUCGGCAGCAAUGGGCAUGGCACUCAUUUACUUCGUUGUAGCACUGAUUUUCUCGACAGCAGAAGCACAUAUUGUCUCUACACAGGGGUCUUCUUUGGCAUUCGCAAGGUUGGAUCCUGUCGCUCUCAACUGGAUUUAUUGUGUGCUGGGCUGCACGUACGGUAGUUAGUAAUUGUUAUUGUUAGAAAUUUAGAUAUUUUAAUGUUUGAUUUAAUCCAGAAAAAUACAUAUAACAAAGUGGUGGCAUAUAUGUACACGUGUGCAGUUUUAAUUAUCGUUACUCAGAUUAGUGAUAAACAUUGCAGUUGUUGUAGACAUACUAAAAAUGAAAUAUAAUCGUUUAGGAUUAUAUCCAGAGGAGGGACCGGUGCCGAAGCAGCGGCUCCAUUCGCACUAGUCGACAUAGUGCGUUGUUUAAAGUAGCGGACCACAGUCGAUGCAGGAAGAUGUUCGCAGUGUAGUCCCACGAACGUUCACUAGGAAGAAGACGAUCCGCGAAUCCGAGCAGUCACCAGGAAGUAGUCGAUCGCGUCAUCAGGAAGAAGAUGUCCGCCAGGAAGUAGUCGAUCUCGCCAAUCCGAGGAAGCGAGCAGUCGUGGAAGACGCUCCCCAAAAACCUGAUUGCCCGCACACCCAAGCAGGUGUCUCGAUGCAAGGUGUUGAUUCCGGACGGGGAUGGAGGAGAGCAACUGAGAGGACUGAUCUGUUUGUGCGCCUAGGGAAAGGGGAUGCGGGGAUGGAAGAUACUCGACAGAGAGGCAAAGCUCAGGGAAAGGGGAUACAUGGAUGGAAGAUAUAGGCGUCCGACACACUCGCCUCGGCACGGCUCGGCGGCGGCGGCGUGCGCGUGUGGCACCCUUUUUACCUUCCUAAACGUCUCUAUAGAAGCUAUUACAAGCCGCCUAUUUAAGUUGAGUUAACACAGAGUCAAUAAUCAAUCUGGUAUUAAACCGUUUGUAUUAUAGCAUUUAUUACGGGCUCUAGAAUUAAUUAUUAUAAAAUAGUAUAUGGGCCAAAAGCUUAAAUAAUAUUUAACAGUUAUAAGAUGAAUAACGUAUCAAGCGAAGAGGGGCAGUAAAUUUUUACAAGAGGGUAGGGGUCUCUUUAUAUAUGUACUAGUAGAAAAUAUCUUUCAAAAGUCCAGAAAAUUUGUAUAGUUUAACAGAUUUUAUGAUGUGCACACUUACAUUGUGAGAGAACCACGAAACAUCCAAGGAUAAGCAUCACAACUACAGUACCCAUUCUUUCCUGCAUCGUCACAGCAAUCAUGGUAUGGUGGAGUUUCUGUGUGUCAUACAGCAAUCACAAUGUACUAUAUAUAGAUGGUGAGGAUACUCUAUAUAUUAGCAACAAUUAAUAACUCGUACUCAAAAUUUUACAGUGUAUAAUACAUCCUCAGAUAUAAUACAUUCUAGAAGAUAAAACCAAUUUUACAUUAAAUACUUUCCAUUUAUCAAUCAAUCACAUCGAUGGUAACCUCUAAUUAGGAAAUAAAUGAGGGUAUCUGUGUCUUUUAUGUUCUCUUUUAUUUUAUCUUAAAAUUCCUAGAAUGCACUAUAUUAUAGGACGAAGGGAGUAGGCUUGUGAUUAAUAAUCCUCCAAAAUUACAAAAUAGUUCGUAUUAAAUUCGAUGGAGAUAUCUCUAGUGGAAUAUAAAUGACUACAGUAGAUGCUAUGAGUUUAGUCCUGAUCAAUUUUACGGUGAUGUCCAUUUUGAUGACUACCAUAUUUUAUUUCCACUCCCAUGGCUAAUAAUUGCAUUCUAUCUAUAGCGAGUUAAUAACAGCCACAUUACCGAGUGACAAACUUAUCUUAUACUCUUAUAAAGCAAAACCUCACUACCUAUUUCUCUCAACAUGCAAGCUAUCCAACAAGUCAAUCCACUAUCACACACAAUUAAAUUUUACUAGCUCAUGCAAUCGUCCACAUCAGCAAGUCACCUAUUUCUAUGAACAUGCAAGUUGUCCGACUAGCCAAUACACAUUCUAACUUAUUUAUAUUCCUUCUUCAUACUCGCGGUAACGUGCGGGGAAUCCUCCUAGUAUACAUAAAUAAUGUCUUUGCAUACAGUGGUAACCUUUGUGUAAAAAUAAAUGCAAGCAUUAUAUACACACAAAAAAACUAGAUGCAGACCUAAGAACAUUAUUUUGUGGAAAAAAAUUGGAUGUGGAUGGUCCUCACCCAGCGCUGUGUGGAUGCCCAACCAGAGAAAGACACAUGGACAAGUAUUCAACCAACUGGCUCGGCCUCCUAGCCAAGGAUGGCAAUGGGCGGUUUCGGGUUGGAUAUCCGCGGGCCGAGUUUGAGUUUGGGGAUGAUUUCUUACCCAUAGUUUUCAGGUUCAAAGCCCAAAACCUAUCAAGUUUGGUUUUAGGUUUGGGUUUUUCCACCCAUGGAUAUCCAAAAAAAUCAUUUGAAAUUAAAACUCAUGUUUUAUAAAUGCUAAUAAUAACUAUUUUUACUUAGAUUAUCAAAUUUAUUUUAAGUUGACUCAUAAAAACAUUUAUUAUUUGUUAUCUCUUGUUUAUACAUGUGAAUAUGUGUAUAUAUAUCAUGCAUAUGUUUAUAGGAAGUCCUUGUUACUCUUACUAUGUUGCCAUACAAAGCGAGUUUCGGGUAUCCAUUCGGGUUUUGGGUAUUUGCGGGUUUGGUUUUAGGAUGGAUUCGGUGCUGUUUUGCGUUUUGGUUUUGGGUUUCAGGUUACAUGUUUGGGUGUACAAAGACUCCACCCGAUCCAAAUCGCAACGGUGCCAAUUGCCAUCCCUACUCCGGUUUCUCUAUCUGCUAGCUAAUUGGCUCGACUUGUCAUGGCUGAGCAUGUGCACACUCGGCUCCAAGCUCUCAUGCAAGCUGGGCCUUCAUCACGGUUCUUUUGGAUUGGAGAGAUUUGGGUCACGAACUUCGCCAUCACACAACAACUAGGGUAUCAUGGCGCCGCUGUCACACAUCAACGUGGGAGCACGACCGGAGGCGCCUAUCACGAAGAGGAGAUCGAGAAGCAUCAUCACACGGCAGCCUGCAGGUAGGUUUCCAACUGUGCGGCCAUCAAUUGCACUAUCAGGCACCAUGGAGGGUUAACCCUGCCCUCAAUGGUGAUGCUAUUGUCGAUGCUCCAAACAGUGACAACCCCAAAACCGAAGUGAAUUCCUCAGACACGCUGCGGCUAUGUAGGCCUCGUUUAGUUCCAAAAAUUUUUAGGAAAUGGUCACUGUAGCACUUUCGUUUGUAUGUGAUAAAUAUUGUCUAAUUAUAGACUAAUUAGGCUUAAAAGAUUCGUUUCGCAAAUUACAAAUCAACUGUAUAAUUAGUUUUUAUUUUCAUCUAUAUUUAAUGCUUCAUACAUGUGUCCAAAGAUUCGAUGUGACAAAGAAUCUUGAAAAAAUUUGGUUUUCUGAAAGGAACUAAAUAAGGCCUAAAUCUAUAAAUCUGUAUGCAUAUGAACAGUCAUAUUGCUUUGUGUCAGAUUUUUUUUUCAUUGGUACAGUUGUCAGAACGUGUAACAAGAUAUUUUUUUUUUGAGGGAAACAUCAAUGAAAUUGCCAUACCAUGUUGCCGUCCACUGUGAUUGAAUCGCCAUCCACUACAUCUGCUCUGGAGUUACCGAAACCAGUGGCCCAACAAGCAGCUGAGGUAUGGGAUGCGACUUUAUUUGAUGGGCAUUAAAAAAAAUUGCAUUAUGAAUUCAGUAUUAUAGGCAUGAAAAGAAUCACAUUAUGAAUUCAGUGUUACGUAACUUUAAUAUAUAUUGCAUUGUACAAUAGGUGGUUGAUAAAAUUGGACAAGCUUUGAUCGUUCCUGAAGUUGGUAUGGCUUUUGAUUCUUAUGCCGGUAAGAUUGGAUUCAGUAUUAGGAAGAAUCAUUCAAACCUCCAAGAAGACAAAACUAUUUAUCAGAAUUUGGAAAAAGUAGAAGGUUAUACUUGAUUAUAAUUAUUAUCUUGCAAGCCCAAAUAAAGCUGCACAAGCUGAAGCCACAACGGCGUGUCAUCAGUUGAUGCUAGUCCAAAUAAUGCUACAGAGUUUCAAAAAAAAUGCUAUAGAAAAUAAAGAUGAAAGUGCCUAUCCGAACUAAUAAUCAUAAGUCAUCAAUUUGACUCAUUAUUCUUUUUUCCUAUUUUAUUUAUGAAAGCAUCUAGGCUCCUAAUGAGUUUCGGUGAUUAAUGAUAAUGUUGAUUACUAUGACUAACGUGUGUUUUUGUAGAGGCAAAGUCAUUUAUGUUAGGUCAUGGUAAUGGUGAUCGAUGGACUAGAUCACUCAUGUCGACUUAAUGGUGGAAAUCGUUUCGGUUUUCAAAGGAUGGUUGGACAUCGUUGGGACUAGACUAGGUCUAAGUGCCAUAUGGUGAAGAAGGGCACUUAGAGUAGUAUAGGACUUUGUUUUUCCUUUGACCGUACUAUUAAGGGGGGCAUUGAGUGGGUAGCUUGACCUAGGUAAGGCUUUAGGUUUAGGUGUGGUGCACACUUGGUAAACCUAGCACUAGUUAGCUCUGAGAAAGUCCUUAAAUCGACAGGAACAAACUUCGUUUUAGAAAGAUCGCCUUUCGACGAAGUUUGGGUGCCUAAAUAGGCACCGGACGCUGCACCGGAUGCUCUGUGAGCGCGUCCGGUGGUGCUGACUUGGGUCAGCGUGCCUAGGUGCCUAGGGUUAGGCACCGGACACACGCACUGGACUCGCCGGGGUGCGUCCGGUAACUUACCUAGGGAGGUCUGCAAAUUGACUGGGCACCGGAUGCACGCACCGGACCCACUAGGGUGCGUCCGGUCCCGUACCCAGAGAGGGUUGCGGUUCACCCUCACACCGGACGCGGUCACCGGACCCACUGUCCGGUGUAUUGUCAGAAGAAGUAUAGUUAGCCAUGAAUGGGGCACCGAAUGCUCUGUGCAGCACAUCCGGUGCAACAUCAAGCGCGUUCGAUGCUCCCAUUUUCUGUGAAAUUCGGGUGGCCGGCCCUUGGACUUGAUGGGGAGUAUUUAUACUCCUCCACCUCGUCCAUGGGAGGUCUCUUGCCCAUUUGAUCAGCUGAGAAACACCUUGUGGUGCAAGAGAGAAGCAAGAGCCUAGAGAGGAUUGAGAAUUGAGUGAUUUCUUGAGUGAAUCCUUCUCUAGUUGAGUUCCAAGAGUUCAAGUGUGCAUUCACUACUCUCUAGAGCUUUGUUUGGGUCAAGUGAGAGUUCUUCGCUUGUUACUCUUGGUGAUCGCUAUCACCUAGACGGUUCGGUGGUGAUUGGAGGCACGAAGACCACCUAGAGUUCUUGUGGGUGGCUUGUGUCAAGCUUGUGAGUGUUUUUGGGCGAUUCACCGCGACGGAGUGUCAAAGAAUCAGCCCGUAGGGGAGCAAGACCCUUGCAUGGGUGCUUCAAUGAGGACUAGUGGGGAGUGGCGACUCUCCGAUACCUCGGCAAAACAUCGCCGCGUUCUUCUUGCUCUCCUCCUUUACUUUCUAGCAUUUCCUUUGAGCAUUUACAUUCCUAGAAUUGCCAUGAUAGAAUAGGAUUGGAAUUAGGUUGCAAAACUUUUAUCCGGUAGCUAUCUAGAACACACUAGGCACAAGGGGUUGAAUUGGAGCUUAUAGGUUGCUUAAAUUUUUAGAGAAGCCCAAUUCACCCCCCCUCUUGUGCAUCUUGAUCCUUUCAAUUUACUUAGAGGAAUUUUUAUGAAGAAGUAUUUAUAUAUGACACAGGUAUGUGAUGCUAGUGAUAGUGGUGGAACUAGUGCUAUGUCAAACUUUACAAAUGCUUCAACCAUGACUUUCGCACUAGAUGGAUAUGCUUCUACCACAAUGCCAAACAUUACAAAUCCUUUGAUUCAGCAAUCUUUUGUCAUAUCUGCACCUUAUAUCCAAGGAGGAUUUAUAGAUCUUUUACUUUGAGUUCAACAAGAUGCUACAAUGUCGUUGUCUGCUAGAAAGUUUUUUGAAAAAAACGAAUUAGGCAGGAGGACUGGAGGAGAGUUAUCGAUUAUAUUAAAAAGCAUGUGAAGCCCAGACUAGGCAAAACAAACAAGUACCACUCUAGCCAGUUGGAUUAGGACAUCAACAUGCACCAAACUCACACUCAAGAAAAAUAAAGAAACAACUCUAGUCGGUCAGAAUGGGACAUUGACACGAGCCACACUGCCUCCAAAUCAUCACCAGCCGGUCACCACACUGCCUCGCAAACCCCCUAGACAAUAAAGACAUCAGGACGAAAGCAUCAUCGUCGCUGCUGCACUGUCAUUGCCGACAAUGUCCCACACUGAGCAAGCCUAUUGACAUGUGGUGCUAGCGCUAUACUCCGCUACAAGCCAUAUAGACCUCCCGCAAUUGGAUCUGCUUGUGACUCCUCUUAAAGACAUUAUCCCACACUAGAGUAGCCGCCAUAGUUUGCUGCAAGCAGCCAAACCAAAAGCAUGAGCAGCCUCUGGUGCUCACCAUGUUGAACCCGUCGACUAGGAUCCAUCCAAGCACACCAUAGCUUCCAGCAGCCUAGCCGCCUUGUCAAAGGUAAAAGUGUGUCUAGCGUCCUCUAGGCUAGGAAAAAUGCCUCCUAGCAUCGGAGCGGUCGCCACUAAGCGAGACCACCUGCCACCAAACCAUGUAGGUCCCAUCUGCAUUGCAAAAUUGCCAGCCACCACCUCCCAUGUUGGCCAACUUUCCAACUUCAUGGGCGCCUCCCAUGUCGGGCUCCUCACCAACUUCAUGGGCACAACUGGCGCAUUGCACCACAAAAACCAUCACUCUCAUUUCCCAAGCAAAUGGAAAGUGCUCCAAUUGCUGCACCAACAUUGUCUUCAUAGCCACCUUCUCACGUUGUUGACACCGUUACCCAACUCCUCGACUAGGUCUCUACCUUCACACUUGUAGGACUAUGAGGUUGCUACGCUAGCCAGAAAACAAAAUUUUCAUCCUCAUAAAAUAGUAUCUACCGCUAGUUAUAGAUCACGAGAUUACCACUAGACUCGUAAGUGUAGCCGGAAGUGACUCAAUGUAGUCGUGCACAUCGCAGCAGUGUUGUGUAGUUGUGGGGUCGUCCGUCCAUACAUCCAUCUCGUGCGGUUCGUCCUUGUGCUCCAGAUGCAGCACCUCUGAGGUAUCCACACAUACAGAGAGGAAGUGUCAUGCCUCUGGACUGCUAGGUCCACGAGGAGCAACAGGCGCGGGCGUGAGUGAGCGGCGGUGGCUGCCAAAAGGCAUGGGAUUAAUUCUAGCCACACCCCAACCUCUCUUUAUAUAGGCAUCCCUAUUGUGCUUCCAAGUUGGAGGUCCAUUAGUAACCCUAAGCCCUGUCUAAUUUGGGUCCAAUUCGAAUUAGUCUUCUAGCCCCCUUAAGCAUGCGACCCUAUGGGUUCACGCACAUAUAGACAUGGCCUGAGUACUCCUACUCGACCAUUAGUUGAUAGCGGCCUCUAGCAAGGCAUGUCAACUCCUAUGCAUAUGCAAAGAUCAUAUCAGACGAACCACCACAAACCAUAUACUCAUUAUUCGCUUGCCACACAAUAUUUGGUCCCACUCAUAGGUUAACACUUAAUCUAAGCACGGUCGUGCAUUUCUUGAUCUAAUCAUUAGAGUGAUCCAGUGAUAUCUCUCUCACAUAGAGAGGGGCAAGUUCCAUCUUGAUUGUCUAUGUCUCACAGCAUAUUUCCUGAUAAACCUAAAAAGCACCUUUAUAACUACCCAAUUAUGGAGUAGCGUUUGAUAGUCCCUGAGUAGGUUGUUUCACAUCUUGAAUACAUACAACAAUCUCAGGUCUAAGGAUAUAACAUACACGAUAUGAAUAAAGAUAAUAAUAACAUCUCAUGUCAUGUCAGUCUAGCCCUAUGUUAUACAUGUGCCCACAUUAUUAGUUCGACAUCUCUAUGUCUAUGACUUGUGAAACAUAGUCAUCAACUAAUACAUGUGCUGAUCUAAUAUUCAUGUGUUUCCUCACACGAACUCCGAACAAGGACAAUUUAAGAAUAACCAUACAAGUUAAAGAGUUUCACAAAUAAUUCACAUAAUUGUCAAUCGAUACAAGUUUAUCUUUAAUGGAUAUUUAUGAACAUAUAAUAUAUGUCAUGGAUACAAUCACAAUAUCAUCAUCGCUAUGAUUACCUCUAGAGCAUAUUCCCAACAACAUCUGCCUCUACAGACUGGUAUAGCAUGAACUUCCAAAGUGAUGCCUCUUAGGAGGGGUGAGAUGUCAUCAGCACGGCCGCUGCCUAAGAAGAAAGUCACGGUUUUUACACUUAGGAAGGUUGCACCAUGCAAGGGAAGGGGGCCGAUCGAUGGACCUCCACUCAUCUCCACUCCAUACAUUGAGCAAGAGAACACUCCCUCCACUCAUACAUUGAGCUAGAGAACACUCCCUCCACUCAUCUCCUCGCUUGAUUGCUAAUCCUAGUAAGAUUGAGUGAGAUUCAAGUGCAAUGCUUUGAGAGUUGCAUCUAGUGGCACUUGAUUCUUAAGUUUGCUGCGGAUUUCUUGUUACUCUUGGGUGUUUCUCGACGCCCUAGACGGCUUGGAGCAGCGGUGGUGUUGAGCUCGUGAUUGGAGAUUGUUUCGAGCCUCACCAAGUGUUUUGUGAGGGGUUCUUGAGCCUUCCCCGCGGGAGAUCGCAAUUGACUACUCUAGUGGAUUGCUCGUGGCUUGGAGGAUCCCCAUCUUGUGAGUGGAUGUGCGGCAUCCGCUGAGGGUUUGGCUUUGGAUUGCCAAUUAGCUCGUGAUCCAUCAAGUGGGUGUAUCGCCACAACGAGGACUAACUUGCCGGGAAGCAAGUGAACCUCGGUAAAAAAUCUUGUGUCAUCUCUUGCCAAGGAUUCUCUUGUGAUUGUGAGUGAUUGGUUGGAUAUAUCUCUACUCUACAACGUUGGUAUAACAAUCACUCUCCACUCCUUACUUACUUGUAUACCUUGCUAGUUGUUUAGCUUGUUUAGUUUAGUCUUCUUGUUUAGAAGUGUAACUAGCCUUCUCUUGUUGUUGUGCUUUAGUGUUUAGCCUUGUACUAGUUUGUAUAGGUGGCUUGCAUAGCUUAGUUGAGCUAGUGCUAGAAUUGCUUCGCCAUUUGUUUUACUAACUCACUUGCUUAGUGAAGUUUGUAGAAAUUUUAAAUAGGCUAUUCACCCCCCUCUAGCCAUUCGGACCUUUCAGCUCCACGCAGAUCCACCCCCAAGAGUGCAGGAUCCGAUCGUCGGGACGCCAAAACCGCGCUGAGGCUGCUGCCUUCGACGAGCCUCGUGAUGCUCGAGCAGCCACAGCAGACUAGAGCUUGGGAAUAAGCCUCACCGCUGCAUUGCUUGGCUCCUUGCACCCACACGAGCUUCUUGCGUUGCGCUCUGGCAGCAGCAAGGUAGAGGAAGCCGGGGGGAGGUGGUGGCGGCAUGAGGCGGUGGUUCCGCCUGUGCCACCCCGAGAGGGAUGACGUGGGGAACGAGGGCUCUAUGUCUACUAGAAAGUUAUAUUUCGAUGAAAAUAUGUAAUUAUGUUGUUGAUUAAUAUUCCACUGGAUACUUGUGGUGACCCGUGGUUGACCUCCUUUUGUGAGCACAUUUAUAGGAUAACAUGAUUUUUUAGCAUUCCGAGAUGUCUCAAUAUGUGUACAUGUUAUGAUUCCAUAAAUCAUCCCAUAAAGAUAAGAACAUGUAGGCAAUCUCAUAUUUAUUAUCACUAGACAAAUGGACAUUUACUGGUUACAUUCAUCCAUAAUGCUAAUUAAUUAUUGAUUGCCCUCUCCGAUGUUGAAAUGUAACAACUUUUCGUCUGCUUCCUCCUUUUUUUGUUUUUUUGGAGGAUGCAGUCGAUCAUACUUUCCAUUAGCUAAAAGGACUUAUGAGUUAUUGCUGGUGUUGGUGCCGGUAUUGGUGCCGGUUGCCGGUGCCGGUGCUGUUGCCGUGCAGCAAUUUCUGUUACAUUGAUAGUCUGAGCUAUAGCAUUGGCUUGGGGUCGGGGCUUUAAGGCCUACACAGCAGAAGUACUUAUUGGUAAAAUAGCGGGCGUAGCGCAUGCAAUAGCACGGAGAUUCGUCUUGAUUUGUGAGUUGAGCUGCACAGUUUAGUUAAUUGUUAUAAGAUGAAUAACACAUCAAGCGUAGAGAGGGUUAUAAAUAUUUAGAAGAGCUAGCACAAGGAUCUCUUUAUAUAUAUACUAGAAAAAUAUAUCUUUCAAAAAUCAAGAAAAUUGGUAUAGUUCAACAUAUUUUAUGAUGUGCACUUACAUUGUGAGAGAACCACGAAACAUCCCAGGAUAAGCACCACAACUACAGUAGCCAUUCUUCCCUCCAUCGUCACAGCAAUCACGGUGUAUAUCUGGUGGAGCUUCUGUGUAUAGGUAUGCCUGUCCUACAAUAGCAUACAGAUCCUACACAAUGUUCUAUAUAUAGAUGGUGAAGAUAUUCUAUACAUAGAAAUAAUUAAUAACUCCUAGGCUUGUGAUUAAUAAUCCUCCAAAGUUACAACAAAAUAUAGUUCGCAUUAAUUUUGAUGCAGAUAUCUCUAGUGGAAUAUAAAUGACUACAUCUAGUAGAUGCUAUAGGUUUAGUCCUAAUCAAUAUAUAGAUGGUGAAGAUAUUCCAUAUAUUAGCAAUAAUUAAUAACUCCUAGGUUUGUGAUUAAUAAUGCACCAAAAUUACAAAAUAGUCCACAUUAAUUUUGAUAUAGAUAUUUCUAGUGGAAUAUAAAUGACUACAUCUAGUAGAUGCUACGAGUUUAGUCCUAAUCAAUUUUAUGUUGAUGGCCAUUGAUGACUUCCAUAUAUAUUUUCCAAAUUUUAUAUCCAAUAAUAAUUAUGGCAUCUACUUAUAACGAGUCAAUGACAACCACAUUACCAAGUAGUAUAAAUUUAUAUCAUAAAUAAUGUCUCUGUAUACUGCGAUAACCCGAGCUGUAGAGCUGCAGAUUUAUGUUGCGAUGGGCUAAUCCGUGGGCUAAAGAAAGAGAUAGUGCAUAGCCUGAUGAAGAAACCUCAAGCCCAUUAGGCCCACCAACUAGGGCCUUCUAUAAACAUGACAAGUUCACAAACUCUAGUGCAUGCUAGGUCACACUUUGUUAGGAUCGAGUGAUGUGGGCUGGUGAAAGGUCCUAAUAUGGCUAGAGGGGGGGGUGAAUAGCCUAUUUAAAAAUUCUACAAACUCACUAGAGCAAGAGGUUGGUAAAUAAUAAAACGAAGCUUUUUGCUCUAGCUCUAAUGGGGUGUUUGCAAGCCACCUAUCCAACAAUUCUAGUUGAUAUAAUCACUAGGCACACAAGAGCUAUGUCACUACUUACACUAGAAAGCUACCUAAAGUUUCUAUACAAGUAAGUAAGCUACUCUAGUUUGCGGGAAUGUAAAAGAGUGGAUGAGAUAAUUAUACCGCCGUGUAGGGGAUGAACCAAUCACCAAUAUAACACAAUCAAGCACCGGGAGAAUGCCAAUCAAACACAAUUGAGACACCAAUUUUUCUCCCAAGGUUCACGUGCUUGCCGGCACGCUACGUCCCCGUUGUGUCGACCAACACUUGGUGGUUCGGUGGCUAAGAGGUGUAGCAUGAACCUCAUCCUCUCUAGGACACCACAAGAACCUACCCACAAGUGAGAUAGCUCAAUGACACGAGCACUUUACUAGAGUUACCUUUUGGCUCUCCGCCGGGGAAGGUACAAGACCCCUCACAAUCACCGAGAGAUGGCCAUGAACAAUCACCAACUCGUGCCAAUCCUCCUCCGCUGCUCCAAGCCGUCUAGGUGGCGGCAACCACCAAGAGUAACAAGAAAACCACAGCCAAAUCGAUCCCCAAGCGCCACUAGAUGCAAUCACUCAAGCAAAUGCACUUGGAAUCACUCCCAAUCUCACAAAGAUGUAUAAUCUAUGAAGGAGAUGAGUGGGAGGAGUUUGCUUAGGCUCACAAGGAUGUCAAGUAUGUUAGAAUGCCAAGAGUGUAAGCCCUAAGCCGGCCAAACACGUAUUUAUAGCCCCUCAAACAAAUAGAGCCGUUGGCUCUUUCACUGGGCGAAAUACGGGGUCACCGGACGCUCUUAAAGGGGCACCGGACGCUCAACACCAGCGUCCGGUGCUCCAACGUCAGCCGCGUGUCAGAGUCUAACGGUAACCUGCAGAGCACCGGACGCUGAGCAAGUUAGCACCGGACGCGUCCGGUGCACACCGGACUCAUGCGCAGAGAGCUCCGCAAACUUGCAGGGUCACCGGACGCGAGCCACCAGACGCACCCUGAGCGUCCGGUGCUCACCGGACUCAUGCGCAGAGAGGUUUGCAAAACCUCCUCACACCGGACGCACACCACCGGACGCUCCAAGCUGCGUCCAGUGCCUAUCGUCCGGUGCCUAACCCUAACCGAGUCAGGCUGCCUGCUCACCGGACGCACAGGAACAGCGUCCGGUGCUUCUGAGUCAGCGUCCGGUGAGUGUUCCUUAGCGAGAAACACUCCCGCGACUUGUCCAACUUUCCCACCGGCGCAAUAGAAAAUAUGCACUUCAUUUUCUCGAAAAACGCCGAAUCCCGCCAAGCUUGUGAGGUGGGAGGGAGAGAGGAACCCAUCCUCUCUCUACCUUUCAAAGUCCACCUCCUUCUCAAAGUGUGCCAACACCACAAAGUGUGUACCAACAAGUGCACAUGUGUUAGCAUUUUCACAACCAUUUUCUUCGAAGGAGUUAAGUUAGCUCACUAGGUUCUAAAUGCAUGCACAAGAAUAAUGACACCUAGUGGCACUUGAUAACCGCUUAGCCAAAGAAUUCCCCUCUUUAUAGUACGGCUAUCUAUCCUAAAUGUGAUCACACCCUCUAUGGUGUCUUGAUCACCAAAACCAAAACCCUAAGCAAUACCUUUGCCUUGAUCUCCAUAGGGUUUUGUUUUUCUCUUUCUUCUUUUCCAAGUUGAGCACUUGAUCAUCUUGUGGUCAUCACCAUCAUCACCAUGAUCAUCACUUGCUCCAACACUUGGCAUGUACCAACCUCAUUAAGUCUACACAUACUUAGCAUAGAGGUUAGUACUAGGGUUUCAUCAAUUAUCCAAAACCAAACUAGGGCUUUCAGCUGGUCCAUGCACGCACGUCCCCGUGGACUAGUUCCAGCGACUGUUCUGGCGACCAGAGAUGAAGAAGACAACGUCAGCCUCUCUCUCUCUAGCCUCUUCCUUUCUUCUACUCCAUCGUUGGUGAUCACACCUUCUCUUCUGCUCCAUCAUUGGUGAUCGCGCCUUCUCUUCUUUUCCAUCUCUGAUGGCACAGAAGGGGGUUCGACGGGAGGUGGACCGGCCAAACAGUGGGGACGAUAGGACGGCAGCCUUCAGGUCCUGGAGGCGGCGCAUGCGGCCGAGCCAAGUUGGGCGGGGGCACCCAUGCAUGGCCAGACCUUGCCACAGAAGGGGGUGGGGAAGAAGGUGGCCGCCACAAGCGCUCUAGGGUUUUGACGGACCUCCACCAUGACCGUAGUGCUCUGGUGAAACCUUAGGAUGCCACGGCGGAGUGAUGGACAGCGACGGGGCAGAGGACAAGGAGGGUGACUUAGAGGCGUAGGGGCGAGAGAGGUGGAUGGCUCGGCCCGUGGCGUGGUACCUAGUGGCUGGGGACAGCAGGGAGUAGGUGAGUAUUGGUAUUUCUAACAUCACCUUAGAUACUAGGUUGUCAUCCAUGUAAUGUUAAAAACACACGAGGGUGGUAUUUAAUAAACUGAACUCUUGAAUGAUGAUAUAUACUAUAAAAGGUAAUCUGCAAGCGCAUAGAUCAAAUACCAUUGCAGCACUUCAUCGGGAGUAUUCCAUGUAUCAUAUUUAUAUUUUAGCUUAGAGAGGAGCUAACUAGUAGGCUCAGAGAUGGAUUUGUCAAAUAUGAUUACUAAUGAGGAAAUCAAUCACCCAGUCACUUGCUAAGGCAGGGGUAAGCCAAUAAUCUACAGAUAAUAAUGAUAAUGAUAAUAAUGAUAAUCCAAAGAUUAGAGAUAGACUAGUCAUCAUAUUGGUAAGCAAACAAGAGACUAGUCAGGAGAUUGAACUCCUAGGUAGCAACUAAGUUGCUAAGUCUUUUCAUCUACUCUAGCAUAUAUACAAUCAUGUAUAGCAUAAUGACUCUAAAUUCAUGCAUAAGGAACAUUAGCAAGGAAGAUCACGAAUAGAGUAAGACAAUCCUUGUAAUAUUGUUCUAUUAUCGUUAUUGACGGGGUGUGAACUAUACAAGACUCAACAGUAAUGUCACAUCCGUGAUCUACCACAAGGCCCGCCCAAUAGGAUGCAUUCAUAGGUAAAUGUCAUCUAAGCACCACGCUUAAACUUAGUCUACCACGUAAUUCCCUCACGAUGAGAACUAAACGCUUUGGGAACAGAUAAAUGCACUCAUUAUCAAUCAUGACUAUAUCAAAUAUAUAACUAGAGCAAACUAGAAACAUAAUAAAUAACAACAUAAUCAAUUAGAAUAAAGUCUUAGAGAAAGAUACAAGAUAAUACCCGACUCUUGAGACGAACGAUCCAGAAUCCUGAGUGUAGCGCCCGAACUCUUCUUAAAUCUACUUGCUAAUCCUAUAUGAAAUCAAGGAAUUAGAGUAUAUAGUCUAACUCUCUGGUGGAAGAGGCGGCUAAGGCUUCAUUCUUCUUCUCUUCUCCCCCCUCUCUCUCUCUCCAAACCCUAAGGUCUACCUCUCCUUAUAUAGGCUGGUGGGAUGAACCGCGACCCUUGGAUCAAACCGACUUAAUGGACGAAGAUCUUUGCUCCUCAAAGGCGAUUGGGACAGAAUCCACGAGGUUGCUCUUGAUUGGGCUAGCAGAGGGGGCAGGCGCCCUCAUUGGCCACCCUGACCCUAGGCUCCCUCGGCUUCUCCUUCGUUCUGGUGGAUUCCUAAUCCUUUUAGAUGCUUCUUUUUCAUACCUGGCCUCAAUAUUUCAUUUUCUCUUUAUGUAAUCAUGACAUGUGGGCCUCCUUGGAUCAAUUUAUGAUAACCCCUUGUAGAAAUAGAUAUUUACCAAAACUCAUGGAAAUUUGUGAGAUAAAAGCAUAUACUUCUAUUGAUUGUUGAUAUAAAUAUGAUGGUUAUCUGCCAUCAACAGCGAGGGGAGGGAAGAGCACUAUCAUCAACAGAGAAGAAGACAUGGUGAGUGAGCGCGCUAUGGUAAGAUAGGUUGUGCUCGAGUGUUCCCCAACCAGAUGAUCCUUGAGUCAGAUUACCAAAUGGUAAUUUCCAAGCUCCAUGCCACGGGCUGUGAUCAUUCCAUCGUGUGGCAUGUCAUCGAUGAGACAUGUGCUAUGAGUGGCUAGUUAUCCAAGCUAGAGACAAUUAAGAUCAAUAUGGAUCAGAAAAAUUUGAUGCAUGAAUUAGCGUAGUUUUCUAUUAGUUUUUUUAAGACGUUUUUUUUUCUUGUUUUUCAGAGUGGAUAUAUCUCUCUCUUGUAAGGAUAUUACUUAAUUUUUGGCAAAGCUUUUUUCACAAGGCGCACAACCCAUCGCACAAUAAUUGAUGUGGGUUUGUUCUGUCAUGUCUAUAGACUACUCUAUUUCUACUCAUCUUCACUAGCUGGCACCACCGGUUUGAAGUACCACAACAUGAAGGUGGACACAGACAACGACGAUGACGUGAAUAGGGAGGAGCUCUAGCGGUGGUUCAAUUGGCAAGUGUCCCUGUGCGGGCGUCAUGGAGGAGAUCAAGCGGUAGUGGAGGCGUGGGACAAACACAAGAACAAGUGUCGAGGAUGUACUGCUACAGGCAUUCUUGAUCAAUAUGUUUUGUUAAUUCGUGUGUGUAUCGAAUCGACUUCCUCCUUUUGUUACGCCACAGCUACCACAGGUUCUACGCUAACCUCUAGCCAUGGCAACGCCAAACGGGGGCAACCCUGUUGCCGCUAGUCAACCUCUCAGAGGCCAACUUGGUGAGGGCAUGACCCGGAUGGGGAUGGCUUGUGGUGCCGGUGGACAAGGGGGUCCUAGGUUCAAUCCUGGGUUUCAGCCGGGAUACAAUCCAGGGUAUGUCGAUAGGGAUGGAGGUUACUAUGGAUGGGAUCAUCCCUGGGGUCGCGACCAAGGUCAUCGUGGUGGUCAUGGUGGUUUUAAUGGUGGCCACGGAAGGGGCUACUAUAAUAACUAGUUCCAUGGCUAUGGCGGCUAUGGUUGUGGCAACUAUGGUAGCCAUGGCAAUUCCAGGGGCCAUGCUUUCGGUGGCCGUCACUUGGAGGCAAGGGUGUUUCACCCUGCCAACCAAGGCCAGCAAGCCCAGUCCACAACUGGGGGCUUGCCGCAAGUAGGGACUAGCGCUGUGCCUGUAGCUCCUGCUACGACAAUGGAGAUGGGCAAAUCUUUAGCGGUCAUUGCCACUGCUGCGACAGUGAAUGUAGGGGCUAUGCUGGAGGCUCCCAAACCCAGCAACUUCGGGACUUCUACCACCAUACGGUCAGCAAUGACUCCUAUUGGUGGUCCGGUGAUAGGAGGUCCAUUGGCUUUGGAGGCACACGGUCAUGUCGAAGCCCAACCCAUGCAAGGUGUGGAGUCGACUGCUGGAACUCUCUAUGGUGGCAGCUUAGAAGUGGGUGCUGCAACCCAAGAGCCUGAAACAUCUUUACAGGGUGCAAACAAAAGUAAAAACAUACCUUACUGCUAUAGAUGUCACACAAUGGGUCAUGUUUAUGCAAUGUGUACUGCUGUUAUUAGUUGUGAUAUCUGUGAAUUUGAUGCACAUGUUAGUAAGAUUUGCCCGCUUUUGAAAGGUGAUAAACCAAUGGCUAUACCAUGUGGUUAUGCUGUUGAGAACCUUGGCUUCUAUUACAUUCCGCACACGGGGGUUCGGAAAGCAAGAACUGAAAAUAAAGGGGCUUUGGUUAGGGUGCUCGAGGGAUCCAUUACCACAGCUCAGCUUGUGGUGGAACUCGAACGUCUUAUUCCAGGAUCUAAGUGGGAAAUUGAGGAGAAAGGAAAGGAUAUGUUUACCACCACAUUCCCAUCGGCUAUAGAGUUACAGAGGAUGGUGUUGUGGGGUCACAUGGAAACAAAAACUAUAAAGGGCAAGAUCGAAUUUCAAAAAAGCUACUGACAAUGAGAUUUACAAGUAUGAGAUCCCAAAAUCAUGGGUGGAGUUUAGGGGUCUCCCAAAGGAGUUGAGAAACUUUGCCAUUAUCUGGGCAAUUGGGUCCAUUUUGGGUGUUACUAAAAUGGUUGAUAUGAAGUUUACAAGAGAAUUUGACCGUUCGAGACUUAAAGUGGUCGUGCUGGACCCAGACCUUAUCCCUGACCUUGUGGAUGUGGUUUAUUGGGGAUUUUGUUUACGAGCUACAAUUUAGAGUGGAAGAUUAGGAAAAUAAUGAUGACCCCAAACCAAUUGAUAUGGAUACACCUGUAGAUCCUAAGGAUGAAAACAAAGGGGGUGAUGUGAUUAUGGAUGAUGAUCCGGCUAAUAAGAACAUAGAUAAUCAUCUAGACGAGGAUCUAGCUGUGGAUGGCUCAGGCACAAAUAAAACGAAGGCUGCAGCCCCGCAUAGCAACACUAAGUUUUAAGCACCGUUGGGUCAGAAAGGGGAAACAACAAGACCGACCAUUGCCUUAACACCUACUGGUGCAGCAGCACCUACAGUUUAGUGGCGAGCUGAUUUGAUGACAGAAGGAAAUCCCAAAGGGAGCCAGUCUGCGCCGGCAAACACUCUUGCCACUCCUUUAAGGGCUAGCAAGAGAUUGGUGGUUUCUGAUCAGGAUUCUCUGGAGAAGGCGACUUUGCUAAAGGCAAAGAAAAAUCUGGAUGGUACUCCUAACAAAGGUAACAACUUGACAACCUCUUUCUUUAUUGAUUUGGAGGAUCCAGAUUUAGCUUCUAAAGUUGUUAGCUUAGGAGUUUCUCUAGGUAUAGCUCAGGUGAACAAGUUAGUGAGGCUGUAAAAAGGCUUAAAACCAUAGAAAAGGGUAGGUUGCUUGAAAGGGUACAGUUGGAGCAGCAAAUUACUCAAGAGGAUGAGGCUAGUGCCGAUGGAGACAUCGAUUUGCAUGCUCUGAGUUCUCUUUGUAAUGAUCUCAUGGAUUGUGUUGGUGAUGGGGAGUGUGAUUUUAAUGAUCUACUGUUCCCCACAUCACCGACAAAGAAAAAGGGGUCUAGGGGUAGAAGGAAGAAAAAUAAUAAUUAAUUAAGUAAUCAAUGGAAGGAAUUUUCUAGAAUUGUAAUGGACUAGAGGACUUAAAGAAACAUCGUUUUUUGUCUGACGGCUGACCUGACAAAGGAGCAUGACCUUGAUUUUAUUGCCUUAUCCGAGACAGGGAGGGAUUCAUUUACACAAUCAUCACUCAAUAUUUUUUGCGCUCGUAAAGAUUUUUUUCUGGCAUGUAAAACCUCGGCGCUCGUAAAGAUUUUUUGUGAAUCUUUUAGUUUUUGAUAUAGGCGAGAUCGAAGGAGAUUUCUUUGUGUGUUUUAAAAUUAGGAACAAAGAGGAUGAUUUUAUUUGGAACCUAGUUUCUGUAUAUGGGGCUGCACAAGAGGAAUUCAAAGCAAAUUUUCUCACUGAGUUGACCUAGUUAUGUUCAAAAGAAACUAUACCUAUCAUGAUAGGUGGGGACUUCAACAUAAUACGGGGACCGGGGAAAAGAAUAAUAACAAUUAUAAUGAUAGAUGGCUGUUUUUAUUUAAUGCAAUCAUAGAUGCGUUUAAUUUAAGAGAAUUAGAUUCUUCAGGUAGACAUGGGGCCAAUAAUUUGCCAAAUCAAACUUUUGAGAAGUUGGAUAGAAUAUUGGUGUGCACAGAAUUAGAAGAUAAAUACCCACAUAUGUCGGUCCAACUACUCUCCAGGGAAAUCUUGGAUCAUACUCCCUUGCUUUUGGGCACUGGCCAGCGAUUUACGAACUGCCAUUACCAGUUCAAAUUUGAACUCGGUUGGUUACUUUGUGAUGGUUUUCAGGAGAUGAUUUGUGAUAUUUGGCAGAGUGUGCAACAAGGCUCCAACCCUUUAGAAACCUGGCAAAAGAAAAUAAGGCGUCUGCAACAAUUCCUCUGGGGUUGGGCCAAAAACACAAGCGGAACUUACAAGAAAGAGAAACAACAAUUAUUGGAUAAACUUGAUGUGCUAGAUAAAAAAGCAGAAAAGCAAAACCUUGAGCAAGCCGAAAUAUAUUCGAAACACGUUCUAAAUGAUCGACUAGCUGAACUGUUAAGAGAAGAAGAAUUGAAAUGGUACCAAAGAGCAAAAUUAAAACAUUUGUUAGAAGAAGAUGCCAAUACAAAAUAUUAUCAUUUAGUUGCAAAUAGAAAACAUAGAAAGACUCGUAUUUUCCAGUUAGAGCAGGAGGGGACGAUUUGUGGGGAAGUGAAACUAAAAAAAUACAUUACUAAGUAUUACAAGACUCUCUUUGGGCCAUCAGAGAGGUCGACGGUAUCUAUGGAUGAGUCCACCAUAAAUGAUAUUCCUCAGGUCUCUUUAUUAGAAAAUGAUAUGUUAACUGACAUAUUCUCUGAAACUGAGGUGAAGGAGGCAAUUUUUCAAAUGGAGCAUAAUAAGACUCCAGGUCCAGAUGGGUUUCCUCUAGAGUUUUACCAAAUAUUUUGGUUUCUUUUAAAAUAUGACUUGAUGGCUCUGUUCGAGGAUUUCAUACAGGGACCUUGCCAAUAGUCUUAAUUUUGGGAAUAUCAUCCUUCUACCAAAAACAAAUGAUGCAAAGAGAAUACAACAAUACAGGCCCAUUUGCUUACUAAAUGUUAGUUUCAAAAUUUUUACUAAGGCUCUCACAAAUAGAAUUACAAAAAUGGCCAAUACAAUUGUCGGCCCUACUCAAUCAGCUUUUAUACCAAAUAGAAAUAUAAUGGAGGGGGCAGUCAUUCUCCAUGAGACAAUCCAUGAACUGCAUACCAAAAAAACAAAAUGGUAUUAUUUUUAAAAUUGACUUUGAAAAAGCAUAUGAUAAGGUGAGAUGGUCUUUUUUACAGCAAACUCUGAGAAUGAAAGGUUUCUUUGAAAAGUGGCAACAAUAGAUUUCGAUGAUCACAAAGGGUGGAAAUGUGGGAAUAAAAAGUUAAUGAUCAACUGGAAGAUUAUUUUCAAACUAGAAAAGGGUUAAGACAAGGGGAUCCUCUAUCUCCAAUUUUAUUUAAUCUAGUUGUGGACAUGUUAGUAGUAAUGAUUACUAGAGCCAAGGAUAUUGACCAGGUUAUAGGGGUUGUACCUCAUUUAGUGGAAGACGAGUUGUAAUUUUACAAUACGCAGAUGAUACUGUCAUUUUUAUGGACCACGACUUUCAAAAGGCUACAAAUAUGAAACACUUUCAAAAGGCUACAAAUAUGAAACUUAUUCUUUGUGUCUUUGAACAAUUGUCCGGUCUUAAAAUUAAUUUCCACAAGAGUGAAUUAUUCUGUUUUGAAGUGGCUAAGCAGUGUGAACAACAAUAUGCACAGCUGUUUGGGUGCGGUAUAGGCAUGUACCCCUUUAGAUACUUGGGAAUUCCAAUGCACACAAGAAAAUUAGGGAACAAAGAUUGGCAAUAUGUAGAAGAACGUUUUGAAAAGAAACAGAGUGAUUCGAAAGGAAAAUUACUCUCAGUAGGAGGACAUCUAGUCUUAAUUAAUUUGGUGCUUUGAAGCUUACCGAUGUUCAUGAUGUCCUUCUUUGAGGUACCUAAGGGUGUAUUAUAGAGAAUUGAGUUCUUUAGAUCGAGAUUCUUCUGGCAGAAUGACCAACAAAAGAGAAAAUAUUGAUUAGUAAAGUGGACUGUGAUAUGCCAACCGAAAGAACAGGGUGGUUUGGGAGUCACCAAUUUAGAAAUAUAGAAUAAAUGCCUACUUAGUAAAUGGUUGGUUAAAUUGUGUAAUGAAGAUGGCUUAUGACAACAGUUGAUUAGAAAUAAAUACUUAAGAAACAAAAUACUUUUGGAAAGGUAUUUUAAAUGUCAAACAUCAAGUUAUGCAACUUGGAAAGUUUAAGGUACAAAGUGGAAAACAAACGAGGUUCUGGGAAGAUAUUUGGAUUGGGAAUUGGUCUCUCCAAACAAAAUUCCCAAGACUGUACAAUAUAGCACGCAGGAAAAAGGAUAUUGUGUCAAAUGUGUUGUCGUCUAUUCCACUUAAUGUUUCAUUUCAAAGAGCAUUAGUGGGAAACAACUUGAGGGACUGGAAUAGGAUUGUCCCAUCAGUAGCGAAUUUACAGCUACAUGAUGAAAGAGAUGUCUUUGUUUGGUCUCUGAACUGGAAUGAUUUGUUUACAAUAUGAUCAAUGUAUGCAUAUUUAGUCAAUAGUGGUGUACGGGUCUCACAAGAAAUUUGGCGUGCUAAGUUACCCAUGAAAAUAAAUUUUUUAUGUGGUACUUAAAAAAGGAAGUUAUCUUAACAAAGGACAACUUAGCAAAAAGAAAUUGGGAGGGUAAUAAAGGUUGUCCCUUUUGUAAUACUCCAGAAUCAAUUCAACACUUAUUUUUUUAGUUGUGUCUUUGCUAAGUUUGUGUGGACAGCAAUACAUAUGGUUUCUGAGCAUUGCUCAACCCACUGAUGUUAAUGAUCUUUUUAAUCAUUGGUCAAAAGGGGGGGAACCAAUCACAAUUUGAACUUAUUGAUGGCAGCCGCCGCAUUAUGUUGGUCACUGUGGGUAUCAAGAAAUGAAAUUGUUUUUGAUAAUCGUAGACCUAAAACUUUUUUUCGAGUACUAUUCAGAGGGACUCACUAGCUCCGUCAAUGGGUCUUGUUAUAGCGUCAUGAAGACCACCAGCAGGAGUUAGUCGACGCGUGUCGUGUUCUCGAAACUUUAUGUCUUCAGCUAUUUUCAUUCUUUGGAUGGUCAUCUGCUUUUAGAGUUUCUUUAUAUUGAUAUUUGAGAGAAUUUUUCUGCAGUUAGUCUUUGUGUCUUUGAUUUGUUCACGACUACAAUCAUGUUGAUUCAUGGCACUUGCCAUAUCUUGGUUAAAACUUUGUAAUAAUUUGAUCUGAGUUCAUCCGGUUUAGGGUGAAUAAAGCAGGAUAGACUUUCUAUCAUUUAUCUAAAAAAUAUAGUUUUUGUGUUGAGAGGAACCAUGCGUAUACUGUAGUUGGGAACUUGGGAUGAAUGAUGUGGUCUCUCAUUCUGUGUUCUUUGUCUUAGAAUUUUACUUAUUUUAUUUAUGUGAAAUUUUAUGAUGUUUGGAAGUAGUGGGAGCCCUCCGUUUUUUUUAGAUCGGAUGGUUUAAAAAUAGGAGUUGAGGAACUUAAAUUGUGGGCCGGAACUAAAAGAAAAUACGUAGACUUGGAACUAAAAAAUACGUGGACCUAGAACUAGUAUCUAAAUAAAUUUGGAGAGUAUAAUAGUAUUUUGACAUCUCCGGGCGUGCUUGGCCCUCGGCGAGGUGCUGUGGUCGGGGCAGAUAUACUUAGUGCUCCCAGCGGCCAUGCUCAACAGGCCGGUCUCGACCGCCGACAUGGCCACGUUGACCGUGCGGCCGGCGACCACGACGCUCGCGUCCAGCUAGCAACAAGCCGAGGUGCCCAUAGUGGCAGCACGAAGAUGACCGUCGUUUGUGUCAUGCCUAUGCGCGAGGAAAUGGAGGACGGCGGCGUAGUGAACGCCGUGAAGAAGGACGAGAAGCUUGCAGCCACCGUGGCGACGUCGAGGCUCAAUCGGGCGAUGAGCAAAUUCUUUUGUCCUCUCCAGAAACUUAAUCAUUCAAGAAGACGCAGGCAGUGAGCGACUCCCGUUCGUGGAUGUUUCGGCGAGUUAGGCCAGUCUGAGUGGGGGGUUUUACCAGGAUGUCAUGCACAUUUUAUUAGAGCAUCAUGUCAGUAAAAUUGCACUUUUUGCAUGAAACAAAGAGGAAAGAGAAGGAAAUAGUUUCACCAUAGUGAAACCCCGCGGACUUUGUUUCCCACGCGGUGAAACGGGAUGAAAUCCCCACUGAGGGCUAAAUCGUUUCACCAUCUUGCAUGUGAUCCAAUCAUUUUACAGUAAUUAAAUGUUUUGCCCAGCCUAGGAAACGUCAAGAUGAAACUCAUGCAUUGUGGAGGUUGUUUCAUUAUUCGUUUCAUUGAUGCCCUGUCAGCGGAUUUGUUUUGGAAACAAUGCAUUGAAACGGGCCACUGAGACUGGCCUUAGAGAUUCUAUUAAUAGGAGAGGAUAAGUACUAAACUACCCUUAAGCAUAAUUAAUUAAUUUUCAUAGUUAAAUAGCUACGGUAAAUAGUUUUCCAGCGAGGAACAGGUGGUUCCUCCCAAGCACCAUAACAAAGCUCUUUAUUUUAUGAUAGUUUAGCUUAGAUUUAGACCACGAACUGGUCAUAGAUUAGCUGGUUGGGUUCCUUAUAGUGAAACUUACUCAUCCGGGAUCAAAUUCCCGACUUCACGUGAGUGCUCAUAUUUUCCUAGAUUUAUUCCAUGAUUUAACGGUGUCUCGCAAAAAAAUAAACUUAGUUUCAGAUCAAAUUAAGUUUUAGCGACUGAUUUAGGCCUUAUUUGGCAAUAACUUCACCAAUGAUUUUAUAGGCUGUUGUAAGCUAUUUAUUUUCUGCUAAACAUCCUUCUUCAAAAGAAGAUAGGUGAAUCUCUUUUUUUUAAUGCUCCCACAAAAGAACGGAUAGAGGUGAAGUUGAGAAAAGUAGCUUUUCAUAUCUCUCUUUCUCAUUUCUCUCUCUCAGUCAUGCAUAAAGUUGUUGGUAAAGUUAUUUUUGCUAAACAUGUUUUUUUUAAAAAAAACACAGCUCAGAAUUAUUGAGAAAACAGAGAUGCACAAGGAUGCGCUGGAUAAAGCGCAAGGUGCGGUCAGCGGCGAGGGGGUGCCCAGAGAGGUGCAUUCUUGAUGGAUAUGUUUUGUCUACUCGUAUGGAGUAUAAUAUAGAUAUGAUGCUCAGCUUGAAGAGCUCCACCAAUCUAUGGAUUUGGCCACUGAAUUUGCAGGUUUCACAGGUCUAGAGAGUUUCUACUGCGUGGAUUUUGAAGCUGAAUUUGGUGGAGCUGAGACGAGUCCCAAAUAGCUCACAGAGCAGAGAAGCAUAAAUUAUUCAACCUGUUGGUGAUCCUUUAUUUUUUUAUUAUUACUAGAAUACUAGGCAAUGGACGAUUUACUGCUCAUAUCCAUCCCUAAUAUUACUAGCUAAUCGUCCUUGCACAUAACAAGAGGCCGGCGUGCCCUUCUCAUGCUCAGCAGCAAUAAUUUUUGCACCCAGUCAUUGUCUCGAAGCAUAGCGUCUUACGGUUGCCACCAUGGUACCAACAGCAGAAGCAAGUACUGAACUUGCACCACACCGUAUUGGGUAGCAGCUUGAUGCAACCGCAAUCUACCCUCCUGUCGCUCCCAACUGGAUUUGUGUGUUGACCUGCACAUUAGUUAAUUAAUUAAUUGUUAUAGUAUAUAAGAUGCUUGAAUAACGCAUAAGUGUAAGUUUUAGAAGAGCACAAGGGGUCUCCUCGCGCUCCUAUAUGUUGUACAAUACUAUUACUCACAUUGUGAGAGAACUGCGAAACAUCCAAGGGUAAGCAUAAGCAUCACAACUAUAGUAGCCAUUCUUCCCUCCAUCACAGCAAUCACAGUGUAUGUCCGACAAACAUACACAUCCCGCACAAUGUUCUAUUUAUAGAUGAUGAAAAUAGCAAAAUGGAUAUACUAAAAAAAAGUCAAAGCAAUAAUUAAUAACUUAAAUAGCAAAAUGGAUAUACUAAAAAAAGUCAAAGCAAUAAUUAAUAACUUUUAGGCUUGUGACUAAUCCUCCGAGAUUUAAGAAUAUAUAGCAUUAAUUUCAACAAAGAUGAUAUCUUUAUUUGCAAUUCCAUGGCUAAUAAUGGCAUUCUACUAGUUUGCAUGUACAAUUUAGCCGCUAUAUUUCGCUAUAGCCUAAUUUAACUCCGCUAUUAGCCAUUCUAAACAUAAACCGCUAAACACCUUACCCGCUAUUUUAAACAUAGAUUCUACUACUUUGCAUUGCAUUAUCACCAAACCAUAAUGAGAAGAUAAUGAAGCCUUUGCAAACUGGUUUGGAUCCAUGGGCCGAUCUGUGUGGGCUAAAGAAAGAGAAAGCACAUGGCCUAAUGAACCUCAGGCCCAUUAGGCCCAUCAACCAAGGACUUCUCUCGUGCAGUGCAGACUGCAGAGGCCUCUAUUUCGAUCCGUCUUCACAGGCCGGCCGCCGGCACCACCACCACCAUGGCCGCCGCCGCCGCCGCCGCCGUAGCCGUCUCGUCGUCGCGUCCGCCUCUCCUUCUCCAAUCCACCUCCAACGCCACCUUCGUUUCCUUCCCGAGGCGGACGCUCCCCGCCACCACCCUCGCCCUCUCCGCCCCCUCCCAGCUGUCGCUGGUGCCGGCGGCCAACCCCAAGUACCACAACGCGAAGGUGGACGCGGGCGACGAGGACGUGGAAGGGGAGGAGCUCCUGCGGCGGUUCAACUGGCAGGUGUCCCGCGCGGGCGUCAUGGAGGAGAUCAGGCGGCGGCGGAGGCACGAGGACGCUCGGGACAAGCGCAAGCGCAAGGCGCGAUCGGCGGCGCGGAGGUUCCGCCGGAGGUGCGUUCUUGAUCGAUAUAUUUUGUCUAUUUUUGCGAAUAGUAUAGUUGCUUGGUUAGUAGUUUCAAAAAACGUUGCUUCGAUAGUUGGGAUGAAUGAAUGAUAUAUGUUCUCUCAUUUGCUGCUAUAAUAAAUGAUAUGAUUGCUGGUUCUAUGACAGUUGAGCUUAAUUUUAGACCAAACUGCAAGUGUUAGCGACUGAUUCCGUGUGCAUGUCCUAUGUUCAAGUUGUUGUAUAUCUGACAGCAAUAGUUUGAUUGCCAAUUUCAUUAGACAAUUAGCAUGCCAAGUUGCCAACCAUUCUACUGCUGACAUUCAUGAUCCUGAAGGUUGGACAGCUAGUUUUACAGACAUUAGCAUGUUAACACAGAUCAUUUCCUGAAUGGAAAUAGCUGUGCAUGUGGAAUGGUCCAUUCAAGAUCCUGUUUUCGUCUUUAGUAUUUAUGCUGUUUUGUGUACCAGCAUCAUCAUCAUAUUUUACACCGGCGGUAUAAUUCUUGUUCACCUUUUGAAAAGUGAGGUGUUAUUCUUCAUCAUGAAUACAUGAGUGUGCAUUCCCUGCCAUUUUCAAGUGCAAGUUAAAUGCCUAAUCAAAUACCCAUUGUUUGCAACAUUCAGCAAGCUUCAUGCUGAAUUUUGCAAAAUCUAACAUCAAGGGCAUCUCCCCUUUCUGAUGACACGUUUGUUUUUUGCCAUUCCAAAGUUUCAGCAAGUUUUAUGCUGAAUUUUCCAAAAUCUACCAUCAAGGGCAUCUCCCCCUUUCUGAAGACAUGUUUGUUUUUGGCCAUUCCAAAGUUUCAGCAUGUUUUAUGUUGAAUUUUGCAAAAUCUAGCUUCAAGGGCAUCUCCAAACCUCAUUUAGUUCAUUUGAGUUGUAGUAACAAUAUAAGAAACUCCUGAUUCCUCCUAACUGAGUCCAGUCACUCUGGUACAGGCGAUUCAAGGGCCCAUACCCUUUCAGUGAUGAUCAGGGGGCGAAGGAGCAGGCUACUGAUGACGAGGAGAAUGACAACUGGGAGCUCCCUGCAGGAGAGUUGCCUUCUUACAGGUAGAGAUAGUCGAGAAGUUGAAGCAUGAUUUUAUCUGCAGAAGAGUUUCAACACCUCCAGCUUCAGUUAUUCCUGUCAGUCGGAGGAAAUUGAGUAGGUGUUGACAAAUCGAUUCUAGCGGAUUGGCGGCCAAUGCACGGUAAACUGAUGUUGUCUGCAGAAGAGUUUCAACUCCUCCAGCUUCAGUUCUUCCUGUCAGUUGGAGGAAAUUGAGUAGGUGUUGCCCAAUCGAUUCUAGCUGAUUAGCGGCCAAAGCACAGUAAACUGAUGUAAAGCAUUUUGUGGAAAUGCCAGUUAUGUCUCGACAGCAGACCCUCCUGGCUGUGCUGCAAAUACGUCAUCUGUAUUGAGUUCUUGUGGAUGGAUUUACAAUGGCUGGUGUGUUCUCACAAGAAUUCUAAUGCUAACUUUUUUCUGGUGGGAAAAAGAUGAAAUCUGAUGCAGUAGACACUUGCUUUGGUGACCUAGUACUCAGUAAAAUUGUUCUUUUGCAGCUACAAAAUUGCCAUGCUGGUCCUGGUCCAAUCAUGUUGCGAAUUUAGUUUUGGAUACGUUGCUAUGAGGAAUUAAUCAACAUGUCCCAGAAGUGACCAAAAACGAUGUGAAGAAAACGAUGAGGAUUGACGAGAUUUCAGGGGAAAAAAGGACAAGAGCGAGGAAAGCUCAUGUCACCUUUCCUUGUCCGCAUAUUAAUUUGCAUCAGCACUAUUUUUCAGUCAUAAAACAAUGUUUUUUUUUUCAUAACAAAUCAGCAUUAGCAUUAGCAUUAGCAUUAGCAUUAGCAUCAGCAUCAGCUGUAGCCAAGGAUUCCUGGGCUCCGGCUUUAUGCGUCGUGCGAUUGCCUGAUUGGGGCUUUGCUUUCCUCUGCGUUUUGUUUUUCAGAGAGAGCUCGAAAGCUAAAAAGCACAGCAACGGAAAGUGCAAGGUGUUUCCGGAAGCGACGCAGGAUCCGGCUAUCUCUGGACCAACCUGCCUACCUGAGUUUUUCUCUUUUGUUUCCUCUAUGUCAAAUUGUAAGAUACAUAUUACACACCUAAAUAUGUAUUAUAUCUAGAUAUAAAAAUAAAAGGUAUGUAUCUAAAAAAAAUAACCUGAACGACUUGCAAUACGAAAGAGUAAAUACUACUUCCUCCAUUUCAAAUCAUAAGUCGCUUUGACUUGUUUGGUUCAUCUAUUUUACUAUGUAAACAAAAUGGAUAUAUCAAAAAAAUCAAAGUGACUUAUAAUUUGGAACGUAGGAAAUACGUUUUAAUGAAAAUCUGAUAAAACUUCUCAAACUUUGAGCAUUAGUGUCUACUAGUUUUCAAAUAUUUGUUUUACAAAAGAAAUGGGUGUAGAUUUAUUUUGAAAGCUACUUGCAUAAUAUCAUGUUUAUUUGAUAUUAUAACUACAUUGAAAUAAGAAAUAAAUAAUGAUAAAAAUCAAACACCCAAAGGCAGUAAUGAUAAAACUACUUUGGAUGGAACCAAAGCCGGUGGGGGAAAAAUGGCUUUAUCGGCUUUUGGUUGUUUGAGGAAAAGAUAGAGAAAAAGAGCUAAUGUAUACAGUGCAGAAGCUGGACGAGGCAGAACUGCUGGGAGCCCUCUCAAAUGAACCGUGGCAGUGGCUAAAACUAUCAUAUGGCCGUCGAAAGUAUAACUCUAAAAAACAUGAAAUCAACAAGAUUGAGACAAAAAGUUACCACUAAUAAUAACUUGUAGAAAUUGAUCAAGUUUGAUUCAACUGCUGAUAUUUGGCUUAAAGUUAACAUGUACUCCUUCCAUCCUAAAUUAUAAGACGUUUGGCUUUUCUGACCUCAAAUUUAACCACUCGUCUUAUUCAAAAUAUUUGUACAAACGUAGUCAAAUUUAAGUCAUUCUUGAAGAACUUUUACUAAUAAACCAAGCCACGACAAUAAAAAGUGAUGUUUUGCACAAAUUUUUGAAUACGACAGUGGUCAAAUUUGGUGUCAAAAAAGUCAAACGACUAAUAAUUUGGGAUGGAUUGAUACUACGUUAAUGCUUUAUUACCUUAUCUGAUCACCCAUUUACUAAUAAUUUAUUAUGUUAAUAACAUUUGUUAACUAUCAUAUAGUAUCUGGAGACAUGGACAUAUAUGUAUGGCCAUCAAUUGGAUGAGAAGCUAGCCUAGACAGUCGUCGUCGUCGCUACGGUAGCAACACAUACACGGCUAGCUACUGGGCUGCAGCAAGCUUGGCAAUCAUGUCCUUUAAAACAGACGGGCAGCUCUUGCUCAGAUGCUCCAAGCCGUCGGUCUUGACGACCUCUCUGAGAUUUUCUGGAUCCUCGAGGAAUCUCAGGCACGCCUCCUUAAGCCCUAGGCAAUGGUGGUCGACGGCGAACGCCAGGAUGACCGCCACGGUUGUCACAUCCACAAACUCACACAGCUUCUCUUCACAAACCAGCCUCAGCCUCUCCAUCUGAUACCUAUUCGCCGCUGCGACCAGGUCCGGGAGCAUCGCCGCCGCCGCUGAUCCCUUCGACUCCGGCGGCAGCGAGUCGGUGUACACGUAAUGGAGAAACGCCUCGAAGUCCUGCGCUUCCAUGUCUUCAAUCUGUACGACGACGGCUGCGCCGCCGCUGUCGUUGGUCGUCGUCGUCGUCGGGCAGGUGGAGAGGGAGAGCUCGGCGUGGAACACCGGUGACCGGGCCAUGAGCACACACCUGUGCGCGGCGAAAGUCCUGUUGUCCACCAUGAACGUCACGUCCGCGCCGUCCCCGGUCGCGAGGAGGCCGCCGAGGUGACGGUGCAGGUCCGACGGCGGUGGCACCACCACCACCGCUGCAUCUACUAGAGGUGACGACGGGUGUGGGACGUCGACGAUGUCCAUCGCUUAGCAGCCGGGGUACGGGAACAUGGGCACGUUCCCCGUUCCGGGAACUUCGUCCCGAAACGUGGAACGGGAACAUCAUGGAACAUCGUUCCCAAAUGCGGUGGAACACGAAUCAUAUAUAAGAGCAAUCAUAGGAACGUCAGUCCCAAGCGACUAUGGAACUUCGUGGUGUGUGUGCAUACUGCGCCGUGCCCGUCCGUGAGCGGUCGGUGAAAAAUCUAGAUGGUGAUUGACUCAUUGGCCUAGACCUGCAAUGAGCCUUAAGGUUGGAGUUGGACAGCCCUAAAUGAAACAAAAAUACAAUAGUAAAUUAUAUCACGCUAGGAAUCGAACUCAUUUGGUUCAAAGCAACACGUAAAACUACCUGAGCCAACCACUACGUCACAAAACACGUUCCUUUAGAAAGUGGAACGCGUUCCGCAACUUAAAGGAACGAGACGAAGCUAUAUACCCCCUACGUUCCAUAGUUUAUGAGAAUGUCGUACCGCGUACCACGUUCCCGUACCACGUACCCUAUGUUCCGGGAACUUGGCUGCUAAGGUCCAUCGUCUGAAUCUCCCCCGUGGCGGCGACCGUCAAAUCACACCUGAUCGUGAAGCGGUCGUGCUUGAGAUGCUCGGAUUUCUCCAGCUCGUCCCUCCUGAUGAAAGUCCGGAAUCCACGGUCGUCGUCACGGAAGGUAUGCUCGGCACUGAAGGUGUAGUGUGGCACUGGCUUCUUCUCUCCAUAGUCAAGCAAGCUGAAGGUGAACCGUGCUCUGACGCCAUGGCCAUGGGCGACAUUGACAUUGUGGUCGUCGAGGUCGAGCUUGAGGAAGAUGGAUAUGAAGUCGGAGCAAGUGGAGUUGCAGCCGUUGGGGUAAUAGCAGAUGUGCCAGCGGUGGCCGCCGACGCGGAACGAUCGGGACUUGAUGUGGCUGCCGGUCGGGACAUCCUUGGUGCCGGAGUAGCCGUCGAUCUUCAGCAGGUGCUGCCCGCUCUCGGUGCUGGCGGCGACGAUGGCUGACGCGGACCGCGACGGCUCGCGCUCGCCCCUGCCGCCACCGAUGAUCGGCAUGGGUACCACGGUCUGUGGUGUGGAGAUCACGGCGUUUGCUGCUUCAGCGCUUCUCUUCUUGCACGCUGCAUUAUGUCGAGUGCUGAAUUUUACUCGCUCCAUCCCAAAUUAUAAGUCAUUCCAAGAACCUUGGAGAGUUAAAGCAUUUUUAAGUUUGAUUAAAAUUAUAGAAAAAAAUACUAAGAUUUGUAACGUAAAAUAAGUAUACUAUGCAAAUAUAAUUAAGAAAGAAUCUAAUCAUACUUAGUUAGUACCAUAAUAAUUAUUAUUUUAUAAUAUAAAUUUAGUCAAACUUAGAAAAGUUUGACUCUCCAAGAUUUUUGGAAUGACUUACAAUUUGGGAUGGAGGGAGUAGAUAGAUACGACGGAUCUCAUCUCUCUAUAUAUCCUUCGUAAUUGCUAGAAAUAGAGAUUUGAUAAUUCAAAAAAUACACUCCAAUAGCUUCUUUAUUUGUUUAUUUAAAUAUAAGUAUCUUAUAUUCUGAAUUUUCGCUGGCACAAGAUAGAAAACAUACAAGAUACAGAAAAACUAUUACAUGAAAGAAUAUAAAAAAGGGUUUUUAUGCAAAUAACUGUCUAAAUCAUUGUUUAGAGAGUAAGCUUUACAAAAAAAACUCUUAAAGAUGCUCUGCAGAGUAAAGUCCAUUCUUUUUUUGAAGAAAAAAGAGAAGAGGCCUCAUAGAGAAAGGCUCCACGUUCUUAUCUACUCUCUUUUCCUAAAAAACCACCCACCUCCGCUAUUGUUAUGUAAAAUGCAUAAAAAACCUCUUUAAAUUUGCAUCUAAUUUACCUACUCUAUGAUUAUGAAUGAUAAUUUAAAAUGAACUCAAUUUGCAUCUAAAUACCCAACUAUGCCAUUAUAAAAGAUAAUUUAAAAAUAAUUUCCAUGCAAUUUACCCUUCUACGAUUACUAAAGGUAAUGGAAGGUAACAUCGAAGUUUCUUUUAAGUUGCCUAUAUCUACUAUUAUGAAAGAUAUAUGAUAAAGUAACCCCCUUUAAUUGUAACUAAAUUGCCUAAAUCUACCACCCAAAAGAAUAAACUAAAAUAUCCCUCCAAUCUAUGUUUAAAUACCAAUAUAAGAUGAUAUGAAAACUAACUCCAUAAGCAUAAAGUUAUUUUUUUAAAAUUAAACACUUACCACCAUUGGAUUGAAAGUAAGCAUAAAUGUUAUGUAAUAGUCCCUUCUUCUAAAUUGUAAGUUGUUUUAACAUUUCAAGACACAUUGCUUCAGCAAUGUAUUUAGACAUAGGGUAUAACUAAGUACAUAGCAAAAUCUAUGUACCUAGAAAAGUCAAAACAAAUGAUAAUUUGGAAUAGAGGAAGUACUAUACAUUCAUGUUAGGAAUAGAUAUAUCAAUCUAUAAAAUUCCUUAACAAGCAAAUCACAUACCAAUGACACUAACAACUAAUUUUAAGUUAUAUUGGUACUCUGUCGAUAAAUUUUGUAAGUUGUUACUUUAGGUAAGUUUAUAUAUUUUGAUUGAAAACAUAUUCUCUUCCAAGCAGGCUUAUAAACAACUUAUUGGGCAUCGUCGGAUUGAUACUUCUUACAUGUGGCUUUGGACAUCUUCUUGUCAGAACAAAAGGAAAAAAAAAUCUGGUUAAUCUUAAGUGACAGGUUGAGCACUAGAGCUUUGAUUAAAAGAAAAGGAAUCCAUCUUGAAGAUUAUAAUUGUGUUUUCUAUUCACUCGACAUGAAGAAGAUCUUCUCCAUAUGCAUUUUCACUGUCCUUUCACGAUGGCUUGUUGGUACAGUUUGCAACUCUUUAUACCAAAUUUAGAAGAUAUUCCAAACCAUCUUGGAAAGCCUCAGGGCUCGACUAAGGGUACCUUUUUUAUGGAAGUCAUCAUCACGACGUGCUAGGCUAUUUUGAUGAUGUGGAAUGAUAUUAUUUCCAGAGACUUGGUGCAUUUAGUUCAGGGAUGCAUGGCGGUUUUCAGGAAUGAGUUUGCUCUAGUUAUUAUAAGAGCAAAGGCACGCAAUCACCCCUUCAUUGUUUAAUGGCUAGACAGCUUUGUGUAAUCUUAGCUAUUUUUUCCUUACCAUUUUGUGUCUUGAGGUUACUUGUGUAAGACUUUGCUUGUUUUUUAUUAAUAAAUUUUCAGUAGGGGUGGAGCCCCUCGUGUUUCCUCAAACACAAAAUCUAACCACUCUAUGUUAACAACAACAAUACACAUAACUUUUUGAUAUAAUAAAUUCAACAUCUUUAGUGUCAUGGAACAGGCCAAAAUACUGUUUUUUUGCUAUUGUAGUAAUUAAGAUUGUACCUUACGGCCUAAAAAUGCUUUAAAUAAAAUCUAAAAGGAAAACUUUAAAUAAAAUAUACAAUAGACACUAAAGUUUCAACUUGAUACGACGUGGAUAAAAGUGAUGCAAUAACUAAUACAAUUAAAGUUUAAAAAACCCAAAUAUAGAUUUACGAUGUCAGAAAGGAAUAUAAGAGAUUAUGUAACUUAAACUUUGGUUUCAAUUGAUUUGGUGCAUGUCGCGCGUGAUUAGAUGCAAGAUUCUCAUAGUGAUGUUAGAGUCUUUUAGCGUCCACGUUAGUCUUCUUGACAACUUCUAGGACGAUAUCUUUUAAUUUAGGACCGAGGGAGUAAUUACCAACCUUGCCAUUAUGAAUGAUAAUUGAAAAUAACAUCAAUUUGCUUUAAAUUAUCUUCCUCUAUCAGUAUAUAUGAGCAAGAGAGACCGAACGCACCUGAGUCACCGAAUUAGCUUAGAGAGGUUUGAUGAUGCAGUCAUGCAGAUCAUUUUUGUUGAAUUUGGAGAUGAUUUGGCGUGUGGUUUAUCGUGGCAAGCAUGGUUGCGAGAUAGGUAGCGACACAUCCAUAUUUAUAACCGAGUCAGGUAAAAUAAUUAAACAAGGCGUGUAAAAGAGCUACGUACGUAACAUCACCUAUGCAAGCUUCCUAAACAACAGAACCUCGGCAAUCCUUUAUUCCUGGCUUCCAUCGAUAGCCACACUACGGGUUCUCGUUAUGCCAACUUGGGAAUUCAGCAAAGACGGAUGCCUUCUUACCAGUGGUUCAAGCAAGGCAUUGUACUAAAUAGCGUUCGUAGCGACCACAAUAACAGUUACUGCUCUUGUCGCUACCAGUACGACGUAGCGGCUUGGAUAUAGCUGAUUAAAACUUAGCGUCCGCUAGCUAUUUGGCGGAGCAAGUCGCUAUAGUGGCCAUUAUUUGACAUAGCAAUCUGUUAUAGCAGUCUAAUUCUUAAUUUAAGAUAUAUUUGAUGAGAAUCACUCUUGGAAUACAAUUAAAUAUCUAUUUAUACUAUUUAAGAUAUAUGUUAUUUUUCAAAAUAUACAUGUAUUAGCAGAUAAUGUUAUUAGAACUUAAGCGUCCGCUAACCGCAAUCUGCUAACCUCUUUGGGAGGUUUGUUUUUUUUUUCAAAGGCACUUUUGUUUCCUCCCCUCUAAAAUAGCCUGGACCAUUGAUCUAGAAGGGGUAAAAACAUGUUCCCCUCCAUCGUCUUCUAUUAUCUCAUUUGCCAAGCGGGUGAAAAAAUACGGGCUCAAAGUCCGAUUGAGGAAAAAAAAAAACAAGCGGAUGAAAUCGUCAGGCGCAGUGCGCAAGGGCUUGCCGCUUGCCUGACGCCCUUCCAAUCCGGCCAAACAGUGGAUUGGCCAAAUUGUUUGCAAACGUUAGAUCUCCAAGAGAUUAGCCAAAAACAUUAGUCAAAUUUACUAAUUUAACUACUCUCUAAAAUAGAUUUGAUAAAAAAAAUAUUAGAGUGCUCCAACAUACUCUAUAAAUGAUGGCUAGUGAGGUAGGCUAUCCAAAAUUAGAGAGCGAAUAAGAGCAUCUCCAAGAGAUUAGCCAAAAAUACUAGCCAAAUUUACUGAUUUAGCUACUCUCUAAAAUAGAUUUGACAAAAAGAUAUUAGAGUAUUCCAACAGACUCUGCAAAAGGAUGGCUAGUGAGGUAGACUAUCCAAAAGUAGAGAGCAAAUAUGGUGGGAUGAAGAGCUACUAAAUUUGAAGAGUCAUUUACAGAGUCUGUUGGAGACGUUUUUCCUUCAAUAAUAGCCAAAUAUAUCUUUAGAAAAUGAUUUGGCUAGUCUCUUUGAGAUGCUCUAAGGUUAGAUAGAGAGCUUAUAAAUUUGAAGAGUCAUUUAUAGAGUCUGUUGGAAUCGUUUUUUCUUCAACAAUAACUAAAUUUACCUUUAGAAAAUGAUUUAGCUAAUCUCUUGGAGAUGCUUGGUGACGCACAAAUUUGGUGAUAGCAGUGGAUUAGCCAAAUUAUUUGGAGCUAAGCUCGCCUUGUUCGCUUGAGCUUUUCGGCUGAAUCUGCUAGUUAUUUAGCAGUUUUUUUUCUCUCGUAACAAAUCAACAAAUAGUACUUUCAGUCAUGACUUUAGUCAAGCGAACAUGCUCCUAGUGGCAAAGCUAGAACAAAUUCGAGAGGGGUGUGCUUGCCUUGUGAGUGUGUAGAUUUUAAUUAUGAGAAUGUGAAUAUGGUAAAAAUUUAGUCAUAAUCACUAUUUUACAUUUUUGUGUGGGUGCAGCCACACCCACUAAUCACAAUGUAAUCUGCCCAUAUUACUUCCUUCGUCCCGAAGUAACUGACGUGCAUAAGAUACGUGUUGAUCAAACUUUCUCAAUCUUAACUAAAUUUAGAGAAAAUACUCAAUUUUAACUAGGUUUAUAGAAAAUACUACCACUAUUUGUAUAUUAAAGUGAGUUUAUUAUAUAUUCAACAAUUCAUCUAAGAAUAGUAAUUAUGCACUGUAGAUAUUAAUAUUUUCUUAUAUAUAUUUUGAUAUAAAAUGUUUGACUUUUCGUGAGAAUUACAGUUGACAUCUAUCACAGCCCAUUUCGGUACACAAAGUGAUAUCCUAAUGGGCUUGUUCGGAAUACAUGAAUUGUUCAGAAUUUCACAUAAAUCAGUUUAAUUUCACAUGAAAAUAUUUGGAUUUAGAAGGAAAAAAAAUCUCUCGUGCUAAACCAGGCCUAAUUCUAGCUUCUCAGCCCUGUGGAACCUCAAGCCCAUACGGCCCACCAACUAGGGCCUUUUACAAACAUCCCAUCCCUCUUCGCCGGCGGGCACCAUGACCACCACCAUGGCCAUGGCCGCCGCCACCUCCGCGGCAGCAGCUGUCUCCACGUCGCAUCCGUAUCCUCUCCUCCAACCCACCUCCAAUCGCACCUUCGUUUCCUUCCCGCGGCGACAGCUUCCAGCUACCUCCCUCUCCCUUGCCCUGCCCUUGCCCUCCCAGCUGUCGUUGCGGGGCUUGCCGCUGGCGCCGGCGCCGGCGGCAAACCCGAAGUACCACAACGCGAAGGUGGACGCGGGAGACGAGGACGUGGCCGGUGAGGAGCUCCUGCGGCGGUUCAAUUGGCAGGUGUCCCGCGCGGGCGUCACGGAAGAGGUCAGGCGGCGGCGCAGGCACGAGGACGCCCGGGACAAGCGCAAGCGCAAGGCUCGGUCGGCGGCGCGGCGGUACCGCCGGAGGUGCGUCCCCCCACUGCACUAUCAAUCGCUCUCCUGAUUAGUAAACUUGAUCGACAUGUUCUUGCGCUAUGUGCGUAUAUUAGUUGCUUGGAUUGUUGCUUCGAAUUUGAGGUGCUUCAAAUGACAUGAUUGCUGAUUUAUGGCCGUUUUGCUUAAUUGUAGUUGUAGGCCAAAUUGAAAGUGUUAGCGACUGAUUUGACCACCAUGUGUGUGCGCGAGUUGUUGUACAUUAAGAUGCUAUGUGAUCAUACAUCUGACAAAAAUAGUAGUUUGAUUGCCAAAUUCAUUAGGAUGCCAACCAGUCUACUACUAAUAGUCAUGAUCCUGAAGGUGGGACAGCUAGAUUAUAUCACCACAGAUCAUUUCUGAAUGGAAGUACGUGCGCAUGUGAAAUGGUACUAUUUUUUUUUUCUUAACCAAAAACUUUUCAAGAUUCCCGUCACAUUGAAUCUUGUAGCAAUACAUGGAGCAUUAAAUAUAGAUAAAAACAAAAACUAAUUGUACAGUUUUCUGUAAAUCGCGAGAUGAAUCUUUUAAGUCUACUUACUUCAUGAUUGGACAAUGUUUGUCAAAUAAAAACGAAAGUGCUACGGUGUCAAAAUCCAAAAAAAAAAUUAGAUCAAAACAAGGCCAUAUAUAGUCGCUUUGACAGACCAUCAUCAUAAUAUUGUGGUCAUCUGUAUAAUUCUUUGAUUGCUUUUUUGAAAAGCGGGGUAUUAUCCUUGAUCAUGAAUACAUGAGUGUGCAUCCCUGGCGUGUCCAAGUGCAAGGAAAUGCCUAAUCAAAUACCCCAUUGUGGGAAAGUUCAUCAAGCUUUAUACUGAAUUACUAUUAUAUUAUUAUGAGAAAACGAUGAGGGCAUGGAUUUCAGACGAAGAAAGGAGAAGAACGGAGGAAAAGCUCCUGUCGUGUCACCCUCCGUGUCUGCAUGCCCCAUUUAAUUUGCCACGUUAUAUUCCGGGUUCCGGCGUUAUUCGGCGUAUGAUGAUUGGGGCUUGCUCGUCUCUUUUUUCUCUCUUUUUUUUUCAGAGAGACGAGCUAUACAGCACAGCAACAGAAAGCGCAAUGUGUUCCCUCUGGAAGCAACGCAGCAUCGGCUGUCUCUAGAGUCUAGAACUCUAGACCCACCGUCCCACCGAGUUGUUUUUAAAAAAUCUAGUUAAAGUUGAGAUUAAUUGAUUCCUUGUACUGCUACAUGAAGACUUAUUUCGGACGAAGGGAAUAUUAGUUUCAAAAUAAUUAUAUUUAUUUUUUUUAAAAAAACAUGUGUGGUUUUAUCUUGAAAGCUACUUGCAUAAUGUUGCAUUCUUUUUGCAAAGAAGGGGAAUUAUAUAAAAAUAUCGACAUGUACCUUUCCAAAUUACACGUGACAUAAUAAAGAUAAAAUAUUUGAUUCAGAUACUUCCAUCGACCUCUUUCUUAGUGGCUUAAUACUGAAGACAGAGUGAAAUCCUUAUGCCAGAUUCAACAAUCAGAUUGGACAUGUGACAAGAUCUAACAUUCUAGAACCAAUUCAAAACGCAUCUGAAGCAAUAAAAGAACAUCAGCAAUUAAAUGGUUGGGUACAGUAUAUCAUCACUUCCAACCCUUUGAUUUAUCUUGUUGCAUGUCUGAUUUUCUCUUUGCAACCAUCAACAAUGAGAUUGAUGACCUGGAGUUACUAUCCUCAUAAGAUUACAAGAAGCACCCUUCCCCGUAAAAUAAAUUGACCUUUUGCCGAUGAAAUUGACGUCUACAACAAUAAUGUUGCCAUACCCAUCCUUGAAGUCAUAGUAGGUAGCAAGCUCCUGACCAAAAUCAUCUGUUACAUGUAGAUUUAUUGACCAAAUCUAAGCAAACUAGAUCCAGUAAACAAGGGAUAGGUCAUAGGUGCUCUCUCUUUGUCACCAUCUGCCAGAGAGGAAGAUGAGAGGUCCUAAGGCUAGUCUCAAUGUAGUUUUAUUAGAGUUUUAUGGACAUUAAACAUACUGAUAUGGCAUCAUAUUAAUGAAGAAAGAUAUGAUAAGAGUUUCAUGGGAGUAGAGAGAAUUUCAUGGGGAUGAAACUCAUCUUCACUGUUUUUAAAAAAUAUUGGUUGAAAACUGAGUCAUGCUUCCAUUGAGAAUGGUCUAAGCGACGGCAAGAAGAGCCUAAAAGGUGGCAACGGUUGUGUCCUCAAAGGUGCGGGGGUGAGUCAGUGUCGUAUUUAUUUGAUAUUGUAACUACAUCCAAAUAUAAGUAUAAAUAAUGAUAAAGAAAAACAAAGUCUAGAGGCCAUAAGGGUACUCUCAAUGCUAGAAACUACAUAUAGUUUCUAUAUCCAUUAAAUAAAAUUUAUAGACACUUAGUCUCAAUGGAUAGUUUUUAUAGAAUAUUUUUAUAUCCAAUCACAUUCAUUGUCUCUCCAUUUCUAGCCAAUUAUAUCACUUUAUGUCUUGGAUUUUGUGUAGACAUAGUUUCUAACUUAGACCCGGUUUCUAUGAUUUUGCUCUCUCUCUCUCUUCAAUAACUCUCCUGCCAUAUUAGGGCAGUCUCAAUGGUAGAAAUUACGCACAGUUUCCAUAGUGACUAUGUCAGCAAAAAUUAAUCUAUGGAAACUAUCCCACACAAUAGAGAUGUGUUCAAAGUAAUAAAUAUUGAUCUAUUUUCUCUCUCUCUCUCCCUUAUCCUCUCCAUCCCUCCGAUGCUCAAUCCGUCCGUUCCAACCAAAAGCAGGAGACAAGCAACACAGGAACACCGGAGUUAGCACACGAGCGAACGAGCGAGCGCGGCAUCUGGCACGCAAAAUGCUGCAGCAGGGGCAAGCGAAUGCGGCUCCGGCGAGCAGACAUGGCGGGUGAGCGCGGCAACGCCGACGUGCGCACGCGCGCGGCUCCGGUGGGCGAGCGUGGUGAAGCUGGCAAGAGCGUACGCGGCUCCGGCGAGCGAGCAUGGCGACGCGAGAGAGCGGACAGCACCAGCGACAUGCAUGCCCAGUUGAGCUCACACACUGCGUCCAACGGGCCAGCGCGUUGAGCGGACAUGGUGGGCUAGCACUCGCGAUGCAGGCAAGAGCCGCGGCAGCCAGCGAGCAUGGCGGGCAAGCGCGCACGGCAGUCGGCGGGCGUAGACAGGUGCUUCUGGAGGAGCACACGCGAGGUGUCUUCCCAAUGGCGAAAAGAGCGUUUCUUGGUGACGCGAUUUCUUCUCUAACAAACGAUUUCUUCUUUUUUUACUUCUCUUUCCUCGUUAAUCUUACUGCCACAUCAGCAUUUUGUUUAGCUGGCAAGUUAUUAAAUAGAGAUAGAAACUAUUAUCAAUACGCUAUUGGGAGUGCAAAAUGAUUAGGUGGCAUAAUCAAUGUCCAAAAUGAAUACCUUGCGUGUCAACCGACUAGUAACAUUUAUGCUUUUGUCAUGGAUUGUUAGAAACUAGAUUUAGAGAAAUUGAGUUGUAAGGGCGUCCGCUAGCUAUUUGAUCUCUAGGAAUAAUAUAUGUUAUUGGUUCCCAAUGGCAAUUUGUAAAUAGCUAACUUAAGAAGUCGCUAGCUAUUAGGAAGUCACUAGCUAUUGUGGAGAGUAUUAUGAGAGAGUUAUUUUUAGAAGAUUAUGUUAGAUUAGGAGUCGCUAGCUAUUUGAUCUCUCUCCUCGAUAGCCAAUGAGAGUGCUACUUUUUUAUUAUUUUUAUACAUCAUCUCGCUAGCUAUUUGUAAAGUACUAUUGAGAGCCAAUAGAAUUUUUCCUAACUAGCUAUUUGAUAAGCAUUGUGGAUGACCUCAUCGUAAAAGCUGAGGUUGCCAAUUUUUUUCGAGUAAAUUACCACAAUGCCCUCACCCUAUGCUUUUUCCAUGCAACAAAGAGAUGGGCGUAAUAGUAUUUUAAUGUCUAGAAGCUAGGAUUCCGCAUACAAGAACACAUGUGUCACAUCUCUUUUCUUCUAAAAUAGCUAUUUAGACCAAGUUGUACAACACAGGUCAUUACUCUCUGGAUCGAACGUGUGCCUCGGGCCUCGGCACGACUUGCAUGCCAUCGGCGACUCGGCGUGCGCGUGCUGCUCGAUCAGCUGGUCCUCGGUGGUGUGCUAUGGGCCUAUGGUGUGACCCAACUAACCCACACUGACACAGAAAUGCAAUUUGCGGUAUCGUUUGGAACUUACGAUGCCAAGGUAAACUAAACUUUUUAUUUUUUUUUCUUUUCCGUAUGUAUAAAAAAGAAUUAUUUUUAGGUCUUGUUUAGUUUCCAAAAUUUUUCAAGAUUCUCUGUCAUAUCAGAUCUUGGAGCACAUGCAUGUAGUAUUAAAUAUAGAUAAAAAAUAACUAAUUGCACAGUUUAACUGUAAUUUACGAGACGAAACUUUUGAGCCUAGUUAGUCUAUAAUUGGACAAUAUUUGUCAAAUAAAAACAAAAAAUGCUACAAUAAAAAAAACCUAAAAAUUUUUGCGAACUAAACAAGCCUUUAGAAGAUUCAGGCCACGAGGUUGUCAGCGACUCGCAGGCCUCGCAGGUUGGCAGCAAUCGUCAAUCGAUGGUACAGAAGGCCUUGUUUGGCGAAAUGAAAAGUUUUCGGCCACUGUAGUAUUUUCGUUUGUUUGUGGUAAAUAUUGUCUAAAUGUGGACUAAUUAGACUCAAAUGAUUCAUUUCACGAUUUAUGUGUAAUUAGUUUUUAUUUUUGACUAUAUUUAGUGCUCCAUGUAUGUGCCGCAAGAUUCGAUGUGACUGGGAAUCUUGAAAAGUUUUUGAAUUUCGGGGUGAACUAAACAAGACCGAAAUCGAUGUCCACGGAAAAAAAUACAAAUCUAGCAUAGUAUCAUAGUUCAAAAAUUAUGAUACAAAAUAAAUAUAUUAGAUUUAUUAUGAAAUGUAUUUUUAUAAUAAAAUAAUUUGAAACCAUAAAUAUAAAUAUUUUUCAUGAGAAAUUUGAUCAAAUGUGAAUUAAUUUUGGUGGCUGGUAACUUGCAGUUAUAUAUUCUUUCUAGACAGAGUACCAAAAUGCAAAGGAUUCGGUCGACUAGUUUUGUCAGACAGAAGAAUCCACGCUGCAGAUCUGAAGUCCAUUCAGCCAGUGUAAGGACACACGGAUCUGCAGCAGUUCUGCCUGCCUGCCCUGUAUCAUGAACACAACAGGUCUGUCCAGUUGUACAAUGCCUCAUGAUGAUCCCUCCAACAUGCAGUCAUGCAGUUGCAAGAUUAAAGGGUGCAUUAUAGUGGAGGAGCAUUUUCAGAGAUCAAUGGUGGCACAGGGCAACAGACUUUUCUUCACAGUAGCUAAGCUAAUCAAGCACAGUUGAAAGAUUAAGGUUUGCAUAGUGGAGGAGCAUUUUCAGAGAUCAAUGGUGGCACAGGGCAACAGACUUUUCUUCACAGUAGCUAAGCUAAUCAAGCACAGUUGAAAGAUUAAGGUUUGCAUAGUGGAGGAGCAUUUUCAGAAGUUGUUAUAGCAUGAUGUGCCAGAGGCUGAGGGACAAAGAAAGGUGUGCCAGCCUACGAACCUGCCAGAAAUUCAGGCUACCUGUCCAACGCAAGAACCUUCCAAGCCUCCAGGCAAAAGUACCCAGGUUUCAUGGCAGCUCAUAUGUCUACCUCUACAUAUACAUGCAUUUUAUUGUAUCGUAUCAUUCACCAUUAUUUUUCAUCCAUGCAUGUGGACGUUAUUUUAUUUUCAGCCCUAGUAUAUAUAUAUAAAUACUGUUCUGACGUGGUACCAAAUUGCAGCUCAGAUUUGUAGUUUACUCUACAAGCCACGCUCACCUGUUUCGGAGCUAUCUUCAGACAGCAACCUCACGAGAAGGCACCACCAACCCGGUGCACUGCACACACUUGUGCCAGCCUUUGUAUUGUGGCCCAUACAUAGUUUUCCUUGAUUACUACAGAUAAACUAACAUUAGGAACAUGUGUGGGUCUCAGAAUAGGAUACUGCAUGCAAAGGCUGUGCCUCUUUGCUUCCCCUUGCUUUUGACUUCAGCAUGAGAAUCCUGUCCCUGAUAAACCUAGGAAUAUUUCUGUAAAAAAGGAACUGGGACCUUCAUCCAGUCCUCCAGGCAAUGCCACCCUGUCACCGGACUUUAGAUGACAAAGUAAAGAUCAAUGAUGCAGCAAAAUAGGUUUUAUCUAGCCUCAUAGCCUGUGCUUAUCUAAUAUCUAUGUGUCAGGUUUUGUGGGCUAACGGUUGAAAGCUCAGUAACCAAAGAUGGGGAAGAAAACAAUGGUUAUGAGAGUGAUCUGGAGGUUGGUCUGGUUCUUUCCUUUUCCUUGGAAACAUGCUGAUUUGAUGCAAGAGGAUGCUUUCCCAGUGCUACAAGUUUCAGAUAAAGAUGCUCAACACAUAAAGUUGCCAUUAUGUAAAAUCUAAAGUGAAAAAACAGCAAAAGCACAAUGUUCUGUGUGGUUUUUCACUGAGGGGACAAAUGUUCUUUCAGGAUCAGGACCACUACUACAGCAAGGUGCAAGGAAGGUGCACCAUCCUUUUCUUCAACACAAUCUACCAGUUAACCAAAGCUUGUGCUUACAGAAUUUAUAGUGUAUUCUUAUCCAGGCAAAAAAAAUGUACACAAUCGCAGUGUUGGUGACCAUAUCUAUCGAGGUAUGAGCAUACUGCAAUGUAAUAAAAUAUCAGAGAAGAAAGAAAGUCAAGUAGUCAUCCUAUUCAUUCCCUCUUUCAUCAAGAAAACUUACAGUGAACGCGCUACCUAUCUGUAUCUACAAAGAAUCAUUUCCCUUAGAUAUGUAAAAAAAUCGAUGGUUCUAUAAGAACUAAGAACAGGAAAAGAGACUAAAUUUACCAAAGAGCAAAUCACUCUUCUACCUAACUCUUUUUUGUGUUUCUUUCCCUGUCUGUGUAUACCCCAUCAUCUACCAUGGAAGACUUCCAGUGGCUGGAUCUGUGAACGCUUUAUGCACAAAAUCUUUAAGACCGGUAUCAAAUACUUCACAGAACCGACGCGGCCAAUCCUCUGGUUCCACCGGCUUAGUCCCCAAUCCUGGUGCCCUGUCCCUGGAUCCAACAUUCUCCUCGUCCUGCCAAUCGGCAACAUAGGUCGCGACACGGCCAGAAAACUUAUCCUUGAACACCUCCCAAACUUGAUACUUGUAAUGGUUGAUGAGCAUCACACCCUGACCAAGGUUCACAUACCUCACCCCUUCUUUCAGAUGGAAGUGGUGCACCACAUUGAUGAGUGAUGGGUUUAGUGCGUCUGGCCUGACAAUUGACUUGUGUCGCUCCGGUGCAGCGAGUCGGCAGGUGUAACCUGUUGUAACGCCUUUCUUGGGAAUUUUUGUCCGACCUGAGGGACCAAAGCUGUGGCAUGCAGUCCUGAGCUCCCCAAUCCGUGGCCUGUUUGAGUAGUUCCGGAGAAUAUCUUGUAGAGUCUUGUUGCCAGGGAAGUGCAAGAACUCGUCGAUGUCGAUGAACCCCACCCACUCACAGCUCUCUCGGGCCCUGAGAGCACAAUGUGCGAAACCAGCCUCUUGAGACUUCAUCCAUGGCCACAGAUGGCGUGUCACAUUGUACCUUGAUGGAUCCAUGGUACCGAGGGCCUGCUCAAUGUCAUCAUCACUGUUGUUGUCAUAGAUGAACCACCGCUCCACACCGAUAUGCGAGUGGUAGAUGAUCCAUUCUCGGAGGAACCUUGCCUGGUUGCGAAGCAUGGUGCAUACACACAUUGAAUGUGCCUUUUGCCGCCGAUGUCUGUUAUACCGAGGAAGUGGCUCAGGCUCAGCUAUUGAUGGCAGCGUAGAGUCCCUCUGGCCUUUCGUCCUGAUGGAGACCAACAUAGGCUUGUCAUCACUGUCUCCAUUGCCAUUGGGAUUAGUUGUCAUCCUGAGAUACCGGCGAAUGCGAACUGGUGUCACACACCGGAAAAUCUCUUGUGCAGCAGAAAUCACAGGGGAUGUGAGCACAUGCUUUGGCUUUGACAGGUCACGGCCAAAGACACACUGAUACCUCGACGCCACACCCAAACGGCCUGGCCGGAGGUUCAUCCCCUUGGCGAACACAAUGGUGGAGUUGUCCCUGCUGUCAACAAGAGCAGUGUACACAAGCCUGUCCCACUGUAGCGGCGCCACCGGAGGUGACAGGGACAGUGACAGAGAGACAUCCACACCAGAUGGUUCGGCAGGGCAAUGGACGAGGCUGGGUCCAUCCGGCAAGGAGGCGGCCAACAGGGGCUGCCGGCGCAGCUCCGAGGAGUUGGCAGGGGAGUAUAAGCACUCAAACCGCUGAGGAGCUGGCAGCGACGACCCGUCCUUGAGGAUCAGGAGAACACGGUCCGGGAAGGCAACCGCGUGCUGGAUUUGGACUGACGGCAACACGGCAUCGGCAGUGCUGCCAGCUUGCUGCGCUCUGGCAUCAGAGGAAAUGGCGUUCAGGGUCGCCGACGGCCACGCCGUCCUGAGCACCGGCCGGAACGACGCUGCAUCAGAGACAAGAACAUCAGCACCUCGUGUGGAGAAGAAACAAACCAAGCGGAUUUAGCAUGCUUGAAUUCAGAAACACCAACACACACAUUCUUCAUGUGAUGGCGUGAGCUUUUCCUGUUCUAGUAAAAAUCAGUCAAAAGCAAACGCCAUCACUAGCAUAAUGCAGUAUUCACUUGCUAACGUUCCAACCCGGAAACCCAGGUGCCACUGGUGCGUUUCCAAUGAAAUCAUUAACAAACGGACAGAAUCCAGCGAGAUAAAUUGCAAUUUUCCCGGGAGUGGUAAGACCACAUCAGAUCUACCGCAACGCCCCCACAAAAAAAAAAAAAAAAAGAAACCGACUUUUUCCUCACCUCCCCAACAACGAACACCAAACACAUACCAAAAUCGUAUCUAAAAAUGAGAACUUUCUCGCCCAAAUCAUUGUUAAUCCCACCACGCUCCAAGCACACGGUUCUCGUGACAACACAAUUCCGGCGACCCACCUAAACCCCACCUAAGAUCCAAUAAUUCACGCCAGGAGAAGGCACAGAGGCAAAUGGGGAAGGAAAGCUCACCUCCAAUGACGUGCACGCCGCCGAGGACGACUACGCCGGCGCACAGGAACGCGAAGAGCGCCGCGAAGACACGCCGCUGCGGCGCCGCCGGUGACCGGUGGCCCCUUGCGGCAGGGGAACCCCCGCCGCCGCCACCACUUCCUGCCGCUGAAGUAACCUUACAACUCCCGAGCCUGCUCAGCUUCCUCUCCUUCGCCGACAUCGCCAUCGCCGGCGCCGGUCACAACCGCCGGAAACUGUCCGGCAGCAGCACCCCAGAUCCCCAAGCGGCGGCGGCAGCGUGCCUCACAGGCCACACCAUCCGCAAACGCGCUACGGGGAGUCGUGGAGCAUCGGCGCCCCGCCAAUAUCUCCACGUGUAGUUGCCGUGGACGAGGAAGAAGGCGAAGCGAGGCGAAGCGGCGGCCGGCGAAUCCGAAGCGGUGGUUGCGUUCGCACGGCUGCUUCCUGCUGCAGCAGUGUCUGCUGGGCAACCGGCGCGUUUAUACCCGCGGCCACGCCUCUGACGGGUGGGCCAGCGCGUGCCUCCUGGGCCCACGCGUCAGUAGGGAGAGGCCGGCCGCGAAGCGCGGGGUCGUGCGGCGCGUGGCUGGGAAUGACGUGUGGGCCCGUUGGGACAGUAAGCCAGUGACAGGUGGGGUCGGUUCUAACGGCACGGGCACGUCGAGCCAAUGGAGGCGGCGGGUUCGCUGGGGUGGUUAUUUCAUGGAGACGUGCUGUAUGACAGUGGGGUCAGCAUGUGCGGGCCCAACAUGUCAGUUGCUGAGAUGGGGAGAGGUGUUGGUGUCUUGUGAUUUGGAUGGAACAGCAAUAAUUGGUGUGCACAUGGGGGAAAGGUGUUAUUCUGUAAAUUCUGCCUGUCCAUUGGGGGAAUUUAUCUACCUGAAUAUAACUAUAAUAUAUUUAUAUUUAUCAUGUAUAAUAACAGGAAGAUUUUCUUUUCAUUCCCAUUCACUUUGUUGCUUUGCUUUAAUGCUAUUAGAGUGUAGAGACAAGAAACAAUAAUGGAAUAAUUUAAAAAAGGCAGAUUUGGCAGAGCAUGGAAAGAGAAGGCCAUGAACACCAGAUUUAGCAGAGCAUGAAUAUGUAUUAUAUUAUAUAUCUCAUUUAUGCAUCUGAAUUAUUAUAUGCAGCAUGUCCUAGCUUCACAGCAUGUUUUGAACUUUAUUUAGAUACUCACAAACUUACCUGACACCUAUUUUACCAUUUAAUUUGAGAAUGUCAGGUUUAGUUUUGUAGCAGUGUCCUACUUCUGUAUCAGUUGAUGGCUAAUUCGCUUUCAUUAUAUAUUUUCGAUAUAUAUGCAUAUACAUAUGCAUGAUUUUGUCAUGUUUUAAACUUUUUAUUUGCUACUAAAUCGGAGCAGCAUCUCGACGAAGAAACUUGCUACGUGUUAGAUUUGUGGUCACAAGAAUUCUUCAUUCGAACCAUAUUAUGACCCAACUUGAUUGAGAUGUUUUGGCAUUUUUCAUAUGCACGUGAAACCUUGGUACCUUUUUUCCUCUACAUGCUAAAAGCUAUCUAAUUGUAAUUCACAUCUCAUAGCUAAGGGGUGGAGCUGGGCUAUCUGACAACAAUGGAAUUUUCACAUCCAAGAGUUCAGUAUUCUUACUCCAAGAGGGAACAAGACAAAUGAUCAUACUUAUUACAACACUAAUGGCAUCAAUGCAUUUUUAUUCUAAAUCCACACCAGCAUUGCACUCUUUAAUAUUUUAUAAUUACAAUUUAAAAUAUAAAUAUUUCUACCUGUUUUAAAGGAAUUGAAUAAGCAAAUCAUCCUACGUCCCUACUCGUACAUCAAAGACAGAAAUACAUACCCUACUUCAAAGGGAAGGGACGUCAAAUGUGGUCCGCUAAAAGGUUACAUACUGUGAUACUGAUCUCUGGCUUAAUCCCGGUUAACAACUAGUAUGAGAGAGAGUAGAAAACCUGCAUCCAACCAAUCUGGAGGACAUACAGAAAAGCUAUCAUGAUGAUAGACACUUGUCCUGGUAAGUACUUUAUUGACUGUCCUGCUGUUCCUGCCUUUGCCUUUCUGUGCAAUUUUCUUCUUCAGCUACUAUGAAGCAGCACAUAACAACUAAAAAAGGUUUCAGAGAAUCCGGUCAUUUGGUUGGCUAUUGAUGCUACGGCUACCACCAGUUCUGUAAAAGUGGUUGUCCGUAUGGACUAUUGGCAUUAACAUCUCACGAAGGAAAAAAAAUACAGAUUAGAUAGCAGCAGUUUAAGAUUUGGUUUAUGUUUACCUUCAGCAUUGACACCAUUUAAAUGGAUCAUGCCGUGUAGCUGAAAAGUUUAUCUAAGGGCCUGAGUUGCAGGAAGCAGAAUGCCUGAAAUACAAAAGGGACGGCAAGGAUAUUUCUAGUCAGAGUUUGUUAGAAAGCAUAACUGUUCUUCAAAACCCUUUUUUCUGGACAUGCACUACUCAUGAAUCAUGAUAGAGAAUAUCAGAGCAGAGCAGCACAUUAUCUUCCGGUUGAGCUGUGUGUAUAAAAGGGCAGCAGCAGCAUACGCUCGAAGCAUCUUAGCCCAAACAUUUCAUUAGAUAGCUCUGAAGGUAAGAGUUGUAGGAAACUGAACUCUGCCUGCUGUCUUCAGUCCCUUGACUGACAGUUUCAGGAGUUCAGUUUUCUCCAACAUCUUAUCUCCAGCGCCUCUAUCAGUAGCCAUUGCAAAAUUAAGUACAUGUGUGUGAUGAGUUUGCUUGUGUAGGGUGACAACUCUGAGCUGAAACUUUGGCAACUGAAUUUGAGAAUUGGAUGGAACCAAAUCUGAUUGCGGAAGCAAGACAUGACUUGGUUUCCUCCAAUAUCUCAUGUUCAGUUGAUCAAAUCAUGUGUAGGUGCACUGGUGCAGUACAGCUAGACGAGACUUGUCUGAAGAAUUUGGAAGCUGAAGGUGAGUGUUGGCGGGAACCAAAUCUCCAGCUGCAUGCACAGCACAAGAUUUGGUUUCCUCCAAUGUCUCAUCUUCAACUGUCCCAAAUGCAACUUUGGAGACGCUUUCAGGAUUAUUUAUAUAUCCUUCAUGAGUGACCAUAAUCAACAUUUCCAGUUAACCAAAUAGUCAGCUCUUUGCAUUUAUUUGGGAUCUUGGGGAAGGGAUUUCAGGUUGGACUGAAAAUCUGAACAUUUCCAAAAUCAUUACUGACAUGUUAUAUGUGUGGUUUCAGAUUGGACUGAACCCUCUGAAACUGAAACCAAUUUGAUCAGUGUCGCUCUUAUUUUCCCUAGCCUGCUAAAAUACUACACAGAAAACGUGUCCUCUACCAAAACCUACUUCUCACAGUGAAGGUUCAGUCAAGGGGCCAUCAUUUAUUUUGUAAUUUGAAACUGUGCAAUAAACUUGGUAUAAAAGUGCAAUUAUCUACAAGGAUGCUUACAGUAGAACCCAACAUCUGAAUGUGACUGCUGGGAUCAUUUCAAGAUCAUUCAUGACAUGAAUAUAGUACCAAUGAAAGAAUUCACAUGUAGCUCAAAUAGUUGUAUAUACAAAGCAUUUCGCAGAGAGCCUAGCUAUGAUCACAAUGUCUCUCUUAGUACCGAUUUUCGUGGUUCUCUCCCUCAGCUUCACCGUCGUCGCCGACAAAAAUACACAGAGAGACUAACCAGGCUACGCAGGCCCAACAACAUUAGUAAUCAAUUUGAGUCCAACCGAACCUGGAUAAUCCAUGAGACCCAACUACAUGCAUUGUCCAACCAAAUUGUGCGUCAUCCUUUUUUUUCUGUAAGUAUACGUCAAGUUGUGACCAUGUGGCCCAUAUCCCUAUUUUGUUUUCUCUUUCCUUUUUCUUCUUUUUUUUUCAUUUCUCUUAUUUUAUUUUAUUUCAUGUUUUUCUUUUAUAAGCCUCUUGCUUAUUGUUUUUCUCAGGUACAUAAUAUCCAUUUCAUUGAUAUCUAUUUCUUAUAAUUGAAUAUAAAUAAGCAUGUAAUUGAUAGCUCCAUUGACGAAAAUAUACUUUUCAUAUUUUUCAUAUCUCAUCUUCACAUUUCUUUUUAGAUUUGUGAUAUUCAAGGUUUCUUCAUAAUUGUGCCUAAAAACUAAAGUAUGCAUCCAAGUUUAGAGUAAUGCAACCACGUACAAGCUCUCUUUGGCAGAGCUUCUUAAGAAGUUUGAGCUUUGAUUUUUUCUGUUUUUUAGGUAACGUCCUACCAAAUUAAAUACUAUUACAUCCAUUUGAAAUUAUAAAAUAUUUUGGAUUUUCUAGAUAUGUAGUUUUUUCUAUACACUUAGUUUUAUGUUAUGUCUAGAUACAUAAUAAAAAAUUUAAAACAAUCUAUAUAGAAAAGUCAAAUGUCUUGUAUCUUGAAACGAAAGGAGUAGCUUAGAGCAACUCCAGCAGUAGCCCCCAAAACUAAGCUCCUAUUUUUAAUUUGGGUGCUCCCCCUACUUCUUGGGGCUCUACUUUUUUGCUUCAGCUCCAACAGUAGCACCCAAAUUUGAGCCCCCAAACCUAUUCCAGAGAGAAUGACAGAAGGGACCCACUCGUCAGUGUCUUUUUCUUCUUCCUCUUUCUUCUUCCUUUGGACAUGGACACAACUAGAGCAUCGAGCCGGUUACCGUAGGGUGUCAUGCACAUGCAAGGGUAAAGAGAGAGGGAGCAUGCGCUGGGGCUAGAACACACGAUGGAGGAUGGGGGCUGCCCUGUUGGGCCAACAGGAAUGAGGUCUGGGAGAGAAAUAUGGGUGCCCAGCCAAAUAUGGGGUCUGGAGUAGGGGCCCUGCUGGAGUAAUGUUUUUAGCAUGGGCACCCAUAUUUAGCUAUUGGGGCUUGAGUAGGGGCCCUGCUGGAGUUGCUCUUAUAAAACAGCUCUUCGAGAGAAGCUGCAAAUGGAAGAACUGUUUUUUUCAUUUUAGUAAAGUGUCUCUUGGAGAUGGCAACACUGUCGUCAGUAAGUAUUCGCCGAACAUGUGUGAUAUGUUUUGAGGACUUGUUUAGUUCACCCAAAAAAUAAAAACUUUUCAGGAUUCCCUAUCACAUCAAAUCUUGCUGUAUAUGCAUGGAGUAUUAAAUAUAGACAAAAACAGAAACUAAUUGCACAGUUUGCCUGUAAAUCAUGAGAUGAAUAUUUUGAGCCUAGUUAGUCCAUGAUUGGACAAUAUUUGUCAAAUAAAAACGAAAAUGCUACAGUACCGAAAUACAAAUAUUGUGUCCAUAGAAACGAAAACCGCUCAUAACCAGGUCAGGAUGUAAUGUGCAUGGUUUUAAAAGUUGAGACAUGUAUUCUAUCUGAUUUUAGAGUUCAGAUGAAAAAGAUCUACUCAUAUGAAGUCCAACAAAAUUAGAUUGUCCUUUUUUAUGAUUUUUAUGUGAUUUACUAUGAUUUCUCAAAAAUUCUAUCGAAAUAAAUAAAAAGAAAAGGACAAAACCGCUCAUAACUAGCUCAGGAUAUAAUGUGCAUGGUUUUAAAGUUGAGACAUGUAUUCCAUCCGAUUUUAGAGUUUUAGAUAAGCAUAUUAAUCUUUCUAAAAAAAAGAUGAGCAUAUUUAUAGGUAAAAGUUAUGGUAAUAAAACGUAUAGGCCAAUUGAAACGUACCAAUGAAAAUAUAUCACUAUUCAUUUGCAUUUUUAGGCAACACUGCAGUUUGCAAAUAUAUCACUCUUUUAUUCUUGUAUUUUUAGCUAACAUUACAGUUCUCCCAAACGAAACCCAUCAUGAUGCAAGCUCAACAUUCAGUUCAUGAUACCGAACUUCGCAUACGCAUCCAUGGUCUUGCAUCUAUUCUGCAGCCCCUGCCCCCGGUGACCCUAAAAAAAUGAUACCAAACUUCCAUAAAACAGUCUUCAAUCAGCCGCUUCAUUCCAAAUUUCUGUAUACAUCGAAGGAAAAGACAUGUACACCAGGAUUACAUAUUAUCACAAGACAUGGCUUCAAGUUACCAUUCAUCAUACAUAAAGCAUAUUACAUUUCAGCAAAAUCACCAUCAGCAAGCAAGAGCAAGUGCUACCCGACUCCCUGCUCGUCUUUCAAGUGCUCCUAACAGUCCUUGGAUCAAGACAUUGACCCACAGACUACAUGUUAAGAUGUGGCAUGCUCAUCUCAGGAAAGCAGAAAAAGACCAUUUUACCUCCUUUCCUUCUGUCCUCUGAUGAUGAAUCCGAUACUGUCAUCAGUGGAUCACACAGCAGAGAAAACCCGAGGCUCUGUUGAAGCUUCACAGCCCAUCAUGUACCCCGUAUUUACAUGUCAGCCUGUAAAAUGUUUGGUAACAAGUAACUCGAGGCAAGCAGCCAUUCAUGGGGCACCUACAUCAGCAUUUACUUGAUCCUGCCCAAAAGAGCUGCUCAUAUGUAGUCACCAAGGCUAGAUAGCUAGAGGAACUCUGCUGAUGAACUACAGCCUCAAGAAGACAUGCUACUUCACUGAGGAGACUUUGACAAGGCAAUUUCUUCUAGGCGCUUCCAUCUAGCCUCACGUUUUGACCUCACGCCAGCUUCUUGAGCUUCCUCUUCCUCAAACUUCUUGCGACACUCCUCAAACAGUGUGGGGUCAUGGUCCAUGAAUAUUUUCCGAACAUUUAGACUCAAGCUUUGAACUGCCUGAUUCCAGUGGCCUUUCGUAUUUCGUUCUAAUGCUGGAAAGAUUAUGGGCAGUAUAACCUUACUGUUCUGUUUGAUCAAACUCUCAAUAUGAUCGUUGUUCCAUAGAAACAGAGCCCUCUCUGCCACCUGUGGAACAAAAGAAGAAAUUAUAUAAUGUUAGCUUCUGUGGAAAACAGUUGGACGGAAUCACAAGACAUAUCUUGUUUUAUGACUGAUUCUGGGAAAGCACCAAAUAUGUCAUCAGGUAAAAUACCAUCGGACAUAUGGUCGUUUUCAACCGUGAGAAAACGCUCCAUGAGUUGAACAUGAUUUUCUGCGGUCAAAGAAUCAACUGUUCAUGCCUUCUGGAAACUCUUGAAACAAGGAAACUAGGCCAUGACUACUUAUUUCCUCAACUGCCUCACUGUCACUCAGGAAACAAAAGUCAUUUAUUUGGAAGACGUGAAUUGGCAUGCUCCAUAACAGCCAUGCGGUAUCAUCAACCUAACAAUUGGGUGCACUGAGAUGAUAUGGAAUGAAAUGAAGUUUGAUGUGCUGUGUUUGGAAUCCAACUUGGAAACCAUAUAAUGCUACCGAACAGUAAAAAUGAGAAGCACGUAAGCCAUCAUUUAAAAUAGGCUGAGCAAAUUGUUUGACACUAACAGGGUCUUACAGAGAUGCGAUAUAAUGGUACGAAAUUGAAUUAUGACAUAACAAUAGUAUUGGCUUUCAUAUAGCAAACUGGACUUAGUUCAGCAGGACGCAUUUUUUACAGUAUUUUCUUAUCACUAACAUUUCCCAUGCUUCUUCUAAUAACUAUAAUUCUCAAGAUACUUGAAGAGAGACUAAUUUUGUGAUUAUGGUAUGGAAUCCAAAUAAAUACAAAAGCAGUUUCAAAUACCAGUUAGAAUUAACACGCUAAGGCAACAAGGAAGAAGGAACAGAUAGAAGAAUAAAUAGGUCCAAUUAUGAGUUGGUUAGAAUUAUAUAUAAAAAAAAUUGUCCAGUUUCUGGAGUGGAAAUAAAAAAAUAAAUGAAAUGGGCACUGGACAAAGUUCCCAUACUACUAACAUUCCAUCAUGUGGAAGUAGCAGCUACUAAGAGGCUCAAGGUCAAUAUGACUAUUUAUGUAUCAACAUCAUCAAAAUAGUAUGCACUUUACACGUAUCACUUGCUACAGCUUAGUUGACUUACACUAUAAAUGAAUAGGUGAUAGAGUCAUGUCCCAAGCAAUAUGCCAGAAAUGAAUGAUAAUUUGAAGAUGAGAGCUUCCAUGAGCUAUUAACAAGUGCAUAUUCUAUGUUUAUGGUGUAUAAUUGGCAGUCUGCUAUCCCUUCUUACCUGAAAGUGAGAACUGCUUAAGCAGCGGGCGAUCUGACGAAAAAGUUGCACCAUACACCUCUGGAACUCUGCUGGCUGUGUAGCUUCCAGCACCUCCUCUAACUCACCCAAAAACAUCACCUCCUUUGAGCUAUUUGUGAUGGGCCAAUACUUGAGUAAACCCCUUAUGACGGUAUCAGCAAGCUUGCAAUCUUUCUCAACAAACUGGGUGACACAGUAUGACAGUUGCUGAUGGUACAUGGCAACACAUUUUGGUUUGUGGAGCGGAAUCAGUGCUCGGACCAAAAACAAUUUGUGCUCUUCCUUGAGCGGCAAAGCAAAGCCAUUAAUUAUACUCCCCAAGAUCUCUAACAGCUCUGCGAUACCAUUAUGCUUCUCUGUCUCAAAUAUAAACCUGUAGAAGAUAUUAUUAAUCGCCUUCCUGAUGAACGGACGGUGCACCAUGAACUUGCCAUAUAUUCUGUGAAGGAUCGUCUUCAGGUACUCCCUCUCCCUAGGAUCCUCCGAGUCAAAGAGAUCAAGAAGCCUGACAAUGAAGCCGUGGUCAAUGUAUCUCUUGGCCAGCUUCGCAUCCGUCUCAGGAGACUGGAUAAACCUCAAGAACAGCUCAUACACAAUCUGCAGGUGCGGCCACGCCGGGUCCAUGACGGGCUCUUCCUCUUCCAUAUCGAACGACUCAAGUGCCUUGUUCUCUCUCGCGGCAGGGGCCGGCACCCUGAACAGAUUCACAGACACCAUCCUGAUGACCUCCUGCACGACGUGCUCCGGGAACUUGCCUGUGGCGGAGGUGAUGUAAUCCACCAGCUCAAGCAGCGUCUGCCUCUUGACCUCUUUCUCCCGCACGUCCUUGGUCGGGUCCGCGAAGUCAAACACCACGCAGCACAUGGCCAGCUUCCUGAGGAACAGGCCGGGCUUCUCGGACGCCGGCACGUCCCUGAAGCUCGGCAGCGCCUCGUACCCUGCUGACAAGGCCGCGAACCCGUUGCUGACGCCGCCGGCACCGAGGCCGGCGCCCCUGGCCCCGUAGCUCUGGCCUGGAUUUGGCGCCGCGGAGGCGUAAUUGCUGGGAUUAACGAGCCUGCUGGACAUGGUCAAAUCGGUGGUGGUCCUUGCAUCGGACGUCGGGCUGGGCACCGACGGGCCCGCUCCGGCCAGCUCCUUCUCGCCGGACUUGGCCGACUUCUCCUUCUUGGGAAGCCGGCCGAGGAUUUGCUUAAUCAUGACGGAUUGCAAUAAGCGUCCCCGAUCAAAACCGCGCUAAAGAAAUCUCCCCAAAUCCAUAAUCCCUUCGCCACCUGAACAAAUCGAACACCGUGAGAAACCGAACCGAAAAUCUGCCCGCACACACACACACACACAAGCAAAAUUGGGGGGAAGAAAAAAAAAACCGCACCUGGGGACCAAAUCGACGCCUCCGGAGGCGAAUCCGCGAUCGCCGCCGUCGAAAACCCGCGCCUUCCGAUGAGAAAACACGAUCAGACGCAGCAAUAAAAGGGGGGCAGACCGCGGCGGAGUCAAAAAGGAAAAAGGGGGGGGGGGCGGCCGGGGGAGCGAAAGCAAAAGGGCGAAAAAGAAAAAAAAUCGCAGCUUUGGCACGAAUUUCCGCCGGAAGUGGCCCGGGGGCGCCCGCGAAUUGGGCGGAUUUGUUGGUGCGGGAAGAAGCUGUGGGGCGGAUACUCGCGGAGGCGCGCUGGUGCGGCGGGUCUCUGUUCCCGGCAGCCGCCGGUGCAGGCGCAGUGGAGGAAGGGGGAGGAGACACAGUAGGUGGUGGGCGAGAGCCAAAUCGGGCGAGGAAAUUAAAGACGACGGCGAGGUCCUUUUUGGACCAAAUCCAACAACAAAUUUUCGUGUCGUGAGAGCGGAUAGGCUCCGUCGGCCCCGGCCGUAAAUAUUCUUGGCGUACGUGUGUUUGCGAUGCGCCCCGCGCUGAAGAAUUCCGCCGCCACGUUCAUUGGUGCCACGAAAUUUAUUCUCCUGUAUCAUUGUUCGUAUCUUCUUCUUUUUUUUUGUUCUUGUUUUUAUUGUUGCAGUCUUCUUCUUAAUCAAAUCAAAGUAUCGAUACGAGGUGGCAGCAGAGUUUAUACGCCCUUUACGCCUUGUUUGGAUGUUGUCGUAUUUACUUCAAUCCAUGUGUUGGUGUGGAUUGAAGUGGAAUUUAGUUCAAGUUCCACUCCAAUCCACCUCAACACAUGUAGAUUGAUGUGAAUACGACUACAUCCAAACAAGGCCUUAAAGAUGUUUUAUUACGAGUAUUAAUCUACCGAGAUUUAUUCUGACAUAGAUGCUUAGGUCCUACCUACAGCGGGCUUAGUUAACUAUCAUAUGUGUUAAUCAGCUAACAGCGGAUUUUUAGCUUGGUGCCAGAUAAGAUAUUAACUAGCUUAUUAACUAUUAGUUGUAUAAGCUAAUUGUUAGCUCGGAGGUAGGUAAAACAUCAGCUUUAGGAUACAAAUGACAACUAAUUUUAGCAGCUAACUAUCGAUCAAAAGAUGCCUAUAAUAUUCUUUCAAAAAAAAUGCUCAUAAUACCCAGAGCAUAUCAUCGUAUUCCUGGUGUUCUAAAAAGAACAUAAUUCUCACGUUCGAGUCAAACAAUUUUAAAAUUAACUAAAAAUAUAUAAAGACUAUUGACAUUUAUUAUAUCAUUAGAUUACCAUAUAAUAUGUUUGUAUGGCAACUUUAUUUGUAGUUAUAAAUAUUAAUAUUUUUUUCUACAAAUGUAGUCAAACUUAAGAAAACAUUGAUGGUUCAUAUCUAAAACUCCACUAUUAAUUUGUGGAUAGAGGGAGUAAUGUUUUUUUACAUGAUAAGAUGGCAAGAUCUUGUUCAACAUACAUGCCUUAGGCCUUGUUUAGUUAGCAAAAUUUUUUGGUUCUGGCUACUGUAACAUUUUCGUUUGUAUUUGAUAAUUAUCGUUCAAUCAUGGACUAACUAUACUCAAAAGAUUCGUCUCACAAAUUACAGACGAAUUGUGUAAUUAUUUACUUUUUAUUUAUAUUUAAUGUUUCAUGCAUGUGCCGCAAAAUUCAAUGUGAUGGAGAAUCUUUAAAAAGUUUUAGAACUAAACCAGACCUUAAUUUGGUGAACUUUUUAGCAUGUAAAAACUUGCAUUCAAAGACAAGCUUAAUUUUACCAACAGACACUUGUAAAAUUAAACUAAACCAGUAGUCAGGGCUGGUACAUAGUCUCUUAUGAUUAAAAAAAGAGAGGGAGAGACUCAUUCAUCGAAUCAUACCUACUAUGAUCUAAAACCGAGAUGGGGUUGCAUAAAGAAAUAAUACCAUGUGUCUUUGAUUGUGGUACCCUCAGUGGCUUGUUUAGAUGCAAAAACUUUUUGGAUUUUGGCACUGUAACACUUUCGUUUUUAUUUGACAAACAUUGUCCAAUCAUGGAAUAACUAGGCUUAAAAGAUUCGUCUCGCGAUUUACAGACAAACUGUGUAAUUAGUUUUUAUUUUUAUCUAUAUUUAAUACUCCAUGCAUGUGACGCAAGAUUCGAUGUGAUGGGGAAUCUUGUAAAGUUUUGGGUUUUUUGUUGCAUCUAAACAAGGCCUAAUGGAAACGUAGAGAAUCAUAGUUGGAUUAAUAAAUUAAAAAAAAAAGAGACAAAAGAAAGAAACCAAUAGUGGUGCCCCACUGAGACCAACCGAGCCGACGCGGUCACGCGGGCGGUGGACUCGUGGCAGGUCCAACUCGCACCAGUGCAGCACGGAAUUGACCGGCAGGCGAAGGCAGUCACGCGUACUGGUCCGGUCAGUCACCCCUCACCCGUUCGUUCGUCUCAGGAUUUGUCAAAUCCUCAAAUCAAAAUCCGUGGUCUUCGCCACGAGCUCGAGACCACCAAAUGAUGAGCAACAAUUCUUACGAAAAAAAUUCGGUCACGAGAAUUCUCUCCCGGUCGGUCAAAGGAACGAACACUGUCUGUUAGUUCCUGAAGAUUUGUCAGCCAGUCAGUCAGGCAUGCUUUAUUUGACAUAAUUCAUUCAUCAUCAUCAUCAUCAGUUCAUCAAAAAAACAAGAACAGGACACAAAAGGAAAAUGUAGUGGAUAAUAAUGGACGGGUGGCGAACGGGCAGUGGUUAGCACAGCGAGACAGACAGCGAGUGCGGGAAAUUGUGAAAAAGGUGGGUGAAAGGGGUUAGCCCCAGCUGCAGGCGCGUUCCGGAAAAAAUAUGAGUCCCAAUUCAAAACAACAAAUGUAGUUCUAGCAUUUAUUAUUAAAAUUAAAUAAAUAAUAGAAUUAUCAAUAUAUUACAAAGACAAUAUAUAAAGAUUAUUUGUGAAAUUGAAAACACAGUUAGAGAGCAAUUUGCGAGACGAAUCUUUUGAGCCUAAUUAGUUCAUGAUUGGACACUAAUUGUUAAAUAAAACAAAAAUAUUACAGUGUUAAACUUUAACAACUCCAACCAAACACCCCUUACAUGAAGAAGAAUGGUUGAUCACAAAUUUUUCUAACUCACUAUCAUGGGCUAAAUGUGCGGUGCUUUUCUCCCGAAGUAGCAGGCCAUGUUUAUUGAGCCUAUGACUGAAUAUUAAUUAAAACAAGCCAAAAAUUAUUAUAUAUAUUUAGGACAUUUAGUAAAAUUUGAGGCCUAUAAAUUUUGGGGGCCCAGUUCCGUCGCACGGGCCGCACGGCCCUGAGGCCGCCCCUGCCGGCUGAGCUGAGCUGCCUUUGCUGCAUGUCUCGAGAUAACAACGGGUACUCCAAAUCCAAAACCCGAUAGGUUUUCACUCUAUUAGAUCAAAGAUAUGGAUCAAUUUUUUUACCUAUGAAUUUGUUAAUAGAAAAAAUCCCAGACCCAACGGGUUUAUGGGCGUGGGUCUAGGGAUGUAAUACCCAAACCCAUAAACUUAUGAACUCUUUUUAAAACCCGAUCCAUCGUAGUGAAGCAAUCAUAUCAGUCCAUAAUAUCAUAAAUUUUUCUACUAAACUACUAUAUUCAGAGACAUAUAUAAGAUUAUAUGUCCAUUUAAGUGAAAAAUGAGAAAAAUGAAUACAAUUUCAUGUUCUGAAACAUAAUUUUUAUAUUUUGUUUUUUUUUUCUUUCUUGCUAUGUGGAUGUGCCCAUGGGCAAUUCGAUGAGUUACUCAUGACCCGAUGGACACAGAUCUGGCGUCACGAGUCAUGAGUUUUUUUAGUGGACAAAUUUUAUGUUCAUAGAAAUAAGUUUAGACUAACAAAACCCAACAAAUUUGUACCCGUUGCCACCUAGCUGUCAUUGUUGACUUGAGAGCCCAGAAACGAUCAAGCGAGUACUCCAGGCCUCCAGCCAACCAAUUACAAAUGGGAUGGAGGAACAGACGUCGGGUUCAGCUUCAGCUCUGGGUCUUGCUCUCGCUAAAUUUUAGCCAACUAAACUUUAAUUAUUUUAGUAAUUAAACUUCUAAACAUACUGACUAAAAAGGUGCUAAAAUAAUUUAGUUUUACUAGUCACCUAAAAGUAGCUAAAAUAAUUUUAGCUGUCUAACAUUUAGCACGGUGAAUCAAACGGGGCCAUAAGGGCGCUCCCAAUACUUAUUAAUUUUUAUAGACACUAUAUAUAGAAACUAUGGUCCCAAUGAAUAGUUUCUAUAGAAUAUUUUUUUUAUCCAAUCAUAUUCAUUAUCUCUCCAUUCUUAACCAAUCAUAUCACUUCAUGUCUUGGAUUUUGUGUAGACAUGGUUUCUAACUUAGAUCCAAUUUCUAUAAUUUUUGCUCUCUCUCUUCAAUAAUUAUUUUGCCACAUCAGCAAAAUGCUUAGGUAGCACUGUAAUUAAUAUCUAUAAAAACCACGAUGGUUUCUGCGAGUGCUCUAAAAGGCUAAAGCAAAGGCGUACUAGUAGGCUGCUGUGUCCAACUGCUUGUGCAAGCAACACUUACCUAAUCCAUCUCGCUUUACUCUAUCUCUACUACUACUAGCAAAUUUCAAUCGAACUUGGUCGCUGCGAACUGAAACAAAGGUGCUGUCGAAAAUGAAACGACAGGGAAAGUUAGUGAGCACGCAUCGGAGUUCUUGCAAAGCGUGUUUGUUUUCUCUCUCUUACAAAAGUUGUUUUUUUUGUCGUAGAUGUUUGUUCAGAACUUUGUAUUUGUUUUGGCUCGAUGAGUUUCCAUGAAGGGUGUCUAUAUGUCUACCUAUGCAAAGUUUUUUUUUUUGAAAAGUCUGCACUUUAUUAUAUCUGGAGAGAAUCAUUUACAUCAUAAGACACCAGUUCUUGUACAAACUCUGGGAGGGGAUCAAUCCAAACAUGCGACCGAUCCGGGUCCCAAUUCAACCCAAUUCGAGCAAGCUCAUGUGCACACCUAUUGCUAGAGCGUGGCACAUGAACAACAUCAGCUCGAAUAAAAUUCAUAGACAUCAGAAACUUUGCUUCUCUAAACAACACGCCACAAGCUGAGAAAUCAUAAGAGCGGGAUUGUAGAGCAUCAACAAGAGUUGUCGAAUCAGUCUCCAAGAAGAUCUGGGACAAACCAUGAUCUAUUGCUACAUACAAGGCAGCAAGACAAGCCUGGGACUCAGCACUCAAUGCAUCAUGUACCACAUUGAUUCUACCUGCUCCAGCCACCACUGAAGCACCUGUGUGAUCCCUCACAAUAAAACCCCAAGCACCUUUCUUCUCAGCCUUUAAAAAGGCUCCAUCAAAAUUAAUCUUUAGAACAUCAGUUGUAGGGGGAACCUAACAAGAAAUCCCACUUUUCCUCUUAAUUGGUCUGUCCUGUGUAUGAAGAGUAUCAACAUAUUUCAUAGAAAGCACCUUGUGAACCAUCUCCUCAGUAGAUAUGGUUUUAUCCCCAGCAUUCGCCUUAUUACGAGCAUCCCACCAAAGCCAAAGAAAACCAAUCACUAACAAUGUUUUAUCCUCCUCGAGAGAAAGAAUUUUGGUGGCAACCUGUUUUGCAGAGUUAAGAUCAAUCAAAGUUAGACGAAGCUCCUCUAAGUUUAAAGCUCUCCAACAUUUCUUGACAAAUUUGCAUCUAAGAAAACAAUGUCCACCAUCCUCAUUUAGCCUCCAACAGACAGGACAACGUGUAUCAAUAUCCAUUCCCCGACGAAGAAUAUUCAUGCGAAGGGGCAAGCUAUUAUGUGUAAACCUCCAGAAAAAAAGUUUCACCUUCGGUGGACAAUGAAGCUUCCAGAUCUUGUGCCAAUUGUUGUUACAGGGAGAAAUCAAGCUAGCACUAGCUUCUCCAAUUUGCCUUCUUUUUGAUAGUUCUUUCAUAUCUGUAAGAACAUGAUAUGCAGAUUUGACUGAGAAGUCUCCCUUAGGAUCAUAAUGCCAGGCCAAAGUAUCCUCCAUUUCAUUUUUCAGCGGUAUAGAAAGAAUGUUUUUUACAUCUGCUUCCCAGAAAAUAUCAGUUACCAGAUUUCUGUCCCAUUCACCAGAAAUUGGAUCAAUUAGUUCAGAGACCUUAUUUAAAAUUGUUUGUCCCCUAGGCGUACAAGGUCUUCUAGUAACACCCUGUGGGAUCCAAGGAUCUGUCCAAAUAUUGAUUUGAGUGCCAUCACCAACCCUCCAAAUAAGUCCAUCUUUUAGUGCUUGUACCCCCCGAACAAUGCUUCUCCAUGCAUAAGAAAUUCCCGGCUUCUCCACUACUGACAAGAGAUCACCAUCUGAAAAAUAUUUAGAUCUCAGAACCCGAGCACAUAGAGAAUCAGGAUUUAGAAGAAGGCGCCACCCUUGUCUUGCGAGCAUAGCUAAAUUGAAAAGGUGCAGGUCCCUAUAACCCAAACCACCUUUUUCCUUCCUGCAACAUAGUAAUUCCCAAGAUAACCAAUGCAUUUUAUUUUCCUUAUCCUGCUGAGCCCACCAAAAUCUACUUAUCAUGUUACUGAUUUCAUCACAUAGAGACUUAUGCAAAGUUGAGAACAGACAAAAAAAAGAAGGAAACUUUGAGAACGAAAUGCUUUUUGGACGCGUUACCAGUAACCCUGGGCUUAGUCGAGUUGGGCUGAAGUAUCAUGGGCCUUUGAGAACUUGGUCUUCGUUUUUUUCUUAUGGUUUCGCUUUUUCCUGACCGAUGGGCCUUUGACCGAAACCCACUCGAAGACCUCAAAAACUUUUCAAGAUUUUCCGUCACAUUAAAUUUUAUGACACAUACAUAGAGUAUUAAAUAUAGAUAAAAAUAAAAAUUAAUUACACAGUUUGUCUGUAAUUUACGAGAUAAAUCUUUUGAGCCUAGUUAGUCUAUAGUUGUAUAAUAAUUAUUAAAUACAAACGAAAGUGCUACAGUGUCAAAAUCCAAAAACUUUUCACAACUAAUUAUCUAAUAGUUCAUUUGACUGAUAAGCCAUGACAGAAAGUACUGUUGACUAAUUUAUUGUGAGAGAAAAAAAUUGCUGAAUAGCUGGCAGAUUCGGCUGAUAAGCCUAAACGAACAAAAGUAAGUGUGAUGACCUUUCUUGGAUUUCAAGUAGCAUUCGAUCUAUUACUUGCUGGCAGUAAGUUAGGAAUCUGGAAUAACAUGUCUGUCGCUCUAUGUACGAUUUCUACUUGCAAAACCGAUAGUGUCUGACAAUGUUUAGCCAACAAUGUUUUUUCUCUCACAAUAAAUCAGCGAACAAUUUUUUCAGUCAUGGUUUUUUAGACCAGCGAACAGGAUUCCCAAGAUGACGCAUAGCCUUCAAGAGCUAGUAUUUCAUCAUUACCAUGUAGGGAAGUCAAGAAUGGAAAAUUGUUGUCAUGUUUUAUUCUGAACAUGUGUGAUUUAGUCUCUACAUAUUUAAUUGUAAACAAGUUUUUCUCCUAUGCAUCACAAGGAGAAUGGUUUGUUUUUAGCAAAACCAUUCUUUUUAACAAGCAUACAAUAAUUAGCCCAACAUAAAAAAUUCACUACAAUUGGACCAUAGGAACUGCAACUAUGAAUUAGUUAUAGAAAAACAUAGAUCUAAAGUUACAACAAAAAAUUAUACUAAAGCAUACUAUAUUAUAUGUUCACUACUCAUUGGAGUCCAACAAUUUUGAAUUUCCCAUUUUAUGAUUUUUCUAUAAUUUAAUAUAAUUUUUUAAAUAUUCAGCUGAAAUAAGUAAAAAAGAAAAGAAUAAAACUGUCUUUGAAACCCACUUAUAACUGAUCAGGGAGGUAAAACGAACGAUUUUAAAAGUUUAGAGAGGCGGUUUAUUCAGUUGUAGAGUGCAUAGAGGAAAAAUAGACUUUUGUAAAAAUGAGGGAUCUAAUAUAUAGACUUUUUUCUAAAUAUUUUUGGCUAAAAUCUUGGUUAAUCUUUCACCAUGGGCUUGAUAGAGUUGGACAAAAGUGUUAUAUGGGCCGCUGACAAAUUGGGUUCAGCCCAGACUUCCUCCAAACUACAGCAGAGCCUCAGCCGUCAGCUCCCUUUCGGCCGUCACCGUCCUGUCCUCCAUCGCAAGAAACCAUGGCGUCCUUGUGCCGCUCCGCCGCCGCCGCCGCGAGGUCAGCGGCGGUCCGGUCGAGAUCCUCGAUGGCGAGGCCGUUCCUGGCCGCGACGUCUCCUGUCUCUCCGCCACGCAUCCGCAGGUCGCGCACAACGCCCCCCUGAAUCCCCUGUCUGUUCUCGCAUUUAGCUGUGUCUUCGCUCCAAGCGAAGCGACCCUGGAAGCCUGAAAAUGUGAGCUUUUGUUCAUCCUUCCUGUCUCAGGCCCCUUAUAGCAGCGGCGCUGGCGAGUCUAGAGUCGCUCAUGCCGCUGCACAGCGCGGUGGCCGCCGCGCGGCUGCGGUCCUGCAUCGCCGUCGACUCCGCGUGCUGGAGCUGCCUCUCACAAGGUGAACCACUGAACCCUUUAACGUCCUUCUUUCUCUGUAUUUUUGCAAUUGGAUGGGAAAAUCUUCGUUAGUUAGUGGUAUUUCUGUUGCUGGUUCUAUGAUUAACGAUGCUGAUGUAGUCCGACUUUGUUCGCAUGAGAAUUGAAAUGUGGUGCAUCUGUUGUCUGACAUGUUCAUGAGAUGGGGUAUUGCAUUUCUGAACGGAUUUUGUAAAUUGAAUUUAUUCCAUGUAUCUAGGGAUGUAUAAUUUAGGCAUCACAUUCCUCUGGUCUCAGAGGCGUGUAUACGAAAUCACUGGAUUUAGUGAAUCGUCUAAUUUACUUUGUUAGCCUUGAAGAGCAUCAUGUUGUUUGUUGGCUAGUAAUAAAUUAAAAGUUUAAAAGAACCUAUGCUCAUCUAUGUGUGAUUGUACACCUAGCUUACUCAAAGAAACAACAGCAACUUGUGUUUAUCUACUAGUAGGGAGUUGAAGAAUGAAAUAUAUAGUACUGAUGCCUAUAGCAAUUACCUUAUUGUAUUAAUUGUUUUUCUCUUUAUAAGACAUUGUUUCGUUUAAAACUCUGUGCAUAUUCUAAAAAUUCUUACGGCUGUACUGCUUCAAUUGUACUUUAGGUAGUGCGUUCCUGCAUCGAUAGACUAUAUUUAGGUUGGACAAUUGAUGUAGGGGGACUGCUGUGGAAAAAAUGUUGUAUCACAUACAGAGUAGUUGGUAUCUUGUAUUGUCAACAAACCAACAACAUUCUAAUUACUGUUUUGCUAUCACCCUGGUAGGUUUGACCAAGCGCAUCUGAGCAUGGUAGGGACAAAAUUCUAAAGAGAAUGGCUCAUGUGCUACUGCAUCAUGAUUUAGUCUUUCAAUACCUUCAUGUUAUCCUGUAAGGAUUAGCUGACAGCAUUUAAAUAUGGGUCCAUCAUUCGAUGGGGUAACAGAGAUGUGUUUCAGAUCCUUAAAACUUUUUCUGGUUAUGUAUUGGUUAUCUUUGUUGCAAUCUUAUGUCAUUGAUUUUUUUAUCUGGGAUUGUUCUUAACUGUGCUAUUGGUACCAAAUCUAUUGUCAAAUAAAUAUGACAAACUGCAUUUUAGAUGAACUGAUGCACAUGUAUACUUUAUGUCAGAUAUUGUCAUUUGCUGUUGAGUUUUUUUUUCGUCUAUAACCUAAAUUCCUGUAUUUCUUCCCAUCAUGCCAAUGCUUAUUACGUUCUGCCCUGCUGUAUUCUUAAGUUGAGGCAUUUAACAAACAGUGACUGCCUUUUGCGCUUCAUUUUUGCCCGCUGUACCAAUGUGCUUAUAGUUUCAGAUAUUUGAAACUAAAGUAUCCUUUGCCAAUAUCUGAUUAUGACCAAGGCGCCACAUCUUGCACAUUUUCUGAUCGAGCUUUCUUCUUUUGUUUGCAAACAAUACAAUAGAUUUUGCUCUACCUCGGUAAUGAAGGCUGAAGAAGGCGACCUGUUCAAAUAGCACCGCAAAGUUCUAAUUCAUCCCUAAUUUGAUGCGCCAAAGUUCUACUUGGCUGUCAGCAGUUCUAAAUGACGUUGUAUUUCUGGUGCGAUGAUGGUUCUACGCAUGGUUCUUGUAGAUUUAAAUAUUUUGACCUUGGUACUUAUCACAAGCCUUCUAGAUACCUUUACAAACUAUUGGGAUAGAUGAUCCUGCUGAUUUUCACCAUUUUAAUGAACAAUCAAAUGCAUUAUCAGACUAGGAACAAUCAGUUGCAAUUGUAGUGCUGAUCCUUGAAUCUGUUGGAGCUGUUAGGGUGCUAGAGUUGGGGUACCUAUUUGGCAGAGCUCUGGCAGACUAGGAACAAUCAGUUAGAACUAGUUUCUCCUUAUUUCCUUUUUGCACACGAUCACUUCAUCUAAGUGGUUUACCCUAGAGAAUCACUUUUAGCUACACAAUGGCUUACAAAGAAUCGAACAUGGAGGAGCUCUCACUUGAGGAACGGGAUGUGUCUUGUGUAGGACAUCAUCCAUUCAGACAAAAAGCAGAGUUCAAGUGUUCAAUACUGAUGCAAUUCCUGCAUACCUAGGAGCUCUCUCAUGCAAUUGGUAAAUCUCCUCCUCAACUCACAGAUAUGCACUUGCACUCCGUGCUUGCUAUCUGUCCAAGCACUCCUGCCCGGUUAUCGAAUUUUAGGAAGCUAUACAGGGAACUAUUGGAGAAAGACAAAAUUAGAGCUCCCAUUUGAUUUUAUCAACUUGGUAUUACCAUUAUUGGUUUACUAAGUGUUUUUAAGGAGCUUUUGGAGACCAAGGCCCUGUUUGGUUGGGACUGACUUUUUUGUUAUCACACAUUACAUCGAAUCUUUGGACACAUGCAUAGAGUACUAAAUAUAUAGAUUAUUGGGAAAUACGGCUGUUCAGCGCGUUGAUUACACCCGAUCCUGGGCAGUAAUCGCUUACACACUGCAUCUACUUCAAAACAGACUUGCUUGUUGGUGCCCUCAUUCCCACCAGUUGGUGCUCUCAUUCCCACCGUGUACCUGUUCCUUUUACGUUGGCGUUGCCAUUAUCGAAACAAACAGCACCUAACUUCAAGCUUUACCGCCACGCGAUCCUAAGUGCCAUGGUGCAAGCGUAAACAUUUGUUAUGUUUUCAUAUAUUAGCUAAAACGGUAAUGCUCCUUCUAGGACGUCUGGACGGACCUGCAUAACUUGCCGCACCCCUGGCUCUUUAUCUGUUCCCAUCUUGUCCUGUGACCCCGCGCCCACUCUUUCUCUCGCUCCGCUCGUCCACUCCCCCACUUGUCUUAUCCUCUUCUACUUCUCCUUUUCCAUCUUCGUUCUCUCCACUCGUUCGCUCUCGCACUUGCUGCCCCGCCGCUCUUGCUGCCAGCGCCCACAUGUCUGCCCUUCUAUCGUGUCGCCGGCGAGCUGCCCCUCACUCCCUCCCUCCCUCCCUCCCCCGCGACGUCCAUGACCACUGGAGUGGGGCGAUGGCGGGCAGCUUCCGGUGAGCCCACGCGCCUCCCCUCCCUCCCUGCUCUCUCAUCCUCGCGCGCUCUGACCUCCAUGCAUAUGGAGACGAGGACGACGGUGUGGCUCUGACGAGGUUGGUGGGGAGGGAUCUAGAUCUAAGGACUCUCUCCCCUCCUUCCUCCCACUGGAUCUUAGAUCUGCUCCCACCUCGUGCACCACCUCCUCCUCCUCCUCCUCCUCCUCUUCCCCUUCUGGAUCUAAGGGUUUGGUGGUAGCUAAGGUUCCGGCGAGUCAGAUCUCGUCGUUGUUUUGCAACGAUUUAUUUUCAAUGUUGCAACAGAUGAUGUGGAAUGUUGCAACGGUACCUUUUUUUGGUGUUGCAACAGACGUUUCUCUGAUGUCACAGAGCAGUUCUUGAGACGUUUCAAAUAUUUUUUCGUUGUUGCAACAAUUUUCUCGUGACGUUGCAGUAGAAUAUUUUUUGGACAUCAAAAUGUUCUCAAAUAAAAAAUUGUCAAUUGCAAAGAUGUAGAUCAUGUUGAGCUAUAUAAUUUUGAUAUGAUUUCAUACAAAAAUGUUGUGAAUUUUUUAUAGAUCCUGCUGUCACACAUCAAAAGUUCAAAACCAUGUCAGAAACCACCUUUAUGGUGCAGUUGGAAAGUUGGAGGACGUAUGAUUUCAGAUAUUUGGAUCUAAGGGUUUUUUCUAGACUAAGUGAUAAAUUUAGGGUUUAAUUAAAUAGUCUUUAGUCAUAGUAUUCGGUACCGAAAUAUUCAACAUGCCAGCCAAACUAAACUCCUAAUUCUAUAACCUAAAACUCUCACCCAUGACCAAAAAAAAAGAAAUGAAGCCCGAGUAGUGUUUCACUACUGCUCAAAGAUGGUAAGACAGACCCUGACCUGAUGGGCCAGCAUAGGCCUACCCUUAAAAAGCACGACAUGUGCCUAAAAUUCACUAAGCCUCUAGUGCCUAUGCUUGGAUGGCAUAGUCGUAGUGUCAUGCUUGGCCACGUUCUCUGCCCACAGUCCGACGACUAAAUGGGUUGGCACUAUGCUGGCCUCCUCCCUCCUCAACCCUAAGUAUAAAGCAAAAAUCAACAAUUUCUUGGAGUUCAAUGAAUCCUGCAGCCAUUUCCUUUCGAUACCUCUUUCCAUGGUUGGACACACUCCUCCGGACACCCCUUCCUUAAGUCUACUCUAAAUCCAACGCUCCUCCCACUCGGUCCACCUUGCUCUAGUCUUAGACUACUGCAGUCCUACCUCAUCUGCCCUUCCCCUCCAUCCUAGCCAACCCACCACCACUUUCUCUGCUCGAGUGCCCUCUCCGCUCCUUAGGUCGAUGGUCGCCACUCUCGGCCUCUUGCAGUGGGGGUGGCGUUGUGGGAGUGACGAGCGAUGGUGGUAUGGCGUGACCACAUGACGCAAGCACGCGUGGCACUAUGACGAUGACGACACGAGCAACAACAACCAUGGCGACUCCUAUAGUGCUUGGGCUGCCAUGCUCAUCGUGCCAUCAUGACACGAGGGCCUGUUUAGUUAUUGGUUUGCUCUCUAUCGGAGCUGUCUGGCUUAGAAAGUGCUCUAAGACAUCUAGGGUCACGAUUGGAUGCAUGACAAGCAUCUCUGCUGUGCAGUGACAUGACACAACAUGUAUGGUUAGAGCAUCGUGUCUAAUAGCGCCAAAUCGUGUUAGGACCGGACCACCCGUUUGACCAUUCUAUACAACCACCUACUGUUCAGCAGCAGAGCCGCCAGCUGCAUGCUUCUCCUUAAUUAACAAGAAAGGGUCAGAUGGCCAGCAAAGACAUAGACACGUAUGCUUCAAACAACAGAGAAACUAACUGAACUACCGGCAGUGAGUUGAGGGGAAGGUGAUCAUGCAUGCACGAUUACCGGCGGAAUUGACUGCCAGUGCCACACCUACUAGCCGUUUGGCGGCAAUGCAUGCAAGCGCUGACUUCUGAUGCAGACAUUAGUUUUUCGAUGAUGAGUCAUAGGUUGAAUGGCCAGAUCAGAGAUGCGCCUCAUCAACAACCACGGUCAGAAGUUCAGGUGGCUUGACAAUGUUUAUGUUGCUAUAUAUCAUCGAAAAAAGCAUGGCGACUCCUAUAGUGCUCGGUUACUUGCCGGAGUGACAACAGCCGCUGUGUUAGCGCUACCAAUAACGCUCCCGGGUACCUCUGCAAGUGCAAGGAUGGUUUCGAUGGUAACCCAUACAUAGCCGAUGGAUGCCAAGGUAACUACAUGUACAUGCAUGAGCCACAAAAUAAUUGCAGUCUAAUAUAAUUCAUCAUAUUUAUAAAAAACAUAGCAGAUUUGAUCACAUAAAAUUUGUCGACAAUGCAAGUAACCGGACACUCCUUAUAAUAAUUCAAUUUCUGAGACAGUACAAAGUACAAACCCCAUUGUAUGUAAUGUACUCCCUUCCUCCCAAAAUAAAUGCAUGUCUCACUUUACAAGGAGUCAAACUUUAUUAAGUUUGACUAAAAAUAUAGAAAACAUUAUUAACAUUUGUAUCUCUAAAUAAGUAUAUUAUGAAAGUAUAUUCUAUCUAUAAUUUAAUGAUACUUAGUAUACAUUAUAAAUAUUAGUGUAUUUUUGUAUAAAUUUAGUCAAACUUUAAGAAGUUUGACUUCUGAGUUCGAAAGUACUGCAAAUAUACACAUGACAUAUUUCCCCGUAGUUGUCCAUCGUGCAUCAUGAGAAAAUAGGAUCUCAACUAAUUUGUAAGAUAUGUAUUCCCUACUUGGUUUACUGCUUGUUUGGUAGAGCUUCGCUAGUAGCUUUUUCAAAACAGAUUUCAUAUCAAAAGGCUAAAACAUAAUUAUUGGAUUCUAGUGGAGAGCUGAAAAAGAUUACUUCUCCAUUUAUGCUAGCAUGGAGAAAAACACACUCUGCAUUCAAUCUCUAUCAUAAUCUCUUCUCAACUAUUCUCUAUCUUGCUCCCUUACCAGAUUCAUCAAGAAUCAAGGAGUAGAACUGCUCUUAGGAUUUUUGAAACCAUUUUCAGUGAGACAUUUGGACUUGCAGUUUUUUAAUAGUAAAUUAUUUUAAUAAACCCAUAAAAUUAUGUAAUAUGAAAAAGUAUUUCCAUGAUAUACUAUAUGACAUCAACCAUAUGCAUCAUCUAUCUAUCUAUUUAACUUUUUCAUAUAUUGCUUGAUCAAGUUUAACAAGUUUUACUGACUAGCUUUAUUACUCACCCACGUCCAUAACAACUACUAGUAUACUGAUGAAUGAUUUAAGAGUGUACGCGAUUCAGUUGGAAUCCGCAUUUCAUAUCAUUAACUAAUUAAACUACUUACAGAUAUUGAUGAGUGUUUGCUUCGAGAUAAACAUCCCGAGCUACGAGAUUUGUAUCCUUGCCACGGGAUAUGCAAGAACAAGAUAUAGGAGGUUAUGAUUGUCCCUGCAAAUUUGGAACCAAAGGUGAUGGCAAAAAUGAAGCAUGCACGACAGUGUUUCCUCUUGUAGCUGUUGCAACACUUGGUAAGGAGCUUCAACCUUUAUGUUUCGGUCAAGUCUAUUGAAUUUUAAUUUAACUUAAUGACACAACAACAUUUAAACGUGACGUCAUUAGCUAAUUCAUAAGCUUGCUUACACUACACUUUUGCUCAUGCACAUGAUUUCUGUCACUAUAAAGCUCUUCGAGCAUGAGGCAAAUGUUUUUGGGCGCUACUGAGAUAGUAAACUAUAUUGAAAAUAUCAGUGCUAAAAACUUCAAAAAUCACGUUUGUAGCUAGCAUUGAGUUCCAACUCUUUCCUCGUCUGCUAUGUGAGGAUGUCUAGCCCCUUUUUCGGUUUAUAAUACUCUCAUUUUUCGCUCUACUAACACCUAGCCAAUUGUCUUAUAGUUAGUAACACAUACGAACAUGCUAAUAAGGGUAGUUUGUGCCAUUAAUUAGUGUGGAGCCUUAGUAAUAUCCAACCUUUCACUACACCCUCAUUUUGCGGCCAAAGCUCCAAAAUUUAGCUGUUGAUUCUGAUAUCAAUUGAAGGGACCAUGAUGCUCUACGAGGGUUGCAUUAGGAGUUUCUGCAAACUAAGUCUCAACUUGCACAUACAAAAACUUACACAUAAUCUAUCUAAAUAUGUACUUGUUUUUUUCUAUGUUUUUGCUACUUUCUAUCUCACAAAAGGAUUUUGCACCCUAUGUACAAACCUAAAAACUGAGUAAAUAAAUUCUAGGAAAGGUGAGUUGAGGAGAGUUAAGAUAUACAAAAAUGCAAACUCUUAGUGUGGAAUCAUUUACCGACAUCGAAAAGUUCAAGUUUUCCACCAUUGCUUGUUGAAGUCCUUUAAUUUGGAAGGGUCAAGCUCCUAAUAAUUGGAUAACUCUUUGAAUAGCCUUACCACUUUACACACAAAUGAGUCUCUGAUUCAGCCUCUCCUAGAUACCUUUUUUCGUGCGUUGUCUCCACUUGUUAAUAAGCUUCAUUCAAAUCUUAAAACGGCAUCAUAUUACCACAUAUUAUUUUAAACUAACUUGUACAACACAUGCACCACAUAUUAUUUUAACUGUUGUGAAUGAUAUGUCAAAAUUUUUAACAUGUAUUACAUUUUGACAAUUGUUUAUGUAGGUGUAAUUGGUACAACGUUCAUAGUGAUCAUUGUAGUGUUGUUUAUGCUUCUCUCGCAUCAGAAAAGGAAGACAAAAGAAUUUUUCGUAAAGAAUGGUGGUCCCAUACUUGAAAAGGUUAACAACAUUAAAUUAUUCAAAAAAGAGGAGCUCAAGCCAAUUAUACAACACAUGUCCAAUGUUAUUGGAAAAGGAGGAUUCGGGGAGGUUUACAAAGGAAUUCUUGAUAACCAGGUUGUUGCAAUUAAGAAAUCUAUCAAUGUGGACAAGACACAAGAGAAGCAGUUUGCAAAUGAGAUCAUCAUCCAAUCACGAGUCAUCCACAAAAAUAUCACCAGGCUUAUUGGCUGUUGUCUCGAGGUGGAUGUCCCAAUGUUAGUCUAUGAGUUUGUUCCAUGUGGAAGCCUCCAUGAUAUUCUACAUGGCAACAAUAGGUGAGCCUAAGCUUAGAAAAACGUCUAAACAUUGCUGCAGGAGCAGCAGAAGGAUUGGCUUAUAUGCAUUCAAAAACAUCAACAACUAUAUUGCAUGGUGAUAUUAAACCCAGCAAUAUACUUCUGGAUGACAACUUUAAUCCGAAAAUCUCAGAUUUUGGCAUCUCGAGGUUGAUUGCAAUAGAGAAAACACACACAAACUUUGUGGUAGGGGACAUGUGCUAUAUGGACCCAAUAUAUCUCCAAUCUGGCUUGUUAACUAAGCAGAGCGAUGUGUACAGUUUUGGACUUACGCUCUUGGAACUCCUAACUAGACAAAAACAAAAGGAUGAUUUUGGUGGACAUGGCAGAUUGGCUAAAGCUUUUCUUGACGCCUAUACAGAGAAGGGAGGAAUUGAGCUAUUUGAGAGUGAAGUUUUAGUGGAAAAUUAAUAUUGAAGUAGUUCAUAAACUUGCCAGGCUAAUUGUAGAGUGUCUAAAGCUUGAAGUGGAAAGAAGGCCAGAGAUGACAAAUGUAGCAGAAAUACUUGAAACCAUGAGGAGAUCGCACAAGGACAAAUCUGACGCAUGUGCCAGUACCAAUACAUAGCCAUCAAUAUUUGGGCCUUGUUUAGUUUCGAAAAGUGAAAAGUUUUCGGUACUGUAGCACUUUCGUUUGUUUGUGACAAAUAUUAUCCAAUUAUGGACUAACUAGGAUCAAAAGAUUCGUCUUGUGAUUUACAGCUAAACUGUGUAAUUAGUUUUUGUUUUCGUCUAUAUUUAAUGUUUCAUGCAUGUGCCACAAGAUUCGAUGUGACGGGAAAUCUUGAAAACUUUUUGGUUUUCAGGGUGAACUAAACAAGGCCUUGAUUGAGAAUUGUAGUUCUAACACUACCAAAAUGGUGGAGUUCUCCUAGUGUUUUUAGUUAGUAAUAAAACACUACAACUAGUCAAAACACUAGGGAAUCCUAACUAGGAGGCAUUUACUAGGGAAAGUUCAUACUAAAUUUUGAAUGCUAAAACACUAGGAGAACCCCACAUCACUAGGAGAAAUUGUAAAAUCUGGUUGUGUAAGCUUGCACGCAGAUCGAGGUGGACCUGUUUGUGAUCUCUAUUUAUAUUCCAGAAUCAUGACCCAGUCUUGUUGGACAAGAAACUUUCAAUGAAAAUAUGUAAUGUUUUUUUAACCUGAAAAUAUAUAAUGUGGAAACCACUUUCCAGUUGCUUGUGUGGUGCAAUGAUAGUUUCUAGUUUAAAAUCUUGUUGAUGGUGAAAUGAUGACAUUAUGGGAUUCUAUAUUUAUUUUGCCUUAGCAAAUCACAAGCGCUUAACUAUUGGACUAGAAAAUAAUUUAUACAUUUGUUCGUGUGUGUAGAAGAAUCAAAGGCGCUUAGGACAUUUUGGCUAGGCAUGACCUAGUGACGUGAUGGCAAGUGUUGGUGCAAAUCCAUUCACUGGUUAUGUUGAGGUACCAUUCUCGGUUUAGUCGCAUUUGAUGGCAUAGGCAGAAGCAAUCUCAUACUGUCACUGUCGUUUGUGGCAACGUCAAUUGUGGCAUUACCCAAGUUGAAUAAUGGUGCAGAUAACGUGUUAAGUAACAGUACAUGCCAUCAAACAUUGGAUCCUUUUUGUGACGAAUUAGACGUUUGCGUAGGUACCUGCAAUCUUAAUAUCUAUAGUCCCUGAGCCGCGCUGCUCACUCAGGUUAGGUGCUAGUGUCUUCAGUUGUGGCAUGCGUAUCUCCCUCCUUAUCCGUGCCUACCAACUCAUCUGCUGCUAUGGCUUCUUGAAGCUCCCAUCGCACAGAAGGCUGACUCCCCUACUGCUUCCUUUGAUGGAACUCAUGUGUGCCAGCCGUCGUCCUCGACAUUACUACUCUGCCCAAGAGGCCAAGACCAUCCAUUACUACUCUCUAGAUGCAUGGUCAACAUUCACUCAUGUGUGCCGGCCGUCGUCCUGCUCGACGUUACCAAGCUGAACCACGCACAGUGGCGUUGCUUCUUGAACUAAGUGAUCAGCAAGUUCGGACUCGACUCCCACCUCGCCUCUUUGCCAAUGUCUGCUCAGUGCCAUGACCCAUACUAGUCCAUGAUCAUAUCAUCAGUCGGUUCUACAGCUCUGUCUCCCUAGAAAGUCCUUGAAAUUGUGUGCGCUCCUAAUGCCACUACUCAUACAAUCUCGACCAGCACUGAAACCCACUUCUCCAGAGGGUGAAGUCUUUUGCCUGACGCUCAUGCGAGAAGAUGUGGAGGUUUCACGACAACCUUCAGCUAUGACUACUUCGACUACAUCAGCUACAACAAUUAUGGAAAUUCGUGAAGAGAAGGUGUGUCUCCAAGUGAAGCCUCAAACGAGAAGAUCCCGGAGGUGAAGAUCUACACAUCAAGUAGGUUCUGGAGAUGAAGAUCUACGUAAUGAGAAGGUCCUGGAGGCAAAGAUCUAUACACUGAGAAGGUCCAGAGGCAAAGACUUGCACGUCGAGCAAAAUGUGCAUGCUCUUUUCUCCAUGCCCUUUUCUUCCUACAACGUUUUUAAGAUAGAGUUUUUAGUGAGACACAAACACAUAGGUUGUGAGGGAUGAUCCUCAUGACCAGGCCUGAGUUCAAUUUGGGCCUUAUCUACUAUGAGCAUCUUUUAGUUAUGUUGUAUCGUCCAUAUCCCAAUAUUGGGCUAUUAUCACUACUAUAAAAAAUCUUUACCGCGACCUUUUCAAAAGCCCCUCCGUGGUGGGCAAGAAUGUGAACCGCCUCGUUUGCCUGGUAUUAACCGAGGCGGGCACUUUUUCUUAACCGAGGCGGUUAUAAAAAACCGUCUUAGAAAAUUCAUUAACCGAGGUGGGCAUUAUAACGUAACCGCCUCGGUAAAUAUAUAUUAACCAAGGCAGUUAUCCUAACUCAACCGUCUCGGUAUAUAAUUAAUCGAGACGAUUAUUUUAUAAGGCCUGCCUCCUAUAAUCUAGUCUAGCCCGCUAACAUUUUCAAGCCCAUACCAGCCCACUACCACUUCAGCAUAUAAAAUCGAACACAAACCCUAAGUCACUCCACUCUCUCCCUCACCCCCGCAGCCACCAGAAGCGUCGGCCUCACCCCAGCAACUCCGUUACCCCCACGACUCCCUCUCCUCGCGUCGACCUCCUCCUCUCCCUCCCUCACUCAUCUCUAGCAGUGCCGGCAUCCUUCCCUCCCUCCAUGGCUCCACCCCUUCGUCCUCUCCGGCGGUUGGAUCUCCUUCGAGCGGCCGUGGAAUCUCCUAGAGGUGGCGGCGCACCCCCUCCUCUUUCUCCCUCCAACGGCUGGAUCUUCUUCAGGCAGAUGCGGCUUCUCUAGGAGGUGGCAGCGCGUCCCCUCCCUCCCCGCCCCGUGCCAGAUCCGAGUUGGUCCUAGCGCGCGGCACGGGAUCUGGGUGCGCGUCCGGAGCUCGGUGGCGAGGUGCCGUGGGCAGCAGCCGAAGCCAUCGCGGGAGAGGUCUAGCCAGGGCAGUGAUCGACGCGGGUGAGGGCCCUCCGCGAUGGUGUCCUCCUUCACCUCUAGAUCCAGCUCGGAGGCCUCCUCUUCCUCCUCCGAUGUUGCUGCAACGCGGCUCAACCACCUCCACCACUACCUCCGACGAUGAGCAGCGGGCUGAUCCGGCAAACAACGGUGCGGAUCCAGUGAGCAGCAGCGGCCUACGGAUGAGCUUGGUGGGCCUAUGGAUGGGCUCACGAGCUCAUCCAUAUUUUUUAUUCAAUUAACUGAGGUGGGCAUCAAAACGCCUCCAAAAAUACCUCCACUGUGACCUUCGGUCGGAGGCGUUUCCGAUGCCCGUCUCCUUUAAUAAUUUUUGCCUGUCUCGGAUGUUAUUUUUUGUAGUAGUGUAUUAGGAGAGCCCAUGAGGUAUAUGGGCCAAGUCUUUCCCUAGAAGGGCCCAACAAGUAGCUAGAGUAGUGUAAAGAUGGUAACGGGUACAAAAUACCCACGUGCCCACGGGUAAGAGACCCGAUGGGCAAGGAUACAGGUGCAUGAGCCUACCCAUGGGCAUGGAUGUGGGUAUGUCCUCAAACUCGGCGGAUAUUAAUAGAUGGGCAAGAAAAUGUUCUACCUACACCCGCAAACCCGCCAUGCCCAUUAUCCCCAACGCACUAGCAACUAAUAGCCCACAUUUUCUUGGCCCAUCAAAGCCUAGCUCAAAAGUCACAUACAAAAGCAACUAAACCUAACUACUCAAGAUAUCUCCACUCCCCACUCGCCCUUCUUGCCGCUGCCACCGCUUGCUUAGCGAGUCGCGGGCUGCGCAUCACACUUCUACGGUCCCAUAGCAUGCCCACGGUCCCUCUUGCUUGCAAGUUCCAGAUCGAGACUCGAGAGCUGCACUCCCUCCUCUUGUCAAGCUCACUCAUACAACAUGCAUUAUAGAUCGAGAGCCUCACUCCCUCCCUCUUGUGGGUACGCAUGUAGCAUGUGUACAUCCUUGAACACUCGUCUAUGAUUGGCUAAAGGAGGAGGAAAGAAGCGUAGAACUGCUGGUUCUUCAACUCUCUGUCCGUGAUUGGCUAAAGGACGAUGAUUGAAGCCUUGGAGGAAAUAAGCACAUCACUGCUGACCGCCUUCCAAUUUCUUUUUCUGAUUUUGAUUUUUUGAGAUAGGAAUUACAAUUGUUUCUUGGCAAUCUGUACCUAGGAAAUUCUACUUCUCGAUUGAAAACUUGUUGUUGUCAUCCUCGAUACAAUACAAUUGUCCUCCCAGUCACAGCCCUCCCGUGGAUAGCGGGUGCGGGCAUAGGAUGGUGCCCUAGCGGGCGAUGGGCACGAGCACGGGCACAGGAUACCAGUAUUCGUGGGCAUUUUGCCUGUUACCAUCUUUAGAGUAGUGUCCUGUGAAAUUCAAUCCCACCUAGGGGCGACUUGUAAAUAACCAUUGUCUAUAUAAGUGCCCAGGGGCAUGAGGACAAAGAACCUUAUCUCCUACUCAUUUCCACCUGUUCAACCCUAGUGUGUCCCUCUCCACCUCUCCUCCCCUCUCUCUCUCCUAUUUGGAACCUAGUUCAACAUAUUAUUUAAUAUUGUUGCAAUCAACACUCAAUAUUCCAGCCCAUAGGGUGCCCAUUCUAAUAGGAUUAUAUCACAGACUAGGAAUUUGAUCGCUUGAGCUUAUCUAUCAAAUCUGUCAGUCAUUCAAUAGUAUUUUUCUCUCAUAAUAAAUCAAUGAACAAUAUUUUCAGCUAUCACUACAAUAAAUGUGUUGGUUUAUGACAUUUAUCACAUGACAUUCGAUAAAAAAGGUCACUAAAUCUACUUGUUUAUGAAGUUUGCUAUGGAAGCAUUUCAAUUUAGUGAUAGAACUAGAAAAACAUCACAAAAAAUGUCUUAAAGGUAGUCAAAUGACAUCAUGUGACAAUAUUUGUCUUGUCAUAAACACCAAUUGUAGUAGUCACAAAUUAUAGUGUACCAAAAAAAAUAUAUAUGACAAGGAUAGUGUCAUAAUUUUUUUAUCUUUUAAACAUUAUUGUCGAUGACGGCUUAUGGGCCCAACUGCCCUUAUUCAAGUGGGUCAUAUGUUUUUUUCAUUUUGUUGUCUGGUAUUUAACCUACUUCAUGGCAUUCAUGGACAUAGACAUAUGACCAAAGCUAUAGCCAUGAUGUGAUUUUGAAGUGACUAUGGUAAUCUGAAGCAUAUGUUCAUAUUGUACAAGAAGAAGAAGAACGUCAACAAGAAGAAGAACAACAACAAGAAGAUGAAGGUAUAAGCCUUAUCAUGGAAUUUGAGCUGCAUGUUCAUAUUGUAGAGAUCUUAAAAUGUCAAUUGAAAGAUUUCAUCCUAAUGUUCAAUCAGAUGUUAGAAGGACUUAUUUAUUGAGAGGUCCGACACAACCCACUGGACAUAAUUUUCCUCGCAAGCAUGUUGGUAAUGAUUGGAGACAAUUUCUCUCAAAAUGGUUUAAGAAACAUGAUUGGUUAGAGUAUAGCGUGUCCAAGGAUGAAGCAUCUUGUUUCUAUUGUUAUCUUUUUAGGCAAGAAGCUGACCAUGAGAAAUUUGUCACGUGGUUUUCACAAAAACAGAGUUUAAUGAUUUUAAACAUGCAUAUAGAGGAUUUCUAGGUCAUGUUGGAGGAGUUUUAAUUGCCACAAUAAAGAUAGAUUAUGCACCAAAGAUUUUAAGAAUCAAAGAGCAAGUAUUACCCAUAGAUUGAUGCUAAUACCAAAAUAGUAGAACUGCUCUAUAAAUUCACUUGACUGCUGCUUUGGGUGUUGCAAGCUUUCUCAUUGCACAGGGUCAUGCUUUUCGUUGCAAUAACGAAUCUAACACCUAUGUAAACAAGGGCAAUUUCCUAGAAAUGAUUGAUUGGUACAAAAAUAGGAAUAAGGAUGUGAGGGUUGCAUUUGAAGAGUUAUUUCUCAGUUGUAAUUGUUAAAUCCUGUGAUAUCUCAAUAGCAGAACAAAUGGCUGUGCUUGUGAGGUUAGUAAUUUUUUUGAAGUGCUAUAUGUUUCUUGGUCUAUUCUACUAUAUUGGAUAUGACUUUGCUUUAUUUGCUUAUAUUCUCAAUUAUAAUGUUCUUAGUUUACUUUGACUAUAUGCUUGGUAUAGAGGAUUAGAAUUAUAUUCAAGUUUAGGAUCGUAUAGUGCUUGCUCAUUGUUACCAUGGGUGAGUGUGUGAAUAUUGUAGAGGCGUGAUGCCUAAAUCGUAUUUUCAUGCGAUUGCACCCUAUAUUCCGGAUCGUGAGGUAGAUCACGGGAGUGACAGUCCUGUUAAGUUCUUUGUAGUCCUCCUCCUGAGUAUAGGACCGGUAGAACACAACUAUUACAGAGAAGUGAUUUCUAUGUUCUUCAUCUUCCUUCGUAAUAUCCCUAUGCAUAGAUAUAACCUUGUCUUGCCAUGAUUGCCAAGUGUACUUGCACUAAUCAUUGUAUGCUUUGACUUAUAGUUACAAUAACUUAGGAUUUAUCCUCAUAGAUCGUCCUAAUGCCAUGCUAGUGUUAUAGACUUAGAGUACUCUAUUGAGAUGUUUAUCAUUUAUUAUGCGGCUAUGUGCUUAUCAUUUAUUAUUUAUUAUUUGUCAUAUAUCUUAUCUUGUGACACUUGCUCAUUGCUCAUUAUCCUUAGCGCUCCUUUCCCAUGUGUAAAAAUAUAAAUAACGAUAUAUACUUGUGUUAGUAAUUAUUUUUAAAUGCAUUAUGCAGGUUUGUGAAUAAAAAGGGAAUGGUCGUGAAAAGAUUUUUUGGGUCUGCAGCAUGUCGAAGAUACAACAUCAAGUUCCCUAAACAGAUCCAUGUUGAGAACCCUUAUGCUUUCUAUGUCCAUUGCUUUGCUCAUCAGUUACAGUUGGUUAUUGUUUCCAUUGCAAGUUGUUGCUCCUCUUUUGAUGAUUUCUUCAACUAUGUGGGUUUAAUAUCACCAGUACUAGUGCAUCUUGUAAGAGGAAGGAUAAAUUACAAGCACAACAUUGCGAAACCAUUAUAACAAAGUUAGAGAGUGGUGAGAUUCUAAGAGGGAGGGGAAGGCAUCAAAUGACAAACUUGCAUAGACUAGGAGAUACAAGAUGGGGUUCUCAUUCAUAACAUUACUUCGUAUUGAGUCAAUGGGGGAUUCUAUAGUCAAGGUGUUAGCCAUGAUCCAUGAAGAUGAAUGUAAUCCUAGCCAAGCCGGUGGUUUGGUGCGCAAAAUACAUGGAAAGCUUUUCCUUUGUUUUAAAUAUGAAGUUGAUGUUGAAAGUGUUCCAUAUUACAAAUGAGCUGUCUCUUCUUUUUCAAAGAAAAGACCAAAACAUUGUUGAGUCUAUGUCAUUGCUUGUUGAUGUGAAAGCACACCAGUUUAAGAAAUUAAUGAAGGCUGGGAGCAAUUAUUGAAAGAGGUCAAAUCAUUUUGUGUUGCAAAAGAAAUUCCAAUACCAAAUAUGAAAGAGGCAAUACCAAGAUGGGGCAGAUCAAGACUUGAUGGCAACUUAUCACUCAAGAGCAUACCAUGUUGCUACUUUCCUUGCUGCACUUGAUACUAUAAUCAUGGAGAUGGAUCAUCGCUUCAAUGAGGCACGUACCAUCUGAGUUGCUUGUUUCAUUUGCUUGUCUUGAUCCAAGACAAGCAAAUAUUAAAGCGACGACACAUGCACAAUAUAUAAUGUCAUAGGGACGACACAUGCAGACGUGUUUGGAUAUUAAUUAAAUGCCAGAUUUCUGCUUGAGUUGGGCAAUGUAAGCAACCAGAAAUAUUAAGAUAUAGGUCCCGAAAAGCUUGGCUAUGUUCCAGGCAAGCGUCGCGAAGAAGCUCCUGAGCCUCCAGCUGUUCCAGUGGAGAUGAGAGCUCGUGGACGGGCAGAGUCCCCAAGCACGCGAGAAGCCAAACCUUCGAUACAUCACCAGCAUGAACCUGAGGUCGUGGGCGAGCGCUUCGUUCCCGUAGAGCACCAAGGCCGAGGUGGCGACGGCGACGAUGACGACGGUGACCACAGAGACGUCCCACAUCACCACGCCGACUCCCAGCGCGAAGGCGAUGAUGACGCUCUUGAGGGCGACGUGGAAGAAGCGCACGGCGCGCUGCGCGUAGACGCGGCGGACGAGCGGGUCCACGUCGCCCCGGUUGCCGUACUCGGCGAGGCUGAACGUGGCCGCCACGGAGCAGUAGAAGGCCAGGAUGUCGGCGAUGACGAAGACCUUGAAGCCGUAGCGGCUGGCCAGCGCCGGCGUGCCUGCCCGGUGGCCUUCCGUCUUGUACGACCCCGGCAUGGUGAACGCCGCGGCGAAGGUCACCGUCGCAAUCAGCGCCGACGCAACCAGGACGCUUUCGUCCAGCUCUGCUGCUUGCUUCUUUUUCUUCUUCUUUUGCGUUCUUGUUUCAGUCGACGGAGCUGUGUGAUCUGCUCGUUGGUCCUUUUGCGUUAUUGUUCCAUAUUUCAUGUCACGUCUGUGGGCGCCGAAAUAAGCUCCAGAGUGAGCCAAUACUCUGACCAUCCAUUCCGUUGGGUUCUGCAUCCAUGCAUCCCAAGUGUCAGGGCCUCUGCUGUCGACUGACUAUCAUCUUCUGGCAACCGCAUGCAUGCAUACACAGGCAUACAGCUGCUAGUUCAUAUUGUUAAUUUUUGCUGAGUAGAGUAAAGACACACAGUUGGGUUCUCAAAGUUGUUGGGUUGUAUCAUCCUGAUUUUUAAACUCGCAAAUCACUCAUUUCGAUUAUCAAUCUUAUUUGCCACUGUCAUCCUGGUACAUAAACAUGCAAAUUGCCGAUUUAGGUCUACAAACUUUUUCAACUAUGCUAUUAUUCAUCAUGUCCCUAAAUUUGCAAAUCGUCAGUUUAGACCCCCAAUCUAUGUUUAGGUCGAUCACAACUAUUCCAAACAGGUUUCUAAACCUGGCCGGGCCCAUAUGCUAAUGUGGUAUAUGCAUGCUGACAUCUCCCUACUCCCUCCUCUCUCUCUCUAUCUCUCUCUCUCUCUCUCUCUCCUUUCUCCUCUUCUCUCACGAGGUCACGGCUCGAUGGUGGCACGGCUUGUGACGCAUAGCUACAGGCUAGGACCGACAUGGUCGUGGUCUGUGCAACCAGCCUCUCAAUGCAUGGUGGUGCUUGGGAACAGGUUUAAGGAUCUAAACUGAUGAUUUCCGAGUUUAUGGACCAAAAUAACACAACCAAACAAAAUUUGAUGAGCUAACUAAGCAGGUGACUUACGAAUUUAGGGAUCAGAUAACACAACAAAACAAAUUUUAGAAUCACCAAUAAACUUUACUCUUAAUAAUAUUUUAACACGAGAAGUUAAACUUGUUGGAUAUGCAUGCAUGUAUAUACCUUGGGAGAGGCGAAACUGUUUUCUAUCUUUAUCUUGCUCGCAAGGUCGAGUGGUGUGUAGCCAUCCUUGUUGACAUGGUUGAGAUCCACAUACCUGUUCCCAACGAGAUGGCUGAAACUAGACUCGUCCCUGUUCUGCACGGCCAGGUGCAAUGCAGUAUUUCCGUCCUUGUCCUUCAUAUUAAGAAUGUUCCUGAACGCUGGGCGCGAUUUUCUACAUACCAACUUGACUACGUCUGUCUUCUUGUUCUCAACGGCGAUAUGAAGAAACGUCCUACCCAUACGAUUCUCACGCAGGGCCGCAUGUGUGUCUUCUUCACCGACCAAAGCGUGUACUGCGUCCAUUGCUCCAACAGAAGCAGCUAUGUGUAUGGGGCACAUCCCAUUGCUGUCUACCGCCUUCUUCCUCAUGCCAGUUGUGUCACCAUCGACCAGAAGGCUUGUUACGCCCUUCACUCCAACUGAUGCUGCAAAGUGAAGAGGUGUACUUCCAGAGGCAUCAGCUACAUUCCUCAGAUCCUCCCAACUGACUUCAUUACUACUCAGAAGAACUUUUUGCGCCUCUAGAAUCUUUUGGGUAACAUCUGCCAUCAAGUGUUUCUUAAUUAUCAGAGUCUCUUGAAAAUGUGUCCUCUCUCUUUCCCAGUUUAUAAAGCACGAACGAGUAUCAAUAUUCAAAAUUUAUAACAUGUCCUAUUUUAGUUCACCAAUAAUUAAUUGGCACCGGAAUAUUCCUAAUCAGAAGUACUUUCCUAUGGCCCUUGUCUUGACAUAAACAACAUAAUCUUGUGAAAAAAUAACACAAACUAACAUUCUAAAUCUGCUUCUAAAUGACAUAAACAAAGUUUAACAGAAUGGGUAGAGAUUACAAAGUAGAUAUUGUUAUUGCAUUAGAGAGAGGGAAAGAGUGAAUAGAUAAGUAAGUUUGAUUAGUCAUAUGGACAAUGCACGAACUUGAUACUGUCUCCUAAUUAAGAAGAUUUUAGCCUAUGCAGGAACAACAAACCAAUACUCUCCCUUGUAUCUCACAUAAAAUAAGGAGGAUUAAAGAGAGAAAGAUUUCGGUCAUUCAAUACAUCACAAUCCAUGAUGGCUUACAUCCCCAUUGAUUGGUGAAUUUUACUAGAAUGAGAUUGGGUGUUGAGGCUACAUUGAUGAAGGAUAGGAAGUUAAUGAGAAAAAAAAUUAAAUCAUAUAAUAACAUGUACUGUGAGUGAUUAUAAUUGAUCGAUUGAUCAAAGUGUGCUUAUAAGACCGAGUUAAUCAAGGGAGAAGUCCAUUUUAACCAUCAAAUUACACUAGUUUGAUUUUAUCCAUGGAAUUCAAAAAAACUAGAAAUCUUCAUUCAUCCAGCUAUAGAAAAUGUUCUCAUUUAGCCAUCUAGCUAUUUUGUGGGUGGCUUUGGUCAUGUGGAAGACACAUGACAGUGAGGCCUACAUGACAACUUCAGCUAACCAAAUUUCUCUUCUCACUCAUCUCUCUCUCUCUCUCUCCAUCUCCCUUUCCCUUGGAGCCCACUCCGCCUCCCCAUGAUAUUGAUGUUGCACACCAGCUUCUCCCACUACUACAAUAAACUUAACUGAGGUGGGCAAAAAUGAUAUUCCGAGGCGGGCAGCCAAAACACCUCGCAUCAAAGGUCACAGUAAAUGACAUUUUUCGAGACGGUUUGAUGCCCGUCUUGGCUAAAAAAAUAAAUAUAGAUAAAAAAAUAAAAAGCCCACAGCCCAAAACCAGUUUGGAUCUGGGCCUAGAUCCUCCGCCGCUCGUUGGGGCUACGCCACCGCCGCUCGUUGCAUGGUGGUCUGACUACGCUCAUGUUCGUCGGAUCCGCCGCUGGCAGGCUCGUGCUCACUGGAUUUGCCACUAACGGUCAUGGAAUUGAUGGCCACGGUAGCCGGAUGAUACGGGGAAGGAGGGUGCACCGCCGUCAGGGGAGGAGCGCACCGUCGCCGGAGAAGAAACCAACGCAGAAAGUGGAGGGGCUCGAGGAGGAGGACGCCGCCAGUGGAGAAGCGUGGGGGAGGUCGCUGCACCGCCAGGCCACAGGAUCCACCAGAUCCAUGAGCUCCUCAAUCCACCAGGUCGCCUGUGCCACCCGCUGCCAGGACAUCGUGCCACCUGGCUGCCUAGUCACCACGCCCAUGAGCUCCUCCACGAGGUACAGUCAUACAGGAGAGUGGAAGAAAGGAUAUGGGAGGGGAGGGGGCACCGGCUGGUAGGAGAGGGCAGGGGCGUUCGGGUGCGGAGGGGGCUCCGGUGGGAGGGAGAAGGGAGGGAGCGCUCGGGUGCGGCGCUCGAUUUGGUGAAGUGAGGGAAGUGAUUUCUAUCUCUGAAUAAAUGAACCCAAUAGUUGAUUGGAUUUGGGCUUUGGGCCCGGUAUAUUAACGGAGGUGGGCCUUAUAAGUGGCCCGCCUAAAAAAAUGGAGGCAUUUUUUUGGAGCCAGGCCACUUAUAAGGCCCGCCUCUGUUAAUAGAUUUUAGGCCUCCGCAAAUCAAUUUUACAAGGUGGUUGAUUGUAACCGUCUCGGUUAAUGAAAAGCGACCGCCUUAGUUAAUCUCAGACAUUAACCACAACGGUUGAAAUUCUUGUGCGCCUCAGAGGGUGUUUUUAAAAGGUCACGGUAAAUCUUUUUGGUAGUAGUGUCCUCUCCUCCCAUAACUCGUCUUGCUCCCCCUCCAUCCCUAUCUAGCCCUACUCUGCCAACCAAAGUCCACCUAAAGGCAAUGAUGGAGCCAAGCAAGAUCUUCCUGCAAAAUGUCCUCACUAUGACCAUCAUCGUUUUGAGCCAUUGGCUUCCUCGUCUAUGGUUGUUGUGACUACCUCUGCUUGGUGCUCCCGUUCAUGUCCAUGCACACACUCAUCAUCAACAACCUUUUGCGUCGAUGCCAUUUGUGGUGUCAUGUAGCUCGAAGUACCAGUCUACCUCUUCUAGAUAGACCUCCCUGAUGCCAAGUGUCGCCUUGCUAUUUUUCAUGGAUCCUCCCUCCGUUGUGGAGCAUGAUUCGGCAAGGAAGUUGGCAAUAGAGCUUGCAGAGAUUGAUUUGGCCACAAAGUCUAACAAUAGAAGGAAGAGGUGGUGGCAUGUAGUGGCUGUGACAUGUGAGGAGCUUGGCUAAUACUUGAGCUCUACAUGCAGCUUGGAAUGCAAAGUUUAGAUAGUGUGUAGGAUAGAGAAAGAGAGAAUAGAGAACUGAGAAGAGGAAUAGAGAAAAUGAAAGAGGAAGAGGAGAGACAAAACAAAUAGCUGAUAUGUGGGCCCCACUUUCAAUGCGUCGUCAGCAAAACCACGUACCACUAUCGGAAUGCUUCUCUUUGCCGACUGCCAGAGGUAGCCGACAAAGGCACGAAAGUAGUCGGCAAAGGCAUUGCCGACUGCUUUCCACGAGGCAGUCGGCAAAGAAGACGUCGCAAAGAAUUCGUCGGCAAAGAAACCUUUGCCGCCUACCACGUGGAAAGCAGUCGGCAAAGGCUUUACCCUGUCGACGUGGCAUUCGGCAAAGGAAAGUACGUCGUCGUGAGAUGACGUUGCGCGUUUCGUUUGCCGACUGCCAAAGGUGGCAGUCGGCAAAGCGUUUUUUUUAUUUUUUAGUACAGAAAUUCUUUGCCGACUGCCCUAGGUGGCAGUCGGCAAAGCUGCCAGCGUUUUUAUUUUUUUACUGCAGAAAUUAUUUUACAGUUCAGAUCAAAGAUUUCUCGUUUUUCAGAUCACAUGGCCAAAAUCAAAUUGUGACAAUAGUUGAUGCCUAAAAAUUAAGACAAAUAACACUAUAUAAUAACUAAGACAUAAAAGAGUGGUUUAAAGGAAUGAAGCAAUUAUUUCUACUAUGUGGGGCCGACCAGCGGCUCUCAUGUAUCUUACAUUCUUACCUCUACUUCGAAGAGCUGCGACGUGUAGCACAUUUUGUCCAUUUGGUCCAUCAUAUGACAGAUCCCUACCAAAGGUUCUAAUCAGCAGUUCAGCCAUGUCGCCGUAUCCCAAGAAGAUAGCUAGAUAUAGCGGAGUCAUGCCGUUGAUGUCCGGGCUUUUUGCAAAUCUACGCAAAAUUUCAAACUCUGCAGGAUUGUCAUUACGUUUCCUCACUGCUACGUGCAGGAGCGUCUCCAGGUCCUCUUCUCCUGCAUUCUGAAUUUCCGUUUCGACCCCUGCUUGGCCUCUGCGAAGCGACAGCUCAGUUAGCAAAAUUUUUGGUUUUCGACGCUAUAACACUUUCGUUUUUAUUUAAUAAAUAUAGUUCAAUCAUGGAGUAAUUAGGCUUAAAAGAUUUGUCUCGUGAUUUACAGAUGAACUGUAUAAUUAGUUAUCUUUUUUAUCUAUAUUUAAUGUUCCAUGCAUGUACCGCAAGAUUCGAUGUAAUAGAGAAUCUUGUAAAGUUUUAGGUUUUUAGGUGCAUCUAAACAGGACCAAAUCUGCUUGCCUAUGCCCAUUUAAAUCUGAAUAAGAGCCGAACUAACUUUGGGAACCUAAAGUUAUAUUUUAAGACUUUGAGACCUACAUGACAUCAGAUUUUUCAAUCAUUUUUUAUUUAAUAUUUAAUAAUAGUCGCUUUAAAACUUUUUUUAUAGAUCUGACUUUUUGGGUCGCGUAAGUAGGGCUAGCAUAGCUAAAUAAUGCUAUCGCACCAAUCCACGUGGCUUGACAAAAUGUAUCAUGUUGAUGCGAUAAUACUGUCUUGUCGCACUAUCGGAAGUAACAUGACAAGACUAAACUUUUAAAAAAUCAUAACUCCUCGAUACGACGUCGGAAAAGGAUGAUUUUUAUAUAAAAAUUAUAGAUCUCAAUAAGAUUUAUAAUUUUAUAGUUUUGAGGUUUUUUACUUAAGGAACUAUUAAGAUGCUCAAAAAUAUAAUAUAAAAGCCUAGCACCGUAAUAAUCGCGUACUAGUGCUCGUCACAUUAGAAAAAUAAUAUCUUUCUGUAUGGAGUCAAAUACAUUUAUUUUUUAUAUUACUUUUGAGUUUUUACAUUUGAAGUUGUUAAAAUACUCGGAAAAAUAAUAAGGUUUUUAUAUUGGUCGGAUAGUUGAUUCUAUAGGCCCUGUUUAGAUCGCUGAUAAAAAUUUUCUGGGUGUCACAUCGAAUGUGUCGGAAGGAUGUCGGGAGGAGGUUUUAGAAACUAAUAAAAAAACAAAUUACAUAGCUCGUCAGGAAACUGCAAGACAAAUCUAUUAAGCAUAAUUAAUCUAUCAUUAGCACAUGUGGGUUACUGUAGCACUUAAAGCUAAUCAUGGAGUAACUAGGCUUAAAAGAUUCGUCUCGCGAUUUUCAACCAAACUGUGUAAUUAGUUUAUUUUUUUAUAUAUAUUUAAUGUUUCAUGCAUGUGUCUAAAGAUUCGAUGGGAUAGAUGAAAAAAUUUUAGGUGGGAAACUUCUUCCUGUCUUUCUACCUCCGUUUCUCUUUGGUCGUCCCACAUCCCAACUGUGUGUGUGACGGAUCCUACAGGCUUCCCCAAGCACGUACUGGCUUCCUCCCAUGCAUCCCAUCCCAUCCCAUCUCAUCUCAUCCUCGAUAUCAAUGUAGAGGCGGAGCUCCCCAUAUGGCACAGUGGGGCGGCUGCCCCAGCUACUUCUGGUGCGAAGCCCCUAGUACCCUUUCUUCUUCCUCAGGUACGGUAUGGUCAUGAUAAGCAGAGCUGCAUAGGGCGGCGUUCGGCCUCUGACGGCGCAGCUGAAACUUAUUUUUAGGAAAGAGCUGUGCAAGCGAACGCUAAAGGCCCAAUAGUAUAGAGCCCAUCAGCCCAAUAAUUCUCCACCACAUCAGGGAAUCACUAGCUGGUUUAAUCCCUAAUCCCCUAACUUUCCGAGCUCCAAUGACAAUUGGCGAUGGUGUUCCCAUCAGGAACUCAGGCCAUCACCGCGCGCCCCUAGCGUGUCAUCAUCGCCGCCGACCUAGCUGCAGCCUGCAGUACGCCGAAGCUUCUUGUCGUCGCCCGCUGGUGAACCAUGGCGCCGCUCCCUGCCAGCCACCGACGCCUCUUGGUGUUAACUGCACUGCACAGUGUCGCCGUCUCCUCACUGACGCCCUAUGCCUAUAUAUUCUACCUGCUGGAGCUUGUGCUAGACCACACGAGUCCUGGAAUCAUCAACCGCCUUAAGAAGAACCAAAUAGUUUCGAUGCUUAGAUUUUUUGGCGAGCUCCGCCACUGGACAUCAUCAUCCCCGCCCCACCUCCAUGACCAUCAAGCUAAGCAGUCCAUUUACGAGCUCCACCGCCGCCAACCGGCCAUCUCAUCCGGCCGCUGGCUGCAUGCGGUCGUCGGCGACGCCCCCAUGCCCGCCCCACCCCGGCCACCUCUCGCUGAUCAAUGCACGCCUGCCGUGUGAGGCCACCUUCUCCGAUCCUCUCCCCGUCCACCGACGACCUUCCAAAGCACUAUACCCUUUAAUUAAUUAAGGACCUGCCUGAGGUACUGGCAGGUCUCAUCAUCAGCAACUCUAACCCCAGAAACAAACAGAACGGAGAGCGCCGGCGGCCGGCGGAAGUCGAUCAUAUGCUCACCGGCUCACCGCGUUAUUAAGCUUUCAACUUAAUUAGAAUCUGAGCUAGGCGUCUCGAUUUUAGGACGUAUACGUGUGCAAGAAGAAUAUAUAUACUAUAUAAAUAGAAACUUAAAACUUGCCUGGGAAUCAAAACGUCACCGCCAGGGGCUUGCCGUAGUCCUGCUUCGACGUCGUCUCCAGGCUGCUCCUCGACCUGCAGCUGCUGCUGGCCUUGGUCCGCCGCGCCAUUGCAUGGGCGCUCAGCUGGUGGUGGUGCUGCGGCGGCGGCGGAACCCGGCAUGACGAUGGAGUCUUCCAUUUUGUUGAAUUUUCGUGAUGAUCGGGAGCUAGCUACUUUAUCUUAGCUUGUGUUCGUUCUGUAUAUAUAUCGUGCGACGACCAUCUGCCAGGCCCAUCCAACUUAAUUCGAUUUUGGACGCGCUUUGGGUCAGGAUCGCUUGCCUGCUGACUAGACUUUGUUCCAAACAGCCCGUUGAACACGUACUCAACAACUUGCCAACAUGCUGGUUGUGUGUUUAGCCGUCGAUCAGGUGUGGCAUAUUUGCCUGGUCAAGCUUCAGCUGCAGGACGUCAUCUUCGUGGCUGAAGAAAACACAAUGCAGUGGUGGCUUAGGAGCAGGAAGCUGGUCCAAAGGUACUUCGAUAGUUCGACGUGGCUUUGACUCGUUCUUCUUCCUGGUUCGAUGGUCACUCUCAGGGCCGUCUUAGGGGUAUGGAUGGCCACAGGCCCAUACCAAGAGGGGGCCUAUAAGUUGAUGUAUGUAUAUAAUAUUUAUAUAGUAAUAUAUUUGGCCAACAAAAUGAAAUUUUAAAGAUCCAUAUACUAAUCAUAAGUAUUUAAUCAAAAAUUAGCUUGCAUCACUUUCUAUUCUAAUAUUCAGCUACUCCCAAUCACUUCCAAUACAUGCUGUAAGUUAAUUUUUUAUUACUAGUACUGUAUACUUUAAUUAUCAUAUUAAGGUUUUAUUUGAAAUGACACAUCUUUCGGAGCACUUGGGUAGAACUGUAGAAGCCACAAAUUAUAGCAUGUCAUUUAGUUUCAAAAACGGCUUUAGCUCCUCUAGUGUUAACCAGAAAACAAAUCAGCCUCCUAAAGUGAUCGGUAAGGAUCCUAUGGUUCAGAGUUGAUGCCGCAGUCGAAGCCAUGCCAAUUACUCUCUCCAUCCUAAAUUAUAAGUCAUUCUAAGAAUCUUGGAGAGUCAAACUAUCCUAAGUUUGACCAAAUUUAUAUCAUAAAAUAAUAAUUAUUAUGAUAACAAUUAAGUAUCAUUAUAUUCUUGCUUAUUUAUAUUUUCAUUAUGUUAUAAAUCUUAGUAUUUUUCUCUAUAAUUUUGGACAAACUUGAAAAAAAUACUUUGACUGGAAUGACUUAUAAUUUAGAAUGGAGGAAGUUGAUUGUAAAAGGUUAGUUUGCUAGACCCUUGCUGCUCGCUUGCCCAAGGGCCCUAGGAAUUCUUGAGACGGCCUGGAUCGCUCUGGAAAGAGCGCAACGCCCGCACCUUCGAUCGAAGAACUGAGUCUGCGUCAGAUCUUGCUACGUAGCGCCUUGCUGCUCUGCUUGCUCGGGUCUGAGCUAACCUGUGACUAGGAAGCAAAAUUUGUUCACUAUGUAAUCUUCUCUUCAGCUUUUAGCUGCCUGUUUUGUUCUGCUUUGUGCCUUGGUAACCUAUUUUUUACCGGUUGUUAACCCUCUUUCUACUUAAUGAAAAACACGCCUAGACGUGGUCUCUAAAAAAACAACCUGCCAACAUGCAUAAAGGUCACAGCUGCGCUAGCUAGCUAGUGGCACAAAGAAAAUAUAUGUAUUACUAGCUUGUUGGUACCCAGCAUGCUAUGCUAAACCAAGUCUUCCCUCCAAGCUUAAUAACGCGGUCAGAUUUGAUUUUCGAACAGACAUAUCCACGUUUUUUAUUAAUAAAAUCUUUACUGUAGGGGCCAUGGCCCCUCCAGAUUCCUUGAAAAAAUCCGGCCAACUGGAUCUUGAGUCUAGCCGUGCAUAGUUUUUUUUUGGCCCGUCUCUGUAUUAAUAUGAAAUACUUGGUAAGCACGUUCUCGAAAAAAGAAAUCUUAACCGACGAAAACCUCGCCGCGUAAGCUACAACGACAUCUCCAACUGGUUCGAUUACGUACGGAUAGCUGAUCUGUAUCUCACGCAACCUAAUUCCGCAUGCAUGUAUCAAGAACCUAUUCUACUCCCUCCAUUCCAUAAUAAAAGUACGCACAAUAAUUGCUAAGAAUUCUCUGACUCGGCAUAUGUGUACCGUGUACGUCAUCCCUCGAUUUCUUGAUGACCUAUGUGUAUUGCCCUGACUCUAGCGCAUGUGCAUUACCAAAUCGGCACGUCAGACCAUGGACGAACGUGACGUGGAUGGAAACAGCUGAUGAACAAGAGAGGGAUCGCGCGCAUGCAUGUUUUUAACUGCUAGUAUUAUUGAUAUGUGUCUUUAUUUGGAUGCACGAAGGGCCGUAUUUUUUGUGUCAGCUAGCAGUGUUUUUCUCUCACAAUAAAUCAGCCGUUUCAGACCAACAAAUAUGCCGAUAAAAUUAAAUUUUGAGAUUGAUCUGAGUACAAUUAGUGACAGCAAUGCAUGCAUGGAGUAUAUGCGGCGACGACUUCCUUUGUCAACUGGACGCCUUCAGAAGCUACACUACGUAUACUUUCAUGCAAGUUGCUGAUCGAUCCAACGCAAUUAGUGACUAAAGCAAUAUAAACUAAAAAUAUUAUAUUAUUCCUUAGGUCUUGUUUAGAUCCAAUUUUUUUUUUUGGAUUUUGACACUAGUAUUUUCGCUUUUAUUUGACAAACAUUGUCCAAUCAUAGAGUAACUAGGUUUAAAAGAUUCGUCUCGCGAUUUACAGGCAAACUGUGUAAUUAGUUUUUAUUUUCAUCUAUAUUUAAUGCUUCAUAUAUGUGCCGCAAGAUUCGAUAUGACGAGGAAUCUUGAAAAGUUUUUAUUUUUUGGGGUGAACUAAACAAGGCCUGAUCAUUCAUGGCGCGGCAUGACCUGUACAAGUGGCCACAUGGAUGCAUGCAACUUGGGAAGAAGAAAAUAAACCAAAAUUUGCUGACUUGUACUAGUUAAAAAAAAAGCUCUUGUACUGAACAUUUUAAAAAAGUUAUUACAAAAGUCCUUAGUUAUCAACCGAGCAUUUCUUAUAAUAAACCCUUUAAACAAACUCUGUUUGAGUAUAAUUUGAUAAAAUUUUGUUUAUAAUAGUAUUAAUUUCCUGAUGAAUAUAUUUUAAUCAUUCAAGACAAUAUAUAUCUAGGUAUAAAAAAUGUUCUGCCUUAGGCUUUGUUUAGUUCACUCCAAAAUCCAAAAACUUUUUAAGAUUCCACGUACAUCGAAUCUUGCAGCAUAUAUAUAGAGCAUUAAAUAUAGAUAAAAUAAAUAACUAAUUAUAUAGUUUACCUAUAAUUUGCGAGACGAAUCUUUUAAACCUAGCUAGUCUUACAUUGGACAAUAAUUACCACAUAGAAACGAAAGUGCUAUAGUAGACCAAAAAUUUACCUUUGUAUCUUGAUGAGCCGUAACCCUUUUUGGCACAAUCCUUCUAUUUCUAGGCCUUGGCCCGCACGCCCGUUAGUUUUCGUCUUGGGCUUUGCCCAGUUCUCAAGUUGGGCCGGACCUUUAGCUCGCUCGCAGCAGCCCAACUCGUUUUCCCGUCUGCCGCCGUGCAUCUCCCGCCGUGUAGGCAAGAAUUCUUGCAUUUUUGCUUUUUUCCAUAGCUCGUGUGAAACAAGAAGAUCACUGCCUUCACGGGCAUCCUAAUUUUCGAAACCACUACAAUGCGACAUCACUGAGACACCCAAGCAAAAUUAUGCCAUGGCUACGUGCUUCAAGAGACCCUAUUUUAUUAUUAGUCCGUUGACACACUGUUAAAUGUUACUCGGUGACUAGUCAUGUCUAUUUAACUGUCAAUUUAUUGAUCGUGUAUCCUGUUUAAGUGGUUGUGUAAAUCAAAUAAACACUAAAUGACAGGUGCCUGACCUUUUACCAUAUAGCAUUUUGGUGAACGUUGCCAAGAGGUGGACCCUGGAUUUGCUAAUCCUUUGACACCUAUCCGUGUGCUACUCCCACUACCUAGCCUUUGCUCCCUCCACAGGUCCAUCCGCUCAUAAAGAUGGCAAUGGAGAAUUCGUCGUCGGGUGUCAGGCCACCACCCCCGUCCCCAUGGGGAAGGAAUUUCCACAUCCCCGUUCCCGUUCCCAUGAAUGUUGUCGGAGGAAACUUCUUCAUCAUCCUCGUCCCCGUGCGGGAAAAAAAAUUCCCCAUGGGGAUCCUCAUCCUCGUAUAAAUGUAUUAGAGAUAUCAACAAGGAUCGAGGAAUAAUCAAGCAAGAUUUCACAUUGCAUGUCGAUUUCUAAGAGACAUCAAUUUCGCAUCACAAAAAUUCCAAUGAAAUUACAAAGCAGAAAUAAAGAAGAGAUCCAAAAGGGCAUAAGGCCAUGAAUGUUCAGAACCUAGGCUUCUAGAUUCCAUCUUCAGAUCAAUCUUCCGUGAGUCCAUGAACCACUAACGAGGCUUGAAUGCUUUGUGUUGAGUCUGGUGCUUCGGUCUUGCAGCAAGAGGAAGGGAAGAGUAGUGAGAGGGGUGGUAGAUGGGGAUCUCAUCCGCAUGUUUAUGCUAGGCUGCUGGCGCAUGAGCAGCGCAGAUGCCUAGUGACCAGCCGAUGAGUCGACGGAUCAAUCACGUUGGUGGAACUAGUGGGGGCGUGGUGCACUAGUGUUGUUGUGCUAGAGGCGGCGGGCGACAACAAGGGGUAGAACUGAAUGUCGAAGCCGCCUGAACUGGAAGAAGAGGAACAAAUAGAGUCGCCCGGUUAGGUCUAUGGAAUUAGGGUUAGUGAUGCAGGGCUCGAUUAUAUACUACUAAUGCUGCUGGGCCUUUAGAUGGGCCUAAGCGCCUAGCUAGUUGUCUCCCCGCACGUGUGCCUGAAUGCACAGCGGUGCGGGUAGCGGGGAACAUGGUCGGAGAUCACGUAACCAUCCCCGUCCCCGCCAUCGCUGACGGGGAUAGAAAUUGUACUAAACUAAUCCCCGUGAGGUAUAAUUUACUCCCAUCCUCGUCCCAUAAUAAUAUCCGCUCAGCACACAUCUACUCCAUAGCUCCAUUUGAAUAAGCCUUUGUUCAUGUAAUGCAUGAUUGCAAGUAUAGGGCCAAACAUGGUCAUUUAUUUACUUCCUUGGUAAACCCCCCCCCCCCCUCUCCUAAACGACUAUUAUUGUAGGAGUAAGUUCGUCGAAUUGGUUUGUUGAGCAUACGAAUUGGGCCAAAUUGGCUGAUUGGACUGCUGAAUGCAUGUUCUCCCAGGCAUUGAACUCCCAAAUAAUAUCGUCUUGCACAUUUGGGGUGAGGUGUGAUUUUUCCCACAAAUUAAUCAAUAAAAUGAGGUUUAAGCCCAUAAUCCAGCAGUCUUCUAGGAUAUAUAGGAUAGCUUCCUGUACUAACGAGAUCAGUGAAAAGUGAUCACCGUCGUCCACAUACGCCAACAACAGUUCCCCAUGCUAGCUGCCAUGCCCAUGCAUGGUUCCAUCCAGCACCCAUGCUUUGGUAUAGGACAAGCACAAGCGUCUGUGCGUUCUCCAUUCUGUGUCUCCCCGUAUGAUCAUCUAUGAUGCAUGUGUAGAUUCAUGGCACCGGACGCUCGGUGCACGUAUCUCGAGUGAUCUGCCGGACGGGAAGGCACAACAGCUUGUGUGACACAGUGAGUCAGUGAGCAGCCAAGGGGGCCCUGCACCGAGAAUAUAAUGUUACCGUGCAAAUUGCUCCGCCGUUGCAGCAAUGCCAUGCUGACACGUGACAUGGUGCAAGUGAUUCACUGGUGUUUUACUGAAGCUGCGGCUUAAUCUGAUGGGAUUGCACGUGCAUGUGGCGUCAGACGCCUGCAAAUUAGCCGUCAGCACCGUCAUUCUUAUUCUAUAAUCUGCAGCAAAACACCGACCAUUCCUGAUUUUGCUCCUGCAGACCUGGACGGAGAUGAGAUCGAUCGUAAUAGCAUUAGUUAACUCACACCGAGGGUACUUGUUGUCCCAUCAAGAUUAAGACUUGGAGACAAACAUAACAGCAGAAUUAAUACUAGUACCCGCACUGAUCCUGAUCCGUACUCAAUCAUCCAUGCCCUUUAUCACUCCAUUCCAAGUUAUGUCUUUUUUAUACAUAUAGUUUGCUAUUCCUUCUGUUCAUAAAAUAAUGCAAUUUUCGUAUUUCAAAAGUCAAACGGUUUGAAUUUUGAUGAAACUAUUAUAUAACAUUCAUGAUACAAAAUAAAUUUCAUUAGAUUAGUUAUAGGAUAUAUUUUUUUAUCAUAGAUUUAUUUGAAGACAUAAAUACUAAUAUUAUUUAUUAUAAUUUUGAUCAAAUUUGAACUAGUUGACUAAUAUGAAUCCCAUAACUGUAUUCUUUAGUGGGCACAGGGUGUAUGCAUCUAGACAUACAAUAUGUCUAGAUACAUAUAAAAUUAUGUCUAAAAGAAAGUCAUAAUUUGGAACCAAGGGAAUAGCAAACAUAUGUGUAACGAAACACAAUAUAUCUUGAAAUCAAAUACUAGAUCAUCACUAGAAGCAAGUUGUUCUAAUUUAUAUAAGCACUGUAUGGAUCAUGAAUAUGGAAAUAUGGACGGUGCAAGAGCAGAUUGCGGACCUGAGAAAAUUUUCACUCUAACUUCACUAUUUAAUAUUAGAUAUAGAUAGAUAUAGAUAUAGAUAUAGAUACAAAUACAGAUAUAAAUAUAAAUAUAAAUAUAAAUACAGAUACAAAUGAUAUAGAUAUAUAAAUAUAUAGAUAUAGAUAGAUAAAAAAAGAUUUUGCCAUUUAUCUGUUGAUAGAUUUUUCAUAUUUCUAUAUAUUUUAUUGUGCUUUAAGAUUUGUGCUGUCUACUAGGUUACAUUUAUUAAAAAAAUCUGAUAGAUUUGAUCACAUAAAAUAUAUCAACAAACACUACCAUAAAAAAUAGAUUGUUAAGGCUGCGUCGUAAUAAUUCAAAAAAAAAAAAGAGGCCCUGCGUGUCGUCGUGCUAUAAAAAGGCGUCUUCCACUCCAGUCUUGUCUCGGAGCCCAUCAUCCAAGUCCGGUAACCAACUCCACAUCUCCAGUCAUCGAGACACCCAGCGAUCGAGCUAGGAGGGGAUCCAUCGUCACACCUCGAUCGAUCGUCCAUGGUGCAGCGGCCCAUCGUCGUCAACUCCGCCGCUCCGGGCGAACGGCGGCAGGCCAUGGCGGAGACGAGCAAGGUCAAGAGGAGGCCCGACGCGAUGACGGCGAUCAAGUCGCGGAUGCUGCGGUGCAGCGGCGCCAAGGCCGACCAUGGCCGGUUCAAGCGCGGCUACCUCGCCACGGCCGGCUGCGGCGGCGCCGCCGUCGACUCCACCGUCUUCUUCUACCUCGCUUGCAUCGUCUGCACCCCGCGGCCGUCGGUCUCGAUCGGCGUCCAGGAACUGAAGUAAUUCAUGAGUUGGCAAUGCAAGCCGCCCCAAGGCAUCUACGUACGAGAGUAGUGCCUUUGUGUGCUGUGUACUGCUGUAGUCAGCAAUGUAGUAACCGUUUGGUUUUUUUUUUUCUUUUUUGAAAGGUUAAAUUAGUGAUCAUCAUGCUGCUCCUCAUUUGUCGUUUCUGUUCAAUUCCCUCGGAUGCUGAUGCUGUUUCUGCAAGCUCCAGCCCGAUCCCUGCGACCCUGCUGCGUCAGGGGCUGAUCAGGCAUGGUUAAAAAAUUGUCUGAUUAAUUGCUAGCUAUUUAUUACUAGUGAUAUAUCACCUACAAGCAAUCAAGUAUCUCACUAGUGAGACCAUUAGAAGUUAGCACACCCUAUUCUGUGACGAAUUUUUUUGGAGUCUAUGCCUGGGGGCUUGUUUAUGGCCUUGUUUACUUUCAAAGUUUUUUGCAAAAUAGAAAUAGUAACACUUUUAUUUAUAUUUGACAAAUAUUGUCUAAUCAUAGACUAACUAAACUCAAAAGAUUCGUCUCUCAAAAGAUCUUCUCCCUCCUCAAUCUUUCAGCAUAAAUCUGAAGUAUAUAUGUAGACCCUCCAAUGCAUCUGCUGUUUGACGUACGACAACUGAAGACCGACCGGGACCAUAUAUAACAUGUACUGCUGCGGUGGGAUCACUUAUACUGCACGUUCUACGUACACGUACUUCAUAACUUCGUGUCGCGUGAGUUUUAAGUCCAGUGAUCAGCAAGAGGAAUGAAUCCGACAUCCUUUUUGAACCGGCCUCCGCGAUUAGCCAACAUUCUUUUAAAUUUGAGUUCCUUCAUAUGCUAUAUAUAACCAUGAUUUUUUAAUGGGAAUCUCCAUUUGCUAGCCGGUAUUAACUGUUGUUGGCCAUGUUAUUUUCACAAUGCUGGUUCUAUUAAAACCGACGGUGAUAAUUUGAUAAUACGGUGACCUGUCCAUACGUGGUCUUUGAAAAGAAAAGAUAUAUUUGCAUUAAGAUAAUAUUCGCAUAUAAAUGUUGAAAGAAUUGUCCAAGUUUUUGUAUAAAUAUUAUAUUAUUCUAGACCUAGAGCAUAAAAACAAUGUAAAAAAGCUAUGAACCAAAAAUGACGAAGUAAAUAUACAAAUUGACCAGAGUUCAUGUGCACCAAGUAAGUUAGGCAAAAAAUCAGUCUAAAUCGCUAGAAAAAAUAAAAAAAAAAUUAAAACAUCAUGCAUGUCUCUCUAAGUCUUGAGAACAAAAAAAAUAGUGAAUCAAAUGUAUAGGUAAAAUUUGAAAAGAGUUUAAGGAUGUCUCACAAACUCACAUCUCAAUCUCAACUCCUUCAAAGGUUCAAAGGGGCAAACCUCCCCCUCCCUCUAUUGUUGCUAUUUCUCACCAACAAGUGAGCCAAAAAAUGUCAUGAAGAGCCAGCCGACCAUACAAUCGUGAGGAGGAAGAAGGUAUUUGUAGGGUGUUAUUUUUAGGGCCAGUUAACUAAGAGAAGCAUGUUUGUAAAUAUAUAAUAGACAUGGUUUUGUUAACUCAAUUGUCUUGGUAAUUGGGUUCUUCUAGAGCCGAUUCGGUAAGACGUCCAUCCCUAAAAAUCCCAUUUAAGGGAUAGUUCUCUUAACGAAACCGCAUCUAGAAAUGGUGGGGAAAUUUAUUAAUGGAAGCGCCCCUGAAAAUUGAUUUCUAGCAACAUCUUUAUAGCUACAGUGCAUGCCGCAAUGGUUAGAGAUAGUUUCCUAAGUGGACCGCCUCUAUUAGAAAGGGUGUCGUCUGUAAAAAAAUAUACUAGUGUGGUGCUCCCAAGAUGCAGCUCGAACCAUAUGUUCAUAUAUCUUCCAGGUCGGCCAUUGGCUCAUGCUUUUUGCAUUGCUUUUCCCCUUGUUUUCCAUGAGUGUCAGGAGUAAACUCAUAUGAACAUUUUUUUAUGUGCACGGCAUCAAUGCUAUAGAGAACUACUAAGUGUAUCUAGUAAGGUACUUUCCAUUGAAUUCCCUUUUUCUUUCACCUAUUCUUAUCAGCACCUUCUUUAUCGUCCUUUCACACUAUACCACACAUCAAAAGUAGCAUCAGACAAUAAUCACCUUCUUUAUUGCAUGAUUUUUUUUCCAAGGGAAGUGUUUUCUUCCCAUGUCUAACAUCAACAUCAUUUACCUGGUCAUAGACACAUAUCACCCUGUGAAAUGUCUCGGAGUGGAGCUAUCACCUUCAUGCCAUCAAACUGAUUGCAUGUGCUGGUACAGAUGAGAUUGGAGAAGGAAACAAUGAUGCCUUAUGUACAUCCUCUUCUUGGUUAUUCAACCAAAGAUUCUCGAUGUCAUCUAAGCACCGGAAGCAAUCUUUGUCUCCAUUAAACUGCCGCAAGCAAAAAAAUGUCCCAAAAUAUAAGUGACAGUGCUUACCGCAAUGGCACGUAGAAUGAAUGACUCUCACUAGAACCUACUAUUUAUCUUAACACCGUAUAAUCAGAGUAUCUUCAGAUCAUCCAUAGGAGCAUCCUCAUACAUGUCAAUGUCAUUCCCUAGAUGCAGAACUGAGAUCAAAACUUAUUUUAUCUUGUUACAAAAAUAUGUUGGAAGGUUGUAGAUAGACGACAACACAAGCCAGAUGCUAUGUGAGUGGGUCCAUACCAUCCAUGUAAUUGCAAAAACGAAUAUUCCUUGGCUCAUAAAAAAAUGCAUGCUUGAAAUCAAUGGCACACCACUGAACAACAUCAAAUGGAUGCUAUAUAGAUAAAUACCAAUCUUGUGUGCUUCCUUGUGCCAAUUAAAAAUAGUUUUGCAUAUUUUGUGAUUGCUUUCUCUUUUCAUCACCCCUUGGGAGCUCUAGCAAAAUACCGUGCCUCCUAUAGGGGAGGUCCAUUCCUCCUCUUCUCACCACCCCAUCAUUUUUUUGUUUGUAUCAUCAAAAAACAGACAAGACACAGUCAGUCCAACAAGCAUGGAUUUUCUCAACCAUCAAUCCCAUAGGGCAAACAAUUUGCCUGGCAGAAUAUAUGGUCUUUGGUAUCACAUUCCUCUUUAUAAGCAUGUAUCUCAGAAAGUGUAGCAAUUUAUGGAACCUCUAAUAUUUUCAAUGAUGUGUUUUCUUCAACUGGAGUAGCUUGAGAGAAGCAAACAAUACUUCUCCUUGCAGCUCAAAUAGAGUGGGUCCUCACAUUGAAAACCAACCUAUUCAACUCCCUAAACUGAGAUUAGUGUACUCAUCAAAUUAAACCCUAUGGCAUCAUGCACCAUGUUCUCUAGAUUUCUUGGCCAUAUGGACAUAGAUAGUUGGCACCAAUAUUAGCAAGGUCAUCAUCACUAAGAUUUUGAUUGUCAAAUGAUAUGAUCUUUCCUUGCCAUCCUAACUUGCAAAAUUCCCAUAGAAUCCUUCCUCAUCCUAAAUGAUAUGACUACCCAGAGAAUCCAUGAUCCAAGCAACCAGCAUGCAAGUCCUGAACAACACCUUAUCCUCUAUGUUUUUUUCUAAGAUCACCCAUGAAUCAUCGGAUGAUCAUUGCAAUCAACUUGAGUAUUGCUUUUCAUUCUCAUAAUCAUAGCAUGGACAAAACAUAGAUAUCUUGAGUAGAAAAUGUUUUAUUACACAGGUGGCCAGUAGGAUGCAACUGCUAGUACAAAUGCCCCUAUUAGCAUAACUGCAAUGCAUCAUUUCUAUUGGCCUUCCACAUUAAUUAACGGAUGAAACUACAUAUUGCCACUAAAGAUUAAUUUCUACUGUUAGUAAAAAUUCAUCUAUGUACUAGUGGGUCCAACCUCAUAGAUUUAAUUUAUGUUGUUGCCCAUGUUUGUCGUCAUAUGAUUACUAUGUUUCCAUUAUAUGUAUUUUUCUAGUAGAAAUAGAAUUUUAUUGGUCACAUAGAGUGACCAACUUCUCCAUCUAAUGGAGAACCUACACUUACCACAUUGUCGACUGUCUAGUGUGUUUUCAAAUCUGUACAAGCUAAUGGAGAAAUUAUAUCUGACAUCUCUCUCCAACAUGAAAGACAAUUUUCAACAAACUUCAAAAUAGUUUCAUACUCCCUAAACCAAAAAACAUAACAUUGAUCUUUGUUCCUCAUCACUGUGUAUAUGUUUCCUUCUAUAGUAUUCAUGGAUAUAGGGAUUCCCAUUUGCCCUACUAGAAUGAUGUUCUUGGCUAAUUAGUUUGUAAAGAAAUAGAAGUGUCAUUUAAUGAGUUACUUAUUUUGGGGAUGAAAGUGGAAAUGGAUGAUAUUAUUUAAUGAGCUCAUUUAUGCGGUUUUAUUGAAUUUUGUAAAAAAAGGAAAUAUUAAUGGAAUAGUAGAAAUAUUUGCCAUUUCUAUGUGUUUAAGGAGUUCACCAUUUUUUGGCAAAAGUUAGCCAAUAAACUUUGCACCCCAUCCCAAUUCUCCACUACUUUACUCCAUAGACAACAAUCGUGACUUGUGACGCACGUCAUCUCGCCACACUCUUCUAAAUGUCACUCUCGCACAUGCCCUCCACCAUGUUGAACCUAUGUGUGCUUUAAAUUAUGUCAACAUUGACUUGUUCUAUUUUGACCUUAAACCUAUCACCUAUGUAUAGGUUUGCAUGAAUUACUUUUUGAGUUGUGCUCAUUCCUAUGUAUGAUGACAUGGUGCUUUGUAACCAUCUUCUAGCUACAAUUUGUCUACUACUUACCAAUACUGACCAUAUUCAAUAUUCCUACAAUACUUGUGUCAUAUUCAUUUUUGUAAUGUUAUUUUCAAUUUGUUUCCAUAAAAAACAUAAACAAUAAAUGGUUUAGGUGUUUUCCUACUAUUUUCAUUUAUACAUUUGUUUUCUUAGCUACUUUUUGUUUCAAACAAGUGAAGUAAGGUUCAACUUGUGAACUAGGGUGACCUUUUUAAUGGGUACAAUAGAAGCAUGAUAGCACAAUCAAUGCUUUCUUUUCUAGAACUCCUAUUGAAUGUACAUGCAUCAUAUCACAAUGACCAUGUUCCUUUUUGAGAAUGCUUCUAUGUGGACUCCAUCGCAUAAUCUAUCAUACUCUUCUCUCGCUAUCUCUCUCUCCCCCUUGUUCCCUACCACUAUGUUGUCCUACCACUAACCUUUUGCCACCUGCUAGGCUUGUACUCCCUUUGUCCUAAAAUAUUUGUCGUCCAACUACUAUUCUAAGCACAAGAUCCAUGGCAUAUACACCUGAGCGGCAACUAUUAUGUUGUCCAACUACUAACCUUAGCUUCUGCCUUCCCUAUCCUCCCUCGUGUAUCUUGUGGUCCACCACAACAUAUGCUAGCUGUAAUUUUGUUGUUGAGGUCAUAUCAUCACAGACUUUGAAGCCUUAGUCUUUGGCCCACUCCCCCUUCGUUCUUCAUGAAUUUGUGAAAAUUUUGACUAUUUUUUGGUACAUUUGAUUAAGUGAAUAACUAAUUGAAGUUAUAGGUGUUGGUGUAUUUUUUUCUUAAAUUGAUUAAAAAGUUUAACAAUUUUGACUUUAGACAAAAGUGGAAAUUCCCAAACAAGCAAACACAAACCAAAACUUUAUCAAAUGCAUCUUAGGUGUCCAAAAGCAACAACAAUAUAUAUAUCAGGGAUUUGGAACACAUAAAACAUCCAACUUAAACUCCAUGUCAUCUGGGUAUUAUUGUACUAGUACUAGAAAAAAAACUCAAACUCAUCAACUUGUUUGAAGCAGCCCCAAUUAAUGCGAAACUUAAGUUGGUCAUGCAAGGGUAGAUUAGUAGUAUGGAGACACUGCAGGUACUGAAUGGACUAGAGUCCAUUCGAUACACCCCAUACAUACAUACAUACAUAAUGUGCAUGCAAACUAAUGAAAUCUUGACUGAAAGAAUGUGUAAUCUGAAUGAUAGUUUCCAGAUGCCCUUGGCAUCACUGCCUUCGACAUGAUUGAUGCACCUUGCUUCAGUGCCCUCAGCCUCUUAUUCAGAAGUUCAGCAUGGUUGAUUUUAGAUUUAGAGGAAACAUUUGGUCUUGAUUUGAACCUUAGUUGUCGUCGAAGUUGAAACCACUUCUCUCCCUGUAAAUAGGAAAAUUUGAUAGUUAUAGCCUGAGUAUGAGGAGGAACUCAAACAACUUCCACAACAAUUAACAUAAAUAAGGAACACACAUUUAGUUCUUUUAAACGAGAAAUAGAAAUAAAAAUAUACAUAAUUCUAUCUAGUAGUACUCAAAUGUUAGUUGGACCACUACCUCUUCUUUGUAACCAAGCAGACCGACAAUCGGACAAAUUAUAGGAUCAUGCCCAACAGCCUUAUCCGUAGAGCAAGUUUGUGGAACCAAUUUUCCUAGGGAGUGGUAUGUCAGGAAUGAAGCUUGGCAGCUCCCUGCAGCUGCUGGUAUCUGACAAAUAGGGUACCAAGCAACAGAGAACCUAAAAAUGGAGCAUUUGGUUAGCGCAUAAACAGAAAAGGAACCUUGUUAUAAAUUGGAAAGGUCAAGGCAGAUGAGAUACAACCAAUAUCAGAGUAGACAUAUACCAGGAAGCUGGAUGAAGAUCAGAUAGCUUGACACUUUCAAGUUGCUUAGGAUCCCCAAAUAUUGGAUUACCAGAAAGGUUUACGCCGUCGCGAAGCUGUUUGAUCCUAUAUUACAUGAAAACAAAAUCAAGUAGGGAUCAAAAAGGCUCAGAAACACUGUUUCUGGAUCCUAGCCUCUAUGUAUAUAAUAAGUUAUAAAAAAUGUAUUAGAAAAAGCAAAGUGUAAUUAAAUAAUAAUAUAGGCUCAACAUACUUGGUGAAAAUUGGAGGCCGUGAAAAGGGAUUCUCCAUUUCUAAGUACUCGAAGAUGAGUCCGCCAUGAUUUGGUGACUUCCCUGACUGACCAAACAACUGAACCGCAGAUAGAAGAGGUCGAAAAUAUGUAGAAAAUUCUGGCCAAAUAGAGUUUAUCUUUCCCUCCUUCUGUACCUCAAUCCCAUAGCACUCGGGUUGUUCAUACCAGCGCCAGACGCUCCACAAACGCUGGUCUUGCAAGCUGAUUUUACUUUUUGUGCAAGAUAUCUGUCCAAUGACUGGGGUGGCCGCAUGUAAAAAGGUUUCAAUAUCGGCAUGGAUACCACUGAUCAUGUACACAUCAGAUGCUGCUUGAAUUUCAUAUACAUAAUUAGCAGCCUUAAUAAUCUUAUCCAACUGAGAUGAUGCAUGAGUACUAAAUGCUAUUCUGUUCUCUUGUUUCUUCUGUUCUUCGCUAUCAGCACAUGAAGAAAUAGCAAGAUGACAUAGUGACAAAGUUAUAUCAGAAGGUACUGCUCUAGAAUCUGUGUUUUUGGAGUCCCCACCAACUGGAGACAUAGCUUUUUUCUGUUCUUUCCUAUCAACACAUGAAGACUUAACCAGAUGACACAGUGAUGAAGUUUUAUCAGAAGUUGGUGCUCUGGAAUCUCUGUCUUUGGUGCCACCACCACCACCAACUAGAGCCAUAGCUUUUUUCUUCUGCUCUUCCCUAUCAGCACAAGAAGAACUAACCAGAUGACCCAGCAGUGAUGAAGUUUUAUCAGAAGUUGGCGCUCUGGAAUUUAUAUCUUGGGUGGCACCACCUACUAGAGCCGUAGCUUUUUUCUUCUGUUCUUCCCUAUCAACACAUGAAAAAUUAACUAGAUGACCCAGUGACGAAGUUUUAUGAGAAGUUGGUGCUCUGGAAUCUAUGUCUUCAGUGCCACCAUCAACUAGAGCCACAGCUUUUUUCUGUUGUUUCCUGUCAACACAUGAAGAAAUAUCCAGAUGACCUUUUGAUGAAGUUUUAUCAGAAGAUGGUGCUAUUGUGUCUCCGGAGUCACCGCCAUCUAGAGCCACAUCUUUUUUCUGUCCCCCCUUAUUAUUAGCACAUGAAGAAUUAGCCAGACUACCCAGUGAACAAGAUUUAUCAGAAGAUGGUGCCUUGGAAUCUGUGCCUUUGAUGCCAUCACCAACUGGCGGAGCCAUAGCUUUCAACUCUCCUUCCUUGGGACGACAUCUUGGAGAAUUAGUUUCCUCGAUAGCCUCUAGGGUGACAUGAUGACUACUCCUGGGUUUUGCUUGGUGCACUGUCGUUAUAACAAGCAUUGUGUCGUUGCUACCAGAAACAUCUCCAUCAGUAUAACCAGUCUUUGACAGGUUACUCAAACUGCGGGCCUUCUGGUAUUUACCCUUUCUCUGAUUUGGUUUUCUGCCAUAGAAGGUAACAUCAUUUAUGUAAUGUCCUAUUGUAAUAACCUCACGGAAUGGAGCUCUUGGGACAAGUUCACGAGCUAUAGUAGGUCCUGAUGAAGCAGCCAUGGUAGAACUAGGAGCAGAACUUUCCAGUCGUUGCAUCUUUUUCAUUUUCUGUGCUGAUUUCCUGGAGACUACUUUCUGAAAAUCACCAUCAUUACUGGCAUAAUCGCUGCAAAGCAAGGCUUCUUGACUACAACCACGACUGACUGCUAAACUGAAGCUUUGGUCAACAUUUGGUUUGUUUCCUUCACCACUUGUCUUCUUAAAACCUCGUGAAUCUGUGGAAUCUGAUGCAGACAAUGACCGCUCACUUCUCGCAUCUGACAAGCUGCCAGCAUAAUCAUUCACAGAUGAACUAGCAGCUGUGGCAUAUGAAGUCGUGCUUUUAAAACUUUUGAAGUCAUCAGUACUGCUAGAAACUGAUGGUUCCUUCUCAUUACCAGAAGAUGGACUGUUGACAGCCGGAGUAUUGAUAAGUUUUGCUGUCACCCGAGAGCUGGAGGAUGAAGAACUGUAUCCCAACUGUGGUACAUGAACGGCAACACGGCUGGACGAGGAUGCCAAGGUUUCGCCACCGGUCGCAGCAGCGCAUGUGGAACAAGGUUGGGUGGGUGGCUCACUCUGCAUUUCUGUAGCAUAUGACUCCUUUCUGCCCUUACCUUUGCCCUUGCCCUUUUUCUUCUUCGGUUUUUUGCUGCUCUUCUUAUUUCUUGUAAUGGUAGCUUUCUGCUUAUCCAAAUUUAUCUUGUAAAAAGUACCUUCCAAGAAAUCUGUAUCAUCAGGUGGCUUAUUUGCUGAAUCUUUUAGAAGUUGUCCUUCACCCUGCUGAGUGCUAUCUUUAAGUAACAGUGGUGUUGAUGUGACAUGAAUAUCAUCGAUAACAUUCCAUGCUAUGCUUUCUCCAUCUUGCACAUGAUCGUCUGACAAAGUUUCGGAAUAAGGAUAACAUACUGUGAAACUCAAUGAUCCCAUGAAAGCAGCAGUCCUGAAGAGGAAGUAAACAAAAGUCAUCAAGUAAUGACGAACUGAAACACAUAAUAAAAGCAACUAAAACACCGAAUAUGAAUUUGUUUAUUCUAUAAAACUAAUAUUAGCGCACAAUUACACACUGUUCAAACAAACAAAUGUUUUAUCUCUAUUUCAAAAGAUUAAAUAUUGCACAUUAUCAUGACCCAAAUCAUUGUGCUUUGAAAACCACCAUUUAAAUUUACUGGUCGACUCCAUCCUCAAAUAUAAUUAAGCAGUAAAAAAACUAAAUAAAAUAUUUGAUGAGUAAUAUAAAUAAAAUAUCCAUACUUCUUCUGUGAGAGUGACAUUAUGUGCUUUUCAUCAUAUCGAAAUGUUGUGCAAUUACAAUAUAUAUCUGCCAUUUUUGGCAUAGUGCUGCCGCGCAUAUGCUAUCCAUGGUGGUCAACUAUCAGAGAGUGAUACAUACUCUCCCGCGCCCUUUCCCCUAGCGAUUUGCGGCCUUCCUAGAAUACUAGAAAAAGAUAUAGAUCAUCAUGGCUUUUGUUCACUUAUUAGUAUUGCCCCAACAAAGUUUGCAACUCUGUAUUAUGGAGAGAGUUAGCAUGACCAGACCUCUAAGUAAUUUAUAUUUGCAUUAUGCUUAGGCAGCGUGCGUGGUCCAGGGUGGUUUUAUGAAAUUCAGGAGCUCUUAGGUGUGGAGAUCGAAAGUUUGGACCAAUAGGGUUAGGUGACAUGGGGCAUUUGGUAUGCUUAGAUGACAACUAAAAAAACUAUGGGGUUGCGAGAUAUCCUGCAAUUCCACAAAUUAGUGCUUCCUCUAGUCGUAAACAAAGAUCCAUCCUGAUUUAUCCUAAUAAGUCAUUUUUUAAUAAGAUGAUAUGUUAGGUUUCAUACAGAUUAACUGCACAUUUUUAACAAAAGUAUAUCUUUGUAUAGUCAUAGGGAAACAUAGAGAUGAAGUAAUAUUUGUCAUCCAAGGAGUCAGUAUUCUAAUAUGUCGAAAUGUGCCUUACUUUGCAAUAUAAUGGGAAAUGCCAAAUCUUCCAGCCAUAAUGGAUUGGGGGAGAAGUCCCCCUUCUAUUGCCCAUUAUAGUAAUUUGUCUCCCAGUGGACCUGCUUGCUUGUAACCUAUUGAGGUUAAACUAGUGACUACACAAUCAUCAGCUAGGGAUGGUGAGGGAAUGGGGAUUAUUGCCUCUGGUACCGUACCCUGUGUUAUUUUCACAUAUUGCCUCGAUCUGGUGAGUGGAUGGUGACUUGAACUUUGUUAUAUUUUCACAUUUAAUUGAAUGACGGAUUCCUUCCCGUUUCUAUUUUUCAAAAAUCAUUUCAUUUCUAAAUCACUACUUAUAUAUAUACUACUGGUCUACGGUUUGUAUAAAAUGUUGCCUUUCUGUCCCAAACAGUACCAGGAUAGAUGUAGCUUGUCCUGAAAUCACUUAUGUUAGUUUGCUUCAUACUGGACAUUGUUGAUGUUUUGUGGAUGUGUUAUUUUUCUGUAACUCAUUGCCCUGUGUCAUGCCAAGUAGAAGUUAACGCGUUUUGAAUAUAUUUAGGACGAAGUAGAACUGCAUGGGAAUUUUAAUAAAUAUAAUAAAUUUCAGUGCAUAACUCUCUGGCCUCAACUAUAAAAACAUUCUAGAGAAUAACAUAAAACAGGUGCGUCAUUUUGUUUUGAAAUAAUAACUAUUAGAACCCAGAAAAGGGACCAUGUGCAUUGCUUUUGACAGAAGGAAACAAUUGCUUGCUAUUCGACAUCAUGACACAAUCUCUAUAUCUACUCCAUGAUCCAUCAUUGGCCGAAUGAAAUCACAAAACACAUUACACAUCGCUGAAUUGUUAAUAACAUUAAACUGAUCGACCGUGAUGACAAAUGACAGUCAUCAACCAUGCACGAGUAUAUUCCCAAACAAGUGCUCAGGCUGAGCUUGGGACUUUAUGGGAUUAGCGCAGCCUGCAUUGUGCAAGGGCUGAGAUUUUCUGUUAGAUAAGAGAUGGGUGUUUUAUUUUGUUAAUCGAACGUGGAUAACUCUAAACAAACAAAGUUUAAACAAGGUCAAUCAUGUAUUAGGGUUUGCAUCUUACUUCGAUCCAAACAAACUUUUAUGGAUAUGCAUCAGGACAUAAUUCUACAUUUAGUGGGGCUGCAAUAAUAAACAUGCCAGUCCAAUGCUAGUAAUUGAUAAAAUUUAUAUAUAUGUUAGUCAACUUAAUUUCAUCAUGAAAAGGACUAGUAAAUAAAUAUAGAAAAGAAUAUAUGUCCUUACAUCUGUUUCUGUUCCUCUUCCUGCCUAGCCUGGAUUUCAGCUACUCGACGUUCCUGCAACAUCCCAAUAAACAGAAACAAAUAAAUUAUACAAGUUUAUGUGUUAUAAUAUGACAACAUAAACCAAAUCCCAAGACUGCACAUACAAACUUCAAGUUUUCAGGGCUGAUCUUCUCUGGACAACGCCUGCUGACGAAUAUAGGGCGGCGUCUCCUUGGUACAUCCCCAUCAGCGAUGUUUCCAGGAGUACUCCUUCCUUGAUCUCCUGGUGGCAUACUGGCAGGCCCCUGCAGGGACAGUAUUACCAGGAAUCACAGAGAGGACACACGUUUGUAUAUACAAAAAAAAUAAAAAGAAGCCAUGGCUGAACCAGAUUUGCUAGUAAAUAACACGCAACGCAAGGGCCACGGAACGAAGCUAGGAAAAUGCCAGCUGAUUAGAACGAAGAGAAACAGCACUACUUCUUUAAUCAUCCACAAGAUCUAUGGACCCUCGCUGUGACGACUUAAUGGCUAGUACUAAGCCACCAGAUUUGCCCAAAAUACUGUGAAAGUGAACAUCAAUCAAAUACCUUCAGCUCCUAUAUAUCUCGUAUGUCGUGCAAACUUAACCUGCAAUAAUCGGAUUCCUACAUAGUCGUCCCUGACAUGCUCAAAAUUUACAAAGGUCGCAGCACAAGUAGCACAAAUCCGGUCCCCAGCGAUCCGGUCACAACCAUCACUGAAUCAAACCCUCCCUUGUUUCCUUCCUCACGCACCCCUUCCCAGAAAACAACUCAUUCCAACCAAAAAAAUAUCAAAGUAGACUGAAGAAACCAUAGAUGCACACAGAGCUCAAAGACCAACGAAAUUCCUAAAAAUUCCAGACGGAAACGAGCAAAGAAAAUACUCAGUUUAAGACACCAGGCUGGCGAGAUUAGCGGAAGCACAUACUGUCGGAAAAAUCUGAUGUUGUCUUCCUUGAAAGAGAGGGAGAAGUAGGCCGGGGAGGGUGCGAGAGAGGCUGGAGACAGGAGAGGGCCAGAGAGAGCACACUGGUUUGUUAAAGGAGAAAGGGGACCACUAUAAGGAGACUUAUAUUAUGUAAUACAUAUAUAGCCAAAGAGAGAAGUGAGUGAGACUACAAAACAUGUGAUGUGGAGCCGUGUUGGAAUCACUAUAGCUCAAAUUUGUAUUUUUCCUACCAUUUUCAACUUUCGGUUGAGCAUAGUAACGUAUAUAGACAUGAAUAUUGUAGAUAUAUAUGUUACUUCUUUAUUACAAGGGAUAGUUGUACCAAACUAUAGUAUAUAGUGAGAUUAAAAAUGAAUAUUUUGUAUAUCUCCACAUAUACUACAGCAAUUAAAUAUGGUGGCAAUAAAUGUACAUGGACCAUCUUUUUCUGGAUGCCACAAAUAUGCGUAUAUGGUAUGAUAUAAUGAAAUAUGGUGGUUCUACACAACUCAACACGGUUCUAAGCUACUAUAAAUAUUUGCUAUUUCUCUAAGAUUUAUUUGAUUUGCAUAUUAAUAGCAACGAAAUAUAUAUAUAUAUACUUUUUGUAGAUAUGAUACUCAUAUAAUUAAUUUAGUGCAAACAAUAUUCUAAACAACUUAUCUUUGGGAUGAUAUAUCUGAUCUUCUCUCUCUACACCUCUUUAAUAAAAAAAGAAAACGGCAAGCAGUGAGAAGAUUAGACCAAGGCAUCUCUAAGAUAGACCAUGCACCUUCUUCAAAGCAUAUUUGUUCUAAUAUUUUAUAGCAAGUCCUAUAUUGCAAAAUGCAUAGACAUCCCUAAGAUUGACCAUUUCUUAAAGCAUAUUUUCAAGCUAAUUUUUUCUAAUAGCUAGUCCAACAUUGUAAGUGGUUGGGUACCAUUUUCUUUGCAAAGUGUCGUCAGCAAAAUGAGCAUAUACCAAAACAGUUUUGGUUGAUAUGCACCCCUUUUUACUGCAUAUGCAGUCGAAAAUGCAUUAAGUCAGGACCUAUGUGCAUUGACUGUAUUUAGAUAGACCUUUUUAGAAACGGUUGUAGAUGCUCUAAAGAGGUGACUAGGACAACUGCCUCUACUCUCUUGUGUUGAUAGAAAUAAGCUAUUUCUAGAAAUGGCUACCCAGCCGCUCCUACAAAUGUGAUCUGUGUAGAGGAAGCUGACAACAAUCAAAACUUAUUAUAUAAUGGUUUCUAUAAUGGGUUGUAAACCUACUCGCUUCUACAAAUUAUUUUCCAUAAUCUUCAAAAAUCAUAAGUCACAUUCAAAACUGAGACCUGUAGCCUUACGCAUAGCUCCUCAAACCAGUCCACUCCAAAGUCACUUCUUUAUAGGGCAAACUCAUUUCCCUCAUAUUUUGCCUAAUUUUAAAAUAAGUAUUUGAGACCUUAAAUGAAUUCAAAUAAAAAAAUUAUCAACCAUAACGUCGUAGAUAUAGUCAACUACUAUGAUUUUGGUUUUCUUUCACCAUUCGAGAGGUCGUUUAAAAAUUUUAAAUUUCAAAUAUGAUAAAUUUAAAUAUAAUCUUAUAUGGUUAAAUAAUUUCAAAUGAAAAUCAAGAACAAAGUUGUAUAACUCUACGAGAUCUACGACUUUGGUUUUUUUUUGUCAUUUCUCUAUCCGAGGUCUUUUGAAAAAAUUGAAUUUUAAUACGUGAGGACUUCAAACCAAAUUUUUGAACCAUAUAUUAUUUUAAAUGAAAAUGUUCUUAACCGUAAUAUUUUUAGGUAUCUUUCUGAGAUCUAUAACUUCGGUUUUAGUUGUUUCUCCAUUGGAAAUCUUUAGGAAAUAUCAGAUUUUGAAUUUCAAAUUUUCAAAAUUUUAAACUGAAUUUGCUAGAUCCAAAUGAAUUCAAAUAAAAAAAAGUUCAACUACAAAGUUGUUGACUUCAUUUAAUAAAGUUAUAAAUUUUACUAUGCUAUACAUAUGUUUUUGAGAAGUGUACGAAAUUUCUAAAAAUUCCUAAAGGAAGCAAGCAAAAAAGAACUCAGGCUGUAACACCAGUCUGGUAAAAUUGCGAAUGCACAUACUGCCAAAAAAAUUCUGAUGUUGUUUGCCUUGGGAAAAGGAGAAGGGAAGUUGUGAGAGAGACUAGAGACAGAAGAGGGCAAGGGAGAGCACACUAGUUAGGUAAGGAGAAAAGGGACCACCGUUUCAUGACUUAUUAUAUAAUACUUAGCUAGAGAAAAUAAGUGACACUGCCAUACAAGUAAGCAUCUAUAUGUAGAGCCUCACAACAGUUCAACUUGUAUUUUUCCUACUACUUUAGAUCAACUUUCUAUUGAGUACAGUAAUGUCGAUAUAUAUUACUCACAGCUCUACAAAACUAGAGUACAGUGUAAUAAAAAAUGAAUUUUGCAUGUCCAUAUAUCUACAGCAAUUAAAUAUGGUGGAAAUAAAUGUACAUGGACCAUCUUUUUCUCUAUACCAAAAAUAUAUGUAUGCUAUGUUAAUGAACUGUGGUGGUUCUACACAACUCAUCAUGAUUAUAAGAAAUUCAUAAAUAUUAGCUACUUCUUUAGAUUUACGUGUUCUCUAUAUUAAUAGCAAUGAAAUAAAUAGCUUUUUUUGCAGAUGUUGUACUCAGAUAUUAAUUUUGUUUCGCACAUACUCUAAACAACAUAUCUGUGGGACGACAUAUCUCUUUUAAAAAAAAAAUGAAAAUAGCUGCGAGAAGAUUAGACCAUGGCAUCUCUAAGAUAGACCAUGCACCUUCUCCAAGCAUAUUUUGAUGCUAACUUCUAUAACAAGUCCUAUAUUACAAAAUAUCUGGGUAUCCCUAAGAUAGAGCAUGCACCCUCUUUAAAGCAUACUUUCAUGCUAAAAUUUUCUAAUAGCUAGUCCAUUUCUGUAGAACUAACACUACUACAGAAUUGAUCGAUGCUAGUUUUUUGAACUGGUACAACCAAAGUAGCAGUGAUGAGGUUUCCAAAAAACCCAAAAAAUCAUAUUGGAAACUAAAACAGGAAAAAAAAUUCAAAUACUAGGAGGGGCGCAUUGAGCAGCCACACGAGCGCGCCUUUCAUGGCCACCAGCGCCCGAACCCAUGGCCUUAGGCUUCACGCAUUUGUUCCCUAACCACUCCACUUAUAAAGAUACUUAUGUCCAAAUGAGAUAUUUGUCCACCUUAUUCUAUCAUUAUCUGGUUUUGAAAUGAGUAUCUGAGACCUUAAAUGAAUUCAAAUAAAAAAGUUGUUAACUAUAAAGUUUCAUAACUUUUUAAGAUCUACAAUACAACUUUGAUCUUUGUUCUUUCUCUGUCUAACGUCAUUUAAAAAUUUUAAAUUUCAAAUGUGAGAAAAUUUAGCCAUAAUUUUUAUUAGAUAGAUAAUUUCAAAUGAAAAAGUUAUCAACUAUAAAGUUACAUAACUUUUCAGGAUCUACAAGUUUUGUUUUGGUUGUUUCUCCAUCCGAGGUUGUUUAAAAAAAUCAAAUUUUAAAUGUAGUUUUUAUUGGAUAGAUGAUUUCAAACAAAAAUGGUUGUCAACUAUAAUAUUUCAUAACUUUUUGAGAUCUAGAAAUUUUAUUUUGGUUGAUUCUCCAUCCAAGAUCCUUAACUACAACUACAUACUCACUUAUAACUAUAGAACAUAUGGAUUAUUCCUUUGGUAUUAACUUCUAUAAAAUCUUGUGAAACAAAUAUUUCAUCAUCGAAGUGACUUUGAGUCAAAAAGUUGUGAAAUACAAAAUUGCAGAAGUUUUUGAGAUCUAUAACUUUUAUUCUGAUUGUUUCUCCACCUGAGAUCCUUUUCUACCACUACACACUCCAUACGUACUCCUUUUGUUUUAACUCUAUAAAAUAUUAUAAUACAUAUUUGGAUAUCCAAAAUGACCUCAUAUAAAAAAUUCUUGAACUACAAAGUCAUAGAUCUUGAAAACUACUACAACUUUAGUAUGAAGAUCGUCUUCACCGGACAUCAUAUGAGAAAGUUAUGAAUCAUUACUGGUUCAAGCCACAAAUUGGCAGUGAUAUUAUCACUAACAGUUUUAGCAAAAAAUCGGUAGUCAUGAUCCAGUAUCACUCUUAUUUUAUAGCUAAAACCAACAAUGAUAUGAACUGGCGGUGAUGACUUGAAUAUCACUGCCGGUUGGUCCUACUACUGCUAGUAGUUUGCUGUCAGCCACUAUGCUACCGAUCUGUAAGAAACUGACAGUUCUAUAGUAUUGUAAUGCGUGAUGAACCGGCAGUAAAAGUCAAUUCUAUAGUAGUGUAAUGCGUGUAUAUGCAAGCCAGGAUAGGGACACCGACAUAGUGCAUGUAUAGGUACGUAGCUAUGGUCAAUCAUUCCAUGAGGAAGAUCAUAUUUGAUAGAUGAAGGAUUAGAAUGCAUGACGUUGAAUAAAGAGAGUGGUUGGCUUGCUCACCGCACAUCACUACACCAUAGCUGUGGCUUGCCAUAAAAACCAAAAGCACCUUCUUGGUUGGUGAUGCAACAAAGGCUUCCACAGAAAAUUGUAGUAUGAAAGUUGGCAUGGAGUGUGGCGCUAAAAUUUGACUCCACAAAUGUGGCGUGCCGCCAUACCAUUGGCGUAGCCAAUAGUGGAUGGUAACCAAACAGGCCCAAAAUCUCCAAGAUACAAGUCAAAUCCAAACAAAUAUGCAACAAGAUAUAUACAUCCCAUUGCAUGAAAAGUUAUGUUUGUAUAGUUUGAAGUUGAACUCACUUAAUUAAAUAUGCUUUUGGUGCAUCUGCUAUAAAGUUUUUAGGUUUAUGAAAAUGUCAUAUAAUUAAUUGGAUCCUAACUCCAUGCUAUAAUGAAAAUCUAGGUGCCUACAUGUAACAAGAAUCGUUUCCUCAAAAAACAUGUAACAAGAAUCUAUGUCCUUUCCUAAGAAAGGUGAAUUAUUUGAGCAUAUCAAAUUUGUCAGGAAUGAUUUUUGCUUUUAUUAUUCCUAUUCUUCAACUAUUAAGAGACGAGGACUAAUUUAUUUUUAUUUGUUUGGGGUUCAAGAAAACGAGGAAUGUUUGUUUUCACCACUUGUGCUUUGGGUGCAUAGGUGGCAUGAGCACCCUUUAAGCUUUAUGUGGUUGUGCAAGAGAAGGUAGUUGGUGUUGUUUUGGCUCAAAAUACCUAAGAAAAGGAAUAUAUUAUCAAAUAUAUCAAUGGAUGACUUUUGAACAGAGACAAUAUAUACCUUUAGUGAGAAAUUAUGCUUAUUGCUAUAUAUCCUUCUACUAAGUUGAGGCAUUAUCUAUUAUCUAGUUCUGGCAUAGUAGCAUGUGUCAAGCCAAUGUUUUUUAUGAAACAUGUGUCGAGCCAAUGUUAUUGGUCCUAUUUUCAGUGCUAAGAAUGAAGAAGAAGCCAUAUGCACUUAUUGAAUAUGAUUAUGGUUUUUGAUGAUUGUAAUGACAAAUUAAUCAAUAGGACUGACAUGUAUACUAAUAUGUGUUAGAAAUGUUUAUAUACAGUUACUAUGAAAAAAUAACAAACAAGAUCCAAGGAGAAAUAGAGUCAAAACAAUAAAUUAUUUUGUGAAGCAAAUUCAAAUUGGCAAGAAAAGUUAUCAAUUCUUUAAAAUCUUUGUUUUCAACAAAGCACUAUACCAGGUAGUAAAAAUGCAAUAACACAUUGGAGUACACCCAUUGCUUCCAUAAAUAAUGUUCACAUAAAUGCUAAAUAGUCAGCCACACAUUGUUUUGUCAACUAAGGCUAAAUGGUUGUACAGGAAAGACAAAGACUGUACAAUAUGUACUAUUUAAACAGUAUUUUUUCUGAAUUGUUUAAGCGCUGAAUGGAGUAGAUAGGCAUAACUCAACCUUUUAAUUUCAAUCCUUCAUGCAUUUUUUUUGGCUUAUUUUGGGUCCUUUUUGUUGAGCUCCUCAACUUACUCCUGCUUUAUUUUCUAGAGGAGCUGUGGGCAAAAGAACCACCUCCUCCAUAGGUGGAGCAUGAGCAAAACACUUUACAAUUUGUACUAGAAUGGAGGAACAGCAAAAAAAAAACCCUGCUCUGCACGCCACUUCUUCGGCCCCUUAUUAUCAAACUUCUAAACCAUCCUACUCUGAUUUACUACUAAUUAAACAUAAUCUAGAUUAUCAAUAACUAUUCAGGAUUUGAGAUAUUAUAUAUUAAGAUGGUAAGUUCCAUCCUGAAGUGAUUUUUUGAGUGAUUAGCAUGUUAUCAAUAACCAGAGUACACCUGUUAUUUAUUCAGAUCAGAUUAACCUUAGUUGUAGAUUGUGCACUUCGUUACAUCAGCUCUAAAAGGAUGUUGUCCACAAAAAUACAAAUUGCAAAAAACUGCACCUCUAAUUAAACACUAGGUUUUUUCUUCUAACCCUAGUGGUUGGCUUGAGAAUCUUGUUACGUCAUGUCCAAAUGCAUGUUUUCCAUAAACAUAUAUACACUAUCACAAAUAAAUCUUUCAGGUACUAUCUUCGUACAAUUACCAAGCCAUGUAAACAUAACCUCAACUUUUGCAUGCUAUUUGUGGACCAACAUCUUUGGCUAAAAUUGCCGAACAAAACAUCUCUGGCUAAAAGGAUGAGAGCAGAAAAGGAAGAAUAACCAUAUAACUAUUGAUAAACAUCCAGCUUCAUCUACACAGGACAGAAUCAUACCACUUAUUACAAACUACUUGAACCCAAGGUCCAAGCUACUUCCACACUUAAUUUAAAAGAUCACCAAAGUUUAACUAAUGAAGACCAAUCCGACAAUUAGAUAACCAUCCAAACGACACAAAGAAACUCAAGGCAGCCUUCUCUAGUAGAUGGCAAGCUUGUAGGAGCACCUCUUGCCUGUCCUCAUGGCGCUGUAACUAUGCCCAUUUGCCGGAGCCAAUGCGUUCCUCCGAAUAAUAUCUGCAAGAAAGUUUUUGGUCUACAUCUGUCAAACACCACUUCGUUUCUUGUAACCCAAAUGGUCCAGCACAAUGCUUCUGCCACAGUUAGUAAAAGUAUAUUAUGCUUCACCUCUAAUUGAAAAUUUGUUUGUUCCCUCCUAAUUUACACCAAAGAUUACAUAAAUCAUAUAUGAUAAUUGGUCUUGGAAUACCAAACAAAUGAACAGCUCUCCACAAGAAAUUAGCAUAUGCACAAUCAAAAAACAGGUGUUCAAUAGAUUGAAGUGUGUGGCAGAACGAACAAUUUUUUACCAUUCUAAUUCCAUUGAAAAUAGGUGUGAAAAAACUACACCUCUUUUCAAAUACCACAUAAAGAUCUUGAUCUUAGUUGGCAUCUUUGCACACCAAAUUUCUUGUGAAAGUAACUAUAGAAAGCAUACAUGGAUUUAACUGAGAAUCGUCCAGCUGAAUGUAGAGAGCAACUAAAAACAUCAAGGCUAUCCUGAAGAUUUAAGUCCAUUAAAGAAGACACAAUUCUGUUGCAAUCCCUCAAGUUUUGCCCCACCAAACCUCCCUAAACAAGAUAUUGAGAGGCAUUGUCUAAAGAAUAUUAGCUACAGUGUCUUGCUUCCAACGAACUAUAUGAUUGGUAUCUUGAUCACCUUUUGCCACGCAAGUACAAGAACAUAAAGCUUUGAUGCACUAUUUCUGUACAUUUUCCAUAUGGUUAUUACUAGCUACAACUAUGCAGCCUCAAGUUAUGUAGAUUGUGUCCAUAUUUGGAUAACCUUUCAUUUUUCCACUAAAGUGUUGAAGGACCAAAAACGGUGACCAAAAGGGGGUUGAAUGGGAGCCUCAAAUUUCUUUCGAAAUAUUUAGCCGCGGUCCCAAAAUCACCGCCAAACACAAGCACGUUCCAAAAACUAAAAUACUCAAGCCAACUAGUGACGAGAGUAUCUAGAUAAAUUCUUUGAAACUGUAGGAAGCUAACGUAACAGACAAAACAAGAAUUGGGGCUCAAACGACCAAACUACGAGCGAAACAAGAAAUCAGACUGAGAAAAAAUAGACAAAAAAUCCCCUGAAAAAUUGUUCAUCAUAGAAGAACCAAAAAUGCAUGACACCCAAACCAAAUCUUUGCUAGGCUUCCGUUCCACGAACAGCCCACCAAGGGCGAGCACUGCUGUGCUUGUUUGCUCGAUGCUGGCCCUGCAGAAACGGCAACCUGCAGACAGAAAACGAAUACAGAUGCACAGAAUCGGUUACCUGCUUGGGGACUCGGUGAGCAGAGAAGCUGGAGCUCCUGAACGUGACUGCUGGGGAUAGGCAGGGUCUGCACUGCCUGCGACAAAAUAAAGAUCUAACAUACUCUGGAUCAUACAGCCUCAACUGAUGUAUAUCAUUUAUUUAGACAACCAAUAGCAAUAAGGCAGAGUAACUAUGUUAGUAGUUGUCGGUAUUUUGAUCCCAUUCUGUAGGCUUGAUUUGCAUGCCUGUACCCCUAAUUCAAUAUUAAAGAUCCUUUCAAAUUUAAGUAGCAGAAAUAUAUAUAUAGGUGCAUUGUUUUUUUCAAGGUGUGAGUAGUUCUACUGCUUACGUCAACACCAAAAGCAUGUUUCGCCAUGCAUACGCACUAUCACAAAAUGGACCUCAAACAUACAAUUUUCAUAUGAUUCCCAAACUACGCAGCUAGCAUCAACUUAUGCAAGCUAUUUGCAAAUGGACAUCUCCAGCUAAAAGGAUGAGAUCAGAUAAGGAAGAAACACCAUAUUUUCAAUUAAUUUAUUAGCUACAUUCAAUAUGAUAGGUUGUUAGACCACCCUCUCCCAACAAAAUGUGACAAACACUAUUUCUUUAUGAGCCUCAACUUAUACACAAUUUAUGAAAGUGGCCAUCAAAUGAGCUAAUUCAGGGGGAUAGACAUGGUCAUAGUUAGCAGCUGGGCUAAGGGACUGAAGGACAGUGAGGACCACAUCAGACCCAUCACAAGCUCGAAUCAUUUAACGGUACGGUAUCAUACUUGGAGCUAGGGCCCUGCAUUUUUUUUCUACUGGACAAUCCAACAGGAAGGCACUACAUAAAUUGGUAAGGCUUCGUCUCUACAGUUUUCUCAUGGGCUUCUACUGAAAACUCGAUCGGCGCAAAGAAAGUUCCAUGCUAAACUAAUGAGGACAGCAGUACCAAUCUAAUCUUGACAAACAAAUGAUCUAGAAAAUUAAACGGUUCAACAAUUGAGAAGACGACAACAUAAAACCUACAAACAUGAUCACACGCUGUCAAGGAACUUCCUUACAUGCACUGACACCAUCACCGUUCAUGGUCAAUCUAACCAGAACUGAUUGACACAUGUAUGGAGCUCCAUGACGCAUUCAUCAUGGAAACAUCUCUCUGACCUGGGAUUUAUGUGCUCCUAACACAUUUUCUAACUAGAGUCAUUGGAUCCACAGAAUCACAAACAUCAAGCUGCUGCACGGUGCACACCACCAGAACAGAAACACUCACCCAUAUCUAGACAAGCCAUGAUUCAGAAUUUAAAAUGGUUCAUCAAAUAUUCCAAGACGACAGUAUAAUAAUUAUAGCUAGAUUAAGAUUUAUGACACGACGCGACGCUCUGAAGGAUCGUCGACACACCAAUGCAUGGUACUAAAUCAGUUCGACCAGACCAGACCCAUGCAGCACUUACAGUUCUCAAACCUUCAAAAUGAAAAAUGUGAAUUAAGUAAACAACUUCAUUUGUUCUGAUCGAUCGCUCCAGUCCAGAGGCUACAAGGUGAGCAGAUAAAUGUAUGGGCUUGGCGCUGCUUGAGACACCCUUUGUGGCCUUGACGGUGCAUCUGGCCUAGUUGGUGUUGAGCAAUAGCAGGAUCUCCGACGUAGCCAGCUUGUACACUUCCUCUGAUGAAGGAUUCCCUCCACCCAUUCUAGUGACCUGUUUUGUAAAAAGAUGUGAAUGUUAGUGAGAUGGUGUAACUUCAUGCAAAUAAAGAUGUUCUCUGCAUGAGAUAUAUAUAUCUAAAAGCAUGAGUAUACUUUGUCAGGUAAUGUAUCGUUGUUAGGUUCAACAAAGAUGUAUAUUAAAGUAGAUAUUGGUGCCUGAAUUUUGAUAUAUGGAGUGUAGUAAAAUGUCUAGCCAUUCAUGUUGUAUUACUGCUAGGGUGAAAAAUAUCAUGCUCAGAAUGCAAAUUCGUCUUUGGUGGAACAUGGAACUGAGAGAUGGUAUAAAUACAAACGUCAUUCAAGUAACAAGUAGCCUUGACUACCAAGUGAUUAUUCAAAUAGUGAUUUUUUGUUUGUUAUGGUUACCAAAUCAUGCAGUACGUCUUAGCUUCUACAGUUCUUUUGCAAACUAACAUCUCUAGUUAAAAAGCAUGAAAUAAGUCGAAUAAGGAAGAGUAACCAUAUUUGCCGAUUAGUUUAGCUAGAUUCAGUAUGAUUGUUAUUUGGAUCUCCUUUACCAUUAAAAUGCUACAAAAAAAUCCUAGCAUACUAUUUCUUUGUGAUUACUACAAGUAUGGAGCCUUAACUUAUGUCAAUCUUGUCGGUAUUUGGAUCAAUGUUUCCAGGUCAGUAUUUUGAUCUUUCUUAUAUGGCUUCUAGAUAUAUUCACCCGCGCAAACUCCCAAUUAAUUCAACUAUAGAACAUACUUUCAAUUCCAAGUAGAGAAAAAUUGAGGCCGGGGAUCCUUUUUCUAUUCCAGGUCAUACAAGUAAAUAAAUCCCACUGGCAAGUAAAAAAUACCAAUGGGUUUAGUCACACAGGUACAGAUUAGAUCCAAUUCCUUCAUGUCAACUCCUAUGUAUGCAAACAAGCCCCACCCUGCUUCAAAAAGGUUUUAGAACACAAACCAACAUAACAAACAAUUUCACAUGUCACUUUUGUAAAUGGUCAGGCAGGCUUCUCGUUAACAGCGAUAGCCACCUGCUAAAAUCAGGGCUUUCCCUAAUCCUCUAAUAGGGGGUGUUUGGUUUGAGGAACGAGCUGGUCCAUCAUCUUCUCACUUCAUGCUUUUUUGUUUGGUUUGUGAAAUGAAAUAGUUUGAUCUAUCAUCACCUUAUUCGUCACAAGCUAAUCAAACAGUUCAAUACUAAUAUGAGGUAAAUUUAUUUAAGCAAUGGACUUGUGAUGCACCACCUCAUCCAAAAUGGUUUGAUUUCUCAAACCAAACACUCUAUAAGAAAUUAAGAAUACUAAGCAGUUCCCCGACAUCAAUCAGUCAUGGUUACUAAUCAUGAAGCUAGAGUUCACAUUCCUGUACACAAACAAGCUACUAUAAUACAACAACCCAACCAUGAAAGCAGAGGAUAUGAUGCUCCAUCGACUAGAAGCUACUUAAUUACUUUCGCAAAAAGAGAGAGAGAGAGAGAGAGAGAGAGAGAGAGAGAGAGAGAGAGAGAUGAGAAGCUACUUACACGGGUGUAGAAGUUGAGCACGGAGCGGGCAGCGUCGGCAUCAACCUGUGUGGUGACCACGUCGAUCCCGUGGUUGUUCAGCACGGACAGCACCAUCACCAUGUUCUGCAUGCCGAGGUGGCGCGGAACGCACACGUUGAUGUACGCGUUGUUGUUCGACACGUUGAGCACAAGGUUCGGCCAUGACCACGUCUGGAAUCCACCUUGCCCCGCGGCCGCCACGGGGAGCGGCUGCGGUGGUGGCACCGCUGCAGCAACAGCAAGUGGCUGCUGCACCAGCGGCUGCGGCUGCGGGACGUCGUCCGCAGCCGCAGACACUGGCACGGCGGCAGCAAGUGGCUGCAGCAGCGGCGCCACCGGUGCCGGCGCCAUCUUUCCCCGGGCGGUCUGUGGUGGCGCCGACGAGGAGGAGGCCGCCACCUGCCGCGCGAGCGCCAGCUGCUGCUUGCGCUUCUCCAGCAUGGCCUUAGUCCUCUCUAGGGACUGGAUGUAGGCGAUCGUCUGUUCCACUAAGUCCCCCUUGUCAUUGAUCUGUAUGUCGUGAGAACAACAACAAAAAAAAUCAGAUCACAGAUUCACAGUAUCACCAGUAAUUCACCAGUGAGUGAGUGAGUGAGUGAGUGACUGCAUCUUCCAAAGCCCUAGCUAGCUAGCUAUAUAUCGCAUCAGAGAAUUGCAAUUCGCAUCGAUGGAUCGCGUCAUCUGAAUAUCGAUCUGAUCGAGAGGCUUACCUUCUCAUUCUCAGUGACGUUGGGCACGAGCGACUCUAGCUCGCUGAAGUGAUUCCUCAGCCGACUACGGCGCUUCCUCUCCGCGAUCCUCCGCAUCCGAUUCCGGCGUGACUUGCGGGGUUCUUUGUUGUCAGCAGCGUUGCCGGCGGAGACGACGACGGCGUUGGUGUUCUCCUCCAGGGCCGGGAUGGUAGUCGAAGAAGCCAUGGCAGGAAGGGUGGAGGAGGAUUUUGGAGGAGGGGAGCGAGGUGAAUGGAAUUUUGGAUGCCGCUCUUGAGCCUUUAUUUGUAAAAAGGAUGGCAAGAUUACCACAUUUUUUUUAUGAAUUACGCUCUCUCACUGGUCAAAGAUGCAAAGAUGUGUAACGUCUACGGUCUACCGGCCAGCGAUUAGCCGUUUCUUGUGAAUUUGGCUGUGUCCUGCACUCAGUAAUAUAAUAAUUGAUAGUAAUUGAGAAUGAUAAGUUCCUCCAAAAAUAUUCAUAGAUAUUUUCAAUUACUACUAUACUUCCUUUCAAACAAGGAGGGUAAACUCUACUCAAUAAUUACUUGCCAGAGUUAUCUGCGGCUGCCAGCUUGUAGCAUUAAUUCACUACAGUAAAUCAUAGCACUAUUUCUGGCUGCAGCCAACACAAUAAACUGCAGCCGAAUAACUUGCAGCCACCUCUAAAUUUGUCUACUUGGCACUUAUAAGAAAUUAUAUAAACUGUGUGACCUAUAAAAAAAAUAGAGACUAUAGUCUUAUAUGCAGGUUAUUUCUAAGGCAACAUACUGGACCCAUUUAUGCGCAAAAAAAAAACAUAUUGGACCAUUUUUUUUAGAUAAACAGAUCAAGGGGCAGGCCUCUAGGAAUUUAUAUAACUAAACAAAACAAAGUUUUGUUACAGACAAAAGUAGCAAGGGGAGAAAAGGAGUUCAAGACACAAAAAAAUAUAUCUAUAUCUAUAUCUUUUUUUUUGCGAUUCAUUUAUAUCUAUAUAUAUAUAUCUACAUUUAUAUUUAUAUCUAUAUCUACAUCUAUAUCUAAUAUCUAUAUCUAUAUCUAUAUCUAUAUCUAUAUCUAUAUCUAUAUCUAUAUCUAUAUCUAUAUCUAUAUCUAUAUCUAUAUCUCCUCAGUAGCCAUUUUAUCUCACAUGCAAAGCAGCACUAUCACAUGCAUUUAAGUGACAUCAUUAGUAUACCACACCAUUUCACUACUAUUAAUUUAUAAUAUUUUAUAUCUUUAUAUAAGUAAUUUAAUUUAAUUUCAUUCUAGUCCAUCUACAAUUCCCGCAACAAAACAUGUAUCGUAUGUUUAGUUAUGGAGGAGAAAACAGGAGAUGGACAAACGACUUCCUGCAAGCCCCGUGACAAUUGAGGAAACUAUGUAUGCACUUCCUAUAAGAAAAAAAGACAGCUAAGAAAAAAGAACUGAAGCCUGCACGAGCCCAACAAUAAAAUAGACAUAGAAGAAAGAGGAUUGGUGACAACCCAAAAACAACUAAAAGAAGUCACACAAUAUAUAGAAGUUCUAGACAUCUCGUAAAGAGUACUGAGUUUGAUUUGCUGAAAAAGUCUAUAUAAUCCACCAAAUGCAAUACUUCAUCCCCAAACUAUAAAACCAGAUAUCUUACCCCCUGAACUUUCAAAAUCUGUCAAAGAUGGUGGUUUUGUCUUUUUAUUUUUUAUUUAUUUCCGCUAAAUCUUUGAAAAAUUAUAAUAAAUCACAGAAAAAUCAUAAAAUAAAAAAAUUUAAUUUUAUUGGACUCCUGAUAAGUAGAUCUACACAAUGAAUAUAUAAUAUGGUAUACUUUAGUACAAAGUUUUUGUUGUAGCUUUAAAUCUAUGUUUUUCUAUAAUUAAUAAGAAUAAUUCAUAUAUGUAAUUUGUAUGGUUCAGUUGUGGUAAAAUUUUUAUGGUGGGCUCAUUAUUGUAUGCUUGAACUAUAGUAAAAGUUUCGUACCCAUUGGAUCACUUAUAACUAAGUUACACGUGAUCCAAUGAGUAUGUUUUACCAUGGUUCAAGCAUAUAAUAAUGAGGCCACCAUAAAAUUUUACUAUAAUUGGACCAUAGGAACUACAUAUAUGAAUUAUUCAAAAUAAUUAGAGAAAAAAUAGAUUUAAAGCUACAACAAAAUAUUUGUACUAAAGUAUACCAUAUUAUAUAUUCACCGUGUAGAUCUACUCAUCAAGGGUCCAACAAAAUUAAUUUUUUUAUUUUAUGAUUUAUUAUGAUUUUUCAAAAAUUCAGCGGAAAUAAAUAAAAAUAAAAAAGACAAAACCACUCUAGGGAGUUAUUUGACCAGUUUUGAAAGUUCAGGGGGUAGAAUAUCCGGUUUUAAAGUUUGGGGAUGAAGUAUUUUCAUCCUAGAUAGUUUUAGGGGUUAUGUAGACUUUUUUCUCAAAUCUUUUAUCAAAAAGGCCACCUCCUCGGUAAAGUUGCAAACGGCCCAGCUGCAGGUAACCCAUCCCGUGUCCGCACAUGCCGCUUGCAUGGUAAGAACAAAGCUAAUAAUACAGCCGAUCAUUGGUUGUAAAGUUUCUUUUUGCAAUCUUUUUGUAGAGCUCACUCAUAUAGUGGUUAGAUUAUCACUAUUAAUACAUGGUUUCAUUUAUCUCUCUAAUAAGUUUUCUUAGUUCUUAGCUGAGCCGGCUAUAAACUUACAAUCUACUUUUACUCUCUCUUUCUUGAUACACAGCCCGUUUUGUGCCACAUUGUGUCUGUGGCUUGCGUGGCGGCCACAGUCCUGCUAGCAAAGUUGGACAACACCGUGCCGCUGGUGCCACAUCCAAGGAAGCUGCCGCCGCCAUCUUCCAUUGCUGAACCGCUGUUAUGCUAGAAGAAGCAAGCAAGCAAGCAAAAGAAAACCUAGCUAGCUGCUGUAAGCUAGCGAAAGCCUAUCCAAACUCCACCAGGCAGCCAUUGUAGGUGGUCUAGAGCACGCCACCCGUGGACGGCGUGUCAUUGCAGCCAGCCGUGCGCGUGGUGGCCAUGGCCAGCCAUCUCCCUCGCGACGGCGUCCACGGCCAGCCAUCCACCCCCGCAGUUCCAUCGUGGUCACACCGGUGUUCGCAUCCAUUUGGCUGUCGACACGUGUGCUUCCCUGUGGUCGCAGUGGUGUCUGUGGCCCUAGACACACACUUCUCUCAUGAUCGCGGCGGCGUCCGUGGCCCAAGGUGUGUGCUUCCCUCGCGGCGGUGGAUGAAAGUGCUAUCUGUUGGGCACUUUGGUUAACACGUACGAAAUGGUGUUAUGUUUGAUAAAAUCACAACACCGUCUUAUUUACAUAUUAUCUUGACAUAUUCGACCAGGUAUGGGACCUUACUUCAGAAAGGUGGAGGAUCUCCAGUUUAUGAAGGCGGGUUGUAGGACUGUUGAGACGGCCACGAUGGAGGUGUUUGCAACACACGGCUGGAGAUUUAGCAACAGGAUUGCUCUUUAGUUUUUGUAUUUGAAAAUGUUUCUGUCUUGAUGGCUCAAAACUUCAUUUUUGAGGUUCCUUAGAAACUGUUUUGCUUGUUUGUAAUAAUAAACAAUCAUAAGCAUUAGUUUAAGAUAUUAAUAUAUUUUCUUUUCUAAAUUGGGGAGAUGUGCCUAACCCAUUUGUGGUCAUGUAAGGGCAAGAAUCUUGUUUCUUCUUUUUUUUUUGUAUGGAAAUGGUGCAAUGCUCUCUGUUAGUCCUCCUUGUAGCCAACUUGAUGUCCAAAACUCAGUCAUGUCACCUUUGCUAUUUGUCACCACCGUUAACGUUAAUGCAUGAAAAGGAUCCCUAUAUAUUGGUUGUAUCACACGGUAUCUCUCCAUCCUUGUCCAAGCUCUUUGUUUAUUCUUCCAUCUGAACUACAUCCAUCAUUCCCCCUAUUAGCCAUAGCAAAUUUUUUCAAGAUCUGAAAUACAUAGGCCACCAUAUAUAUUUUUUGGCAAACAAGUGACUAGCCACUUGACAUCGCAAUGAUGAGCAACCUUUUCUAGUUCUUCCCCCUUCCAUAUAGGAAAUUGCGUCUUAUUAAUCUAAAACUAUUUCUCCUUCUAAGUCUCAACUUAUUAAAAUUAGGUGUAAGUGGCCGCCAAAUGAGUCGAUCAAAGGCACAACCAGGGUCAUAGUUUGCAGGUGGGCCACCGGACCGAGGGACGGACAAGGAGGAUCAUAUCAGCCCAUCAUAAACUCAAAUUAUUUUUAACAGUCUUGCACUUGGAGUUGGAGCCAGGACCCUGCAUUUCUUUUCUUUUUCUUUUUUGAAAUUUCGUUUCCAUUACUUAUAGGCGCAUUACAGAAACUGGGAUUACGGAAACCCAUUUGAAAAGUUGUAACACAUGUUUAUUAACAUUACAACUCGGCAUGUGGGCCAAGCCUCACAUUAGAAAAAAAAAACAAGUGGCUGGGAUAGUCGAUAGUCGUGCCUUCUUAGCAAGAGAAUCGGACACCUUGUAGGAGUCUCUUCUAAUUUUUGCACACCUAUAGUCUUUUGCUAGAGUGAUUGCCCGCAGUUCACAGAUGAGCGGCCGCAACGACCAAUGCCCAGGAUGUGUGCGUGCAGAUCCACACGCAUGGCAUCAACAAGAAUUUGAUUAUCAAUAAACAGCGUCGCCUCCUGAAUUGAGUGCGACUGCAUUUCUUUGUGCUAGACAAUUCAACGGGAAGGCACUACUUAAAUUGGCAGGGCUUGGCCCGUCUGCACUAUCCCCAUGGACUUCAACUGAAAAUACAGUAGUGCAAAGGAAAACUCCACCACCCUAAGGCCUAAGCCCAGAGAAACAUCGAUUGACCUGCAUCUCCAUACCAUUAUAGGAAAGCACUACCAAUAUCUAAUCUAGACGAGUAAUAAACAAUCCAAAAGUUCAAACGGUUCAGCAAUUCAGAAUAUGAUGGUAGGAUACUUAAUUAUGACAUGCAGGCACAACCGAACAUUGUCAUGUCAAGGAACCUCCACACGCGCACACAGAGACACAUCCACAGCUCAAGAUCAACUUGACCAGACCUGGAAUUUAUGUGCUCCUAAGUCCUAACACGUUACAUGGGAGAACUGGAUCGACGGAAUAAUCCACUGAGCUGCUGUACAGUGCCCACCACCAGAACAGCAACACCCAUCUAAGCAAGCCAUCAUGCCGAAUUUAAAAUGGUUCAAUAUAUAUAUAGCAAUUCACAAGACCACAGUAAAAUAUAGUUAAAUUUCGGUUUAGGAGACAACAUCAACACACAGACUCAGGGAACUCAAUUCGUCCAGACUUGACUCAGACAACACAUACACAGUUAUCAAACCUUCAAAUGACAAAUGCAAAUUAAGUAAUAAAUAAACAAGUUUUGUUCCAGUUGAUAGCUCCAGUCCAGAGGCUGCAAGAAGGUGAGCAAAUCAACAACAUAGGGGCAGUGGCUCUGUUUGAGACGCCCUUGAUGCCUUGAAGGCAGCUCUGGCCUAGCUGGUGGUGAGCCAUACCAGGAUCUCCGACACAGCCAGCUGGUACACUUCUAGUGCCGAAGGAUUCCCUCCACCCAUUGCAGUCACCUAUUUUUGUAGAAAGACGUGAAUGUUAGUCAGAUUGGGUAAAGUUUUACCUCACACAGACAAGUUCACCCCUCAUGAGAUAUCUCAAAGUAUGCAUAUACUUUGUUAGGUAAUACCUUAGCUUGCUUAGCUUUUAGGUUCUACAAAGAUAUUAAAGUACAUAUCAGUGCCUGAAUUCUGAUAUGUAGAGUGUGCACGAUGUCUACAGUAGGAAUUCUGAUUGGGUGAAAAAUACCAUGUGCAGAAUGCAAACUCAUCUUUUUUUUGAGGAAAAUGCAAACUCAUCUUUGGUGUGGAACAUAUGAAACUGUGAGAUGGUAUACACAUCAUUCAAGUAUAUAGCAAGUAGUCUUGACUACUGAGUGAUUAUUCAAAUUGUGUACUGCUACACUAAUCAAAUCAGUAAUGGAAAAUCAAAACUCUUGACAAAAUACUAGCUAGACUCCAUUAAUAGAUAUACCAACUAGUAGCAGUUCAGUAUAAUAACAAGAAUUUAAUCAUAGAGCUAGCCACAUAAUGAUCCCUAUAGAGUUGUACAAAUCCACAGGAGCACUCAAGAGAUGUGAAUGAUAUGGAAACUUGGAUCGUAUUUCUAUUUCUAACAUUAGUGGUAGGCUUGAGUUGUUUGUUAUGUCAACUCCAAAAGUAUGUUUUCUAUAAACAAAUACAUAAUGCAAUGAAUAGACUGCUAAUAACAUACGAUUUUCUUACGGUUACCAAACCACGCAGCCCUAACUUCUGUAAGCCGUUUGCCAACCGACAUGUCCGCUUAAAAGAAUGAGACCGAAUAAGGACAAGUAACCAUAUUUGUCGAUAGUUUAGCUAGAUUUAGUAUGGUCGUUGUUUGAGAAUCACCUUUUUCCUAUAAAAGCGCGACAAAAUGAGGUUCUAACGUAAUAUUCCUUGCGGUUACUAGAACAAUGCAACCUCGUCUUAAAUAAAUUUCCUAACUAUAUUUGGAUCACCUUUUCUCAUUAAAGUUUGACAAAAUAAAGCUCUAACAUACUAUGGUACUCAAGUUACCAUAUAUGUCAAAUAGUUUAGGUAGAUUCAAGUUUGUCGUCAUUAUUUAUAGAUUCUCUUUUGUAGGCUUCUAGAUUCGCUCGUGGCGGGUAACCCUAAUUUAACGGUAUCUAGAUUUGUUUUAACAUUCAAAUACUAGAAAAACAGACAUGUAUACCCCUCUUCUAGAUCAACCUAGCAUGUAAGUCCUACCAACAAGUGCUGAUCAGAUCAAUCAGAUCCCCUUCAUGUUAUGGUCUUGUUUGCUGAAGCAUUAAAAAACCAUGGUCUGAAAAAUUUUCAAUUUUAGAACCUGUGUAGAUGCAUAAAACCAUGGUAUGAAAAACUAGAAUUUUAGAACCCGUACGCAGAUGCAAUGAUGCAUAAACCCAUGGUCUAAAAAACGAUUACUGGAGUGGAGUUUGUGAAGAUACUAAUCGAUCGAGCAAGCUCCCAUUCAAAUAAUUAAGCUGCUGCAACGACCCAGCCAUCCAUGAAACCAAAGAGGAAGAUCCAUCGCCGAGAGAGCAGGCUGCUACUUACACGGGCAUAGAUGUUGAACACCGAGCGGACGGCGUCGGAAUCCACCUGCGCCGUGACCACGUCGAUCCCGUACUUGUUCAGCACGGACAGCACCAUCACCUUGGUCCACAUACCACGGUGGCGCGGCGCGGACACGCUGAUGUGCGCAGUGUCGUUCGACACGCUGAGCACAAGGUCCGGCCAUGACCACGUCUGGAAUCCGACUGGCGUCGCUGUAAUGAUGCGGGCCUGCGGUGGCGCUGGCUGCAGCGGCUGCGGCUGCGGGACGACGUCCGAAGACAUGGUCGCCGGGAGCAGCUGUGGCGCCGGCACUGGAACGGCUGGCUGCGGCGGCGGCGGCGGCGGCACAUAGGAGCAGGCACCAGCUGGGACGUCCGACGGCAUGGCCGCCACCGCCAUGCCAUGGGAGGUCUGUGGUGGUGGUGGUGGUGGUGGUGGUGGCGCCGACGAGGAGGAUGCCGCGGCCACAACGCCCACUUGCCGCGCCAGCGCCAGCUCCUGCUUGCGCUUCUCCAGCAUGGCCUUCAUCUUCUCCAGGUACUUGAUGUAGUCGAUCGCAUGUUCCACAAUGGUCGCCUUGUCACUCUGUCGUCGUCGUCAAAACAAUAACAAAAUCAGAUUGUUUUCAAGCCCUAGCUUAUUACUGUGAGAGCUUUAUUACCUUCUCAGGGAUCUGGGGUAUGUAGGCCUUCAGCUCGCCGAAGUAGUCUCUCAGCCGAUUCCGGCGACUUCGUUCUGAGACGAUGUGUGGCUUGAGUUCUUCGUUGUCAGCAGCCACGACGUUCUUGCCCUUGGAGACGUCGUCGUCGUUGCUGGCGGCGACGGUGGCGGCCACCUCCGGUGCUGAGCUGAGAUUUGGCACGGCGACAUCCUUGUUCUCCUCCGGGAUGCCAGAAGAACCAUCCUUGGCGUUCGGUGGUGCAGCAGAGCUGUGGUGGUUCUCCAUGGCAGGAAGGGUGGUGGAGGAUUUGGCUACCAAGAGGGGAGGUGUGUAAAGGGAUUUUGGAUGCCCCUCUUCAGCCUUUAUUUGUUAGGAAGGAUGGCAAAUUUACCACUUGUUUUUUCUCUGAAACUUUUUAAUAUCUUUCACUGGUCAGAGAUGCAUGAAGAGAAAAAAGAAAAACUGGACUCGAAAGGAUGUGUAACGUCUCCGGACUCCCGGAGAUUAGCUGAUUCACGUUAAUUUGAUGUCUUUUUUCUUUCAGAAAGACACUCAAAGAGUGCCUAAUAUAUGAUAUAUAUCAAGGAAAAAAGUUAGUACAAAAAAUGGUGGAUAACUUGACACAAAAUGAUCUAUAAAAAAUAGAAUUAUAUCAAAGAUCAAAAUAGUCGCCUUCUUCCUUCGAUAUAGUUACAUCAAGGACCAAAACAGUCGUCUUCGUCCUUCGAUCGCCUGAACUCCAAAUGCUCACUCAGUGAAAGAUAAUUAGCAAUGAUUGAUACUGCCUCACGUGAUGACGAUGAUGAGUAGAGGUGUAAAUGUACUAUUUCUUUUCAAACAAGAGUACAUUUACACCUCUACUCAUUAAAUAUUUGCCAGAGUUGCAUAUACUAAACUUUUUGUCUACUUGGCUUACUUAAAAUUAUUAUGUGACCUUGCUUUGAGUGAAAAAUAAUACUACUCUUAUUUGUAUAUUAUUUGCCAGAGUUGUGUACUAAAAAAAUAUUGUAGGAUUACACAGAAUAUUAGCAAAAUGCCCCUUUUUAAAGUGGGCUUUAUUGGGAAAUUGCACACUAGAGUUCAUGUCCAGAAGAGAUCUUCGUCGAAGCAUGGUUGUCGUCUUUUAAGAGGUUCAGCGUUUAAAUGGUUGCACCUUUGUUUGGUUUUUCUCUUCGAUAGCUCUUCUUAAGAACGAACAACCUAAUCAACAUGUUUUAGUUGCGCGCAAUACUCUGACAGAAAUAAGAAUAAUAUUUCUCUUUUUUACGAAAAAGUUAUAUGCUAAACAAUACAUGCGCUUAUAGCAGUGCUUUGGCUUAGUACGGAACCAUUUCUGUGAACUUCUAAUCACUCCUCUCAGAGGUGGAUUCAAAUUUUCAUUUUCCUUGGCGUGUAAGCAUUUUCUUCAGUUAGACAGUUACCCACUUAAUUAAUUGCCGUGUAUAUCUGCAAUACUUUAAAAAAAUGGUGUCCUACUUUAAUAACUGAUAGAUCACUGCCAAAACUCGGUGCAUAAAUCCAAGCGAGAAACCAAGUCAUCAUUAUUCACCACAGAAGCUACAUGUGCAUCUUGCUUUCCCUGCUGCAAGAGGAUACAAAUUCAGUUAGUUCUCACUUCACGGUUAGUGAGCAAGCAAAGGUUUCACGCAUAGCAUAUCGCCGGGCAGUUUCUUGUCGCCAGUGGUCGUCACCUUUGCCUAUCUCACCAAACACCUGGCAAACGACGACAGUUAUCUUUCAUGGCUGCCGCGAAGGUAGCAGGAAGCUUCGUUCUGUAUCUGCAUGCCGGAGUUUGCGUCUCUGUUUCGACUCUGAUCGAUUUCCUGGAAGAAAAUAAUAAUAAUAUAUAUAUAAUUAUAUUCAAUCAAGCUUACAGCCUAAGCAAGGGUGUGAGACAAAAGCUUGGAGAUCAUAUAUAGCGACUGUUUUUUAUCACACUUUUUGCUGCAUUUCUUGGCCCUGAUAGAUUAUGCAUGUAGCUGUUUUUUUUAUCAGACUUGCUGCUGUAUUCACCGUGGCAUUCGAGAAUGGUGAUAUGCUUUUUUUUAAAAAAAAAUGAAAUUCAUUUUUGUUUCUUGAGAGCCUGACUACAGGCUGCUUUGAGGUUCCUGUGAGCCAGCUAGAAAGCCGUCCAAGCUAUCAAACAUGCUCUCCUGCAGCUCACAGGCCUGGUUAGGCCUUCGUGCAAGCAAACGAACAGGCCCAUAGAGAACGAAUUUAGCCCACAAAGAAUCAGAAAACAGACAAUGGAGGCGUUUGUUUCCCAAAAAUCAUCUCCCUGCCAAAAGCAAAUGGUUCUACUAUGGCAUAAACCAAUAAGGCCUUGUUUAGGCACUAUUUGGUUCUUAUUGUUAAACUUUAAUUUUUAUCGUAUCGAAUGUUUGAACAUAUAUAGAAAAUAUUAAAUAGAGACUAUUUAUGAAAUUAAAAACACAGUUCGAGAAUAAUUUGUGAGACGAAUCUAUUAAGCCUAAUUAGUCCAUAAUUAAAUACUAAUUGUCAAAUAAAACAAAAAUGCUACAAUACCUGCUAAACUUUAACACCCCUAACCAAAUACCAUCUUAGUUGAGGAGGUGAAAAGUUUUUGGGUACUAUAGCACUUUCGUUUUUAUUUGGCAAUUAUUGUCCAACCAUAAACUAACCAGGCUCAAAAGAUUCGUCUCGUAAAUUACAAACAAACUGUGCAAUUAGUUAUUUUUUAUCUAUAUUUAAUGUUUUAUGUGCCACAAGAUUCAAUGUGAUAAGGAAUCUUAAAAAGUUUUUGAGUUUGGGGUGAACUAAACAAGGUCUAAGUACAUUGUAUGUCCCCUCAAACAUAUUCUAUGUUUUGCUCAAAAACAAUAAGUAUAUACUACAUGCUAUAUGAAAAAAUUGUGAUGUAUUUAAUACUAUCUCAAAUCAUGUAUCUCGAAACCUGCAUAUCAAUGAAAAGUUGAGCCUGUCAGCUUAUCCACGAAUACACUUCUGUAUAUAGUUAGUACAAAAUUAAUACCAUCCAUAGAUUGAAUCUUUUCUAAAUGAGCAGCAAUGCCAUACUACCAAAGUAGUUCUUCUGGUGUCCAAACUCUAUAAGUUCUCGCCGCCGGCACAGGCCAGUAGCAGCAAGCAACAAGGCAUUGCAGCCGGCGGCGGCGGUAGCAAGCACGACAGGGGUUCCAUGGCGAGGACGGGCGACCUCGUCCGCUGCGGCGUGUGCGGCGGCGACGCCGGCACCGCGAGCUGCGGCGAGGCCACCUUCGUGGCGGAGUGCUCCCACGUCUUCCACUUCCGCUGCGUGGCCGCCGCUUCCGCGGGCACUUGUCCGGUCUGCGCCGCGCGGUGGCGCCAGGCGCUUGCCGUGACCCUCCGUCCCGCGCCGGCGGUCCAGCUCGUCGAGGUCAACGGCGACCACCGCCCGAACACACUGCCGCAGGAGUCGACGCCACCGGGCCAGUAGCUUGCGGCGGCGCCCGCGACGACCGAAGCAACGAGGCUGCCGAGUCCGCCACCUUGUUCUACCUAAGCCCGGCUACGCAUCUCUUAAUAUAUAUGGUGUUAUUAGCUAGUCUAUCGACAUAGUUAUUAGCUACGAUAUAUGUGGUGUCAUAAGUCAUUGUCGCAACAAUUUGUUUCGAGUUUGCAAAAAAAAAAAAAAAAAAAAAGGAACACUCGAUGUUUUUGAGAUAAAAACACUCCUGUUGAUCUUGUUAUCGUACAGCUUAUAACUCUCAUCCCAAAUCCAACCACUAUUCCCUCCUCUCGAUGCGCCACCGACACCUACCGCCCCUGCCACGGUGCGGUAGAGUGUCACCGGAGCUCCGUCGUGUCACCUACCUAUUUCCUUUGAGCCACUUCUAACACCCCCAAAGUUAGGAAGAAGAAGAGAGGUAGAAAAACACUCGAAUGUUGUUUAUCAUUAUUCAAACAAAAACGUUUAGCAAUUGUAAACAAUAAACUUUCUUGCUUUUUUUAGAAACAACUUUCUUGCUCCUAAGUUUUUUUUAGAUAACACAGUACAACGCAGACAUUGAACACGUACGCACACUCACCCCCUAUGAACACACGUACGCAAACCCUAUCUCUAUGAGCACCUUAAAGUGCCGCACCUAGAAUUUAAACCCUCGGUGGGAGUCCUCCAACCAAUGGCCUUUGCUAUUGCGCCGUGAACCCCUUGGCCUUUCUUGCUCCUAAGUUGUGACUUGUGAGUUGUCACUGCAAAGUACAAACCGGGGAAUACCCAAAAAUACGCAAGGAGUCGGCCCAGAAUCCCCUGACGUGGAUGCCCUGCACUGCACAACGACCUCGCAGGUUCUUCCGUUCCCUAGCUAGCUUUACGCGCAAGCUGAAAGAUUGGUAUCCUCCUCUGCACGGCAACUACUCCAGCAGAUUGACUCAUUUUCACCAAGUAAUCCCGAGAGAGAGAGAAAAAAAAAGCAUAUAUAUUCCAUCAAAUGAAAGGGCUUGCAGAUUCGUUCGUUGCUCUCCUCCAUGGCGGGAACGACGACGGGAAUGGCGACCACGAGGAUAGGAAUGGGCAUGACCAAGGUCGGCAGCCGGUGCCCCGCCGUCUGCUUCGGAGGCAUGGGCCACGACCACGCGCCGUCGUCGGAGGCGCCGUCCGCCGCCAUCGAACCCAUGUACGGCGACGACGACCCGGUGGAACCGACGCCGGCGCACGCCCCGCUCGGCGGCACAGGCCGCAGCGCCGCCGGGCUGCUGGUCCUCAAGACGCACUGCGAGUACCCGGCGCUCGCCAAGGCCACGGCGCGCGACGGGUUCGGGGUUCUCGUGCACGCCAAGGCGCCCUCCUCGGUGGCCGCGCCGGAGUCGUCGGCAGCAGCGGCGGCGUCGCGCGCGCCGCUGGAUCUUGUCACGGUGCUCGACGUCAGCGGCAGCAUGGCGGGCAAGAAGAUGGAGCGGGUGAAGCGCGCCAUGGGUUUCCUCAUCGACAACCUCGGCUCAGACGACCGCCUCAGCGUCGUCGCCUUCUCGACGGACGCGCGCCGCAUCAUCCGGCUCACGCGCAUGUCCGACGACGGGAAGGCCGCGGCCAAGCGCGCGGUGGAGUCUCUCGCUGCAUCCGGCAGCACCAACAUCCGCGGCGGCCUCGACGUCGCCGCUAUGGUGCUCGACGGCCGCCGGCACAAGAACGCCGUCGCCAGCGUCAUCCUUCUCUCCGACGGUCAAGACAACCAAAGCAUGCAUCAUGAAUAUCUGCCCACCAGCUGGGUACCGAAACAUUCACCUGCAUUCAGCAAGGGCGGCUACGACGUCCUCGUGCCACCGUCAUUCCAGCGCACCGCCGGCGGCGACCACCGGUGCGUGACGGUGCACACGUUCGGGUUCGGCAUCGACCACGACGCGGCGGCCAUGCACUACAUCUCGGAGGUCACGGGCAGCACCUUCUCCUUCAUCGAGAACCACGCCGUCAUCCAGGACGCGUUCGCGCGGUGCAUCGGCGGGCUCCUCUCGGUGGCCGUGCAGAAGGCGCGCAUCUCGCUGGAGUGCGGUGCGUCCACCCCGGCGUGCGCGUCCUGGCGAUCAAGUCCGGCAGCUACGAGAGCCGCAUCGGUUGGGGCGGCCGCGCCGUCACGGUGGACGUCGGCGAGCUCUACGCGGACGAGGAGAGGCGCUUCCUGCUCUUCGUGGCCGUGCCAAGAGCCCAUUCCAUGGACGAGCUGGCCACGCGCCUGUUCAAAGUCAGGUGCACCUACCUCGACACGCCGACGGGGCAGUCGGUGGACGUGGCCGGCGAGGACGCUAGGCCUGAUCUAGCAUUUGCCGUAGGUGUGGUGAGCAGGUACAUAGAGGCAUCUGGGAAGGAGCACUGGGCUGCUGUGGAACAUAUUCUGAGGUAUCUCCAAGGUUGUUGACACCGUUUUUGGCACGUGUGGGAUGGCAGGAUAAGGUGGCAGUACGAUGUUUACAAAGUGGGUUGCCGAUGAGGGAGAGGUUGAACGUGACUAAGUCCACAGGCAGUAAUAUGGUGCCGAUGGCUAGAUAAGAAAGUCUGCCGAUGACUAUGGCAAAGGGUCUGCCGAUGAUGCAAAGAGGGAGUCCGGAAGCUGCCGGUCGUUAUGUGGAGGAGUUUCGGUUUGUCACGAGGGAUAGUUUUGUUAUUUCCUUAAUUAUUUGCAUCGUUUUGUAUACGGAUUUCGUGUAAUUUGGAAUUCGAAUUCUAAUCGUGUCUGGUUGUAGCUCUUUGAGCAGGGUAUAAAUGUAGACCCUAGGGCCUUGUAAUAGAUCAUCAAUCAAGAAAUCAAUCAAACACAUGUUUUUACUCAUAUUCCAGUAUCUACUUUUCGACGACUUCGUCAUACUUUUUCCUUUUAUUACGAGUUCUUAGGAAUUCGUCGACUUAAGCUCGGCGUGUUCUCGAGUUCCGCGUGAGUACCUCUUAGCCGUGACAUCCGGGCGCAUCGCUGUUGUUAGGACUAAAGUAUUCGAGUUAUCACCUUUGCCGAUAGCAAGGUCAAAUCGGCUGGCACGCCUUAACGUUUGAAUCGGGUAUUAGCCCUUUGUGUUUGCAGAUCAGUUUUGCAUCAACACAUCUUUUGGCACGCCCGGUGGGACAAGAUUCAAGAUCAAGAUCAACAUGUCGAUCUCUGACCUCGAUCAAGAGAACGUCAUCCCCGUGACGGAGGCCAACCUCAAGGAUGAGCAGAAGCAAGCUAUUGCCCAAGCCAUGGAAGAGUUCAAGCAGCAAUGCCUGAGGUCUUUCAGCAUAAACAGGAGCGGCGAAGUGGUCCAGAAAGAUGCACUGCCGGCACCACGGCAGGUCACCUUUGACGCCAAUCCUAGCAAGCUUCAAGAUAUGAUUGACAAUGCCAUCAAUCGAGCGUUGAUUAACCAAGCUGGUGUACUGUCUAAUACGGUUUUCAAUGCCGUGGCAAGAACUUUCAAGGAAGGACAAAUCCCACCAGAUUAUGUGGGCCCCUCCCAUCAUCAGCCAACGGCACCAGAGGUCACGGCUCCAUCGGCUGCCUUGACGAAUGCAAGUGCACAAUCUGCCGUCCCUCCAAGUACAUCGGGGACUACUGGUGCACUAUCUAUGCCGAUGGCAACCAACCCACAAAUUUCAGUUGGGCAGCAUAAACUGACAACAGAUAUGUUGGCAUCGGCAAUGUCAGGGUUGACUCUUCCUCCCAACUGGUGGGGUUACGGUAUGCCUCCAGAGUUGACGCCGGGAACAUCACAAAUAACUGACAUGAGGGGCAAAACUCCUAUGACAUCGGCACCUCCCAAUGCGCCGGUGAACCAGAGUCCUCGGUAUACCACAACUACUACUGCAAGGCCUCACACUGGAAAUCCUCAAGAUUCAAUGUUCCAGAUGCCCAACGCAUCGGCAGAGUCAAUGCUGAUGCAACAGAGGCCUAUGGCCCAGUCGGGGUAUGUCAAUUCAACGACGGUACCCAAUUACCAAUCAUCGGCAGCACCUAUGCCGAUGAACGCUAAUAAUGGAUGGCUUGGACAGCAAGCCUUUCCACAAUCGCCCCAGCAGAGUUACCAGACUACAGGGUUCCAGCAAGGGCAGGUCUAUCCCGGGUUCCAAGGUCAGGGGAUUCCCAACCAGCCAAUGAAUUUUGGACAGCAACUCGGAGGACAGCCAAUCGGUGGACAGCAGUUUGGUGGUCCGCAGAUUGGAGGACAGGUGAUCAAUACAAUGUUCCACGCAGAUCACGUCCCCAACAGACACAUGGAGGUUCGCCACCAAGUACCAGAUCCGCAGCCGCCUCAUCGGCAAGAUGCCGAUGCAUAUUGGGCCGAUAAGAUUGCUGAAGUAAUGAGGGAACAAUUUGGGAUAAAACCCAAAGUCAACACUUACUCUUAUCGGACACCGUAUCCUCCCGCGUAUGAUUUGAUCCCGCUUCCACAUCGGUACAAGGUACCGGAUUUUACAAAGUUUUCCGGACAGGACGACACGUCAACCAUGGAGCAUGUCAACAGGUUCAUUAUUCAAUGUGGAGAGGCUGGUAACAGGGACGAAUUGAGGGUUCGUCUAUUUUCAUCAUCAUUGUCUGGAUCGGCCUUUACUUGGUUCAUAUCGUUACCUCCCAACUCAGUAAUUACUUGGGCCGAUCUAGAGAAGCAAUUCCACAAAUACUUCUUCUCGGGGGUUCAUGAGAAGAAGAUCACCGACUUGGUCAAGUUGAGACAACGUAAUGAUGAGUCGGUUGAGGGAUUUGUGCAGAGGAUACGAGAGGUCAAGAAUAAAUGCUAUAGCCUGGUUCUGGAUGAUCGGCAGCUAGCCGAUUUGGCUUUCCAGGGUUUGUUGCCACAUAUCAGGGAUAAGUAUGCCUCUCAGGAGUUCGAAAGUUUAAGUCAUUUGGUGCAGAGGAUUUCUGAUCAAGACAUCAAGCCUUUUGAGCCUAAGAGAGCAUGGAAUAAGAAAGUGUCAUUUGUCGAUGAAGCAACAAGCUCAGAUUCUGAUGAAGAACCAGUAAUCGGUUUGGCAGAGUGGGUAAAAAACAAGAAGCCGAUGUCUUGUCCUUUUGGGCAGAAGGAACCAGAGAAGUUUGCUUUUGACACCGCUAAGGCUGAUAGGAUAUUUGACUUUCUACUUCAGGAAGGUCAGAUCAAACUGUCACCUAACCAUGUGAUCCCAUCGGCAGAAGAGUUGAAGAGGAUGAGAUAUUGCAAGUGGCAUAAUGCAACUUCCCAUGACACCAACGAGUGCAAAGUAUUCAGACAGCAGCUGCAAUCGGCUAUAGAGUCAGGGAGAAUCAAGUUUGACAGUUCCAAAGCCCAGAAGCCGAUGAAGAUAGACCAACAUCCUUUCCCGACAAACAUGUUGGAUGCUAAGGGGAAGGCUAAGGUCUUAACAUCGGAGACAGCUGAGAAGAGUGCAUCGGUAGAUCCUCAGCAUCAAGUUACUACUGCCGAUGCAAGAAGUAAGGGCUUGGUCCAGGAAGGAACUAGCUCAGGAAGGCUUCCUCGAUCUGGUAUCGUCAUAACUCAUAGAAGGCCUCGAGAAAAAUGGCAACAACGGGAAGAUCGGUAUCGGCGCCAGCAGGAAGAUUAUCGACGGGAAGAAGAAAGACGCCGACAGGAGUGGAAUCGGCACAGGGAUCAUUGGAAUUGUCCAUUCUUCAUCCAUUGUUGGGAGGAGAAUAUCAAGCUUCCUACUGUCAGAGACUGCCCUGAGUGCAACGGUUAUGAUCGGUACGAUAGGAUCGAUCGGUAUUAUCAUAAUGAUGAACGGCGAUUUAAUGGGCCGAUCAGAGGAAGGGUGUCAGUUCAUGACCGGCUGGGGGGCAGAUAUAGCGGGCAUGACAGACUUAGUGACCAUGUCCAGUAUUUUUCCAGGAACCAAGAAGAGCUCGAGGGAAUGGCUGAUGCGCGGGUUCCCGAUGAAUUCAUAUUUUGCAGGGAUGCUAACACACAUCGUAUGGAGUCAAGGGAGAACCGACGCCCGACGGCAAGGCAAAGGCCACUUCCUCCAUGGUGCCCUGGAGGAUUAACCAAGACACAGAAAAGGAGAUUGCAACGUGAAAGGCAAGAAGAGCUAAACAAGGGAGAGAACUCUGGAAGUCGGCAGCCGUCAGACACUAAGAGGGAAGGUCCAUCGGCAGGCGUCAACAUGGUCUUCAUGUUGCCGAUGGAGUUUCUUGCACCAGCCAGUGAUGAUGAGUUGGAAUUUUCUGAUCAGAUAGCUCAGUUGGCUCUGGAUCCGAUGACGGCUAUCUUUGAGAAACCUGCCGAUGACGAGAGGCAGCAUCUUAAAGCUCUGUUCCUCAAAGGAAGGGUUGAUGGGCAGCCAAUGACCAAGAUCCUAGUUGAUGGUGGAGCUGCUAUUAAUAUUAUGCCGUAUGCAGUAUAUCGAAAGCUUGGGAAAGGGGAUCAAGAUUUGACCAAGACCGAUAUGAUGCUCAAAGACUUUGAAGGAAACGUGUCUCCAGUCAAGGGGGCGAUAUGUGCAGAGUUGACCAUCGGCAGCAAAACCUUGCCGACAACUUUUUUCGUGAUCAGCGGAAAAGGUGCUUACAACUUAUUGUUGGGAAGAGAUUGGAUUCAUGCCAAUUGUUGUAUCCCAUCUACAAUGCAUCAAUGCUUGGUUCAGUGGGUAGGUGACAAGAUUGAGAUUGUCCCAGGAGAUUCUUCUUAUGUUAUCGCGUCGGCAGAAGCAGAUACUUACGAAAGGACCAGGUGCAUUUCAGGAGAAGUUUGGGAGAAAGAUUUUCUCAAAGUUGUCGAUUAUGAGAUUCCACCGAUCCAAGCAGUCGGUUCUGACGACGGUUUUUAAUGGAUAGAUUCGCCGAUGAUGGAAAAUUAGGCCAGGGAUUCACAUCGGCCGAUGAUUUGGUAGAAGUAGAUAUAGGUAGUGGUGAUAAGCCUAGGCCUACUUUUAUUAGUGCUAAAUUAGAUCCUGAGAGUAAGCAACAAUUGACUAGUUUGUUAAAGGAAUAUAAAGAUUGCUUUGCUUGGGAUUAUACUGAGAUGCCUGGUUUAGACCGAUCAAUUGUUGAACAUCGGUUACCCAUCAAGUCUGGAUUUCGGCCACAUCAGCAACCAGCCCGCCGAUGUAAUCCUAACAUUCUACCUGAUAUUAAGGCCGAAAUCACCAAACUUAUUGAAGCUAAGUUUAUUCGGCAGUGUCGGUAUGCCGAGUGGAUUUCCAAUGUUGUUCCGGUUUACAAGAAGAACGGGAAGCUUCGGGUGUGCAUUGAUUUCAGGAAUCUCAAUAAAGCUACGCCGAUGGAUGGAUACCCAAUGCCUAUCGCCGAUCUACUGGUUGAUGCUGCGGCUGGUCAUCAGGUCAUCAGCUUCAUGGAUGGUAAUGCAGGUUACAAUCAAAUAUUCAUGGCGGAGGAGGAUAUUCCAAAAACCGCAUUCAGGUGUCCUGGUCAUGUUGGGCUAUUUGAGUGGAUAGUCAUGACUUUUGGGUUGAAGAAUGCUGGUGCUACUUAUCAAAGGGCUAUGAAUUUUAUAUUUCAUGAGUUCAUCGGCAAGCUCGUGGAGAUUUAUAUUGAUGAUGUGGUGGUUAAGUCUGAAGAUUUCUCAAAGCAUCUUGCCGAUUUACAAAAAGUGUUAGAGUGCACAAGGAAGCAUGGAUUGAAGAUGAAUCCCAACAAGUGUGCAUUUGGUGUAUCGGCAGGGCAGUUUCUUGGUUUCAUGGUACAUCAGAGGGGUAUUGAAAUUAGUCGAAGAUCUAUUGAUGCCAUCAAUAAAAUAGUGGCCCCUACCAACAAAACCGAGCUCCAAUCCUUGAUCGGCAAGGUAAAUUUUAUCAGGAGAUUUAUAUCGAAUUUAUCUGGUAGGAUUCGUGCUUUCAGUCCUCUUCUUAAAUUGAAAGCCGAUCAAGAGUUUAUUUGGGGAGAAGAACAGCAGUUGGCUCUGGAUGAAAUCAAGAAGUAUCUAGUGAAUCCUCCAGUUCUAGUUCCACCUCAACAAGGGAAGCCCUUCAGAUUGUAUUUAUCUACCGAUGGAUCGGUUAUCGGUUCAGCUUUAGUUCAAGAAUUUGAAGGGAAAGAAAGGGUAAUUUAUUAUUUGAGUAGGAGGUUGAUUGAUGCUGAAACCAGGUAUUCGGCCAUUGAGAAACUAUGCUUAUGCUUAUAUUUUUCAUGUAUCAAGCUGAGACAUUACCUGUUAUCGGCCGAAUGCACUGUUGUUUGCAAAGAUGACGUGGUCCGAUACAUGCUAUCUAUGCCGAUUAUGAGUGGUAGGAUCGGUAAAUGGAUUUUAGCGUUGUCGGAGUUCGAUUUGCGUUACGAAUCGGCUAAGGCAGUCAAAGGGCAGAUUAUGGACGAUUUUGUGACUCAGCAUUGCGGUCUAGUGGAAACCUUGGAAAUUGUACCCUGGACGCUCUUCUUUGAUGGAUCUACCUGUGACCGGGGGGCAGGAAUCGGCAUUGUAUUAGUUUCCCCUAAGGGGAGGAAGUAUGAGUUUUCCUUGCCGAUUGUUGCCACAUCAACAAAUAAUCAGGCUGAGUAUGAGGCUCUGAUCAAGGGAUUGGAGUUGUUAAGAGAAGUUCGUGCUGAUGCUGUUGAAAUAUUCGGGGAUUCUAUGUUGGUUAUAAAUCAAUUGGCCGGAAGCUAUGAAUGCCGAAGUGAAGUUCUCAUAACUUAUUUCGAGAGAAGUAUGCAACUGUUAAAGGAAUUCAAGGAUUUCCGAUUGGAGCAUGUUCCCCGAUUGCAUAAUGAAGACGCUAAUCGGUUAGCUCAGCAUGCCUCGGGAUAUCAGCCAAUGAUUAAUGCGACAUCGGCAGUCGGUGCCAGUGAUUGGAGGAAAGAAAUUAUUGAUUAUCUAAAAGAUCCAUCCAAAAAAGUUGAAAGACGGGUUCGAUUUCAAGCAACCAAGUAUGUGUUCCUUGAAAAUGAAUUAUAUUAUCGAACUAUCGACGGAAUUCUUCUCCGAUGCUUGGGCGAUGAUGAGGCUAGAAGUUUGAUGGGGGAAAUCCAUGAAGGAGUGUGUGGAGCGCAUCAGUCAGCUUUUAAGAUGAAGUGGAUGAUUCGAAGGAAUGGAUAUUUUUGGCCAACCAUACUUGAAGAUUGUUUUAAAUAUUUCAAGGGAUGUCAAGGUUGUCAAAAGUUUGGUAAUAUCCAGAGAGCACCCGCAUCGGCUAUGAAUCCUAUAAUAAAGCCUUGGCCGUUCCGGGGAUGGGCCAUCGAUCUGAUCGGCCAGAUUUAUCCACCAUCUAGCAAAGGGCAUAAGUUCAUUCUAGUUGCCACUGACUAUUUCACUAAGUGGGUUGAAGCUAUUCCUUUGAAGAAAGUCACAUCGGCCAAUAUGAUUGAUUUUGUGAAGGAGCAUAUUAUUUACCGAUUCGGGAUUCCCCAAACGAUUACUACCGAUCAGGGCACCAUGUUCACAUCGGGGGAGUUCGAUGAAUUCGCAAUCGGUAUGGGAAUUAAAGUGUUGAAUUCUUCUCCUUAUUAUGCUCAAGCCAAUGGGCAGGCCGAAGCGUCUAACAAAGGAAUUAUCAAGCUUAUUAAACGAAAGAUUGAAGAAAAUCCUAAGCGGUGGCACACAUUAUUGAGUGAAGCAUUGUGGUCUUAUCGGAUGGCUUGUCAUGGAUCGACCAAAGUAUCACCCUAUCAAUUGGUGUAUGGACAUGAUGCAGUGUUGCCUUGGGAGAUUAAGACUGGAUCUAGGCGAUUAACUUUUCAAGAUCAAUUAACUUCCGAUGGUUAUGCCACUUUGAUGACCGAUGAAUUGGACGAUCUAGCAGGGCAUCGGUUAAAAACUUUAAUGAGUAUAGAAGAAAAUAAGAAGAGAGUUGCUAGAUGGUAUGAUAAGAAAGUGAAGGCUAAAGAGUUUGCCGAUGGGGAUUUGGUAUGGAAAUUAAUUUUACCAAUUGGGACCAAAAGUUCGAAGUUUGGAAAGUGGUCUCCUAAUUGGGAGGGUCCUUAUCGGAUAAGUCGAUCGGCUCCUGGUAAUGCCUACAUUCUAGAAACCCUCGAAGGAAUUGAAUUUCCCAGAGCAUUAAACGGCAAAUAUUUAAAGAAGUACUACCCCAGUAUAUGGGUCGAUGCAUAGAAGUUUAGGUGCCGAUAACACUCCUAUCGGCUGGAUCCAAAUGCUUGGGGACAAGACUUGGUGUUUCAAAAGCUUAGGUGCCGAUAACAGUCCUAUCGGCUAGACUAAAAGCUGAGGAAGAAGGAAAGCGCAGAUAUAAUGCCGAUGGAAACUCUAUGUGUUAAGCAGCGUCUGGAUUGCCGAUAUAGCGCGUAGCCGAAUUUGGUUGGCUGCUUCCAUCUCCUUGAUGUCGUCAUCGGCAGAACCUUCUAUCGGCUUCAGCUUCUUCUUCAGUUGAAGUGUCUUGCGACCAUGAACAUUUCGCUCGUGCUCAAGAAGCCUGAUGGUCUCUGGCAAUUGGCUCUCUUCCUGUUGGGCUUGGGACAGAGCGUUCUCUACUUCCUUGAGUUCCGCCAACAGGGAUUCUUUUCUUGCCGAUAGAUCGGAUAUCUUCUGCUUCAGCGCGUCUCCAGAAGAUCUCAGGAUACCGAUGUCCUUGUGCUUCUCAUCGGUCAAAAGCUUCUCUUUCCUCAUUUCAUCGGAGAGUUGAGUCUGAGCGGCUCUAUCGGCAAGACGCCGAGAAGCUCUCUGGUACUGCAGCUGGCGACUCUCCAGAUGAGCGGCUUGGAACAGGAUUUCUUCAACAUCGGCUGGGAUUUGGCCUCUGAGAGUUCUGAACAGGGUCUUGGUAGGGUCAGAAUCAUCAACCAAUUGCGCUGUGUCUUGGUGAAGGAGAGCUGACAAUUCUUCCAACCUGACCCUGAUCUCUGCCGAUCUGAUGCCGACCGUCUGAGAAGAGCUUGCUUCUUCACCUUCUUCUUCAGAGAGAUCGAUGGCAAAGGAGAACAGGCUAUCGGGAGAAUCUUGUUCCUGGGAGGGAAGGCAAAAUUAGCUCAUACUCAGAGAAUCGGCAAAUAAUGCUAACGGUAAACGGUGACUUACUUGCUUCAAGGCGAUCUCUUGUCUUUGACUGAGAAGUACUAACGGAGCUACAGGCUGAUCGGCCAAAGAUGCCGAUGGAGCUACAGGUUGAUCGGCUGAGAUUGCCGAUGGAACAAUAUCAACUGAAAGAAGACAAAAGGAGUUAUGAGACUAAAUAAGAAUAAGUUCAUCGGUAGCGAUAUUGUUAAAGUAUGUUACCUGGAGGAGGGACAACGGUUGUCUGAACCGGGAGAACUGCCGAUGGUAUAACUGGACUCACCGGGCCAGUUGUUUGUUCACCCAUGUCAACUGAUGUAUCUUCUGUUUGAGAUCCUUCCUGUUGGGGUUCUUCUAUCUGUGGUGCUUCCUGCAUAGGUGGGGGAGAUGGUGCUUGCUGUGGCUGGGCUUCUGGAGAAGAAGGAGAAGAUUCCACCGGAAUUGGAGAUACCGGAGGAGGAGGGGGGAUUGCUACCUUCUGGCGCUUUGUUCCAGUCUUAGCACCCGUGGUGCCCUUUCUCUUGGGUUGGCUAGACUGGGGGGCAUCGGUACUCUCACGCCUGGCUUUCGCCGAUGGGCCGGUUUGCUGCAAUAAUGAACAAGAGUUUAUAAGCAUAAAUAUAGCCGAUAUAAAGAUAGUCAGCAUAAAGGAAAAGAUUUGACAAAUUGCCUUGAAAGCCCGCGCGAGAGUGGGAGCAGCUACCGUUGGUGAUGUCUGGGUUCUUCUGGUGGUGACUUUCCUGAGGCGUACACCCCAAUGCACGAUGGAAGCUAGAGUGGGAGCAUUGUGGCCGAUUGAGGAAAUCGGGCCUGAUGGAAACAAGUCGAUCGGCCUGCCACUCCUGCUAACCAACGGAGGAAUAUUAUCAACCUGCAAAAGGAAUACAAGGGAACUUCGUAUUCAGAGUCAAUCAUGCCGCGGAAUGAAAGUGCCGAUCUACAGAACAGAUGCUCUUUCCAUUCUGCCCACCAUAACUUGUAUGCCUGAGUGAUAAAAGCAGCCGGGACCCAUUCUGACAGAUCUACAUCUAUAUCGGCGUUUGGUGGUAGUUGGGCUGCUCGAGUCCACUCAAGAAGGUUGUUGAUAGUUUCUCUGGGUUUUAUCACAUCGGCAUAAGGAAGUGCAAUCGGCAACUGGCCGAAAGCUAGCUGGCGAGCUAAUGCCGAUGGAUUGUAAAAUUCGUAAGUUUGAGGGGAGGUUUUUGUGCUACCAAAGAAAUUCACUGGAAUGAUUCUGGGAGUCACAAUUGCCAUCAUCACCUCAUUGUCCCUGUCGAGAGCUUCAUCAAAUGGAUUGAAGGUCAGAGGGAGCAUGCUAUCUGGGUCAUCAUAAGCCAACCAUGGUCGUUCGUCUCUGGUCAAACCCUCAUACAGAGUCUGGAAGAAUCGGCCGAUCUGAUCUGGAUUACCCCCUGAACCAGGCAGAACUAUGACAGCUUCGCCAAAGUUCAAGGGGGCACGUGUUGCCGUUUCCUCUUCACCCAAUACAUGGUUUUCAGCUAUAUCUCUUGGGAAACGCUGUGUGAACAGGUUGAAGUUGAGACGCUUGUGCAGAUGCAGAUUGAGCCACAUGUUGACAAACCACCAGGGGCCUCCCAAGUUGCCAGUGGAUUGGCCGAGCAGAAGUUUCUGGGCUACUUGAUGGAGAAGGUGGUAAGCAGCGCCAAGCAAGUAUCGGCCGAGAGGGAAUCGGCCACCGUUAGCCAGUCUUUCUGCUGCCGAUAGGUAGACAGAAGUCGGUCCUGCCGAUCGACCACAGAAUACAAACUUGUCCAGCCACAUGUUCAGAAAGGUGGUUUGUUCCUUUAUGGUGACAGAUCCUUUCCCACGGUACUUCUGAAUGUACCCCGACCAACCGCCGAUAGCGCGAGUCUCCACUUUGGCACUAGGGGCAGUAUCAAAAAAGUGGGUGCUAUCGGCAGAAGAUAUAUCUAGACCAGUAAGCAUGGCUACAUCGGCAAGAGUAGGAGAAGCAGGGCCGUGGCCAAAGGCAAAAGCAUUGAGGGUGUCUGACCAAAAGUAGGAUGCAGCUAUCAGCAGUGACUCGUUUCUAUGCAUAUCGGCAAUGAACAAUCUGAUGCAUUGGGCUAGAUUCCUUUCACCCCACUGAACUUCAUUAGAGUUGCUGACCCUCAAGAACCAGUCUUUCCACCCUACAGUUGGGCUGGGCCAAGAGCGGAAGGUGUCCUUCCACAGAUCUAAGGAAAAAUUUUCGGCUCUGAAGGGGAUCCUGUUGGUUUCUGCGUUGAUAAGGUCAGUUGGAUCUGGGUCCCCUAGAGGGCCGAGGCAUUGAAGGUGUGGUUGAUCGGUGGGGAUGACAAUUUUGUUGGACAAUUCCUAGUGAUUUUGGGCGUAAAAAGAAAUACAAAGAGGAAACAAAAGGAAGAUGUUCAGUAAAAUGGAUUGCGAGUGAACAGGGAUAUGAAGAAAAAUACAGAAGACGGGGUGGAGAUUUGACCUCAGGGACGACAAACCCGACGGCCAUCUUGCUGCGAAGGAAGCGUUUGAAGGCGCCGGAGUUGGUGAAGAGGGGUACUUGUCAGAGACCUUGGGAGUUUUUGGUGGCGCCGCCGCUGGAAAAGUAAAGUUGGGUAGUAGAAUGGUGUGAUGGGGAAGGAGUACCCGAGAAGGAACUAUUUAUAGGACAAAAUGGGCAAGGGCAAAUCCGACUUAUCUCUUUGCCGCAUCCGAGAAAUCCGAGGGUACUCAGGUGGAUAUGGUAACUAUUCGCACGGUAAUCCAGGGAUUGUGCAGGUGAUUUGACAGGAAGCGGUCAUUAUCUGAAGAUAUUUUACUGUGCGAGAUCUCCUGGUCGGUCCAUCGGCAAUAUUCUACAACGGUCAUAUUGCCGAUGGGCGGAUAGAGGGGAAGUAACCGUUUGUGCGAAUAUCCUGGUCAGAACAUCGACAGAUCUUUGUAACGGUAUUGUUGCCGAUGUACGGCUGAGAAAAAAUGCCCGUUUAGAAAGUUGGGGAUUUCGAGAAAUCUGCGGAGGAAUAGGAUCAGAGUUGUUCAGAUUGAGGUUGUCGGUUACCAGAUUAGGAGCAUUAAUUGCGGGAAAAGGCAUCAUUACUGCAGAGAAUUUCGGAGCAUUAAUAGUUUUAUACUCCGAAACUGGGGGGCAUGUGUUGACACCGUUUUUGGGCACGUGUCUGGGAUGGCAGGAUAAGGUGGCAGUACGAUGUUUACAAAGUGGGUUGCCGAUGAGGACGGUUGCCGAUGAGGGAGAGGUUGAACGUGAUUAAGUCCACAGGCAGUAAUAUGGUGCCGAUGGCUAGAUAAGAAAGUCUGCCGAUGACUAUGGCAAAGGGUCUGCCGAUGAUGCAAAGAGGGAGUCCGAAAGCUGCCGGUCGUUAUGUGGAGGAGUUUCGGUUUGUCACGAGGGAUAGUUUUGUUAUUUCCUUAAUUAUUUGCAUCGUUUUGUAUACGGAUUCCGUGUAAUUUGGAAUUCGAAUUCUAAUCGUGUCUGGUUGUAGCUCUUUGAGCAGGGUAUAAAUGUAGACCCUAGGGCCUUGUAAUAGAUCAUCAAUCAAGAAAUCAAUCAAACACACGUUUUUACUCAUAUUCCAGUAUCUACUUUUCGACGACUUCGUCAUACUUUUUCCUUUUAUUACGAGUUCUUAGGAAUUCGUCGACUUAAGCUCGGCGUGUUCUCAAGUUCCGCGUGAGUACCUCUUAGCCGUGACAUCCGGGCGCAUCGCUGUUGUCACGACUAAAGUAUUCGAGUUAUCACCUUUGCCGAUAGCAAGGUCAAAUCGGCUGGCACGCCUUAACGUUUGAAUCGGGUAUUAGCCCUUUGUGUUUGCAGAUCAGUUUUGCAUCAACAAAGGUACUGUCAGAUAUGGCUGCAAGUAUGAGAGAGGUGGUGAACUGAAACCAAUUCUAGUUGGUUACAGUGAUAGCGACUUCGCUGGUGACAUUGAAGACAGGAAGAGCACGUCAGGAGUUGGUUAUUUCCUUGGAAGUAGCCUUGUCACCUGGGGAUCGCAGAAGCAAAGAAUAGUUGCCUUGUCUUCGUGUGAAGCCGAGUAUGUAGCAGCCGCUGCAGCAGCAUGCCAGGGCAUAUGGCUGAACCGACUGAUUGCAGAUAUGUUGGGGACUAAGGAGACGACAGUAAAGCUGCUGAUGGACAAUCAAUCCGCGAUAGCACUCGCAAAGAAUCCCGUACACCAUGAUCGUAGUAAACAUAUUGAUACAAGAUAUCAUUUUCUGCAUCAGUAUAUAGAAGAAGGCAAGAUUGAAGUUGAUCAUGUUGGCACUGAAGAACAGUUGGCCGAUCUUUUCACUAAGGCCCUAGGAAGAGUCAAGUUCGUGGAGCAACGUAGUGCUUUAGGUGUCGUUGAAGUGCAUCAAGUUUAGGGGGUGUUUUGUUAGAUAAAUUGAUGCUGGUCAUUAUGUAAUCUUAGUCCACAAGAGUCUGUAAGGGUCAGGUGAGGAUGGGCAUGAUCGCAGGCGUGCGGGAUCAUGACUUAUCUUAUUAGAGUCUGUUAGACGCAUGUCAUGUCGGUCUAGAGCGCGCGUAGUGCACGCCGCGGUGAAACGGUGUUGCGAUCUCUUGACGACGUGGCGUGGGGGGUUUGGAGUCUGUAAACCUCGAGCAUGUCUAUAAAUAUAAGGAACACAAGGCCGAAUAAGCUGCGGUUGGUUGCAGCAUCGUAUCCUUGCACGAUCUCGAGCAUUUGUAUCUUUAGGGUUUAAGUCGGCGUGAUCACCAUCGAUCUGGGUGGCACUCCCGUGUGCUAUCAUCGUGAUCGGCUCCAACAGACGCCAGGAGGGACUCGGUGAGCCGGUCGGCGCCGGCGCUCUCCGACGACACGCUGUGCGCGGCGGUGGCGGCCGAGCUGCACGAGCUGAGCCGGCGCGUGUCGGACGAGCGCGAGUACAAGAAGACGGGCCGUGCGUGCAUUCUCGCCAGCAUGAGCUCGCACUCGCUGCAGCGCGGCUCGUCGUCGUCGGUUCGGUUUGGGUGCGUGGGGUCGCCGUCGGUGUUCGCGACGCCAGCGAUGCGGAAGAUGGAGAAGCUGUCGGUGAUGUUGCGUAGUAAGCAGCAGGAGGCGCUGCCGCGGCAGCCAUUGCCGGAGAAUGGAGGCAAGACCGGCGUUCCUCUUGGCUCGCGCCGCCUAGAGGCAAGGUUGGCAUCGGCUGUCCCUCGUCUCAGAAUGUUGAACAGAUACCGCCGUAUUCUACUCAAGCGCUAAGCAAAAUGCAAUGGCAUACAACUUGCAGGCAGCAUAACAGCAUAUUUUACCAGACAAAGAACCUAAAGUUACGACCAAACAUUACUCAUAUAAUAAAGUCAUAAUGCAUCUUUUUUUAGUCUGUCUAGGUAGCAAUCAAGUGUUUCAGAGUCUGUGAACACUCGAUUCCUCGCGACCGUUGAAUGAAGAUCGAACACUCAUUCUCUUUUCUUCUAGCUCUGGUUCAUGGCCAUUCAGGCGUCUCCGUGAAAUGCCGCCAACCACCGCCCUGCCACGAUGCGGUAGGCUCUCGCCAUAGUUUUGCUGCGGAGCUCUAGCGAGACCAACUGCACCCACGGCAGCCUCCUUCUCCCCUCUCCCUCCCUUGCCGCCGCCACGGCCAUGGCUGCUGCCGCCCCGAUCUAGCCCGACCACUUUCUCCGUUAGCAGAACCCUAAUGCCGCCGUCCCACCAUCCCUACCACUUGGUCGGCUUAGCUCCCCCCCCCCCGAGCCCCUUCUAAGGCUAUCAAAGUUGGGGAAUGGGAAAGAAGAUGAGGAAAAACCAAAUAUAGACAAAAAUAAAAGGGAGAAGAAUCGAGUGUCAUUUAGCACUACUCUUUUCUAGUAAAGAUGGCAAUGGGGCGGGUUCGGGGCGGAUAUCCACGGGUUUCGAUUUUGGUGCCUGUUUUUUGCCCACGGUUUUGCGGGUUCGGAUACCCGAAAUACCGCGGUUUUGGGGCGGAUACUAAUUUUUACCCAUGGUGCUCCAUCGGCCCCCAGAAAAUGCAGCCCACUAAAAGCCCAGCAACCAACCCUAAGUAUAUAAGCCUGAUUGCCUCACUCCCUCAGCCUCAACUUGUCUUCUCCUCCCGCAGCCGCACAGGCAGGGGAGGCACGGGCGCACGGCCGCACGGGCAGGCCGCAGGCAAGGCCUCAACUUCUGCUAAUCUACUCCCAUCCAUCGCCCUCUCCCAUCCCCACAGGCACGGCGGCUGGCGAUCGCACAGUGGACGGGGCAUGCCCUCUCCCAUCCAACGCCCCGACGGGAGACCAGAGACCUCGCCGACUCGACGGUUCACCGGCCUUGGCGCCUGGCUAGUCUGCUGUCUGCGUCUCCGCGACCUUCGACUGUAAUAUGUGAUGUGUAGUGAACUUGGUUGCUUACUUGUUUCUCAGUACUUUAGUCGGUACAUGGCAUUCCCAGACUUGCAUGUUUGAUGUUUCUGGACAAGCUAUUUUGCUAAUAUAUCAUGUAUUGCAUUGUCGUCUUUGCUGAUUUAUUAUAAUAUUUUCGGGUUUUGGUUAAUCCGUUGGGUUUUGUGGAUCCGCGGAUUUUAGUUUUGGAGAUGGAUUUUCACCUGAAUUAGGGUUCGGGGCGGGUUCGGGUUUUAAUUUUGGGUUUCGGUUUUUGGUGCCCAUAGACUCCACCCGAUCCGAAUCCGCCCGUUGCCAUCCUUAUUUUCUAGUCUAGUCUAGGAUCAUAAUGCAUCCAAUGGUAGCAAUAUGAAAAUAUUCAUGGAUAUCCAGCAAGAGCAAAGCCAAAUACGGCCUCGUUUUGUCCGCUACAUUAACGAUCAUGGUCUGAGCCUAAGCCCAUGGGUCAACCUGACAUGGGAAGACUCUGGCCCACAAGGAAACUUGUUUAUUUUAGCGCCAUGUGGAUGCGCUUUUAUCUCUCGGGCUUACUUUGUUGACAAAAUGAAACCUAUAGAUGGUACUUUCCUAGGGAUUCUCACGGAAUUCCGAUUCUCACCUGUGUAUAUGUUUUCAGAGCUGGUCCAGUUUUUGGCCCUACACCGGUAUUUUGGGCUGCUAUUAUUAGCAAUUUUCUUACCACCACAAGAUGGGCUGCAAUCUGUGUUGGGCCUACUUUACUUCUCCAGGUAGAUCGAUUAAUUUUGUUAGCUAACACUAACUAGAGCAGGAAUCAGGCAAUUGUGCUAUUCUCGUAAAGAAAAUCGUUUUGGACAAUGUUUGAGUUAAGCAUUAGAAAUAUAAAUCAUAAAUAAUUUUUAAGUUAUUAAGUUUAAAUAUUUAAAAACUAUACCAUAUUUUAAUAAUUUUUUUUAUUAAAAACAGGGAGUACCUAUACCAACCUUGCAAAGGUUGGAACGACGACAAACCUAAAACAUUAUAUUAUACUUUGUUUUUUGAAUAUAUGUACGUCAUGAAUGAAAUAAAUAAAAAAAAAUAAUACAGCAGGUCAAAUAGCAUGCACCACCACCUUCCACAGUCCUGGCUCGUGACUUGUUACGCAGGGUCCACGUCCACCCCCACUUGCCAACAACAUCCUCGCAACCGGUUUUUUCUUAAAAAAAUUUUUCUGGUUUUUGUUUUGAUUUGGCCGUGAUUCUCUCGUUUCCUCCCUUCGCAAUCACGGGGAUUGGAUUUUAAUUUUUCGACCACGCCGACUGAAAUUCCCUUUUCCUUGGCUGGCUAUAUCCACGCAUGUACGAUCGCGAACGGAGGCACCGACAACUCUAUCUACAGUCUACUUCACAAAGGCCUUGGUCUCGUUUAGUUCACCCAAAAACCUAAAAUUUUUAAAGAUUUUCCGUCAUAUCGAUUUUUACGGUUGCGGCACAUGCGUGGAGUAUUAAAUAUAGAUGAAAAUAAAAAUUAAUUGUACAGUUUGUCUAUAAAUCGCGAGACGAAUCUUUUAAGCCUAGUUACUCUAUUAUUGGACAAUGUUUGUCAAAUAAAAACAAAAGUGCUACAAUGUCGUUUUCCCAAAAAUUUUUGGAACUAAACAAGGCCCUUGUUAAGUUCCUGAGAAAUUUUUUGUUUUCGGUACCUAGCAUUUUUGUUUUUAUUUGAUAAAUAUUGUCUAAUCAUAUAUUAACUAGAUUUAAAAGAUUCAUCUCGCGUUUUACAGAUAAACUGUGUAAUUAGUUUUUAUUUUCAUUUAUAUUUAGUAUUUCAUGCAUGUGCCACAAAAUUCGAUGUGACGAUAAAUCUUGAAAAAAAUUUAGUUUUUGAGAUGAACUAAACCAGGCCAAAGUUGAGCUGGAUAGACACCCGGCGCCUCUUUGGCUGCUUGAUCGGUGAUACGAUGGUGAACAUUAGACCAGUCUCAGUGCUAAUUUCAUAUCCCAGUUUCUAAUACUUGCAUGUUUUGAAAAUAGAGCUAAAGAGUUUUAUCUUCAUAAAAUCUUUUCUAUUCUUAUAAAAUUCUUAGAGAACUCGUAGUGCAUAAAUCAUCAUAGUUUUUAUGGAUAUUAAUUAUAUUAUCAUAUAAGCAUUUUGCUGAUAUGAUAAGUUAGUUAUUAAAAAGAGAACAAAAAUCAUAAAAAGUGAGUCUAAGUUAGAAACUAUGUCUACAUGAGAAUUAAUACUAGAAGAGAUGUGAUUGGUAGAAAAUAAAGAAAGAUUGUAUGUGACUGGAUAAAAAAUUGUUAUAUAGAAACUACAUGUAUUUUUUAUUAUUAUUGGAACACUGCUCUUAUGCUUUCGUCUUCACAAAUAUAGUGUUAUAUCAGCAUAUUAAAUAUUUAUAAAAUUCUAUAAAGCUUUCAUAACAAUUAAGUGGGCAAGAAAUUGUAUGUAGAAAUCAUCUCACACAAUGGUUGAAACUAUGCACGGUUUCCAUAACAAUUAAGUGGGCAAGAAAUUGUAUGUAGAAAUCAUCUCACACAAUGGAAGUUUCUUUCCCUAAUAAAUAUUCUUUUUUUAUUGUUUUCUCUCUCAGCAAGUGCAUCGUCUUCCUCCUAGAGCUGCAUGCACAUUUGUUUUUUGCAGGAGCCACGGACGACCUUGCCAUGGAGGGCCACAUACUUGCUCGCGGUGUCAUUGUCGUGGACCUGUGAACAACAUCGCCAUGGAGGACCGCGUGCUCGUGGGCGUCAGAGAGCUCGCCAUGGAGGUCCACGUGCUCGCAGGCGUCACCGUCGUGGACCUACGAAUGACCUCGCCAUGGUCCCAUGGAGGGUCGUAUGCUCGAUCGCGGCCAAGAGCUUGCUCGGACGACCUUGCCAUGGAGGGCUGCGUGCCUGCCGCCGUCCGCUUCAUCGACAUGGAGAGCCUGCACGAGCUAGCAACCUCGCUAGAGAGCAACGUCGAGCGCGGCAAAGCCAGAUGCCGGACGGCGAGCCACCCAGGCGAGCGAUUUGUAGCGGCCUGAGCGAGUGGCCUAGGCGAGCGAUCUACGGUGGCCUGGGCAAGUCGACCUGUGGCAACGACGGCUUGCUUCCUGCUGCACAACUUGCGAAUGAAAUGCCGUGGAGACGAUGGAAACUAGUGGUUUCUCCCCAAUGCGUUUUUACUCGUUUCUUCACGCAUCGAUCUGAGUGAGGACGCGAUUUCUUGAGGAAGAAACGAUUUCUACGUUUUGUACUCUCUUUCCUUAAUAACUCUUUUGCCACAUCAGCAAAUUGCUGAGCUGUCAGUAUAAUUAAGAGGGAUAGAAACUACCAUCAAUGAUCCAUUGGGACUGCCCUUAGGUUAGUCUCAAUGCAUGUUUUAUGAGAGUGUCAUACACAUUAAAUAGGGUGCCACAUAAGCAAAAUUGCUGACUUGACAAAGUCAUUAAAUGAAGGAGUUUCAUCAGAUGAGAGAGAAGUUUCAUCCCUAUAAAACUUAUGUGACUCGAUUACCUAGUUUAUAGUCUUGAUAACUGUGUCAUAAAACUAUGCAUUGAGACUGACCUACACUACUUCGCUACAGGAGAGUCUGAGAAGCCGAUUGAGCAUUAUUCAUGCAUUCUGUAAUUGUUGCAUUCUGUAAUUAUUGGUGAUCCACCACGCGAGAGCCCGAGAAGCCGAUUGGUCAAAGUUUUCUAUUUUCAAUGCGAACCUCUUACUUUAAAUGAAACAACCAUCGUUGGAAGAGCAUUCUUACCUGUGCCGCCUUAACUAAAAAUUAAGGCUCGUGAAAAAAAAAAAAACACACGUCCAUGACGCUGGUUGACAGACACAGACGUACAGCAACGUGGAAAACAAAGUCGAAGCUUCCAUAUUUCAUCCAACAAAAAAAAAGAUAGAUAGAAAGUCGAAGCUGCUUUAAGAAAGGUGUAGGAUUCCUGAUUUGCUGUGAUCUCGUCGUUCGGUCCUGCGAUGCGAGUCUUGUUUAGUUAAAAAAUAUACAAAUUUUUUAAUUCUCCGUCACAUCGAAUCUUAUGGUAUAUAUAUGGAACACUAAAUAUAGAUAAAAAAUAACUAAUUAUACAAUUUAUUUAUAAUUUACGAGACAAAUCUUUUAAAUCUAGAUAGUUCGUAAUUAGAUAAUAUUUGUUAAAUAUAAAUAAAAGUGCUAUAAUAUUAUUUUUUAAAAGAGAUGGAACUAAAAGGCGUAGAACAAGGCGAGCAGUAACGAGACAGGAUCGAGAACCACUCGGGUGUUUUGUUGGGAUAAUUAGUGUUCAGCCAUAAAUUAAUUAGAUUUAAAAGAUUCGUCUAACAAAUUACUCUCUAGUUUUUAGUGUUGUUUUAGUAUUUUAUGUAUCUAUUCAAAUAUUUGAUGUAACGGACGAUAAACUUGAACUCGUGAAACCAAAUAGGACCUAAUACGCUUCGUGGUGGUUGAUUUGGCAGGCACAGGGAUUUAAUUUCCAGAUGCCCGUGCAUGCACAAGUUUGACAAACUGGGCCUUGUUUAGUUCCAAAAACUGAAAAGUUUUCAGAACUGUAGCACUUUCGUUUUUAUUUGACAAACAUUAUUCAAUUAUGGAGUAAUUAGGUUUAAAAGAUUCAUCUCGUGAUUUACAGGUAAACUAUGUAAUUAAUUUUCAUCUAUAUUUAAUACUCCAUACAUAUGGCGUAAGAUUCGAUGUGAUGGGGAAUCUUGAAAAGAUUUUGGUUUUUGGAGUGACCUAAACAAGGCCCUGGUAUACAGGAGAGACAAAAAAAAAAAACAAGACCAGAGUGCACACCGAGCCGAGGUGGCGGCGGGCUGGCUCGACGAGGAAGACCAUGAAUUGAAAGCAUGAACGCAGGUAUGUUCGUUUAGCUAAUAAAUUAUAAUUAAAAAUAUGUUAAUUUAUUAUUAGAAAAAUAUACAUAUAGAUGCUGAAAAACCAUCGGCGCUGGCAGUGGCACGAUUUGCCUGGAAAUCCGCGGUCGGGCGUCCCCUGAAUCUGACGAACCACGACGACGGCGCGGACGUUUUAGGAAGGGGGGCUGGUGGUCGCCGGUCGUGGGCUCUCGGCCGGGCCGUGCGCGACGACGGCAGCCGGCAGCCGGCUGCUGCGUGGUGGUCGGUCUUGCCAGUCGGGGGCGGGCAUAUUCGCCGAGAAUGUGUGGAGCAUAGCAUAUUCCAUUCCCCAUGGGGCAGCUAGGCCUUGUUUAGUUCUGAAAAGAUUUCGGAUUUCAGUACUGUAGCAUUUUCGUUUGUUUGUGACAAAUAUUAUCUAAUUAUGGACUAACUAGGAUCAAAAGAUUCGUCUCGCGAUUUCCAGCUAAACUGUGUAAUUAGUUUUUGCUUUCGUCUAUAUUUAAUGCUUCAUGCAUGUGCCGCAAGAUUCGAUGUGACAGGGAAUCUUGAAAACUUUUUGCUUUUUGGGUGAACUAAACAAGGCCCUAGUCUCGGGGUCAUCGGGAUCUGCAUCUGCCAUCUGCAUGUCGCACAUGCCCACGCUCCUCCCCGCCGCGGCCACUGUUGGGGUUUCAGCGGUACCGUAGCACUUUCGUUUGUUUGUAAUAAAUAUUAUUCAAUCAUAAACUAACUAGAGUCAAAAGAUUCGUCUCGUGAUUUAUAGCUAAACUGUGUAAUUAGUUUUUGUUUUCGUCUAUAUUUAAUGUUUCAUAUAUGUGUCAUAAGAUUCGAUAUGACAAGGCCUGAACCUGAACAAGAAGAAGAAGAUGCCCUUGGGCCUUGGCAGGCAACUAUGGGCAAGGGAAGAACACGUGUCCUCUCGCUCUCUCUACCACGUGGAUGGAUGGAUACAUAUGAUACGAUCGUUGGCUGAUUGGCUCGUCCACACAAACACGAGUGACGACGGGGCCACGCUGAGUAAGCCAGCAAUGCCAAUGCAACCUCGAGUGUGCCAAUUCAUCCACCACGUCGAUUCGGUGCCAUGACACAGGGACCUCAGCUCGCCGUCACCUGGCCAACACUCGCCGUGCGCCGCUGGAACACCCUGCCCCAGCCACUUUCGGCCCGUCCGCGCGCGCGCAUCCAUGUGCCGAGCCACAAUUUUUCAACAUAAAAAGAGAGACCAAUAUCAAUUCUAACCACACAUGAUGAAAUAUAAGUGCACGAGUACGAUGUUAGCUUGGCAAGGGUGUAGAUAAUAGCAUAAUCAACAUUAUUUGUUUUUUCGACACAAGAGAAAAUUGAAAGUCUAAAAGAACAGUGACAAUUAUAGUGAAACGGAGAAAAGGUUAUUCAUCUGUAAGUCUUUAAUCUCUGUCCUAGUAAUUUAAUUUAUAGACAAAAAAGAAAUCAUUGUAUAUUGAUUGAUAGGGAUAAAGAGUAGAUGCCGGAAGACAAGAAGAUAAAAAUGAUAAUCUUAAAGCAUAUUUAUAACGGGUGCUUUGAAGAAGAGACAUUUUUCACUCUUGAAAACUCAUAUUAUUUGUAUAGAUAGGAUAUGUAAAUAUAGAUGUAGAUAUAAUAUAUAUAAAUAUUAGAUAUGAUAUGAUAUGAGAUAUAUUAUGGCAUUAUACCGCUGCAAGAAUAAGCCGCGAUAAGGCUAUAGUUUUAUAGAUAUAGAUAUGGGAUACAAUUUUAUUUUUUAGUUGUAUUUUUCUUUAUUUUUAUUAUUAUCCUUUGUUUGCAAAGAAAGAAAUGGAGAAGGAAAUAUGACUUUCUUCUUCUUCUUGCGCCACAAUCCACGCGCGGAACAACGGAACGCACCUACCCCCGAGACGAACUUCUCCCUCCAUGACACGUGGGCCGCGGUACUGUCCGGGCCUACACGUCAUCCGGACACCUGUCCCGGCCUACGCCUUCUGGAGAAAGGCGCAUUGGACAGGUCAUCGCCGCACCUCAUUCCACAAUUAUUUGCUCCCAUUGUUUAUUUUGUCCUCCCUGUAGUCGCAUUUCGCUUUCUCCUUUAAUAAUUAAUUCAUUAAUUAAUUAACAAAAGAUUUUUUUUUUCUCUCCUCAUUGCCUUCUCUGGGCUUUAUAAAAGGGCAACCGCUAAACCCCCCAUCUCAUCCCAUAUCAGCUUCUAGACGCUUCACUUAUCUCGAGCAUCUCCCGUCCCCGUCCUCGCUCCUGACUCGCCAUGGGUAAAUUCUUCGCUCCCGCCUGGGAUUUGUCCGUUUGAUUGCUGAUCCUUCUUGCUUCGUACUCAGAUCUGACCAAUUGGUUUUUCUGGCUGGAUCUCUGGAUGCAGGCAAGAUUAAGAUCGGAAUCAACGGUGAGUUUGUACCCCCCCUAAGCUAUGCUAUUGCUAUUUCUCCUGCUCGAGCUCGUUUGGUCUUGUUUGGUUGUGGUUUGGGCUGAUCUGAGAGCGCUCUCUCUGCAUCUGCGUUUGCUCAGGUUUCGGAAGGAUCGGCAGGCUCGUGGCCAGGGUCGCCCUCCAGAGCGAGGAUGUCGAGCUCGUCGCCGUCAACGACCCCUUCAUCACCACGGAUUACAUGGUAAUGCUUCUCGAUCUGUUGCUUUUGUUCCGUACACCUGGAAGUUUUAUGUUAUUUUAGGGUGGGUCAGCAUGCAUGCUCGAUUUGGUUAAUCAUAGCUUCCAGAGUUGUUUUACUUAGGCCUUGUUUAGUUCAAAAUUUUUUUUUGGAAAUCGACACUGUAGCAUUUUCGUUUGUAUUUGAUAAAUAUUGCCCGAUCAUGGACUACCUAGGCUUAAAAGAUUCGUCUCGUCAAUUCCGACCAAACUGUGCAAUUAGUUUUUAUUUUCGUCUAUAUUUAAUACUCUAUGCUUGUGGCUAAAGAUUCGAUGUGACGGGGAAUCUGAAAAAUUUUGCAAAAUUUGUUGGGAACUAAACAAGGCCUUAAGUUAUUUACUGGCUUUAUCAGUAUCUGUUGGUAUGAACAGCUUGAGGUGUCAGAUUUGGUGCUUACUUCAGUUUCUGAAUCCUGAAAUCUGUGUGCUGUGCUCAUGGUUUAUGUGCUCCCCUCUCAUCUUGCGUAGACCUACAUGUUCAAGUAUGACACCGUGCACGGCCACUGGAAGCACAGUGAAAUCACCCUCAAGGACUCCAAGACCCUUCUCUUCGGUGAGAAGCCAGUCACCGUCUUUGGCAUCAGGUACUCCCCUCGCCUGCUUCUUUCAGACAUGGAUUGAGUUUAUGUGCUCAAGUUGUUAGCUGAUGCUUGAACUGCUGCAAUUCUACAGGAACCCUGAGGAGAUCCCGUGGGGUGAGGCUGGUGCUGACUAUGUCGUGGAGUCCACUGGUGUCUUCACUGACAAGGACAAGGCUGCUGCACAUCUGAAGGUAUAAUUUCUGCUUCACGAGCCUUUACUUGUUUCAGAAUGUAUAUGCUGUUUCACUUGUUUGGGUAUCAUGUUCUCCCAGAUCGCAAAUAUGGAUUGUACAUGUGUGGUGCAUAAAUUUAGAGAUCCCACCAAGUAGUUGGGCUUAAUGUAUACAAGUUUGCACUAGUAGAUUCUUAUUAGUACUGCUGCAUGGAAGCUCAAGAGCUGCAAUCAGGCAGUGCUGUUUUUAGUAUAGCUGGUUACUUCCAGUUGAGUUGGUUGAUUGCUUCUGACAUGCUGUGAUAACCUGAGGUUUUGGAAUGUACUUCAGUUUCAUUGCUAUAAAAGUACUGUUAGUCUGUUACUGGACUUAGAUUGAAAUUAUUAGACUCGUAGUGCAGUGUCAUGACUAGGAUAACCCUUGUACCCUCUUUACUCUUAUCACUUUACUCUUGCUGUGUCAAACUACUGAGCUUGUAUUUUCCUCUGUUAAAUUGGAUGUUUCUAAUAGCUUUACUUUCCUUUUGAACAACAGGGUGGUGCCAAGAAGGUUGUUAUCUCUGCCCCAAGCAAAGAUGCACCCAUGUUUGUUGUUGGUGUCAAUGAGGACAAGUACACCUCGGACAUUAACAUUGUUUCCAAUGCUAGCUGCACCACGAACUGCCUUGCUCCCCUUGCUAAGGUGUGUUGUCCUUCUCUUAAGCUUUUUUAGUUGUUUCUGCUGUUCCAAUGUAGAAUCAUUUAUUAAUGAUGUCUAAUGUCAUAAACCAGGUCAUUCAUGACAACUUUGGUAUUAUUGAGGGCUUGAUGACAACUGUUCAUGCCAUCACUGGUGAGCUCUCUUUGGCUGUUGAGCAAUCUUCAUACUCCCUAGUCCUAGGAUUGGUACUUGUGGUUGGCUGUAAAAUGACAACAUGAUGCUUAUCUUUCAGCCACCCAGAAGACUGUUGAUGGACCCUCAGCCAAGGACUGGAGAGGUGGCAGGGCCGCCAGCUUCAACAUCAUUCCCAGCAGCACUGGUGCUGCCAAGGUAUAGGAUAAAACUCACAAUGUUGUAUGCAGUGAAAUCUGUAUCGGUUGUUUGCACAAACUAGUAAUCAGUUAUUUGUGCUCUAUUUUGUGUUCGCUUAGCUUUGUGAAUAACACAGUGCAGUCCCAUCUACGCAAUCAUUCAGUGUAAAUUCAUCUUUGAUGUUGAGAUUAAAAAAAAUACAAGUGUCACUGUCAGCACAUGUUGAACUGUUGCAACUGUUCUCAAACAUGACAACAUGAUAUUUUAGCUAUGCCCACACCUGGAGAUGCCAAAUCUACAAUAUUUCACCUCAUUUUGCUGCUUAUUGUAGUUCUUACAAAAUUGGUAGCUGUUCCGUUCUGAUGAUGAAUAUACUUGGAAUGCUUAUUUUCAAUGUCGAUGAAUUGCAGGCUGUUGGUAAGGUUCUUCCUGAUUUGAAUGGCAAGCUCACUGGUAUGUCCUUCCGGGUUCCCACAGUGGAUGUGUCAGUUGUUGACCUCACUGUCAGAAUCGAGAAGGGUGCCUCCUAUGAGGAUAUCAAGAAAGCUAUCAAGUAAGUGAUUAGUCCAUUUGUUUUUGUUUAGGGGAGUCCAUUUAUUUAUUUCUUAAUAUUCAGUCAGUGUGAGUGUAUCUGUUCUUUUUAGACUAAUGCCUAUGAAUGUCGCAACACUCCUUGUUGGAUUUAUUGCUACUAUCACAUUUGAUGCUCAAUGUUUAUGUUUCCUGCAUCUAUCUUGAUCUUGUUGUUUCUCCGUCCAUUUUGGUAAGGAUCGACAGCAACAUUGACUUAAUUUCUAUUGCUUUACAGGGCUGCUUCUGAGGGCCCACUCAAGGGUAUCAUGGGCUACGUGGAGGAGGAUUUGGUUUCCACCGACUUCGUUGGUGACAGCAGGUAUGCCUUUGCUUUGUAUCAUUUAGGAGCCAACAUAACAGGUUACUACGGUACACUGUUAUGUAGAAUUCUGAUGGUGUUCUCUGAUUCAUCUGUCGUUUGUGUAAUCUCCGUAUUCAUUUGUCAUUUUGCUGUUUCCACUUAGGUCGAGCAUCUUUGAUGCCAAGGCCGGGAUUGCCCUGAACGACAACUUCAUCAAGCUCGUCUCGUGGUACGACAACGAGUGGGGCUACAGCAACCGCGUCGUCGACCUGAUCCGCCACAUGUUCAAGACCCAGUAGAGAUUUUUCUGCUCCCCAUCGAUGGUCUUGGUCGCUGUCCAUCCUGCUGCUUGUCUAUGCUGAGAAUAAAUGUGAAUGGUGCCUUGUCUGGACGCUGGAUUCAUGCUGAGUUUGGGCAUGUUUUGUCUUCUGUUUCCUUUUCUGCUACCAUCCUGUAACGAAUUCGCUAAUAUGGGACCUGAGUUUAGUUUUUGCUUUGUGAAGAAUAUAAACAGUGGGGUUGCAGUUUUGCUGUGUUUAGCUGGUUUGGUUGCAUAGAUGAGCUGGUCCUUCGGAAAUAAUAGUUUUCGUUCUGUGUUGAGAAAUCUGGUCUUAUAUUUCCUAACUUGUUUUUUGGUACUUUUGGUGCUUCCUUUUGUGUGAUAAGCGAGCAUAUGUUGUAGUGGACCAGUGGUGCUCAUUUUGUUGCAGAUUCAGGCACUCAGCAAACGCUCCGAUUACACAGGCAAGUGUAGUGCUGUGGGCCGCUAGAGUCCGAAGGGCUACGGCCACGAGAGGGUAGCCAAAAGGAGAGGAGCCAAUGAAAGCUAUGGUGGCAAACGAUGCCGGGCACACAAUGGUCUUCUGGUGGUAGUUGGAAGAACGACGAUUGUGUUUGCAUUGUGGUUCUGAAUUCUGAAUCCCAUGCCCAGCCUGUGACCGGUUGGUUGCAGCAGGCCAGUGGUGCUCACUUUGUUGCAGAUUCAGGCACUCAGCCAACUCGUCGAUUAGAGCAAGGUUAAUAAUAUAGCUAGUUAUUGGCUAUAAAGUUUUUUUAAAAUCUUUUGCAGAUCACUCAUAUAGUGGUUAGCUUAUCACUAUUAAUACAUGACCUACUUAUCUCUCGCGUAAACUUUCUUGAUUUUUGUGUCUAAAUCGCCUGUAAACUUAACUUAUAGUCUGCUUUUACUCUCUCUUCUCUUCACUCUCCUCCAUCUUAGUAUUUAACUGACUUACACUCUUACACAAGUUUAGUGUUGUGGUCCUAGAUCGCCGAGUCCCACUCCCACGAGAGGGUAGGUAAAAGGAGAGGAGCCAAUGAAGCUAUGGUAGAUGAAUUCGCAUGGUUGAAGUGAAGGGUUGGCCGAUUAGGUUCACCGCUUGAUCCGCCGACCGCGCCAGUGUGUCACUGUCAGUCUCGGGGACCAGGUUGAACGCAAACGAGGCCACCAGCUAAGGCCGGCUAAGAUUUGUUUAGUUCCACCUAAAAACCAAAAACUUUUCAAAAUUCUCUAUCACAUCGAAUCUUGCGGCACAUAUAUGGAGCAUUAAAUAUAAAUAAAAACAAUAACUAUCUGCACAGUUUGUCUAUAAUUUACGAGAUGAAUUUUUUGAGCCUACUUAAUCCAUAAUUGGACAAUAAUUACCAAAUACAAAUGAAAGUGCUAUAGUAUCCAAAAUGUUUUUGCAAUUAGUUUGUCUUUGAGAUAGGAUCUCCCAAAAAGUCUGUAUUAUGGUUUUAAUGCUAAUAUAUUUGAGUACUUUUCAAACCAAAAAAAGUCCGAUGUGUUGGCGCAGAAUUGCAGAGCAAGCUGCUUCGUACAAUUCUACUUUUUUUUUUAUGCCACCAGCCACCGUGCAUUACAAUUCUACUUAUUCUCAUUGCAGACUGUAGAGGCAAGCCGGCUUUGUGCUUCUUCAUCAUGGGCUGACGGGCCAUGGCCCGUGCAAGAGGCCGUGGACCGAACCAGAGAUGACCCAGCAGCCAUGUGUAUGGAGUCAUGUAGCAAGCAUGGUACGGAAGCCUGGAAGCCCUAACUGAGGCCUUGUUUAAUUCGUGGAAACAAAAGCUUUUGAGUAACUAUAAUAUUUAGUGUCUAAUCAUAAAAUAAUUGCAUUUAAAAAGAUUUUUCUAGUAAAAUAUAUAAAAACUAUGUAAUUAGUUAUUUUUAAUUUAUAUUUAAUAUUUCAUGUAUAUGUCCAAAUGUUCAAUAUAAUAAGGUGAAAAUUUUUUAGGUGAAGAACUCAACAGUGCCUGACCUCCGAUCCAUUCGCGUCAUCGUCGAGACUCAAGAGCCAUAAAUUCGCAGUUGCAAGCAAGCUUGCAGCAACAAUUGUGUUCUUUUGUUCUAUACUUCCUCCAUAUCUACGAAGACAGUCGUUUUGGAUAAGGUUUAAGUUAAACAUUGAGAAUAUAAAAUCAUGAAUAACUUUUGAGUUUGAAAUUGUCAAAACUAUAUGAAUAGAUUUAUUUUAAAAAUACUUUUAUAAAAAUAUAUAUAUACCACAUUUUAAUAAAAAUUGUGUUCUUUAACUUCGUACCUAUUAAAAAGUCGUUUAGGACGGUGACAUGUCUUCAAAACCUAACUUUAACUCCUUGUUUUAUAUAGAAAUAUUUAUUAAAAUGAUGCGGAAUGCAUGCAUGCCUGCAUUGAUGCUACAAGAGUUUCCAGGAAACGGGAAGCGGCCGCGUUGACAGGGAGGUCGAUCGGGACUGUGUGGGGCCAUGCAUGCAUGCCUGCAUGGCCGGCCGUCGAGAUCGCGAUGACGACGGCGACUCGUGCCGUGCACUCCGGGGUCAACGAGUCAACGCAACGCCCGACGACCGGACCGGGAGGGGUCCAGGAUAGCUGCAAAGCCUGUACUACUAGUUUUGUGUGUACCUGUGUCGCCGUACGUCCAGGUUUCUUGACAUGAGGACAUAUACAGGUGUAGUAGCAGCUCCGCGGCCGCUGUGAUGCUGAUAUUGAUUUAUUAUAAGACAAGAACACUAUUCUGUCCUGAUGGUGAUCGGAUAAUUCCAUACUACGUACAGUAGACUUGCCAAGUCUUGGCUGGAAUCACUGAUGACAGCCGACGACAGGAGUAUGCUGUCCUCUUUGACUUCAAAUCAGAGGAGCCUCAUCGAUCGGUUCUUCAUUCUUGCCCACCACCACCAGACGCGAGGCGCGCGGACGUACAGGGCAGGCACGCCGAAAAUCAGAUAGAGGACCUCUCUCUCUCUAUUAUAUCCGUUGGGCGAACGAGAACGAUGGCUCUCCGGUGAUCCAUGUACUGGUGCCCACAGUAUAUACAGUACUAUCAUGACGAUAGAGUGAACAGUGACGGGGACAUGCAUGCAUGCCAUUAAUUCCACUGUGACGAGGACAUAGGCGUUGUUUAGUUCUCAAAAAAUUUCAAAAUUUCCCGUCACAUCGAAUCUUGUGGCACAUGCAUGAAGUAUUAAAUAUAGACAAAAAUAAAUACUGAUUACACAGUUUACCUGUAAUUCGCGAGCUGAAUCUUUUGAGUAUAGUUAGUUCAUGAUUGGACAAUAUUUGUCACAAACAAACAAAAAUGCUACAGUAGCCAAAACCAAAAAUUUCUCUCAACCGAACAAGGCCAUAAUAUAUACAUGCCGCGUGAGCGCCGUCCCAGUACCGUGCAAAGAAUGGAAAGCUCUUUCAGACCUGUUGACUUGAGAAUGAGACGCACCAGCAGCAGCAGCGCGAUCAGGAGCCUGUUUACUAGCAAUGUUUUUCUCUCACAACAAUUCAACGAACGUUACUUUCAAUCAUAACUUUUUAGCCAAAGGAACGGGUUAGUAUUAGCCUGCAGUUUCUGUGUUCCUAGCUACCUGCAGGAGCCACUCCGUGUCUGAAGAUCGGUGAUGACGACUGAUGAGGCAGAGUUUGAGCAGCAGGAUAUAUAUAUUACACUAUUUGAUUUUUCGGUCUGAACGAACUCUCUUGGCAAUUAGCAAGCGCAUCACGCAUUCUGAUCCUCCCUGCUUGGCGUUAAUGUGCCCUUCUCUGCUUCCAUGGAAUCGUCCUCUCAUCCUACAGGAUUCUUCCGAAAAAACUCCUAGGCAGGCGCAUAAAUGUUCUAGAUCGUAUAUAUGCUUUUUGGAAGAUGUUUUCUAGAAGAUCUUGCACCAUCCUCGUGGAUCACGGAUCUUACUAUUUACUAAUUAUAGGCCAAAUCAGAAGCACCAUGUUAAUUCUUACUAGACUUGCUAGAAAAAAAAAGUAAAUCAUAGAAAUUAAUUCAAUUCUUACAAUACUCAGAAACAUCUAGCCUUUAAUUUGAUAGACUCGAAUGAUCAUCGCCGAUAAUAGAUAUUGGAUCUAUUGUAAUCUAAAAAAAUAAAAAUACCAACUGAUGUGUUUGGCAACAAUGACGUGUAGUGAGCUCCAUCAUUAUGGGUUUAAGAGUUUAAUGGGAUUUGUCUCAAUCAAAGUGCAGAAGUUAGGAUGUAGCCUAGGUCACUUCCACGCCUUGCACAAAGUGCAGGAAUGAAAUCUCAUACCAUUCUACGUUUUUGUUGAAAUUUGAGCACCAUAAAUUCAAGAAAAAAUGAUUUCCUUUAACCGAAGUUUGGGACCAGAAUUGCUGAAAUCCGUAAAUUUUAGUAAUUUCGGUCGUGACCGGUAAAAAUAAUCGGAAUUUAAAGCUUUGGUUGAGCAUUCCCAAGAGUUUCUAAUAAAAUCUCUCAAUCUGGAAUUUUCGGUAAGAAUAGAAAAACCCAUCUCCAAGAGUACCUAAUCUCACAUCUCAAUCUUUUGACACUUGGAAAACAUCACCAAAAGUGCGGAUCUUAUUUAUUUCAUGGUUUAGAAAUGAAUUAUUUUAGAAAUAAAUUAUUAGAAACUGUUGGAGAUAAUCUUAUUUAUUUCUCUCAAUAUUUUCCUCUAUUUUCCUUUAAUAAACCGUGUGAUUACAAUUUUCAGAUCCAGUUUCGUCGUUUUGGUCAUUUUUUUAUUUGUAACAUACAAUGAAUUGUAGGAAUUAUUUGUCCUUUUCGAUUGUUGCUUGAAAAAUACCUAGCAUGCUUUUACACAAAUUAUUACCUUUUUUUUCUUUUGCGUUUUCUACCCCAUCCAAUCCACCAGCCGGGAAGUUGGUUGCAGCUGAAAAUCAAACUGGAAUACAAAAGGAGAUCUAAUCUUAUAAAAGUUCUGCGGAUUCGUUGACGUGUGCAGUGUCUUAUUUCGAUAUCGGAUAUGGAUCAACGUAAGUGAUCAUCCUCGAUCAGAGAGAGUCAGAGUCCGCGUUGGCGACAUCACCACUUGCCUUUACUAGUUCCUCCAAUCCAAAAACAAAGAUCACCCCUCUGUCUAAUUUACUUUCUCGGACCUACAACACAGUGCAUUGCUAAGAUAAAAUAAGAGAGAGGACAAUAGAUGCAUGUACUCGUUACUUAACUUUCUAAUCUAUUAAAAUCUAAUCCUAUUCGUAUGAUUAAAGGGUGCAAUAAUCUAAGUUCUUUUAUAGAAAAAUAUGGUAAGCACUGAGUUAUUUUUCUCUUCCGUAUCUUUAUUUAAGUAAAUAUUAUCUUCUUGUUCGUCGAAUGUACUUAUAUUUGGGGACACAUCUCAAAUGCUAGAAUGUACUCUAUUCUAUAACGGAGGGAGUAUAUUUUAGUAUCUAAUAAUCUCUUAUUUAAGCCCUGAAUAUCACUAGUCAACAGCACGCGAGGCAAGAUGCGCCUGCUUCAUGGCACUCCCGAUUAUUGGCCCAAAUCGUCAACUCUGGGUUGUCAGCACUCAUCAGCGACACCUAAUACUACAUUAAUACUUAAUACUCCAUAACAAGCUAAGGGAUGCCUUGUAUCCUCUGCAACUUGUGCAUUGCUCCAUGAUGCGUAAACAAACUCUGCAAGGAGUUGACCAGCAGAGUAAUUAACUGAUCUCAUAUAUAUAGCCUGCCUACUCAAUUGAGAACACGUGUGCAUAUUCCAAUUAUCAAAACUAAGGAGCAGCCGCUAGCUGCUGCCGUCACAAAACUAAUUGCCCUGAUUGAUGCUUGCUGGUGUGUGCGGCCUUCCAUUGCGGCUAAAGUUACGUACGGAUGACUAACUGAAUUGACAAUUGAUGACAGGGAGGUUUAAAGCAAGCAAUGCAAACAGCAACGACGACGACCGACAGUGUGAAGCGAAAUUAGGUCAAAGGACGGGGUGGGCGCGGUUAGCUGUUGUCUUGGCUAGAUGGCCCAGUUUCGUCUCGUGUGAUGCUGCUGUGCUGAGAAUUUAAUAUCACCGGUUAAUUAGAUCCUUUGUACACGACUCUUGGUUGUUGGUUUCUGAAACUUGAGCAUGUUUAUCUGUCGAUGCAGCAAAGCAGAUACAGCUGGAUGGAUGGAUAACCGACCUCUCAAUGCAACUAUAUAUACUAGUAUAUAUCUUUUGUGUCUUGUGCGAAUGCAAAUGCUUGUGUGCAACGACAGCGACGACACAUGAUGCUGCAAAGCAGGGAAAGGAUGCACAGCCUGCACUGCAUGGAUAUCUCAAAUCAUCAAAUUCAUAGUAACUCCUGAGCUACCUCCAGCAUCAAGCUGCCGACUGCAAAUACAAUUGCAUGCGACGAACUGCAGCCGUUUUAAUUUGGUCAAACGCUGAAAGCACUAGUCGGAAAUUCGCUACAUGCAUGUACGGCCGGUGGCCGGACAGCGAAACAAAUGCACGCAUUAUGCUGUGCUUCAUGAUGCACACACAUCAACUUGCAUUAUGAAACCAGUGGCGGAGCAAGGGGGCUGGCAGGGGCCAUGCCCCCCCCCCCUAACAUGUGUCAACAAACAUUUUUAUUAGUAUAAAUUUAUGAUUUUUAUUUAUAUUAAGAGAAAAAUAUAAUAAUUUUUGUUAUAUGUACUUAUAAGUAUCCUCUAGAUAGUAAAAUCGAACUCCCUCCAUUCUAAAUUAUAAGUCAUUCUAUAAAUUUUAGAGAGUCCAAACAUCCUAAAUUUGACCAAAUUUAUAUAAUAAGAUAGUAAUAUUUAUGAUAUCAACUAAGUAUCACUAGAUUCUUCGUUAACUAUAUUUUCGCAGUAUACAUAUUUGAUGACAUAAAUCUUUGUGAUUCUUUCUAUUUUGAUUCUCCAAAAUUCUUAGAAUGAUUUAUAAUUUGGGAUGGAGGGAAUACAAAACAUAAAGAAGCACCUUAGAAAAAUAGAGACGCGUCCAUCAAGCUGGUUUACAAAAUCAUCUCAAACAUCUUUCUGUUAAAGAUGUGUCGUUUAACACCGGAAGAAUAAACACAUUUGAUCCUGAAAUACAUAUAGAAAAUACGAGCACCUACGUCAAGUCGAUAAAUCAAGCUAGGCAGUCGUCGGUUAUGCUUAGUUUUGACAAGUUGGAUUUUUUUUUUUGCCCCCCCUAUAUGUAAUUCCUGGCUCCAUCACUGGAUGAAACGAAUAUCUUCUCUCUUUUUCGUUUCAUGCAAAAAGUACAUACCCUUUUUUUUGACCUUGUGAUUAUAAGGGAUUAAUCUGAUGCAACUUUAACAACAAGAAGUUGCUUUGGACGUAUGUAUGCGCAGAAUCUGCUAAUGAUCUACCAUGCAUACAUGCUAGGAGCACUACGUAGGCCAGUCUCAAUGGGAGUUUCAUGUGAGUUUCAUUUGCAUUAAAUAGAUUGCCACAUAGGCUGUUUUUAUGACAUGGCAGUAUAUUUAAUAAGAGAGAGAAGAAAUGGGUUUCAUCUAGAUGAAACUCUUUGGCACGAUUACCAACUCUCUAUGAGUCUUGGAAUUAAAUGUUUAUGAAACUAUGAGAUGAAACUCUCUAUUGAGAGUGAGUGUUUCAUUCAAGUUUCAUAUGACAUGGCAGUCUUGGAAAACAAUGUCAUAAAACUCUCCACUGAGACUCGCCGAAAACGCUCGAAAACGGAAUUACAAUAUAGAAAACGAAUGCGGUCGGUACGGAAUAUUUCUACAUUUUAGCAAUUAAAGGGUACAAAAAAUGAUUAAAAUAGUUGUGAAACCAACCAAAACUGACAAAUUUUUAUGUUUGACAAAAUUCGAAAAUGAUAUCAUAAUAUAGAAAACGAAAGCUGUCAGUGGUAAUAUUUCCGUUCCGUUUUCAUCUAGUGAUGCACAAGUACGAGGGAAUCCGCGUGCGGAAUUGGUCAGAGCCUAGAGCCAGGUUGCAUGCAAUGCAUCAAGACUUGGAGAGGUCAGCGAUUGUGUGCCACGCGCCGCGCGAUUCCGGCUACAUAUUUGGGACCAUUCAGAGUCAGUCAAGUUGCUGCCGGUGAAUGAAAGCGACCAAUUAUAAUCGUUUCCACUGGGCUUGACUACUAGUACAGUACUUGAGCACAAGUUGUUCUUUUUCAAUGAUGAUGAAAAAAAAUCGUGUUGGGCUGAAAAUACAGCGAAAUUUGUGAAACAGUGACGUGCUUGUGCAUCACUAUACGUAGUGCUCCUAGCACAUGGUACAUCAUUAGCAGAUUCUGCGCAUACAUCCGCGUACAAGCAACUUCUUGUUGUUAAAGUUGCAUCAGAUUAAUCCCUUAUAAUCACAAGGUCAAAAAAAGGUCUAUAUACCUAGGCCUUGUUCAGUUCCCAGAAAAUUUUGCAAAAUUUUUCACAUUCUCCGUCACAUCGAAUCUUUAGACGCAUGCAUGAAGUAUUAAAUAUAGACGAAAAUAAAAACUAAUUGCACAGUUUGGUCGGAAUUGACGAGACGAAUCUUUUGAGCCUAGUUAGUCCAUAAUUGGACAAUAUUUGUCAAAUACAAACGAAAAUGCUACAGUGUCCAUUUCCCAAAAUUUUUCGGAACUAAACAAGGCCCUACUGCAAUGAGGCAUCAGUAGAAUCGUCUGCAUGACUUUGGGUGUUCCAGCCGGAUUUGCUUUUGCUAAUUGUCGCCUUAUGAGCAACCAAAUCAAUGGACUGAGUGUGCGAAUGUAUACGAGUGUCUACAUCUGUCAGGUUUUUUGGAGAAGAAGUAUUUCAACAAGAAAUUGUGUAUUUUGCAUCAGUCGUCAUGAGGUGUACGAGCUAAUUAUUAGUUGCCUGGAGGCUGCAGCAUGAUUGAACGAUAGGGCCAAAUGACACGGGUUGACGUUAAUUUUGACAAGAAUGCCAAGAGGUUCACGGCGCAAUGGCAAAGACCAUUGGUUGGGGAGCUUCCACCCAGGGUUCAAAUCCUAGGUGCGGCACUUUAUUCUGGAUUUAUUUAUUCCAGGAUUUUCCGGCGCUAUGCAUUAAGUGGUAGGCGACGUGCCCGUCGACAGCGAAGCGCCUGUGGUGACUUCGAGAACUUCAAGAUUUGCUGGCUCAGUCCUUCGAAAGUGCUCAUAGGGGUAGGGUGAGUGUGCGUGCGUGUUGAGUGUCUGCGGACAAGAAUAGUCGUAAACGAUAGAAGAAAGCUGCCAGCUCAUUCGAUCAGAAGAUUUUGGCAUAGCUUUCUGCACGAAAUUUCCAAUGAAAUACAAUUGUACAUAUACAAUUGUUCAUGAAAUUUCCAAUGAAAUAUCACCUUUCUUUCUAUGAUCGACACAUGCCAUAUCCCAACAACUGCCCCUAUUUUUUUUUAGAUAUUCUCCCCUGAGCAUCUCCAAAGGUUUUGUAUUUAGACUUUGCAUUCUUGUAAUUUGCUAAAAAUCGUAAAAAGAGGUAACCAAUGGUUUUGCAUUUGGAGUUUGUAUUUUGGCCAACUCGGCAAAUGAGAGAACAAACUUGGCAUAUGUGCCAAGCCGCGCACGGCCUGGCAAAAGACCGAUCGUGCGCGUCUCCCAGUCCCCGCGCGACCCGGACUUUCUUCGCGCCAUAUAUGGUCCAUCGAUCGUGAAAGAAACCCCCCGCUGUCCACUGCCGAUCGCGAGCAAUACCAUCGCCAUCGUCCGCUGUAGAACCCUUAGAGAUAGCUUAUUUUUAGACUUUGCAUUUUGUUUUGGGAGUUUAUAAACAACAAUAAAUGCCAACUUAAUUAUACAAAACCCUUGGAAUGCCAAUAAUGCUCCUAAUAAUAUACUACCACUGGUCUAUACUAGUACGUUAGGACACAUGAAAAGUCGUCCAGAAAAUAAGUACUUUUAAGGAACCACACUUUUUUAAAAAGGAUGAUCGUCCUACUUAUAUGGAUGUGAUCCUGUUUGUAAGCAUCUACGUUUGAAAUUGAGUCUCGUAAAAAAUUAGACAGACGGCAUUCUUAAUUUGUUAUACGGAGUAUCAUUUAUAUAUAUGCACUAUCAAGCAGCUGGUAUAUGCAUGUAUCCAUUCAUUCGGUGAUCUGAGUUGUGAUCGGAAGUGGUCCAAAGUCUAGUCAUUAAAAAACAAUCAAUCUCUUUCUGGUUGUAGGAUAGGUUGAUCAUUGAUGCCAAAAUGUAACUUGACCUGGUCAGAAAUUCAAAUCACAAAUCUUAAAGCCAAUGCAACAAAGUAAUUGAUUAAGAAUUUAAUUCAUUAUUAUGUAUUUUCAUCUUGGAUCUUCUUUUUGAGGGAACUGGAGGGGUUUACACCCCUACAGAGAAACUUAAAAUUAAUUAAAAAAGGUCUUAUACAAGGUUAAAGAGAGAAAGAAGCAGAACAUAAAGGGGUCAAUUAAAAGCCCAAAAGGAAAUAAAAAAGAGAAGUAACAAUACUACACAGAGGAGAGCUAACAAAGAUUUGCUAUCCAUAAAUCUAAAUUUGGAGAAUAGCUGUUCUUCACCCGAAGAAGUAACAAACGGGCUUCAUCUAGAAAGUUUUACUUUGCCAGUGGAAGGGACGGGGCCACCUGAUGAAAGAUUAAGUCGUCCCUUGCUUUCCAAAUCGUCCAACACAUAAUGAUAAUAAUUUUCAUGGAGAAUGGAACCUGCAACUGAGUUCUGAAACUCUCAAACGGGUCCAGAGAAUGAUCCACCUGAAUGUUGAUAAGUGACCAACAUUGAUCAGCAAAUGGGCACCUUGUAUGGGCGUAGCCCUACACAUGCCCUCGCGAACGUAAUUUAGUAUAUCUAGUAGUGUAUAAAAUAAUCACAAGACUAAUCAAAUUUACAUUUCAAAAUGUUGUACCUAGACUUGAAAUAUUCCACAAGGAAACAAUGAUUUAGCCUAGUUUUGUAGACCAGCCACAAAUUAAAAAAACACGUAUUAAUAUUCUUGAGUUGAGGAAGUAGUACUAUACACUGAUGAUUAACACGUUGCUAUAGAAUCCUAGCUAGCUGGUGUCAGCAGAUGAAACUUAAUAAAAAAAAAUCCCCUGUUCUGUCAUCAGCAUUAGUAUAUUACCAAUGUGAAGGAAAAUGGGAAAUAAUUUCCAACAAGUUUCAUCAUCGACGUGCUGAACAUGUAGCCAUGUUAGUAAAUAUACCAUGAUUAGCCCCAUGUUUCAGUGACAUCACCUUUAGCGAAUAAUGCCAAGCAGUGCGCCAAAAAACCCAAAAAGGAUUCUCAGUCAAAAAAAAAAAAGAGAGGAGGGUUCCAAAUAUUCCUUUUACACGGGAUGCGGGACGCCAAAGAGAUUCUCCUACUCACCUUUUGCAGUUCAGCUCUGGUAGUUGAUUGUCAUGGAUCAAUGGAUGGAAUCAGACGAGCCAGCAAGGGCUCCACCAUCAGAGGAAUCUCGGCCUAUUAUAGCCUGGCCCUGGCCUCUUUUCUUUUCUGCAUGAGCAUGGAAAUAUGGAAUGGAUGCAGACAGGCACAAUGGCCAAAAGCUACACCAUCAUCUACUAAACAUUCAACCCAAUAAAAAGAUAGACAGAUGACCGGCAUGAUGCAUUCCCAUGGCCUUGGAGGUUCUGUUUGCCACUACUGAUCAAAUAGAUCAGGUGAUCAUCUCAAUCAAGCAACUCCAAGUCUCCAACGACUCACCAAAAAGCAGAGAAUGACCAAAACACCAGGGUUCGAUCUGAGGUUCACACUGAACAUAAUAUAUAGUAAGGUUUAAAGACUGUUUGGCUCUCCAAGAUGCAUGCAUGCACCAGUCAGAGUUUGUAAAAAUAAGCUAAAAAUAGUUUAAACAUGCAUGUUUGCUUAUAAAACAAUCAACAAAUAAAAUUUUGCAUCCAAUAUAUAAAGUUGUUGGAGCUCAAGCAAGCUGUGCUAAGUGCCAAGCUGGCCUAGGGUAUUCUGUUAACAAAGGUCCCUCCGACACUUGCAACUGCUAUAAUAUCGUUGCCGCUCGUGAUAAAAUUCAUGGGUUCCAAACAGGAUCAUAAUUGAAGUUCACUGUAGGAAGAUUCCUCCCAUCGUAUGUUGAACUAGCUAUCCAUUUGGAAAUGGAAGCUGUAUUACAGAGUUAUUGUAGUAGAGGAUUAAGUGAACAUGCCACCCCUGUUGUCUACAGUCUACUAAUGAUAGUGCAUCUUUUGGCAUUUCAGUGAUAGCAUGCUGGCAAAAGGACACAUAUAUAUAGACUAUAGUGUUGAAAUGGUAAUGGGACUAUAUAGCUAUCAGAUAAGGAUGUGGUUUGCAUUGUUCUUUCAUUAUGUUCACAUCUAAUACUAGUGCUAUACAGAGAUGAUGAGGCAGAGCACUGUGGCAGCUAUGCCCAAUAAGUAAAUAAAUAUAUACUAUAUGGAGACAGAGUUGCUCACAUUUUUUUACAAUAAGUAAAUAUAUACCCAGUAUGUAGAAAAUAUAUACCCAGUAUGUAGUUGCUUGGAACCUUCAAUAAGGACAACUACUACCUUGUUUUUUUUUCUUUUGAAGGAAAGACAAUGACUGAUUUCACUAUUAAUUAGUACUCCUACGUGUUACGUACUUACCUUUCACAAUGCACGUCAGAACUUAGCAAAUAUUAAUCCACAAAAAAAAUGAGUAUAGUUGAAUUUGCGCGAGAACUAAAAAAAAGAUGAAGUAAUAAUAGCUAUGAAAGACUCGGUCGUGUAAUUUCGCCGUAAUUGAUGAUUAAGAAAAGGCAGGAAGAUUCCGUCGUACAAUCUCACCGCUAAUUCCCCAUCAAUUAACAUCAGAGCCAAUUCUUUACACAUUUGGGUGUCGUCAGGCACGGAUUAAUCAUGUUACAUUUGCCAUCCCAUCAGCGACAGAUCGUAUCCAUGUUUGUACCCACGCCACGACUGACCUGAGCACAAAUCUAUCUGUCUAAUAUGUUGUUCUGUUUAUAACUCAAGAAAUGCUUAAAGUCCUUCAUGGCGGGGCUUCUCGAGGGUCCUUAAGAGUAUCUCCAUCAUUUUUAAAAAAAAAUCAGCAUCUCUAUUCGAUUGAGCAAAUGCAAAACAUAAGCUCCCUAGAUCUCUUUUGUAAAUUAUCUCAACAUCAUCCCUUCGCUUGGAGUUUCCUUAGAGUUUCAUGCAUAUUAAAUAUAUUGAUGUGGUGCCGUAUUAACGAAGAGGGAGAUGAUAAGAGUUUUAUUGGAAUAGAGAGAGUUUCAUCUCUAUAAAACUCCUAUGUACUAUUUCUAAAAUAUGGAUGCGUUGGAAACUGUCUCAUGAAACUCCUAUUGAGGAUAAUCUUAUACCACAUUGAAUGUGAGUAGGCAUACCCUUGGUUUCGAUUCUAGGUUUGUCACUGCUUGUGGGUGCGGGUGUGAUUAUACCAUCUCUAACGGCCUGUUUGGUUCCACGAUAACCCAUCGCGCGAUUGUGGCUCGAACGUUGCCUUCGCGAUUUCCAAGCGUGCAGUUCAUUUUCCCGUAUUUUGAUGUCGUGCUACGACGGUCGUCCAACACGGGGCCAACACAAACCGUUCGGCGAGUUUUGUUUCUCGUCCUCUACUGGGCAUUUUGCCGAGUGUUUGCCUGUGUGGUUAUCUAUACUACAAAGCGUUGUACAUGUUUUGUUUUAAGAUCUGAAUCUACAUGUUUUGUUUUAAGAUCUGAAUCUAUUCACAGCUUAGGUAUAAUUUAGAUGAUUUUUUGAAUAUUUGUUUAAUUCAGCGUACCUGUAAGGUAUUCAUGUAUCCAGCUAUUAUCUAAUAUAAUUUUUCUUUCAAGAAAAACAUCGCCGACGUGGAACCAACAGGCCCAUUGACUUUUUUUUAGCCUUUUGGGUGUAGCUGGUUAAGAAAAAUACCACUGUCAGACAGAUCUAAGAAAACCCAAGAAGCUACGGAUGAUCCAACAGCCUCCGAAUGUACGCACCCUAAAUUCUCCAUAAAUAAACUUCAGCACCAAUUCCUCACAGCUUUUGCUGCAGUAUUUGGUGUCGUCAGGCCCGGACUAAUAUAAUUCUGCCCGCCUUUUUUUAUCUGAUGAAAUCGACUAAAUCCUGUCCUUAGUUAUAUGCAUGACUGUCCGGGCAGCUGGCCUGGGGACAAAUCCAUCUGUCCAAUGCGCGCUUUGUUUAUACAGCACUACAUUUUUUUUAGAACAAGACCACAACGUAUUUCACGCAUAUACAGUACUACUUACAAACAAAGAAAAACAAAAACAAAUCAGCACUACUUCAACAAUACUUUUCAAUGAACGAAUAUUGUUUUACUCUCAUAAUAAAUCGACAUAAACUGCAGUAAAAGGAACAGACUGUCGUCCAUGCCUCAGUUCUCUCCAUCGAAGUGGCCGGCUAGGCAUCAGUGGAGGACUGAGCCCUCCACGCGACAAGCUUGGCGCUGGCGGGUGUAGAGGGGUACGUCGCUCUCGGAGCUCUCUGGAUUCUACUUCGAUCCGUGGAGAAAAACAACGGAUGCAUGAAGAUAGUGUAACAGGUUGUUGUUAUUGUUGUUGUUUUUGCAGCUCUAGCUAGCUCUUAUUCGAGUACUAGCUUGCUAGAGCUGUUCUUUUUUUUAGAGCUGCGAUGUUUUCAGUGCUACAACUCAUGCAUGAGUGCAUGGCUCUCUAUAAUUGCGUGAUGCUUUUAAAUUUUUAUGGAGGGUCGUCAGUACAAAUCGUCGUAACGUCCGGUCACAUAUAAAGAACGUUCUUUUUUAGGAAAAACAUGGCACACGUACGUCGUUUCUGACAAAACAUAACGGAUAAAAGAUCAUAUGGGUUACUACUGAUGCUUCUUGUCUUAAAAAAACACAAUUUUAGAACAAUGUUUACUGUUUAGCCAAUCUUUUAUAGAUUUAGAUCAAAUUUAAGGGGUGUUUAGUUGGAGGUGUUAAAGUUUAACAGACACUGUAAUAUUUUGUUUUAUUUGACAAUUAAUAUCUAAUUAUAGACUAAUUAGGAUUAACAGAUUCGUCUCAAAAAUUCUUCUCUAAUUGUGUUUUUAUUUUUGUAAAUAGUCUAUAUUUAGUACUCCAUGCAUCUGUCUAAAUAUUCGAUGUGAUAGAUGUUAAAAAAAUUAGGACCAACCAGACAGGGUCUUAUAUAAAAGUAUACUAAUAUUCAACAUUUUAACAUUUACCAUUAAAUUAAUUAUAAUUGUUGAUAUUACCAUCUUUAUAAAUUUAACUAAAAUUGAGACAGUUUAGUUUUGGAUCAAACUUAAAAUUAUACUUUUUGUGAGACGGAGGAACUAUAAAUGACCAUGUAGCCUGAAACACGACAGCAAAACACAGAGCCCGUUUUUUAGCCCGACACGAGCAUGACCUGACACGGUGAUGGCGGGCCCAGGUUAGCCCACCCCACAACUGCAGAUCAUGCCUAGACCGCACCCCAGGCCUGUGGGCGGGCACAACACGGCUCGGCCUUUUAGGGUGGCCCGACAGCGGCUCGGCGUAUCCUCCUCCCCCAUUAGGCCACCACAGCGACACAACCCAACGGCUAGCUAGCCCAGCCCAACCGCUACCUCUCCACUCUGUACUGGUUGUGAACUUUUGAGCAAUAUUUUACAAUUAUAAAUGUUGUUCUGCACUUUUCUCUCUCUCUAGGAUUUCUAACAAGAGUGAGUUUUACUUAGAAAGGGUUUUAAUGAGACAGUAUUGCACAUAACUCAUUUAUCUUAAUUCUGUGUCUUUCAUCUGUUGUUUUGGUUGAUGUUGAUAACGUGAUGGAUUUGAUGAUUAGGUUGACCUUAUAUUUCGAUAAUUUGGUUAAUGAAUAAAUAUGAUGCAUGAAAGUAUGAAAGUGUCAUAUAGUUAUAGUGUCAUAUGUCUUCUACUUGUCUAUGAAACUGCUAUUUUUGACAAGUGUUGCUUGAGAUGAACAUUUUGAGCUGUUUUCUUAUGGACAAGCUGCGGGCUGGCACGACACGUAGUUUUGACUGUGUUUAGUGGGUCGGCACAUCACGUAUUUAGGCCCAUAGGCCUAUACUUGGGCGGAAGGCUAGGCACGAAGCACAAUGUGCCACGGUCCGAGAGACAUGGUGUGUCGUGCUGUCCUAACACCUUGCGGAGCGUACCUAGUCCGUGCUCAUGCUGUGCCGAAUCGGGCCAACCUGAUGGCCAAAUAUAGGAGGAACCGAGGAAGUAUUAGGGAAGAGAAUUGAGCUGACAUGAAACAUCACAUAUGUUUUUCCGUGGCCAUAGUGCCAUGUACCCAACGCCAUGCGCUUUGAGAUAGCCCGUUCGUUUGUCUUAUAAGCGGUACUUUUUCCGUCAGCCAACAAUAUUUUUCUUUCACAAUAAAUCAGCGAAUAAUAUUUUUCGUCAUGGUUUAUCAGACAAGCGAUCUAUAUUUUAAAUCUAUAUAAGUGCUUUUGUCGACGAAAGCUAGUCGGCAGUCUACCUUGGGGUAUACCCACGGUAGUAGUUUAUCGGUAGACGGUGCGCAAACUACGAACUCGAUGGUGACGCAAGACACGGACAAGCUUUUUAUCCAGGUUCGGCCGCCGAGUUGGCGUAAUACCUACGUCCUGCGUCUGGUCGUAUUGAUUUGUGUUGAGAGAAUAUGAUAUGAUGUGUCCUCUAGGGGACCCCUGCCCCUCCUUAUAUAUCCUGAAGGGACAGAGUUACAAGCAAAGUAUCCUAUUUGGUACAAAAUCUUGUAGCCUUGCGGUGCACGCCGACCAGUCGUGCGCCGCACGUCUUCAUCUUGUGGGCCGAGCCACCUCUGAUGGUGCGGCCCAUAUAGGCCCAUGAGGGUAUAGGGGUUUAUACCCCCACAGCUAGUCCCCGAGCACCAUGUAUUAUGAUGUAACACGCCGUCUUGAGCUUCUUCGAUCAGUGAGGCUUGACGUCUUCAAUAAGCAGGAAAGUCGCCCAAACAGUUGCAACGGUAUUUUGACCAACUCAAAAGACAGUUGAUCAACAUUGACAUCGAAGAAGCAGGUUGUUCGAAGAAUGCAUGGUGCUCUAAAAAAGAUUUUUUCCUGGUGAAGUGUGCCCACUUUACUUUUCUAAAAAGUAUAGACCUCAAAAAAGCAAGCAUAUUCACCGCAAGGUGAAGUGUGCCCACUUAGUCCCCGAGCCUGGUAGUAGGUGACGUAGGCACGUGGUGCCAGGGUCAAAAGAAAAGUCCUCAAAGAAAUUCUGAAACUGAGAUGCAUCGCCAGAUGCAUCGUACCGAUGUAGUCCCCGAGCUUGCUGGAAGGCGAAGUAUGAGCCUUGUAGCAAGGUCUAAAAAAUUGAAUUUACCAGUCCCCGAGCAUAUCAUGCUCGUCUGCAAUUGAAUAGACUAAUCGACCAGUCUCCGAGCAUAUAACGCUCGGUGGUCGGUACAGUCCCCGAAUUCUCAAAUUGGUGGGCUGGUCGACCAGUCCCCGAGCGUAUAGUGCUCGGUGGUCGGUGCAGUCCCCAAGUUCUUAAAUUGGUGAGCUGGUCAUUAGUCCCCGAGCGUAUAGUGCUCGGUGGUCGGCACAGUCCCCGAGCACGGCGUAGGGACCGGUGGACAAGUCCCCGAGCGUGGUUGGGAACGUAAACGUGCUCGGUGGUCGGCACAGUCUUCGAGCACAGCAUAGAGAGUAGUCGACAAGUCCCCGAGCGUGGUUGGGAACGUAAACGUGCUCGGUGGUCGGAGCAGUCCCCGGGCACAGCGUAGGGAAUAGUCGACGAGUCCCCGAGCGUAGCUUGUCGACUGGGCCAAACCCCUGAAAAAUAAAUAUAAAGAAUAGGUAGUACAUGAUGUAUAAAUAAACUUUAGAUAAAAAUCAGUACUGAGAUAAGUUUUAGAUUUUUUGUUAUAAAAUUAGCACAAGUAGUUAAUUCAUCCUAGAGCUUGUACCAGCUCUGGUCUAGCCAACAAUCAGCAUGAGGUGCGGAACCUAGACACGCGUGGGAUUGCCAGCCUCGCCAGGGAGCUACUGCCGACCACCCGGAACGCAGAGGGCGGAUCUCGUGCACGUGUAGGGAGGAGUCGGAGACAGUACCGGCUCUGGAAAGCUCGUGUAGGAGAAAAAACUAGUGUGGCUAAACAAAAAGUUGUUUUUGAAGGAUAAUAAAAAAUAUUAUGCCAAAAAUAAAUAAGAUAUUAGAAGUGUACUUAUCUUUGGAUGAAAGUCUAGUCGGUGACGACAAAAUUGUCCGGCCCUCGAGCUUUUCGACUUGUCAUGACGGUGGUCGCUGUUGUCGGAGCGUCGUUCUUCGCGGCGAUUAUUAUUGCGACUGGUGGUCAGAGCAAGUAGGCUAAACAAUUUGGUCGAUGGCCCGAGCAGGUCGGUGUUGUCGAUCUGCCUCUCUUUGUAGCAGGGAAGCGGGUGACGCGUUGUCGGCGUGGUCGAAGACGUUGCUGGAGUAGUCGGAGUCGUAGCCAGCGUGGUUGAAGCCGCCGCCGACGUCGAUGAAGAAGUGGUUGGCGCAGAUCGGAUCUACACCUCCUCUGUGGUCAUGGCGGUGAAGUUGUUGAAGCUGACGGUGAAAGUGAAGUCGCCCGCCAUGGCCGCGAAGUCGGGGAUGAUGGCCAUCUUGUUCGUCGGGAGAGCUGUACGCACACCCCCUACCUGGCGCGCCACUGUCGACGAAAGCUAGUCGGCAGUCUACCUUGGGGUAUACCCACGGUAGUAGUUUAUCGGUAGACGGUGCGCAAACUACGAACUCGAUGGUGACGCAAGACACGGACAAGCUUUUUAUCCAGGUUCGGCCGCCGAGUUGGCGUAAUACCUACGUCCUGCGUCUGGUCGUAUUGAUUUGUGUUGAGAGAAUAUGAUAUGAUGUGUCCUCUAGGGGACCCCUGCCCCUCCUUAUAUAUCCUGAAGGGACAGAGUUACAAGCAAAGUAUCUUAUUUGGUACAAAAUCUUGUAGCCUUGCGGUGCACGCCGACCAGUCGUGCGCCGCACGUCUUCAUCUUGUGGGCCGAGCCACCUCUGAUGGUGCGGUCCAUAUAGACCCAUGAGGGUAUAGGGGUUUAUACCCGCACAGCUUUCAAGUUUCAAAUGAUGUGAAUAGGAAUUUGCUUCACAUUCAAGCGGCUUUGCCUCCCUGGCUCGCUGCCGACUAGGCCUCGUUCGCUUUCUUUAUAAUAGGCUAUUCCAGGUCGAAAUUAUUCUUUGUACAGGGACCUGCCGUCUAAAUUUGAGAUGUUUUCUUUUUCUUUUUAGCCUUUAAGGCCUUGUUUAGUUCCGAAAAAAUUUCGGAUUUCGGCACUGUAGCAUUUUCGUUUUUAUUUAACAAAUAUUAUCCAAUCGUAUACUAACUAGACUCAAAAGAUUUAUCUCGUGAUUUACAGGCAAACUGUGUAAUUAGUUUUUAUUUUUAUCUAUAUCUAGUGCUUCAUGCAUAUGUUCCAAGAUUUGAUGUGACAGAAAAUCUUGAAAAGUUUUUAGUUUUCGGGGUGAACUAAACAAAGGCCUAAAUAGUUCAGGGUCUGAGUCGGAGGUCUGCUCGAGUUCAACUGACAAAGUCAAACCGGAUGGACAAGCAGCAAUGUUGGUGUGAAUAUAUGCAAGCUAGGGAUUGGAUUAGCCCAAAUAGUUUAGUUUUCCAUCCAUGAAUUUCGGCGCUCAUUUCUCUACAAAAAUAUUCUCCACAGUAUCAUCAUAUAUAUUCAUAUAGAAGCAUGCCCCGUUUCUCCGUCUGGUGAGCUGGCCACACUAACUCCUUCCCAAUCGGUUGACUCGCCGAACUGAGGCCCAUCUACACCAUCCAUUCCUGAUCGGACGGUCAUCACUGCAGAACAUAGCCCCCAAUCCCCCCACACCCCCCCUCUUGCUGCAUGCGCUGGAGUCAAUGGUCAACGCGCCGGGCACUCGAGCGAGCUCGCUCCUGCUCCUGCGCCUCCUCUAUAAAGCGGCCGGCGCGCCGGCCGGCCUCUUCGUCUCCCUCUCCCUUCCCCUGCCUGUCUGCACCUCCUCUCCUCUGCUUUCCCACCAGCCAAACCCUCUCUGUCUGUCAUCCUCCAUUGUCGACGCCGCCGAGGAAGCACCACCCCUGACGGACGGCCAUGGGGACGCAAGCGCCGGAGAAUUACCCCCCUGAAAAGGUACCGUCGUCUUCCUCCCUGGCUCCCUCUGUCUCUCUCAACCACGCAAACAUGUCGUCCGUGUUCUAAGUGCUCUCCCAUCCAUGAUCCAUCUUGGGUCUUGCUUCGCCGGCCAUGGCCAUGGCGAGCAUCUGCUCAGCCAUCUACCUACUCGCCGACCGGCUUGGUUUAGCAACACCGGCCUGGCGUUCUUGGAAGCCUCUGCAGUUGCAUCCACACGCCAUUUUUUUCUGAAAAAGCAGAGAACCCCAACAAAAAAAGAUUCAAACUUUUAGAGUCCUGGGGUUUGUCUUAGUUUCGAAAAGCCAAGAAAAAAAAAAGAAUCAUCCUGAGCUGUCGAGUUCUGAAGGAGCAUGGCGGAGUUGCGGGUCCGGCCGGGACACUGGUGAGAUUAGAUUCAGAUUCAGAUACCUUCGCGGCAGAGCAACUUCACGGGAGGAGGAGGAGGGGGGGCAAAAAGCGAUUUUUUGGACGCCUUUCGCGUGGCGGAUUCCUCCGGCUCGCCGGCAUCGGCAAAAAGUGAAGGCCACCCACUCAUCUCCUAGCUAGCUAGUGCGUAGCAUCGUCUGCCCAUGCCGGCCGGCCCUGUUCGGCUGUUCAUCUGAUACAUGUGAAAAUGGCCUCCCCUGUUCAUCCUCUUUUUGUUUCCUUUUUAUUUUAUUAGUGUUUUCUAGAAAGGGGUUAGGAUGGAGUAUAUACUCUGUAUUAAAUACCUGAUUCUCAGGAUCGGCGUGAAUUCUGAUGCUUUGCCUUAAUUGCAGAAUUUCAUAGUAGCUGUUACCUGUAUUCUUGAUGACCUGUAUUAUUAUCAAUUAAUUCCCUUGGUAUUCAUCCUUUUGCUAUAACCUGCGGUGUAUUUUUUUUAUUUCCGAGCUAUAGUAUUUACUCAUUUUUUUCUAGUUUGUUGUAGGAGUACUUUCUUAACUUUUCGCCAAAAAAAUCAUUUUUAACUUAUAUACAAAUUAAACAAUAGAGUUUGAGUCUGUCCUUGGGCUGUCCUUACCACAGGCUCCACACGCUUGCCUCCAUCGCUUGACAAUGAAGUCCCCCUGCCUCUAUGCAACUUCCAUAGACUUAUAUAGCCCCCCCCCCCCCCCCCCCCUCUGUACAUUUCACUGUCACGUCCAAGCUGGGCAAAUAUCGCUGUCACUUUGAAAUUCACAGCCGAACCUCUUGUCCUCUCUAGCUUGUUUGUAGGGUUGAUGCUCCUUAGUACCUUGUCACACAUGGAGUCCCUUUCUCUUGACGUCCCUUUGGGAUGUAGGAUUUUUUUUUUGAGAAACCGCGUUCAAUAGGAUAGUACGGGACGAUGUUUCCGUACCAUUCUUCUAAAGCCCUAAGGCCAUCCUUAAUGGCAGUUUCAUAACCUAAGUUUCCAACGCAUUCAUAUUUUAAAAACAACGUAGAAAAGUUUUAUCCUCAUAAAACUCUCUCUACUCUCAUAAAAUUCUUAUCGUCUUUCUCUUCAUUAAUAUAUCAGUAAUAUAUUGCUACAUGAGCAUAUAUAAUAUCUAUGAAACUCUGAUAACACCACUGAAAGUGGCCUAACGGGCCAAUGGUGGAACAAUAGGAGGAACGAAUCGUUAAGCUUUUGGUUUCAUUGGAAUCAUCGCCGGUUUCGCCAGCUGCCGCCACGAAAGAUGAUUGCGAUUAGCGAGGGGGUCAGGCAUGAUUAAUUAUUCAUCUGAUGACCCUAACACAGUGUGUCAUGUACGUAAUCCCAAUUAGAUUACAUGAUCAUCACAGGCUCCAAGAACAAGAGGUUGAAUAUUGGGUUAGGAGUAGGUUUAGGUCACAACUUGUUAAUCUUGUCAGCCUGGCUUUGCGUCUUCUUUAGCAGAGAUUUGCCAGAUUUUUUUUAAUAUGUGAAACUACUACCUAACAUGCUUGCCAUGAAAAAAAGAAAGAAUAAAAAAUCUUGUCUUGAGGUGGCCUUGAUAAGGAUCAUGCACUUGACUUUGGCAACUGGGCCAUGUGACUAGUCAACUGCUGAGCAGAAAACAAAUCGGCAGUAUAGUAGGUGAUCUCACUGAACACUCAAAUUUCAAAAGAGUGCACUUUAAUUGAGUUGAAAACUUCCGCUGUUGAUCUGUCGCUUAGUCGGCCGUUGUGGACUUAUGGGGCACAUUCGACAUGUCAUUCGCCUACAACUUCAUCUUUAAAGAAGUACUGGUAUUUAUCACUGUUCUGCAAAAUGUCGUAAAUCAUUUAAAUAUGUCCAGCUCAUGCUCAUUCAUAUAUCAUAUCAAGAAAAAAUAAAAAAAUAUCUCUAUUUUUUUGAAGGUCUAAUAUCUCUCUAUUUGCAAUACCAUACUACCAUCUAGUACUUCUUUAUCACCUGCUUGUGUGUGAGCAACCAAGAUCUGCAGAUUGUGUGACCUUCAAUGGCCGUGCCAGCUAACAGCAACAAUGACAAAAACUUGCAGGAUGCAAGGACUGCACGGGAGAAGGCCAUCGACGAUUGGCUCCCAAUUACCUCUUCGAGGAAUGCCAAGUGGUGGUACUCUGCUUUCCACAAUGUCACUGCCAUGGUUGGUGCUGGCGUGCUCAGCCUUCCCUACGCCAUGUCUGAGCUCGGCUGGUACGUAUUGUGCCCCAUCUUGCAGCCACAUGGCGAUUACAGUCAAUUACAUGCCGAUCAGUUAUUCAGCUUACUUUAGCUCAUCUUGUGUACUACUGCUGCAUUUUAUCAAAAAAAAAUGACUUCUUUGAAUACUCAAUUUGUCAAUUUGCAGGGGUCCUGGCAUUGCAGUGCUGAUUGUGUCAUGGAUCAUCACGCUCUAUACGCUGUGGCAGAUGGUUGAGAUGCACGAGAUGGUACCAGGCAAGCGGUUCGACAGGUACCACGAGCUUGGUCAGCAUGCCUUUGGCGAGAAGCUGGGCCUGUGGAUCGUCGUGCCUCAGCAGCUUGUUGUCGAGGUCGGCGUCAACAUCGUCUACAUGGUCACCGGCGGCAAGUCUCUGAAGAAGUUCCACGACGUCCUGGUCUGUGAUGACUCGGGGUGCGACAGCAAGCACAACAUCAAGACCACCUACUUCAUCAUGAUCUUUGCCUCUGUCCACUUUGUGCUCUCUCAGCUUCCAAACUUCAACUCCAUCUCUGGUGUUUCCCUUGCCGCCGCCGUCAUGUCACUUAGGUACUACUUGACUCCAUAUAUAUCUCCUUGCCUUAGGCCCUUAGCAAUAACAUUGCACUGUAGUUCAGGGGAAAAGAUUGAUCACUAACAUGGACAAACAUUGCAGUUACUCCACAAUCGCUUGGGGCGCAUCAGUGGACAAGGGUAAGCUUCCGGAUGUGGACUACCACCUGCGUGCGACAACAACGCCGGGGAAGGUUUUCGGUUUCUUUGGUGCAUUGGGCGAUGUGGCCUUCGCGUAUGCAGGGCACAAUGUGGUUCUUGAGAUCCAGGCCACUAUCCCAUCGACUCCAGAGCAGCCAUCCAAGAAGCCCAUGUGGAAGGGUGUCAUUGUUGCUUACAUUGUGGUUGCACUAUGCUACUUCCCUGUUGCGCUCAUCGGCUACUGGGCUUUUGGCAAAGCAGUCGAUGACAACAUCCUCAUCACCCUCAGCAAACCUAAGUGGCUUAUCGCCCUGGCUAACAUGAUGGUUGUAAUCCAUGUCAUUGGCAGCUACCAGGUACAUAUACCACUCUCCCACUUUCUGCAAUGAAAUGUUUGCAAACCUUGACCAGCUGAACAUCACACAAGUUUUCAUUAAAAUGGCCGUGUACUAUUACAAUUUCUGUAAGUUGUCAUGAUCAGAAAAAUGAAUGUUUUGAUGCAGAUCUAUGCCAUGCCAGUGUUUGACAUGAUAGAGACUGUGCUGGUGAAGAAGCUGCACUUCCCUCCUGGUCUGACACUGCGUUUGAUUGCUCGGACCGUCUAUGUUGGUAAUGCCCCAUGCCCAUCAGUCUGAACUGAACUUUUGCCACCAAAUUGGUGACUCACUCUGAAAAAAUGGGGACUAAUUUGACACAACAUGUGCAGCGUUCACAAUGUUCAUAGCCAUCACCUUCCCCUUCUUCGGUGGAUUGCUUGGUUUCUUUGGUGGUUUCGCUUUUGCACCGACGACUUAUUUCGUAAGCUCUCAUUCACCCAUCUAUUGCAAUGCCGUCAUAACCUGCAGUUACAUUGUGUUUACAUUUGGUAAUAUAACUUGAGAGCUAAUUUUUUUUCUUGAUUUCUACCAGCUGCCCUGCAUCAUGUGGCUUGCAAUCUACAAGCCCAAAAGGUUCAGCCUCUCUUGGUUGACCAACUGGGUAAGAAUUACUAUCCAUCUAGCAUAUCUUAAUUCAUUCUGCCAUAGAAUUCCUCUCUGCUUAUUAACCUUUCCUCCUAUAAUAAACUAACCUCUGUGUUCUCUGUGUUCAUCAGAUCUGCAUUAUUCUUGGGGUGCUUCUGAUGAUUCUAUCGCCAAUUGGAGGACUUCGGCAAAUAAUAUUGGAUGCGAAAACAUACAAAUUCUACCAGUAAACUACUACCAGCCAUGACUAGUAGGCAUGAUUGGAAAUUUGAAAUAUGUCAAAGCCUCAACUGAGUUUUUUUGUCGUGCCGAACACAGAGGGGAAGGUCAUAGUACAAUAUAUUGUUUCAGAUGUUGGGUUAGUUAUAUAUAUACAUACAUACGUAUUGUUUCUUAAUAUUCCAAGGUGACCGUGGCUUGUGUGUGUAUGUGCAUAAGUGAGAAUUAAUGAUGGUGGUUGUCCCAGAUAUUGGUGGUUUAAAUAUAUUCACUUGCUUUGUACGCGCACUAAAGCCACACCCAAUCAAGUUUGCCUCCAAAUCUCCAAUAGUACGCUUGCAAAAUGCAAAUUGAUCACUGCAAGGAAUCUUGGGUGUGUUAAUCAUGGGUACAAAUCACUAUGCAUGUGAUUGGUAGUGAUCCAGAUUUUUUUAGAAACAUUUUGGAUCUAGAUUUUCUCUAAAAAAACGUUUGAGUUGAUAAAUUAGAAUUAUUUCAUGGAACCAUUUGACAAGCUAGUUAGAUUCUUAAAACUUCAACUAGAAUGUGGAGAAAUCAAGUUUUGAGUGUUUUUUUUGAAUUAGAACAAAAUGAGAAUUGGUUCGAAGUGAUUCUCCUUGAAACGUUUCUCUUUUGUAGUGUUUGGCAGGAAUUCUAGUGAUUCUGUUGGGAAUAUGAAAUGUUUGUCUCCGCCAAACGCAUCCUAUAUACUCAUCACGUUCAAGGAUAUCCGAAAAUAGUGCAAAUGAGGAGGACUUUAGUACUCCCUCUAUUCUUUUUUAUAUGUCGUAUUAGUUUUCUCCUAAGUCAAAUUUUUUUUUACUUUGACCAUCAAUUUCAAAAAACAUAUUCACAUUAACAACAUAAAAUUUAUGUUUUGGAUUCGUAUAACAAGUACUUCAUAAUAUAUAAUUUACAUGUUGUGAGACUACAUGGACUUGGUGAAAGAGGAAAAAUGUUUAAUUUAGGAUAAACCUAUCAUAACUGUAAAAGAAGAAUACAUUGUGCACAAGUUCUUUUCAAGUGCUUCAAAUGGGGAUCAUGUUCAACUUUGACGACUGUGACAACUUUAUUUUCGGCGACAUGAUCUCCUUCGAUAGCUUGGACUUCAUCAAGGAUCAGAUUAGGAACUUCAUCGCGUGUGGCUGCCUAGUGGGGCCUCUCUGGACUAAUUUCUUUUAUUUUUGCCUGAUUUAUGAUUUUUGGAUGAUUUCGAGGAAAUAAUUUGUAGAGGCGGAUGUGAUUUAUAACCGCAUCUAGAAAUCAAUUUCUAGGGGCGGCCGUUGUUGCCGGACACUUCUUUAAGUCCCAUUUCUAUAGCCACCUCUACAGAUCGCUUAUUUCUAGCAACAUAAGCUUAGAGGCCGGCUGAGCCGCUUCUACACAACAUUUACAACCAUCUUACCAAUGCUGGUUGUAGUAGUGUCAGCGCCGCCUUAAACCACCAAGCAUACAAGAUAAAAGAUCUAUUCUCCACUAGAUGUACGGUACCCUGUAUUUGAAUGAGUAUACAUCUGUACCCCGUGUGCCACCCCUCUAAUUCACUGCUCACAAAACAUUGAUCCACAUUGUUAAGAGAAAAAACUAUGACCAUUGCACGACACCCUCACUUGUGAUUGUACGUAGGACACUAUCUUUUAAUUUGUUUCAACGUUCUGUAUUUUUAUAUUAAUAUUUUAGCCUCUACAUGAUUCCAAAUAAAAAAUAUUUCGACUACAAAGUUUAGGUAUUACUGAGCUCUACAAUUCUUUUAAAUAGUGUGUGUCAUAGUUUGAAAAUUCAAAAAUUUUGAAUAUCAAAAUUUGAGAACUUUGAAUCAGAUAUCUCGGGCUUUAAUGUUAUCAACUGCAAAGUUGUAGAUUGCAUUGAGAAGUAAAACUUUGGAAUAGAUCACGUCGAUGUCUAAUGUUUUUUCAAAAAUCUAAAUUUUAAAUUUCAAAAUAUUAGAAUAACAAAUAUUUAGUAAUCUAAAUAAAUAUAUUCAAAUAAAAACUUUUAUAAAGUGUAAAUUGCAUUGAGAACUAUAAUUUUAGUUUAGAUCAUGUUAACAUACAAGUAUGUUCAAAAACUUUAAUUUCAAAUUUUAAAAUCAAAGAGCUUGGACCAUAUUUUUCUAGGACUAUAAACAAUUCCAAGUAAAAAAAUUAUCAACUACAAAGUUGUAAAUCAAGUCGACUAGUUCUACAACUUUGGUAUAAAGUUUUUAUUUAUUCAAAUUCCUAUGAAAAAUUAAUGAUUUUUACAUACUUUUUUAGAGGCUAAUCUUAGAAUAAUCGUCUCUAUUACUAAUUGAUUUCUAAAGCCGACCACUUAGAAUGUGUGCAUUUGAUUAUAGCCAUUUUCAAAAGCAAUCUUGUUAAGAAGCCUGCAUCUAUUAGUUGAUUAACAGAGGCGAGAACCUUGGACAACUGCUCUGUUAAUCAGUCAUUUUUAGGGGCAGACAUCUUAAUUUAGAUGUCAUUUGCUUGGAGGUUGAUUAACCAUUUACAGAGGUGGCCACUAACUAGAUGUAUCCGGCUCUGUUAGGCCCUGUUUGAUUCCCUUUGCUAAAUUUUAGCCAAUAAAAUUAUUUUAGCUACUCUUGGGUGACUAGUGAGACUAAACUAUUUAACUCCUUUUUAGUCAAUAUGUUUGGAAUUUUAGCUGCUAAAGUGAUUAAAGUUUAGCUGACUAAAAUUUAGCAAGGGGAACCAAACAGGCCCUUAAUCUGAGAGACUUUCAAAUGAAAUCUUUUUGUAGUGUGGAACUGACGCACUUUUUAAUACCCAUCCAUCCUAAAUUGUAAAACGUUUUGUUUUUCUAGCAUAGCUUUUGCAAAUGCACUAAGAUACACGUUGUAUUUCCAGAUAAUAUAUAUAUAUAUAUAUAUAUAUAUAUAUAUAUAUAUAUACUAGCAUGUAGGAAAGCUAAUCAAAUGUUUUCCAAUUACUUUCUCUAUUUCAAAUUGGAAGUUAUUCUGACUUUUUGAGAUAUGUGGCUUCUGCUAUGUACCUAGAUGAAUAUUAUGUCUAUAUACAUAGUGAAAGUUAUGUAUCUAAAAAAGCCAAAAUAGCUUACAGUUUGGAAUGUGGAACACUCAUUAGACGUACUCCUUCUAUUCCAAAUUAGAAGACAUUUUGGCUUUUUUCUAGAUACAUUGCUUUUAUUAUGUAUCUAGAUAUAUCUAAAUGAAUAACUAUAUAUUAAAAAAAAUCUGAAACAUCUUAUAAUUUAGAAUAGAGGGAUUACUAAACACUAUAGCAUAUAAAUAUUGCUCCUUAAGGUUCUUUCACUUUUCUUUAAAGAAAAACACUAGCAAUAGUUUGUCUUUUAGGUGCUUGUAUUUAGGAAUUGAUUUAUUUUUUUGGAACGGGUACUGUUAUGAUGUGGUUGGUGUGCAUGGACUUGGUAUGUGUGCCACAGGCCAUCGUUAUAAAGUCGAUGGUGAAUCAUAGUUGAGAGAGCUGAAUGCUGCCUGUAUAUGCACCAACGAGUGUCUAUAUAUCUGUUGCACGAGUACGCGCUAUAGCUCAUACAUUAACUGCUACACAAAUGAAACGAGCAGCUAGCCAAAAAACCAGGGAGGAGAGUCAAGUCGGACAUUCAUGCAUGCAAACCUAAAACACGUCCAAGUUCAUGCACGCCUAGAACACGUACAGGUCCAAAUGCACGCCGAGAGGCACCCCCUAGCUAGCUGCAGGGUUCACCCGCCGGCCAUAACCAUUGCUGCGCUGGAGUCAACGACGGUCAACUACCCCCCGCGUUGACAGGUGCAGAGAGACGACGCUCGAUCCCUUCCAUUUCAGAUAUCUGCAGUAAGUAGUAGGAGUAUAUAAAGGAAAGGAGACGAGCCGGCGGCGGCAUCUCCUCUCCAUCGCCGAUCUCCCUCUUUCUUCCCCGGCGGCAGUCGUCGUCGUCGCAACUCCCUGCCGGCCUCGCCGCGCGAGCUAGUAGUCUCCCGUCGACGACGAUCGACUCAUCAGCCCCUUAUUUGUUUCUCCAUUGCCGCCGGCCGCAGACCGCCGCCGGACGACGACUGCCAUGGGGACUCAAGCACCCGAGAACCAUUCUCCUACCAAGGUACGUCCCAUCUCACUGCUAUCUCUCUCUCGUCACACGUACGGAUCUUGUUUUUUUUUUGCCGGCCAUGGCCAUGCAUGGCUGCAUUUUCUUGUUCAUCUCCGUCGAGGCUUUGUUUAAGGCAUCAUCCACGAUAAUGGAAUGUGGAAGCAUUAUGAGCAAUGCAUGCAUCCUUGUUACAAAGAUUCGUCUGAAUAAAAACAACGGAAACUUUUUAGGGUUCUUUCUUGCACACAUGUUUUCUCGAUCAGAUACAUGUGAAAUUAAAUGACCUUUUUCUCUUGAGCUCUUUUACGGUGGUUGAGGGUAUUCUUGGUUCCUAUAGGUUCCUAAGUAAAUUAUUAGCGCUAAUUAAUUUUAUGAGUGGAAGGUUAGGAUUGUAAUUGUGGCUCCCCCGCACCCCUCGCUGCGCACAGACACACAUGAAAGACCACACAUGAAAGACGCAUCGCCGCGGCCUUGCCUCGCCCUCUGCAUCGCGCAUCGUGCACGCAUCGCAACUGCCUCGCCAUCGUGUAUCACUGCCGCCUCGCCCUCAUCCUCGCACGGCACCAUCGUCGCCCUACCCCUAGCCUUGUGCGGAGUGUCGCUACCAGCCUGCCUCGGCAGAUCGCCGUCGCCGGCCUGCCCUCGGCUUGCCUCCCGACCACCGUCGCCGCCGCGCGCACGAGCGUCCUGUCCCGCCGCUGGCGCGGCCUGUGGAACUGCGUCCUGGCGCUCUCUUUCCACGUGGAGCCGAAAGGCGCCGCCGAGUGCUUUUUCCUCGACGUUGACGCCGUCGACGUCGCCCUUGACGCCUACUCUGCCCGCCGCACUGAACCGCCUUGCCCUCGACGUGGAUCCAUCAACGCCCGUGCCACGCCGGCGAGCUCCGCCUCUCCCUCUUGGGCGCCAACGCAGGCGCACGAGGGAUCUCGACGGAGCACAACAUUCAUAGGCGGCAGAAGACGUGGCGGUCUACAAUAGGGUGACGCGCAUCGAGCUCGCCAGGAUCAACUUCCAGCUCCGACUCCCAAGUCCCAAGUGUCGGCGUGUUCACGUAGCUGCGCGCCCUCAGGAUCCAACGGGGGCAAGUUUGUGCUCGGCGACGUCGGCCACCUUGUGUCUAUGCAGUGCCCGCGCCUGCGGGAGCUCGAGGUGAGCAACGUGGGCAUUGUCAUCGCCGCCGGCCACAUCUCCAUCAGCUCAACGUCGCUACAACGGCUUGUGUUCGGACACAUCAACGACAUUGUGAAUUGCACCUCUACUGAUUUAGAUGAACUACACACCAUCCAGUAACAGUUACCCUUUCAUUGUGAAUUGCGUCCUUGCAGCGCGAUUCAAAAAUAAAUAAAGACAAUGUUAUAAACGUGGCUGCUAAAGCCAUUUUAAAGGACAAUGUGCUACCUAUUCACCGCAUAUAAUCGCUAUCAGAUCGCGUGCCCUGGAUGCCACAGCCCUGCCCUUGCGCUCGCCCUUGCCCUGGCAGCCGUCGCCGCCGCAGCACGGACUCACAGUUCACAGUGAGAACGGAGAAGAGAGAUGAGAGAGUGGCUAGACCGAGGAGGUAGAGAAAACAUGCGACAUAUAUUACUUCAAUUCAAUCAAUCAUCCCUAUACUAGUUUCUAUCAUAAUGUUUACCAUUCUACCCUUAAUUAUAUAAAUAAAUCUCAAAAAUAGAAUUAUCCUAAUGGGUUUCUUCCACUAAUUUUAGUAUGCACUUAGUGCAUAUGGCCCCACUGUUUAGUAUGCACUUGGUGCCUCUUCGAUUGGUUCCUCUUGGUUCCUUUGUCUUUUUAGCCGUCGGAUCGGCUCUCGUGGACCGUCCAUUUUUCGACAACCAUUGUAAAAAUUCUCUUUUCUCUUAUCUCUCUCUGUGUGCGCGCGCCCGUUUGUGUGUGUUCUCUUUGGAAAGGAAAAAUGGGAGAGCUUAUUCACCGCUGGGUUUAUUGAUUUGAACGGAUUUAUUUUGAUAUUUUGCCUUAAUUGCGAGAUUUUUCCCUUUAUUUUUGUGAUGUACUAGCUAGCUGUUACCACCCUGUUCUUGCUUGACCCUUCAGGUGUUUAUUGAUAUUAACUCCCUUGCUGUUACGUGUUGCCUGCCGCAUCCUUUUACAGCGACUUAAUUACCAUUUCCACACUGCUUUUGAUCCCGAGAAGAAAAUCAAAUUGACACUUUGACACGGGUUCAUCUCACUUAAAUAUUCAAAAAUCAAAAAUCAAAGAUGCACUUGAAUCCUACUACUCAUAUAUCUGACGCUUGUUCUGUUCUGCCCAAGAGUAAUGUAAAUGCACGUCAAAUUUUACUGAGAUCCACUGCUAUUUAUUAUCACUGAAACAUCAAAAUUCAGUAUUCCCUUCAUGCUUUGCUUGUGAUCAGUCAAAAGCUUGUCUAGCAUGGCCAUGCCAUUACCAGUUAACAAAAAACAAACUGGCAUUGUCAAAAACUUAUUACAGGAUGAGAGGAGUGCUGGGGAUAAGGCGAUCGAUGACUGGCUCCCGAUCACCUCGUCCAGGAAUGCCAAGUGGUGGUACUCUGCCUUCCACAACGUCACCGCCAUGGUCGGCGCCGGCGUGCUCAGCCUUCCCUACGCCAUGUCCAAGCUCGGCUGGUACAUGUCACUGCCAUCUUCCUGUGCCCCGGCAACCUCCAUUGUAAUCGUGCACUGCAUAUAUGUAUGCCAUGCACAUUCUUCACAAAGACGGAUAUACAUAUUAUUUUCUGUGAUUUUUCCUGUUUCCACAAUCUGCAGGGGACCUGGCAUUGUGGUGUUGAUACUGUCGUGGAUCAUCACAUUGUACACGAUGUGGCAGAUGGUUGAGAUGCACGAGAUGGUCCCCGGGAAGCGGUUCGAUCGGUACCAUGAGCUCGGGCAGCACGCGUUUGGGCAGAAGCUGGGCCUGUGGAUCGUCGUGCCGCAGCAGCUCAUCGUCGAGGUGGGCGGGGACAUCGUGUUCAUGGUCACCGGAGGCAAGUCACUGAAGAAGUUCCACGACGUGAUCUGCGACGGCAAGUGCAAGGACAUCAAGCUCACCUACUUCAUCAUGAUCUUCGCCUCCUGCCACUUCGUCCUCUCCCAGCUCCCCAACUUCAACUCCAUCUCCGGCGUCUCCCUCGCAGCUGCUGUCAUGUCACUCAGGUAAUAACAUUUCAGUUACACUACAUUACACCCACUUCAACAAUUUACUGUAGCAGAUCCGGCAAAUUUCAUUUUCUGAAGACAGACAGUAUGCAUAUAGCUGCAGUAAUUGUCACUGACAUGCAUGAGUUCUCAUGACAGUUACUCAACAAUAGCUUGGGGAGUGUCGCUGCAUAAGGGGAAGUUGCCGGACGUGGACUACCACGUUCUGGCGGCGACGACAUCAGAGAAGGCGUUCAACUACUUUGGGGCAUUGGGGGAUGUGGCGUUUGCAUACGCGGGGCACAAUGUGGUGCUUGAGAUCCAGGCCACCAUCCCAUCGACGCCGGAGAAUCCAUCCAAGAAGCCCAUGUGGAAGGGUGUCGUCGUCGCCUACAUCAUGGUUGCCGUCUGCUACUUCCCUGUCUCAUUCUUUGGAUACUGGGCCUUUGGCAACCAAGUUGAUGAUAACAUCCUCAUCACACUCAACAAACCCAAGUGGCUCAUCGCCCUCGCCAACAUGAUGGUCGUUAUCCAUGUCAUUGGCAGCUACCAGGUAGGAUCAGGGACAUCCAUAUGGGCUUCAAAAUAUCCUCUGCUGCUUGUUGUUAGUGGACAAGCUUUCAGUUCCAAAUGUCACUAAUAUAUGCUCUUCCAUGUAACACUAGUAUUGGAGCUAAACUUUGUACCAUCUCUUAUCCAAAUGUUUUUUUUGGUUGCAGAUUUUCGCCAUGCCGGUGUUUGACAUGAUAGAGACGGUCCUGGUGAAGAAACUGCAUUUCCCUCCCGGCCUUGCACUCCGUUUGAUUGCCCGGAGCACCUAUGUUGGUAAUGUUGCUUUCUGAAGUUUCAACAGAACUUCUCAGUCUAAAUAACUACUGUAAAGCUCUGCUAAGCAAAUGGAUAUGUCGCACUGAUCAAACUGGGCGUGUCAACUUCUGCAGCGUUAACAACGUUUGUAGCCAUCACUAUCCCCUUCUUCGGUGGAUUGCUCGGUUUCUUCGGUGGAUUCGCCUUUGCACCGACAACUUAUUUUGUAAGCUCGCAUUGAUCCAUGGUUUCCUUGUCGUUUUCAGAAUGUCACAGAACGUGCAACUGCUUGUAUAUUUCAGAUAUAAAUACGGAACCAUGUAUAAUCCUAGUACAACCCAUCAAGUCAUAGGAAUAUACGUAGCAAUUUUUUUUUUUUUAGAAAGGACGGCAAAAGCUUUGCCGCGGAUUUUAUUAGACGAUAAAAAGAAAAACAAAAACCUGUACAGAGAAAAAACAGCCUGAAGAAUUAUCAGGCGAAAAAAAAAACUCCCCCCCCCCCCCCAACUACAAAGUAACCAGCAGUACACACUCGCUGCUAGGACUCGUAAUCCUAUUUAGACCUCCGGUGAAUCUAAUUGAGUCCUCUGGUCUUGUGAUACCAUCGCUAAGCCAUAUUGUGUGAUAUCAUCCUUACAUAAGGAAGCCACUUGUAUUGGUUGCAGACUGUGCUGUUGGAAGAUCCUUCUAUUGCAUUCUUUCCAUAUGUUCCACCAAAAGUAGACAAUUUGAGAUCUGACAGAACUUCUCUUGUUUCUGCCAGCUUCCCUGCAUCAUGUGGCUUGCAAUCUACAAGCCCAAAAGGUUCAGCCUCUCAUGGUUCACCAACUGGGUAAGAGAUUAUGAACUGAACACAAAUCCCUUCCUUUCUUUCUGCAACAGGAUUUCCCUGGUUGGGAAUUACUUAAUCAUCCAUUUCUCCAUGUGUUUCUGCAGGUCUGCAUUCUUCUUGGAGUGGUCCUGAUGAUCCUGGCACCGAUCGGAGCACUCCGGCAGAUCAUCUUGUCUGCCAAGACAUACCGAUUCUACUCCUAAACUUCCAUGUUCCAAAUUGUGAACAUGCAAGGGCUCAAUCACAUAGCCUUCUGCAAGUCCUUUGGUGUCCCAAAUAGAAGAGGAGGCUCCAAGAACCAAAACUUGUUCCAAAUGAUGAUACUUGUCAGAGGCAUGUUGUGAGUCUUCAGUUACAGAUGAAGUCCUGUGGCGGGUUCAUCAUAACCCAUGUAUUUUUUUUUGGCAAUGUUCUACGGUAGUUAUGUACUUAUGUGCGCAUAAGGAAGAAUGAACGUUGGUGGAUUCUAUUGCUUAUACAAAGCUAGAAUCUGCUUGGCCGUUGGUGUGCGUUCUGUCACUAGUAAAAAAAAUAAAUUGUUUGAGCUGCUAUUAGAGCAUCUCCAGUAGCCCCCCAUUCUCUAUGGACUGAGGAGAAAGGAGGCUUGGCAGGAAGAGGAUUGUAGCAUAAGAAGCACAGAGGUCAAUCCAUUUCAAAAUAUGGAACAUGGGUUAUGACAAUGCAACAGAGUUGGGUCCUCAUAACUUGCUGCAGACCACCUAGCGCGCUUGAUGCGCGUCGUUUGUAUGACAAAUAGUUUUCCUUCUUAAAUGCAAUGAUACGCAAAUCUUUUGCGUUUCGAGAAAAAAAAUCCUUCAACUCUUCAAAGUUGAGGAGGAAAUCUUGCCCCCAAUACAUGAGAUUUGGCGGGAGGUCCAACUGCCAUCGUUGAGAAAGAUGGCCACCUACUGCCGUGAUGAUAGGCGUCAGAGCCACCAAGGAAAGCCGAUGCGUGACAUGGGUCAGAUCCAGCCCAAGAUCGCUGUUGAUCGAUUGGUCAGGCCCCUUUGUAUUCGUAUUGGGCAAGCCGAAAUAUGUUAAGCUUUACAGUUAAAAUCGGUUCAAGGGGGUGUUUAGUUCCCCAUAGAAUCCAAAAUGCAAAAUGUCAACUACUUUGGAGUGAUGAAAUGCAAAAUAUCAAAAUUUUCAGAGUCAUGUUUAGUUCCAUCCAAAAUACAGAAUCUAUUGUCCUCAUGAAGCCUCUUAAAGCUCAUUUUGGGUUUUUUUUUACCUCUUGAGGCCAAAAUCCAAAAUGGAGAAUAACUACAUUUUUGCUAAAAAUUUUGCAUGAUGUUUAGUUCUAUUUUGCAAAAUGAUGAACCAAAAUCCAAAAUAUUUGAAAAAAAAUGGGAACUAAACACCCCCAAAUUGAUACAAUACUAUCAAAAAUUGGAUUCCCUUUUCCAAAAUCGAAUCACCCUGUUUUCUCGAAGAAGAAUCUUAUGAAGGAUAUAACUUUCUCAUCUAGACUCCAAAUUUAUUAAGCAUUCCACCUACAUAUUCAUGUCAAUCGUUUUGACGAGGACGAAAUUCAUUCUAACCAUGUAGGUCUUCUUCAUUCAAAGCCGAAUGAUUCGAUUUCCUACCAAUUUGGAUCACGAACAACCGUCAUAUUUGACCGGUCACUGCUGACGUGUGCACUAAGGUUCGUCACUAUUUAGCUAUAUGUUCUUACAUAGUGAUUAGUACAUCUUGUUUGCGUGUGUUCGGUCUCAGUAUCAAUUUAUCGUCACGUUUUGUCAGCAACUUGGUUGGCCAGUUUCACGGGUGGUCGAAUUCUUUUUUGGAAGCACGGUAGCAAUUCCCGGUGAAGAAAAGUCCGAAGCAUAUAUACAGCUGUAUAUAUUGAUAUAAGAAACUUAUAGUGUUCACAGAAAUGUAACAAAAAAAAGUCAAUGAAAAAUCGAAUGCAAUCAUCAUACCAGAUGGAACCUGGACUUGAAACCUCGAGAUUUUUCAAGAUCCGUGUGCCCGACGCAAAAAUACGGGGUUGAAGAGAAACACACGCUAAUAAUACGCUAUAUAUUUAUCAGUUGGCUAUAUAUAUAUACAUACUCCCUCCAUACUCGAUUUUGUUGACGUUUUAGACAGAAAUGCGCUAACCAAGGAAUGAUUAAGCAGGGGUUAGUUUUCCUAUUUCGCCCCUAUUAAAUAGCGUUGCGAUUGCUUCUUUGACAGUAAUCUGCCAUAGCUCGAGUGGCGUGAGCUCCGCAGACCGAGGCCGGAGGUCGUUGGUUCGAGUCUUGGGGCCACCCUUUUUCUUUUGCAUGGCUUGCGGUAAGGCGAUUCGCCCCGCUGUGGCGCGCAUGCGCCACGAGUCUCUCUAUGCAAGAGCAGAGAACGGGUCACUUUUUUAUUGUUUGCACCAGAGCCGAGGAGACGGCACCUAGCCACUAAUGAGCAGGCGGCUGAAGCCAUUCCUCAUUUCAGUCUGGGAGCCGAGCGGACGGCAGCAAGGGUAUACUCGUCCGUACACGCAGCUGCAAACCCACCACGACAAGUUUCGCGAUUUCUUCACGAGUACUCAGAACGUCAACUAUUUUGAGUAUGGAGGGAGUACAUAUCGUGGUCGGCCGUGUAAGCCCAAGUCGCAGAGAACGGCAAGACCAGGACACUUAAGUCGACGAUCCAUGUGUACCAACCAAUGUUUUAAAUAGCGAGCUAAUUAAAGUGUUUAGCGGUAUAUCUCUAAAAUAACUAAUAGCAGAGUUGAAUUAGACUAUAGCGGGAUAUAGCACGUGAACAUAAAUAGCAAUAUCUUGCCUCAAAAGACUAUAACAAAUUAUAGCGGCAGCUAUAGUGGAAGAUUAAAAACUAUGGUAGCAACCUAGGCAGCAGGGCAGAGACUUGUCUACAAUACAAUUUCCGUCGACACGUUUCGUCCAGCCGGAAACCUGCAAACAGUAAAACGAAGUCGGUCGCUUUCAGCAUCAGCGACACUUCAACUGUUCCACAGGAUUUGUGGUGGUGUAAGUUUUUCAACGAGGAAACUUUGAUCGUCACACGGCGCACGGCCGCACACUCCUUGACUUUGAUUAAUCAAUUUGCAUCGUUCUCUCUACUAGAGUCUAGAUCGAUGACACAUGCACGCAUACAUAUAUAUUAUUGUAUUAGCGCGUAUUUUUGUGUUGAAGCUGGAGAAUUAGACGACGAUCGAUCGACGCAUGGAAGUCCAUCACGUUAUCAGAGAGUGCAACGUGAGGGUUUGACCAGUCGAGAGUGCACACACACUGACAGUGACAAAUCAAAAGCGAGGAAGCGAAUUUCUUCUCCUGCAUGCUUUCAGACGAUGGACAGAUCAGAUAGAUCAUCGGAUGGCCUGGUUCGAUGAGACACAACUCCAGCUACCUGCUGGAAGAAAAAAAAAGCCAUGGGUUGUGUUAAGUUGUAGUAGCUUCGCUUCAAUUCCUGUCCUGUCUUCCCAUAUAUAGUCCUCCCUGUUGUUCCUCCCUCUCCAAACUCCAUUGCUCUCUCUGAUCUUUUGGCAUUGGCAGCAUCCAUUAUCCAAUCGUGCGUGUGCGUUAGGUGAUGGCGGCAGUCCAGCCGUCCAUGGAGACGACGCAGCAAGGGCCGCCGCCGGCGGCCAACUAUUCUCCGGCCAGGGUACGCCGUCCCCGUCGCCGAUUCACCAUGCAUGAACCUAGCUAGCUCUAGCUCUAGCUCUAGCUCUCUGCUGUGAAGACGACUCGAGCUUUGCUUGUGUGUGUGUGUGACCUGUAUAUGUAGUGCGAUGAAUUAAUCAGAUCGACUCCGUAUGCAGGAUGGCGGCAGGAGCGCCGAGGAGAAGGCGGCGGAGAUCGACAACUGGCUCCCCAUCAACGCGUCGAGGAACGCCAAGUGGUGGUACUCUGCGUUCCAUAACGUCACCGCCAUGGUCGGCGCCGGCGUGCUCGGCCUUCCCUACGCCAUGUCCGAGCUCGGCUGGUAUGCAUAUGUAUAUUUGUCAAUUACAGUAUCUAUCUAGCUAGCUAGUAUAUUUCCCCACUCAAUUUUUAUUUUUGCAAUUUUCGCUCAUCAGUGAUUCAAGCAAUUAGAAGUUUGACUGAGUUUAUAUGAAAUAAUAAUAGCAUUAUGAUAUACAAAAUAAGUAUCAUUAAUUUAAUUGUAAACUUAGUUGGGAACAUAAAUAUUAAUACUGUUUAAUAUAAACUUAAGUUAAGCUAGUUUGAUUUUAUUCUUGACAGACAAAGUACGGUGUUGCAUAAUUAAUGUUUGUCAUGGCUCCUAUCGAAAUAUAUGACUUUUGGUUCCACACUGGGAUCCCCUAUGUGUUGACUAGUCAAAAGAUUCUAGAUUUUAUUAAGAAAUUCGACUGAAAUUUUAUAUUCGAGAGGUAAAAGGAGGAAACUAUGGCUCAUUUGGCGUGGUUCCCUCAAAAUUUUUUACUUUAUGAAUAGCUCUAUCGAAAUAGAGCUUGAGCCAUUUUAGAAAACCGUUUGGCAAUAUAGCUCCAUAUAUUUCUGGCCUCACCGAAAUGACGGACAAAAUUCGCCCACUAGAACAAAGUGAAGCUGAGUGAAUCCACUAUUUUUGAUUCCAUACCAUCACAAACCUUUGUGAGAGCAUGAUUUAAGAGGCUUCCUGAGUAAACUUGUUUUAUUUUAUCCUGUUUGGUAUAAAAAUAGCUCGUGAAAUCGGUAGAGAAGCUGUUCUAAACGGACCGAUUAGGAUUAAUUUCCCCUUCUAUGCACAAGAGAAAGGGACGAUUUGUGGACAUUUGGGCUUUGGCUGGUUAGAUUGAAAUUCCAAAUUGGGCUGAGUUUUUUUUUUUUUUUUUGCUAUGCAUGAAGUCAUUUUUGGCCUCACCGAAAUGACGGACAAAAUUCGCUGACUUUCGGCCCAUUCUGUUCGAAUCCCACGACCUAUAUACUCGCUGAAGCUGAACAUAUCAGUCAUCCGUGUGACACUUGUCAUGGAUGAACAUUAACCAACCCUACAUACAUAUAAUUUUGUUAUAUAUUCCUGUCAAUUGCAGGGGCGCUGGCGUCACGAUUAUGAUCUUGUCAUGGAUCAUCACGCUGUACACGCUGUGGCAGAUGGUGGAGAUGCACGAGAUGGUCCCUGGCAAGCGCUUCGACCGGUACCACGAGCUCGGGCAGCACGCGUUCGGCGAGCGGCUGGGCCUGUGGAUCGUCGUGCCGCAGCAGCUCGUCGUCGAGGUCGGCGUCAACAUCGUCUACAUGGUCACCGGCGGCACGUCGCUGAAGAAGUUCCACGACACCGUCUGCGAGAGCUGCAAGCAACUCAAGCUCACCUACUUCAUCAUGAUCUUCGCCUCCGUCCACUUCGUCCUCUCCCAGCUCCCCAACUUCAACUCCAUCUCCGGCGUGUCCCUCGCCGCCGCCGUCAUGUCGCUCAGCUACUCCACCAUCGCGUGGGGCGCGUCGGUGGACAAGGGGAAAGCGGCGAACGUCGACUACGGGAUGCGCGCGACGACGACGCCUGGGAAGGUGUUCGGUUUCUUGGGAGCGCUAGGCACCGUGGCGUUCGCCUACGCCGGGCACAACGUGGUGCUGGAGAUCCAGGCCACCAUCCCGUCGACGCCGGAGAAGCCGUCCAAGAAGCCCAUGUGGAAGGGCGUCGUCGUCGCCUACAUCGUCGUCGCGCUGUGCUACUUCCCUGUGUCAUUCGUCGGUUACUGGGCCUUUGGCAAUACUGUUGACAGCGACAUCCUCAUCACGCUCUCCAGGCCUAAGUGGCUCAUUGCCCUCGCCAACAUGAUGGUCGUCAUCCAUGUCAUUGGCAGCUACCAGGUAGUACAUAUUAUUGUACAUAUAUACAUAUAUGUCUUCCAACUUCUUCCAAGUCAAGCAUGUAUAGAUGUAUACAUACAUGGAAGAUGCUGAACUGAAUGAUGGAUAUAUGGCUGCACAGAUUUAUGCGAUGCCGGUGUUCGACAUGAUGGAGACGGUGCUGGUGAAGAAGCUGCGGUUCCCUCCUGGCCUGAUGCUCCGUCUGAUUGCCCGUACUGUUUAUGUUGGUAAUGCCUUUGUCUGAACACAACCUUUUCAGUCUAAACUCUUAAAGCCAGCUGUGCUAACCAGAUGAGCUUCUCACAGUCUCAUCCUCAAGAAAUAAGACUGACAAGAUGUCACAUGUGUGCAGCGUUCACAAUGUUCAUAGCCAUCACCUUCCCCUUUUUUGAUGGAUUGCUAAGUUUCUUUGGUGGAUUCGCGUUCGCACCGACAACUUAUUUCGUAAGUUCCAGUCGAUGACUAUCCAAUUGUUUUGGGUUUCAGAAUGUAACAUGACAAUAUGACAGCUGACCAAUCUUUUUUUUUUCUGCCAGCUUCCCUGCAUCAUGUGGCUCGCAAUCUACAAGCCCAAAAGGUUCAGCCUCUCAUGGUUCACCAACUGGGUAAGAACCAACUAAUUCACAGUCCAGCCUAUCUUAUCAGGCUUAAUUAAUCUGCUGUCGUCUAACUUACCUGUGCUCUCCCUAUUAUUCAGAUCUGCAUUAUUCUUGGAGUGCUUCUGAUGGUACUGGCGCCGAUUGGAGGACUCCGGAACAUCAUUAUUAGUGCCAAGACAUACCAUUUCUACCAGUAAACAUGCAUGAUUGUCCAACACAGUGCAAACCCCUUGUUUAACCAACUACAACAGAGACCCUGACAAGUCUCAGGCCACAUCAUCAGGUGAACAGGUUUUGGAUUUUGUACCACGGGAUUCUGAACUACUUGUUUGGAAUGACAAAAAGCUUGCAUCAGAUGCGCUAAUCGGCAAUCGAUUAUAAUGUCUAUUGUGAGUUCUUUGUCGUGCCAAAAAGGGAAUACCAUCAUGGCCUAAAACGUGUUCCAGUUGAUGAAUGUUCCUGACAUGUCAAGCUUCCCUUAGUCAUGGCCUAACCUAGGAGUUUGCUUGGAGUGGAUUAUAUACAUGUGUAUGUAGUUUUUCUUCAUACUUCUUUAUAUUCAGGGAAUGUUAGCUUUUUUGUAUGUAUAAACGCGAAAAUGGAAGCGUGGUGCUUUGUAUUUUUUUUAGAGAAUGGAAAUGGUGCUUUGUAUCUGUUGGUUUUUUUGAGUAAUUUAGGGAGAGUUUCCCCGCAUUUUCAGUCAAUUAAUAAAAAAAUACAAUGAUGAUCAUCAGUUGUACUUCAGGCUCACCUUAGGCCAGCUCAAAACCUCUUCCUCUUUCGCCCCUAAGACCCCCAAAUAAUCAGCACACACCCUAUGCACCGAGUUCCCAGUUAUCAAGCCGACCCAUACCAUCCUCACUCCUAUCCUCUAUUCUCCACCUAAAUUGCUACCUUCAUUGAUCCAUGACUAUUGAUCACCUCUUGAUCACCGGGUGAGCAUCAAUACCUUCACUACAUGAAAACACAUAUUAGUGAUAAGGGCAAAGGUGAUGCGCCCCUAAGGCACAUCACUAAUGACUCUUUAGUGAUGGAGGGAAACAAGGUAUAUCACUUUUAUGAACUUUGGGUUAAGCUAAAGAAAAGGGUGUCACUUUUAUGUUUAAAAGUGACACACUAUAAUAACACUCGUUACUACACAAACAAGUGAUAAGUCUUCGUGGGAUACCCAAAAGUAACAAGACAUGAUUUACUCAUCACUUUUUACUAGAUGGAAGGUGAUAGAUUUGGUCUAGGCCUAUCACUUUUCACAAUGUAUCUCCUCUCACCCGUUUCAUUUUUGGAUGGCUGCAUCAUGAACACCUAGUGCCGCAACGUGGUUUCUAGUCUUGCACAUGCCGUCACCAUUAGAUCUCACUUUCAUGCAAGCCUCCUUCACCACACAUGGGAAUCCUCUUCCUCCACUUGUGGGGAUCCUCCUCAUCCACGUGCUAGCCUCCUCUUCAAUGACUUCUUGCUUAGCAAGAUCUAGAUAGACCUCAAACUUCUCCCUAUGAUGCCCAUCUCAUUGGUAGCUUCCUCCUUCCUAGUGUUAUCCAAAUCCAUACAAAGCCUCUAGCUCUCUGGGAACCCCCUCAUCCAUGAUGGCUUCCUUUCACUGGCCUCCUUCUCCCUAAUCCCACGCACAUUGGAAAUCUUAACCCCAUACUCACCCUCCCUUCCCUUCUACAAACAUGCACAUAUAUUACUUGAUGGAUCUUGAUAAAUAUGGAUGCAUUAUUAUAGUUUAGAUGUAUGGUUGACGAAAUAUAUUAUGAUCUAAAUGAAUUAAGGGAUGUAAUAGAGACUAGAUGAAUUAGGGGUUGGAUGGAUGAAUUUCUUCAUGUGGGCCCUUUUUGAGCUCUCAGAUUCUAUUUUGAUAUUUUUAGUGGUGCAUAUUUUUCUCAUUUUGAAAAGAGGGGGCAGUGAGUCUUAUUUCUAUAUGAAUGGCCUUGGGCAUUAGAGCAUUGUGCAAGAAGGGUGUGAGGUUCAUGGCAUAUAGCCUUGGGUGGGCUAUGUAAGGACGGAAUGGCCUAAGAGGCAAAGGUUGAAUUGGGCUCUAAAAAAUAUAAAGCAACAAUCUUAGCCUAUGCAAUUCCUAAACCGUCAAAGCACCUUUACACCUAAGCUUUCUAUGAAAGCAUACUAUAAAGUCUUUAUAGGACCACCAACCUGCACAAUUUUUGCAAAAUAACUAAGGAGCAUGCUAAUUAAGUCUAUCAUGAGCUGCAUAGAUUUUUUGAGACAAUCUAUGAGAUAUACUACUAAGAGGCUGCUUGGAUCCUUUUAUUUAGAGUAAUUGGAAUCUACUUAAUGUACUAGGCUAUUUGGUGUGAAACUUAACAUUCCACAACCUUUUAAAGUAUAGGUAUAAGCAUAUAUUAAAUUCAUAGGGUGGGAGAUGGAAAUUCUAUAGAUCACCAUGCUAUGCUUCUACUCUACAACUUAUAGCAUACUCUUUGGCCCCUCCCAUCCUUGGACGGUCGAAGUUAUUGGUGGAGGUAUUCCCACCGCUAGUGCUCCCUCAUGGGGCAUGGGUGUCGGAGCGACCCCCAUCAAAGGUUGGUGUUGGCUAGGAUGGCCUUGAGGCGGCGUUGUGACGGUGGGAUGCUAAGCUGUCCACUUGCUACUUGAGGGUGAUAUGGAAGAAGCGCUGAGCCUCCUAAAGCUUUUCGUUGAUCCUUGGGUCCGGCGUGUUGGAGAUGUCACCAAGAUGGCUGGCGAUAGCCACCAUGUUGUAAGCUGCCUAGAAGAAGCACAACAUGUUGGGAGCCCCCGUGCGGCUAUCAUUGUCACGCUAGGCGUCCUACAGUCGCUCGAUCUCCUCCCUUCUUCUCUCGAGCUCGGCACAAUUCACGUCAAGUUUGGCUUGUCGAGCCUCGAGGCACUCAGACUUCUCCUAGAAGUAGGUAGCGUGGCUGGUCGGGCUCAGAUCUAGAGGCGUGAGCUCAAAGGCUGCAUCAGUGGCAUGUCCCCCCCGGAUGUAGAAGCACUCACGUGCCUGGGAGUGGUUGUUGGCCUCAUCGAAGUUGUACUAUAGUUCGAGCCCCGAGAGUGACUCUAGAAAGUUCUGAAGUGAGGGAACGCCAACCCUCGUCAUGCCUGAGAGGAAGACAUUGUACGACAUCUCCUAGCUCACGAGACGCUCCAACUUGAGCUGGAAUGAUGCCGCGAUGUUGUAAAUCCCAUAUGUCAGGUCUGGGAGGACAUACAAGAAGUGAUGCCACGGUGGUAGUUCAUCUCCAGCGAUGAUCUGGUGAUGAACAACGUGUAGAACAUCCGACAACACUUCACUACGGUGGGAUUUAGGCCCAGACUAAGUCGGAUCUGCUAGGCCAGGAGCUUCAGGUCUGCUCCUAGGAUGACUUUGAGGAAACUUCAUUGGAGGACAGCGAGUCCUUGACUUCUUUAGAGUGUACGUGCUAGUGUACCCAAUGGAUAUAGUCCCCGAGUGAUUUGUAGAAUCUAUCAGGGUUCUGUUGAUCUGUUAUCUUAUUCUCAGGGACUUAAUUAACAUAAUCUUAUGUUAGACUCUUGUCACCUACUCUCUCGAUCUCUAGUGCACGAUCGUAGACGCUCGAGAUGGAGAAGCUAUGACAACAGUAGCGAGAAGAGGCAAAACCCCUAGUUCGAUUAGAUGCGUUUUGGUGUUGCCCAAUAAUCUGUUUAUAUUGGCAUGUCCAACAUGAUCUCAUGUCGUGAUCACGGUCUAAAUUGUUUAGGACUCCUAUCUGUAAACUUAAAGACCAAGUAACCAAAAACUAAUCUGCAAAAAAGAGGCCAUGCCCUACAAGGUUAGGUGUCGGAUUUCGAUGGACCAUUCAUGCAGGUGCCGAGCGCUCGCGCUCUUUGCCUGGCAGACAAAACCCCUAGCUCAACUAAAUGUGUUUUGGCACGGGUCGAUAGGCUGUUUACAUUUGCCUGCACAAACUUAAGGCAAAAAGUAACUAAAAACUAAAUCUGCAAAAAGAUGUCGCACCCCAUAGGACCAAAGGCAUUCACAUAGGUAUUGAGAGUUGGCACCCUUUGCUUGGCCCGAGUCAGUUACCGAGCGAGUACCUCAUACUAGAUUUGAGGCAGUGAAGAGGACUUGUAUAUUUAAGCACCGCUACCUUCACUUACAAAAGCAAGCUGGGACUAAAAGUCUCCUACUUCUACUCUUUACUCACAUGAAUGGGCUUUUGAAAUUUCUUCAUGGGAAUUUCAGAAUUUCUAUUAGGCCAAGCCCAUUUAUUCCAACAGAUUAGCCAUAUAUAUAGACCAGAUGCAUGAUUGGCCAUUUGAAUUUUCUUGGUUUGUCUCUAAAAAAUGAGUGUAUGUGUUGCAUGCAUUUUGUUAAGAAAAGACGAGGUCAAUAACAAGAACACUGCAAACAUGCAUAGAGAGAAAACUAGGGAACACCAAAAACAGAGGUGGGUAGAGGCGCUACCAACAGAGAUGGAACGAUUUAAUUAGUCUAUGGUUUAGAGCAAGUCAAAGUCGCCAUCAGCAUCGAACCCUGUCUGCAGUGGAAGUCUCCUCCCAUGCAACCCGACAUGGUAUCUGGUAAACAGAGUACUGUAUCUGUAUCUGUCACUAGUUCUUUCAUUUGUUGCUUGAUUUAUCAUGCAUCCAUAGACGAUUGAAGAGGUAAAUUGGGGCAAUUUGCAAUAAAAGACAGGUCGAUUUGAGCAACUAGUAUGCAUGAUUAUUGGUCGUUAGUACGCAAUAAUUCAUGAAUAAGGCAUGUCUGACUUCAGUUUUCAUGCUUGGUAGUACAAUAUACUCCCGGCCGUCUUACCAGAUCCCUGAGGCGCAGACAAAUUUUUUGUCAUAUUUAUAUAUAAUUCCUAGUUACAUGCAUGUAAGUAAGCGAUCGAUGAGCUGUACAGAAUCAGACUACGACCUAGAUUGAAACAAAUGAGAAAGUGAGCACAUGAUAGCCAUGCUCUCUCUGACCCUAGCCAUCGGGUGGUGAUCGGACGCCGAGCAUGGAGCCACGCGCGACGUCACCUGAGCUGGAGUCCUCCACAAGCGUUUCAGCUGAGCUGGAGUUAUUGCCUGCUGUCACCUCGCCUUCACUAGUCACUUGCACUUCUAUCCAGGCCUUGUUUAGAUGUAAAACUUUUUUGGAUUUUAUUACUAUAUCACUUUUGUUUGUUUGUGGUAAAUAUUGUCUAAUCAUAGAAUAACUGGAUCAAAAGAUUCGUCUCGUGAUUUACAGGUAAACUGUGUAACUAGUUUUUGUUUUCGUCUAUUUAAUGCUUGAUGCCUAUGUAGCAAGAUUCGAUAUAACGAGGAAUCUUGAAAACUUUUUGGUUUUUGGAGUGAAUUAAACAAGGCCUUAGUAGUAUAAACAAAGAAGACUUCAAGUCGUCUUCUCCGCUGGCUCCUUCUUCUCCGAUCUCUCCCCAUUGCUAUAGCUGAAGGCUCGGUGGCGUCCACGUCCAUCGUCGCCGCCGAGAUGAGGCACGACAGUCCGCCGGGCAUGGAGAUGCAACGACCGCCGCCGGCAAUGGUGCCUCCACCAGCUUAUUAUAUGUCUAGUUCUAUAUAUAAAUAUAUAUGCAUGUCUAGUUCUUUUUUUCCUUAUAUAUAAGAAAACGCCCUCAAUUCGCCAAAAUAUCUACUGUAGAUUGAUGGAAGGCAUGCCAAACUCUGGUCAUCACUGUUAUAUAUAAAUAUCCUUAUUAACACAGAAAUUUGUGGAACAAGAGAAGAUAAAACGAACUAGCAGAGGUACGCUGUCUUGUCUGCUAUGAAUAAGAUUAACCAAACACUCAGCAGAGCUUGCAAAUUAACAUUUUGUUACACUCCAAUGGGCGCCCGGAGUUGCGCAGGAAGACCGAAGGAGCCCGCCGGGACAGCAGAGCUUGCAAAUUAACAUUUUGCUCAGGUAUGCAGUUCAUCUGCAUGAGUGUCCCCUUCGUUCUUCUUUGCGUCAGGAUCACGUACUGAUAUGUCUGAAACUGACUAUGAACACUCAUGUUAGCUACUCGAUGAUCGCGUGGGUGGCGUCGGCGCACAAGGGGAAGUCACCGGAGGUGGACUACGGCUUGCGCGCGACGACGACGCCGGGAAAGGUGUUGGGCUUCUUCGGCGCACUCGGCGAUGUGGCGUUCGCCUACGCCGGGCACAACGUGGUGCUGGAGAUCCACCAUGUUAGAAAUAUUCAGCAUUUGACUAGUAUUAGUGGUAGUCCUCUUCAUACGUGAUCAUGCAUAUGCAUUUGACUAGUAUUAGUGGUAGGCCUCUUCAUACGUGAUCAUGCAUAUGCAUUUGACUAGUAUUAGUGGUAGGCCUCUUCAUACGUGAUCAUGCAUAUGUGUUGUACUAAACAUAGAGCAUUAGUCAUAGACUAGAUCCUUGUCUUUGGGCUUUGUACGGUUGUAACAACUCAUCUCCUGUAAGCCACGGUGGGGGCUUUUCCCACCUUUACUUAACACGCAACCGUGAGCCUCAACAGGCAUCACGUUACCACCAUUCAUUCAUUCUAACACACCAUCCCGUCGACGCCGGAGAAGCCGUCCAAGAAGCCCAUGUGGAAGGGCGCCGUCGUCGCCUACGUCGUCGUCGCCGCAUGCUACUUGCCGGUCUCGCUCGUAGUGGUGGGCACAAUUGUGUUCAUUGGUAUUCAGUUGAAUACCCAAAAUUUUUGGCAAAAAAAUUUAUAUAUAUAGUAUUUAUACAUAUGUGUAUUAGUGUAUACAAGAAAAACAAAAAAUAUUGCCUCCUGUCACACUCGUGCAAAGGUGAAUUACGUAAAAAUAUUCCCUAGCAUGAACUAUAUACAGUAUCUAUCAUAUAUGGCACUAUACAUAUCGAAUACGAGUCAUUUGGUUGUCAAAAAAAAUUUAAAGCCAUUUAGUUGUCAAGUGUUUUUUUUUAAUACCCAGCCCUCAAAUCCUGUACCCGCCACUGCUCGCUCGUCGGAUAUUGGGCGUUUGGCAACCAAGUUGAUGAUAACGUCCUCAUCAGCCUCAGGAAACCCAAGUGGCUCAUCGCCCUCGCCAACAUGAUGGUCGUCGUUCAUGUCGUUGGCAGCUACCAGGUAUAUAUAUAUAUAUAUAUAUAUAUAUAUAUAUAUAUAUAUCGGAUAAUGAAAAAAAGAAUGACCGGGCAAAACUUCUCUACAUCAUAGGUCUCCGAAAUUGUGAGUGUAUUAUAAGAGAGAAAAAAACGAUUGUUUUUUUGGAGUUCUACAUCCAAAUUAAAGGUGUUGUACAGAUAGUCAGAUAUGUACCCUCCGACUCAAAAAAACUUAAGUUUUGAUUUUUGAUAAAUCAAACUAUCUUAAAUUCAACCAAAUCCAUAGAGAAGUUCGCUACCAUUUAUAUAUAUGACACCAAAUAUAUUUACUAUAAAAAUAUGUUGCAUGACGAAUCUAAUGAUACUUUCAUACUUAAGAUCUAUUUGGUACAAGAAUUAAUUGGUACCUAGCUAUAGUAUUCAAACAGUGGAGCUUAUAGAUGAACUAAUUUUUAUCCAAACUUUCAACUAGUUGUUUGCCAACCUUAGUUAAUUUAAGCUAAUUUUUAGCUCAACUAGUACAUAGGCCUAACUCACCAAACAUGCCCUUAUUUUGUAAUAUAAACAUUAGUACAUAUUCUAGUGUAUAAUUUAAGGUAACAAAAGAAACAAAAAUUCAGGUAGGGAGGAAAGAAACAAAAUAUAGCAGAAACCUAAUAAAACUACUCUUAAGGUAUCCCAAAAAUCUUAGAGAGUCAAAAUAUUUUAAAUUUUAUUAAAUUUAUAUGAUGAGAUAAUAAUAUUUAUGAUGUUAACUAAGUAUUAUUAGAUUCUUUAUUAACUAUAAUUUCAUAGUAUAUCUAUUUGAUAUUGCAAAUCUUUAUAAUAUUUAUAAUUUUCAGUCAAACUGAAGAUAAAUUUAGAACACACGAUAACACGAUAGAAAAUUUUGGGCCAGUGUCGUGAACAGAUGCUUAAUGAUAGUUAAAUGAAAUAAGUCCACUUUAGGUCCCUCAACUUUUACGAAAAUCUGAUUUUUAUUAUUCCUAAACUCUAAAACCGGACAAAAUAUAUCUCUCAAAUUUUAAAAUCAUGCACAUUAUAUCCUUGACCGGGUUUUAAAAGCGGUUUUGUCUUUUUUUAUCUCGGCUGAAUUUUUUGAAAAAUCACUGUAAAUCACAUAAAAAUCAUAAAAUAGAAAACUCAACUUUGUUGGACUUUAGAUGAGUAGAUCUACAUAUUGGAUAUAUAAUAUAGUAUGUUUUAGUAUAAUUUUUUUAUGUAGCUUUAGAUCUAUGUUUUUCUGUAAUUAAUUAGACUAAUUAUAGCUACAGUUUCUAUAGUCCAAUUGUGAUGAAAAUUAUAUAGUGGGAUAAUUAUUCUAUGCUUGAGUUAUAGUAAAAAUUUUAUACUCAUUGGAUCAUGUAUUACUUAGUUAUAGAUUUAUUUAAGUUUAUGCUUGUUAAAUUUAUAACUAAGUUAUACAUGAUCUAAUGAAUAUGUAAUUUUUACCACAGUUUAAACAUAUAGUAAUUAGCCCAACAUAAAAAAUUCACAAUUGGACCAUACAACCUAUAGCUAUGAAUUAUUCUAAUUAAUUAUAGAAAAACAUAGAUCUAAAGCUACAACAAAACUUUGUACUAAAGCAUACCAUAUUAUAUGUUCACUAUGUAGAUAUACUCAUCUGGAGUCCUAGAAAAUUAGAUUUGUUAUUUUAUAAAUUUUAUGUGAUUUACUAUAAUUUUACAAAUAUUCAGCCGAAAUAAAUAAAUAAAAGACAAAACUGUCUUCAAAACCGCUCAUAACCAUGUUAGGGACUUAAUAUGCACGAUUUCAAAAGUUAAGAGAUGUAUUUUACCUGAUUUUAAAGCUCAAUGAUAAAAAAUAAACUUUCAUGAAAAUUGAGGGGUUAAAGUGGACUUUUUCCUAGUUAAAUUGUCCGGCCAAUUGUUUGCAUGCAUUCUGUGUUGGACUCCUAUUUGAUGUGGGAUUUAAUAUUUUUCUUUUUCUAUUGUUAUUUAUGUAAUACAGCCUGGCCCAUAGAGGCCCAGCGGUACCCAUAGGCCACUAAGAUAAGUGGAAAAAAAAAAGCGUAACCACAAUGAACUAUAACCACAAUUCACAAGUUACUUCACAACUGCCCAACAUUAGAAAAUUGGGUGGGGUUCUCAAAAAAUGAAAAUUAGCUAGGUGGGGACUAUACCCAUGAGACAACCAUAGGUAGUAUAUAUCUAUCAUAAUUAUGCAAUUGGAAAGAAAAAUCACAGCUCUCUCAUCCAUUGAAUGAUUUAGAGCACGGACACAUGGCAUGAAUCCACGAUGGGCACCCACCGUUACGUCAUGGGCAUAGUCCUCACAUAAUUUUUUUUCCUCCAACAUACACAUGACCUUUCAAGCAAUAAAUCUAUAUUACUAUGAUCUAACAGCUUAGAUUAGACCAAACAUUCUAUGUCUAAUACAAUUAAUAAAUAGUAAGUUCAAAAUAAAAAAUCAAAAAUCAAAUAGCAUAUUCAAAGAAUAAAUUAAGAGAAAAUAAAACGUUGUUUUUUGACACGAAUUGAAACCAGGUAUAUAUAGCCACCACACUAGAUAGAAUGGACAGUGGAAGAAAAACUAGGAGAUACACCAGGUAUAUGUAGGUGACGAGUCCAUCAAGCACUGAGUUGAUUAGGAUCAAUCUGCUCUGGUGUUUAAGUAAGGCGGCCUACCACCCUGAUAAUCUUUUGUCAACUUUGGCAAUCAGAGGUGCAAAGGCUGAGAGGUUGAGCUUUGUGUUGGACAGUGGUAGACCGAGAUACACUUGAGGGAAAGAGCCUUGUUGACACUGCAGAAGUCAUAAAAUACGGUCUAGAGUUCCUUGUUGUAUGUGCAUGGGCACAAGGGUGCUCUUGCUGUAAUUGAUUUUUAGUCCCGUGGCCGCAGAGAAGUCAGCAAGAACCUUUUUUAGUUUCCGAAUAUCGACCACAUCUGCCCUGACCAAUAAUAGUGUGUCGUCCGCGUAUUGGAGCACCGGGCACGGUCCAUCAUGGAUGGGGUGUCUGAUAGAGCCUUCAGUCUUGAUCAUUCUUUGAAGCACGUCAGCAACGAGCAGGAAAAGAUACGGAGAUAGGGCAUCACCUUGUCUCAGUCCCCGCCUGGAGCGAAUCCAAUUUCCAGGGCAGCCAUUCACCUUAACCGCUGAGUGGGAAGAAAUAAACAGCUGCUGCAUCCAAAUUAACCAUUUAUCUAGGAAGCCUCUAGCAUAUAGUAUUUUGAGAGUACUGUCCCAGCAGACAGAGUCAAAGGCUUUGGCGAAGUCCAGUUUUAGCACCACAGUUGGAAUUUUCCUUUUGUGACAUAGCUGCACUAAUUCGGUGGCAUAGACAAAGUUUUCAGAAAUUGACCUGCCCUUGAUGAAGCCAGUUUGAUCAAUGUCAAUCAGAUCACCGAUGUGUCGUUGCAGCCUCGUAGUUAGGAUCUUGGUGAUGAUCUUGACCGGGCAGUUCUGUAGCGAGAUAGCCCUGAAAUCCUUCGGAGUAGCAGGAGCUGGACAUUUGGGAAGCAGGAUGAUAUGAGCUUUGUUGACUCUGUCGAGAUCCGCACAGUUGUUGCAGAAACUUAGAAGGAAGGCCAUGACGGAGUCCCUGACAGAAGUCCAAGUUGCACGGUACCAUCAGGACCAAAGCCGUCGGAGUCGGGGGUGCUGUUGAUGUUCAUGCUUUUGAUUGCGAGGAUGGCUUCAGCUUCUGUAAAAGGGGCGGUGAGAUCAUCGAGCAAAUGUCCAUAGAGAAAGUCACUGGGCGCUGUUUUAUAAUGGCAUGAAGAUAACAAGGAAGAUAUAUUAUUGGGGUGCGCCAUCUUUUUUCGGUUAUUUGAAUUGUCGCGUCAUUACUAUAUAUUAAGAUAUAUAUUUUUUGAUCGGUGUACGGUUCUCCACGCUUGAAAACCAACACCGAAGCAAUUGCACCGAAACAAACAACCAAAAAAUAGAUAAUUCGGCUAGAUUUGGUACGGUUCUCGGUUCUUGGUUCAAAAUAACCUAGCCCUACCAUACCAAUGUCCUUGUUUAGUUCUUUUUUUAAAAAAAAAAUAAAUAAUGUAGCACUUUUAUUUGUAUUUGAUAAAUAUUGUUCAAUUAUGAACUAACUAGACUUCUAAGAUUCGUCUCACAAAUUACAGACAAAUUUUACAAUUAGUUAUUUUUUAUUUAUAUUUAAUGCUCUAUGCAUAUGCCAUAAGAUUCGAUGUGAAGGAAAAAUCUAAAAAAAUUUGCAAUUUUUUUAAGAACUAAACAAGGCCCAAGCAGGUUCUUAAAAAUUUCCAAAGAUCCCGAAAGGUACACCAUAAAGCGGUCCACUGGUCCUGAAAAUGUACUCCUACUAUAGGAUGUUCCUGAAGGUACACAACGUACAAGUUGAUCACCUUUGAUUUCUCGAUGUAAUAUAUAAGUGGUUUAAUUCUUGGUCAUAAGGGUUGAAUCCCGAUGCUUAUUAUUUCUUUAUGUCAAAAAAUUCUGCAGAGCAAGUCAAAGUCGCCAUGGAUGAAGACUUGCCUGCAGCCGGAAGUCUCCUGGCAAAUUCGCAUGCAAACCAGUACGGUAUAAUAAACAAACAAAGUACAGUGUGGCAUUCACAAUUUCGUUCACCCAGCUAUAUAUAUAUAUAUAUAUACUCCCUCCGUUAUUUUUUAAUUGUCGCUUGCAUUUUUCAAAAAACAACUAUCGGCAAUUAUAUAUUAAAAAUAUUAAUAUUUAUAAUAUAUAAUUAGUAUUAUUAGAAAGAUUUUUGAAUCUAUCUUUUUAACAAAUUUAUUUAUAGAUACAAAUAUUGCAUGUAUUUUCUACAAAUCGAGUCAAACUUGUGACACGUAUACAAACAGGCGACAAUUAAAAAUGGAUAGAGAGAGCAUGUAGUACGUUCUUCUACAGUGUUUUGCAAAAUGUUUUGGAACUAAACAAGGCCAAGCUUGAGGAAGUAAACUGAGGUAGUAGAGUAACUAGCAAGACAGGUGGCUUUAAGCAUGAUUGACGUUAGCAAAGUCAUGAACAAUUAACAAGACGUGUUUUGACUUGAAUCUCCGGGGCCGGGGGUAGUACAAUGCAACAUGAAAACGGGACGUCUGACCAGAUCGUGGCGCCUCAGCCGCACAAAUUUAAUUUCCUCUCGAUCUCCUAUUUGAAUUAUCUACAAAUAAUUCUGCUCCUAUUUGUGACGUUACAUCAUGUAUGUAAGCUCUACGAAAUUUGCCAGGGUACCUCUUGAAAACUGAGCUAACUACUCCUAGAUUGACCACGUGAUAGGCAUGUCCGCUCUCCCCCGGACCAUCCGAUCGAUGUACACUAGCUGGCUGGGCUCCCCGGGUCGUCCUCGGCAAGUGCAUCAGCUAUUCAGCUCUGAGCUGGAGUCGCCUGACAUCUCGUUUUCACUUGUACGGUUGCACUUCUAUAAGCGAAUUAAGCAACGAAGACUUCAACUCUCUGCUACCUCCUGCUGCUCCGAUCUCUCUCCAGUCUCCAUUGCUAGCUAGCUGAAGGCUCCGUGGCGGUCAUAUCGCCGUCGAGCUGAGGGGCGGCGCCGACCGGCGACCGGCCAGCCAUGGAGAUGCAGCCACAGCUCGCCGACUGUUCUCCGGAUAAGGUGCGUUGGUCCAGCACUACAUACUCAAUUCGCGCCAAGAUAUAGAAUUUCCUUGGUGAUGACUGAUGACUGAUGGAACUCUGUGCAGCUUGCCAGCGUCGCUCUGACACCCAGAGGGCGCCUGGACUCGCAGGAAGGCCGGUGGCCGGCGCAGGAGAAGGACAUCGACGAUUGGCUCCCCAUCAACGCGAGGAGGAACGCCAAGUGGUGGUACUCCGCCUUCCACAAUGUCACCGCCAUGGUCGGCGCCGGCGUGCUUGGCCUUCCCUACGCCAUGUCCGAGCUUGGCUGGUACUAUACCUACGAACGAGUGCCAUACUGCCAUGAACAUGUCAUCGCAGCAUCGCUGUUAUCUAUAUACUUUUCCAUGGACAUGGAUCGGAGAUCGUGUUCUGAACUCUGAAUUCAUUCGCAGGGAGGUUGGCAUCACGGUGCUGCUCCUGUCAUGGAUCAUCACGCUGUACACGCUGUGGCAGAUGGUGGAGAUGCACGAGAUGGUGCCCGGCAAGAGGUUCGACAGGUACCACGAGCUCGGGCAGCACGCGUUCGGCGAGAAGCUUGGCCUGUGGAUCGUCGUGCCGCAGCAGCUGGUGGUGGAGGUCGGCCUCAACAUCGUCUACAUGGUCACCGGCGGCCAGUCCCUGCAAAAGUUCCACGACGUGGUCUGCGGCGACAAGCAGUGCAAGGACAUCAAGCUCACCUACUUCAUCAUGAUCUUCGCCUCCUGCCACUUCGUCCUCUCCCAGCUCCCCAACUUCCACUCCAUCUCCGGCGUCUCCCUCGCCGCCGCCGUCAUGUCGCUUUGGUAGGCAGGCACACUUCAUCUCUUCCACUGCUUUGUUAUUAUUUCGUUCUUCUCUGCCAUGGAUCAAGGUCACUGAUGAUAUAUAUAUGCUGGCCAUGGCGGCAGCUACUCGACGAUCGCAUGGAUCGCGUCGGUGCAGAAGGGGAAGUCGCCGGAGGUGCACUACGGCCUGCGCGCGACGACGACGCCGGGGAAGGUGUUCGGCUUCUUCGGCGCGCUCGGGGACGUGGCGUUCGCCUACGCCGGGCACAACGUGGUGCUGGAGAUCCAGGCCACCAUCCCGUCGACGCCGGAGAAGCCGUCCAAGAAGCCCAUGUGGAAGGGCGUCGUCGUCGCCUACAUCGUCGUCGCCGUGUGCUACUUCCCUGCCUCACUCGUCGGCUACUGGGCCUUCGGCAACAGCGUCAACGAGAACAUCCUUGUCACACUCAACAAGCCCAAGUGGCUCAUUGCCCUCGCCAACAUGAUGGUUGUCGUUCAUCUCAUUGGCAGCUACCAGGUAUAUAUUUAUAUCUAUGCAAAUAUUUCUUCUCUAGAUGAUUUACCAUAUAUAUAUAUAUAUAUAUAUAUAUAUAUAUAUAUAUAUAGUUAAAGAUAUCCUAGCCCUCUAAUUCAAAACAUGCAAACAUAUAAAAAAAUUACAUCAUGUAUGUUUUCCACAAGUCUUGGUGGUAUGGAACUAUAUAUCUAUAUGGACGACAGUGAUUGUGGUUGUUGGCGCAGGUAUAUGCGAUGCCAGUGUUUGACAUGAUAGAGACGGUGCUGGUCAGGAAGUUUGGGUUCCGUCCAAGCUUGAUGCUCCGUCUCAUUGCCCGGAGUGUCUAUGUCGGUAAAUGGCUCUACCAUCUGAACUCUGAAUAAAAGUCUUCAGUCUGAACUCAGAAGGUCUGAAAACUAGACUGAUGUGAUGCAACUGUAUGUACGUACGUGCAGGGUUCACAAUGUUCGUAGCCAUCACCUUCCCGUUCUUCACUGCAUUGCUCAGCUUCUUUGGCGGAUUUGCCUUCGCACCGACAACGUAUUUUGUAAGCUCCCAUUGAUCCAUUUACCCCCUUCUCUUGCUGCUACAAUAGUUAAUGUCUUAAUCGUCAAGAUUUACAUUCUUCCUAUUCCUAUUCGACUGGUAACAAAUCAUAUAUAUGAUGAACAGUUAAUUAAGAGGUGUAAUCAAGUGUACAACUGUAACAUGAGAGUUGAUUGAUUCAUGCUUGUUUCUGACAGCUUCCUUGCAUCAUGUGGCUCACAAUAUACAAACCCAAAACUUUCAGUAUCUCGUGGUUUACCAACUGGGUAAGAACCAAGUUGACAAUCCAAGAGUAUUUUUCUCACUUCUGUAGAAUGGACGUAUCUUCUUAUUAUAACCACUCUCUUUGUUGUCCAUGUUCUUCAGAUCUGCAUUGUCCUAGGUGUUUUGCUGAUGGUACUGUCACCAAUCGGUGGACUUCGGGAGAUCAUCUUGAAAGCCAAGACAUACCACUUCUACCAGUAAACAUGAUUAAUUCAACACAAAAACCAAGGUUGGUGUUGUAGUUAACAAAUGUUCGACAUGUCCCAAGUUUUGAGUGGGACACAACAUUUAUCUUCAUCUUGGCAAAAGAAAUUUUCAAUUUGGGUUACGUCUUACCAAGUUUUUGUCAUGGAACAAGAUGGGAUGUGUCAUGAAAGCUUUGUUGCUGCUCAUGACAAUCUGUGACAUGUCGUGGUUGUUAACCUAGGAGUUUGUUUUGUGAUACCAUAUACAUGUGUAUAUCUUGUUUGUAUAUAUUCUAGGAAAGAGUUAGCUUAUUUGUGCAUUAUUAGGGAGAAUGAGUGAUGGUGGUUUGUAUUUCUUUCAUCCAUAGUUCAUUGAUGGUUCCUAAUUAAUAUCACAUUACAAUUCAAACAACCUUUAUGUAUAUUAGUCCAUCAAUCCAUGCUUCUCAAUGGGACAAUAAUUUCAAGAAACAAUUGUAAGAAGUUCAUGGGUAAAUUUAAGGACCAUGCUUAAUCAAAACAAAUUACAUUGUUAUAUUGUUCAUAUACCUUGUAAUCUUUAUUUGGUUGUGAUAGGAUUUAGUUACCAAUUGUUAUGUAUGUUUUCCUUUCAAUUCAUAGUUUUCCUCAUUAAUUAUCGUACCUCCAUGCAUGUAAAUGUGUUUUUCAUAAAAAAAUAUAUAUAUAUAUAUAUAUUACAAUACAGAUGUCUACACUACAAGCACACGCCCUCAUGGACAUACAAACACAUCCUACCCCCAAUAUAUGCCUCCGAGGUACCAACCACUUAAACCUUGAGAUUGGCAAAGUGGUGGAACCCAUUAUGCACAAUACCUACAUAUUUGAAUUUCAUACUAAUAUUGUUGAUUAUAUUUCAUAACCCCAACAUAUUUCACUCUAGAUUUGGUUUUGGCUUAUGGUGUAUGUAUUUGGGAAAAAACUGGCUAUUUUAGAUAGAAGAAGAUGUGGUGCCCUUGAAGUGGAUUGAGCUCGUGAAGGAUAAGCCUAGCCAUGCUCAAUUGAGUCAUAGGUGAUUGGCUACAAAUUAUGUGGGUCAACUAGAACCCAACUUGGUCUUCACAUACCCAAAUCAACCAUCAUCGGCUUAGAAUGCUUAGGCAUGAACCAAGUGAGGUUUUGAUAGUUUUAUUCUAAAGAUAGGUAGAGAUUUUUUUAGAAAAGGAAAAGGCAAGAUAUGUAUUAUCUUUAUGGGGUAUAUUUGGAAGGUUUUGAGGAAUGAGCCCACUUGUAAGUGGCUCUAAAGGCUCCAAAAGAACUCUAGAAUCAAUAUAGAAUUUAUUUGUGUUGAAGGAUGCAAGAGAAGACAAAUGGAAGUUGAGCUCAUCAACUCCACCCAUUGAACCGAUUGACUCAUCAUCCCCUCCCAUGACACACUUUGUGGCAUCUACAAGAACUCACAUAAAUCUAUGCACACUCAUGGUAUCCCUACAAACACAUGCAUGCACACUCUACCACUAUGGAUACCUCUCUCGGAUGAGAUUGAGAAUUCAUCACGUGCACCUCACAAUCAUUGGUACAUAGGGACAAACUGUUGUUGGGCCUUAUGGGAUAUGGUCCAAGCCUGCCCAAGGUGGCCCAAGUGACAAGCUUGCCCAGACGGCCGAGUCAUCAGAGUACAAAGGCACAAGCAAUCGAGCGAAGAGGGCAUCAAACAAAUUAUCAGAAAGCAUAUUAUCUUCUCUAGUUUAUUGCAAGUACUUUACUCUUCUUCUUCCCAACUCUCUUGUACCCAGAUUCCUACCUCCUUCUAGAGCCUUCUAGAUACUGUCGUUGUGAGAUUCAAUUGUCCAGGAUUGGGGUUGCUAACAAUUACCUAACAAAGAGCAGUUAUCAGAGAAAUAUGAUCGUUGUGGACAAGUCUAGCCACAAGAAACCUAAGCUAACAAGCUAUGGUCCUAAUCAAACUAUAACUUUUAUAGAACAAACAUAGUGGAAAUAAACUCAAUCCACUGAUCAAGGGCUCAAGGCCCAUGUGCUCAAUAAAGAACAACAAAGAUUAUAUGAGCAAUAAAUUUGCUGUAGAUUGCUCUUCCUUUUAUCUACAAAGCUAUUCACAUACACGUGUGCAAACUCAUCCUUUCAAAUGCUCAAGUGUAUACUCUAUCCUAAUAGCUCGCACACCAUUUUGUCGUAUAAACACAUACGAGAGAUUUUUUAUAAAGGAACUUUGAUUUAUAUGAGUCAGUUACAUCAAGAAGAUGCAAUAGCACUAUGAUCUAUCAUUACCGGCCUCUACACACCUAGGGUGCACAAAGCAUAAGAUAAUAGUCUUUAUUCUAUCCACUAACAUGACAAACUUGGAUCACGACGAAGACUCCUGGAAAGCAAUGUCUCUAAGUGAGACGCCAAUAAAGGUCAGACCAUAGUUUUCAUCCUGGAGAGGCUCGUAUUUCACAAUGCCUUCAACAAGGCCAACCGAUAGUAGUCCUAGGAAUUCUCCCCCAAAGUCAAACAAUAGUUGCCGAUGGAGUACCACCAAAUCAGAGAUCUCCAAUGGUGCCUCCACCCUCUUUCCAAGCCACACAGUCUUAGCUAAUAACCAAUGACCACUUACUUUACAGUAGAUAAAUGAUCUUUAGGUGUUCCACUCUAUGAUACAUAGUCACAAGGUAGCCAAUAGGCUAAUGACUAGAAUCAGCAAGAUCCAUUUAAAAAUGGGAUGUGUUGCUCAUGUAGGCGAUUACAUGAUUACAUGCCAAAAUGACAUUAGUCCUAGAUCUUGUAUGAAUGAUAGAAGCAAGGGAUGAAAUGUCAAGGCAAGUAGUAGUUGCACUGACAAGAACAUCAACCUUAGUUACCUACAAGACUAUCCUACACUAAAACUGAUGAUAGUCGUGGCAUCGCAUACAAGAGACAAGUGAGGAGAAUUUGAGCAUGGUGAAGCGAAGAAGCAUCUAGUCCAACAGAGGAGGUAUAGCAGUGGCACAAACAAGAAAUUGGCAAUCAUACAAUAGACUAGCAUAUGUUGAAAUUGACAAACUUCCCAUAAAAGUGUGCAGUCCGUGAAUUUGAACCUAGGUACGAGUAGGUCCCAUCACCGGCGACCUAACAUCAGUAACAAACCGACCCAGUUGGGAUCUGCAGAUAGAUCGGUCAUUUGAACUAUUCGAUCAUCAAUCAGAACAGUGAGUCAAGUCGACGAUCCAUGGCAAGACUUGUCAGCAUCCGGAAAUCUCCAGGAAAAAUCGCAUGCCAUCGCGCGCUCGAGAUAAUCCGAUGGUUUCACUGUUUCAUUAUAUAUUCAGUUGAACUCCUUUUACCAUUCAGCUAAGCUAAUUAACUGAUAAGAGGGCUUGAGGUAAAACGAGGAAAACAAAGCUUGACUUGUCGCUUUGGUCAGCAAGAAUGGCAGGAGCUGGAUGCUAGACGAGGAAGCCUGAAAAGGCCACGUAGCAAACGCAAGACCUUUCUCUUCUUUUUUUUUAUCUCUUUCUCUCUCUAGCAUGACCAAUAUAUAUACGUAUAUAUUUGCGUGUAUUUCAUCAUGAAGAAAGAAGACAACAUGUAUGAUUGUUGACUGACUAUUGGUGUUAACGUGACAUCGAUCUGACCCGACUGGCGCGAACUGAACCACGUAAUUAAAUCCUAACCCUAUUUCCAAAACAAAAAAAUUGGCCAGUCAUGUUAUUGUCUUCGAUUCAACUCAAGCGGACCCAAGCGGUCUCUUCUAAAAUAUUAACGUGUGCAGACCAAUUACGUGUUGAAAAAAGAAGAACAGUCGUAUUUGUGUAACAUCGAAACUUAAAUCUGUUUGUUAUUAGAAGCGCGUGCGUUUGUAUGAUUCAGAUCUUCUAUAUUAACUACAAAACAAUAUGCAGAUCUUUUGUGUAUUUAAAAAAAAGAAGCCAACUUAUUUUAAAUUUAAUUAGAUUUAUAAAAUAUAUAUAGUACCAAUAUUUUUUAAUAUAUAUAUAUAUGACAUGAUUAAUUUAAUAGCAUUUAUUCUUAUUAUCAAAAUAAUAUUUUUAUAUAUACUUUGAUUAUAUUUGAGAUUAAUUGAUUUCUCGAAAUAAGAUGAACAGAGGAAGUGAGCUAUGAAAUUUCUAAAGGCAAGAGACUGUCCGGAAGCAAAACAAAUGAGAAAUCUGGCACCUGAUUUCCAUGGCGGGUCUCACCCGGAACGUCCGAUGGGGAUCGGACGCCGGGCUUGACUCCCGAUCCCGGGUCGUCGGAGCUUCCCUUUCCUUUCCUUUCACCGGUGCUCCAUAUAAAGAAGAGACGAGCUUGUCCCGGACGCCGCCUCCGCUAGCUACCUCCCUCUCCGUUAUUGCUCAUGACUCUGCUGGCCUCCUCUGGCUCUCUCCCUGCCAUGGCAUCCACCGGUGAGGCACUCUCGCCGCCGGCCAUGGAGAUGCGACCAUUGGACACCUAUUCUCCGGCCAAGGCACGCCCACCACCUACACACCAUGACCAUCUUCACUCCAGUUUCUUCAAUCUUCAUCAUGUUUGCCGCCCGGCUUUAUCAGCUGCUGCUGCUGCUGCUUCUUCUUCUUCUCUUCGCUAUAAUCAGCAUAUCUCAUUAUUUAUUGUUAUUUUAUUACUACUUUCGUCCAUUUUUUUUCAUUUUGACAAGAUAUAAAGCUUUCGAAACCGUUUCAAACAUGAAAUUAUUAAAAUUUCAAAUCCUUAAAAGAAAAGGUUUAUAUAAAAGCUAAGAGAAUACUUAUUAGUGUCGUUUUACAACGGAACGAUUGGGUUUUACUGUCAGAUUUGUGCAAAUAUUUCUGAUUUGGACGUACUGAAUACGAGAGGUAAGAAAAAUUCAAGCGUUUUAUAGCCUCGUAAAACCUGAAGUUUUGUUUAUGCCUUUGUUACAUUUAGUUUGUACUGAAACUUCAGAUACUUUACAUAUGAGUUACAGUCGCAUACCGGGCAUAAUUUUUUGGCAACGAAGAGGGGUAACAUCAUUUUGGGAGUACAAAGUUAAAUCAGUUUCUUCAAAAUAGUACAAAGUUAAAUCAAACCCAUUUUUGCAAAAACAACAAAAGCUUAGAACCCAAUCUGAAGAUGUCUGAAAAAUCAAGUCUUGGGAGCUUCUUGGACAUAGAUGUUGUUUGUAUAGACGGGAACAGAGGAAGAUAAGCUCCAGAUUUGCUUGUUCUCUUUGGCUCUCGUCUGAUUCAGCAAACUACAAACUCUGCAGCUUGCCACUGUUGCUGUUCCACCCAAAGGGAGGCGUAGGGCGUCAGACGCGCCGCCGGAAGGGGUGGGCCGCUGGAGCGCGCAGGAGAAGCCGACGACGGACGACGACUGGCUUCCCGUCAACGCGAGGAGGAACGCCAAGUGGUGGUACGCCGCCUUCCACAAUGUCACCGCCAUGGUCGGCGCCGGCGUUCUUACCCUCCCCUACGCCAUGUCCGAGCUCGGCUGGUCCGUGUCGUCAUCUAUCCUCCAUCCAUGCAUAUAGGCUGUGUCAUGUCAUGAUUACAGGCAGUUUUGAUGGCUCGUCGUCGUCUUCCUCCCUUCCGGCCGAUAUCAUGAUUCGCAGGGGCGUCGGCGUCACGGUGCUGAUCUUGUCGUGGAUCAUCACGGUGUACACGCUCUGGCAGAUGGUGGAGAUGCACGAGUGCGUCCCCGGGAAGCGGUUCGACCGGUACCACGAGCUGGGGCAGCACGCGUUCGGCGAGAAGCUGGGCCUCUGGAUCGUGGUGCCGCAGCAGCUGGUGGUGGAGGUGGGGCUCAACAUCGUGUACAUGAUCACCGGCGGCCAGUCCCUGCACAAGUUCCACGACGUGGUCUGCCAUGGCCGGUGCAAGGACAUCAAGCUCCGCUACUUCAUCAUGAUCUUCGCCUCCGUCCACUUCGUGCUCUCCCAGCUCCCCGACUUCCACUCCAUCUCCAGCGUCUCGCUCGCCGCCGCCGUCAUGUCGGUCAGCUACUCGGCGAUCGCGUGGAUCGCGUCGGCGGCGCACGGAGUGUCGGCCGACACGGACGCCGUCGCCGACUACCGCCUGCGCGCGACGACCACGCCGGGGAAGGUGUUCGGCUUCCUGGGUGCGCUGGGGGACGUGGCGUUCACGUACGCCGGGCACAACGUGGUGCUGGAGAUCCAGGCGACCAUCCCGUCGGCGCCGGGGAAGCCGUCCAAGAAGCCCAUGUGGAAGGGCGUCGUCGUCGCCUACGUCAUCAUCGCCGCGUGCUACUUGCCCGUCGCGCUCGUCGGCUACUGGGCCUUCGGCAACGACGUCGACGAGAACAUCCUCAUCACCCUCAACCGGCCGCGCUGGCUCAUCGCCGCCGCCAACAUGAUGGUCGUCGUCCACGUCGUCGGCAGCUACCAGGUGUACGCCAUGCCGGUGUUCGACAUGAUCGAGACCGUGCUGGUGAGGAAGUACUGGUUCAGGCCGGGACUCAGGCUCCGUCUCAUUUCCCGGACUGUCUAUGUUGGUAAAUGCAAUGCCUCUGCCUGAAACUAUGAACUGAAAAAUCACACUGCACACUGACACACGAGACUGACAUGAGAUGCAAUGCAAUGCAACAACCUUUGCAGCGCUCACAAUGUUCGUGGCCAUCACCUUCCCCUUCUUCAGUGAACUGCUCAGUUUCUUCGGCGGAUUCGCAUACGCACCGACAAGCUAUUUCGUAAGAUCUGAAUGAUCCUUUUACCCAGCAUGUUUUUCUGUUACAGUAGUUUCAUUUCAUCAGGAUGUACAAUCAGUCAGGUACAGAGUGGAGUUUUUUUUUCAUUAGAGCAGAGCUGACCAAUUCUCUCUUGUUAAUUUCUGCCAGCUUCCCUGCAUCAUGUGGCUCAUCAUCUACAAGCCCAGAAGGUUCAGCCUCUCAUGGUUCACCAACUGGGUAAGAAUAACAUGGAUGCAAUGCAACUGACUAUCCAGACUCCUCUCUCUCUCUCUCUCCAGCAGAAUGUCUGCUUGACCUCUAAUUUCUUUCCCCUGUUUUCUACAUGUUCUUCAGAUAUGCAUUGUUAUUGGGGUGCUGCUGAUGGUGCUGUCACCGAUUGGAGGACUCAGGCAGAUAAUUCUGAAAAUCAAGACCUACAAAUUCUACCAAGACUACCCUAGUUUAAGCCAGGCGCCAUCAUCAGCUAAAACUAGUUUCUGAAUCUGAUCGAUGCCAUGAAAUUCCUCCUUUUUUUUCAGGGUAAGAUACAUGUACAGUCAUGAGUCAUGAUGAUCCGUGACCUGCUGUGGUUCUGUUAAUUCUGUCUCGAACCACGAGAUGGUUUGGGAUUAAACAUUUCUAGGGGAAUUGUUUGUUUGUGUAAUUGUGUUCAGUUUGGACUUGGACCUUGAGAAAGAUGUCUGGGCCUUAUCACUUACACCACGAGUAAAAGUUCCAUUCUUUCUCGAUAACACUAUGUAUUCAGUAUUCUGAAUUUCUGAUGUUCUUCAAAUGAUUCUUCUUAACAUAUUACUCCCUCCAUCCAAAAUCAAAUUUCUAUAACUUUGGUCAAGUUUUUUAAAAAAAACAAAUAAACACAGCAUAUAACUUUUUCAAAUACAGCUCACCCUUAAUUUGGAAGAGGGAGUAGAACUUAAAAAUUAGUUCAUCUUUCACACAAAUUCACAUGUACUAGGAGAACGAUUUUAUCCACAAGCAAAUGUAAUAUCAAAUUCUAGGCGAACAAACAGAUUCAAGGCUACAUGUGGAAUUAAGUCAACUACCCUCCUUAUCUACGCGCCUUAUCCCUACAGCCUUACAUAAUUCUAAACUAAUGCCAGCAGAUAAAAUGGCGUCAAGACCCAUGCUUGUGACCUACGAUAAUACUACUAUAAACAGGUUGGUAAACAUAACGACUGAAAGAUCGUGUAAAUACAUGACAAGCUACAUAUCAAAACUUCUGUCUCAAAGUAACAAGCAACAGGAUCCCAAAGCACAAUAUGAAAGAACAGCAUCUCAUGAAAACUAGUACUCCGGAAAAAGUGAACUGAUCGGUGAAGAACAGGCACUGCAUAAAUUAAAGGCAAUGUUUUCCAUCUAUCAGGCUAACUUUUGUACAGUUUCCGAUAUUACAUUCACAACACGGAAAUGGCUCUAAAACUACCCCUCAAAAACGGCUCGCACCUGCUCAAGAGCCAAGAACCAUCACCAUCCCCUCAACCCUCUCUCCUUCUCAUCCCCUUUUAUGGCCUCAUCAUAUAUGCAAUAAACUCGCCAUUCCAUUUUAUGGAUAUGGAAAGUCCAGAGAUUCUCAAUCCAAACGAUAGGCACACUCCAUGCACUCCUCGCAUGCAGCACGACGAACCUCCAACACGUUUGGGCUCGCUACAUCAUGUGCCAACUUGGCUCCAAAACUUGGGCAGUUACAAAAACGAAUACCAGACCUUCAGGUUCGAUGCGACACGAUCUUUCGUCAGGUCACUUUGUAUACCAAAGAAAAGCUAUCAGAUCAGUCAUGCCAACAGGUCUCCUGUAACGUAUCAAAAAUGGUCCAGAAACACAGUUAAUCUAUUUCUCCCUCUUCAACAUCAACCACUGGUUCAUCUGUGAAAUCAGCAUCCUCAUCAUCUUCAUCAUUUUUCAUGUACAACCCGAGCUUUUCUAGGGUGUUGCUUCCCAUUUCAAACCCAGGACUUGUUUCACCAACCAAGUUGGGUAUCUGUUCACCUGUGACACUUCCAAGCAUUUCAAGAUCUUUCAAAAAAUGGCUCCCUUCAUUGAUGUCAACAGUUUUCUCCAUCUGCAAGCCAACAUUGCUUACACUUCCAAGUAUGGUAACAGCAGAGCAAAUGAUGUUGCAUGUGGAGAGCAUACUGUAGAUAUUACCUCUUGCAAAGCUUUGCGAGCUGCUUCUCUCUCAAGUUCUCUUUGUCGUUUAGCUUCUGCAGCAGCCUCAGCAGCAGCUGCUGCUUCAGCCCUCUUGCGAACAUCCUCUGCGGCUUUAGCCUCAGCUUGCAAUCGAGCUCUCUCUGUAACAGAAGUUCUGUCACACAAUUGUUGUCAGGUAAAAAAGAUUCUAUCGCAUCUCACCUUCUCUUUGUACCCUCUCAAGUUCCUCCCUUUCGCGUCGAAGCUUCUCAGGAUCCUUUUUUGUAGUCUGAUAUUAUUACCAAUCAGGUGAGCUUACAGUGAAUAACACAAAACGCCCAGACAAUAAUGCUCUCAAGGAAUCAUUUUCACAUACACACCUGAUCAAGGGCCUUUUCACGAGCCUUAAGAAUCGUAUCGGCAAAGCGGCUUCUCAGAAGGGCAGCUCGGAUUUGCUUGUCAGGGUUGUCAGGGGAGACCUGCUUCUCAGAUACAUUUCCCCCUAAAAUUUUCAUACAUAGACCUGUAAGGGAACCCAUUUUCUCUACCACAGAAGAUUGGGUAUUCACCGGCCAUCAUGAAAAUUCAUGCUUACCCUCACCAUCAGCAGAAACAGAUAUAGGGUUUGUACUUUGCUCUGGUAAAUUUAAUGUGUUCAGUGAAUCUGCAAAUUAAAUCGAGAGUGUGUAAGAUAUAAGUGGUUAUAUAUUCUUGGGUUGCAAAAGCCCAGGAAAUGUUAUCUGCAAACAUUUAGAGGUGUAGUGUCAAUUGUCCUUUCUUUUCAAUAAAACAGGUUAUGUAUAGAAAUUGUAUCGAAAGAAAAGGUCCAGUUCAAAGGUUCAAAGGCAAUAAGGGAAUCCUACUCAAAAGACAUGCCCAAUUGUCGACCUCAAUAUCACACCCAAUAACUGACCCAUGAAAACGAACUCUGGACCUGCCACUUCUAAUAGACUGCUAUUCAUCAUUAGAUUAAAACAAAUAAAUUUUGGAUGGGGAGUUCAACCAAUUGGUUCAGUAAAUCUCAGGCCAAGUGUAACCUGAAUCACUGUCUAGGAUAUAAAACUCAAAUCCAUCAGUUCACACAACACAAGACAGUAAUUGCACAUGUGCUAAUUAUCUCAUCUAGAAAAAAAGAGUGCUAAAUACGUUUUCAAAAUAAAAAGUAUGGGCUUUGGACAUGUAUGUAUAAUGGCAUCAUUAUUCCCAUUGAGCUUUGUGUUGGGUUCCAUAAGGAUGUUAGUGUCUUAGUAGGCGGAAGAAAGGAUGGGUUUGGUUGAGAUUCCACAUAUUGAUACACCUAUGAAGCAAAACUUACCCUUUUCUUUAUCCAAGCCAUCCACAGGUAGAAUUUUUUCCUGCAUGUAGACAAGACAGAGAGAGAGAGAGAGAGAGAGAGAGAGAGAGAGAGAGAGAGAGACAACAACCAUUGAGAUAGUGUCUUAAAAAAUCCUUCGCAUCAACAGAGAGAUAAAUUUGAUUGAAACUUAUGCUACUCUGAAAAGGAUUCAGAUUAAAAAGAGAUAUAUAAGAACCUUUGGCCCGCUGUUUUGUUGAGGAGCUUUGGCAUCUGUAUCACUUCCAGAAGAGCUACUUGAAUCUGAGUCUUCGGAGGUAAAAACAGAAAUAUCAUCAGUGCAUUUGGCAUGACAACUCAGGCAAGUUAAGGGCACAACAAAGAGAAACAGUAUGCAGCAUGUUGUCUCCAUUCUUGUUCUAUAACCCUUAAAAUUGAGCAAGACUAAAAGGAAGUAUAUAACCACGAAUAUAUAUUAUUUGCAUUUUGAUUUUUUUUAUGGCUUGGCUCUGAGACAGACCAAAAAAAAGGAAAGCAGCAAUUGGUUGGCUCCAUAGAAUCCUAUUUUUAGAUUUGUACUUCAAACUAAAUCAUCAAAUUAUAAUACACCCCAUCAAGAUAAUGCCACAGAUAAAAUGCCACUUUUCAAAUAUGAACAUUAAGGGUCCUGAUAAUUAUUUGAAUGGAUCCAAAGAGCACCUUCUAAAAGAAUACUGGUUUUUUCCAACAGUGGUAUAAUUCACUCCGAACUAAAGACAAAUGUUUCAUAUUUCUGAACCAUAACCAAAGAAUUCCCACAACUGUUGUAGUAGAAUGCACAGAACAGUCCAUAAAUACAGAAGGAUAAUCAAAUGCGUUGAUUUAUCAACUGACCUUGCUAAUAAACAAAUGAUUCAUGAACACAUAUCAAUAGCAGAAGCUAGAUCCUAUUAUUCAGUGAAAUACUUGGGAAAAAACGUUUCUUUAUGGACUUCAUAACAGUGGGCAGCAUUAAUAGUUAAAGUUUCUGUAACUGGUUAAAACAAUUAUCUAUUAAAAUAGAGCUACUGUGCAAGGAUAAAGAUAUGCAGGUGAGAAGGAAGGUAGGCCAUCACAAAGAAGCAUUCUAGUUUCUAUUCACUUAUUAUAAUUCAUCGAUUUAUGAAAUUGUUUUAACCCCAAUGUAGCCAGGAAUCUCAAUAAGUAAUAUCAUGAGGCGGCAUAACUAAAUGUUGCACUGUCCCAUAUACUGUUGUGCCAUCAUGAUCUGGUGUUGCCUGCUACGAAAAGUGCACAAUAUAAAAAGGUGCAGGCCAAAGAAUAAACCAAAACAUGGUCCUGUCAGCCUAUUGUUUCCAUUGAACUGGGUGUAAAUUUCUUAUGGAACAGUACAAUAUGUCCUACCCUCAGCUCAACUUCUAGCAGCACAAACACACAACUACACAAGCAUCUUGGCCCCUUUCAUAAGCACAUCAAUGAAGUCCAGAAUCUAACACGGGAUUACUUCCAAUAACAUGUAGCAUUUAUUGGAUAACUAUUUUAUGGAACUAGAAAAGAAUAGUCAGCUGAGAUAAACUGAAAGAGGAGUAAUACUGCCAGUCUCAAUUCAAUAUGUCAAAAGUAAAUCUAUGAAUUUCUCAACUAUGACUGCUUAAUUAACCAGCCUUGUGAAUGACAUAGUCAAUAAGAUUGAUAAUUGCAUCAUGCAGCUGAAAGCUAGCAGCAUAUUGUGCCCAAAGUACUUUGAUGGGUCCAGUGUCAUAGUGGUGCCAGUAGGAAAUUUGGAGUGAAACUGAAAUUACAUACCACUAGAGGAUGAUUCUGAGCCACUACUAGAACUGCUAGAUGUACUAUGCUUGCUGCUUCUGUCUGCUGUUUCAUCUUCAAGUACCACAGGAGGAAGAGUCGAAACUGGAGGGUCGUUCUCCCCAAUAUCAACAUCCUCGUCAAUGAGCUCAUUGCCUGAAAACAUGCAUAUAAUAUUUUAGCUUACAUGAAAAAUCAUUAUCAUAAAUGAGCAAUGGAUGAGAAAUAGACCUUCAUCGUUACACACUGAUGGAUUGAUAAGUUCAUUGUUACACACUGAUGGAUUCAUGAGUUCAUAUUGACUCUGAGACUGUUGAGCAGAGCAUAAAACAGUUAUUUAUGAAAUGAAUUAAUGAAACAAUGAAAUAGCAGUCUCUAAUACAGCAGCACCCACCUCAACCUCAUGAGGCUCCUCUUCUGUAAGGUUUCUUGACGGAUUAACCCUGUCAUAGUCAUCAAGUAGCUUCUGUAAUUCAAAAAGUGUAUCAUCUCCAAGAGCAUCCAUAUCGAGCUCUAAUUCCUCUUCGUCGGCAUCGCAAUUGUCAGCGUGACUCCUUAUGAACUCAACUACAUGAUCUGGAAUGAAUGCACCAUAUGAUUGUAAUCUUGCACUUAAAUCAUAUUUUUGCUCAUUCGUCAUCAUUCUCUUUCUAGUUGGAACAAUAUCUUCUACCAAAGGAGCAUCUUGUACCAAAGGAGAGGUUUUCCUCUUCUUAGGUUGCAAAACUGGAUUGUCCGCUGAAUCUUCUUCCCGAAAGAUGUCUUGCUUAGGUACAUUUUUCUUUGAUGGUUUUUUCUUGCUGGGGUCUUCUUUCUCAAUGGCAACUCUCUUAGUUGAAUUCUUUUUUGUGGGCUCCCUCACAGGAGGCUUCUCAACUGGCUGAGGAGGCCUCUCGUCUGGUUGAGGAGGCCUCUCGUCUCGUGGAGGCUUCUCAUCUGGUUUAGGGAGCUUCUUCUCAAUAAGCCUCCAUCGAGUCUCAAAGUUCUUGCUCAAAGUUUUGGCCAUUAGAUGAACAUCAUUAUUGACCGGGUUAUAAUUCAUAGCGUUGCUGAAAGUGAGCCUCACAUCCGCAGCGAAUUCCCGAGGUGUGGAGUACAUUCCUGCCUUCAUCUUUUUCUGGAUCGUGCCCAAAUCCAUGGGCUGCUUGACUAUUGUAAAAUAGUCAGGGAUGUUCAACUUCACAAUGUCAACCGGCACAAGAAACGGGCCAGCCCAUCCAUGGCCCAUAAGGGACUUGAGAAGGUUGGCACAUUGUUUAAACGAUGAUGUGUAGUUAAAAGAGCUGGCAACAGGUGGGGCAACAGCCACAGCCACCGGUGGCGGCGCUCCCCGGUCCGUCUGCAUCGACUCGCUCCGCUUGAGCUUCUCAACCUUUUUCUUGGGGUGCACAUCGCCUGCGGGAGGCGCUGGCAUGACUGCCGCACCAUUCAUGCUCACCGCAGGCCCUCUCGAAAACAGCCUACUCUGGAGGUCCCUCACCUGCGCGAGCUCAUGGCGGAGCCUCAUCUCCAGGUCCUUCUUGUCCACAGCCGUCAUCCUGGGCAGCGAGAACACCUCCCGGGGCACGCUGAACCCUGAGGCGCCUUCCCCCUCCUCGGAAUUCACGCUGGCCACGCACUUCCUCUUGGGCGGAAGAGCGGCGCAGGAGCUCCCCGAGUCGAUCCUCGCGGGGCUAGCCCCGAGCCCCUUGGACUCCCCGACUGUCUCCACCACCCCGUGCCGGUAGUCGGGCACGAAGCCGAGCGGGUGGCCCUUGGAGAACCUGUGCGUCUUCCCCAUCAUUGCUGGCAGCCGGGGGGGGGGGGGGGGGCGGAGACGCGGUAGCAAUGUGCCGCCUUGGCCGCGGAAUUCCGCCCGCAAUUCCGGGGAAAAAAAGACCUAACCCUAACCCCCCCACCCCGAGGCAAGAGAGGGGGGUGGGCUAGCUUAUUCCGCGGGCGCCGGGGGGGGGAGCAGGAGGAGGUGACCGACCCCCCCUACCAGAACCCUCGAUUCGAGGGGCGGGGCAGCUCGGGUGGACGCUCCCGCGGCGAGGGGGAUCGAGCGGACUCACCGAGCACCACAAGCACCGCCCGCCGCCCGCCCGCCGCUGGACCCCGAAACACCAGCCGGCGGCGCCGCCGCGAGAUCUCGUAGCCCUCCGCAGGCGAAGGCGCCGGCGCCGCCGUCCGCGGGCGCGAACCCCUUAGGGCUUUCCUUCCUCGCCCCUCUCGGCGAGGCGGAGGCGGCGAGAGGGAAGGGAAGGCGAGGCGGCUGGAGCCUGGAGACUAGGGGUUUCUCUCUCCUCCGCCUCCCUCUCUCUCUCUCUCUCUUCUCUCUCUCUCUCCUCGCUGGUGUGCCGCCCGCUCGCUCGCGAGCCUUUGGGACUUUGUCAGGGCCGGAGUCGCGGGGCCCAGCUGUAAGCGUCGCGGGGGGACGGGGGGAGCCGCGCCCGUGACUGGUCGGUGGGGCCGCUCGUGCCGCGGGGCCCAGGAGCAGGGACGGAGACGAGACGCGGCGGGCGUGACCGGGCGGGACUCGGGAGACGGGAGGGAGCAUCGGGGCCGUUGGGUUUUUGGAACGGACGGCGAUGGAGGCGGUUGCGUGUCCGCGCGCCUCCGCUUGGGGCUGGGAGGGGCCCUUUGUGUGUUAGAAGAAGCACGUGCGGAUUCGAACACACCAGCUGCUGCCUGCUGCGCUCUGCGUCCCAAAAUGUCGUCAUGUAAGAUCUGCAUACGUAUAUAUACACGGAGUAUGGUGUAGGAGUAACGUUUUAUGGCAAAUCGGAUGUCUAUAUAUCUAACGCAAAUGCCAAAAGACCGUGUGAUUUUAUUGAUGAUGAAAGAGAAAGAGAGGAAGGGACAUUUACUAUGUUAGGCCUUGUUUAGUUCACCCUAACAUCCAAAAUUUUUUCAAGAUUUCAUGUCACAUUGAAUUUUACAGCAUAUGCAUAGAGCAUUAAAUAUAGGUAAAAUAAAUAACUAAUUGCAUAAUUUGUAUGUAAUUUGCAAGACGAAUCUUUUGAUUCUAAUUAGUCCAUGGUUAGACAACAAUUACCAAAUACAAAUAAAAUUGCUAUAGUACUUAAAACCAAAAAAUUAUACCAACUAAACAAGGCAUUGUUGCUGCUCUAACCAAGUGCGGUGAUGAGCAUCAUUAUAAAUGUGGGUAUACAAGAUGAGACAAAAAAGAGCAAAUGAGUCAUGUUGAUAGAUUAGUAUCAUUGUAGGUUGAAAAAUGCCAUAGUAAAAACGUCAGCGCAAUGACAUCUACUAUGGGGGGGGGCCUUGCUAUAGCGGAAAGCACUAUGGUUAAAGAUCUUUUUUGUGAAUUUAUGGUUAAAGAUUUUGUCUAACCUUGUCUACUACACAACAUUCAUGCAAGAUUUCCAAGUGCUUUUAUAAUUUUAAAUUACAUAGUGCACACCUUGCCUAGGUGAACAUAUCUAAGAGACUUUUUUAAUUAUACAGUACAAAUAUGUGCACAUUCACACUCUAACACAACAAGACUAGUAGAUCUCCAUGCAAAAGAGGCACAUCGUCUAUACACUAAAAAAUGAAGAUGAAUAAAAUCAUUAAAUGCUAAAAAGUACAUUAAAAAUAUGUCACCUACCAUUGAAAAGCAAAGAAUAACAUCGUUAAAUCCUAAGAUACAUAAAGAAAGCACAUAUCGUCUACCACUGGAAAAGCAAUGUCAUUAAAUUAAAGCCUAUGAAAUAAUAAAUCUAGAAAACUAUGAGUAUCAACGUAAAGUCAAGGACUUAACUUGGAUGAAUAGAUGCACCACAAGAAAACUAAUACACUUUGUUACAAGAUCUUGAGUUUGUUCGGAUAAAAUAAAAUGGUACAGACAUAUGUGUUUAAUUCAAAACAACAACAAAAGCUCUCAUGUUCUAUCUUCAAUAUAUCAAUAGUUUAAGGGUUGUUGGUCAGCUUUAAAACUUUAGCAGAUAAUGGAGCCAAAAUAUCUCAAGCAUAACUAGGUCGAAUCCUAGGCGUGUGCCAAAGGGGCAUCAAUUAUAGGCCAUCGAAAGGAAGGAGUUAUUCCAAGCAUGUAACAUGUAGUAGCGGCACUGUAUAUAUCAAGCCCAAAAACUCAAGAAGACAAUAGUCCACCAUCAAUAAUUGAUGUCACGUAAGUUAUGACUCCAGCUUACUGAGACUUCAACAAUGUUGUGACUUGUUGAGUCGCUGGUCAUGUCGAUUCGUUGGUAGCCAUCAUCGUAAGACGUGACUCAAUACAAGCGAGCGACUCAACGACAACAUUGUGUCGAUCUACACAAAGACUAAAGUAAAGAUUGUAUGUUCCAUUCUUACUUUAAUUUCCAAAUUCAUAAUUGAGAAUCCACCUGUUAGGUAACAUAUCGGAUACUACAUAGCUAUACAUGAGCCGAUCUAGUUGUAAUUAUGUCAAUUGUCUAAUAGAUCGUUUUAUUGGCCUAAACAUUAUUCCUUGGUCUUCUAUUCCGCACUUAGUCUCACCGGUCAAGACAUGUUGCGAUUGAUACUAGUGUUUAUUAUAUAUACCAAGGGCUUGCUGCUGAUUUUAUUUUGGUUCUAGCCUCAGAAAAACUCAGUACCAGAGCUAAGCAUAACCGUAAGUUUCAACUUUACAGAGAUAAGUGUUCUUUUGUACUGUAAACUACUCCUUAUGCUAUUAUUUUUUAAGAAAACUACUCCCUAUGAUUUUUUUAUAAACUUAUUACCACCAACUUUAAGGAAGGGUUUAAGACAUGUCUUCUUGAACUUAUUAAUUGAAUUCCUGUUUUUUAUAUAUAUGGGUAUAUCCAAGGCUAAAUCCUGCCAAAUGAGCAUCCACGAGAGCUUUCUCUAAAACCAAAAACAAACUAACAACAGUGGUUGAAUCUCUACAACUAAAAAGCAUCAAAUGUUAUCGUCUCCGCUACCUAUCGGCCUGCCUCCGACUCCUGUGGUCAACCUGCGAAAAACAGUUCCUCCCACAGCUCCUCCCCUCUCCACAAGGAACCGCAGCCUGCUCGGCUACCCCACGACGCCUCCCCUCGCGAGUCCCACCCUUCCGAUUGCGCCACUGCCACCUCUUCCUCCUUCCCUCUCGCCCGCAAACCCGGUCGCGCGGUGUGAAGGGUCGAGAUGGCGGACUAGAGGGGGGGGUGAAUAGUCUUUUCUAAAAUUUAUUACGCCGGCUAACCGAAACAAAUGCGGAAUUAAAACUAUCGGUCUAGCCAAGACUACACCCCUCUAUCUAAAUUCUCUAGCACCUUGAAAAGAUCCUAAACAAGCAAGCAAGGUGCUACCUUAGCAAGAGCUCACCUAACCAAUUCUAGAAGCAAGGUCACACAAACCUAUGCCACUAGUACUUUGCAAACCGGGGAGCUUCUACACAGCUAGUAAGCAAAAGCACAAAGCUCCUAAGCUCACUAGCAAUGCUCAAUAACAAGGCAACCAAUGCCAAAUUAGAGAGCGCAAAAUACUUAGCUACACAAACUAAGCAAUGUGACUAACAAGGUUACACAAACCAAAUUAGUCACGCAAGGGAACUACUUCUAGCUACACAAGCAAGAAGGUAACUAUCAAGCUACACAAGCUAACUAAUUACAAGAGCAACUACACAAGCACAAGUAAAUGAAUGUAAAUACAAGCUUGUGUUAGGGACUUGCAAACCAACGGGAAGAACAAAGUUGAUACGAUGAUUUUCUCCCGAGGUUCACUUGGUUGCCACCAAGCUACGUCCCCAUUGAGACAAGCUUCAAGGUUGCCGCCGGUCCUCUUGCUAGUGGUGACCCGCAAGUCACACUCUCCCACGUGGAGUGCUUACCACAAGCUCUAGCACUUGACCCGGCCGGACCACUUGUCGCUCUUCACGUCUCGCUCAACUAGAGUUGCUCUUCGCGAUCCCCGCGGGGUGAGCACCGUACCCCUCACAAUCUCUUCUCCGGAGCACCGCACAAUCUCCUUGCGUGCUUCGACGGAGUCACAAGCCACCAAGUCGUCUAGGAGGUGGCAACCUCCAAGAGUAACAAGCACCACCGGCUUGCAACACGAACACCUAGUGCCACUCGAUGCAAUCUCUCAAUGCAACGCACUAGAAUCGCUCACUCACACAAUCGGAUGAACACUAUCAAGCAUAUGUGAGUUAGAGCCUUCACUAGCACUCCCCAAGCAUGGACACUACGUCCCAAGGGUGCUCAGCACCAGCCACAGGCUGGCCACCACUUCUAUUUAUAGCCCCAAGGGCUAAACUAGCCGUUGCCCCUUCACUGGGCACAACACGUGGGCACCGGACGCUCACAGGAAGCCACCGGACGCUCAACCCCCAGCGUCCGGUGCUCAGGCGUCAGCCACGUGUCACUAGCCGUUUGAACUCGACCGUUGUCACCAACGGCUACUGCGCACGCGCGCCUGCACAGCACCACCGGACGCUCUACUGCGUCACACCGGACGCGUCCGGUGCUCACCGGACUCGUGCGCAGAGAGCUCCGCAAACUCGCACGGUCACUGGACGCAAGCCACCGGACGCACCCUGAGCGUCCGGUGCUCACCGGACUCAAGCGCAGAGAGGGUCGCCAAGCCGCCCGCACACCGGACGCUGAGCACCGGACUCUCUCCGGUGCGUCCGGUGCACUCUGCUGCACCCGACAACACACCGAACGCUAAAGGCCAGCGUCCGGUGCCUCCACGCAGAGCGUCCGGUGAGUGUUUUCUUAGGGAGAAACACUCCCGCGACUUCUCCAAAAUUCCCACCGGCGCAAUAGAAAAUAUGCACUUAAUUUUCUCAAAAGCGCUGAAUCCCGCCAAGCUUAGAAACCCACACCUCUCUCAACCCUAGGAACACCACCUCCUUUAUAAAGUGUGCCAACACCAACAAGUGUACACCACCAUGUGCAUGUGUGUUAGCAUUUUCACAAACAAUUUUCCAAAGGAGUUAGCCUCUCAACUUGCCACGCCACUCGAUCCUAACACGUAUGCAAAGUUAGAUCGCUCAAGUGGCACUAGAUGACCGAUAUGCAAACAAGUUUGCCCCUCUUAAUGGUACAGCCAUCUAUCAUAAAUCCGGUCAUAAACUUCUCUACACACCUAUGACCGGUGAAAUAGAAAAGCCCAUGGUUAUACCUUUGCCUUGUGCUUUCCAUUCCAUCUCCUCCAAUGUUGAUGCAACACAUGCACCAACCAAUCACCAAAUGAUAUGAUCCACUUCAUAUCAUCACGUGACCGUAUUGGUUCAUCGAUCUUGACCUCACUUGCUCUUCACCGUUGCCUCGGUCCAUCGGCGCCAAGUCUUGCUCAAGCUUCACCGUCACACGCGGUCCCUCGCUUCAAAGCCUCCAACUUGUCCUUCACUCUUGCAACCGGUCCAUCGAGCCAAGCCUCAUCUUGAUUUUCUCCACCUUGGUCACAUGACUCCAUGUCAUGUCUCAUAUGCAAUGAGCUCCUCCAUUAUCACAUCAUCAACUGUGGACUAAUCUCCUGUGUAUCUCACAUAAACACUAUUAGUCCACCUAAGUUGUCACUCAAUUACCAAAAUCAAACAAGGACCUUUCACGGUGCUCAGAUCGACUCUAGGACGAAGCAACCCGGCCAUGCCGCUACCGGCGCCAGGACGAACCAACCCGGCAGUGCUGCCGCGUCAACCCAGAAGGGCCGCCGCCGGUGAUGGCCCACCAUCAGAUGUGCGCUGGAUGGACCACCACCUCAGCACCGAACGCGCAACAUCUCCAUGCCGCUUUUGUCAACCUAGACGGACCGCCGUCGGACGAUGCUGCCACCAGCGACGAACACCCAACAAGUGUAAACUUCGCCCCCUUUCAAAGAUUAUCGGUAGUACAUGUGCACACCAAAUGUCCUUUGUUGCAUCCGUGCCUGCAGUUCUUUGUGCUUUCAUCGGAUCCAAUUUCAAGUGCAUUGUGCCUACUAACUUUGUUCCCUUUAAUGACUGUGGUUCUGUUUGUUUGAAUCUGUGAAUGGAGUGCUGAUGAUCUUCAACCUUUUCUGAAUUGCAUCGCUCUCCCCUACUGAAGCUAAUGGUCCCAUUAAAAUCCAAGUUAUGUUUCGUACGUCGUUUAGCAAGAAUGGGCCUGAUCCUUAGUUUUUGGAGAAGAAAGGACAAUGAUGAACAGCUGUCGAUUUACCUAAAAAUAUUGCUUGAUUUAUUAGCGAAUCUUAAUUUUCCAUGGCCCUUAGUACACAUGGUAGUCAAGUUAACAAGCACGUGCAACCACUAUUAGAUUUUUGGUUUUAUCUCCAUGAUUAAUCUUAUGUAAUUUCACUACACUUCCAUACACUGCUUAAAUGCUAAACUUAAUUGAAUGUUUUGGGAGAUUUUGAAUUCUGAAUUUGUGCUGUGCAGUGUAAAUCAAAUCGGUUUUCAGAGAUAUAAAGGCAGAAGAUGGAUAUAUAGUGUGCUAUAUCGCUUUAGAUGUUUCCAAUAAAUCAAUACGAAUUUUAGGGUAGUUGGAAACCGCAUGGUUACCUCGUGUCUCAGAUUAAAAAUAAUUAAAUUCUAUGGUGAGUAUCAAAGUUGUGCCAAGGUGAGAAUUUUUUCUUCGCCUUGUUUUUUGCACACCAAAAUUUCAGUCAUGCAGGAGUAUCAAAUUUUUUUUCUCUGCAUUGGUAUGUUCAUGCAUCUUCACGAUUCGUGGUGCAUUUUAUGUUUUGUAACAUACUGACAAAGGAAAUUGAGGAUUCAGUACCAGUUAUGAUUCUUUGUUGAUUGAUUUAGGAGUAAUGAAUUUAGCUUUUAUUCUGCACUCAAAGAAUAUUUGUUAAGAAGAAGCUGACAAAACAACUUAACUAUUCCACAGAUGCAACCAUACACUUUGAUGUUGAGCUGCUUUUAUUUACAAUGAUUGAUGCAAGAAGUAUUCCUCUAGCUUUGAUUCUCUUACUGCAAGAAGCAGCUAUUGAUACACAAAGACAUGCCUCUGUUGUUGCAGAACGGAUGUUGGAGAAAAAACAGUUCAAUGUGCUACGGUGCUCCACUCAGCUCUGCAGACCAACAAGUUUUCUAUUGCUUAGAAUUUUGUUCGGUUAAUUUUCAUUUGCUUUGAUUCCUUUUGCUUACAGUUGUUGUAAUGUUGAGCUAAUAACUAGAUGCUUGAAAUUGUCGAUGUCAUGUUCUUAUGUAUUGGUUGAUCGCAUUAGAAUAGUUAUUUGCAUUGACACAUGUGUCUUUUCUUCAGGUAAGACACUUGUUGACUUACCAUAAAGGUUUUAAUUGUGCUUUAUUUUGAUAAUCCCCAUUGCCGUCGAAUGUUUUCCCGUGUUUUGCGUGUGAUCAUUUGUACAUAGGUGAGGUUAUGGGAUGUUAAAAGAAGAUGAUGUAUACACUUGCAAUGGCCAUCUGGGAGCUAUCGGUUUGUUGCCUUCUCAAAGAAAAAUAACUUUUUUUGUUAGUAGCGGCAGGUUUGCUCUUCAGUUUCUCUGAUGUUUGUUUGCUUAAAGUGAGACUUAAAUUGGUGUUCUAAAAUAAGAAUACUAUUUUUAGAGAUCAAACCAUCAAGGAUGAUACACUUGAUGACGCUGAGAAUGAAGUCCCUCUGAGAGCAAAGCUCUUCCAGCUGCACAUGAUGAAGAUAUUAAUUGUCUGGUAAUUUCACCAAUCUCAGCAAUAUUGCAAGUUUUGUAGAGAAUGAGGUCAUUCAACUUUGUAGAGCAUGAUGUUGUCCAGCAACUACCCAAUGAUCGGCGCCUAUGCAGAGUUGCUGGCUGCUACAUUGUUGCCUGCAACUUAUCCACAGGAAAUGUCAAUAGUAGCAGAUUGACCAAUGCAAGGCUGUGUUGAUCUUCUGACGGAGCCCACCGAGACGCUGAGCAUGUGCUCUCUGGAGCUUGAAGAUCCUUCCUUUGCAAACAUCCAUAGGAAGAGGCAAUUCUUGGAGAUGUGUUUCUACUGCUCUAAUUGUUCAUGCUUUGUGAAAACUCAUGUAAUAUUGAUGACUAGCUAGCUACAAACAAAAUAUUACAAAAAUCACUUGAAGUAUCAUUUUUUGGGGGUAAAAGUAUAACAUACGUUCAACUUGAAUUGUUGUGGUAUUAUAUUUUUUUCUAUUGCAACACAUGCUAGAGACACGGUGGGUGGAAUUGUCCCUAAAAACACGGUUACCCAAGACAUCCCUUAAAAGGUGAGGUGCAUGGUCAUCCCUCGCAGUAUCACUUUGUUGUCUUUCAUUCCUCUUUGCGUGGGUGAGGGCUUCGGCAGGGGUAGUUCAACGUGAGUAUAAUGGUAAUGGCGAUCUUGGCACAGGUCAUCUCAGCUUAGCUUUGAUGAGCUUAGUCAUAGUAUUAUUAUGUUCCCGUAGCAACGCACGGGCAUGAUCCUAGUGAAGUCAUAAUUUGGAACCGAGUGAUGAUGAGUUUAGCAAAGAAACAUAGUAUUUGCAUCUUGUGUUGUUGACUUGACGGGCUCCGAGGUCGGAUCAGGGAGGGAAUUCAGGGGUUCUUGGGGGUAUCCAUAGCAGUUCACACGGUCGUGACCCCACCCCGCCUUCCGUGCGCCCGCAGCCACGAAACCGAAGCCCACCCGACCAGCAAAGAGGACGGGGCAGUUGGAGUUGGGAGCCGACGCGGUCGGUGUGAUCCAGUCCUCCCCCGCCUUCCCCGGCGAGCGCAACCGCCCCUGCCGAGCCUUCCCCUUCCCGGGAGGAAGCUUCCACUCCCGCGCGAGCGAGCGAGCGAGCCAUGGCGGAACCCAUCGUCUCCGGCGCCACCGCCGUCCCGCCGCCGCCGGGCGCGCCCUCGUUCUCCUACCUGGCCGUGUUCUACAACUGCCCGCUCGUCGCCGCCGUGCUCGCCUUCGCCAUAGCGCAGUCCAUCAAGGUCCUCACCACCUGGUACGCCCUGCUCUCCCCCUCCUUCCCACGCGGCCUCGGUCGACGCCUCCCCGGAUCUGAGCUCUCUCUCCCUCUCCCUGACGGGAUCUGCAUCUGCCGCGCGUGUGCCGUGCAGGUACAAGGAGAACCGGUGGGACGCGAAGCAGCUAGUGGGUUCCGGCGGGAUGCCGUCCUCGCACUCGGCCACCGUCACCGCGCUUGCCGUCGCCGUCGGCCUGCAGGAGGGCUUCGCGAGUUCGCUCUUCGCCACCGCUGCCGUCUUCGCCUCCGUGGUUGGUUCCCUCUCUCUCUCUCUCUCGUUCGACACACAAACGCGUUGACCAUCUUCGGUGAGCGCUGGAUCUGACAGGGAACCUUAUGGUUUUUGGGACGCGUUGCGGUGAACUGGUGAUCAGGGGGAGUAAUAAAUGAGUGUCCUUUGCACUUCAAAACUUCUGCUUGAAUUGCUACUGGGGCUCAGUUGUGGAAGGUACAUUUUGUGGUGUAGUAGAUUGUGGGCAGAAGUACAAGUACAGAACAUACGAGGAAAAGACUGUAGGAAAUUGAUGGGAAUUUGUAAGUACACUAAAGAUGGGGAAGAGACUGUAGGACAAUAGUGGAGAUUUGUUGCUGAAGUUUCAGACUUUCAGUUGGUAUCUACAGAAUGAUAAAUUCGGUUGGGGUUAUGGUGGAAAUCUGACAGCUAAGAUGUACUGUCAGAUCAAUAGUCUGAGAUGCUGUACUUUGUUUCGUGUGCUUAGUUCAUACCUUCAAAGCUUACCUCUAGUAACUCAUGACUUUGUUUGGAAAUUCAAUGAAACCUGCAGAAUAAAGGAUAACAGCUAACCUGUGGAAAAUUUUCCAUAAUUGUACAUAUAUGUGUGUCCAAAACCAGCCAUGCAAAAAUGCAAAAUGAUGGCAUACUGUACCAUAACACCUACUCCUAGGCAUGUGUCAUGUGCCUUAGCUCUCACAAUCUGUCCCCACUUGUCCCAUCUUUUCAUUUUGGCAUCUCCAAAUACUGAUUAGUUCUUGUGGCUUUUUUCAUCACCUUUUUCAGAAAAUGCAACAUCCUGCACUCUGAUUUUACUAUAUGCAUCUUCUCAUUUUACUGUCUUGGCUAAUUCUUUCAAUACUUUGCAGGUGAUGUAUGAUGCUUUUGGUGUUAGGCUACAUGCAGGGAAGCAAGCAGAGGUAUUACCACCUUUCUAUGUUAUAUAGCCACUGACAAGAAAAAUAAUUUUAUGAAGGCAAAAAAGUUGUGAACCUGUGAAAAAGGAGUUCCCUUUUGAAAUCAUGUGAGCAACUUUCUAAGUGGCAAACAGUGACCAACCACUAAAACUGGUUCUCUUAUUUAGGCAGAAUGGUUAACAUCUAGCUUGGACGAGUAGUGUCGCUCAAUCAUUAUAUGAAACCUCAUUGAUUGUGUGAACGAAAAUAAAAAAAUCUAGACCUGAGAAGUAAAAUACUAAAAUGGUCUUUCGAUUGAGAAGCAUUAUGUUGCUCACCUGCUGCAGUUCAGAUCUAACUAUUAUAAAAUGCCAGGUCUUGAAUCAAAUUGUGUAUGAGCUUCCAUCAGAACAUCCACUGGCUGAAACAAGACCACUGCGAGAGCUGCUAGGGCACACACCUCAACAGGUUUGGUCUUUUGCUCCUAGAUUGUGCUGUUGAGAACAAGAACAAGGAAUGCCUUGUUCAUAUGAUGCACAGUUGCACACACACUCAUAUUAAACCUCUUACCUCUGUUGAAGUAAAUUUUGUUAACCAACCGAUUGCUCCUUGAAUCAUAUUUGCGUUAUGCUAACAUCAAGUGCACAUACACUAUCCAAAUCAUUUCACUGGAAAAUCUGUCAUGUGUGUGGAUGUUUGGCAUUCUUACUCUUUACAUGCCAUACAGAUUAUUAAUUCCAAGUUUUAUCACCAGGUAUUUGCUGGCGGAGUGCUUGGAUUUGCAGUAGCCACAUUUACAGCAAUGAUAGCUGGGCUUGGGAGUUGACUCCACAUUUAAAGGAAUGAUCCACAUUUGCAUUGAUGUUCUGGAAUCCAAAUUGGACACAUGUUUCCAGCCAGCUUAUGGUAGAUAAUGCAUUGUGUCUCACCUGCGUGUUCAGAGAGAGAGAGAGAGAGAGAAAGAUAAUGCGUUGUGUAUAGGUGUAUUUAAUAUGCAAAAUCACUGUCAAUUUAUUGGAGAAAAACUCGCGCCAUUCUUUUGUAGCUAAUCAAUGAGUGAACUAUAUGUUGUAUUCGUUUUUUGUCCAAAGUAUUUGGAGUGAUUGAAGUGUGUCGUGUUAAAGCAUCUCAGGAGGUUUCCGCUCAAAUCUCUUGUGAUUGAUUUCAAUUUAGUAGACAACAACGAGAAUCCUUUUUGUAACUAUGUUCUUCAGCCAAAACCGACUGAGAAGUAUCGAUGUGCUACUUGAUCAUGUUUUUGGUUGAUUGUGAUGAAAUUUCGUAUUUGAAUUGCCAAACCUUAUAUUCUACUAGUACAAGAGCAUCACCAGCUGCCAAUUACUAUGAACGUGCCUAGCCCUUAGCAGCCAAGUUCUCGAAACAUAGGUACGUGGUACGGGAACGUGGUACGACAUUCUCAUGAAGUGUGAAAUGUAUGGGGUAUAUAGCUUUCUCUCGUUCCUUUUAAGUUGUGGAACGUGUUUCACUUUUCAAAGAAACGUGUUUGAACCAGAUGAGUUUGAUUUCUAGUGUGGUAUAGUUUACUAUUGUAUUUUUUGUUUCUUUUGGACCGUCCAACUCAAACCUUCAGGCUCACGGACGAGCACAGCGCGGUACACACACAUCAUACGAAGUUCCAUAGUCGCUUGGGACUAAUGUUCCUCUAGUUACUCGUGCAUACGAUUCGCGUUUCACUGCAUUUGGGAACGACGUCUCGUGAUAUUCAGGUUUCGUGUUUCGGAACGAAGUUCGUUUCGUGUUUGGGAACGAAGUUCUCGGAACGAGAACGUGCCUUCCUGUACCUGGCUGCUAAGGCCCAGCCAGGCAGCCACCGCCUCCCCUCCUACACGCGUGGGCCGCCGUCUCCACUCCUACCUGUCCAGGCCUACGACCUGCUCUGCCCACCAUCUGUCUAGUUCGUUUUUGAAUUUGGCUACUAUAGUAUUUUUGUUUUAUUUAAUAAUUAAUAUCUAAUUGUAAACUAAUUAGGCUUAAAAUAUUUAUCUCGUAGAUUAUAUACAAACUGUACAAUUAAUUAUUCUUUUAUCUAUAUUUAAUGUAAUUUUUUUAGAACUAAACAGGGCCUCAGUCAAAAGAUUGAGCUCACUCUGUGUCUCUGUCGCCUACAACCAAUCAACCAUGCCAAGGUGAGCAACGCAAGUACGCAACUGAAGCUCAAUGCUAUCACAAAUAUGCAUAUAGCCUAUUCGAUUAAAUGUGAUAUGGAGAGUUCUCUUUCAGUCACAACAUCUUCUUUGAUUGGGUUCAAAAUCUAGCAUUGCUGGAGUUAAUAUACCUAAUUUGGUUCAACUGCAAAAUCGGCAACAAAUGUAAUGUCAAUUUCGUUCCUGACUUCUCACAACUAUUAUUCGUAAGAGUUCACUGUGUAGUUUAAUUGGGCUGAGAGUCCUUAAUAUAUUUGUUACUAGGAGAAUACCCCGCGCGUUGCUGCGGGAAUACGGUGGAUUACGUGACAUGAUGAUGUGGAUAAACAAAAUAUUUAUAUGUCUUGUUAGCAUGGACAUUAUAAUUGUAUGGCUAGUGAAUUUUAGCUAUGUGUGAUAGUGCAUUGCUUAGAUGGACAAUUUACAUGUUGAGAGAAAUAUAGUGAAAAAAGAAAUAUAGUGACUUACUGGCGUGGACACUACAAUUACAUGGGCUAGUGGAUUUUUAAUUAUGUGUGAUAGUGGUUUGCUUAGUUGAACAACGUGCAUGUUAAGAGAAAUAGGUAGUGGAGUUUAGCUUCGUAGGAGUAUAAAAUUGCCUCUUGGACAGGAGGUUGGUCAUAGUGAAAGAGAGUGAGGUAAACUCUGCAUUCCUUGAAGCCAAAUGUCAAUGGGUGAUCCACUUCUAUUUGUUUUUUUUUUCAUCUCUGUGCUGGGUUUGCAGAUACAAAUUCGUAGGCAUGCCUAGAAUACACUGUGAACCUGUGAUGAACUAUGUUGGAAGAUAAAUCAAGCUGGAGAAUCAUUUUCUCUAAAAUAAAUUUGCGGAUCGUUGUGUUUACUUUAUCCCAUCAUUGAGGUUCUUCUUAUUCUAUCACUUCCAUUUCCCCUGCCGUGGAGUUGGACAGUGGGAGGACAAUGAAGUUAUCCUAUCUGAAGAUACAGAGAAACACAGUUGUGGUUAGUGCAGUUCACACUUCACAGCAUACUCAUCCACCAUGUCCACACUUUAGCCUUAUUGGAAAUCAUUAGUCUACCUUCACAGAAUACUAUGCAGUGGGAAGAGGGAGGUGUGUGUGUGUGGGUCGAUCACUCGAUCUUACAUUUGCUUUACAAUAAUACAUAUUGAGCUCAUGAAUUGUUUGACUGGCACCUGAAACUUGGUUCAGAUGUGGCUUUAUUCAGGACCUCUAUCUGGGUUUCACUAUUUGGAAGGGCAUGGUAUGUCGGUGGCUCAAAAUAGUAUAGUGUUAUGCUCCACUACUUUGUAAUGUCUACAAAUAUUUAAAUUUGUUGGUCAUCAUCUUGUAUCAUGUGUGUAGAUCUCCUGAUAAGAACAAUGGCAGUUGCACAAUGUCUAUUGGUUUGGUUUGAAUAAACUGCCUACAUAUCUUUUUACUGCGCACAUGUUUUUUGAUUGAUGUAUUUUUCAUCCUCCCUCUAUAGUCAGCAUAUUAAAAUGCUGACAAUUUUCACAGAUAGAGCCCUGGUCAUUAAUUAGUUGGUAUUAUAUAUUUUGUCACCUCUUUCAUCAUACAAAAACUUAGCCUUCUUUUUAUUUUUACAUUCUAAUUUAUCGUGCUGACUUAGCCGAUCCCUUUAUUGUUCUGUUACAUUUCUCCUGAUGCAGAUGGUCACUGACUUCUGGAAGAAAAGAAAAGGUAAGUCUAAUUUAUAGGCCAUCAUCUCAUGAUUUUAUUGACUUAGAGUUUGCUUAUUUUAGUGACAUAAUAAUUUGCUUGAUAUAAAAGUACUUUGUCCAUACUAGAAACAAAAACAGAAAAUGGACACAUGGAGGCAAAAAUUGACACACGAUGCUUAAUGAUUUAUUGAGGCCCUUCCAUAGUUUUGAUUUCAUCAGAAAAAAAUAUUGUACCCACUUGCUAUGUGUGUGCUACGUAACACUCUUACCCUACACUUCAAAUGACUAAUGUGAUAUUUGUUGUCUAGAUGCCAUUGUUUUCUCUAAUAAUAGAUGCCAUUGUUUUCUCUAAUAAUGUGGGCCACCCAUGUCCAUACUCCUGCCAAUAGACCAAUUUCAUUUUCAUGGAUUAUAACCCGGCCAAGGAGAGAAACUGCAUCUAUCCAAAAGCCAUCCAAGCAGCAACGAAUUUCAAAUACCUGUUCAGCUACACAAGAUUCCAGAGUAUGGCCUAGAUUUCCUCAUACAAUUACCGUAACCAAAAACCUACAACCUUAUCCUAUCAAAAGGAUUAAUAAAUGGCCCAAACUUCACCCUUAGACUCUUUCCGUAGACUAUGUACCAAGUAGAAAUUCAAGUCUUUGGUAUCCCAGGCCAUUUAGCGGCAAUACCACUGUUACAUCACUGUCCGCUUUUUUUUUUUUCGAAAGCGUGCCUUAGCACGUGUUGCUUUAAGGGAAAAAGGAGUCUGAGUACAAGCACGUCAAAACCCGCGGCGAGAUGCCAUAGGCUGACGGCCAAACACACUAACACAGAGCACCGGCUUUAACGGUGGAGCUAGACCGAUGUACUUAGAAAAGAACUAACCCGCUAAAAGAGAGGGGGGACACUCUAAGAGACUGGGUGAACGAAUGACGAUAGCAGCCGGUAGCCUGCGGCCACCCACGACUCCAUCUCUUCCCGGAUGCGCGUUAGAAGCAAGGAGCAGGGGCGUGAGGCGCCGUCGAACGUCCGCCUGUUGCGCUCCUUCCAAAUCUCCCAGGUGACCAAGAGGACGAUGGAGUCGAAUGGCUUGCGCAUGUCGGCACGAAUGACGUUCCUUGUCCCUAGCCACCAGUCCACGAGAGUGUCGUCCAAGCCCGGGGCAUGCUGCUGAAGGUUUGUGAAGCUCAGCAGGCGGAACCAGACCUCCCUACUGAAGACGCACGAGAGGAGUAGGUGGUCGGAAGUCUCCUGCUGCCCACAUAGAGAACAGGACGCCGUCUGCUGGAGUCCAUGACGUGCCCGCCUAGCUGCCGUCCAAAGUCGUCCGUGAAGAGCCAGCCAGAAGAAGAACUUGACCUUAGGCGGCGCCUUGGUCUUCCACAACUCCUUGGCCCCAAGAAGUGUGGUGGACCCCGCAAAGAAGGCGCGGUACGCGGAAGAGCUGGAGUACUGUCCAUCGGAGGUCCAUUUCCAAGUGAACUUGUCAGCAAUACCCGGCGAGAGGGUCACCGCGCGUAGCUUCUCAUCCACCUGAACAAUUUCCAGCAUGAUAUGCUGUGUCCUGGAGCCAGUGAUGUCUCGCACCCAUCGAUCAGCUUCCAACGCUGCGCGUACAGUGCGCCUCCGGCAGCGCGCGCUGACCCUGUCGAAAAGGCGUGGCGCAGUUAUCGCGAGCGGCCCGUCCGGGAGCCAGGAGUCUGUCCAAAACAAGGCUCGCUCGCCGUCGCCGAUCUGCACAGCGACUGAGGCAUUGAACAUUGCCUCCACGCACUUCUCAGCACGGCAUGGGAGAAGAGCCCACGGAGCAUCCACGUCAGAGCGACGGAGCCACUCCCACCUCAGCCUCAACGCAAAUCCCAAGAACCUGAGAUCAGGAAGUCUGAGGCCGCCCACAUCGCGCGGGGAGCAAACCACCGGCCAAGCAACACGGCAACGUCCACCCGACACCUUGUCCGUGCCCGCCCACACGAAUGCACGACGCCGUCUGUCAAUCUCGGAAAUUGCCCACGGAGAAAGAGUGCAGGAGAUGGAGACGUGCACGGGGAUCGCAGACAGAGUGGUUUGAGCGAGAACGCUCCGGCCGACCGAGGUGAGGAGCUGGCCCUUCCAACCUGGGAUCCUGGCGGCAACGGAGUCGACAAGUGCUUGCUCAGUAUCCCUCGGCAGCCUCGAGACCGAGAGCGGCGCCCCAGAUACUUUAGGGGGAAGGUCUGCAGGCGGCAAGGGAAGACAUGGAGCACUUCCUGGAUUUGCUCGUCCGAGCAGCGGAUGGGCGUGAUGGAGCACUUGUCAAAAUUUGUGGAGAGUCCAGACGCCCCCGCGAAAAGCUGAAGAAUCUGCCGGACGCAAGAGAAAUCCAGGGGGCGCGGGCGACGAAGAUGACAAGGUCGUCCGCAUAGACAGAGGUCCGGAACUUAAUCACAUUGCCUGGCAAAGGGUGAAGCUGACCCUGCCUAUCCACCUCAAUGAGAAGGGCGUUGAGCACUUCUAUGACGAUGAUGAAAAGGUAUGGAGACAGCGGGUCCCCCUGUCGCAGCCCCCUCGCGUGGUAGAUGCGAUGUCCCGGCCGACCAUUGAUCAGCACCUUGGUUGAGGCAGUGGAGAGCAUGUAUGAAAUCCAGUUGCGCCAACGCCCUGGGAAGCCCAUGUGUUCCAAGACCUCCAACAAGAACGGUCAGCACAUCGUAUCGAACGCUUUUGCCAAGUCCACUUUUAGCAGAAUCAUAGGAAUUUUGCGGCCAUGCAGCCAACGGCAAGCAAGCUGGACCGUUCGGAAGUUUUCGUGGAUGCGUCUGCCCUUGAUGAAGGCUGUUUGGUUCAAGUUGAUGAGGUCACAUAUGAAGGGCUGAAGGCGCAAGGCGAGAGUCUUAGCGAAGAGCUUGCCAAUUGUGUGGAUUAGACUGAUCGGUCGGUAAUAGCGGAGCGUCACCGGAUUCUGGGUUUUAUGCAGCAACACCAUGAGCGCCUCAUUAAGGCAGUUGAAAUUACGGAAGUCCAUGCUCCAGAGCGCCGAGAAGGCACGCAUGAUAUCCGCGGCCAUCACGGCCCACACCGCCUUGACGAAGCCCACGCCGAACCCAUCCGGGCCGGGGGCUCUGUCGGACGGGGACUCCAUGACCGCACGCGCCACCUCCUCCAACGUGAACGGUUCAGCUAGCGUGGAGAGGUCCAGCCGCGGCAAAGAGAGCUGGGCGAGGUUGAUCCUGUGAGUGCGUGCAAACGGCAUGCCGAGGAUGCUGUUAUAGUAGCUGUACACGGCACCAGCCUUGGCUUCAUCCUCGGAGAACGUCUGGCACUCGUGCUGAACUGCUAACAAGUAAUUCUUCCGUCGACGGUGACAUACUUGCAAAUGGAAAUAUUUGGUACAUGCGUCGCCCUCACGGAGGUGCCUGGUGCGGGCGCGCUGACGUGCCAUGGUCCUUGCCAGGGAGGCGAGGCCAAGAACGUGCGCCUUGAGGUCCCGGUGGAGAUCCUGCUCCCCUGCAGACAGGCGCCUAGACUCUUGGGCGACGUCGAACGCAUGGAUGAUAGCCCGUGCAUAGGCUAGCUGGGCCGUGACAUUGCCGACCCUGGAGGCGGACCAGCUACGGAGGGAGCGGGCGAGACCCCGCAGCUUGGUGUCAAGAUUUUUGCAGGCGUCGACAUCUGGGUUUGGCUGCCCCCAGCCCGUCUGCACCGUGUCGAGGAAACCGGGGACCCGCGUCCAGAAGCGCUCGAAGCGAAACCGUGGAACCGCCCAUGGGUUGGAGUUCAACACGAGUAACAGCGGAGAGUGGUCCGAGCAGUCAGACGAGAGGCUUCGUAGGUGGUGAAAGGGAAAGAGCUGUAACCACUCAACGGAGGCGAAGGCCCGAUCGAUGCGCUCAAGGGUGGGGUUGUCUCUCCCGUUUGACCAAGUGUAUAAGCAACCGGAUAGGUGGAGCUCCUGGAGCUGCAACACGUCUAUCGUGUCCCUGAAGGCGCGCAUGAGCCCACGGUGAAACCUACCGUGGUUCUUGUCAGCCGCCUGAUAAAUCAGAUUGAAGUCGCCACACACGAGCCACGGCCCAGCACAGGCCGCACGUAUGUCCUUGAGCUCCUGCAGGAAGGCAGUCUUUUCGGAAGACGAAUUUGAGCUCGGACCAUAGACGUUAGACAGCCACCACAGCUGCUGAGACGCAAGAGAACGGAUCGCAAUGAUAAUAGAGAAACGGCGUCGAUCUGAGGUGGAAACCUCCCACAGGUCCCCCGCCAGGAGAUGGACGCACCACCAGCCACACCGGACGCCGGCAGGAAGGCGUAGUCGUAGCAAGAUCCCGAGAGUUCCGUGUUAAAGGUAGCUGUCCGUGUCCGUUUGGAACCUUCGGAUUAGGUGUUGGUACCCCGUGUUCGAUGAUGUUACUGUCCGCUAUGAAAUGAGAGAAGAGUGAGCAAGGUUUUUGUUCCCAUCUACUGAUCUCAAAUUGCUCUGUUAUCGUGCUUGAACUCGUUAAUAACUCCGUAUCUAUGGCGCUAUACAAAUAUCUACUAUCUGCCGAUACAAAUAUCUAUUGUCUACUUAAUAUCAGCCGACUACUCUCGAGAACGCUACAAAUACAGGGAUAACAGAUCUGAAGAAUUCGCUUUCAUACAAAUAUACGUAUAACACGGAUCCAAAAAGGUACGCUUCGAUACGCCAUACAGGCUCCUAAGAUACACAAGUGUUUUAUAAACACACUUCAAAGUUAUGUAAAUCAAAACAAUCUUAUUUGCUUGAGCAUCUGCCGGAUAUGUUUUUUUGACAAGCAACGGGGGGAGGCGUUCCCCACCUGAAUUUAUUUUAUUGGCCCCAAAAACGGCCCGUGGAGUAAUACAUGUUUUCAGAUUACAGAUCACCUAGAUGGUGAUAGGGGGGUGGUGUUUGUGGAAACCACAGCACUACAAAAAAUAAACAAUCUAUCUAACCUUGACCUGAACUAGCCAUUUCGAAAUAGCUGCACCAAGACUGGGGUAUGUGUCUUUUCUUGGCUGAGAAUCUGUGGCUCCAUAGCUGGGCAGAGGAUUUGCAACGGUUGAGAAGUUAGACUGCUGAGAUACUUUCUUGCCUGAAGACCUUGCGCACUUUCCAAAUUUCCCAGCACGCGAGCGCUAGGAAGGCCGGAAAUUCGUCAACGGGAAACCCAGGAGGUGGAGUAACCGACUGAAGGUUUUGAAGCUGGAUUCCUAUCAUAGAGUUGAGGUUCAGGCGAGCCCAGAAACUUACAGCGAUUGCACAGCCACCAAUGAUAUGCUCCGGGGUUUCUUCGCUCGCAUUGCACACCUGACAGGUUGGGUCUUGCACAAUAUGUUUUUUUGCGGAGUAGAGACCUGCUUUGAAUCCUUUCCUGGACUAGGAGCCACAUGAACAAUUGCACACGCGGUGGAGCAGAGUUUUUUUCAGACAAAAUUGGCCCCAAGAUCAUUGCGUUGCCCCCUGGAUUUGAGGAGUCUGUACAGGGCGCCGGUGUCAAGGCCAACCUCCCCCUUGCUGAAGACCGAGAGUCUCUUGUCUGUCGAGUCGUCCAGGUGUACACCUCCCAGAAGCUGCUGUACAAAAAUCUGUCGGAUAUGUUAGCCAUUAAACAGUGUUUUUGUCCAGUUUUCUCGGAACAUGAGAAAAAUUGGCACCAAACAAUUGUAUCUUUGAGAGGGCAUGCCAAAUUAGCAUAGCACCGACGCGCUAACAAACUUUGCACAACAACUUGGCACCGACGCUACAAAUAUCAUCAGUCCAGGACGUAGAUCCGAGAAGCGACGUCCUGGACCAGCCAGUCGAAGCCCUCGAGAAGCCCCUCUCCUGUGUAAGCGCUGCAGCCCACAAUCUUCCAGUGCCUGCUGCUGUUCAUCACUUCCAGAUUCAGAACCUGAAAGGGAGGAAGGCGAGUCAAGUCUGCCGUGGAAAAAAACACAACGAAUUCAGAUGGGGAACUGCACUUUCUGCAUUCGCAGCACAAACAGAAUGGAGUAUGAAAACCAAAUGCUAUCACUAUCAACUACGAUGGAAAUCACAGGCCCUGUUACCCUUUGGCUACGCGCAAGCAAUUUGUUUUUACAGAUUGUUAUCACAGCAAGAAUGUAAGGUCUGAGAUUACGGAAAGUAGCUGAACCCUAUCACUGGAAACAACAGCCUGAGCAGAUAAAAUAACUAAUCUUGGAAUUUAACCACAUACAGAAGGAAGCUGUAAAAUACAAUGAUGCUCAACUGUGGUGCACGGAGAGUCCUCUCCAUGGCAUUUGAGGUUUUGUUAAGUGAGUUAGGUUGGAUGAAACUAAAAGGCAAAUUUGUUGAUCUAAGUUGUUAGUCACAGACUAAAACUAACCUUAAUUACUCCCUAUCGAUGAUAAAAACACGAUAAGGCCCUAACUGACUUGGCUGCUUGAUGCAACAAUGCUAAGUUUCUCCACGACUCCAUGUCAACGUCAACAAAAAGCAGAGCAAAUCAAUUACUGCUUAUAGCUUAGAGCUGGGGCAACAUAGUGCCAAUAAUAGCACGGGCUUAUUUCUAGAGAGCAAAGAUGUAUUCAUCCAAUUAUGCCCAAUUACAAAUCCUAAUUCUUGUAACAAUACAGUUGCUUUUUUUACACCAAUUUACAGCAGAAUCUGGUUUUUCAUAUGAGUGUUUCAAUUCUGUCCGAGGACCAAAUGACAAUUUCCAUCUAAUCAGUGGAAAUGAUGGGGGUGACUCUGUUCCAGAAGAGAACACGCUGGCAACCAAAUCUAAUUUAGGAGCAAACAAAAUGCAAAAUAUCCACAAAGUACAAAUAAGUAGCAUCUAAUCAGUGGAAAUGAUGGGGGGGAGGGGGUGUUGACUCUGUUCCAGAAGAGAACUCACACUGCAAACCAAAUAUAAUUUAUAAGAAAACAAAAUGCAGAAUAUACAUAGUACAAGUGCAUGCAGCUAUCCCAGUACACACUGAAAUUGGAUGCUUCAGAACUGUGCAAUUAUUGUUUAUUUUCGUCUAUAUUUAAUACUUUAUGCAUGUGCCGCAAGAUUCAAUAUGACAGAAAAUCUUGAGUUUUUUUAGUUUUUGGGUGAACUAAACAAAGGCCGAAUCGUCCUGGAAGAGGCGUCCAGAACAUGGCGUAGGGCGCCCCCUUCCUGCUCAGACUACUUCGCUGUUGCUGUUUCGUAUGACGUUUGCCCUAGCCCUCGUCACUCGUCUCCUUUCGGCAAGAAGCAGCAGAGUUGAUCUUCAGAGUUCCUUCCAAUGGACACUGCAACUAGCCCUCGUCAAAGAGAUUAUAGUUACGGAUCACAGUUGACCAUUCAUUCAUUGAUCAAGGUAAAAACAAAGCACAAGCACAUUGCAGUUAAACAUGUUGCCUAAGCAUGUCCAAGAUCUAAUAAAACAAAUUCAUACACAACACUGCUGUUGAAAUAUUCACGUGAAAUGUUUCUCAUCAGCCAUCUGCGUUUGCUACUGAAACCGUAACUGGUCACAUAAGAUCCUGCACUAAGAACUCUCUGCCUCAAAACUGACAGAUGCUGGUGGAAGUAUGCUACAAAAUCUGUGGAUUCUCGGCUAUCCCUUGACGCACAAGGCACCGCCGCCAGUCCGCAAGUCGGUGUCCAACUGAAACUCCAGGCAUGUCCUAACAUCUCACAGUCGUCUAAGCCAGGCAAUAAUUGCUCACGGUGUGUGUUUAUCGGUAGUAUGAAGCUGUGAUGUACAGAAGAACAGAGGCAGCCGCAGUAACAAUCAGCUCCUGGGGCAAAGCAUCGACCAGUUAGUUACCCUCCUCACAGCAAGAAUAACAAGGGUUUGUUACAUCAAAAGCAUAUAGUAAGUACUGAAAUAAAUAUGAUAUAUACCAUGUAACAAAAGGACCAAAGGAGAGCUCAUUCCAUGAACUAUAUCCCUACAACCGACACAUACCAUGACUUACUGCUAUGUACCCUAUGCAUUCUAUUGUUUAGGCUGUGUAGUUUACACAUCAAAAUGGGCACAAAUAUAAUUUAACAAACUCUAUUUCUUCCUAAUGCAAUCACACACAGUUCUGUCUAUUUGAGUGAAAAAAAAUAUGUGCUCAUUAUUUUCCAAGGACUUGUACCCUAUAUACAUUAUACUAAAGCUCUCAAUAAUCACAUUAAUGUUAACAGAUAGAUCUGCAGGCACUCUGACUUUAAAGGGGGAAUCGGGCUAGCAGUCAUCAUACCUGGUAGUAAUAAACAACACGGGGAGUAUACUGCAUUGAAAGCUCAAUCAAGUUAACAGCUGCUGUGUAACCCUGAAAAUAUUAGGAGAGAACAAUUAAACCAAAAUUCAAUCAAACAUACCACAACCAGAGACAUAAAACUGGAGGACAUGGACUGAGAAAAUUUUAGCAGAGUUGCAUCAGAUAAGAAUCCACAUACCAGGGAUGCAGUGAACACACAUCCAAAUAUCAAACCCAAAGCACGGACUACUCUUUUUGCCAUUCUUAUCCCUCUUCCUUCAACCUCACCAUAUUCCUGUUACAAACACCAGAUGCGACUAUCUUACUAAUCAUUUAAAAAAAAUGGUAGCCCCAGGUCCCAUCAUCAAUAAGAACCAUCCUAUGUAAUUUUGCAUAAGCUUUUAGUAGGGCACAUAAUUAGUUACCAGGAAAAAAUAAUGAACUGAGUUCAGAUUAACUUUAUAUUUGGAUGCCCAUCAUCAAAGAGAUAAGACAUAAGAAAAUGAAAUGCAGGCCAGAGGCCACACAGCGCCAUGCUAUGUGAAUACAUAUUAUUUCUGCGUCAAUAGAAUCACCAUAACAAGGAGAGAAAUCUUGGAUAAGCCAAAAAGUGAUUGAUAGCAACAUCAUCAGAUGAUAACCAUAAAAAAUGUACAAACUGUAAGCUCGUUAGAUGACAAACAUGGAGCAUCAGAAACAGUCUCACAUUGUAUAUUGGAGUUAUUGCUGGUUCAGUAGCUCUUAGCUUCUGUAGUAUUCUGUAGAAGAAAGCAAAACAUAGGAACUGCAAAGGCUUCCAGUCUGCAUUGCCCAUAAUAGCUAUCCAAACAACCUGUAUGUAAAGUGUAGAUAAAUAUAUUUUCGAGGAAUACAACAUAUCGACAGUGAUAAGGAUAUGCGCAAAGCCUUAUUCGAGAUAGAACAAAAAGGUUAAAAACUACUACAUCCAGUCCAUCAUACAUAUUAUUCAAGGUACGAGCGUAUGAGUAUAUUGCAUACACAGUUCCAAAAGAUAAAUGCCUUUCGUAUUUUAACAUGUUUGCCCUCUUAAAAUGAACUAUGGAAAAUAUACGAUGUGGUGAAAACAGUGCUGCAGUCACUUGGCCCAAAUCCAUUACGCAAAAUUGAUAUUUGUUUUGGACUCGAGUUAGUAGUUUUUUUAACAACUUUACAGAUUAAAUAUGAGUAAUAAAGCAUGAAAUCCAAACUUAAAUGCUCGGAAUUUAUGAUUUAAGCUUCCAAACAUGUUUCAAGCUUUCAUUUUUUUUAACAAAAAAGUUUCAAGCUGAUAUCUUAGAUGGUAGCUUUUCUGACAAGAAUAAUCAUGCGAAAGCACAGUGGAUAGCCAAGAUACUAGACAUAGAAGUGAAUAACCAUAAAACAAUGAGCAUGUCAGGAAUAGCUGGGAUAUUUUUUAUGAAUUAAGAGAAUAGUACAUACAAAUGCUGCUGAUAUUGCCAUAUUUAUGCGCAUAUCCUUCACUGUGGAUCUGGAGAAUCUGCAAGAUAAGUUGACCACCCAUUAACAGCUUCACACUGUGUUUCUGUUUAGUUGUCUUAAUCUUAACUCAUAAUAAGCACUCAGAUGUAGAUUUCUGUAAAGAAAUGUUUCUGAUAGACCAUAUAAACAUAGAAUAAGAACACCGGUUCAUAAAUCAUAACCAUCAGCAGAAAAAUAGGGAAGGCAAAUACUCCAACAAAACAGUCAGUAGGUUGCCUACCAGAAAUGCUAACCCCAUUCCAUCAUGUUUCUAUAUGACAAAAAGGUUAACUCAUACUGAUUAUUAGUGCCCACAGGCCACAUUCGCAAAGAAAGUCACCAGUUCCUAAAACAUGCUUCACACAAUCAUACCCACUAAAAUUCUGGGUUGACUUAUGAAAUGAAGGCUAAGUUAGCUUGAGUAAAAAAGUACCUUGGUCCCCAAGGCACCAUUGGUUGAUUAUCAGCAUACUUGAUAUCCUUAGACACCUGAUAAUGGGAACAAGAUUAGAUAAUAAAUGAAUAGAAUCACCAUAAGGAGGCAACUGAAUGAAUUAGAUAGUUUCACCAAUCACCAGUGCAUUUUAGAAAAAGCAACCAUAGAUGGUUGAAUCACAUAAGCUCACUGUAGUAGGUAAGUAGAGCCAAUAACAAGUAUGACCCUUCUUGAUGAUCUAUGCAAUAGAUAUUUUAAGGCAAAGCUUAUCUAAUAUUCACAACUAUGACCUAUAGUACCAUUUAUAACAUUGCUUAGCUAGCAACCCCAAUUUAAUGUGUAAGGCUCAAUCAAUGAACACAAAUUUAUGUUGCAUAACUCAGUACGGCUCAUUAUUAAUACAAUUCCAUAGCGUAAUAAUUUUAACUUUGAAUAGAUGAUGAAGGAGCAUAUAACAAACAUAAUGUACUUCUUGCAAUUACACAACAGUGUUUUGAAUCAAGGAGAAUCAUGCCCAUCCAAGCAUGGAAUGGCAACUGACCUCAACAGACCCGUAUGUGACUCCCUUCUUCCGAUACUGCAGCUGCUGCAUCAUGACAGUGUCGUAGGCCCUGUCCAACUAUCAUCAUAACCCCAAUAACUCAACCAUUAGUACAGUUUGCAAAAGCUAAUGCCAUAUGCUAGCCCAGAGAGCUCAGACAAGAAUACUCUUCCCUACCUUGGCAAGGAACUCGUCGUCUCCAGUCUCCUCGGCGUCCUUGCGCUUCUUCUUGUAGGCCAUCUUCAUGUGGUCGAAGCUAUCAAGCGGCCUGAUGCCCAGAAGCUAACACCCAAAGAGCACAUAAUCACAACACGAAUCGAAAAAGAGAGAAUCUCUGCCUCCCAUUUCACUCAGAUUCUACCUCAUACGGGUUCUCCUCGUCGCCAAACUCCGCGCUCCCAGCCGCCGCCGCCGCGUCCGCUGCCACCACGACCGCGCCGCGGCGCCGCCUCACGGCUGACGCGACGAGCCUUCACUUCCCGCGAAAAACAAGAGGAAUUCAAAAAAUUUAUCCACCCAAAACGUCCUCAAAAACCUCCUCGACAAGAAAAACAUAGGCGGCUGGCGCAGGAGUUACCGUAGCGACUGGGGCACGGGCCGGCCGGCGCGACGAGGGAGCGGGAGGAAGCCGCGGCGAGAGAGAGACGAUGCGAGAGCGAAUGCGGGCGCCGCCGCAGCAGCGCCGGUCGCCGUCGCCGUCGCCGUCGCGGACGCCAUUGCGGGGUCUCAAAGCCUAGGGUUUUAGCGCAGUCUCACGCGACGGCGAGGAGGAAGAAGGCGGAAGCCAUGGGAGCCAAGGGCGAGGUCUAUCUGGGUGGAUCGCCGUGGAAGGUGGGUAAGGUGCCUUGGGCCACAAAUGGGCCAAUAAUGGGCCUUCUAAUUAUCUACGGGAGCCACUGGGCCUGUAAGCCCAUGGAACAGAGGCGGUAUCGGUAUCGGGCUGGGCUCGGGCUCGGGCUCUAAAAGAAAACCCAGAAAUGGCGGCUCGCCGUCAACGUCAUCACGUACAAAGCGCAAUUCGUUUCGUUCUUAUCUUCCUCGUCUCGUUAGUUCGCCGCCGUUCGCCGUCGAACCGCAGCGCCGCCGUCGAGUCGAGCCGGCGAGGCGAAGGGAAGGAGAGCGGGGGGGAAGAGGAGAGGACGCCAUGGCGACCGCUUCAGGUGAGUAGAGCAUCACGUAACCCUAACCCUAAGUUUCCGUGGGUUCGAUUCUCCCAAAACCGCGUGAACCGAUCCGUUGCCCUGGGUGGUUAUCUUAUCUCCCUAUCCGUGUUGUUUAUCCUCGAUUCGAUGUGGAUUAGGGUUUGUUCGGGGGCGGUGUACCUGGUGUUCUGCCUAAUUUGGGGAUCGGCGCUUCUGUGGGUGCUUGUGCCCCGCGAAUUUUUGGGGAUUUUUACUGCGGUGUUUUGAAUUAGCGACUUAUGUCUUGUGUCGUUUGUGGCAGUGACUUUCAAGUCACGGGAGGAUCACCGGAAGCAGCUCGAACUCGAGGAGGCGCGCAAGGCGGGGCUCGCCCCUGCGGAGGUCGACGAGGAUGGAAACGAGAUCAAUCCCCAUAUCCCCCAGUAUAUGUCCUCAGCUCCAUGGUAUCUUAAUGCCGAGAAGCCGGUAAGUCAUUGCUUGCACUAUUUAGCGUGUUGAUGCCCAAAGCUGUGAAUGAGGAUCUGGCUGAUUGGAGGGCUGACUCUUGUUGGUUUUAUGAAUUCAGAGUUUGAAGCAUCAACGGAAGUGGAAGUCAGAUCCGAACUACACCAAGUCGUGGUAUGAUAGGGGUGCAAAGCUUUUCCAGGCCAACAAGUACAGGAAAGGCGCUUGCGAAAAGUAAGUGGUGUUUGUUUCACCACAUUUCUUUUGAGGCCUUGCUCAACAUGUACUUAUUGCUUGUUAUUAGUAUGGCAUCAUCUUGUUGGUUCUAGAGUUGGGUUCUAAGUUCUAGAGUUUGCAGUCCAUUUAUUUAGUAUAAUAUAUGCAUAAUAAAUAAACUGUCUGAAGAUUUGCCAACAAACGGUUUUCCUUGAUGUUUUAGCUGUGGAGCCAUGACUCAUGACAAGAAGUCUUGCAUGGAACGGCCUCGAAAUGUGGGAGCUAAAUGGACAAAUGUCAACAUAGCUCCUGAUGAGAAAGUUGAAUCAUUUGAGCUGGACUAUGAUGGAAAGCGUGAUCGUUGGAAUGGUUAUGACCCAUCGACCUACACUCGUGUUAUCGCUGACUAUGAAGCUAGAGAAGAGGCUAGGAAAAAGUAUCUGAAAGAGCAGCAGCUCAAGAAACUUGAGGAGAAGGAUACUGAGAAGGAUGAUGAGAACGUGGGUAGUGAAGAUGAUGAAGAAGAUGGCCUGAGGAUAGAUGAGGCCAAAGUUGAUGAGAGUGCCCAGAUGGACUUUGCUAAGGUAGAGAAGCGUGUGCGCACAACUGGUGGUGGAAGCACCGGUACUGUUAGGUAUAUACUGCACUACUACUCAGAAAAUAGAUCAUGUUCCUUCUAGUACUAGGGUUCCUACGUCAAGGAUUAUCAGAAACCAAUUUAAAUGCUGAUGGUAUUUUUUUUUGUCUCCACAGGAACUUGCGUAUCAGAGAAGACACGGCAAAAUAUCUUUUGAAUCUUGAUGUCAACUCUGCAUAUUAUGAUCCAAAAACCCGUUCCAUGAGGGAAGACCCCUUGCCAGAUGCUGAUCCAAAUGAUAAGUUCUAUGUGGUAAGUAACUGACGACAUAUAGCUUUAAUGCUUUACACAAUUUUAAAUGCGAAAACCCUCUGUUCUGUAGGCUCUUGGGUUCUGUUAUCUGAUGUGAUAUUAUGGUGCAGGGUGACAACCAAAAUCGUCUUAGUGGUCAAGCUCUGGAGUUUAAGCAACUCAAUAUCCAUGCAUGGGAAGCUUUUGAAAAGGGUCAAGAUAUCCAUAUGCAAGCAGCCCCAUCUCAAGCAGAACUACUGUACAAGAGCUUCAAGGUCAAGAAAGAAAUGUUGAAGUCUGAACAUAAGGAUAAAAUUAUGGAGAAGUAUGGGAAUGCUGCAUCAGAAGAUACAAUUCCUCGGGAGCUACUUCUUGGGCAAAGUGAGAGAGAGAUUGAGUAUGACCGUACUGGUCGAAUAAUCAAAGGACAGGUUGGUAAAAAUAAUGAGUGUUAUUAAUUAUGCCUGUCUACUUUCUGGUCUCUUGUUGUUCUUAUAACUGUUCCUGCUUCUUCUUGCUGUCGCAUUCUAUAUAUUUUUGUGUCUGGUAGGGCUUUCUGGCUAAAUGGCUAAUUGUGUCUGCAUGUUACAACAUCAGAGAUGAUGAUAAGCUUUGCCUCUUUAGAAGAAGGAAUCAUAUUAACAGAGGCAUUGUGCCAUAUACGACGAGAAGAAUCUGAAAUCUUAUAUCCAAUCUUAAUAAUGUGAAUUAAUAAAAGUAGGACCUACUCUAGCCUCCACAAAUGCAUGUGCAUUUUGUGGAGUUCUUGCAAUUGACCUUGGAACUAGGAUUGUGCUAUAUGGGCUAGUCAUAAUAUUGGUUGAUUUUUUUUAUUUUUAUUUUUUUUAUUUUUUAUUUUUUUUUUUGCCUUGUUUCAAGUAUGUUGGAAUAUGCUAGAGAUCAAACACAGCAAGGGCCAUAAAGAUAGAUCAUAUGGAAGUAAAAGGUUAUUAAUAGUACCAACAGGUAAAAGGAGAACGAUAUCCUAGAUCAUGGUUCAGCACAUGUAUUCCUAGUUACCACACACUAGGAGUGCAUGCAAAGAUUGCGAGUUAACUUUAUGUUUGCAUGCAACUAAAAAAUACUAAGAACUGUAUCCUCUUUCACUUUGAAUGAAUGGUUAGUCUGUGGCUUUAGACUGGAUGCCAACAAUCCAAUCUAAUUAUUGGACUGUUGGGAUUUCCAUGUUUGGUUUGGUCAUGAGUGCUAAAUGAUGUUGAGUAACCUUAAUUUAAAUCUACAGGAUGUAUCUCUUCCCAAGAGCAAAUAUGAAGAGGAUGUAUUCAUUAAUAAUCACACAACUGUGUGGGGUUCAUGGUGGAAAGAUCAUCAAUGGGGCUACAAGUGCUGCAAGCAGACUAUCAAGAAUAGUUACUGCACAGGCUUGGCUGGAAUAGAAGCUGCUGAGGCAUCAGCAGAUCUAAUGAAGGCCAAUAUGGCCCGCAAGGAGGCCGCAGAAGGUAUUUUGUCAAGAAAAUACUUCUAUUAUUUAUUUAUAUCUGGACAACUUGCAUUGUGUGUAGGAUAAUUGGUGCCAUUGAGUAAACCUUUACCUGUUCAAAAAUUCGCACCUGCUAUUCAUAAAAUCAUAAUUUGUGCCUGUUUUUUUUUUCUCAAGCAUGACCUCACAGCUAAGUGCCAGUUUUUUGUUUGUUGCCAUCAGUUAACUAUUCUCCUAAUUAUAUGAACCCUGUAUUGUUAAAGUUAGUGUGGUAUCAGGUCUUGUUAGUUUCAUACUCCCAUGCUGUCUUAUGUCAAGAUAACUUGAGACAGACAAUGGGAUGCAAAUAUAGCUAGGCGCAAUUUGUUUUUGUUUACGAAUAAAUUUGUUUGAAUGAGAUGGCACGCCACUCGAUUUAAUUACCCAUGCGCGGCGACCAUUAUGCAUUGGAUUAACUUAAAAAUUGUUCAAUGCAGAUGAACCUGUACAACAUGAAGAAAAGCGAUUAGCCACUUGGGGAACUGAUGUGCCUCAGGAUCUUGUUCUUGAUCCGAAGAAGCUCGCGGAAUCUCUAAAGAAGGUUAGUGUCUUGUAUUUGACCUUUGGUAUUUUUCUGUUCAAUAAUUUCCCCCCUAUUGUAAAACGCUGAAGCUUGGUUUUAAUCCUGUAGGAGAAAGGAAGGAGGAAUGAGGAGAGGGAUGAGAAGAAGAGGAAGUAUAACGUGCACUUUGACGAUCAGGUUACUGUAGAAGACAUGGAGGCCUACCGUAUGACGAAGAUUCACCACGAUGAUCCUAUGAGAGCUUUUCUCAAGUGAAGUGUGGUAAAUAAAUGUUUGCGCUGCUGUAUCACAUUGGUAGCACCCUGCCUUGCAGGGAUGUUGUGUAAUUGUAAGAUGGCUAUGCCUGUCCUAACCCAGGGUGGUGCUGUGAUGUAGUAGAAUGUAAAACCUGGCUACACUUUUUUACAAGCUGCGUGUUGAAAAUGUGUAAUGCCACAAUUUCUGAUAAUCAGAAUCCUUUGCUUCCUGGUAUUUAUUAUGACGAUUGAUGCGCCAAAGGAAUUACGUUCCUAUUUGUGAACUGCCGAAAUUGGAGUGCGUGUGGUUUCUUAUUUCUUCUCUUUUUUGGGUGAGCUGUAUGCUUUGUUGUUUUGUUGGUCACCAGUUCGCUUGAAUCUUGGAUAGAACUGGUGAGCCAACCAUGGUUCGCCUGAUAAGUUAGCAGCAUGUAAUAUCCAUGACAUGCCUUCAAUUACAUUUGGCAUCCAAAGCCAGAACAAUUCUAACGCAGUUCAGCUGUAAUCAGAUCAACCUGUGGUGGACAUGGAUAUACAUAUAUAUUUACAUCUUUUGUUUUUUUUUUCUUCUCCUAGUGAUGAACAUCAAUCAAACAAAUAUGUACACUUAUCGUUACAUUACAAGCAACACCACCAAUGAAUAUAAUAGAACAACAAUCCUGUAUGUACAUCUACUACACGAAGAAAACCAACCUCUCAACCAAAGCCACAACUAACAGAGUUUAUAUUAGGCUAUUAGCACACCGUGAUUGAUCAUCUAUCUACUCCAGUAAUCUAGGCCCUAAAUCUUCUUCAUUUUUACCAAACCACAAAUCCAUGCAAACUACUAGCUUAAACCUUUAACCAAUCCCCUAUGCUAUGUGUUAUGCUAUGCUAGUAGAUAUCAAUUAUUAAGAAAGAUGUCGUCAUGUGUUGAUGUCAUAGGCCUCUUGCGAGCAUGGCCUGAAACUCCUCCGCGGAGCGCUGGCUCUGCAGCCGCAUGUCCUCCCUGAACUUGCGGAUGAAGAGCUCCGCCCUGAGGUCCACCUCCCCCAUCCCCUUCACCACCCCGAGCACGCCUCCGCCUCUGCCGGGGCUCCGCAGCAGCACGUUCCUCAUCGCGCCCACGCCCGCCGCCAUGGCACGCGCCUGCUGCUGCUGCUGCUGCUUGCCGCUCCCGCCGCCGGCGGCGGUGUCACGCGCGGGUGCAGUGGCGGGUGCUGCAGCCGCCGUUGUCGCCAGCUGCUUGUUGUCGCGGGCGCUGGUGCUCGGCUCUUGCUGCACGACGCCGCGGAGGGCCUUGGCUGCUGGCUGCUGCUGCUGCAGGUGGUGGUGGUGGCUGUAGAGGUCGUCGACGUAGACCGGCGCGAAGCUCCGUUGGUGGUGGUGGUGGCACCAGCCGUUCUGCGAGUAGUGCACGGAGGUCGACGACGUGCGCCGACGGCGGCGGACGUCGACACCCCCGAUGACGGACCUCCGGAGCCUGUACCCGACGGCCGCCGCGAUGCCGACGCACUUGGCACGCCACCACCGCCACGGCCUCCUUCCGCCGCCGCCGCCUGGGCCCGCCGGCCGCCCCGACGACGACGAGGACGCGUAAUAGUAGGUGUCCGUCGUCGUCGGCAUGGUGGUCACGCCGAAGCAAGACAUGGAUCCGCGACCGGGAGAGCGAGAGCGUGCGUGCGUGUGUGCAGGUGCAGGAGAGUGAUUGCUUGCUUAGGUUUGUCAGUUGGAGGAGCCUUGCAUGGUGGAGGAACUAGCAGAGGUGAUGAGUGAGUAAAGUUAUAGGUGGGGUUGGCGUGAGAAGAACGAAGUCGGGAGCACUUUCGGUGGUUGCCGCGGGUAAGACUCACGCUACCUGCUUUGCUGCUUCUUCUUCUGGUUGGCAUGCAGUUGACCGCGCUUGCAUUUCCCACACUGGUUGGCAGUUGCCAUUGGGUACGGUAAAGUUUUUUUUUUUUCUGCCCACAUGCUCACACACUCCUAUCUAUUAAACUUGUAUGGAAAAAAUAUGCAAACACAUAUUAAAGUGAAACUGCAUUGAGAUAUGUAUUUGUAUAUUUUUUGAUGCGAAUUCAGCGGGUGAGAAAAUGGAGCAUGUGGCGUUUCAUUGGGUACCGGCCGGCAUCCACAGCUGGAAAUCUGGAAUGGAUGCCGGCAUGCCGCCGGGACCGGGCACCAGCAUCUUCUUCCUUCCCAUCGCUGCCCUUUCUUUUUUUUUUUCCCCUUGCGGUUGUGUUGCUUUGCUUGCCUGCGUUUUAACUUGCAGCUGGAUGCUUCUUUUCUUACAUCAGUGGGUUGUGAUGAGUGAUGACAUCAAUGUGGGCACGAUCUAGCUAGCUUUUCUUUCUUGUUUUUUUUUUCUUUCUUGUUCUUCUGUGAGUGUGGGCCGGGGUGGGGUGAUGAAUACUCUGAAACCUUAACUUAAGACCAUUCAAAAGCUGACUUGAUCCGAUUAACAAAUCUCCUGUCUUGAUACAGUUUAGCGGUCACAAAUACCUAGGCCCUAAGCCCCUAAUGUUAGGGGAGUCAGAAAUCUUCUGUCUUGCUAUAGUUUGGCAAUGGCAGGGCAUAUAGUUAUGCAACACGUACAAGUUAAUACUAUCUCUGUUUCUGAAAACUUCAAUUUCUAGAAUUAGUGUUGGUCAAACUUUUAAAAUUUUGAUCAACUUUAUAGAAAAGAGUAUUAAUAUCUAUGACAUAAAAUGAAUAUCUUAUAAAAAUAUAUUCUAUGAUAAAUCUAAUGGUACUAUAAAUCUUAGCAUUUUUUCUUAGAAAUUUGGUAAAGUUUGACCAAAGACAACUCUAUAAAUCGAAGCAUUUAUUUACAUGCCCAUUUCCACCUAGCUAGCAUCUACACAUUUGUAUAAACAAUCGGAGAUGACUUAUUGGAUGUCAGGUUGUAUCUAUACUUUCAUAUCAAUCUCACAUGUUAGGCAAGUUGCAUUCGCUCCUAUAGGUAACCAAACAAUAUUUUGGUUUUUCUUCUCUUUUGCUAAUGCAACCUACCAAACAGAUAUUCAGAAUACGAUUUCACUCAGUAUGCGUCAUGAUAUAUACGAUGCAAUCUCUAUCCGGCAAACAAACACACUCAAAGUGGACUCAUGGACUACACAAUACAAUUUUUAGUCCCAACAUGGGAGUAUAGGAAAAAUGACACACAUCUCGAUAUAAGAAAUCAACGCAGAAAAAUUAUGGUUCCCCAAAGUUACCGUCAGGAUACUAUUUUUUCUCGUACGGUCCAUCCAUAACAAAUUAUUGUUCAUUGUUCUGAAAAGUCAUGGCUAAAAGUAACGUUCGUUGAUUUAUUGUGAGAGAAUAACACUGUUGAAUUCGAGACUAUCAGGUGGCUCGUGCCAUUAGGGUCAUGUUUGCUCGUAGAUCAUGAGGAGGCAGCUUAACACUUAGAGCAAAACCAGCCGAGCUGCCCAAGCACUGACCUCCUUGUGCCAUGUACGUACGUGUAUAUAAUAGUCCUACUUCAUCUCUCCAUGCACAUGCACAGAACAAUAUAAUCACCCUCUUGAUAAUUUCUCUCCGAGUAUAUAAGUCUCUGCUACUUUCAGAUCAGAGCGAUUGAGAGCUUCAUGUUGUUGAGUCAAACGGCGAACCUUCAGAUUCUGGUGUAAUCGCCAGGAAACUUGCACUCAUUUUCCUCACCACAGGGGCGGCUGGCCUGGCGUGUAGCUUGGAAGUUCGCAACUUGCAAGCCGGCCGGCCGGCCGGAGGAGCCGACCAUGCAUUUCUUAUCCUUGCAUUGUGAACGAAUGAGCUCCCCAACUUGCAGCAAAAAGAGGGGAAUCGUCGAUGAUGUUUAUAUAUCGCUUAAAGGCUAAGAGACUGAAAUGAGGAAGAUAUAUCCGAUUCUCUUGGUUCUUCGAAAAGGAUAUUGACACUAACAUGAACCAAGAGGAUUCCUCGCACGUUGCCGUGGAUACAAAGACGAAAGAAUACAAAUAUGUUAGAAUAUGUAUUGUCUAAUUGGACAGCUUGUAUGUUCGUAGAAAUAGAUGAUUUGCUAAGGUAAAUAUUAUAAUUGUUUGAGCUAGUGAAUUUUAAUUAUGUGUGAUAAUGGAUUGUCUAGUUAGAUAGUUUGCAGUUGAGAGAAAUAGUUAGCAGAUAAAAUGGUAUUCUUUUUUGUACCCAUCCUCGUGUCUAUGGGCCAAGUAAUUAGAAGGGACCCUGCGCGGCCCGUUAACCCGUCCGGGAGCUGAGAGAAGAAUCACACGCCGUUGUCUGAUUAUCUAUCCAAUUCCACCGAUUACUAGUGAUAUCGAGUUCCUCAUUCAGUUCGGUAACAGCGUCUUAAUUACCUUCGGAUCAAUCGGCAGAGAGCUUUGCGGCUCCAUGUCCUGGAAUCGCCACCUUCUGGAGCUGUGAAAUGAAUCCCCUCCUGACGGCGGCCAAUGGCCUGGUCACGCCUGGUAAAAUUUAUUUUGCCGUUAUGGGGGCAUGUGUCCUGACUCUCCUAUUUAUUAAAUUCAUGAGAUGUGUGUUUGCACACUUCUCAAAGCAAAUUCAAUAGCUGAAAGAGUGAGGGCAUGUGCAUAAAAAAAUAGCUCCCCAAUUGAAUUGGAAUAUUCUCAAUAGGCAAGCCUGAUAAGUCUAAUACUGUAAGGUACUAAAGUGACUAAAGUUAAUACUAGCUAAAAUUUAGCAAGGGGAAGCAAACAGAGCCCUAGUAUACAAACUCUCAACGUGGAUCCAAUCAGCAAAAAUAUGCGGAUUUUGUCCAUCCAACGAGUAAAAAGGAAAAGGAAAAUCGCACGUGACGGAGGGGCGAGCGGGCUGCGGGCUGCCCACGUAAGCGGUUCAGAGAGCGUGGGCCCAUGAUGUUGGCCCGGGGCAGGCAGGAGAAUAAAUGGGCCCCAACGGCCCACGAGCAUCCCCGCAGACGUUCCUGCUCUUUCUCGCCAAGCACGGAUGCUCCAGUAAUAAAUCUCUAUGUUUUAAGUGUACUUAUUUCAACAAAGAUCGAUCCUUAAUUAACCAGGACAUAAGAUUCACUACGAAGCUAGCUGAUCAGAAAUAUAUUUAAGCAAUCAGCCUACCCAUCCAAAUUACUGUAUUUACAAGAGACCUCUUCAUCGCAAACGCAAAGACAAGGUAAAUAUAUAUAAGCUAGUAACUUGCUAGACUACGUUGGCAAAUUAAAGAACAAAAACCUACAUCCGGAUCUUAUAAGAACUUUUGUUUGAGACUAGCUAGAUCGACUACGUUGGACAUUUUAAUGAUUUCGGCCAACAGCUGGGACGAUCUAACUUGCUACAUAUGCCAAGCUAAUUAACUUGCAAACGUAUGUUUGGGAGUAGCUAUAGCUAUCUAGACUACGUACGUCUACGAUUGAAGGAUGAGAAAUUUAAACCCUGUUUGGUGACCUUCGUUUGGCUCUUGUUUGUCUUUUAUACACCAUAGUAAGAAGCUGUUUUUAAUCUCUACUCUUGAAAUAAAUUACUCCUUCUAUUCCUGAAAGCUUCAACUUCUAGAGUUUUCCUAAAUCAAACUUUUAAAACUUUGACUGAAUUUCUAAAAAAAUACACUAAGAUUUAUAGUACCAAAUUAAUAUUAUUAGAUUUAUCAUAGAAUAUAUUUUUAUAAGAUACUCAUUUUAUGUCAUAAAUAUUGAAGUUUUUUUCCUAUAAAGUUAGUCAAACUUUAAAAAGGAUUUGAAUGACACGAAUUCUAAAACUCGAAGCUUUCAGGAAUAGGGGGAGUAGAAACUAGUGGAACUAUAUAUUUUUUCACCAGAGUCAGAGCCGUUUGAAGCCAUGCCAAAUGAGCCUUUAAUAACAUAUGAAUUCUAGGCAUGCAAUUCUAUGUACUAAUCUACACAAAUGCUUGUCCAGAUUCAUCAUACCUAGAAUUACAUUUGUUUUGGGACAAAGUGUAUAUUCUAGCAAGAGGCCUGUCUCUAUCUAUCAUCACUUUGGCGUAGGACUUGACUAGGAUAAUUAAAUCAACGGAGUGCGUGCUACUUGGGAUGAUUGAUGGACAACAUCUUGAUGAGUCGAUUGAGAUGGACGGGCGAAAGCAACAUGGCACUGUCUGUUUGUGAGACGACGAUGACUCAACUGUGGCCACUACUAAUUAAUUAACCAUAUGCAUGAUUCUGUGCAAACACGUCCCGCUGGAAUUUAGAUCCUCUAGUAAUAUCAUACAAAUAUCUUAAUAUUUGUGUCUUAAUCAAUGGUUUUCAAAUUCAAAUAAAUUUAUAGCAAAAGACCGCUAACUUUUAUAAACGUCAAACUAACACUAGAUGUUCCAUGAAAUAUAUAAAAUUUAUUGUUAAAUUUAUUUUAGAAUAACUCUAGAAUUUAAUUUAUCUUGAGAUAGAGGCACAUAGUAGCGCUGAUACUUAUGUUUGUAUUCAUAUUGACAAAGAUUAAGGCCAUGUUAGGCCUUGUUUAGAUCCGAUUUUUUUUGGAUUUUGACACUGUAGCACUUUUAUUUUUAUUUGACAAAUAUUAUCCAAUCAUGGAGUAACUAGGCUUAAAAGAUUCGUCUCGCGAUUUACAAACAAACUGUGCAAUUAGAUUUUGUUUUCAUUUAUAUUUAAUACUUCAUGUAUGUGCCGCAAGAUUCGAUGUGACGAAGAAUCUUGAAAAGUUUUUGGUUUUUAGUGUGAACUAAACAAUGCCUUACUUGAGAUCCCGAUGGCUCUCUUAAAAAUAGUCAAUAUUUUCUGAAUUAUAUAGUAUGAACGUGCAGGCAUUAUAUUUAGUGUGCCAGAAGGUACAACCUUCUUAUUUUAAAAUUCGUCAUUACACCUAGCUAGCUAGGAGUUUCUUUUAAAAUGGCUGUGAUAGUAUGAUGCAUGCUUGCCCUUGGUUCACGUUCGAGGCUUACGUCACUAGAUGACGAUUUAUACAUAUGUAAUGGCCUGCCUAAUGUAUCCCUCUGUGGCUUGACUUUCUAGAAUCCAGGUAAGCAUGUAUUAUUGGUGAACAUCGAAACCAGAAUUUUUUUUCAACAAAAAUGUGAAUGAGCACGUAUUUUUUAAUUGUAAUUGUGGAGCAAGGCGCCCGAAGGCGGCUCCGUAGCUUAGUCCCAAAGUUUUGCGGUUGACGUCCUUGGUUUCCUUCAGGCUCGUCUCUCCUUUUCUUUUCUAAUUAACGAACGUUAGGUUGGACAUGCUUGACCUUUUUAAAAACCCAUCUUUCGCUAGGACACUGCUCUGCUAUUGAUAUGAAAACCAUUGUUUUAUAGGUGUGCUAUAAUUUAGGGAUGAAAUAGAUGCAAAACUAUACAACUCACUACUACUACACAUUUCAUUUUGUGUAGUGUUUCACAUAAGGGCUCCGAGGCGGGCGUUAGUUUUGCCCGCCACGGUUAUUCAGAGCUGGCCGAAGCCGGACAACCCACACUACAACCGCCACGGUUAAGAAUUAACUAUGACGAGCAAUUUAAAGUAACCGUCACGAUUAAUAUCUAUUAACUGUGGCGGGCAUUGUAGGAUAACCGACACGGUUAAUAAUUAACCGUGGCGAUUGCUUAUAAUGCCCGUCACGGUUAAUAGCUUAUUAACCGUGGCGGUUACGUUACAUUGCCCGCCUCGGUUAAUAGUUACAACAAAAAAUAAUUUAUAACUUUUUCAUAUGAAUUCGGAUGAAGACAAACUUUAUAUCAAAAUUGUAGCCCUCGACGAGAUUACAACUUUGUAGUUGAAAAGUUUAUGAAUUGAAACUGUUUAGGGUCCAAAAAAUAUCAUUUUAAGUGUGCAGAUUUUGAAAUUUAAAAUUAUCAAUCAAUCUCAGAUGUUGACAUGGUCUAUACAAAAGUUAUAGUUCUUGAUAGAAUCUACAACUUUGUAGUUGAACUGUUUUAAAUUUGAAUAUGUUUAGAGUCUCAAACAUGCGUUUGAAGGUUAUAGAUUUUGAAAUUUAAAAUUUUGAAUUCCUCAAUGAACUCCAAUGUUCACAUCGUUAAUACCAAAGUUCUAGUGGUCCACCUGAUCUACAUGUUUGAUAUUGACAAGUUUUUGAUUUAAAGUCACCUAGAUCAACGUUGGUUCCCCUCCCUCUCCCUUCGAUGAUAAUCACCGGAGGCCAAAGGGCGUGGGGAUCUAUCGUUUUAAUAAUUUUUUUCCACUAGGUCGAGUCUUUAGGGUUAGGGUCUCUCUAUGCAAGUUUUUAUUUGUUUUGGGAUUUAUUUUCUCCUCUUCUUCGGCGACUAUGAGAUGGUAGGGUGGAAUUGUGUUCUCUAUGGCGGCUCCGUUGAAGAUGCGGGAAACAACUACAACGUCGGCAUCCUCAUCGAUUUGAUGCAUGGAGACUUUUAUUUUCAAACGGUGACAUCAAGAUGGAGAUGAUGUCACGGGCAUGGAAUAAUUUUGUCUGGUCUCUUCUCCGUUUUAUCAUGGUUAGAUCUGGCCACGAUGAAAAACUAGGUAGAACAAGUUUUAGAUCAAUCUUUCUCAUUCUUCGGUGGUAGAAAGAAGAAGAAGAAAGACACCAGUGUCGGCGUCUAGACUCGUGGUCUAGACACAAACGAGUAUGAGUAUGCGUGACUACCUAAGCCUGGAUGGUGAUGCAAGUGGAACACAGAGAAUUUAUACUGGUUCGGGCCAAGGAUGCCCUACGUCCAGUGAGAUCAGAGGUCUGUAUUGCCUUGCACCCAAAGGUGCUUGUAGUAGGGGGUACAAGCGGGUUGCGAGAGAGGGCUAAGUCCCAAGUCUCGGCUUUAUGGUGGACAGAGUGCUGGUUGCUACCCUGCGGGUGAGUGUGGUGGUCGUGUGUAUGGAUCAACCUGUCUUGGUUGUGAGCCCCGGCUCCCCUUUUAUAGUCUCAAGGGGGCGCAGGUUUUUACAUGUGCGAUGGGUGAUUUUCCUCCGAUGAGUGGUGAAACUACAGCCCCGACCCUAUAGAAGCUUGCCCAUGCCGUCCUUGAGGUAUGGUUGACUGUAUAGGAGUAGUUACUCCUGUGGAGGGUCGCCGAGCCCUAUUGAAGUCGUGGGGGUCGGAUCGGUGAUACUGCAGCUUGUCCUGUAACAGUGGGAGAAGACAGCCAAUAGUGAUGCUGGUUAAUCUCCCCCAUUUCUCUUUCACUGUGAGGCGGUACUCUACACUGAAAGAGGUAAGGUUGUAUAGUAAAAGAGGUAAGGCUACAGUGACCAGGGUGGUUGGAAUAGUCGCCACCAUGCCCUGCUGCGAUAUGGGAGUCACUGCGCCUGUCACGUCGUGGGUACGGGCGCCGUGCGUCGGAAGUCUUGCCCUGAUAUGAUGGGGCGGCGUUUGGCGCCCGAGCCCUGGAGGGGUCGGGCGAGACGGAACUUACGCCCGAGGCUGAGGGGAUCGGGCGAGGCGGUGUCUGUGUCCGAGCCCCUGGGUCUGACGAGACGGAACUUGCGUCCGAGGCCCUGAGGGGUCGGGCGAGGCGGAGCUUGCGUCCGAGCCCCUGGGUCGGACGAGACGGAACUUGCGUCCGAGGCCCUGAGGGGUCGGGCGAGGCGGAGCUUGCGUCCAAGGCCCAGAGGGUCGGGCGAGUUGUGGUUUGGACCCGAGGCCCAGGGGGUCGGGCGAGUGGUGGUUUGGACCCGAGGCCCAGGAGUCAGAUGAGCUGGGGCCCGUGCCCUGGUGAUUGUGGUUAACUUGCUUUGUUCUUUGCGUUUUUUAUUGCUCUGAUUUGGGUAUCCCUUUUUAUGGUACCCAACAACCAGAAAAGAAGAAGUUUCUCAACUCCGCCUACAUGAAUGUUGGCCGUCGUUCAUUGGACAUCUGUUCUUAGGCCUUUCGCCGAGUGUUUACUAUGCAGUCAUCCAUAAUACAAAGUGUCACACAGGUUUGGUUUUGAGAUCUGGAGCUAUUCACAGCUUGGAUAUAAUUUAGAUGAUUUUUUUUGAAUAUUUGUGUAAUCUAGAGUGCUUGUAACGUAUUCAUUUACCUCGCUAUUAUCUAAUUAAUUCUUCUUUCAUUGUAAAAAAAUAUGCAAAUAUACUCAUUUUUAUCAUAACAAGUAUCUACUCUUAUAUUCAAAAGCAGUAUGUAGAUAUACUCAUUUUUCUAUAAAAAAAAGUAUCCACUCAUACUUUCAAAGCAGUAUAUAUUCAUACCUACUACCAAUAAACAACACUUCAUAUAUAUAAUCAUAAAUGAAUUUUAAAAAAGUAUGCAGUCCGUAAUGCCUACACGUGCAUACCAAAAAGAACAGUAUGUGUUUGCCAAAAAUAAUAAAAUAGUAUAUACGCAUACUCUCUUAUAUAUACUCAAUAAUCUUAGAAGUACGUACACGUACUAGUAUACAUGUACACGUUUUUUUUUACAAGCAUGUACACGUUCAAAUAUGUCUAUAUAUGUGUGCUCCGUUACGCUUCUCAGAUGAUUAAUAAAUAAUACUCACGUAUAUACCAAAAGUACCUAUAUAUACGUGCAUGUGGAAUACUUGUGCUUGCAAACGACAGAAAUAAUUGGGUUCUACCCAGACCCGUUAGGGGAGACGGGCCGCACCCCAACGUCUCGGUUUCCUAUCCGACUCGCGCUCAGCGGCGCUCAGGGCAGAACUUCUGCUCCCUUCCCCACUCGCGCUCAGCGGCGCUCAGGCUCGGCUCGGCGGCGGCGUCGGCGGCUCCCCCUUCCGCCUCUCGCCAGUCGCCUCCGUCCUCUGCGCACCGGCCGGCGACCCUGGGUACGCACCUCCCUCUCCCCUCCCGCCUCUGCUGUACCGUGGGAGCCCGGCCAGCUGCCCAGGGUGGCCGGGCCUGUGAUUUGGCGAUGCUUUUGAGCUACGGUGAACUGUUCUUUGUAUUUUCAGAUUUGGAACCAAAGAAUUAGAUUUUUCUUCUCAUGAUGUUUGAUUCUUUUAAUUCUUAUUAUUAUAUGGCAUAGGUUUUCCCAUCUUUUCUUCCAUUUUUACUGCUCAAAUUAUGCCUUUGCCCACUGGUCUGCUGGUUAAUUACUCUAUUUAUUAAAUUUCUGUAGAUACAGGUAGCCAAGAAGACAUCACAUGGGGGCGUUCUUGAGCUCCGCCGCCACCAAGGAGGACCAGCAGUGGGUGCACGGCGAGGCUCCGAGACCAGAUUCCUCCAAGAAGAUGCGGCUUUCGACCCCUCUCUGCAGCCACGGCCACCCGAGGCUGAUCCCGGGGCUCCCGGAUGAGAUCUCUAUGCAAAUCCUCGCGAGGAUGCCGCGGAUGGAGUACCUCAAGGCCAAGAUGGUCUCGUGGAGCUGGAAGGCGGCGGUAACUGGCGCAGAGCUGUACCGGCUGAGGAAGGAGCUCGGCGUGGCCGAAGAGUGGCUGUACAUACUGAUGAAGAUGGCAGAUGAUCAGAAGCUGGUUUGGCAUGCUUUCGAUCCGGUUAGCAACCAGUGGCAGAGGCUGCCACUUAUGCCUGGGAUCAGUCAUAGCAGAGUCUAUGGGUUGGGCUUGGGGGAUCUGGUGAGCGCUGGCAUAAGUAUCUUUGACAUUAUCAGAGGCUGGCUUGGUCAGAAGGAAUUGCUAGGCAGUAUACCAUUCUGUGGCUGUGCCGUCGGCGCGGUUGAUGGUUGCCUCUAUGUUUUGGGUGGGUUCUCUAGAGCUUCCACGGUGAAAUGCGUGUGGAGGUAUGAUCCCGCUGUCAAUUCAUGGCAGGAGGUGAGCCCGAUGAGCACCGGGCGUGCCUUUUGCAAGACUAGCCUGUUGAACAACAAGCUGUAUGUUGUUGGCGGUGUCAGCAAAGGCAAGAAUGGGUUAGCUCCGCUAAAAUCCGCUGAAGUGUUUGACCCAGCAACUGGGGUUUGGGCUGAGGUGCCAGAUAUGUUAUUCUCCAAAUCGCAAGCUCUACCGAUGGCCUUAGCUGAUCUACUGAAGCCUAUUGCUACUGGAGUGACCUCGUACCGAGGGAAGCUAUAUGUUCCUCAGAGCCUUUAUUCCUGGCCCUUUGCUGUUGAUGUUGGUGGAGAGAUCUUUGAUCCGGAGAGAAAUUCAUGGGAACAAAUGCCUACAGGCAUGGGUGAAGGUUGGCCUGCAAGGCAGGCUGGAACGAAAUUGAGCGUUGUUAUAGAUGGCAAUCUGUAUGCCUUGGAGCCAGCAACUUCUUCUGGCAGUGCAAAGAUAAAGAUGUACGAUGCUCAAGAGGAUACUUGGAAGGUUGCUGUAAGCCAGGUACCCGUUGGUGCCUUUGCCGAGUCAGAUAGUCCUUAUUUGCUUGUUGGAUUUCUUGGAAAGCUCCAUUUGAUCAUCAAGGAUGUGGGUAGCAAAAUCAAUGUCAUGCAAACGGACUCUCUGGAGCCAUUGGAUUCGCCAGCCCUUUCGGCUGGCACAACAUGUCAAGUCCCAGAUGUCUCCUUGGAGCAGGCAGAUGUUUGGAAAGCCAUCGCGUCGAAGAGUAUCACAGCUGCUGAACUUGUCAGCUGUCAGGUUCUCAGCAUUUGAGUUUUUAAGGUUGAGUUUCUCUGGAUCUUUGUAUAAGUUUGUGCGGUAGAUAUAUUUCUGCCGCCAUCGAAUUUGUCAGGUAACUUCUUGUGGUUUCAACCUGAAGAACAGAUAAUCUCCAUCUUCUGCUACAAAUGUGAUCAGUGUCUGCUGCAGUUCUGCUACAAAUGUGAUCAGUGAACUGCAGAAAUUCUGUCAGCAAUGUACAUAUGUGUGUGCAAUCUGGGUAGUUCAGUUUUGUAAUUGUUUUCUUCUACUCUUAUCUAUGUAUAUGUCAUUACAUAAAACUGAAUAAGGUUGUUGCAGCUUUGUCCAGUUCCAAAGGCAACAGUGCUGAGUCAAUGAACAGAGUAGUCUGAACCCUGUCCAUUGUUCAAACUGCUGUAAAUUCCAUUUUUCAUACCUUUUAGCUUGUUUGGUUUCUCCAUGGAAAGUGUGUGCAAUGAUCAACAAUGAUCCCCUUGAAGAGACAUGUGUUUCCCCCAUCCAGUGAUGCAUUCCAGAACCUGUUGAUCUUUACUCGCAAAAAAAAAAAAAUCCUUUUGGUUAGUCAACUUGAAAUAAAGUAUGCUCCGUUCCUGAGUUGUGCUCAGUCUUGGAUCUGUACAUAUGUAAUAUGUUCUUUGCUCGCUUUUCUUUCUUUGGUGCGACAUGGCACCACAUAAGAGUUUCACAUCAGAACAUUCUAAUGCAAGAAAAUCAGGUAUGAUCUCUGGAUAAUAUUAUAUGUUAUGGCAUCUUAGGAGCAAGCAGUACCAGUAUGAAUCGGAUCCAUGUUAUCAUGAUGCCUUACCAGAAGUUCUCUUUUUUCUUUGGUUGCCGGCUUUCUUGGAACUGUUGCUGGUCAAAAAAAUUGUGAGGCUCUUCAGUACAGCCAUUUGUGAUCCAGACUUGGCGUGUCGUUUUCUGUCUCUCUGUCGAUUGUCAACAAUAACGGCAAACAAGAAAAAAUGUGCAAAGCAAAAAUUGUGGAAAGUGUCUCAUGAUUACGAUGUUAGCAAGUAGCACUAUCACGUCUGCAAGGACUUUGGUUAUUAUGUCGAGGUGCUAGAAGUACUCUGGUUACUUUGACGUAAUGCGAUUGAGUCAAACUUCCUUUGUGAGGAAAAUGAUUUUAAAUUUACUUGUAUUUUUCAAAUUCAACGGGCUAGUUAUGUAUAUUUCAUUUCAUCAUCGUUUCACUGUUUAGGUGAUUUGGAUUGUGACUACUGGCUAGGGCUGAUUACUGGAACUUGAAUGCACGUGCGUCGGGAAUAGUCUUUUGCGGAACAUUUUCAAUAUGAUUACCCAAUUGAGGUACUUAUUGAUUCUGUUUAGAACCUUGUUCACUUCAGUUUAUAUAAUUUACAUUUAAAUUAAGCCUGGUUAUAUAAAGCUGCAAUAUAUAAUGGGUUGUUUCAGAUGCUGGCUCUCCUCAAAUUUGAUGCGUGCUUUUCUGAUUGCUGUGUUUUCGUACACAUUCUUUUGCACUAUGUACAUGGAGACUUUUUAAUCAAUCUGAAGAAGUAGCUUGCCAUGCUACGAAAACAUUGGUGUUGUGUUCUGCAGAUUGGAGUUCAAACCAUCUAUUUCAACAUUUUAAAGGCAUUAUUCUUAUUUUUUACAUUAAAGCAUUGAAGUACAUUUUGGAAAGUGUUUAAUAAAAUUUGAAGAAAUGUUGAGACCCCAUUUAGAAUACAGGUUUUUUUUCUACUUCCUACGUUUCUCUAAAAAGUAUAAACUAAUUCCUUUUUUUUUGCGGAUAAGUAUAAACUAAUUCCUGUGAUAAUCCGGUAUGUUUCAUAUCAAUUCAUGAUUCCAAAGUGCCCUAAAUUUAGUAUUUUGAAAUGUUGACUAGUAGUUCCAAAUUUUACAUUUUACUUUAUCAUUUCAAAAUCUCCACGUGAAUGUUUGCAAACUGUAAUCAGGUUCUGAGAAUUGUUAAAUCAAUCACACCAAAGUUGGCUCGUACUAUCUCGCGGACACGUGGGUCCCUUUUUCGCACGUGCGCGCCGAAACCGGACGCCGUCACGCCGGUGCCGUCGCCGCCAAAAUCCGCCGCGGUUUCGCCUUGGCGCGGCCGCCCACCAUUUCUGCGCGGCCACCCCACAGAAAAGCUUCGCCCAUGCCGUCGCUGCCGACGCCGACGCCGACGCGUCGUCCUCUUCUUCUCUCUCCACCUCAUUCGAACCCGCCAUGGCCGGCUCCAAGCCCCUUCCGCUCCGCCUCGCGGCGCCGCUGGCCCUCGCCCUCCUCCUCGCGCUCGCCCUCGUCGCCAACUUCCUCUGGGCCGCCUCCUCUCGUCGAGUCUCCCCGCUCUCGGCCUCCUCUUCCAGAACGGUAACCACGCCGCCGCGCGCCGCAUUGCUCUCCACGAUCUCACCAGCGACAUGCUCUAUUGCUCUGAACGAAUUUCUCGUUGCUCUAUCUACUCUAACCAUUGCUCCUCUCUCAGGUGAUGCGGAAGCGCGCAAAGGCGGUGGGGCACCUGAACGCGACGUACGCAGACCUGCCGGCGCCGCACUGGGACUGGGAGGAGAUGCCCGCAGCGCCCGUGCCACGCCUCGACGGGGCGUCGGUUCAGAUUGGGAAUCUCCUCUACGUCUUCGCCGGAUACGGGGACAUCGACCAUGUGAGGCACCUUUGUUAGUUUACUAUUGCGUUAUUAUUCCUCUGGACGAUUUCCUUUUAGCAAUGUUUUCACGCAUCACUUAACAAGAUUGAGCGGCUAGUGUAAGUGUUCGGUUGUGCUGGUAAAUAACUAAAAUAAGUCACCAAUCGAAUUAUGAGCUAAUUCCAUGACAUCGAAGCAACCUGUGCAGUAUCUAGCUGUAAGGUUUCAACUUCUCCAGGAAUUUUUUUCAUAACGUUUGGGAUUUAAAAUAGGAGGAUCUGUAGUAAAUGGGCAAGACCAAGCAUUUCUUAACAUGUUGAAUGAUUACUAUUGCAAAAUCUUGGCAGUAUCCUUCCUUUCUGAUAUAUUGCUUUGUUCCUUGCUUUUCAGGUCCAUUCUCAUGUUGAUGUUUAUAAUUUCACUUCUAACACAUGGGCCGAAAGGUUUGAUAUGCCCAAGGAGAUGGCACAUUCUCAUUUAGGAAUGGCCUCAGAUGGUAGAUACAUUUAUGCAGUUUCAGGACAGUAUGGACCACAGUGCCGCGCCUCGAUCAAUCGCAACUUUGUUUUUGACACAGAGACUAGAGAGUGGCAUGAGUUGCCCCCUUUACCACUUCCUAGGUAUGUAUGGUAGAGUGCACUUAGUUUAUUAGCCACAACCCGUUCAUGAAGUUAUGCUUAUGUCUUUUCUGUGUUAUUCAUUUUCAGCUUCUAUCAUUUAUUAUCAUGGACACGCUUGUUCAAAUUUGGUCUAGUCCAUUGGCUUUACCAACUCAUGGUACUGUCCAAAAAAAAUGUUAAACACAUAAUGCCAUCUAUCUGCUUGUGUUAUACUCUUUUUCUUCUAAUUUUGCAUUUUCUAAUGUCUGAGCAGCUGAUUAACAAUCAAAUUGUUGUAUUUUGUAUAGAGAAUAAUCUUUUAGUAUGUCACUUGAUCAGCCUAAUUCUACAAAAGGACACUAACCUUUUAGCAAUACAUGGAAUUAUUUAUUUUAUGGCCCUCUAUAUACUGCCAAUAUUUAUUUUCAAAAUCUGCUGAAAUGGUUCAUUGCUUGCAUUGUGUAUUGCUCUAUUUGAUGCUGCUUAGCUGGUACAUAGGACCUGAAAAAAAAACUUAUUUUGUGAAAAAUUCAGGUAUGCACCAGCUACUCAGCUUUGGCGUGGGCGGCUCCAUGUGAUGGGUGGAGGCAAAGAGGACCGCCAUGAACCUGGAUUGGAGCAUUGGAGCCUUGCUGUCAAGGACGGCAAGGCACUGGAGAACGAGUGGCAAGCUGAAGUACCCAUACCACGAGGUGGACCUCAUAGGUACGUCGGUGUGAACUUGUGUCAUUUGCAUGCAGUCGCCAUGAGGUCAUGCCUGUUCUGAGGGAUGAUUGUUGGUAUCUAGUGCUUAGGCACUCAUACUGUUUAUCCUUUGUAGUGGUACAGAAGUUCUGUUGGUUGUACACAUUUCUAAAUGAACAACACUUUGUAAUUUCUGACUUCUACUUUGCAGGGCAUGUGUUGUAGCUAAUGACAAACUAUUUGUGAUUGGUGGACAAGAGGGAGACUUUAUGCCUAAACCAGGAUCACCUAUUUUUAAAUGUGCACGGAGGCAUGAGGUGUGUAUGUGGUUCCUGAUGACGCUUAUCAUGCACUUGUGGUUUAUUUACUUGUCAUCAAGACCUGCAUUGGACCCAUGUUGAGUUGUACUCAUGAAAACAUGGUAUCUUUAACACUUUUUUUGGUGUUCACAAUUUUCUUUAAACAAAUAAGUUCCUGCAGUUGGGAUAUUACUUCCUAAUGAUCGCUUCAACUUGAACAUCAAACAAAAAUAUAUACUUUCAAUAUCAGCCCUGAUGUCCAAAUUCCUCUUUUGUGUGAAUUCGCAAUGAUCGCUUCAACUUGAACCUCAAAUAAAAACCUAUACUUUCAAUAUCAGCCCUGAUGUCCAAAUUCCUCUUUUGUGUGAACAUGUUGCUGCAGCUUAAUUCUUAUAUGUUCAGAAUUGCACUCUUGCAGGUUGUGUAUGGCGAUGUGUAUAUGCUAGAUGAUGGUUCCAAGUGGAAGCAACUGUCUCCAAUGCCAAAGCCAGAUUCCCACAUUGAAUUUGCAUGGGUUGUCGUUAACAACUCCAUAGUAAUUGUUGGAGGAACUACAGAGAAGCAUCCUAUCACCAAAAAGAUGAUUCUUGUUGGUGAAGUCUUCUGUUUUGAUUUGGAAUCGUUGGUAAGUUAUGUCGAAGCCAUUUUCUUUUUAUGGCUGUUUUUCGUUUUAUUGAGUCCAUGGUGGUUAUCCUCCGAAUUUUGAGGGUCCAACUAAAUGAAUUAAAUCUCUAUGCCAUUCUUGCAGACCUGGUCAGUCAUUGGGCGCAUGCCUUUCCGAAUCAAGACAGCCUUAGCUGGGUACUGGGAGGGGUGGCUCUAUUUUACUUCUGGGCAGCGAGAUCGUGGGCCUGAUAAUCCAGCUCCAAAGAAAGUUGUUGGAAGUAUGUGGAGAACGAGGCUACACUUGUGAUGGUAGAAGUUGUGGCAGUUUUUCUGAAAAUUUGUAGAUUUGCGUCUGAUUUCUAGUGUAACAGCUAGGUCCCUCUCAGAGAAUUUGCUUGUAUUUAUUUUGUUGUCUUCGAAUGCAUAUUAUCUAUUUUGACUAGAUUUUUUAAAUUUAACAUUUUGUCUACUUGCUUGUAAAUUGCCUGAGUACUGGCAGUAAAACCUUGUAAAUACCGCCUUUUCCAACAGAGGUGUUUGCCUAAACAAAGCAAAGGUUUCUGGCUUGAGGUAAAUCUGCAUGACUGGAUCUGUUUCCAUUUUCUGACAGCCAGGGGGCCCCAGGUGUGCAUCCCAUUUUUUGUAUCCUAAAACAUGUCAACCUGAUUUCUUGUUAAUAUUGUUUACUUGUUUUGAUUCCCACAUCCGGAAUCUGAAGUUCAGAGAUGUCUCCAAACAACCAGAACCAGAAGAGAUGUCCUAAAACAAUCUUUGCCCUCUAAUGGACGCUAAUCUAAGAGAUGUCUACAGAAAUCAGGGAUGUCUGGCUUGAUGUUUCUGUUUUUUUUCCCCUUCAUCAUUCAGGCCGAAGUACUGUUGCAGCCCAGGGUCAUCGUGUGGAUCCCUGCCGGCCGGCUCGAUGAGUUUCCGGCGGUUCCUGUACGUGGUGUGGGACGUCGAGGCAAUCGACGACGGCAGCUGCUCCCUUCGCCGCAUCGACACGUCGCGCCUCUUCUUCAAUGCAUCGACGCCGACGGCGGAGCAGGGGGCACCAGUGCCGCUCGACAGCGGCGGCGGCGGCGGAGGAGCUACUGAUCCGUCGGCGGCACAUGACGGCGGUCGCCUGCCUGACCCCACAAUAAAGGCAUAAAGCUGUGCCCUCCUAUCUUGCCGCGCAUGGUCGGUGGAGUUGGGGUCCUGCUCUUCAAGAACAAGGCCGCCAUGGGUGGGCGCGGGCACGAGCUCGAGUACGACAAGGUGGUCGCCGUCGACCGCACGGGCCACAGCUUCAUGUGCGACCCUGAAGAUGAGCCCUUCACCGUCCGCCCCCUGCCCAGCCUGACCGCUCCCAAGUUCUCACCCUUCUCCGUUCUCCCUCACCGUCGGCGAGAGUCUCUACGUCAUGGACACACUGUACGUCAUUUUUUGUCUUUUUCUUGUUAUUUAUCCUCUGUUGUGAUAUAGAUGGCAUAUUGACAACAUGUAAUUUCUAAAAUCAAAUAUUUGUAAUUUAAGGAAACUUUGCGGAUAAUUAACCUGUUUUAAAUGCAUACCGAGGCAUAAGGUGGUGUGUACUGCACCUGUGCUUUAUUUGCUGGUUAUCAAGACCUGCACUGCAUUGGACCAUGUUAAGUUUACUCACAACAUGAAAACAUGCUAUCUUUAACACUAUUGUUUCUUUUUUUUUUUGUACAUUUUCACUGAACAAAUAAGCUCAUGCACAUGGUUGGUAUUGUAAUUCCCAUAUGCCACGGAUCUGUAGUAUCUCAUACUCAACUACUACACUGUGUUUGUUUGGCUUCAAACUCAUAGUAUCUAUUUUAGUUAGAUAGAUUAACUUUAACAUUUAGGUUAUUUGCUUAACUUAAACAUUUAGGUUAUUUGCUUCUUAUAAAUUACCUAAGUACUGACAGUAAAACCUAGCUGUUGUAGUUACCUCUUUUCAACAGAGAUAUAUAUAUAUUUUUUUUGCUUAUGAAAGCAAAGGGCUUUUUACGUUAUAAGGUAGAUCUUCAUCGGUCUCCAUUCUCUUGCAGCCAGGGCCCAGUUAUUGAGCCCACUUUUUUUUGCAGCCAGGGCCAGGGCCCUGAUUUCUUGUUCAUGCUGUCUACUUGUUUUGAUUCCCACACACGUCUGGAAUCUGAAGUUCCUAAUAAAGAAAUCUUGCCCUCCAAUAGACUUAAGCACCUAUCGUCGACCUGUUCUGAAAAAGAUUAUUCUAUUUGAAAUGUUCCAUGCAAAGCAAUGGAAUAAAGGAGAGCCACCAUAUAUGCUCAUGUAUAUUCCUUUCCCUAGCUGUUGCAAAGAGGAUGGAAUUGUUUCAGUCUUUUGAUUUUUCCCCUUGUCUUUUUUUUUCUAUUUAAUUAUCCUCCGUUACAGCUGGGUUCGUUAGACAUUCCGUUUGUACAGUCUUGUUGUGUCAUCACUGACCAUACAUGACAAAAAGAAAAUGUCCAUUUUUCUGAAUUCAUGCAUUAUGGGCAGAAAUGUUCUCCCCUUAUAUAAUUGCAUUGAAGUAGUGUCAAUUAUUGCAUCCUUUUCCUCUUGUCAAAUAUACUUCUUUUGCGUGCAAAAAAAGAGAGAACUGAUUUUCCAAGAUGAAGAAUUAGCUUGUCCUGCUAGAAUAAUCGUCAGAUCCGCAAUAACUGCGAUAAUUAUUUAUAUAAAUUUUUUCCCUUCUCAUGAUGCCGAUCCAGCCCAGCUUUAGCUGUUGGGGGGGGGUUGGGGGGGAGAGGACACACACGGCAUGAUGUUUUCUUUUUUAGAAAAGGGAAUAUAUACAGCUUACAACUGAGCUGUUGUGAGCUGUUUUUUUUGCCAAACACUUAUUUCCAAAACAGCUUCAUGGGUGAAGCUAUUUUUCCCCUCCUCUCACAAAGACAUAAGUUGAAUGAAGCUGGAAAAAAGUAGCUUAUUGCAGCUUCUCUCUCAUUUCUCUCUCUCAACUAUGCAUGAAGUAGUUGGUGAAGCUAUUUUGCCAAACACUUUUUCCAAAACAGCUCAGCUUCAUCUAGAAAGUCACUCAUAAAGCUAUUUUCUGAAAAAACAGCUUCAUGAAGCUGAGCUGUGCCAAACAAGCCUACGAUAUGAUGGUGACUCACAUAUAACUAAUUAACCUUUGCCGGCGUUUACAGGGGGCUGUCACGGUUAAAUUAAAACUGACUAAUCACGUGAGCCUGUGAAUCUGAAAGAGCUUUCUUUCGGUCGGCACCACUGUCAUCAGUUGUUGAACAGGCGGUGGCGGACGGACGACCGGCAGGCUGGCCGGCGAUGAGCCGUCGCUGUUGCGGCCAGGCAAGCUCUGCACGUACGGUCACCAACUCCCACCGCGCAAAUCCAUGCUGUGCACGGGUAUCUGGUAAAUCUGACAGUGCCAUAUAUUUAGGGUUUGUUUGGCACAGCUCAACUUCACUAGUAAAGCUGUUUUUUUAGAAAAUAGCUUUAUGAGUGACUUUCUAGAUGAAGCUGAGCUGUUUUGGAAAAAGUGUUUAGCAAAAUAGCUUCACCAACUACUUCAUACAUAGUUGAGAGAGAGAAAUGAGAGAGAAGCUGCAAUAAGCUACUUUUUUUCAGCUUCAUCCAACUUAUGUAUUUGUGAGAGAAGGAGAAAAACAGUUUCACCCAUGAAGUUGUUUUAGAAAUAAGUGUUUGGCAAAAAAAACAGCUCACAACAGCUCAUGAAGCUGUUGUGAGCUGUACCAAACAGGCCCUUAUUUAGCUCAUUUUCGUUCCUUUUGUUUGUUUUUUUUUUAAAAAAAGAAAAUUCUCGUACACGCAUGUGUGCAUUUCUUUGAUGUUGCUGAAUAUCCCUGCAUCUAUAGGUGAGGCGUGUGCCUGACAAAACGGAACCACUACAAGCAACGUUGUAAUCAUGCGGUAUCAUGCAAGCACCGGCAACCCUAAAGUCUAAUGGAUGAUUUCCCUGAACUGCAGGCUACCACUUUUGUUCGCCAUCGCUCAUCGGCGUCGAGCAACGCCGGCCGCAUCUUUUGCCGGCGCUGGCGGGUCUUUUCUGCUUUUUUUUUUUUCUUUUGACAACGGUGAGGCAAUAUAUUUUUAGAUGAGUACGGUGCUGCCCCUUUUUUGUGCAGAUAUUAUUAUACUUAUAUGCAAUUUUUUUUCCUAACGCUAAACGGUAAACAGUCGGUCACCCACCGUUUGGCUAUUAUUUAGACUAAACAGUCAUUAAACGAGCUAAAUGGUCGAUUAAACAGGCUAAACGGAUGAUUAAACGAAAACGACGUACCAAUGUGUAGUAUUUAUACGGUGAUUACAUGGUCUAAAUGACCGUUUAGACGAACAGUGCUUAUAUGACGUGCAAUGCAACGACGACCGAUUAGGUAGCGCGUUUAGGAAGGAACCCGAUCUGACAAACGCAAUUAGCGCUAUGGAUGUUGACGUGCUAAUUCUGUACGGUUGUGUGUUUCAUCGGCUUUGUGCCUUUGACUGUGGCACCCGGCCAUACGCAAGAAAUUAAAUGAACCUGGGUGCAGACAAAGUUGUUAUAGAAAUGAACCAUGACUAAGGCCUUGUUUAGUUUCAGAUUUUUUUUCAAAACGGACACCGUAGCAUUUUCGUUUGUAUUUGACAAAUAUUGUCCAAUCAUAGAUUAACUAGGCUUAAAAGAUUCGUCUUGCAAAUUACAGAUAAACUAUGUAAUUAGUUAAAUUUUUUAUCUAUAUUUAAUGCUUCAUGCAUAUGCCGCAAGAUUCGAUGUGACGAAGAAUCUGAAAAAUUUUGUAAAAUUUUUUGGGAACUAAACAAGGCGAUUGCUAUAUACAAAUAUACUAAGGCCCUGUUUAGAUUUCCACCCAAAAAAUUUUCAUCCAUCCAUCAAAUCUUUGGACACAUGUAUGGAACAUUAAAUGUAGAUAAAAAAAAUAAACUAAUUACACAGUUUGGUUGAAAAUCGCGAGACGAAUCUUUUAAGCCUAGUUAGUCCAUGAUUAGCCUUAAGUGCUACAGUAGCCCAGAUGUGCUAAUGACAGAUUAAUUAUGCUUAAUAGAUUUGUCUUGCAGUUUCCUGACGAGCUAUGUAAUUUGUUUUUUUAUUAGUUUCUAAAAAUCCCUCCCGACAUCCUUCCGACAUAUCCGAUGUGACACCUAAAAAUUUUUCAUCCCCAAUCUAAACAGGCACGAUAAAAGAAAUAAAUGCCAUUAGAUUAGUUGUAGAAUAUAUUUUAAUAAUAAAUUUAGUUGGAGACAUAAAUAUUAAGACUAUCUCCUAUAAAUUGGGCCAGACUUGAGUUAGUUUAACCGGCAUGAAUCCUAUAAUUACACUCUUUUGUAGAUAAAAGGGAGUAUUAGCUUUUAUCUACUGCUAUUGAAAGAGAAAUUAUUACUGGAUCUUUUUAUCCUUUUCUGUUGGGAUAUUUGGAUGGUAAGAAAUUUUGUCAUCUUUAGAAACAAGAACCCAACAAUGAAAGUUUGCAAAAAGAUUUUUAGUUUCAGAGACCUUGUUACUGCUGCACAGAGCAAAAGCGAGUUUAGUUUCGCAUUUAGAAUCAUGGUUAAACUCCUUUGUAAUUCUCUGGAUCUUUUUUCUCUCCUUCUCUAUUCCCUGAUUCUCCCUUCUAGCUGUAGCUUUUCCUUUUACUAGCUUUUGCUCUGUUUUUUUAUUUGUACUCUGUUUUGUUUAAUAAAAUUACAGUAGAAGCUGCUAGCUCCAUCUGAUUCCUAAAAAAAAAUAGCUUUCAUCGACUAGCAUAUAGUUAUUAGCACCAGUGGAUCAAAUAAGACCUAUAUUUAGGCCUCGUUUGUUUAGUUGAGGAUGUGAAAAAAAAUUUAGAUACUAUAGCACUUUAAUUUUUAUUUGACAAUUACUGUCCAACCCUGAUCUAACUAGCUUAAAAGAUUCGUCUCGCAAAUUACAGGCAAACUGUGCAAUUAGUUAUUUUUCUAUCUAUAUUUAAUGUUUUAUGCAUGUGCCGUAAAUAGGUUUUAGAUGUAACUAAACAAGAUCUUAGUAAAUAUUUAUAAACGUGAGGCAGCAUGCUGACGCUGAUCCAAAGGCGGUGAAAAGAGUCAAAGACAAGCACAUACGUGUUCGUCCGCUCUUUAAAAUGAGUACUCUUUUUUUUAGAAACUAGAGGGUAUACUGCACGGGUAGGGGUGAGUAUUAAAAUGAGUACUCUUUUUUUUAGCAUUAGUUUUUUUUUCUAAAAUAAGGGCCUGUUUAGAUUGGGAUAAAAAUUUUUUGGGUGUCACAUCGACUGUGUCGGAAGGAUGUCGGGAGGGGUUUUUAGAAACUAAUAAAAAAACAAAUUACAUACCUCGUCAGGAAACUGCAAGACAAAUUUAUUAAGCAUAAUUAAUCUGUCAUUAGCAUAUGCAGGUUACUGUAGCACUUAAGGCUAAUCAUGGAGUAACUAGGCUUAAAAGAUUCGUCUCGCGAUUCUCAACUAAACUGUGUAAUUACUUUAUUUUUUUAUCUACAUUUAAUGUUUCAUGCAUGUGUUCAAAGAUUCGAUGAGAUGGAUGAAAAAUUUUUGGGUGGAGAACUAAACAGGGCCUAAGUGUCGUGAUAGGUAAACAUGUAGCACUUUCUACUCCAACCCAUAAGAAACACAAUAUAGGCUAACUUUACUGGAGGUAUUUGGUCAUUUACCGAACAGGAACUGAUUUUUUCAGUUCCGGUUAUUUCAGUUUUAAUUCCAUUAUUUCGAUCGGUUCGAUUUUUGGUAUUCUGUGCCCAGAGUAAAUUACCGGUUCCAUUGGUAUCUUUGUGAGAUGGAGUAUAUGCAGGGACGAAUAUAAAAGUGGUGUGGGUGGGGCUGCAGCCUUUGCCCCUACCGCUUCCGUGACAAUGAAACUCUUUCUAAUUUUAAUUUGCAAGCCCCUACCGCGUGUUGCCAUGCUUCAAUUGUGGUGUGCCAUGAGUUGAAAAGCCGUUGUUUGGUUCAAGAUGCAGGUGCAGCAGCCAUAGCUUUUCCUUGUGCAAAACACACGCGGCGGCAAAAAUAAACGAAGCUAGAUAAGCUACCAUUUUUGGGCUCCAACGGCUUCCGGAGCAUGAAGGAAGUGCCACCGGAGCCGCUGGAGCCCCCCUUAGCAAAACCCUUACUAGUGCCGACGGACGACGGUAGCACUGAGAGUGACCACGUCUUCUCGUAUUAGGUUAAAUUGCUUCAGAGGGUGCAAUCAGCAGUGUAACCAUCACGGGAUAAUCCUCUCCAUUGGCUUGGCUUUGCAAUUGCACCUGCCCUCGGGCAGCUGCGGACACCUCAGCCAGCCACGUGGGAUCCUUCUGGCAUCAUCCCUCUCCCUCUCGCCACGUGUCUUUCCCCUCCCCCACCCCGCACGAGACGAGACCUCCCCCGAGGCCCAAGCAAAGCACAAAUCCCUCCCUCGACUCGAACCCCACCUGCCACUCCCACUGCCUCGUGGGACCAGGUCUCCGUGGGCACCUCCCCCCGAGAUUGCGAGCCUUUUUAAAAAGGCCCACUUCCUCCUCGUUCCGACCGGACCACUCGACCUCUCUCAACCGUCGGCAUUUUACAGCUCUGACCUCACCCUCUCCGGCGAGGCCACUUCCUUUCCCGCCCGCGGCCGGCCCGCAUGGCCUCCACAGGCGACGGCCUCGCCGGUCCGCCCCCGCCUCGCCCGCCUCCGUCUCCGUCGCGGCCACCUGCCGAGACCCCGACCCCGACCCCGACCCACGCGGCGGCGAUCUCGUCGCCGCUGCUGGAGCCUGCCGCGCCGGGCGCGGACGCGCCGCCGCUCUCGCGGUGGCUGCGGCGGCUCGAGGCGUUCCUGUCGGCGGCGGGUCUGGCGGCGUCGACGCCGCUGGGCGUGGCCGCGGCGGCCUCCGCGCUCGCCGUCGUGGGCCUGGCGCUUCCCGCCGCGGCCGUCACGCUCUCCCCGUGCCGCGCACGCAGCCGCCGCCGCCGCCGCGGCCGAGGCGGGUGCGACGACUUCGAGGUCGAGGUGUUCGAGGUCUGCGUCCUGCUCUCGCAGGCCGCCGCGGCCGCCGUCGCGCUCGCCUGCGUCUCCCGGAAGAUGGCCAUGUAUGGGCUCCGCAAGUUCCUCUUCGUCGACCCGGACCUCGGCAUGAGGAUCCGAUUCCAGAAGGAGUACGUCGCCAAGAUCAAGGUGAGGUGCCCGCGCGAUCUCGUCGGGAUUAUUCCUCGCUAUCCUGUCCUUGCUCGGAUUUUAUUUGAAUUUGUAUCAAUACGGCAAGCAGUUACAGUCGAAUGCUAGGAGUAGUGUCCAAAUCCGAUAGUGAGAGCAGUUGCUAUAAAUGGUCACUACUCGUGUUACGUCUGAUACUUCUACUUACUGCUGCUCCACUAGUGGAUAAUUUGGUGCAAAUUUGUCCCAUUUCGACCAAAUUUGGUGCAACUUUAUGCAUCUCAAGGAGGAAUUGUGGAAUUCAGGUGCCAUUUGAUUGUUUCUAGGAAACUUGGAGAAUAUUAAGGCUAUGGUUGUCAUUUCCUGCUUAUAGUAUUUAAUGGGAAGAUUGCGUGUUGCAACCUCUAGCAGCUUCUACUGAAACCUCAUGUCUAGACUAGAUCGUUGAUUGGCACUUCUGAAUUUUCUGUUCCAUGUUUCAUUGACAUGUGGAGCCAGGGGGAGCAUACAUGUCUGUGAGAUGAUAUAUGUCUUCUCAUGUUACCAUAACGAUUGGAGCUACAAAUCCUAAAAUCUCUUGUUUAAUCUGUGCCGCCCUGGAUCAUUGGCUUUGUCCUUUACUGAAGUGGCUUGUUCUUUCAGUUACCUAUGUGAUCUACAUGUGCCUCCUUCAUGUUACCAUGUGAGUGGAGCUCAUGUGCGUGUGGUACUCAGUUUAUGUUUGUGCCGACAUGUCUCUGUGUCUUUGUUUACUGUUUAUACACGGAAACGCAUGUUAGGGGCUGGUCAAGGAUUUGGGAUCUGGAACAGGAACACCUAGUAUUUCCUUGGCUUUGUUAUUACCAUUGUGAUUUUUUUUUGUUAUAGAAUGAAGCACACAUUUCCAUUUCCUAAUGAACGCCUCUUGCCCUUCCUAGAUUUACCUUGUGAUUCUAGUGGAAAUUAAUUUAAAUUGGAUUUUUUUUGAACUGAAACUGUUGAGCAUUGCUCCCCAGCAUAUUACUACCCGCAAAGAAAGUACUCCCUCCAUCUCAAAUUGUAAGUCGUUUGACUUUUUUUACCCAAAGUUUGACCACUCGUCUUAUUCAAAAAAAUUGUGCAAAUAUAGUCAAAUUUAAGUCAUUCUUGAAGAACUUUUAUUAAUAAAUCAAUACAUAACAAAAAAAAAGUGAUAUUUUGUACAAAACUUUGAAUAAAAUGAGUGGUCAAACUUGAUAUUAAAAAAGUCAAACGACUUACAAUUUGGGAUGGAUUGAGUACAAGACAACUUAGCAAAGUGUUAACCAAGGGUAGAGAUUACUUACAAAGCCACUAGGGAGGAAAAAGAAGGGGAAACUGACUUUACAAAUUUGCAACCAAUUCAUAACUAAGGGGUGAAGAGAGGGGUGGAAGCAACACAACUGAAGUUUAACUUCUUGUGUGAAAAGAGCCUUCCAAGCAACUAAGGAAAAAGAUGUAGGCAUUAUGCUCCUUCCAAAUGCACCAAACGGCUGUCAUGAGGACCUCCAUGAAGAAGGAAAUCUCAUGUUUAAUACAGCAUCUAUCGUAACAUCCUUUAAAUCAUGCAUCAUGCUAAGAGCUUUGGUAUAUUCAAUUUUCUGUUGACAAGUGUUGCAAACCCUGCCACAGGACUUCUUCCGCACUCUUACAUGGUGGAUAGUGCCGUGCUUUGUUGUGAAGGUCACCCGGGAAUUCUUCCGCUUCUCCCACAUCUUGCAGGAAUCAAUUUGGAGAGCCUGCGUUGUAUUUUUCGCUUCCAUCAUGUCAUGGAUGUACUUGACGACGAUCAUAUUGUCGUCCUGCAUGCUCUUCAACUUGGUCUGCAAUCUGCAAGUUAUCCACUUUGAUGACUAUGGCAAGCUUCUGGAGCAAGACGCGGAUCCUAUGGUCUAUUUGAAAGAGCACCUGCAGCUCCGCCACAAUCUCUCCAAAAUCAGUCACAGGUUCCGCAUGUUCCUCUUGCUGCUCUUCCUUUCUGUUACAGCAAGCCAGUUUGCCAUUCUUUUCAAGACGACAGCUUACAGCGGGCCAAUCAAUUUCACCAAUGGAGGUGACAUUGCUGUGAGUACCUCAUGCUUUUACAUUUUUCUUUUCCUUCGGCAUAAUGUAGUGCGACAAUCGAGUCACGAGCACAUUUCCUCUUAUACUGCAGGUGUCUUCAGUCGUUCAAGUUGUCGGUCUCGUCCUCUGUUUGCAUGCUGCUGCUAAGAUCUCCCACAGAGCUCAAAACAUCGCUUCAUUGGCUAGUCGAUGGCAUGCGUUAGCAACAUGCUCUACUGAUUCUACUUAUGUGAACACCCCAAACAGUUCUGGGAACCUUGUGCCCUUUCCUGCGCAUCUGUUUCUGAGAGAUUUAUCGGAAAGUGAUCUGGAGUCCCUGGACAGUGCGUCGCUUCAUGGCAGUUCUCAUGGCACUGCUCAGUUGGCUUCCUACAUGUCUUCAUACCACAAGAGGGAAUCACUUGGUAUGUAAUACAAAGCUUCCUUUGAUUCUCCAGCGCUUAAUCUCCAACCAUCCAAUGUGAUACUUCAAAGAGCAUGCUCCACAAUAUCCAUAUCAUUUCAGUGCUUAUGCUCUGCUUCUCGUCUGCAUGAUUUUCAGUGCUGUACCUGCUGGCCAACCCAGGCGGCAUCACGAUAUUUGGCUGGAUCGUCGACCGAGCAUUCCUAAACACCAUCCUGAUGCUCGAGUUAACUCUUGUGCUCUUCGUGCUUAGCAAGACGGUCGUGAUCCCAGCCAAGACACUGGUACACAGCUACAUCGGGUUCCCGUGAUUACUACACCGUUGCGAAUCUGCGUUGUACAGAUUGAAGCAUUCAGGUUCAAGUUCAGUUAGGAGAUGGGAUUUGAUGACAGGUUACCGAGGUUUGCACGUCAGAGUGAGAGAAACCAGUAAGAAUGGUGGCAGAUUUGGUCUUGCUCCAGAAAGCGCAAAUCAUAUGCGCUCCCAAUCCAGGCAUUCUAGACUUUCAAAAAAAAAUCCAGGCAUUCAGCGUGCUGCAGGCUGAAUGAAGGCUGGAUGAAGGUUAGGGUCGUGACGUGUACAGUUUUGGGCGGGUAAGUGAUCCGGGGGCUUCCAUUCUUUUUGCCGUGUAUAUUAUAAUAUAAUACGCAAUGUAUACGUACUAAUAUACUAUAAACCAAUAUGAUAUAAGAAGUAUAUUUUCUACCAUUUUUUUAAGCCAUGGAACGGUCAUUUAAAUGUAUAUAUACAACCCUGACGAAAUGUGCCAUGCGAUCAUUUGUCCCUCUUUAGGAUACCCUUUCUCUGUGCAUUCACUAAACGAAUGAUUGACGAGAUCACGAGAUGAAUUGUUGAAAGUAGGGGUACCAUAUUAUUUAGUUGAAAUAAGGUGCUCUGCUGCUGUUCAAGAUCAUCCACGACAGAUUUCUUUAUUCCACGCACUGUAUUGUUGAACAGAGUCCUAAAUUUAGCCUGACUUCUUAUUAAUAAGAGUUCCGUAAAUCUGUCUGAACAAGCUAAUGUAAAAGAAUAACCAAUAUUUUUCCUCUAAACUGUCCAAGGUUGUGGCUACAAUCAAGCACCUCGAACAGGAACCAAGCUGUUGGCUAUACACAACAUGCGACGCAGAACACAGAACAAACAACUGGUACAAACAGAGCUACAAAUCUAGUCAGGGUGGCCCGAUAAUGGUUGGAACGGACCAAAAAAGAAUCAAAAUUGGCUAUAUUCUAUCGAAAAGAAACCUAAAUGAGCUCCUAACAGAGGAUGGGUUGUGAGGAAAAUUUCAGUACAUUCCUUUGAAAACUGGGCUUGUUCUGCAGAUGCUGGCUCCAUGUUCCUCGUAUUCCUCCUUUGUGUGGCAAAACUGCAUGAGAAAAAGGGAAAUCACUUAGAUUUCAUUCACAUAAAAUGAAUUCAUGAGGAAUAAUUGUUUUAUUUUUUUCAGGUCACGAGAAAUAAUUAUUUUUUUAGGGUCACGAGGAAUAAUUGUAUUCAUAACUCAGUUAUAACACUGCUAUAAAGCAUUGCAAUUCACCACAUUUUACUGGCAUUAUAAGUUUAAGAUAAGAUAAGAUAGCAGAAAUACAGUGAUUACUGAAGAUUGCCAAUUUAUUGAGGCCCCUAGAAUGUCAAGUGGCAGGUACCUCAAAGAAUUCAGGGUUAGACGCAGCUACUGACCCCCCGAACCAAACUGCAUAACUCUGUAUUGGAUGGGCAACCACGUUGACUUCAAUAGGCUGACAACAGGGGGAAAAAGUCAAAUUAAAUGACAGUACCAAGUACAUAAAAUUACUAACAUGUACAAUAUUGACAACAAGAGUACAUUAAAUGGGGAUCGAGAAUCAAUCAGCUGUACUUACUCUCACUUCCACACGAUGACGGGCAUUAGUCGCGGCAACACGCUCAUCCACUAUCUUCUUUAUAUCAUUUUGGAGUCUCUUGUGGAAGUCUUUAAACAUAGUAGAUCCACCAGAUAAUACUAUAUUCUGCAAAAAAAUAGAAUUCUGAUAAAUGCCACAGCAUUCGCAUAUAUCACUUCCCAUCUUACAUAUCCAUGCAGGGUUUGAAGAAAGCACCUUGUACAGAGCUCUCCUUGUGUCAAUUGGUGCAGACUGAACACAGUUAUCAAUCAACUCGGGUAAAGGAGUGGAGAAAUCGGCAGAGUAAAUCUCAGGAUUGAAGAAGAUCUGCAUUUGUUAGUAGAUGGUUAGAGAUGCACACCUAAUUCUGACUUUUUAGAAAAAUCAUAACCAACUGUAUAAAGUUAAAAGUUUAUUCUAACAAAAAGGUUAAAUACCAACAAAAUUAAGCUCAAGGCAAAACAAACUUAUAAUUUCUAGCACCUAAUAACCUUUUCAAGAUAUAUUUGAUAACACCCAUUUUUUAGUGCCAAUUUCAUACCCAUGAUGUACGGGCUGAACUACUACAAAAGCUUAUCGAUAUCACUUGACAGUGUAAAAAUGAAGCACACGGUAGUAUUCGAUUGGAAGUAGAGACCAAUGUUUAUAUAGUAACUACAAGAAGGUAAUGAACCAAGAUAGUGCCAAACAAAGGUUAAGACAGUUCCAGAGAAUAAUAGCAAUUGGCAAGUACUCGCUAGGGCAACUAUCUUGUCCAGAAGAAAAGAAAUACCAAAGUUUCAAAAUUUACAAUCUAUUUCAUUUUGCGGAUGAACCAAGGAAACCAUGAUCUCAGUUCCUAAAUAGUAGCAAAUCUAUAUGCCAAAAGAUGCUUCUAUAAGUAUGCAAGACUGUCAUUGGCAACUCUACAUCUACAAAUCCAUUCAUUGAUGUGACCUCAUUCUUCAAGUUGGUCAUAAAUGUUACAUUAUAAUAUGAAGCUUUAGUUCAGUAUGACAAUGUAAAUGAGUACAACUCGUAGAAACUCAUGAACAAAUAGUGCUGCAAUCAUGUGAACCGCAGAUUGGCAAUCCUUGACCCUUGUUCCCAUGAACUCCAUUGAUAUUGCCACAGGACAAGAAUAAGUACAGUGUGAAAUGGCCAUCCAGUGAAGUCUGUACAUUCACAUUGUUAACCAGUUCCUUUACUACGCAAUUAACAGAAACAAAUGCUCACAAGAAACCGGGAUGUCUUGUAUGAAGUUUAUCUCUUAAUUUACAGCAACAACAAGCUAAAUUUCUGUCUUACUCAGAGUAAUGUAAGAUCAAAAGCUAUAAUAAAUUCAUCACUGCAACACAGUGUAAUUGACACUCAAAAGAUGAUCGUUGGCCAUAAUAUUAUACCAUUUUGGAUCAAUAGUUUGGGAACAAAAAAACUAUUGCAGUUUUGAUGACAGACUAUUGCAGUUUUGAUGACAGAAAUAGGAAUAAACCUCUGGCCCAAGAAAGCGUUCAUAUCCGAUGUCAAUUGUAUAUGGGACCCCAGUCUUUGGUUUAACAGCUGUCCAAUGUUUGAUGUACUUAUCAGGCUUCUUGUCAUGUUUCUUGAACUCCUGAAAUUGUAAUGGAGAUGCAUAAGAAUCUAAAUCUUUUUGUUUGUUUAACAUAGAUGCCUACUGUAUGGCCUCUUGCUAGAAGUACUACUUAUAUCAAACUUGCCACAUAUAUAUUUAUAAAAGAAAACAGUGCAUAAAAUUAGUCUACAUGUUGAGAAGCUGAAGACCAAAAGGUAUCUACAGUCAUUGUUAAGCAACAGAAGCAAACAUAAAAUAACAUUAAACAGAUUCUACAACCAGGUCAAAAGUAGUGUUUACACAGGGAACAAGUUUUACUAGCACGCUUAACUUCAUUAGGGGACUUCAACUCCCAUUAAACAAUUUUGCUAGUUCUGAAGAGUUGAAGACCAAUGGAAAAUAAAAUGUCAAUACCUUGACAAUGUCUGAACAAGUAUAGCAAUACAUUUCUUUCACUUUACGAGAUAUAUCUAAAGAAUCCUCAGGUGGCAAAAGCUCACCUCUUUCCUGCAAAACCACCAGAUGACACUAGUCAAUAACAGCAUUUAUAAUGUAAUACACCAUCAGCAGGACAGCAUCCAUGCGCCCGAGAAAAUUCAUCCAGCUUUUACAGGGGACCACAAGAGAAUGCCUCAAAAGUAGAAGUAAAUAUUGAGAGCAUAAAGGACUAAUACCGAUCAGUACAACUCUAAUUGCGAAUAUGGUUUAUGUUCACAGUGGCUCUGCAGUAAGAUGCAAUUUCUCACCAGGUGACUAAUCAUGGUAAUAUGAGAAUUCCCCAUUUUCAAGUAAAUAUUUUUCCCAAUCACACAAUAAUAGUCAAGGAUAGGAUGGCAUUCAAAUACUAUAUACUCCUUCCAUUCCAAAUUAUAUGUUGUUUUGUUUUUUCUAAGUACAUAGCUUUUGCUAUUAUCAAGACAUAGUGUUCUAUGUGCAUAGCAAAGACUAUAUAUUUGGAAAAGCCAAAAUGACUUAUGAUUUAGAACAGAGGGAAUAGGAAUUAAUGAAUAACGUACCAUUCAAUUUAUUCUAGAAGAAUGGCCAAAAUAACAAGUAUCCCGGUUUUAUGUGUUACUGAUUGAAUUUCUAGUGAUAAUGUAUGAUCUGCACGCUAACACUUUGGAGGGUCAAAACUUGAUUUCUUGAGACAAUGCUGGCUAACAUUUUUAAGGUAUUGUCAUUAACAAUCUGAAUGGAUCUAACAUAACUCAGUACGAGCUAUGCUAAUUUAUCCACACAUCAUCUAUGCACAUAAAACAAGAUAAACACUAGCAUUAAGAAUAACAAGCAAUCCGGCAAAAAAUAUCUAGGGUCGACCCAAUCUACGUUUCACUUGCGGACUUGCCACAUGAGCAGAUCCAGGAUAGAGAAUCAUAGAUGUCAGUAGUAAGCAUUGGUCUUGUUUUUUUGGAUCGACAACAUUUUAGCCUGGGAUAUCAAAAUAUCCAUUGCUGCCCAUUCACAGCAGUAAAAUAGCCUGGUUUUGCCCUUGUUUCCAUGCAGCAGGCAGCAUUCCCACCGACAUUGACCAGUCUGCAGUCUUAUCUAAUAAUCAAUCUUAUUGAUCAAUCCAGAUCAAUAUUCUUGCUUUUACAAUACUUGAUGUUGGCAUCCAUAAAAUUCAAUAAUUACAUUUUUCCUAUGCAAAGCAACCCUAUUUAAACAAUAUGUAUAUAUGUCUGCUUGGUAAAAAAAAGAAACUGAACACCAAGUUUAUUAUAACGCUAAAAUAAACUUUGAUUUAAGAGCACAGAACCAGAGAUCGAUACAGCCCUAUUUAUGAGCAAUACGAGUAAUUUUGCAUCUGAAAGUAAUCACAACAAAAAAUGGAGAGCAUGAUGUACCUGUAAAAGCUGCGAAACAAACUGGGUUACAUCACUUCCAGAAAAAGGAAAAGACUUUAUGCUACUCCCAAUUACAUAGCCAUUUACAACUGGCACGAUUUGUGGAGCUCCGUCCCCAAUAUCAACUACUACUCCUGUCAUAUCAGACUGACAAAGUAUAUUGGCCAAAGUUAAUGAGAAGCAAUGUGCUCUACCAAAGAAUUUAUAGGCAUUAAAUGAAAAAGGGUCAAGAGACUGGAACAAUAAACAGUGAUUUGCUAUACAAAUGACUGCCCUCAAUCAUGAGUUCUAGAAUUUGACAAGCAACAGAUUAUAUAUUAAUUAUGAUGCUGACCUUUUUAAUACACAUCAUGAUUCAAAGAGACAUAUAUAAGUAAAGGGGUGGCUGAUCUUUGUGAGGGCAUGCAAUCACAAUAAUAACUUUACAUUUCCAUUUUUUUUAAAAAAAAGAAUUCAAUAAAAGCAAUGAAUGCCAAUCAAGAAGAUGUGGUUUAUGCAGUAACAAAUACUUGGUAAACAAGCACGAAAGGAGGUAUUCUCAGAACCUACCACGGUAUCUGAAUCGUCAUCAGAAAUACUUUUCAGAUAGGCAUAUCCAGCAGAAAGGCUGAGGACAGAUUGAACAGAAAUAUAUAGUCCAGGGACAUUGAAGGUCUCGAACAUUAUUUCUCCUGUACAUUCACGACUUUCAGGUGUACUGACAGGACUAUCCGUAAGAAGGAAAUAGUGCUCUUCAGGAUUACAACGUAGAUAAUUGAAAAUGCAUUGCUGCCAAAAUCUCUCCAUUGUGUCCCAGUCAUGAACCUGCAAAACAGGAAAGAGGAUAAGGCAUACGGAGGUAGAACACAAACAAAGGACAGGAUCAGUAAAAGGAAAUGUAUAUACAUACCUGACCAUGACGGAUUGGACUUCUUAGUGUGUACAGCCCACUAGACCUAAACCGCGAUAGAGCCUCAUCACCAAUAAAAAAGUCAAGAUCAGCCAUGAUGCCUGCAUUAUACUGUGCUAUCCAGUUUGCACUACUCAACAGCUCUGUCUGGUCUAGAAAAGAUUCGUUCGCAGCUACGACAGUAGGGAGGGUGAAAGACGGCUCCGAGUUCCCAGAAAAUCCAAGUUUGCUAUACCUAAAAAAAUAAGAGUAUAAAAAUCUUGUAAGAAUAAAAAAUGGUGAUAGUCAAGUCAUAAACUCAUAGUAGAAAAAAGGGUGCAAGUGGUACUGAGACAAAGAAAAGAAGAAGAAGCAGAAGUGACAUAAUUUAGCAAAUAGUUUAACAAUUGCAUAGAAAUUGAAGCAACCCAGAAUCAAUUAGAACUGUUUAUAUCCUGGGAAAGUUCAUUUUGUGAGCGUUAUUACUUUAGGAUCUGUUCUCGUGACUUUGUUAGUUGCUCAUAAAAAGAUAUGGAAUCUUAAUGUGACAACGAUGCAAUGCCUUACAACCUAAACUUGCUGCAAGCUGAGAGUACAAGAGGAAAAGUCAUCGUGGAAUCUGCCUUGAGUUGAGGAUAGUGGAUACCAUAUGUACCAUAAAGUACAGCACAAGCAGGACAGAGGCAAUAUUUCACAUUCUACUUCAAGAGAAACUGAGGAGCAGUAUCAAAUAAAGGCUACCACUCUAAAACAGUUUCCUCCCCAACUCUUCCCCCCUUACCCUGCACAGAUUUAUCCUGACUGCACAACAGACAGCACAACCAGAUGGAGUCCGUUGUCCUCACCAAACCGGUGCCUCCAAAGUGUACACCGAGAAUGUGAGCCCACGACAAACCAAACCACAACGGGCCCCAUCAAUACCUGGUAUCCUGACACCCAUCCCCUCUGGCACGGGCACAACCCAUUUCAGGGGGGCGAGCCGCGGGAUCAUGGCUGAAAGCUCGGCGAGAACCAGCCGACCACACGGGGGAAUCGCGCGCUGAUAGAGCAGUAUACUGGCACCAGCGACUUGGAGGGAGGUCGUCAGGUCGGGUCGGAGACAGGACAGCGAGCUGGUGAGGAAGAGAGAGAGAGAGAGAGAGGGUGGAGGGAUCGGUCGGGUCGGGAGUUACCCUGUGCCGUUGUCGAUGACGAUGGCCGGGCGCGCGGUGGCGUCCAUGGCUGACAGCUCCGGCGAGUCCCCGCCGGCUCAUGCCUCCGCCGCCGCCGGAGUGACCGGGAGGCGGGGCAUCGGGGUCCGCCGCGAUGGAGGCCUCGCUCGCUCCCCCCCGGGGGCCGCCUGAUCGAGCCGAGGUGGGCGGGCGUUGGCCGGCGGCGGGCGGGGCUAGGGUCGGGCCGAUCGAUUUCAGGGGAUCGGAUGGCGCGCGGGCUCGAGAGAUUCGAGGAGGCGGGCGGUGCGCGGCGCGUGGCGUGGCGUGGCGAUGGGGACGAGACCUCACGAGUUGGUUUGGUUUGGUUGACGAGGGAAGCGGGAAGGCAGGCAGGCGAAGUCGUCGAAGAAAGUGGGUGGCUUGUGGAGUUGUGACUUGUGAUUGUGCGUGCCUGCGCGCCGCGUUGGUGGGUGGGUGGCCUCUGGGCUCUGUCCGUGUCUGUGAAGUGCGUUAGGGUGGGGUGGGGUGGGGUGGGGUGGGGCCGCACUCACUCGCUCCUAUCCCAGGCCCACCUGGCAGCAGCGGACUUCUGGCCAUGUGUCCCUUCUCUGUAAGGCCCCACUUUGGCCGGUCAUUUCCCCGUGGAGGGAGCCCACGAGGAUGGUUUCCACGCGCCGCUACUCGGACUGGUUUGGAAGCACGCGACACAGGGCUCUCCGCCGCGAAGGAGCAGGGUUUUGACGGGGAAACCUGUCCGACCUCGUCACGUCGGGCGGCAUUCCCCGCCGACUCGACUCACCUCGACGACUCCUCCGUCGCCGCCCCUCCGCACUCGCCUCGACUCUCCGCCGUGGCCCCUCCGCCUUCGCCUUGACUCUCAUCUUGCCAUCCCCGUCACCUCCCAGCCACCAUCCCCCUUCUGAACCAUCGUCGUCCUCGCCUCCACAUCGGCUUCGUCCCCACACACUGGAGAGAUGUGACCACUGCAGCUACUGAGAGGACGGCUCCAAGAUCCACUUCAGUUCUUCUCAGAUUUGUCUUCCCUCUGAACAAAGUAAGAUGGUCUCGAUUUGGUAUGCACCCGCUUGAUUCGUCCCCCUUCUCUAUGUUUUGUUGUAUAGUGUCGAAUUCAAGUGAGCAUCUGCCUAGAUUGUUUUCAUCAUCUGUGACGUGCUUGUUUCAUGGUUGAUCCACUUUGCUUGCCCCAACCCGAUUGACUAGGGUUUACUAAAUUGUUGAUUCACAGGUGCCCAAAUAUAGCCGAUCUAGGGUUUCAGUAGAUUAUUGGUUCUUAGGUUUACUGGUUCUAGUAGUGUGUUCUUGAAUUUCUUGUUUCUAGCACUAGCUGGUUUUGGUAGAUCCAGUUUACUGGUUCGUGAAUGCACUUGUUGAUACAAAUUGGGAGCAUGAACUGGUUUUGGUAGAUCCAGUUUGACUCCCACAGUUGAUAUGAAUUGGUGAGAUUCUUACUGAUACACUAGAUUUUGAUAAAAGGAUACAUUUUAAUUGCUAUAUGCUUUGCUUCGGCCGUUUGGAGCAACUUCAUCUCCCAUGUUCUAUAAUCCAUCCUAGCAUGCUAGAAGUUUUUCUGCACAAUUGCACACGGAAGCAUUAGCCAUAGGUUGAUAGUUUUCUGACAGGUCAAGUCUGCUGUGUCAGGUUCCAUUUUUUUUUUUUUUGCAGCAACUAGUAGGACUAGAACCAUGGUAUUCCUUUAUUUUUGAAGCAACUACUGCUAUCUUAGCUAAUAUUACGAUCAUACGGAUUUGUGUUUUCAUUUCAAGGUGAUCAACCUUUUGUUUCGAAUAAAGAGUUGUAGUUCAGUGUUCGACCUUUAGAAAAUUCAGUUCACUGAGCUGUUGUUUUUUCUUCAGAAAUGAUUAAGCUUCUUUCCUCUAAACUGUACUGCUUGCUGCCAUCUUGCAAUUAGCUGCAUGGGUUGUAGGUCCUUUUCUUCUUCAUGUUUGCAAACAGAACCGAUCUUGCUAUUAAGCUUGUCACAUUUGCAGUUUAGUUACAAUUCUUGCUGAGAAUAUAGAUUCUGAAAUGACCUACAUGACCUGGGCACUUUAGAUUCUGAAAUGGCUGCAUCCAAGGCAUAAGUAUGGUUAAGACAGUUUGUUUUUUUUUCCACAUUAUAUGGGGCUGUUUGUAAUCUGCCUUAACCAUUGUUACUCUUGAAACUUGUAAGUAGGUCAAUCUGCUAUUUAGAGUUCACGCCAGAUCUUUUAUCCUGUUCUUUCAGUCUCUUAGUAAUGGUAACUCUGGUAGUCCUUGUUAUGUUGCUAUGUUUCUUUCUUGUGCUAUCAUACAGCUGAUCUCAGUGUAGAAUAGUGAUUAGUCUCAUACGGUUGUCCUUUGCUCAGUAUUCAGGUAGUAGUAAUUUUUUCCCUUUUUCUUUUUAAGUUUUCAUUCAGUUUUUCACAAUAGUGUUUCAGGUUUUUAUAACUUGGUGGCCAUCAGGGUUGCUAGUAAAGCACCAUCUAACUUAUGUUUGUGCGGUGCUAGUUGUGUAUUUCAUUUAUCUUAGUCUGAAUUGAUAGAUAGUCUUGGACAUCAUGAGAACAGUCUUCUCCUACUUAUGUUAUAUGAAUUUGAUUUCUUGAGUUUAGGGGGGGGGGGGGGGGGGGGUUGAUUGUGCACUACUCGUAUCGGAGUGAUUCAUCUAGCUAGCUUUACCAAUGGACAACCAUGUUCUAAGUGCAAGGAACCGUAGAUGGAAACAUGUUUAUUUCAUUUAUACAAUACAAGUAUCUAACGUGUUUCCCUGGUGUUACUUGUAGAGCUCUUGGUGGAAGCAAUACAUGAUUUGAGGAGCCCUUGAGCUAUAUAAUCUCUCUACUUGGGUACUGAACAUGCGGUGGCAAUGCCUAUGUCAUAUGUGACAAGCUUCUGGAAAGGGUUUUAAGUCAUAGAUUUAUUUUUAUUUUUUUUUUGCAAAACUUAAAGUCAUAGUUUUUUAGUGUUCAAGUUUUUAGUGAAGAGACUCAUUCCAUUUUUUUAUAUAUAUCUGUCAACAAUUUGUGGAUGGAGAUGAAUUCGUGAUGCAUGUGUUAGCUUGUUUUGAUUUGGAUAUUAUUAGGUUCCUGAAUCAAACUUUGCACAUGAAUGUGCAUCUUGGGGAUUUUUUUCGAAACAACUGUAGGCACAGGGCAAAGAUUCGCAGGCACAGGGCAAAGGCCGAGCUGGUUGAACUGACUAGCCUGGUCGACGUACGUGUAUGUCCUUACCUGCCAGAAACUUUGUUCGUGCUAGAGCUCCACUGCACGCAUCUUAUCAUCCAUGGGAAAAAUGUUUCCAAACAGCAGCAGAGAAAUAACUCUGUCCGUGAAAUCUCCCCCUCGGGUGGGCAGGGGAUUAGCAUGUCUAAAAAAAAUCCCUCCCCCUCUUUCUUCCCUGGGUUUGUUACCCUGAGUUGCCAAAGUAGGCCUGAGCGUUAAUGGGCCUCCGGGUGAGGAGGGAAGUAGAAAACAUGCUGGAGCCUGGAGGAUAGGUAUAUAUACGUUUUGAUUUUAUUAUUUCUCUUUUUUCCAUCCAAGAGUUAAAAUAUAUACCACCGGCACUAAAUUUUGUAGAUGUAUGUAUAUCAUUUAUUAGGUUCACGAACUUUAGAAAAUGUGUUCCUGAGUCACGGGCAAGUCUUAUAUAGGCGUCCCAGACCGGACAUCCGGUGGCCAUUAUCAGAGCUCCGGAAAAUAGAUGUGCAGAAUUAAGCGUGGCAUAUUUCAAAACCGGUAAAAUCGCGAACCUAAGAACAAAACAAACCCUGAGCUUUACUACACCUGUAAAACAGAUAGUACCCUUUAUGAUGAUGCCAUUGCCAUGAUACAAAUUUACCAUCCAUCACUAGUAAAUAAAUAAAAGCAGCAGGGCAUCCGCUAUCUUAUCGUCAGCGUUGUCAGCGAUUAGAAUGUAUCCCUUCUGAAUCUUCUUCACCAGAUGCGUUCCUUCCAAGUCGGCUUACAAAUACAGGCUCGUUCAGUUUUCUGGUGCUAAUUGUCGUCCUCGUCCAUGGAUUCUUCCUCCUCGGGAUGUAUAUACUGUUUCAUGUAUUCUUCCUCGAUCGUCUCCUUCAGCAAAGUUAACCUCUGGAUGAUCACCGGGUCGCUCAUCUUUCUCGCAUCCAUAAAAUCCGUCUCCUCCUUGUUGAGAUGGUAUGAAUCGAGCAGCAUUUUGAUCCAUUUGUGGAGUUCGUUGGGAGUUCUGCAUGCAAAGACCCGAUUAUGCCAAUGCAUAGAAAGCAUCUUUACUAUCUUAUCACAACCUUACCUCAAAUAAUAUAUAUACAAAAAAAAAGAUCUGCUCAAAAAUAAAAUGGCACCCAUUUUAUUGGGCACCCAACUGACUUGCUUUCUAACAAGAAAAAUGGAGUCUAUUCUGGCCUUCAAAUUUCAGCCUCCGUUUGAAGUACGAACAUUUGUUCCACAAUGAAAAUCCAAUGCAUAAACAUAAAAAGAAAAUGUUCCCAUAACCAUUUAGCAUGCAUAGUUUACAUGGACACACAAGAAACUGAAAAUAAUAGUUAAGCACCAAGGCAGUCCCAAACAUUAACUAGUUGAGCUAAACAAACUUAGAUAAGGGCAGCAACAAUUGUGAAUUAUUAUUAUUUUCUUAGGUAAAAUAUUAUAAUUUCCUCAUUAAAAAUUACUUUCUGGGUUCCCAGGAUAUUACUCUGAUGACAAACCUUUUUUUGGUAACACAUAAGGAACUUGAUAAGUUAUAAUGUUAGCAAAGCAUUUAGAUAACAGAAUACAGAUCCAUGCAGCCAAUUUUAUAUUAUACAUGCUCAUUAAGAAUUGACUAUCUCAUGAGAGUUCCUUUUGAACAGAUGACAUAAUGAUUGGAGAAGCCAGCUUAACACUUGAUAACAUUAACUGACAGUUAAGUGGAGCAUGUGACCAGAAAAAAACAUAAUUUUGAGGAUAAUAAACUAAUCAAAUUCCCCAUGGAUCAAUCCAAUCAACUCAAAUAGUAGCAAAGGAAAGGAAUUAGUCUACAUAACCUUGUGCUGUUUGUCUACUUAACCCCCUUAACUAUGAGCCAGGUCGAGCAUCCCAAAAUAUUUGAACCAUCAAAAUAACCAGUAGGUGGUUUUGCUCAUGUGGCACAUCACAUUGACACUGAUGUGCAUGUGCUAGUGACUUAGUGAAUGAGAUGUUGAUCGUCCUCAUCAGACAGAGAGAUGUUGUCAUUGUCUUGGCUGCACAGAAAGGGGGCUGUGGUUUGGUGAAGCUUUGACAUUUCUCAGUCUACGUUGACAUGGUGUCAUUAGUGAUAGGGAGAGGUGAAGGGACUAGAGGGAUGGAGAGAGUAAGACACUGAAGUGUGGGUCUAGAGUGAUGUGGCAUGUGGUGUAAGUACAUUUUUUCUAUGCCAGCAUGCCACAUCAGUAAAACCGCCCUCCAAAAGGAAGUUAUUAUGAUGGUUUUUGAAAAAGUUAGAGGGACUCAAUACCUGGUUUUAUAGUUUGGACGUCUAAGUUGUGAAACAUCAAUACUUGAGGGGAUUAUGUAGACUUAUUCCUAAAGGAAAAUGAGGGAACAAGAACAGCUACAUGUCCCCAACAAAACUGAUAUGCCACAUCAUGAAGACUUUUGCAAUAAUGAAAUCAAUAGAGACAACAAACAAAUAUCUUUGUCGAAAAACUCUUACGUGUAAAGAGCAUCUUCAUCCUUGGUUUCACACUCAUCCCCGGGAGAGAAAGCAGUUGCAAGAGCACCAAAUCUCUCUUCAGGGUCUUCAAUAUUCAGCAGAUACUUCAGAAGCUUCAUCUCCGGAGGUGAGAUGUUCUUGAGGCUUUCUUUUGUAGUUGUAUAAAUAUGAUACAUUAUGUCCUUGACCUAUGCCAUGGAUAUGAAUCAGAAAAUACUAUCUACAAGGUUUAAUCACUAAUUUUAUAAUAGUGUCAUUUACCAAUUCAAAAUCUUAACCAAUGUUACUUACUUUAUCAUACAAUUAGUAAGUGCCAAAAAGGUUUGUCGUUUUAUAUAACAUGUUGGUGAUUCAGAUUUCAAAUAUGAUUUUGAAAUAGAAUCCACUUAGGUCUUGUUUGGCAGAAAUCUAGCUCCAAGAAUUCUUAGAGCUGAAUACUCCUAGCUUCAGAAAUCUGUGGAGUUGGAGUUGGGUUUUCCUAGCUCCAGACUCCACGAAUGUGGGUAAAGUUUUCUUUGCCCUUGAGGGCAUGUGCUCUCACUCUCCUACUCAUUGGAUUCGCUUUGAGAAGUGUGCAAACACACAUCUCAAUGCGAAUCUGCUUUGAGAUGUGUGUUUGCACACUUCUCAAUGCGAAUCCAAUGGGUGGGAGAGUGAGGGCAUAUGCCCUUAAGGGCAAAAAAACCGCGUUGAUGGGUACAGGAUACACCUGAAUUGUUUGAUUAAACUGCUUUCUACUCUAGACAAAAAAAAUUGUCUCAAAGUUCUUGAUUGUAGAAUACACAGACUAAACAGAUCUGAGCUCAAACCUGGAGCUGUGCCAAACAACUCAUUUGGUAUCACGUAAGCUAUGAUUACAUUUCAGCACUUGUAAAAGGCAAAGGCACAUUAUUACUAUAUUACAAUGAUGCAUGGAAAAACAUUGUAGAAGUACCAGAAAAACAAUACUGGUACUGAAGACAACAAUUUUUAUUUAGUUAAAAAGAUGUGGAAGAUUAGUAGACUCAUCUAGAUUAACUGUACCAUGAUAUUUGCUACACUUAGUCAUGUGUACAUUUUUACAAAGGCUAAAUGAAUCCUAAUAAGUAUUAUGACGAAUUAUAUGUUGUCAACUUUCAUAACAGACUUUUUUUUAAUGAAAAAAAACUUUCAUAACACACAAUAGAAAUCAUUAAACAUUUGCCUAUUCAAGGUUUACAUAAAACUAAAAGUUCAAAAAUAAUAUGUCAAAGAGAAUAUAAAGGAAACUGAAUCUUUGUGCAAAUUUACCGAACAAUGAAGCUGUGUGAUAUUACAUCCACUCUCAGGAGACCAAAAUGCUAUGUUGCAUUUAUUAUACAUAUAUACCAAAUUUUCAUCACUUCAUGCCUCACUUCUGCUGAAGCACAGAUUGACAAGAUGGCUAUAUUUCUAGCCUCGAUGGUCUAUAUUGUUUGAUAGUACCACAGUGGGCCAAUCAGCACAAUAUCUUAAUGGGUUGAGUGUACCACUGUACCAACAGCCCAGGUGGCCAAAAAUGUAGCAAUAAAUCAUGCUUAAACACAGGAAAACUUAUACAAUUUUGUUUAUAUUUCAUUAAGACUAACCUUAUCAUUCAUAGUUGUAGAUUCUUUUGCAGCAGCCCAAGCUCUGUUAAUGAGAAGAAUUAGAGAUGAAUCAAGUUCUUUAGCCUUGGCUAAGCUUUUUAUCUCGUCACAAGCACCAUCUAGUGAAGAGGAAUUCAGUAUAUCAUCAAACUUCAACUGAGCAGAUUCGAUGUCUAACUGUUCUAGUGUGCAGUCAUAUGCAUGAAUUGCAGAUAGGCAUUUGGCCCCGAGCCUGACUACUCCUGCAUAAUAUUAAGAACUAAUCAGCCCAUAAUAUAAAGUACACCAUUCAGAACAAUAACUACAAGUAAAGUAGAUACAUUUGCCUGCCAAUUCACACGACAAGAAUUUGGUACUAACCAGUAACCACAUGCUCAUUAGAAUAUGUUGACCUUGUCAACCAACCCAGAGCAACAAACAAGACUAAAAAUAAAGACAAUCUAGUGAUAACUUCUAUGUUCUGCUUGCAACGCUUUUUUUUUCUUCUGCAAUUUUGGUUAACCAAGAAUCAUGAUCCAUGUGCUCAGGAAACAAAGAAUCAAAUUCUCAAAUUUGAUCUGUUUCAAUAACCAUAUUAUGGUGUGAUUAUAUGUUAGCGGUUCACCUUGGUAUGAAUCAAGUAAUAAAGUGUGAUAUGUGAGUAAAAAUUGAUAGAAGGUAGGUAGUUACCGUCUCGCUCGUCAAGGCCAUUAUAAGCAUUCACAAGGAAAUUAAGAUGGCGGAAGAACUCCCCAGUGAAAUCCUUUCGUCGUCUUGCAACAAUAGCAUUAAUAUCAGCAGGGUUCUCACUGAGCUCAGUGAACAGUUCCAUGUGCUUCUCUAUUUCAUCAUCUAUCUGAAUCAAAAACAUGGAGAAUAUCCACAUAGUUAUGAGAGCAUCUAGAUAUUAUUUUGGUUUGAUUAUAUUGCACCUAAUCUGAUAAUAAUAUCAUGUAAUCUUAAUACAUGGAGUUCUUAAGGUUGAUGUGACAAAAAUUAUACUGGGAACUAUGAAAGCUCGCUUAAAAGGGUGAAUGUACGUAAGAGCAUCUCCAAGAGAUUAGACUAUCUCCAACAAUGGUCACCUAAAAAUCUAAAAUACAAGACCCAUUUGUCCUUUGGGUAGCGCUACAGGUAAAAAGUUCCAUAUCUAUUUUUAGUCUUCUCCAACAACAAGACCUAAAAGACAACACUCUCUGCAAAUAGGUCUCGAGGAGAAAGGAUACCCAAAUUUGGGUUAUGCCUCUCCUGAUACCCAAAAUGGGUCUUCUGUAUGGGUACUCUGUUGGAGGCUAUAGGUAUUGUAUUGGAGACCCAUUUUAGGUUUGGGUUCCCAAAUGAGUCUCCUGUUGGAGACAGCCUUAGCCAAAUCAUUUUCUAAAGGUAUAUUUUGUUAUUGUUGAAGGAAAAACGUCUCCAAUAGACUCUGUAAAUGACACUUCAAAUUUAGAAACUCUCCAUCCUACCUUAUUCGCUCUCUACUUUUGGAUAGUCUAUCUCACUAGUCAUCCUUUAUAGACUCUGUUGGAGUACUCUAAUAUCUUUUUGUCAAGUCUAUUUUAGAGAGUAGCUAAAUUAGUAAAUUUGGCUAGUCUUUUUAGCUAAUCUUUUGGAGAUGCUCUAAGGAGAAUAGAUAAUGACUUACCUUCUUAACUUUUCUAGCAAGUACAACCAACUUUUGUUUCACUGAAGGAUCAGUUUCCAUAUCUAUGCGCACUUGGCAACGCUUGUAGAAGUGCUCUCUAUACCUUCGCCACUCCUCUCUAAACACCAAUAAUUUUCUCCAGUCCUUUGUUUCUGGUUUCUUAUACAUGAAGAACUCAAUGAAUUUGUCGCAGAUUUCAGUCAUCGUGUACCCCAUUGCAACUUCAGCCUCAGUUUGGUCUUUCACAUUAGCAAUGGUUGGACUAGCUACACAACCUGUAAUUAAAUGUAGUUCAUGAUGUAGGGCAUAUUUUUCAAAGUUAUUACGCAAUGUUAGCAUGAGUGUUUGGAGCAUACAAACAGAGAGAAAGGGGUAUAUGCACCUAGUAGAUCAAAUGUGUCAUUUGAGAAGUACGCUUCUACUAUUUGCAAAACUGGGGGGAAAUGAUAAUCUAACUCAAUAAAUGUCCCCUUAACAAGCAUAAAUUAGUCAUAAGAAGAAAAUUACCAAUUGAGUCGCAAUAAGAUCAGUCCCUAAACGAUUUUGUCAAUAAAGCAUAUAUAUACUCCGAUUAUUUUGAACUUAGUUCUAGUUUGAAUCACUUAUCCCCAAUUCAAAAUUUCGUAAAAAAGAGACCCGAACCUCCCAUAAGAUUACCUUAGUGGAUUUGUUAAUGAACUUCUUUCCCUAUAUUUACUGCUACCAGAUUUGGGCCCUAGUUCUAAAAUUUGCAAGGAUCAGAUAUUCAGAUUCCAUAUCUUGUAUAAUAAACCGAAGCAGACCCUCAAAUACUUGGAAUUCUCGCUAAAAGAACAUCGCAAUUGGCCUAAGAAUAGUUGCGCCUCUUAGCGAAAUCCCGUCGGUGCUCAGCAUUCAGCAACAUCCAACAUGCCAUUAUGGGAAUUCAUCGAAUACGUGUAAAGGCAACACAAAGUCGCCACAACCUACCUACACGAACUGUCCGAGCUAGGAAAAGAACCCGAGUCUUACAGAAUAGUCACUCCACAGUUCGUCGCCGCAGGUUGCUUCUAUUCUAUGUCCCCGCAAAAGCCAAGCGCAACCGAUUUGAUUCACCGCUGACACUAAGCACCUCGCGACGCGAGCAAGCGAACCAGCACACGACGAAUUGACAGGAGAGAGAAAGAGAAGGAAAAGAAACAGAGAAAGGAGAAAUGGAUUUGUGCCUUACGUGGUGGUGGUGGGGCUGCGGCGGCGAGGCGGAUGCAGCGGGUAGCAUGCGGAAUGGGUACGGAGGCAGAGGAAGACUGCGUGGGGGCGGCGGCCAUUGGCGCAGGCGAGGGGCGGGGAGCGCGGCAGAGAACGCCCGGGGCCGGGUUCGUCGCCAUCGGUGGCAGCACGGCGAGGCGAAGCGAUUGGAGGACUGUGGAUGGAUAAAGAAGCAUAGUGACGGGACGGGAAUAGUAGUAACUAUGACGUGGCUUGACGGGUGAAUACGGAGACGUCGUACCUGGCAGGGAUGGAUCUUAUAUAUAUAUAUAUAUAUAUAUAUAUAUAUAUAUAUAUAAAUAAAAUGUAGUAUGCGUAUUCAACGUCAAUAUAAAUAUCCGUAUUCCACAUCUGUAUUUAUGGUAAUAUAGAUGCUAAGUGAAUAUAUAGCGACUUCUCUUCAUCCGAUUCCACGUCCGCAUUUGAAAUUAUCCAUAUUAACGAAUAACAAAGUGUCCGGUAAAACCAUCUAAAACUUACAUCUAUAACUAAUUAGUAAUUUAUAUAAAUGAUACAAGUUUUAACAAAAAAAGAUAUUUAUCAUUUAAUCUACUCAAACUUACCUAUAUGGCUAAUGAAGUUAAAUUAAUUUUAUUGUUAUUAAUGGCAUAAAAAGAUUAAUUUUAAUUUAUUUUAAUAUGUAUGAUCAUACUAAUUUUAAGUACUUUAGUUAUUCAUAUAGUGAUGAAUUUUUUAUAUAUAUCUAAACUUAUUUAUUGAUAGAUAUUUAUCUAUAGUUUUAUUUAUUUUUAUAUUUUUUUUUCUUCUAUCGUUGUUAUAUUUUAAACUCCUAUGUCGAUAUGAAUAAUAAUUUGGUUCUACUUGAACUAUCGAUAUAAGCAAAUACAUAUGUGUCAUCUCAGAUUUUCAAGGUGUGAAAUGCCUUCUACACCAACCUGACAUUCAAUUUCCCUCCACCUCUGAGUCUUAUGAUCAUUUUUUGUUUCUUUAUCACGUAAAAGGUUUGUAUGUUUUAAUAUUAAAAAAGAUAUUUAAUACAACACGCCUUCGCGGUAGAAGAAUAGUACAUAUGGCGAUGCGAAAUUUUUUUGAUUUCGCUAUUGUAGCACUUUCGUUUGUUUGUGGUAAAUAUUAUCUAAUUAUGGACUAACUAGGAUCAAAAGAUUCGUCUCGCGAUUUACAGGCAAACUCCUUCAUGGCAUCUCCAUGGUCCAUGGAUGACACAUGGUGCAGAGGUUGAGUGAGGAGGGCGACGCCUAGUGGUACUGCUCAAUCAAGGCCUUGUUUACUUCUAAAAAUUUUUGCAAAAUAAGAAUAGUAGCAUUUUCAUUUGUAUUUGACAAAUAUUGUCUAAUUAUGGACUAACUAGGCUCAAAAGAUUCGUCUCGUCAAUUUCGAUCAAACUGUGCAAUUAGUUUUUAUUUUCAUCUAUAUUUAAUACUUCAUGCAUACCUCUAAAGAUUCGAUAUGACGGGAAAUCUGAAAAAUUUUACAAAAUUUUUGGGGAACUAAACAAGGCCCAAAGGGUUUUUUAUUUUCCCCAUAACUCAAAUCCCACAGCUGCUUUUUUAAAAAUCACGACUCAUAACUAUUUUAAAAAAAAAACCACAGCUCAAAUAAAUAGAUAUAUUGUUACUACAUUAGAUACUGAUCAAAUCGAUUUGUUUUUUCUCAAUCACGCAAAAGGUUUGCGCGUAUUUUCAUUAAGAAGGAGAGUUUGAGUACAAGCGAGGCGGUUUACAUAUGCAGGAUCGCUCUUCCUCGCAGCUCAGUCUAGUCUAGUCUAUUCUCUGAACUAGACGCCCGAGGUUCUUGGCUCCUGCAGAGAUCCAGAGCUCGGCCUGUCCUCUGAUCGUGUCCUUAACCGCGCUGAGCUGUGUGUUUGCUCUACGGAAGCAUCUAGCGUUCUGUUCCUUCCAUAACUCCCAGGCGAUCAGGGCGAGAAGGGAAUCUGCUCCUCUGGUAUACUCCGAUGGCCAUAAGCCUCGCCAAACCUCCCACCAUUCGACGAUGGCCCCGGCAGGCUGCUCCUGAAUAUGGCACCCUAGUGCUGCCGCAACGUCAACCCAAAGCUGCCGAGCAAACGGGCACUCGACGAUGAUGUGGUCGAUUGUUUCGCCCUGCUGGUCGCAUAGAUAGCGGGCGCUGCGGGCUUCCAACCCGUGGCGCCGUCGUCGGUCCGCCGUCCAAUGUCGUCGCCUAAUUGCCAGCCAGAGGAAGAGCCUCACUCGCGUUGGCGCCCAAACUUCCCAGACACGAACACAGCCCAGUAUGGGGUGAGAACCAAGGUGCAGCGCCUGGUAGGCUGACUGGACGGAGAAGCCGCCGUCUGAAGUCCAGCGCCAAAUCAUCCGGUCCUGGUUUCCAUUGAGAGUGAUUCCGUUGAUUGCGUGCCACAAACGCAGGUACUCGGCUGCCGCUGGUGCAGUGACGCCGCCGCCGAUGGUGCGUACCCAGUGCCGAUCCGGUAGCGCCUCGGCGACUGUCAGUCAAUUGGCGACCCGCCUGGGGACGAACUUCAGGAGUGUUGGCGCCAACGUCCUGAUCGACACACCGUCAAUCCAGCUGUCAAGCCAGAACAGCGUCCCUCUUCCGUUCCCGACGAUGGUUUGUGUUGAUGCUCUGAAGAAAUCCCGUGCCUCGGCGGAUUGCUUGAGCGGCAGCUCUGACCAUGCCCGCGAUGCGUCCGAGCUCUGGAGCCAGAGCCACUUGACCUCAAAUGCCGUGUUGACCAGUUUGAAGUCUGGGAUGCCCAGCCCUCCGAGUUCCUUUGGCCGAGUGCAUGUCUUCCAGGCGACCAUCCAUUUGCCUCUCACAUCUCCAUCUUUCCCACACCAGAGGAAUCGCCGGCAGACCGCAUCGAUCUCCGCUCGCGCCCAGGGCGGUAGACCGUCCGCCAUCAUGCAGUAAGUGGGUAUGGCUGCGAGGACCGAUUUUACCCAGAUCAAGCGCCCGCUCUUGGCCAUGAGAGGUCCCUGGCAGGCGGGCAGCCGGCGAGCGACGGCGUCGACCGUGCGUCGCACUUCGGCUUUGGGAAGCUUUGUUGUGCUUAAGGGCAAUCCCAGGUAGCGGAUAGGGAACGGCGCGACCUAGCAUCCAAGGAUCAACUGCAGGUCGGUGAUAGCCUCGUCUGCUCCAUAAAUGUUCGUGAUCGAACACUUCGCCAGGUUGGUUUUGAGGCUCGAGACCUCCUCGAAUAUUCCCAGCAAUCCCUUGAUGGCUGUGGCUUCGUCAGCGUCCGGAUACGCGAAAAGGAUGACGUCGUCUGCGUACAUGCUGCACUGGAAUUUGAUUCCAUCAUUGUCUAGGCUCCUGAGCACGCCUUCUUCUCUAGCUGCUGCGAAUAGGUGGCCAAGUACUUCCAUGGCGCAAAUGAACAGCAGGGGGGAGAGGGAGUCUCCCUGGCGCACACCUCGCUGGUGUCGAAUUCGCUUGCCUGGCUGUCCGUUCAUUAGGAUGCUGGAGGACGCUGUGGUGAGGAGUGUGGCAAUCCAUCGCCUCCAGCGCACCCCGAAACCCAUGGCCUGCAGUACGUCCAAUAAGAAUGGCCACAAGACAAUGUCGAAUGCUUUGGCUACAUCGAGCUUCAACAGUAUCUUGGGUCUCUUCUUCUUCCGCAGCAUGACGGCAGCCCUCUGAAUGUACUUGAAGUUGUCAAGAAUCGACCUGCCACGGAUGAAGGCGUUUUGUUCGGGUGAUAUAAGUGUAUGCAUUUUUGGAGCAAGCCGAAGUGCCAAGAUCUUCGAAAUGAGUUUGGCAAAGCUGUGGAUCAUGGUUAUGGGCCUGUAAUGGGCAGGUUCGCAGGCUUCCGCUGAUUUGGGCAGUAGCACUAUUAGUGCUCCGUUCAACCUGCCGAAUGAUCUGCAGUCCCCAAACAGCACGGCGUUGAUACCCCAGGAGUGCUUGUAGAAGGCACCAGUAUAACCGUCCGGCCCCGGCGCUCUGUCCGGCGGCAGCUCCUUGAUUGCAUUCCAAACCUCCUCCUCUGACAGCGGCUGCUCCAGCGCCUCCAAGUCCUGGGCCUCGAUUCCGAUUGCCUGGAAGUCGAUUGUCACAUCACUCUGACCUGCCGUGCCGAAAACUCCCAUGAAAUGGUCGUGGAUGGCUUGUUCCAUCUCCUUCUGAUCAGCGGUGAACGCUCGUUGCACCCGGAGCCGGGUGAUCAUGUUCCUCCGUCUUCGCCCUCUGGCCAUCAUGUGAAAGAACUUAGUGUUGGCGUCUCCAUCUGCCAGGAAGCGCACUCUGGACCUUUGCCUUGCAAUCGUGCGGUCCAAGGAUGAGAGCCCCAAACAUUUGUAUUUCAGGUCCGAGCGCAGCGCACGCUCUGAGUCGAUGUGCUGGCGCGUGUCACCAAUCUGAUCAAGUUUGAGGAUUAUUGUCCGAGCCAUCAGCAGCUGUUCUCGGAUUAUUCCAAUCCGCCGUGCCGCCCAGCUCCUGAGUUCUCUUGCUAGCUUCCUAAGCAAGAAGUCCAGGCGCACGAUCGGGUCCAGGAUAACCUCGUCACAUGUCCAUGCCUGCUGUAGCACCUCUUGGUAAUCCGCGAACUUCGGCCAGAAGGCCUCAAAGUGGAAUCGUGGCUUGGGAUGGAUCGCCAAGUUCGUUUGCAGGAGUAGAGGGCAGUGGUCUGAAGCGUCAGACGCCAGGGCUUGAAGGUGGCACGCUGGGAACAUCCCCUCCCAAUCCAGCGACACCAGCACGCGGUCCAGGCGCACGAGGGUCGGGUUUUCGCGUUCAUUGCUCCAAGUAUAUCUCCUGCCAUGUAGGUGUAUAUCAAGUAGCUGCAGGUUUGCCACCGUGUGCCUGAAGGCCCGCAUCAUGCGGCGGUUGAUGCGGGCGUUGUUCUUGUCUUCUUCGUCCAGGACUAGAUUGAAGUCCCCUGUUAUUGCCCAUGGCCCGGGGCAGUGGUGCCUCCAGUUCUUCCAGGAAUAGGCUCUUAUCGCCGUCCUCCUGAGGACCGUAUACGACUGAAAGCCACCAUGGAUCCCCACGGUUGGGACGAUCUUGACGGUGCACGAAUAGCAACCAAUGGUCGGUUCCUUCAGCUCGACCUCUGGGAAUCGCGCCGCAAUCAGAAUCCCUCCCCUCGUGCUCGCAGCGGGGACAUAGGCAAAGUCUCUGUAGUUAUUGCCCAACAUAGAGGCUAUGAGCCAGUGGUUUACAGUGCUUAACUUAGUUUCAACUAAACAUACAAUGUGCGCACGAACAUCAGCCGUUAAGGUUCGGACGUUGUCGCGACGGGCUGUGGCGUUCAGUCCGCGGACGUUCCAGCAUAUGACAGUUGUGUUGGCCAUAAACGUGGACUACUGGAUGUGGGCGGCGGCCGGUCAUGGUCUGGACCGUGGCGCCCGACGGCGCCUCCGGCUAUGCCCAUCGAGACAGCCGACAGGGAACAGCUCCCAUAGAGCUUCUUCAUCCUCGGGGUUGCCGCUGAACAGUGCUUCGAACUUUCCUGGUGCUGACUCCUCGUUGAGCGCUGAGGCAUGGCCGAGCCGCUUGAGUACUAGAUAUUCACCACGCUUGGCCGUGGGGAUUCUGGACAGACUUUGCGCUGCGAUCCGGCGGCUUCGCUUGAUGUGAGGCCUGGGCGUUGUCGAUUCCAUUGGGGGUGGCUUGCUGAGUAGCGGUGAGGUCUUGGCUUUCUUGACCCUACGCGCGAAGACCUUGAACCUCUUCUGUGCCGACGGUGUGCUCUUUGGCGUUGCUGCUGGCUUUGCUCCUAGAGCAUUGCGCCCAGGUGUGUUCUAGUCUGCGCCCUGUUCCGAAUCCAGCACCAGGCUCUGCUCUCGGUCCUCCUCCGCCAGUUGGCCGAUGGCCUGUUCGUGGUGGCCCCCGUCGCUACGGGCCGCCUCCGUAGGCUCCAGCUCUGGUAGGCCCAUAGCGGGUUCGGUCUGCUUGUCUUGGGCUUCCAGGAAUGGAAGAUGGGUUGUGCUGCUGAGCCCAAUCUUCUCUGGGGGGCUGUGCACGCGACAGAAGGCGCCUGGGUGCAGCAUCGUGGCGCUGCCCCCAGCGCGGCCACCUGUGUGUCCCUGGGUAAGAGCUCCCCCGGUGCUCCUUCCCUGGUCCCUGUGCCCUCCCUGAGCACGUCAUCGUGCUCACUGGCGAUUGGCUGUACCUCAGAGGUGUCAUCGUGUUGGUGGGCCUUGCACUCCAUCUGCAAGUGAACAGUGGUCAUCUGCUCUUGCUUGUCUUGCUCUGGCAUUGGAGUGGCCACGAUGGACGUGCUGCUCUCUCCCUUCUGAUAGGUGGCAGCGGCGUUAGGGGCAGGUGAAGCGGCAGCAAUCGAAUUGGUCGUCGUGCCGCUGCUUUGCUGCCCUGCGUCCGGUCGCGUCUGGGUCUUUGGCUGCCAGGCCGGUCGCAGCGGCUGCUUCUUUACCUCCUGCCACUUCUGCUUUCUCUACUUUGGACCACGCUGAGUUUGUUGUUCGAAACAGAUCCUUUCCUUCGCCGGUACUCUUGGUUGGGUGUUGGGACCCACCCUGUAGAUAGCUGGCACCCGUUGGCGUGGUCCACGUGUACCGAGCCUAUCGUGGACCGCCACCCUCGGUACCGCAUUCGGGCCCACCCUCUCGGUGGCUGGCACUCUACGUCGCGGCUUCAAUCCAGCUGAGUGCUGCCUGCCAUGGUCGGCAAUGGCGUUGCUCGUCGGCGGCGUGCCGUCCGGCGUCCCGCGAUGGCAGGGGAAUGGGUGGAGGCGCACCCCAGCACCCCUGGCGUCGCGGUGCCGCUUGCGGUUCCGUCCUUCCUCUGCCGGGUCGUCGGAAGUGGAACUGUCGUCGCUGCUGGUCGGUGGGUCGAAGUCGCGAACGCUUCGGAGGUGGACGAUAACCUUGUAGCGCAGCAUGUCUUUCUUGUUGAGGAAUGGCGUCGUACCUCGGAACCGAAACCCUUCACCCUGGAUGGCGUCGGCCGGCGGCUCGGCGACGCUGAGCCAGAUGAUCUUGGGCAGAUUGCUCGGGUUUGCAGUCCACGCCGUGAGCUUGUAUGCAGACAGGUCGUUGGCCACCGCAGUGACCGCUUCCACCUCCUGGAUCCAGCAGUACGGUGCUAGGAUUUUGGCCACCGUCUCUUCGCGCCAUACGUGAGGUGGCACUCCCUCAAGCUCGAUGGUUAGUUUGUAGUACAGCGUGGUCAGAUCGGCGUUCGCCACCCGCGACCAAGGGAGCAGGAUCAGAGUGGAGACUCCGAACGGCGCCGGCGAGGUCGCCAAGACACGAUCUUUAAUGGCCUCCGAGGCGCACAGCACUAUGAAUCGCUGUGGGAAAAACUUCUUGACUCGUAUGUCCUCCGCUCGAACCCCGGCGGCUGCCACCAGGGCGAGCAGCACCUCUGAUGUGGUGUGAUGUCCCGGGUCGCCGCUGGGUUGCGCCACGAGCGCCAGUUGCAUACAAGCUUCGGCACUGUUGAUGGCGUCGUCCCUCUGGAUGUAACACUCGGCCUCCCACGGCUGGAACGCCGGGUGGUCGGGUGGUACUCCGUCGGCGAACUCAGAGCAGGGGUCCUCGCAGGAGUCGUCGAGGAUCCGCGGGCGCGGGCGGUCUGGCGGAGUGACCGCCCUCUCGGCGGCCGAUCCCUGGGGUGUGGAGGAACCGCCCCGCCGGGCGCGGACGAAACGGCUGUCCGGCGCACCUCCGGCGGCAGCUAGCACGGGCGGGCGCUUGCAGUCCUUGGCGAGGUGCCGUGGGCUGCGACAGCGUGCACACAGACGGGGGCGGUUGCAAGUUGCGAUCUUGUGGUUGAACGACAGACAAUUGAGAAAGCGGCCGUCAUACUCCGGCGGGAUUCCACGCGGCGGGGGCGUGCGCUCCUUUCUCUUCCGUGGCGGUGGGCGAUCCUCGUCGCGGUGCAGCACCAACUGCCAACCGUCGCGGUCCGGCGUCGUGGCCCUGCGCUGCUUGCCCAGCCGACGGUGCGUGGUGGCUCUCUGCGCCGCCUGCGAGCCCACACGCUGGGUGGCCGGGAUCCGCUGGCCUGGCGCGGCCGCCCCUGCCAACUUCGCCGUCUGCGAGGCCGUGCGCCCCUCCGCCUCGCCCUUGAGUCGGGCGAUUGUCCUCGCGCGCCGCUUCCGUCGAGCCUGGGUCUUGGAGAGGGCGCCGUGACUCGCCUCGGCCACGGUCUCGCCCGGGCCUUGGCUGUCAGCUGGCGCACCCCCAGGCAAGUCCGCCGGCGAUGGCGCCUGCCUCGGUGCGCCCUUGGUCGCGGCCUCGAGGUACGACGGCAUCUCCGGCGAGGUGUAGUCGAAGUCGCUGUCGCAGUCGGAGUCGGCGGAGUCUGCCCCCCACCGCUGCGACUUGCCCCGUCCGACGGACUUUUCCUUGGGGAAAUAGGGCUUGGCGUCCGGCGAGAGGGGGGAGGGCGAGCGGGGGUAGGGCGAAGAGGGGGGGGGAGGGCGGCGGAACCCUUACCUGGUGCCGGCGGUGAGGAGGUGGCUGGCGGCGCCUGGGUGGCUUCCGCCAGGCUGGUGGUGAGAGCCAUAUCAAUUUGUGAAGCCGGCUAGCAGGCCUUUAUGCGCUGGCUGCCGAGCGGCGACGGCACUGCUUGCGUGGAUCCACGUCGCCGUCCAGAGGCAGAGUACGGUCAAGAAUGGCCAGGAAUCUCAUGGACCCUCGUCUAAACUGCACUUAUGGGAGCUUUGGGGCCUCCAAACACGUUUAAGGCUUAGAAAUCCACCACUCUGAACAAUGAAGCUUCCGGACCAGAAUCCAUCACGUUGCUCAAAUAGCUUCAGAUACUCCAACGAAGGUAAGAUUUGCAAGGCAGAUAAAUCCUCGCUGUUCUGACGGGUUGCGAAGAGCUUCAACUUGUUGACAUUAUCAAGCUGGCUUAGGCCUUGUUCAGUUCUAAAAAAAAUUUGCAGGCAAACUUUCUAGUUCCCCCGUAGUUUGACUGAUGUGAUUACACACGGAGCCUCUAAAAUACUUAGAAACUCCUGACAGACGGUGUAUUGACACAGUCUGAAUAGGAUUACAACUCAUUUACGACAAUUUUACAUAAGUGUUGACACACUGCAGCAAUCAAAUCAUGUGUACGUGGACUACGGAGAAUAGCAAAAGAGCGGAGCUAGUGGUUAAAUAAACUAGGAGGAUUCCCCACGCGUUGUUGUGGGUAUGAAGAAGAAAUAUAAAUAGGUUAUAAUGUUAAUCAAUAAGAAUCGGGAGAUGUAUAUCUAUGAUGUUGGUAAUAUAGUAAUAUAUGUUCAUAAAUGAUGUAGUUUGCUAAUGUGAAUAGUUUGAAUAAAAAUAUAAUAUCAUGUUGUAGUUAGAUGUAUUAGUGGAUGUGAUGUGGACACUUUGCAUGGUGAGAUAGUUGAAUGUGUUAUGUGUUAGUGGAAUGUUCUAGCUAGUGGAUGCUGAUGUGGACACUUUGUAUGGCAAGAGAAAUAGUUAGUGGGGUUUAUCUUUAUAAGAGAUAUAUAGAUAGAUAACCUACAAUGGAUAUGCUUAUUUUCUUUUGUCAAAAACCAUAUCAUUUCAGCAUAUCCUUUAAGGACCAAUAGGCACCUGCCUAAUAGGAAUAAUAGUUUCGAGUCCUUAUUAGUUCUAGAAGUUGAGUUAACACCUAUUGGGUUACGUUGUUAUGGUAAGUUGAUGACACACCACUCAAAAGGACUAAUAAACAUGUGUAGAGCAAUUUGUAGCAAAAUGUGGCUAUAAGUCACACUCAAUGCGGUUGGGAUGACCCUGUCAAAAUUUCCUUCUUUAGUCAUUGUCGAUCUUAGUACGAUAUUUGCGCCAGAAUGAGUGCAAUGAACCCGUCACAUUGAUGGAGUUCAGGUCUUCAGGAUACUUAAGCCCAACGCCCCAACCACUGUUUUAUUAGUUCUGAUACUUGCUUUGUGAAAGGACAGUCCUUGCAAAGAUGAGUUGGAGUCUCCGGUUUUACCCCACAUAAUUUGCAGAUUGGAUCGUGUUGCCAAUUUCGUUUGUUUAAGUUGUUGGCGGUGAGGAAUUUUUAUGUAGUAGUGUAAAGCGGUAUUUGGGCUCAGCUUUGGCUUUCCGUUUUGGCGCGAUUUUUUUUUUUUUUGGCUGAAUGUAGGCGCUCUGAGCUGUGUAUUCUUCGUGUUCCGUCCAUCGCCACGUGAUUUUGUCUUCAGUGUUGGGAGUUAAACUGAUCUCGCUAAUAAUAGCCUCCCAAAGCCUGACGUACUCAACCACCUCUUGUUGUGAUUUUUUCGAGAACAUGCAUUGGCACGUGUUUCAUUAAGCAAAAAGUUCAGAGCUGACAAAAGGUAAUCCCCAUAUUACCAGACACACACUCACACAAGGAAAGAGACAGCGAAGAAGACAAAACCAAAUAGGAGAAAAAAACCAAAGCACUACAAAAGCACCACACAGAUCAACCAGAGCGCCGAGCGUCGAGAACCCCCAGCGGUCUGUACCCUGCCGCGAUGCAGAGAGCAGCCUCCUCCAAGAUGAGUUGGGCAAGUUGCAGCGGUUGCCGGUUGGUUGUAUCGAAUAUCCGUCUGUUCCUCUCCUUCCACAAAUUCCAGCCAACCAGAAAGAAUAAGGAGUCAAAACCGCGCCUCAGCUCCUUUGGAAGAAGCUUACGCGACGUUGUCCACCAAACCAUAAUCCGUUCCUCCUGCGCCGGGACUAGCCUAAGCAGGUGGAACGCCCUGAGACAGACAGUCCAAACCUCCCUGCUGAAGACACAUCCCAAGAUAAUGUGAUCUAGAGUUUCGGCUCACUGAUCGCAUAUGAUGCAUGAAUUUUGAUCCUGCAGCCCAUGUCGCCACCGCCUGUCUGCGGUCCAGCAUUUACCGUGAAGGGCAAGCCAGAAGAAGAACUUAACGCGAGGUGGCGCCGAAGUUUUCCAGAUCAACGCCGCCCCCAACGGCUUAGAGCAGCCAAAAAACAUCGCACCGUAGGCGGACGCCGUCGUGUAGCGCUGGCUGGACGUCAGGUUCCAGGAAAAGGUGUCUGGCGUCUCGGGCGUCAAAUAAACCUGUUCAACUGCCCUGCAUAGCUGUACAAAUUCAGCAACCAAUCUCAACGAGCGUGGCCCAGUGAUAUGGCGCACCCAAGCAAAGUCCUGAAGCGCCUCAGCCACCGUCGUCCCCCAGUGGCGUUUAGGAACCGCCGCGAACACUGUAGGCGCAAGUUGACACACCCCGGAGCCUUGCAGCCAGCAAUUGACCCAAAAGAAGGUGGAUUCGCCACUUGCAACGGUCGAUGUCGUCAUGACUUUAAACAGGUCCAGCACUGCCUUCUCCCCCUGUUCUGGCAACGGUGCCCAGGAACGUGCUUGGCCCACCCUGCGCAGCCAGGGCCAGCGCACUCUUAGGGCAGUCCUUGCUCUCCUCAGGUCAGCCACUCCAAGGCCGCCCAACUCUCGCGGCCGACAGCAAACAAGGCAAGCCACUUUGCAUUUUCCACCUGAAACUGACGCAGCCCCAACCCAAAUGAAGCCUCAGCGAAGCUUAUCAAUACAAUCAAUCGCCCAGGGAGAAAGACAGAGAGCGAUGGACAUGUGCACGGGGAUUGCAAACAGGGUGUUCUGAACCAAAGUCGUCCUACCGGCUUCAUUUAGCAAAUUUACUUUCCAAAGUGGCAGUCUGGCAACCAACGCGUCAAUGAGUGGCUGCUGUCUCAGCUUGAAAAUAGAGAGAGGGAUGCCCAAGUAGCGACUGGGAAGUCCUCAACCCUGCAGUCUAGAAUCUGACGUACCAAAGCAAUGUUUGCUUCAGAGCAGUGCAGGGGCGUCGCGACACUCUUGUCCAGGUUGGCAAAAAGACCCGAGGCAGCACCAAAGAUCCGGAGACAGGACUUCAAGGCGUGCAGGUCCUGGUCCAAGGGUGCUAAGAACAUGACCAAAUCAUCAGCAUACAAGUUGACUCGCUGUACCUGACCAGCCAGCCCAAGCUUCGCCAACAUGCCAACAGAAUCCAGCCAAGACAGUACAUGAUUGAAGACCUCCAUAGCGAGCACGAAGAGCAUUGGAGAAAGUGGAUCCCCCUGUCGUAACCCCCUAGCAUGGCAGAUUCUUCUACCUGGCACACCAUUAGUGAUCACCUUCGUGCUUGCUAUGCAAAGGAUAGCCGAAAUCCAGUUUCGCCACCGUCUACCGCACCCCAUAUGUUCCAGAACCUUAAGCAAGAAAGUCCAGGAAACGAAGUUGAAGGCUUUAGCAAUGUCAAUUUUCGCACAAUGCUAGGGAUUUUCCUCGCGUGCAGAACCUUGCAGGAAAGGCGUACCGUCCUAAAAUUAUCUUGUAUGCAGCUACCCUUAAUAAAGGUGUCAGGCCAUUUGUUCCCAUCCGAUGUUUUGAGCAACGUGAUGGAUUCUGCUCGGAGCCGCCCCUUGUACCCACCUAAUUUUUUUUAGCCACUUGGAAAACUUAUUGAUUUAUCAAUUAAUUACUUUUUGAGCUGAGGCUCUAAGCAUACAUAUCUUGACCAAACACACACACGACGACAGUGAAGGCUGUUGUGCUCUCCACAUCCAAUUGAAAGUUGAAAGCGAUACAGUACCAUAUAUAUUAUUUCUCUCUUGUGGAAUGUGACUUGCAAAUAGUUUGGCAUGCAAGAUGCAAUGGACAGAGCCGAUUGAGACGCGCGGUGGACCCUGUUUGGUAGAAAAUCCAUGUGCUAGCUGCUGGCGCUCACCAGAGAUUCAGAGGAACGUGUCAAACUGGCCGGCCGGCCUUGAAUUAUUGGGGAGAGCACAGCACAGCCACAGGAGCGGAUCAACGACUGCGCAAGCUAGGAAGAGUCAACUCAACUGAUCAGCCACACGGGCCUUCGUGUUUGUGUAUAUACUGGGGCCGGGUUCCUCUUCCUUCUAAUCGGCUUAUUAUCGCCCAUGGAGGUGAUGAGGUGAUGUACGUAAUGGCGACCACCGCUUCGAAGGCCAUCAUGGGCGUCCUCGCUGAGAAGCUCAAAGCUCUUCUUGGCCGAGAGUAUGAUCUCCAGGUUGGCGUGCAUGACGACGUCAAGUCUCUCCAGUCCGAGCUGGAGUUCAUGCAUGCCUUCCUCCAGGACUACGACUACGCGAGCUACCGCCACUACCUGCAGCAGACCACCACCAGUGCCCAAGACAAGGUGUGGGUGAGGAAGGUGCGGGAGCUUGCGUACCAUGUCGAGGAUGCCAUCGACGACUUCACAUGUCGUGUUGGCCCAGCUCCGAAAGAGAUCCCAGACAUGGUCAAGCACUUCGUGUACACGCUCAUGGCUCGCCACCAGAUCGCCAAGCAGCUACGCCGCCUCCGACUUGAGGCGCAGGAGUUGAGCGAGCAGCGCGCGAGGUAUCCGCCAUUGGGCACUCCUCCAAGCUCCACUACUACCGUGCAAUUGCAAUGGCAGUUGCCGCCCCCGCCCGAUGAGACGACGUCGACCAACCUGCUGGUGGGAAUCGACGGACCACGGGAUGAGUUCAUUGCCAACCUUACAAGUGCUGCAAGAAAGCAUGGAUCUGGUCGCCGCCGUGUUGCUUCCAUGGUUGGAAUUGCUGGCGUUGGCAAGACAACCCUGGCCAAGGCUGUGUACCACAGCCUCGAGGACUCGUUUCAGUGCCGAGCGUUCGUCACUGUGUCAAGGAAACCAGACCCUAGAAGGGUUCUCAAGGACAUCCUGCAGCAGGUCAUGAUUACCACUGGGAGUGGGAGUUCCCCAGCCAUAGCUAGUAUGGAGACAUGGGAGGACAGCCAGUUCGUGGACAGGCUCAGAGACAACCUCAAGGACAAGAGGUUUGAUUCUGGUUCACCACCUAGCCUAGCUGUACCUAUUCUCUUCUUUUAUGAUCGAGUUUCAGUUGAUGUGUAGGGACUAGAGACGCUCUGCAAUUCCCUUAGUUAAUUGGCCUAAUUCGUUGGAUUACUGAAACAUCGAUUGUCUGGGAAGGUUCAGUUCAGAUUAUUGCUUGAACAACAGCAGGGAGUUACAGCUGGAUAUGAUAUAUGAAAUAAUCGGACUAAGUUACAAGCAAAUCCUGCUGCAUCCUCUACAAAAUGCUUCUAACCAAAAAUUAAUUUACUACUUCUUAUAAGCUGUGGCGUUUGCUACAAGCAAGCUUGCCGCUGAAUGCAUAUGAAGAUUUAGUACUUCAUGCUAUUUGUAGGAUUAGUAACUUAAAAGAGUUAAUCUGUAAGCAUUUCGGUUGAUUUUUUUUUUUUUAGAAUAAGGAAUGUAACAUUCAGGCCUCCGCCUCCAACGUUCAUAAGUGAAUGAGUUUUAUAGCCGCUUACAGUAUAACCCAUAGCACUUAGACUACGCUCCACCAAUUGAUUUUUUAUUGAUGUUUGUGUUGCAAUGUUCCUAUUUGUUUUUUUUACAACAAUGUUCCUAUUUGUUGAACAAUUCGAUUCAUCCGCACAUGGAUAUCCUUAAUAUGUUAUACUUCGAUUUAUAGUUAGUCAAAUAUAUGAUUUCUUUCCUUUUUGCUCAUCUAACCUCUGUUACGAUGGGAUGCAAUUAUAGGUACUUGAUCAUCGUUGACGACCUAUGGGAAAUACCAGCAUGGGACCGUAUUAGCCGCGCUCUCCCUGACAACUCUCUUGAUAGCAUGAUUAUCACAACUACUAGAAACGAGUCUGUUGCCAAAGCAUGCUGUUCACGGCAUCAUCCUGGUCAUUUCGUGUAUAAGGUAGCAUCUCUGAAGCACCUUGACUCAAGGACAUUGUUUCUUCGUCGAACUUUUGGCUCCGAAGAUAAUUUCCCUCAUGAUUUGGAAGAAUUGUCAACGAAAAUCCUGAAAAAAUGUGCUGGUUUGCCACUGGUCAUAGUCUGCAUAUCGAGCAUUUUGGCUACUAAAGGGAAAGAAGCAACAGAAUGGGAGAAAGUGUACGACUCCUUAGGAUCUGGAAGCAAUGAUGGUCUCUCUUGGUUGUGGCAAGCAUUUGAGGUUAGUUAUGAUGAUCUUCCUCAACAUCUCAAGGUCUGCCUACUGUAUCUUAGUGCAUUUCGAGAGGACUACGCAAUUAGAAGGGAUCGAUUAACACGCCGAUGGAUUACAGAAGGAUUUGUAGAUGAAAAACCUGGUAUGAGCAUGCAGGAAGUAGCCGAUAACAACUUCACUGAACUAAUUGGCAGGAACAUGAUCCAGGCAGUGGACGUUGAUUGUUUUGGUGAAAUUCAUGCAUGCAAAAUUCAUGAUGUGAUGUUUGAUCUCAUCACCAAGAAGUCAUCUGAAGAGAACUUUGUUACAUUCAUACAUGGUAAAUCCACAUCCACGCAGCGACAAUUUGUCCGUCGGUUAUCUCUAGACUAUGGCACCACAACAGAUGAUUUAGACUUGACAAAUUUCAAUGUGACUCAUGUUCGAUCAUUGACAAUUUAUGGGAACAUUAAUAAACUUGAUUCUGUUCCACUUGGUAGAUACCUAAGGAUGUUGGAUUUUGAAUGCUGUGAAGGUGUGAACAGUAGACACCUGAAGGACAUUGGUGAGUUAAUCCUUCUGAAGUACUUGAGUCUUAAGAGUACAUGGAUCAGUGAGCUGCCCCGGCAAAUUGGUGAUUUAAAAUGUCUAGAGACCCUGGAUUUGACGCAAACAAACAUAAGAGAGCUGCCAGUGGAAGUUGCCCGGUUGCAGAGGCUGGUACAUUUGCUUGCUGGUGGUGCAGAGCUACCACAAGGUAUUGGAAACAUGAGACCUCUACAGAUAUUAUGCAUUAGGGUAGCCUGUAAGAGGUCUAAGGAAGCUGUGAAGGAGUUACUUAGAUUAACCAAUUUGAGGAAACUAGACAUGACCUAUGUGCACCUGAAAGGGAAAGAGGGAAGAAAGUACGAAGAUGAGUGUGUGAAUACUUUGUCUUUGAUAAUGAGUGAACUCUUCAAGUGCAAGCUCCAAUCACUGCAUUUGAAUUUAUUGGGAAAUUAUUCUAUUAGUUCAUUCCUACGAAUCUAUCUCACUCCAUCUUUAAUCACUUCACCACCUGAUCAUCUUCAAAAUCUGAGAAUAAUAGGAGACUACGGUUUCCCUUACGUGCCAAGGUGGAUUGGAUUACUCAGUAAGCUCACUGAUCUGGAACUAACUGUCAGAACUAUGUUGGAGAAAGAUGUAGAAAUAGUUGCAAAAUUAGACAGGCUUGUCCGAUUCCGACUCACGGUGAAAGAGCCAUCUACAACUACAAAAGGCAUCAUCGUUCUGGAAUCCGGAUUUCCUUGUCUCAAGGAGCUAUUUAUCAGUUGUAGGAUCAUGCCGGUGUCCUUCAAUCAAGGUGCCAUGCCCAAACUUGAGAAGUUUGUGUUACAGUUCCAUGCUUACCAAGGAGAUUCAAAACGUACUUGCCCAAGCAUUGAGCAUCUCAAAUCUCUUAUUAAGGGAUUCCAAUUCAGAAUAGUAGUUGGCAAGGGUCUCAGUCAUCGUGAAGUCAAAGAUUUAAAAAAUACCUUCAAGAGUGCUAUUUUCAUAUAGCCCCCCUGCAGAGUGGAGUACUGGAGUAGCGGCAGUAAACAUGGAUGGGUAAAAAUAAAUAGCAACAAGUAAGAAAACAUCACAUUCCUUGUAUUGUAUCAACUGAAUUAGCUUGUAUCCUGUAACAUGAUAUCCUACUUUCUUUCUUGAAUAAAAGUUAUGUCGGCAUGUUCUGUGAAUUUUGGUACCUAAGUUCCUACCGGUAAAUGUAUAUAUCCUUAAUUCUAGAGAUAGAGAUAUAGACAUGAGAGUAACUACACGCGCGUGUAGAAAAACGCAUCAUAUAUUGUCACACCCUGGUUUUUAAAAGAAGACUAGAGUCGUCAUAUGUGUCCAGGAAGUCCACACAUAUAACAAAAGAAUAGAAAUAUCAGAAACAAUGUUAUAUAUAGCGGAAAACAUAUUUGUAAUAACACUUACAACUAUCAUAGUACGCGGAAACAGUAGCUAAACUUCUUAGGCUCCAUGGCUGACGGGGGGCUCCGUACGCCAAGCACUUCUGACAAGCUUCUAGAAACUCCAUGACAUCUUUGUCCGUCUUCUGAGGUGUGGGGAAAAUAGUAAGAGUGAGUUCAUGUCGAACUCAACAAGUAUAGGCGGAAAAUAUAAUGACAUGCAAGACUUAAUCAAAGGAAAAAAGCUGACACUGUUUAACUGCAGGUGAGCUUUUUAAGUUGACAAACUUUUAUUAUAAUCUCUUUUAUUUAAACAACCUAUUACUAAAUAUGAGUAAAGCAUCCCAAUCCGUAAUAGAUGAAAGUAAAUUAACAAUAUUAUUAGUCACCAUUAUAAUUAUUAUUAUUAAGAUCUCAGAUUUAGCAACCUCGGAUAGUAACUCGGGGUAGCAACCCAUUAAGAUUAUGGGAUAGCAAUCCCAAUUAAAAACACAGGAUAACAAUCCUGCCAACACGGAAUAGUCAUUCCGCCAAAGCACCAACCUAAAAAGCAAAGAAAGCCGAGGAUGGUGGUUGCGUGAGAGCUGACCUUGAUGGAAAGGACGGCUAGGGUUUCCAUAUUGGUGCAUGGGAACGAAGAGCAGACAUGAUGGGCACCAACCUAGGUCUGUGUCGUCGUCGGUGCCACCACCACACUGGCCAUGGCACUAGGAGCCGCCACCACCAAAGCCACCGCCCUAGGGGCCGUCGCUGCCAGGGCCAAUGCGGCUGUCUGGGCCAAUGCGCCACCCACGCCGAGGUUGGCUAACCCGAGCUAAAAACCACGAGCGUAGACAUCGGCGAGUGCCGGGAGAGGGAAGCUGCGAGAGGGAGAGGGAGAGGGUGAUAGGAGCGAGAGGGAGAGACUGAGAGAGGAAGGGGCGAUGGGAGCAAGAAGCGGAGGAGUCAAGAGAAAUAAUGAAGAAAGGUUGGACUGAAAGAGACGGGAUUUUUGGCCACCACACGAUCCCUUUUUUUUUGCUGGCCGGGACGCCGUACAGGACACGGGGGCACGCCAGCCUCCUGCCGAGCUUAGGCGUCUUAAUAAGAGUAAAUUUACGGUUUAUCUUUCUUUUCCUAUUUUUUUUCUCUGCUCGUUACAUUUUUUUUACUAUAAGUAUUAAUACUUUUUAAUACUACUUCCGUUUGUGUUUAUUUGUCACCAAACUUUCACUGUAGCAAUUUUGACGAUAUUCUUUUUUCUAAAAAAGAUUUUUAGAUACAUCAAGUUUUCACAUAUAUAGUUCUUUAUUGAACAUUCAUUAGUGUUAUAUAUAUUGAAGUAUCUAAGAUAUUUUAGAAGAAAAAAAAGAUGAUCAAAUUUGCUAUAGUAAAAGGUUGGUGACAAGUAAACACAAACGGAGGAAAAUAUAUAUUUAGUUAAAGUUAUUUCUUGGAAAACAAGAACAACAGACGGAGGGAGUACUUCCCGUUCACAUGUUUGGUUUCUCGAGAAAUCAAACUUUUUAAAAUUUGACCAAAUAUAUAUAUAAAUAGGAAGUACACUAAUAUUUAUCAUAUGUAAUAUAUAUUAUUAGGUUGAGCAUAAAAUAUAUACUUUCAUAAUAUAUUUAUUUACAUAUAUAAAUACUGAUAUUAUUUAAUAUAUUUCUAGUUAAACUUUAAAAAAAUUGAUUUUUUGGAAAGGCUGCAUUUACUUAUGGACGAAGAAAGUAUGCUAGUUGGUGACACUGACACCUGCAUUAUCAUCGUGGAUUCCAAGGAUAUGCAUAGCGAUGCAGCUAACACAUACCCCAGUCUUAUUCAAUUUCUUUUACAAAUUAUAAAAUAAAUAAAUCAUUACUAAAUAAUAAUAAAUUAAGUCAUAACAAAAUAAUCAAUAUUUAUAUAAAUUUUUUAAAUAAGACAAUUGACACGAGAUCCAAAACAUCACUUUCAAGGGGUAGGAGUAGCAUUGAGCUCCAGAAAAAAUGCAGAAACUAUAUAUAAUAAAUAUACAUCCCAAAAUAAGUAUCACUUUUAGGAUUCUUGAAAGAGAUGAAUGUUAUUUAAAAGUUACAUAUUUACUCAUCACAAGCUAUUUCAUCUAAUAAUUGCAUUUUGGGCAACAAUAUCAUCGACCGACUUGUCAGAUUGGUUAGUACAGCUAUAAUGCAGCUCAAUCUUCAGCAACUCAGACUCCAAAUAAACAAUUUGUAAUUCCUUCUCCAUAGCCUUAUUGCGUAAACCUUGGAGCUUUGCCUGCAAUGAAAGCUACAAAAUAAUAAGCAUCAUUGGAUUAUUUGCAGAUUAUAUUUUUAUAAUAAAUUAACUUAGAGACAUAAAUGUUAAUAAUAUUUACUAUAUACUCGAUCAAACUUUAACUUUUUUGAUCGGGACAUAUCCCAUAAUUGUAUUCUUUUAUGGACGGAGAGAGUAUCUAGAUAUAACAGAUUAACAAUAUAUCUAGAUACUUAGAAAAAUUGAUGUGCCAAACAAGUUAGAGCGACUUAUAAUUUGUAAUGAAGGGAGUAAUUCAUACACAGUUAUGUCAGAUCAACUGGGAAACAAAACCACACAUAUCUUGUUAGUCUGAAAUAGAUAUUUGUAAAAAUAGUUUAGCUAUAUAUGGUACUGACUACGUCUUCUUAGUGAAACAUAUACUCUGAAAUACAUAUUUUUAGAAUAAAAUUAUAAAUUGUUAAAAAAAAGCAUCAUGAUUUAGUCCUUAAUUAAGGUAGCAGAAAGUAAGGAACAGAAAUUACUGGAAAUCCCAUCUCAUGUUUGUACCAAAAUAAAAAAUGAGAGCCUAGGAGUAAUAGGCUAACUAACAUUAUAAUAAAGGUAGUAAGAAAGAAUAAAAAAUACACGGAAGAACUACUGGUCUUCUAAGGAUAAAAAUAGGUAGCUGUAAUAUAUCAGUGUAUAUUUGCGGUGGAAUUCUUAGAAAACUACAUGUUUUAGCUGCAAACACCAGAGUAAAUUUGGUAGAAAUAGUAACAUAAGUUUUAUUAAUUGAAUUAAAUUCAAAACUGUAGUAUUCCAUAUAUAUUACAUGAAUUUGGAAUCCAAAUAAAUUUCCAAUAAACUGCAUGCGGACAUUGUGCUCAAAUGCAAUCCAUUUGCAUCCAGGGCAGAAUGAAACUGAAUGACUAUUCCCUUGUUACCUCUUCUGACACGCUCUCUGUGUUAUACUUGUCAUUCCAGUACUGAGUGCAUAUUUCGUAGUGCUGCUACACACUUAGUACGUGGACAAUACCAUAAUAGAUUUAGUGUGCAUGAGUGAGAACAUGAGUCAUGUGUGUGACAGAGAGCACUUACUAGGCAGAGUCAUUGACAAUCUUAUCAUAUGCAAUCCUGAACUUUUUGAAUAUGAUCUAAUAUAUCAUAUUGCUGUAUUGAAAAUUCAUUUAUCAGAAUUGUCAUAUUGAGAAUUGAAUUGGAAUAUUGAACCAGCUGAUUACCAAAAAGCAAUAUUGAACCAGCUGAUUGAACCAGCAGGUUGUCAUUUAUCAGACAUGUACAACCUAAAAGCAAUAUUGAACCAGCUGAUUACCAAAAAGUAAUAUCAGGAAAAAGGUAACUAAUAUAUUAAAAGAUUCAAAGAAAAAUAUAAAAUUCAUGCUGAAUAACUAUUUUCAAUAAAAAAACAGGCUUAUGCAGCAGUAUAAUCUGGUUGCAACAAAUGCAGCAGGUCUACACUACAACUUAGAGGAGCUAAUGUACUGUUAAAAAGUGCCACUUUAAAUCAGCUACAAAUCUGAACAUUUGUGCAGUAUAACAAUUUCAUAAAGAUAUAUAGAUCUUAAAUAUGCAUAUUACCUCAAAGAAAUAUCAUUUUGAAGAUAACAAUACUGAUAGACCUAUGUCACCAAUAAUAAUUGAAAAUACCACGCAGGAUAAUUGAUAAAUAAACUCAUUAGAUCUAAAAUAAACAGUUCUGCAAUACAAAAAUAGCAUUCAUAUUGAACAAAAUAAGCACAUCUGCAACCUACAAUUUUUUUUAUAUCUGCAAAAGUGGUAGUAUAAAAUGAAUGUUGGCAAUUAAUAGAUGGCUCAAGAAAAACUUUUAAAAAAACUAUCUGAUACUAAAUAUGUGAACUCCUGAUACGAGUAAAAGAUACUAACACACUAGACCUACACCACCCAAAAAUGGGAACUCACGCAGACAGUAGACUUGAAGCAGGAUACAGAACUAACAUCUAAGAAAUAUAAUGUUGUUGUUUGAAUUUAGAUUUCUAACGACAAUUAGUAGACCCCAGUCUAGAAAGAUGUUGUAUUUCAUAUAACAUAAACAUGACAAGUCAGAUGAAUAAAAAGAAUGCAAAAUGACAGUGCAUGGGAGGUUGAGAAGAAAUAGAUUGCUACUGAAAAGUGAGUAGACCUAGGGAUAAUAAUACGAUUUUGGAACUAAUAUUAAUGUCAAUAAUUCCUGCACGGACACCACCAUUAGGACACCAUUUUCAGUACAAAAGUGCGGAUCUGACAUGUGAGUCAAUAAACAUAUAUAUAUUAAACAUGAGAUGCAUAAGAAAUGAGACUGAAUUUAUUUCCUAAUUUCCUACACAGGAAUUUUAACAAGAAAACAAUAAGCAAUGUCAAACUAUAUUUACUAAUUAGUGUUUUUUCGACUGACAAAGAAGCUAAAUGGAUGAAAUUAUGUGGAAAGUAUACUAAGUUAAGGAUACAUGCUGUUAAAGCACACACACAAGUUCUGCAUUGCCAGGAAGAAAUAUGAAAUAUUACUGAUGGUAAAAACCAUAUUCACUCACGGUAAAAACUGCAGUGUUUGAACUACAUACACAGAUUUAUGUCCUCUGAAGUGCAAGGACUAUCCAGACGAAAAGAAUAGUGAAAAAAACAAACAAGAAUCAGUUCUGAAUAAAAAAGCGAGGAAGCAAGAACUCAAUAGGAAAAACCACCGACCACCGGAUGCAGAUCCAAACGAACCCAGGCAGCAGCAUGCAGAUCCAGUCCACCACGAAUCGACCCAGUGUGAAUCGAACAAGAAAAUUAAAGGAGCAGCAUAUAUUAUGUUAGAAUGUUGAAAAAAACCAUGACCGAGCUAGAAGUGCAUCUAUUUAGUGACUUAGAAAAGAAAAGAAUAAUCUAGGGGAGAUGAAGGAGCACAAAACUGUCGACCAAAAUUCUGAAGAAAAAGAACAAAAUCAUGUAGAGAGAGUGAGAGUGAGAGUGAGAGUGAGACGAGUGUCGGAUUCGGAUCUGAAAGAGAGAGAGCGAGAGAGGGACAGUGAGAGAGACGGAGAGAGAGGGACGAUGGGAGAGAGACACCGAGAGCUCUGUAGAGGGAGAGAGAGAGAGAGAGAGAGAGAGAGAACAAGAGUGCUGGAGAGAGAGGAACAAGAGUGUAGAGAGAGAGAGACCGAGAGCUCUGGGAGUGUGUGUGAGAGAGUGUGGCGACAGGUAGGAUCGGAGAGAUUGACGGAGUUUGGAACCACGGCGGCGGCUGGGAGACGAGAAAAGACUGUGAUGAUUGGGAAUGGGAACUGUAAGGCUGUUUGGAUGUAGUUAGAUUCACAUCAAUUUAUAUGUGUUGGAGUGGAUUGGAGUGAAAUUUGAACUAAAUUUUAUCUCAAUCCACUCCAACGGCAUAGGAUACACGUGAAAACCCGUGGAUAGAUGAAGGCGGGUGGUGUCCCCCUACUGACAAGCAAUUUUGACCACCGUUGAAUGCAGAAUAGGAGAACAUUCAUACUGGUAGUUCUAAACCUAUUUUUACUAGCACUUUUAACAACUACCAGUGUGAAAGAUUAAUUAAAGUCAGCUAAUUUUAUGGGCGUCAUCUAAGAACCACCUUUGUAAAUAUUUACAGUAGCGAGUGAACCCUGUAAAUCGAUUUACAAUCACCGUUGUGAAUAAGGCUAAAAAGUUAGCAAAAAAUUUAUCAGGGAGAGUCGCGGUUGUGAAGGCUAAAAGAUUAGCAAAAAAGACUCACUACCUCAGGUCUCGCGGGAUACGUCGCCCCUUACCACUGCACCCCUAAAGUCACUUGUGUGACUGAGCACGAGAAACAAUCCCUAGUAUAUUUACUCUGUAAAAUUUUCAAAUGAAGAUUUGAAGCCUUAAGCGAAUUUGAAUGAAAAAAGUUUCAACUUUGUAGUUGUAGAUCUUUUCGAAUACUAUAAUUUUCAUUUAGACCAUGUAUCCAUUUGAAAAACUGAAAAAAAAAACUAACUGUAUUUACACUGGUGGUUUAUAGUAGCGCUAGGUUAAGAAAACAGUCCGUAUAAAAUUUUUACUAACCUGUAUUUCUACUAGCGAUAGACUUAAGAAAACAAUCACUAAAUGUAUUUACACUAGUGGUUUAUAGUUUGAGCCCACAGUUUAUUUGUAAUGGCGCCUAUAUAUUAUGAACCGCUAGUAAAAAGAUUACAACCAUUAGCAAAAAUUGAUUGUGACAAGUGGAAAAACCUUUCGGUGAGAUAGUAAGAGAACCAUAUUCAUGAAAAAAGAGUGUCUGGUUAUUUUUUGUAGAAUGUGUUUGGUUAGUGGUUACUCAGAGCAUCUCUAAAAGUUUCCAGAAAUUAGUUCCCAAAAUUAAUGAGUUUUCCAAGUCGUCAAAAAGAAUUAGAACCAGCAAAGAAGGCUUUCUCCAACCGUUUCCGGCCUCUAAUAAUUGCUUGCCAAUAAUUUAUAUUUUUUUAUUUAAAAAACACUCGCAUAUAGCAACAUAUGCAAACAUACCAUACAAGUCACUACAAAAAUUCAUUAAACGAGGGGUAUAUUGGACAUCAUGUUUAGAUUUGAAAAUUUUUGGCCAAAGUGGUAAAAAUUUUUGUGGUCAGAACUUUAGCUCAAAAGUCUGACGCACGCGAAAAAUUUUAGGUAUUUAGUUUGUCAAUUUUUUUCUGACACGACUUGGGCUGCAUGCAGUUGUUAUUGGUGGGCUUACAUGGGAGUGCGUGCACAGUAGCAGGUUCUGCAGCCCAAAAUUUUUGCCCCGUUUAGGCCUUGUUUAGUUCCGAAAAAAUUUCGGAUUUCGCUACUGUAGCACUUUCGUUUUUAUUUGACAAAUAUUGUCCAAUCAUAAACUAACUAGGAUCAAAAGAUUCGUCUCGUGAUUUACAGACAAACUGUGUAAUUAGUUUUUGUUUUCGUCUAUAUUUAAUGCUUUAUGCAUGUGCCGCAAGAUUCGAUGUGACGGGGAAUCUUGAAACCUUUUUGGAUUUCGGGGUGAACUAAACAAGGCGUUCCUAGACCCUAAUUCCACAAAAAAAAAUCUUUAGACCAAAAAAUUUCAAAUCUAAACAGACCCAAGCCAUUUAUCACCAAACUGGAGGGCAAAUGCCUAACCAAAAAGUUUGAUGAACGUGAUGUACCAUCCACUAGUGGAGGACAAAUGCACAACCAAAAUGUCCUUACCCAGCCAUUUAUCACCAAACAGAGAAGCUGUUCUAUGACUUUUGUACCAUCCACUAGUACAAAAUACUUUUAUAAUUUGUUAUUUGUUCAAUUGUUCUUGUGUUAUAACAUAUCAAAAUUUUGUUUUUGUCUGAGUACAAAAGAUAUAUUUUUUAAUUGUCUUUGCGCCCACACAAAUUAGAUCUUAUCGGAUUUAUGAUUUUGUCUAACGUGUUUUUAUUGUGGAAACCAAAAAUUGCUGCCUACACAGAUUACAAUGACCUACAGCUGCAAUUUUCAUAUAAAAUAUAUGUAAUAACCGUCGCACGAAAAUAAAUUCAAAUUCAAGCACCUGAAUUUUAUUUACGUGUUAGCAGUUGAUGGCUACUAGGUCAGCUGCAAGACAAGAUGAGCGGUAUUCGGCAUCUAAACGAUACAACACUCCCUCCGUGAUCAUAUUCUCACUUAUCAAGAUAGAAAUUAAACAUUUUAAACUUUGAGCAAAUAUAUCUACAAGAGAAUAUUAAUAUUUAUAUAAUAUAAUUAGUAAACUUAUUUUGGAGAUACAGAUAUUGUUAUAGCGACACUUACGAGAGGUAGUGGAACAAUGAAAUAUGAGCUAAAUAAGCACACAUAAUCACGACUAUACGCUCCGGCUGUAUACUGCAGAGCAUUACUCCAUUAUAUUGCACGACGAUCAUGCAUGUACCGAUCGAGAUGAGGUAGCUGCUUAGGUAGUAGCCUUGAGCUUGCCGAUGAACUCCUGCAUGCUCCGGUGGCUGGUGCCUCCCUCGGCGACGGCCAUGGCGGCCUCCUGGCUAGCCCUAGCCGCCCUUGCCCUGACCGCGGCGUCAGCCAUCGCCGCCUUCACCUUCUCCCCGAUCUCCCUGCCGCUCACAAUCCCGUCCUCCCCGUCCCAGCUCCAGCGCUCCAUCCACACCCCGACGCCGCCGCUCUCCAGCGCCAUGGCGUUCACGCGCUGGUCGCCGCCCCGCGGCCACGCCAGCAGCGGCACCCCGCACGCCGCCGCCUCCGUCACCGAGUUCCACCCGCUGUGGCUCAGGAACAGCCCCACGGCGGCGUGGCGAAGCACGGCCUCCUGCUCCACCCACCCUUUCGUCACCAUGCCCCGGCCCUUCACCCGCUCCAGGAACUCGUCGCCGAGGACGUCGCGCGGCUCCGCCGUGUCCUCGCGGUCGACCACCGUCGUCUUGAGCACCCACAGGAACCGGCACCCGCUCGCCUCCAGCCCUGCGCCCAUCUCCCGGAUCUGCUCGUGGCUCACGGCGAUCCGGCUCCCGAACGCGAUGUACACAACUGACCUCGCCGGCUGCUCCCCCAGCCAAGCAAUGACAGGGGAGGCCGCCGCAGCCGCCUGCUUCUCACCGGCCUCGGUGAAGAUGGAGCUGCUGCUGCUGCUGGGUGACGAUGACGACUUGAGCAGGCCGAUGGCGUACACCGGCGGGAAACCAGGGACCACCUUGCCAUCUCUCAGGGCGGCGAGCGCCAUGGGCUCCAGUGCGUCGAACGUGUUCACCAGAAUGCCAUCAGCUUGGCUCAGCGCACGGCCGUUGUCGAUGAACUGCCUCGUGAAGAGGUGGUUCAGAUCGUGCAGCGGCUGCGGGAGCGAGGACUGCCGGAUACGACGCACGCCGGGGAUGUCAACGUCGCCGACGCCGCCGCCGGCACCUGCGUCGUCGUCGUCCUGCUUCUUGUCGAGGUGGAUGGGGAAGUAGGCGACGAGGGAGAGCAUGGUGGCGCUCGAGAUGUACAGGACGUGGCAUGGCAGCUGCAGCUGCUUGGCGACUGGGAUCACGUGGGAGGCGAGGGUCACGUCGGUGACGACGGCCGAGACGCGCGGGUAAGCGCCGGCGAUGAGCCGGUCGAGGAGGUGCGCCGAGCGGCGCAGUGCCUCCCACCGGAGCAGGAACGGGUCGGUGCCCGGGAAGGCGGAGGCGUCCAGCGGCAGGAGGUUGAAGUCGACGCGCUGGAUGCUUGGGAGCGCCGCGAACAGCGCCGCGAAGUGGUCGGCCUCGGCGUCGGAGACUGUCGGGAGGACGGUCAUGACGGAGCAGCGGACGCCGUGGCUCGAGAGUGCCGUGAUGAAGCGGAAGAAGGGGACGAGGUGUGCCAUCCCGGCGCUUGGGAUGAACAUGACGUGCGCAGCAGCGCCGCCGCCGCCGUCGAGCUCUCCGGGGAUCGCCAUUGACCGUGGUGUAGAGGCGGGCAUGGAGUGGUCGAACACGUACUCGUGGUUUUUUUUUUCCUUCGCGACGAGCUCGCCGUUUCGUUGUAUGCGUGUGGUUUUUGUUUCCAGUGGCAGCAGAGCGUGGAACUAUAUAUCUAUAAAUUAAAGUAGUAGGCGCCAUAUGCACACAUGCGAUUAACUUGUACUCGCUCUAUCUAAAAUAUAAAACUUUUGAUUUUUUUUAACCUCAAAUUUGACCACUUAUCUUAUUCAGCAAAUUUACACAAAUAUAAUCAAAUUUAAAUUAUUUUUAAAGAACUUUUAUUAAUAAACCAAACUACGAUAAAAGAAAUAAUAUCUUACAUGAAUUUUUGAAUAAGACGAGUGGUCAAAUUUGUUAAAUAGUUUGAGGAUGGAUUGAGUACUCUUGUAGUAGGUCUUUGACUCUUUGCUGUGACUUCAAAAAAAAUAGAAUUUAUAAAUUAAAUUUAUGAGCUUAGCAUUAGAAGUUGUUAUAUUUCAGGUGCCUAAAUUGUUGACACACGCUGGCGGAUUGAGCUAUCCCGCAUAUUUUGUUCCGGAGAGCCCACGAUGGCAAAAUCCAUUUCACAAAUCAUCAUUCAAACGUAAAAUUGCUCGACUUUAUUUCUCUAUAAGCCCUGAGGUAGUAGUUUGAGCAACAAAUUUGAUCGUAAACUUAAAUUAGGUACCUUUGUGGGUAGAAUAGAACUAAAAAAAGGCUAAUUGUUUUAGGCCAGAAAAAUCCUGACCAUCCACGACCAUCUCACUGGACAAGCUGGCCCGGUCUUAGACCAAGCAUGAUCGGGGCCAUUCAUGCAAUUUCUAAUGAGAAAAAAAAAGACUUGAAGCUAGGCCAAGCCAAGACCUGCCCGGGCCACACACACACACACACGUACACGUACUUGUGAUUUCACGGGUAAGGCCUUUUUAUUUCCUCCCAAAACCUAAAAUUUUUCAAGAUUUUCGGUCACAUCGAAUCUUUAGACACAUACAAUAUUAAAUAUAGAUGAAAUUAUUGCACAGUUUAUUUGUAAUUUGCAGGACGAACUCUUUGAACCUAGUUAAUCUGUGAUUAGACAAUAUUUAUCAAAUACAAACGAAAAUGCUAUAUUUCUAAAAAAGUUCGUUAAGGAACUAAACACAGCCUAAAAAUGACGACUGGUGAACGUUAGAAACUACCCCUCCAUCCUGUUCAAAAGGUCAUUUUUGUCUUUUAGAUUCCUUAUUUGACCGUUUAUUUUAUUUAUUUUUAUGUAAAUAGUAAAAUAACUAAAUCAUUGCUAAAGUAUUUUUAUUGACAAAAUAAGUCAUAAUAAAAUAAAUAAUAUUUAUAAUUUUUUUUGAAUAAGAUGAAUAGUUAAAUAAGGAGUCCGAAAGUUAAAAACGAUACUUCAAGUAGGACGAAGAGAGUAACUCGUUUCAUUGCGCAUGUGUCUUGGUUUCUAGGGCGAGCCGAGUGAAAUUAUGAAUGUAUUUAGAACUAUUUCACAAACUUUAUUAAAGAGUAGCUUCAUAAAAAAAUUGUGGAGUUUAUAGAGCACUUAUUUAGGUGAUAUCACUGACUCCACCUUUUCUUCGAGCAGAGAGUGCGUGAAGCUGAUUCUGUUUAAAAAAAAAUGAGGCGCAGUGGUGCCAAACACUAAGGCCAGUUUCGGUGAUGUUUUAUCAGAGUUUUAUAGACAUUAAAUAUGUUAAUGUGACAAUGUAUUAAUGAAGAGAGGGGUGAUAAGAAUUUUAUGAUAAAAGUAGAGAGAGUUUUACGUGAAUAAAACUAUUCUACAUUGUUUCUAAAAUAUAUAUGUGUUAGAAACUGGAUUAUAAAACCCCACUGAGGAUCAGACGCCAUGUCUACAUCUGGAUUAACUCAUAGUCUGGUACUACAAUAUAAUGAUUGUUAUUACGAUUUGGAGUAGAAUAAUGCUUAUUUUUUUAGAAGUAGACAGUACAACAUACUCCUACCAGAUACUUCCUCUAUAUCCAUAAAAAAAGUCGUUUUGAAUAAAAUUUCAAUUAAACAUUAAGAAUAUAAAUUAUGAAUAACUUUUAGGUUGUUGAGAUUGGAAAUAUGAAAACUAUAUGAACUAGGUGAAUUCUCCGCGCGUUGCUGCGGGAAUUUCUAAAAAAUAAAUCAUUAUAUACAUAACAUUACUAUAUGAUAUUCAGUCUAUUAUGUAUGUAUACAUAUGAAUUUGACUUGCAUGUAUUUUAUUGUAUUAGAUCUAGUAAAAAUUUGCUAAACUAAUAGAACAAAAACUAAUAUAUGGUUACAUUAUAGAGGAAUUAAUUGGUGAUGAAACAAAUAGUGUAUGUACAUGACUUAUAUGUUAAUAGAUUAAAGAUUUAAAGUAUUUCACAUGAUAUAGAUGACAUGGUCUUUUUUUAUAAUUAAUAUAGGAUGACAUGGACUUAGUGGGGAAUGAUGUGGACACCUGAAGAGAGAAUUCAUCUAGUAGGGUUUAGCUUUAAGAGUUAUAGAUAGAUUUGUUUUGAAAAAUACUUUCAUAAAAAUAUAUAUAUACUGUAUUUUGAUAAAUUUUUUUAUAAAAAUAAAAAGACAAAGUUAGAUUUGGAGCGUCUGUUUGAUACUGCUCCAAACAAAACGCACGCUAGUAUUUAGGUGGUGCCUUUUAUAGACUUCCCGUGAUUACCCAACAGACAGAUAUGUCGAUCGGUACGUCCCCACCUAAUUAUAAUUAUUAAAGUGCGUAGAACGUCCUUGUUGCGGCCGGUGAGACUGUGAUAGUACACAUUUAAAGAUAAAGAUGGGCAGAUGCAAUAGUAAUGCACUAUAAUUAUUAAAGUGCGUAGAACGUCCUUGUUGCGGCCGGUGAGACUGUGAUAGUACACAUUUAAAGAUAAAGAUGGGCAGAUGCAAUAGUAAUGCACUAUUGUCUCGUCUCCUACCGUGCCAGCAACAAUUAAUCACAGUAGGCCUACGUGAUUUGGACGUAUACGAUAGUAGUAUGCUGAUGAUGAUUGUUGCAUCUCGAUUAUAGGGAGCGAAUUCGGGUACUCGCCCAUAAUACAUCAACACGACAUAGAUCAACUAAAUUAAGUUGAAAUUUUUAAAUGUAUCAACACAAAAUUUAAAUUUUCAGUUGUGUACACAAUUAACAGUACACAUCAACUAAAUUAAGUUCAAUAUAUGUAUGCAUAGGCGCCGGUCUCAAGCAGCAGCUAGGAUAAAAUGCAUCCUUACAAUAGCAUCACAGAUCAUCGAUAUAACUAUUGUUGCUGUGAUCAUCAAUAUAACUAUUGUUGAUGAGACUACCAGCAGGGUCAUGAAACGGACCAUCUGGGUGGAUGAUUCACUCCAGAAUGAAUUUGGAGAUCCUCUCUCUAAUCUCGCCCAUGCGAAUAACCGUUGUGUUCAAGUCAAAGCCCUGUAAAACACCAGUAGCCAAAGAGAUAAGGUUUUUCUUACAAAUAAAAGCAUUUAUUCACUAGCAUUUAUUCUUUGAUUAAAAGUAAAAUAAAUUAGAGACUUAGCACGUGUUUGCAAAGCAAGCAAAGCCCUUACUACUGUUGUUGGCACGUAGACCUCGUAACUUCUCGGUAGAGUAUAUUCCAAUAGCCCCAAAAUAAGUAUCACUAUACGUGGUCUACGUGCUAAUCAAACUUUCUUAAAUUUGACUAGUUUUAUAAAAAAUAUUAGCAAUAUUUAUAUCUUUAAAUAAAUUUGUUAUAAAAAAUAUUCAAUAAUUUAUCAGUGAUACUAAUUAAUUGUACAUCAUAAAUAUUAAUAUUAUAUAUAUGGUUAAAGAUAUUUAACUUCUCAAAAAUAAGAAUGUCACUUAUAUUUUAUGACGCGCAAGUAUAUGGGUUGGGUUAUAUGAGCAUAGCUCAUUAUAUGAUGCCUCUCAUUUGGUUACAUCAAACUCACAACAUCAAGCCUUACAUGUUGUUUUCUUACCGACUCAAAAUCACUUCUUAUUAAGUGAUUGAUACACUUACUUUGAAUUCAUUUUAGUAAAUAUUAUAGUGUUAUUUGAUACUCUAAACAAAUUCAAUUGUAAAAACCUUAAAAUAAAAAGUUUUAGAGUAAGGUUCAUGGUUGGUCCUCUAACUUGUAGAGGUAUGUCAUCCUGGUCCCUGAACUCAAAAAGUAUGUUAUUUUGGUCCUUAAACUCUAUUUUAGUCUCAUAUUCAUCAAAAUAGAUCUGAUCCCACAUGUCAGCUAUGUCUCUAACCUCUCAUCAUGGUCAGCUCAUCGACACGCUGUUGUUCAGCUUAUGCGGCUACAACAGCGGCGGCUCGCCUGCACACCAACAACAGCCUUAAUGGCAACCCUAGCCUUGGCCUUAUUCUCCUGAUCGAUGAGCACCAUGGUCGACUCUUUCAUCAGCCUUGAAGCUACGUUGGUAUGGACAUGUAGCCCGUGGCAUGAUGGUUCGAUUCGAAACCCGCAUUUUGGUCUGGCCCAAGCACAGCUCAACCUAGUAUUUGUGCGGGCUCAGGCUAGCACAACCUGAUGCAACAGGCCGUGCCUAGGCUGCACCCUAGCCACGCGGGCUGGCACGACACAACCCACAUUUUAGUGGCAUGUGAAAGGAUCAAGAUGUCUAAGGCCCUGUUUAGAUUGAGAACGAAAAUUUUUUGGGUGUCACAUCAAAUGUGUCGGAAGGAUGUCGGGAAGGGUUUUUAGAAACUAAUAAAAAAAUAAAUUACAUAGCUCGUCAGGAAACUGCAAGACAAAUCUAUUAAGUAUAAUUAAUCUAUCAUUAGCACAUGUGGGUUACUGUAGCACUUAAGGCUAAUCAUGGAGUAACUAGGCUUAAAAGAUUCGUCUCGCGAUUUUGAGCCAAACUGUGUAAUUAGUUUAUUUUUUUAUCUACAUUUAAUGUUCCAUACAUGUGUCCAAAGAUUCGAUGGGAUGGAUGAAAAAUUUUUGGGUGAGUAACUAAACAGGGCCUAAGAGAAGGUGAAUUGGGCUUUUCUUGCAAUAAUUAAGCCCUACACUUAGCCUAUUUUACCCAUAGUGCCUAAAUGUGUUCUCUAUUGUUCUACCACACAAAUGUUUUGCACCAUAUAUUCGAAUCCUACUCUAGAUAACAAUUCUAAGAAAAUAAAGACAUGAAUUGAAUUGCUCAAAGUAAAUGCUCAAAGUAAAGAGAGAGAGGAUUGCGAUAAUGUUUUUUCAGGUAUCAGAGAGUCACCACUCUUUACUAUUCCUCGUUGGAGCACCCGAGCAAGGGUGUAGCUCUCUCUUGAUCCAUGCAAGAAUCAAAUGCUCUCUAUGGGCUAAUUCUUCAACACUAUGUUAUGGUAAAUUGCCCAGAGCCGCUCACAUGAUUUUUAUAUUGAUGACUUGAAAUAAAAAACUCAAAACCAAAAUUUUAGACGAAAACUUUUAUAUAAAAUUAUCUUCACUUUGGACGAAAACUCCGCUAUACCUACCUCAGAGCACGUAGCACAUGCUCCGCCACUCGUUUUACCUACCUCGGUGGUCUUCGUUUUUAGGCUUUCUUUAGUUCUAAGAAAUUUUAAGAUUCUUCAUCACAUCAAAUCUUGCGGCAUAUAUAGAGCACUAAAUAUAGAAUAAAAAAUAACUACUCCUUCCAUUCUAAAUUGUAAGUCAUUCCAAGAAUCUUGGAGAGUCACAAUUAAUUUUUUACAGCUCCCAACUUCUCAGAUUCACAAUCUCAGUCUUAGAUCAUAGAGGUGACAUCAAAAGAUAUGUAACAUAAAAAUGAGUUGUGAGGAUACGCCGGGAAGAGAAUGAAUAAAAAUGGGGAGAGAAGAGAAUAAAUUAGAAAAGAAAAAAGAAAUAAAAAUAAGAGGGGUAUUUUUUUCUAUCUCAAACUAUAUUAUUAGUGUAGAACGAAUAUGUUGAUAUGAUUAAUAUAUGAAGAUGAUAGGUCAUUUCCAUGAGAAUGAGAUAGUGUGCCGUCACAUGUGUUAAAGCUUAAGAUUAGUUGUCUGGUCAUAUUGCUUGGAAUAUUGAUCUUACAAAUAGACUUUGUAAUGGUACCAGACUUAUUAUACGGGGUUCCAAAAGAAUAUCAUAGAUGCAGAAAUUAUGUUAGAACAACAUGCUGGAAAGAGGAAUUUUCUACCUCGUAUAGCCUUAUGCUCGUUGAACGAUGAGAUGUUCCCAUUCUAAUUUAAAAGAAAAUAGUUUCCAUGAAUUGAUGUUAAAUUGCGUGUCAAGAAAAAUUCAAAAAAAGAGUACAUAUUGAUAAACACAUAUGACGAAUUGAUGAUUUUUUUAGAAAUUGAACUUUUUUAUUUGCAAGUGGAUCAGAAUAGUAUGUUUGUCUAUAUAUUUUGACUCGACGUAGUUUUUUAUAUUAUUGUUGUAUUGAAAUUUUAUUCCCGCGUAGCAACGCACAGGCAUAUGCUAGUGACUCAAAACACUAAGAUUAGAUAGAAAUUAGCUAAGUAUAUAAAUAUUACUUGUUGAUCUUGCAAACGGACUAGUGAAAAUCUAUUUAUCCAAUGGUUAAUAGGAAAUGAGUCAUAACUCUUCUAGUAUCUUCUAGUAUCUACUACGACCACUGAGAGGGCUCUUGCAGGAAACUUGUCAAGACACAUAGCAGAAGUAUAAAUGGUUGUGUGCAUAGCAGUAGAUCGGCCUUUUUUUUUUUCUCUCGAAUGCAUUAAGACUGCUGGAGGCUGUAAAUGGUUGUGUGCCUUGCGAGACUGGAAUGAAAUUCUUCUCUAAAAUGCUGAACAUAUUAUAAUUUAUUUCGAACAGAAUGUUCUUACAACAUCAACAAAUCCUCGAUUAUUGAGUUGGGCUGAAAACACACACAUGCACACAACUGAAACAGGAACACACCUCAUCAGUCACAUUAUUCCAGCUAUUAUCAUGUAUCCUGAGGAAACUUUCUUGCAGGGAGCACUGCACCUUGAUGGAGUGCAUCACAGAGUCUCUUCAAGGACGCAUCCGACGACCCGCCCUCCUCGACGGCCCUCCGGCAAGCCGCCUUCAUCUCCCUCGCCUUCUCCCUCGCCGCCGUCCCCUCGGCGCCUCCCAUGAGAGCUCGGACUGCCCGCUCCAGCUCGGCAGCCUCCACGAAGUUGUCCUCCUUCCGACACACCUCCAUGGCGACGGCGACCCCCAUGCCGGCCACCAGCGUGAAGGCGUUGUAGUGCUGCUCGGCGGCCCACGGCCACGGCAGCAUGGGCACGCCGAACCACAGGCUCUCGAGCACCGAGUUCCAGCCGCAGUGCGUGACGAAGCCUCCGACGGCGGCGUGCGCCAGGAUCUCCUUCUGCGGCGCCCACUUCGGCCACACGAGCCCCCUGCCUUUCGUCCUCUCCAAGAACCCCGGCGGGAGCAGCUCGGCCAGGUCCCCGUCCGAGGACAGCUUCGUCCCGUGCUCCGGCGGCCCGCGCAGCACCCACAGGAAGCGGUGGCCGCUGCGGUCCAGGGCGUGCGCGGCCUCGUGCGCCUGCCGCGCGCUGAAGAACCGCGCGCUUCCGAAGCAGAGGAACAGCACGGACGCCGGCGGCUGCGUGUCGAGCCACCGCACGCACUCGUGUUCCUCCUCCUGCUGCUUCUCCGCGUCGGCCGGCGGCGGAGUAGUAGUAAUGGUCGCGGCGAGGACUGGCCCGAUGGUGUACACCGUCGGGGCGCGGUUCCCGCGCGUGCAGCACCGCCCGUCGGCGAUGGCGGCCAGAACGUGUGGCUCGAGCUCGGCGACGGUGUUGACGAUGAUGCCGGCGGCUUCCGUGUAGCGCCGGCCGUUGUACAGGAACCAGCGGUAGGUCGGGACGUUCCUGUCGACCAGUCCCGACGGGAGGCAUGACGCCGGCACCGGCGGGAGGCCAGGGACGUGGACUACGCCGCCGUCCAUCUCCUCGAACUCGACGUCGCCGGCUGCGGCGGCCUCGUCAUCGAGCGCAGGGGAGUGGAGCAGGAGCGCGCACAUGGCCGCGCUGCAGAUGAGGUACACGUAGGCGGGCACGGCGAGUCCGUGCGCCGCGUCGAGCAGCGGCGUGCAGAAGAUGUCGACCACGACGGCGGCCACGGGGCACGUCAGGCCGGCGACGGCCGCCGUCACGUGGGGCACGUACGGGUGCACGUUGAGGGAGAUGAACUCCUCGGGGCCCGAGUAGUAGGUGGUGGCCACGGCCGGCGGAGGCUCGGCUGCCGCCGGGAGGUGGUGGAAGCGGAUGGCGAGACCGAGGGCAGCGGACUCCGCCUCCACCUCGCGGAUGUGGUCGGCGAUCUCGGACGCGCGCUUCUCCGACGGCGCCGGCAUGAUGAGCACGGUGAGCGUGAGCCGGCGGGUGCUGCGUGCCAGCAGACGCUUGCCGGCCUCGAUCAUCGGGACGAAGUGGCCGACGCCCCAGAUUGGAACCAAGACGACGGUCGGGUCGGCGUCGGCGUCGGCGCUCGUCGUCAUGGCGUGGGUGGUGGUGUUCGGAUUCCGGGUGGAACGGAAGGAUAGACGACGACCGAGGAGCGGAAGGCCUCCCCUGUGGAUGUGCUUGUGCCUGUACUAUGUUGUCAUGGGUGAAAAAAAAAAGGUUUGAAAGAAAGCGGGCUGGCAGUGGGCUACAACUGCAAAGCAGCAGCUGCCGACUGUUCGGUUGGGCGAAACGAGAAGAGAAGAGAUGGGAAGAGUUAGGCACUCACAAUGCAGACUCUAUCAUAGAGUCUAAAAUCAUUUAUUAUCUCGAACAAUAUGGACUUGAGUCUAAAUAAGACUUGGAGUCUUAUUUUUUUCUACCUCUUUCUUCAAUAAAUAUGGUGCCACAUCAACAAAAUACCAUAAAUAAUAUGUAAUUAAUUGUCUUGGACUCCAUGAUAGAGUCUUGAAUUGGGAGUGCCCUUACUCAGCGCGCAUUGAGAGUUGGGAGAGCAGGCCUCCAGAAUCGUUGUUCAAAUAGAGCCAGGUUUUUGGAGAGCGCCUCUGCGACUGCUUGCCAUCUUUUUUGGAACGUUACAUCUCCUUUCUAGUGGUGCCUUUUCUUCGUCGGAUCGGCUUCGUCUACUUCCCCGUGGGCGUUCGAGAGAUGGCACUGCGUACAUCUUUCCGUACCAAUUGUAGUCCGUGGACUUCAAGCUUUCCAUGAGUGGGAAUGGAGCCACCGGUACUUUGAGCAUGGGUCCUUCCACAGGGUAUAUCUCUAUUCUCAAAUGGGUUAAAUUCAAUGUCUUUUUCGCUAUGAUCAGUAUGUUGUUCAUGAACAUAUUUGCUGCUAAUCCAAGUAGUAGUAUAGUCACACACAUGCAUAUAUUUGUCAUAAAAAAUUUACUACUAUAUUUCUUGAUUAAUUUUAACAUAGAAAUAGCUAAAUUUCUAACAGGGAGAUAGGAUAUUUUUAUGGUGACCACUGGCCACUAAAACAUCAGAGCUAUUGCAAAGCUGUUGGAGCAAUAAAAUUACUUCAUCUUCCCUAAUAUGAUAGGUUUAUGGAUACGAGGGAUCGUAUUGGGAGUUGUUGAAUAUGCUUUUAAGGAUCCAAAUUGGGUUGCCAUGUUAUUAGGUUUUAGUAGUCCGUUUCAAUGCACUAUUUUCAAAACAAAUCCGCUGACAGGGCAUCAAUGAAACGAAUAAUGAAACAACCUCCACAAUGCAUGAGUUUCACCUUGACGUUUCCUAGGCUGGGCAAAAUAUUUAAUUACUGCAGAAUGAUUGGAUCACAUGCAAGAUGGUGAAACGAUUUAGCCCUCAGUGGAGAUUUCAUCCUGUUUCACCGCGUGGGAAACAACGCCCGCAGGGUUUCACCAUGGUGAAACUACUUCCUUCUCUCUCCUCUUCGUUUCAUGCAAAAAGUGCAAUUUUGCUGACAUGGCGCUCUAACAAAUAUGCAUGACAUCCUGAUGAAACCCCCACUGAGACUGGCCUUACUCAUGAGGUCGGUUAUUAGACGAAAAAGGAUUAUAAAUACUAAAUUUCUCAUAAAACUAAAAACAGUUGACUAUCAAAUCGUAGACUACAAUCACAACUGAUAAUAAUAAUAAUUAUGUUAUUAGUUCUAUUGCAAAUAAUAAGAUUGUAGUCCGUGCGUGAUAGAUAUAUUAAUAUAAUGGAGUACUAGUAUAAUCCCCUAAUAAUAAAGCAAUGAGAUUAAACCAGUCUCAAUACAUGUUUCACAUUAAAUAAAGUGUCACAUGAGCAAAAUUGCUGACUUGGCAGGGUCAUUAAAUGAAGUAGUUUCGUCGGAUGAGAGAGGAGUUUCAUCUCCAUAAAACUUAUGUGACACAUCGGUUACCUAGUUUGUAGUCUUGGUAACUGUGCUAUGAAGACUCGCCCUACCGUCACGUGCCGUACAAGGCGCUCGCCGUGUGCAGACUAAGCGCACGUCCGAGCUCCGAUCCCCGGCCCUGCAUGCAUGCACUGCACAAGCUUUAUUUCAACCUGCGAUCCCGCCGCCGGCAUGCAGCCGUCGAGCAGACUUCGAGGACACAUUCUAUCUUGAGGCAGUCGCCGCGGACGAAGCCGGUGCCCUUGAUGCCGCCGGUGCCCAUCAUGUCGCACCUGUACGCGCUCGCCGCCGCGUCGAACCGCGUCGGGUGAUGGUCCCAGAUAACGGUGUCCGAGAGGCCGGUGGUCUGGUCCAGACGCAGGAGGCCGACGUACGCCCGCGCCACCACGCCCUCGGUCAGCAGCAUGACGAAGACGCCCAAGUGUCCGUGCUCGCCGUCGCCGUCGGAGCAGCCGGCGGCCGGGUAGUAUGAUCGGAUUCGGAUGGCCCAGUGGAGGCCGGCGACGGCGAAGGCCGGGGACUCUACGAAGCCGCCGCGUGCGAACUGCUGCUCAUGUAGCCUACUGAAUCCGCGGACGUGCACGACGUGCGUGCCGCGGGCCGUUCUUGUCACGCGCACCGGCAGCCGGGGCGAGUGUCGCCGUGCGCAGGCUCGCCAAUGGCGGCAGACGGCGCUGAGAUGGACGCGGUCUCUGCAGGAAGGGAGACGAGGCAGGAUGUGGCCGAACAGGUCCGAGGGCAGAUCGCACCACCUCAUCACAACUCCCGCUUCUUGCUCCUGCAGCAACUGCAACCCGCUGAAGCCGCGGGCCGCCGCCGUUCGAGUCACGCGCAUCGGGAGAGUGUUCGACGUCGACGCCGACGCCGCCGACGCCAUUGUUUCGCAGGUAAUAACGUAGUGCUGUUGGCCUGUUGCUCGAUCGAUGUGUGUGCCCAUGCACAGCCCACGCGAUGUUGGUUGUGCCUGUGUGUUAUUUUAUGUGCCAGCGGGAGAGAGCCCCGCCCCCGCCCGGCCGAGUAUGAUUUUUUUGAAACUGAUACGGACGUCCUGUCCUCGUACUGGUACAAGAAAAAUCUGAAACGGAUACGUAUAUGGUACUGAUAGAUAUCUGGGACACGGAGUAAAUAGUGUUGCUCGGCCUGAACAAUGAGCUCCUGCAUGAAUAUUUUCAACUUUAGGGACUGCUAAAGAGAGCAUGCACCUGAAUAAUAUUGUUUUCUAUAUUAUUAACCUGUACUAUGUUUCUUUCUUCUUUUUUAUUUUUUUAUACGUACAACCAGAAUUUUCAAUUUCUUCUAGUAACGUGGGGUUCUUAUAGUGUUUUAGUAUUUAAAAUUUAGUAUAAACUUUCCCUAGUAAAUGUCUCCUAGUGAGGAUUUCCUAGUGUUUAACUAGUGGUAGUGUUUUAUUACUAACUAAAAACACUAGGAGAACUCCACCUUUUGGUAGUGGAUGGUAAUAAUAUGUAUAGAUGUCUAAACAGACGGACACCAUUGUCCACUUGUUUUAUCCGCUCUCGAUUGCUGCCCCCUUCUCUCCUCACAUCUCUUUAUCCACUCUUUUCCAUCUCCCUCUUGGCUUUCGUCUCGCUGCCCCCGCCACUCAUGCCGUCAGCAUCCGCACUCCUACCGUGCCACUGGCAAGCUGUCCCUCCCCCUCUCUCCCUCACCCCGCUACGACCUCCACGCCUCUAUGCCACCGGAGUGGGGGCGACGAUGGUGGCUUGCAGCGAGCGGCAUGCCUCCCUCCCUCGCUCUACAACCUCCAUGCAUCCGGAGAUGAGGACGAUGGCGUAGCUCCGACAAGGUAGGCGGGGAGGGCCGGAUUUGGAUCUAAGGCCGCCCUUUCCCCUCUCUCCUCCUGUGGGUCUAGAUCUGAGCCCUCCUCAUCAUCAUCUUGCUCCUCCUCCUCGUCCUCCUCUUGCUCUUCCUCCUCUGGGUCUGGAUCUAUAUGAAAUAUGGUAGUGGCUAAGGUUUCGGCAACCUCUUGGGCUUCAGCGCUCUCGCGCGUGUUGUAAUGGUGUUAUCUGGUUGUUGCAGUACGUUUUCAGGUGAUGUUUCAAUAGGGUAGGAUUUCGGCGAGCUCUCAGGUUCAGGUCUCAUCAUUAUUGCAAUGGUUCUCUCUAGACGUUGCAGUAGGUUUCAGUCGUUUGUUGCAGUACUGUGUUUUAGAUGUUGUUUCAGUUGCUUCAAUCUGGAUGUUGUGGUAGUUUGUUUCAUGUUGUUGCAGCAGUUGUUCGGUGUUAUUAUAGUACUAUGUCCAUGAUGUUUUAGUUGCUCCAUCCAAUGCUUCAAUUUGCACUAUUAUAUUAGUUGUUGCAUGUUAUUGUAACAAUUGUUCGUGUUAUUAUAAUAUUAUGUUCAUGGUGUUUCGGCUGCUCCGUCCAAUGCUUCAAUCUUUAUUGUUGUAUUAGUUGUUACAUAUUGUUGCAGCAGUCGUUCAUUGUUGUUGUAAUACUAGGUUCAUGGUGUUUCAGCUGCUCCAUCUAAUGCUUCAGUCUAUAUGUUGUAGUAGUUGUUUGCAUGUUGUUGUAGCAGUUGUUAGGUGUUUGUUGUAAUACUAUGUUUUAUAGUGUUUCAACUACUUCAACCUAUUGUUGUACCAGUAUGUCCGGUUCGGUGUUGUUGCACAGUCAUGCACAUUGUGUUACAGCGUUAAGCGUAUGGGGGUAGGGUGCGGGGAUGAGUUGGCGGCAAGCGGAUGUGCUAGGGGCCGGCAAGGCGAGGGGCAGGGUGGAUCCCGUGCUCAUGGGGGUGGGACGGGAUCCUUGCGUGGGAGCGGACAAAGAGUGAUCCUACGUGCAGAGCGAGUAGGGCAUGGGCGAGUUGGUUGGAGGCAGACAUGUUUCCUUUUCAUUUUAUUUUUUUUCUUUUCUUCGUGUGGCACGGGUGGAGGGCUCAGCUCGUGGACGCGUUGUUGGCGCCUUCUUUUUUUCUUUUCUUCAUGUGGCGUGGAUGGGGGCUUAGCAUCCGGACGCGCUGCUGGCGCCGAACCUGCUGGCGCUAGUAGUACCGUUUUUCGUAUACUAAUUUUUCAGUUACAACUAUGACAUUUUUUUCUCGAAUACACAAGAGAUCUGCAUAUCAUUAUAUUAAGAAAAAAAGUUUAUAAUACAACCGACGCGCAACAAGCGCGCUAGGUGAUCACUAGCUGGACUGACCUAGCAAAGAGUUCUGUGGACCGGUAUUACAUAAAUGGAUCAACCAUAAUACGCUCAACGUCACAUCCUACGAGUCCUCCUCCUAAAAGAGCUUGCGCGCACGCCCGUUAAACACUGAACGACAAGGUCCCAGUAUGCUGGGCGUCGAGUAUCCCUCUUGGCGCAGGCAAAUCCGGUGCGGUUGGUGGAGUGAUCCCUAGCCGCCUGUUUAGGAGAACCUCGCCUCACUUGGAGGCCGGGACGAUGUGCGCCAACGGUUGGGCGGCAAUCCAACUGCUCCUAGGCCCUACAGGCGGGGGCCUCCUGAUAGCCGUCCUCUGCUGUGGAGGGGUUAGAUUUAGUGAUUUCAUUAGUAAUGUCAUUAAUAGUUAUAGAUGAUGUGGACCUUAUGUAAGGACAUGCAUAAACUUGUUCCACGGAUAGGUAUACCUCCGUCUCAGAAUAAAUUAUAGAGAUGUUUUAAGUGAUUUUUUUAAGUUUAAUCAAAUUUAUAUAGAAAAAGUAUAAUUAUUUGUAAAAACAAAUCCUCACAUUAUGAAAAUAUAGUUUAUGGUGUAUCAAAUCAAAUGAUACUAAUUACUGUUAAUUUGGGGAGUCUCAGGGACUUGUCGGCACCAAGCCAACCUGUCUUCAGGUCAAGUGGCCAACAGAAUGUAACACGGCAUGGUAACUAUCAGUUCACCUGCAAUUCCUUUUAACAAAAAGUUCACCGUAAGUCAUGAAGAAAGAUAAUUUUCAGUUUGGAAACUUUUAUAUAUAUGUCCAUUUACUUUGUUUUUUUAUCGAUAACACAAAAAGUUUAUACGUCUUUGUAUUACUAAGGUAGAGAAAAAAGUUUAAUAUACAGAGUAUAAGUGUAUAACACGCCUUAGCAGCGCCCUAGGUGGUUAGACUCUCGGACCCUCACGGCCUCACUAGUGUACUGGAAACUUGGUAUACUUGUGUAACUCAGCAUACUAGCAACAAAAAGUGGUUCAUGUUAUUGACCAAUGCUUAACCUAUUGCUAAUUCACCUGACGCAAAUACAUCAAUGUGUUGCAACAGAGCCCAAAACCAGAAAGCGAAUCAAGGCCAACUCAAGUCAUCAGCUUGUGUUCAGAUCAAAUCUCAAAUCUAGCAACCCUAUAGUACAAUUGAGGACAUCGAAGCACAUGCAUUUUCAAGGGAGAGGUCGGAGCUGUGAAUUUGUGAAGUAACACAGAACGCAAACUUAACACAAUUGCCAAUAGAUAAAGAUUAGCAGACCUGAUGAUCAUAUCAGUUUCAGACUUUCAGUUUUUUUUUGGAUGUUUAACGUCCUUCAGUUCACUAGACGAAUACAUGAAAUUUUGUUUCCUUGAUACGAUCCUACCAUCAUCCAUCUAAUUCAAGGGACUUAAACUGAAGGCAAACAUCUGUUAGCGCCUCGCAGUAGUGUCGAUCAGCCAAGGCGAGCGUCGUCUCCACCGUGGCUCCAUCGACGCUCCUGCACAAGAUGCUCUCGCAGAUCAGCUUCAGCCGUUCCAUGCCGUACCGAUCCGCCGCCUCGAGAAGAUGCCGCACCAUCUCCCUGUAGUCGUCGUCCCCGUCGAGAUCGCCGGGGAGCAGCAGCACGUCGGUGUAGAUGAAGUGAAGCAGAGCUCUAAAGACCACCGGCUGCAUGUCGUCGACGGCGAUGCGAUCCAUGGCCUUCUCCUUCAUAUCCCCGAAGAGCUCCGCCAUGAACACCGGCGACCGCGCAGCCAGCACCACCCUGUGCGCGCGGAAGAUCUCUCCUUGGACGGCGAGCGUGACGUCCGCCGCUUGGUCGCCAUGCUGCUGGUUCAGCAGCAGCUCGCCCAGGUGCUUGGCCAGGUCCGACGGCGGCAGUCUGAGUUUGCACAGAGCUACGGCCUCUGGCACCCGCGCCUCGUCGGCGACGACGUCGACGACGCACUCGAUCGUGAGCCGGUCGUCGCGCAGGUACGCCGACGCCUCCAACUCGCUCCGCGGCAUGAACUUGCGGGCGCCGCGCUUGGGCUUGCACUUGCCGGGCGGCGGCGGCGCCGAGUAGACGAACACGACGGGCUCCGCGGCGUGGUGGACGGAGCGGGACAGCCCCGUGCACCGGUCCACCAGGCGCAGGUCGUAGCGCGCCCACGCCCUGGCGUUCUUGCUCGUGAGCUUGACGAACGCCGACACGUACGCCCGGUGCGGCGCCGAGAAGCCGCCAGGGUAGAAGCGGACGGACCACCGGUAGCCGCCGACGGCGAACGAGCCCGACCGCACGUACUCGCCGGCGGCGAAGCCCUUGAUGAGGCUGUACCCGACGAUCUCGAACUGGUGCGUCCCGCGGACGGUGCACGGCGACGGCGCCAUUUGUGAAUUUGUGAUGGAUUGGAUGUUCAAAUUCUGACGCCGCCGUGUGCGUAUAUAGAUGACGACGGUGCAAGUUGAAGAAGUUUAAUCGACGAUCACUGAGUUUCUGGCUGAGAAUUCCCAUGUCUUGGGAACAUGGCGCGACCUCCUCGACUUCCAAACCGCUGAUGACUGACCCCUCGUGUUCUUCACUCAUCCAUCGAGUUCUGGACUCUGAAAUCCGCUCAAAUUCAUGCACCGAACACAUUCUUCUCUUCUUCUAUAUAUAUAUAAACAUACGUACACACACAGUGAUCAUGAACACGAACAACACGAGUGCACAAGAAGUCCUUGGUGAAAAAAUGGCUCUGCCAGCGAACACCAAGUCGACGAACACGACGGAGACAGUGCGCGGCGAGCACCGGUUCGACAUCGACGGGUACAGCGGCAAGCUCCGGGCUGGGCGCGUCGUGACCUCCGAAACCUUCGCCGUCGGCGGCCUAGACUGGGCGAUCCGCUACCACCCCGCCGCCGCCGAGGUGGGAGACGAAGAGUACGUGUCCGUGUUCGUCAAGCUCGUGACGCCCAACGCCAGAGCGUGGGCGCUGUACGACCUCAGGCUUGUGGACCGCGCCACGGGGCUGCCGCGCUCGGUGCGCCGCCGCAGGGAGCCGGUGGCGUUCGACGCGAGCAAGGCGAGGAAGCGCGAGAGGGGCUCCCGCUUGUUCAUGACGGUGAGCGAGCUGGCGGCGUCGCCGUACCUCCGCGACGACCGACUCACCGUCGAGUGCGUGCUCGACGUCGUGGAGACGUUCCUCUCGGAGACCACGGCGUCUCCGGGAACCGCCGAGCCGCCGCCGCCCGACCUGUCGAGGCACCUCGGCGCGCUGCUGCUGCAGACGCCGGUGGGGGCGGACGUGAGCUUCGCCGUCCAAGGAGAAACGUUCCGCGCGCACCGCGUCGUGCUCGCGGCGCGGUCACCUGUGUUGAAGGCCGAGCUCUCCGGCUCGGCGCCGGCGAAGGAGGACGACGACGACGAUGCAAGUGAGGUGGUAGCCGUCGACGGCAUGGCGCCUCCGGUGUUCAAGACCCUGCUCCACUUCGUCUACACCGACACGUUGCCGGAGGAUCUGCUGGGUGAUCUUGGAAGGGAGGAGCAGCAGGAAUUUGUGCGGGAUCUCCUCGCAGGUGCGGAUCGAUACGGCAUGGAUCGGCUGAAGAAGAUAUGCGAGCUCGUUCUUAGGAAACCACUUGAUGCCAAGACCGUGGCAGCUGCGCUAGAUCAGCACCGCCAUUGCCAAUGCCAAGCUCUCGGAGACGGCAAUGUUCAGUUCAUGCCAUCCGCUUGACUGCAAAGAUGAGCGAACGACGCACCGUCAGAAAUUGUUAUGGUUUGGUCCAGUUAUAUAUGUUCUGAUGCUUGUCAAUCAUAUAUAUGUUUUUUUUUAAAUAAUUAGUUAAAAGUAUCGUUGGACUCAUUCGUUUCCGAUGCUCGGUGCUUGAUUUCAAUUCAGAUGUUAGAAAUUGGAAUUUGUUUGUUUAUCCUUGGUUAAACUUGUCUAAGUUGAGGCGUGGAAUUUGAUUAGCAACCAAACAACCUCUUAAAAUUUAAAUAUUUAAAAUUAAGUUUUAUACAAAAGUACAAGCAACUUUAUAUCAUUUCAACCGUGGUUGAUGUUAGAUGUUGUCCGGAGGACACACCGCCCUUUCUUAAGGCAACCACAAUAUGUAUAAUAUUUAUCAUAAAAAUAACUUGUUAAUAGUUUUAAAUUAUCAUAAAUUAAACUUAACCUUUAUGAUGGCCUAAUUAUCUAUAGAGAUAACUUUUAAAUAGUUUAAAAUAUAAACAUAUUAAAAUAUAAGUUAACUAAAAAUUCAGAAGAAUCAGACAUUAAUAUUGCCAAUCCUAGCAUGUAAUACAAUAAUAAGUGGUGCUUCUAGAUUACUAGUGCACAACAUCAAGUAGUAAGAUAGUACCUCCAAGAUCUCUCAUCUCUUGAUGGCCAUAAACUAGUCUCUAGUGACGUAAUGUAACUUAAUUAAUAGUGUUAACUGCUGCUAGUGCAGAGCAUAUGUGAGUAGCUUAAGCUAAGAACUGAAAUCUCUAGUCAAUGUCGUCUAUUAGGGACGCUGGACUUCUCCUCAUGCUGGUUUCCAAGUCAUCUCUCAUCUCCUUUCUAAUUGCAGUUGUAGUCAUUGUGCAUGUUUCUGUAUCUCCAAAGCUACCAGCCAGAUGUUGCUUCAACCUUUUUAUCCCUCCAUAAAUGAGUGACCACAUAGGGUGCAUGUCGCCACAUCUUUGUUACAAAGGUUUGGUAGUAGGCAUACUUCCACCCUGGAUUGGAUCCGAACUUGCCAUUGUGCUAUCAACUGUGAAAACAAAGAAUUAAAGAACAACACAUGGAAAGGAAGCAGCAGUCCAGUCCACUCCACUCUGCAUCUAUAUACUAGAGGAGCAGCCAGUAGGAGUAAAACCAGAGUAGCAGAGAACAGAGGACAGGAAGAGGGAGAGAAGAGGCAUACAGACAAGCAGGUGGGAGCUGGGCACCCUGAACCUGAAGAACAGGGGACCGAGCUUCUGGCCAGUGAGGAGGCAAGGACGAGCAGGAGCAGUCCACACGGGAAAUCCUAGCCCUGGGCCCGGGCAAACGACGCGAAAUCAACGGACGGGAGGACAAGAAGACGACUGAAAAUUGAUGUGUAGUUGGCCAAACGGGCGGCCUGGCCCGGCAUUAUGCGGCACUAUGUCUAUCGUGUCGUGCCGUCUCGGACCAUCGUGCCAAACUCUCGGUCCAGGCACGGCACUAUAGCUUCUUAACCGUGCCGUGCCGUGCCGAUAGGCACUGUGGCCCAUCGUGCCCGUGCCGGCCCGUGGCUUCGGGAGAAGUCGAGAAGCUCAUUGCGCCCUGCCUCAAGGAGAAGAUGAGCGCUACCGCUGUCGUAUAGUCAGGCGGGAGAAAGUGUGGCCGCAACAAGGAUGUGUCUGCGCCGCCGACUAGAGAGUUAGGGUUUGAAAGGGUUGUGUGAUGCUUAUAUACAUGACUCACUAUACAUUCAAUGGUCAUGAUCUAUCCUCAAAGCAUCAGAUGAUGAAAAUAAUCGUGCCAGCGUCGUGCCAGCCUAUUAAUCGUGCCGUGCCCGUGCCGGCACUGCGGGCCGAAGUUGCGGCCCAGGCACGGCACUACCACCGGACCGUGCCGUGCCUGGACCGUGCUUUUUAGUGUCGUGCUCGGGCCGGCCUAUCGUGUUAGUGCCAGAUGGAAAUCUAUAGAUGUGUGGGGAUGCAUCAGAGAGCCACACGGGAUGUGUCGGCAGGAACUCACUGUGAGUGCGCAGGGAAGCAGGGAUGUGCUGCCCGAUCAUCCUGCUUGAAUGUUUUGGGACAAAUUUGGACUGAUUCCUGUUUUAUCGUGACUGAUUUCAGUUUCACUAGGAGGGGGAGGAGACGAUGUCCCUGUUUUAUGUGUCCUGCAACUUUGAUUGUCGUCGGUGGAGGGCAUGAUCUUAAAACUUCUCCCAUAAAAUGGAGUUAGUUUGUAAUAUGUGCCGCAUAAGAGCUCAAAACUGAACUGGUUGAACUUGUUUUUUUUAGUUCUCUUAGAACUAUGUAUUUUCAAGUCUUGCUAGGGAUAAUGCGUAUGCAAUGUAGCUACGCUGCUUAUUUUUGCUUAUGCCAGUUUGUUGUGCUUGCAGUUUUCAUGCACUGCAUAGAUGCGAUGCAUCAACUGAUUUCGUAACGCUGAACCUGUUCUCUUUGUCAGAUUUAUAUAUGCCUGAAUAUGCGGGCUUCUUGUGUCGGCCACUCGUAGGAGGGCCUGCAUGCAUCCUCAAUAAACGAUUAUGCAUUUGAGCUUUGUAAUACAUUAAUUAAAGCACAAAGUGAUCUGAAAUUCAAAGUUACAUUACCAACAAAGAAAAUGGAGGUAUACACCAAUCUAGACGGCUGGAUGAUAGUAGCCAAUCAAACUCUUACUAGAUCCGACGAUAAAACAAAAUUAAAUAACUCACUCCAGGAGUCCAGGUCUUCCAUUAUCGUAUAUAAAUCUUAACUCAGACGACAUAAUUUACUGUCUCUCAUGGAAACAUUAGUACACAGCACACCUUUGCUUAUAAUACUUACUUAGCCUUAAUACUCCAGCCACCAACCCAUUUACAAAUCCGCCGUCGAGGGGCUUUGACGACAACAAUGUCUUUACCAAAGCGUUGGGAAGCGAGGCGUGCCCAGGCACAAAUACUGUCCUCAGGUAUGCCUAUAUUUAUUUUGUCAUCAGGAUUUUUAUCUAGUUUCACCAUUGGUUCAAUGGUUACAUGCUCAAGCACAUCACCGUUUUCCAGAAUGCCAAGCAGCAGCUCGAUCUGAGGCCGGUAGCACCUGAACCCGCUCAUGUAGACCGUUUUGAGGUGAUCAAGUCGGCGCAUAGGGAAGACUUCACUUUCGUCACACCAGCAGCUUCCGCCAAUCUCGACAGAAUAACACAUCUGUUUCCCAAAGAUUUAGAAAUCACAUGUUAGUCUGCCUAAAUUAAUAGGAGCCUAAUGUUGUUCGUCACCAAAGAAAGAAAAGCAUUAUAUGAAAAAAGAAAGAAAAGCAAAAAGAAAACAGAAAAAAAAAUUACUCACAUGCAGUUCUAGUGUCUCCAAUCGGGGUGCAAAAUCCAAAAACUGAGCAAUCUGAAAAAUUCCAUCGUGGCUAUUUGGGCCAUUAGUGAGAAUAGUUAUUUCACAAGUCAGCUUCCUUAAUUUUACAAGCAUGCAUGUUGGCCUUGUCAUCCCACGCACCUGAAACAUGAUCAAAACAAGUAAUUAAACACUAACAAAUCAUUUGAACAACUAUGGGCCAAGCAAAGAUGAACACUAGGUACCUGCAAGGACCAGAGCCAGGUCGGAUUGUAUUCCCGCAUAGAGGCACAUACAUGUAGCUCCUUGACUGCUGAAAUACUGGGAAUAAUUCCAGCAAUGGCACAGACGAAUCCUUUGUUACUGACUUGUUCAGCCAAUGGCAUCCGAAAAAAUGUAAUGGUUACCUUCUCUAGAUUUGAGCAACCAUGAAGCAAUAUGGGAAUCACAAACCCUUGGUACCCAAAAUGAGUAAGACCAGUAACCUGAAAAUCAACCAUCUUGAGACUCAUAUUGCAAAUUAGCAAAUGUCUAAGUUUAUCGAGUGGGUGUGGUAUGUUCAGCUCUGCGACACCAGAGCAUGCAAUGAGCUCUAAGUCCUCAAGAAUAGGGCAAUUUAGUAACAAUUCUGGAAGAUCUCCAAUUAUUUCAGCACAGUGCAAAUGAAGCUUCACAAGUUUCUUGAAGCCACAUAUAUCCGAACGUGGCUUUAUAGAAACAUUAGUGAGAAACAAGGAUUGGACAAAAGGGCCAUCUAGACCAUCUAAAGCCUGGAGAGGGAAAUGAUAAACCUCUUUGGUAGGUCCUAUAUCUUUCCUUUGUGGCCCCAGGUUGAUAUCUAUAAUCUUGGCCGACUUUGAUGCAGUGGCAAAGUAUACCCACCUAUCAAGAUGAUCUGAGCAGUUCUUCUCAAGGUAGCACCUGAUGCUGAACUUAUUGAGCCUAGUACCAGUGUGCUUCUGAAUAACAGAAUUUACUGUCUCAAUGAACUUUGCUCCUUUUAUUUUGACACUAUCCUCAUCAGUGGGCCCAUCUUCAGUGCCAUCAAAGCAUAAAUUAGGGUACCGUGUCCAGACCUCUCUCCACUUUCUUGAUACAAUGCUUGUCCUUGCAGCCUCUUUUGGUGACUGUAGGGACAAUACCAAAUGCUGAAUUUCCUGUCAAAAGAAAGGAUAAUGACAAGGGUUUAGUUUUGAACAAAAGUACAAUAAUCAUGCAGUACUCAGUAGUGGGCACACACCAUGAUUGAAGAACUUCAUGCGCUUUCGCACAUGUAAAUCGGCCACUGAGCAGAUAAGAUAGUGCAAAAGAACCAAAGUAGAAAAAGAAAUGUGCUCAGCUAAUUAAUGGCCUUCCACAGGAUGCCAUUGGUAAAUUGGAGUCUUCAAGUCAAGUUCAUUGUAUUUCAUGCCACAAACAACACUCAGAAAACUACGCACAGCAGGGAGAGGUAGAUGAUUCUUUACUAAAAAUUUAUGAUGCACCUUUUAUGUUUCGAGCUAGAGAACAAUAUAAGCAUAGGUCAGGUGUCUCAAUAGAAGCACUGAAGAGUGCUAAAUAUGGAUGCCAGGACAAGUCAGGAUGGAAGAUACAGCAAACAUAUAGUAGAAGUCUGAGAUGAAAUUAUGAGACUUUGAGAAAAAAUAAGUGGGGCCAAGAGAACAUUCAAAAAGUAUGUGCUACCUUCGUAAGAAAACAUCCCAUCAUCCAGGAGCGAAUGAGACGACCAAGAUAGUGCUACAGGUUGCAAAAUCAUAAUUGACUAGAUCCAAAAUAUAGUUGCAAAAAAGAAAGAUGAUUUCUGGAUUUUGUGCACAAACUGCAGCAAGGGGACUCCAAAUGGCUAGGUUGCCGAUUGAAUUGUGAAUGCUGUUUUUCCUUCCUCUUGUUUGGGUGCAAAUGCAGUAGUGCACAAUACACAAAUUGCUGAACAGGAUAGAGUUUUUAUGUUAGGAGAAACUUGUACAUUCUGCUGCCAUGCCCUCUCCCAGGCCUCAUAAGUUCUAACCUAUACCAGAAGGCAUCUUAAAACGCUUUGGCUAAUCGUUGCGCAGGUUCAUGAAGGAAAGGGUAGCCUACUUAUAGCAUAAAAACAUUAAAGAUUAAUCUUUUCUUCAUGUCCAAAAGAACUGAAGAAUGAUUGCAUUCUUCGUAAACUUAUUGUGAAUUUGUGAUUCCACAACCCAAUCGAACAGAGAGGAGACGACAGGGCAGAAAAAAAAGAGGAUUUUUACCUCCGGAAGGUCGCCCAUUUGGAAUGGGGAGAACUCGAGUGCGUCGCUAAGGCAUUGGUGGUGGUCCAACCUCCUGAUUUUGGCCGCCCCCUGGUCCUCCAUACGCAGCUGCUGCUGGAGACGAAACAAAUCCUGGAUUAGGCACGGCCGGCGAGAGCACCCCACCCCCCUCCCCCCACCCCAGAAGAUAGAUAUAGCCGACCAGGCCCCGGCUCCGGCUCCGGCUCCGGACCGGAUACUCCCUUCUCUAGAGCAUCUCCUAAUAUAUCUAGCCUUCCAGAAAGAGUAUUUGGAAUCCUUUUUCCGUUCGGAAACAAUCGGGUAAAACCGGGAGAUAGAUGUAGAGGUUAAUAUUUACUCCCUCCAUCCCAAAUUAUAAAUUAUUUUAAAAAAUUUAUAAAGUUAAAAUAUUAUAAAUUUGAUUAAAUUUAUACGGUAAAAAUAACAUUUGUGAUAUUAACUAAAUAAUAUUAGAUUCUUCAUUAAUUAUAUUUUUAUAGUAUAUUUAUUUGAUGUCACAAAACUUUAUAAUUUUUUUAGUUUUAAUUAAACUUGAGAUGUUUUGUCUUCAAGAUUCCUAGAAUGACUUGUUUAGUUUCCAAAAAAUUUUGCAAAAUUUUUCAGAUUCCCCGUCACAUCGAAUCUUUAGACGCAUGCAUUGAGUAUUAAAUAUAGACGAAAAUAAAAACUAUUUGCAUAGUUUGGUCGAAAUUGAUGGGACGGAUCUUUUAAGCCUAGUUAAUCCAUGAUUGGACAAUAUUUUUCACAAACAAACGAAAGUGCUACAGUACCUGUUUUGCAAAAAUUUUUGAAACUAAACAAUGCCUUACAAUUUGGAACGAAGAGAGUACUUGCUCAAGCAGAGGAGACCUUUUCGUCGGUGGAAGUUCAUCGACUAUCUCCAACAGGGCCGACCUGAACACGGGACCUAUUCAUGUCACGCACAGCGAAGAAACAAAGCACCUAAAACUGUUGAACUCCAACAGUGAACGCAAAAACAGAGCUCCGCCACCGAGCUCCGACCCGCCCCCUCCCCGCCGAGCUCUCCACGCGAGCGCCGACCUGCCUCCUCCCCACCGAGCUCCGCUCGAGCUCUCCGCGCGAGCGCCGGCCCGCCCCCUCCCUGUCGAGCUCUCCGCGCGAGCGCUGACCUGCCUCCUCCCCACCGAGCUGCGCUGCUGAGCUCCCCGUCAAGCUCCGGCCCGCCCCCUCCCCACCAAGCUCCCUGCUGAGCUCCGCCACCGAGCCCUUGCAGAGCUCCACCGCUGAGCGCCGGCCCGUCCCCUCCUCGCCAAGCGCUGAGGCACCCGCAGGCAGAUCUAGCAGCGCCGGACCGCUUCACCGUCGUCCGGCCCGCCUGGCUGAGCGCUAUCCAUGGGCUCGCCUGGCCGCGCCUCGUCCUCGCCGCGGUCCUGCCUCGACAUCGUCGUUCGUGGUCACCGGACCUCCCCGCGCUCCAGCUGCCGGAGUGGGGGUGGGAGAAGAGGGAGGAGGACCCCAGCGUCGGAGAUUUGCGUCGUGCACAGAGAUGACGCAUGUAUGCCUUCUGUUUGGCCUCGUACCUAAAAUGCAUGCAUGUUGUCAGUUGUGUUUGCGUCCUCCAUUGGAGCGUGAUUAGAGGACGCAAAACAAUGUAGAAGACGGAUUUUGGGUUUGGGUAGUGUUUUGCCAACUCCGUUGAAAAAUAGUCUCAAUCCUCUUUACUGCAGUCACCCUUAUCGACUUCAUUCAUCCUGCAGUUAUGGGCAUCGGACCCUUCGCUAAAGAUCCAACGGCUGAUGACUCCGAUCAGCCUUUCAUGCGUUGGGCCUUAGCCUAUCUCAGCCCAAGGCACCAUGCUAGCUCGCCUCUGUCCUUGUCUUCGUCGUUGCGGAGCGGAGCGUGUCGCCGGAGAAUAGGAGGAGAAAGGUCAGCUGUACAGUACUCUGCAGUCAGCUGAUCUGAUCUGACGGUACACAGUUUCCACGAGGCUCCUAAGUGUUGCAUGCCUUCACGUGCUGGGCCUCGGCCCAACAAGGAUGAUGCCGGCGGCUGCUGUAUCCCUUAUGUUUUUCUGGGCUUAGAUGGGCCACUAGACCAGCCUGCUACAAGUGUUCGAUUGGGAUAACCGUUGGAUCACAGCGGACGUCUACCAUGUUGGUCAAACCUUUUCCGCCGGCGGACAAUACCUUCGUCAGGUGCAGUAGCGUUAUUCAGCCCCGUUAUUCAGGAUGCUCGAGAGAAGUCCUGCGUGCGUUGGGUGCGUCCUCCUCCACGAACUGAGUUUGCAGUGAACCGAGACUGACAGAACGAUAUAACUUUGGGGUAGCACUUUCAUCUGUAUUUAAUAAAUAUUAUCCAAUUAUAAACUAACUACACUCAAAAUAUUAGUCUAAUAAAUUACAGGCAAUUAGUUAUUUGUUUUAUCUAUAUUUAAUACUCCAUGCAUGUGUCGCAAGAUUCGAUGUGACGAAAAAUCUAAAAAAAAUUUGCAUAACUUUUUGAGAACUAAACAAGGCCUUUGAUGCGACAUUUUCUUUUCUAUCCAUUCAUACUUCAUGUACCAGAAUAAUUGAAUAAAUACAGGACAAGAAACAGGAUACAAGAAAACGCAGCGUCACCCUAGUUGCCACGCUGCUUUGGCCUCACUUCAAACAGCCAAACACUUGCUUAGGCCAGCACAUGGAUGAAUAACACUGUUGAGCCUAGUUAGUACACAUCAAAGGAGCUCAGAUUUCAGAUUCAGAGCUGCACCACAUGACCCAACGAGGACAAUUCAUCAUUGAUCUUUGAGGCCAAGUCCUCAUCAACCUCCAUCCUAGUGCACAACUUUGGGAUGGAAUAAGGCCGUGCUACUGCUGCAGUCGGCUCUUGAUCGCCCGCCUCCGUCUCCAUUCUGUCUGGCUUGUCCACAGAUGCACAGUUCUCCUUCCCAAACAGCUGCUCAAUAAGAUCACGGCAAGGCUUCAGAUCAUCCUCGCUCCGUGCUCUUGUCAGCUUACCAAGCAGCUCGUUCAGUUUCGCGGUUCUCUCCAUCUUCUGCUUUGCGAUAAACUUCAUUGGGCUUGGAUGAUCAUCCUGAGUUGGAUCAGAUGGUUUGUCAUCCUCAUUGGCGCUUUGGCUCUCAAGCAGUUUCUUCAGCUUCUGGUCCAAGAUAGUGGCAACCCUCUCCUUGAAGCUAUCAGCAGUUUCGUUAUCUGACUUCAACCUCACCUUUGCCUCCGAAACCAACAAGUCCAUCCUCUCUUCUUCUGAAGAAGUUGCUUCAGCUUCUGGCUCAACAUCAGCAUCUUCCAUGGGACAGAAUGUUUCCUCCAGUAACCCAACAUUCUGUGUAUACCUCUCAUAUGCUUCAUUUUCAGCAUCAAUAUCUCCUUGCAUAUGUUCCUUUAGCUUCAUAAACCUCCACUUGUUUAUACCCACAACAUCCUAGAACAAAACAAAAGUCACAAAAGAAACAAAAAGCGGUUCGAAACAAACAGAGCGCGUGAAACAGCCAAUAACCUUUUUGGUAAGCGACUUCUUUGUUUGGAGAGACUUCAGAAAAUGCUGGGGAAGCUUUUGCAAGGCAGCCAGCCUUGAUGCUGAACUGUGAAAAAGCAACAACCAAGCAUUAAAACAAUACAGUUGUUUGCAAGAGAUUAAUUGUCAACUUAUGUUUUAUAUAUGAAUUUUACCUGGUUGCAGGUAAAUUGGUAGACGGCUGUUCUGUUGCAGGAGCAGUAGCAGGUGAUGGCUUAUCUGGCAAUGUGUUGGUCUGCUUCAGAACUAUCAUGAUAGGUAAAGCAAGGCAACAUCAGUGGUGUUCAGAGUAGAGUAAAAAAUAAACAACAUUAUGGCAUAGCAACAUUAUGGCAUAGCACAGAGCAGCAGACAUGAUAAUAGACAAUGUAAAAGAAAGUUGAAAAUAAGAAAAAUGGAAUAUACAUGCAGAUUGAGAUAGAAAUAUCAUAAAAAUAAAACAUCAAUGUUCAUAAGAAAUGAUUCUAACAUAACCACUAGCAUUGCUUGGCUAGGCUGGAAGUUUGGAACUACAAAAACUUCCCAUCCCAAACCUUCACUUUUUUCCUUCACUACCCUCUUCCGCCAUUUCUUCAUGAAUCAUGAAGAGAAUAUCUCCAUUGACAGUCAAUGCAAGGUUUAAUCAAUAACCAAUCUAACACUUCAUCCCCACAUAUUUGACAUGUCCUUGAAGCAAGAUAGGGUCACACAUCCUCUCAGAGGAUGCAAGUCCACCAUGAAAAAUUCCUCUAUGGCCUUCUAUUACUUGUUUAAUUUUUUUACACAUUGUAUUUCUGUUGGAUGUGUGGUGCUUGCAGUUUGUGAAGACUUCUUCCAAACCAUAGUGACAUAAAACAGGGUCGAAGACAUCGACCCAAGACCCGGGAACGUCACCCUGAUAUGAAUACAUAGGGUUAUUUUCAACCCUGCCGUGUAUAAACCCCCCGCAAGUCUCAAGUAGCGAACCAUGUUCCUCGGCCCCGUUGACCCAGAAACUUUGUGACUAUGUUCCAAACAUUGUUCCAGGCAUUACUUCUGGAUGUAAAUUUCUGACUGCUAAUAACCAGUUCAUUUGUCUAAGAACUUGCCAUAAAUAUUUGAAAACACACAAAUAGUAAAUCUAAAUCAUUGCUAGGAUGGAUUGGUUAAAUCUGCUAGCUUGCACCUAUAAGCAAGCUCAUUUCGUCUACGAAACCAAAUGUACCCUAAAUAUAGAAAGUUCUGGAACAACUGCUGAAUGAGGGUAAAGAAAAGCCGAAGUUGUCUUGAUAGCAUUCUCCACAAUCUGUUUUGCUAAUACUGAUCCCCAAACUCAGUUAUCAGUUUUACAUUUUAGCACUCAUUCCCUUCCUGAUUGUUUGCAUAACACUGUGUCAAACCUGCUGUCUCAGAACUGCUGGACAAGAUGGAGGGUCCUCCAGUGCUAAAUGAGAAGAGAGAGGAUGUGCAUGGAGCACAGCUUCACUCUUGGUGUAGUCCCCAGGAGAUGACCUCAAGCAGGUGGCAUUGCUUACCUUAUGGGCUCAGUGGCAGUACGGGAUCUGUGGUUUGGCAGUUGGUCAAGUGCGAUGCUCAUGGACAUCAAGCACCGUGGCGAUAUCCACUAGAGAGUGCCCUGCACUGAGGACGGUGAGAUCUGUGUGGCUGCAGGGGUAGAAGAUGGAGAGUAAAGGCAGAACACGACAGGGGAUUGGGAGUGUCCAUGGAGACAGAAUAUAAAUGUGCAAGUCCUGCAUUCCAACCUGUGCCACUGGUUUCCAAUUGUGCUGCACAGGACUAGGAUGGGGAAAAACGGAGUAGGGACUAGGAAGUGAAGAUAGGACACUGAGUUUGGAGAGUAGUAUGUUAGCAAAACAAUUUCGUGGAGGGGCUAUAGAGGCAAUUUUGCCUAACCAAAAAUAGAAGGGAUGCCUGGUAAACUGUCCUGACCAGAUAUGUAAUUGUGCAGAUAUUUAGAUAGAAUAUCACCAUUUACCAAACUGCUUGUGGGUCACUAACUUUAAAUUUAGAUUAUCAUUUUUUUAUAACAGUGCAGAUUAUCACGUUAAAGGAGUACAUCACACAUACCAUGGAUGUGGCAAGGAUUCUGGGCCUUGUAGCAGCAGCUCUUGCAACACUGGAACGGACACCUGAAAGUCCAAGCAGAGCACACACAUAUAAUUCAUUACCAAGUCAAAAAUUAUUGUGGUCUCUAUCACAUAACCAAAGGUGAAGGUUCUCAGUUGACUGUAAGCUGCCUCUGCACACCAUACCACAAGUAGAAGGAAAUAAUUCUGCUUAAUAAGGAAGUAUCGAUAAACUCUUUCUUCUUACCGGGAACGGGCGACGUUACCACACUGGAUGCACUUGGGCUUGUUAAGACCCCGAAGGUUUGGCUUGGGCAUGUCAAAGGCGGCGGCUGGAAUAGGAGGUGGCUUCUGCGGCGUCCCAUUGCUGUUGGCCACCGCCGGCACAGGAGCAGGAGUAGCAGCAGGGGAAGGCGAGUCACCAGCCGCCGCCUUGGCGACUGUGGCAGCAGCAGCGGCGGGCUUCACAUCUGGCAUGGUUCUCCUCAACCCAGCGAAACUUGUGGGGAAAAAAGUAAAGUCAGCAAAUGGGGAAAAAAGUAAAGUGCACUUGAGAGACUAGGAUUUGAAUUCGUUUGUGAAUAAGAGGAAAUCUAAGGGGGGGAAAGAGCAUGCAUCCAAGCAGUGCCAGACACAGGAUUUUAACCUGCGGUGUGGAUGAUCGCAAAAAAAAAAACAUAAUAUACAAUAUAACAACCAUAAAUCCUACAAUGGUUCGAUAUAAUACCUUAGAUUCAACGAUUAACAAACUAGAAUAAACUAUAAUGUAUAAAUUCUACUAUAAUGUUGUUUCCGUUUCCAAACUCCUUGAAAUUUGACUAUAUAACAUUGUUUCUAUUUCUGGUAGUAUUUGUGAAAUUCCACAAAAACAGACUUCAAAAGGAAAGAAUGCAAUUCAAUUGGACACUAGUGCAUUCUAUUGUUGAGAAAACUAGGUGUUAAAUUUGUUCGGUAGAACUUUCAUUAGCUAGUCACUAUUCACUAGGGAAGGGCAGAAUCCAGUAUUUCCCCAAGGAACGGGAGCAGGAAAUUUUCAUAUAAUUCAGAAACAGACGUUUCAGUGCUUGACACACGAAUCUGCAGUCAUAUUUAAGUGAAGAAUCAUACGAUGCUGCCGCGUCAGACUAACAGUAAUUUUGAGAGCUAUCUACAUUCAAAAUCCCUAACCUUAAGAGGGAAGUAGGCACUCACCAGGAACCAGUUGGCAAGGGGUCAGCUGCAGGCCUGGAGGCGCGUCACACGCUGGGGUCAGAGUCAGACUACCCUGCGGGGCGCUGGGAGAGGUGAGGUUCCGCUGGACGCAGCCCGCAAAGCGCAGGGCGGCCGCAGCCCGCAAGGCGACGGGGGAAUCCGAGAGUAGCAGAUCGGGAAUCGGCCGGGCCGGGGCAGUCCCCUCUACGGCUGCGCGCCUACCAGCGGUGCGUGUGGCGUCGUCUUCGCGCGGAGGCAGCUGGCGGCGGCACGUCGUCGUAUCUCGCUCCGGGGAGAGGAAGAACGGGCGAACAGGCGUCAGGCGGGGGUCGACGCUGACGGCUUGGGAGUUGAGAGUUAUUAGGGCUGGGGCUUUUUCUCGAGAUUGGGCCUUCAAAAUCUGAGUGCUGAAGUGUAUUUUAGGCCAAAAUCGACGGCAGGCAAGGCCUCAGGAGAGGUCCGGGGAAGAGAGCAGCGCCUCUCGUCAAGGAAAUUGGGUGGGAGGAGGCCUCGCCGGCGACGAGCAAGGACACGAGGUGGCAGCGGCGGUCGGGGUGGCGUGGAACAAGGAGAUGACGAAGGAGAAGACGAAAGCCCGAAACCUUACUCUGGGCUUGGGCUUGGGUUUGGGCUUGGGUUGGCUCGGCCGGCUGUCCCUGUACCUGUGCCAGUGCCACGUGACGGAUGAUUUUUGUAAAAUGUAGUAAAAGGAUACUGUAUAUCAGUGCACCGGUUUUAAAAAAUACUAGAAUAUUUAUAGAUGCGAACAGUGACUAUUUAUCUCAGUAGAACUUGUAUUUUUUUUUACUCAUCAAACGAGGUGUAAAAGCGUUAAAAGAACUAUCAUAUUUGGCUUUUAAAUUAAAAAAAAUGAUGAACUUUAAUCAUACCAAGAGAUAAAAUUCUUAUAUAAAAUAGUUGUGAUGUUUUAUAACUAUACUGCUCACAGAGGAUAUUGUGAAUUGAUAUCUUCACGAGAAAAGAAAAAAAAAGGAGAAAAUGUCUAGGAUGGUUUUGAUACUUAAAUAUUAGAAACUUGUGUGGUUACAUUUAGGAGCAUCUCCCAGAGUUUGCCAAAUUAUACUUGGCAAAUUUUGUGAUUUGCCAACUCUCAAAAACAUAUGCCAAGUAAAAAACCAGCUCAUCUCCAAGAGUUUGUCAUUUUUAACUUGGCAAAAUUUUAAAAAAAGGCCUACGAACUAAUUUAUUUGCACAGGAUACCAUUAUCAUUCGCUAGUAGCGGCUAGCAGAAAAAUAAUCAUAGUUUUUCAUGAGCCUAAUCUUUCAUAUCCUUUAGCAGAGGUGACAUAGACCACAGAACCACCAGCAGGGGAGGCGGCAUCCAGGUUAAUGACCGCAGCGAGGUGGCAUGUGUGACAGACCUCAUCAGUCUUUCAGUCUCCGCAGCAGAGUGGCAUGCAGGCGACAGGCAUGUCGCUUUCAGACCCUGCUGAAGAGGUCGUCUGCGCUGCCGCGCACGCGAAGCCAAACGCUAUACGCGCGCGCAUAUUUACGCGUUCGGGAGAGAAAUAUGCCAACUUCCUAUUUUUGCUGCCAAGUUAAGAUGCCAAACUGUUGGAGGAUGUUUUUUUAUAUUUUGUCAAAAUUUUAUAGACAACAAGUUAAGAUAGCAAACUCUUAGAGAUGCUUAAAAUUUGCUUAUAUUUGAGCUCUCUUUCUCUAGAUUUUUUUCUAAGGUUAUACAUAUAUGUAGUUGUGAUCUCUAUUUAUUUUGAUAGAAUUUAUGAAUUAAUUUAUAUGCUAAUAUCCAUGUUCAUAGUCUUCCUUCUUUACAUCAUACCACUAUGCACGUUUAGGCGUUUAGCACACGUCAUGUUGUGGGUAUGCUACCGUAGCAACCUGCUUUCUAUUUUCUAUGUUUGAAUCUAGUAUGAUGCUUAUAUUAACUUAUUUGUGACUAGUUCACACAUACACCUUUCUAAUACCACAAAAACGACCUUAAUAUUUUUUCUAGAUUAAAUUAGUAUUGAAUUUGACUAAAUUUCUAAUAGUUUGAACAUUUGGGUGGGGAGCACGAAAAGCAUAGAAAAUCAAUAAGAGAGAGUGACAUAAAGGAAACCUUUUAUGACGUUGGUAGAAUUCCUAUAAACAAGUCAUUUCAUGGGAUUUUUAGGAGCCCAAUUAUUUGUUCUAAAGGGGUGAUAUAAAGUUUUUCUAUAGGAUUUCAAUAUAUUGAGAAUUAAUUCCUUGAAUUUUUCUUUACUCCAAAGUGGGCCUUACUACAUUUGCAAAAAAAACAACUAGAAUUGGGUAUGAAAAUUCUAGUGAUUUCACCGGCGGAGGAAAUUUGCAAGAGAAAUAGAAAAGGCUGGCUUUUUGCCAUGUUUUCCUUCUUAUUAAACUCACCAUCUCACUAUGCUAGCCACUGUUCUCUCUGUGUUUUAGGUGAUGUCCGGAUCAAACAAGCCUGACAAAUCUUCAGAACAAAUGGAUGAUUGGUUGAUUCAAAGUGUGUUUAUCAUGGAAUUAUAAGCAUUUAGAUUCAGAUUAAGAGGUAGAAUCCAGAAGUCGAUGUUGAGGUAGAGAGUGUUGAGAGUUCUAGAUAGAAUAGCUACCUCUCUAAAAUAGAAUAUAGGGAGAGAGUAAGGAGAAGCUGGGAGAGGAGUCGGGCCUGUCGGCAACCUCUCUAUUUGUAGCUCAAUAGAUGAAGUUCUUCUUCGAGUAAAGUCUGCCUUCCUUCUUCUAGUGUGGUAACUUUGUUCGUUUCCAUUACUGAAGCAUUACAUUAUUUAUUGUUCUUUACUUGUUCACCGCCUGGUUAAGGUGCUCUGAUCUAUCAUAUGUAAUUAAAGUAGUAAGUUUAUAGUUGCGGUAGUGGCUGGUGGUGACAGCCAUGUUCUCCUAUGUAUUCCACCAUAUUGAGCCUAGUUAUUAAACCAUAGGGCUUGUUGUGCCUGAUCAACCCUCUAGGUGAGUUCAGGGCAGGUACGCCCCAUAGUAAACAACCUUAGUAAAGUCUUCUUUAGUCUUGCCUUAGUCAAAGAAACCACACACUUAUUCUCUCUAAUCCUUUUAUCACCCGCCAUUGUUUUAUCCUUGGAUACUCUUGGUUCUUCACUAGUUCACUUCGCGUUUCCCGUGAAAAUUCGAUACCUUGGAAUACUCCCGAAUGACUACACUGACAUCUGUGUGUUUGCGGAUUUAUCUGUUUGCCAUAUCUAGUGUCAACAUGGCGUAGAACCAAAAACACUAUAGCUACUGAAAUGUGUUUCUUUCUACAAAUGUUAUAUAGAGAUGGGUAUUGUUCUUUGAAAGUGGAGUUUCUAAAUAAUCUAUCCUCCAGAACCUAAUCUGUGUACCAUUAUGAAGAUUAAAAGUGGAUAGAUGAAGGAAGCGAUCUUUGACCUUCUGCAUACCUAUAUUUAGGCCUUAUUUAGUUUCCCACCAAAAACUUUUCACCCAUUCCAUCGAAUGUUUCGACACAUGCAUGGAACAUUAAAUGUAAACGAAAAAAAAAUUAAUUACACAGUUUAGUUGCAAAAUCGCAAGACGAAGCCAUAAUUGCUAUAGUAAUCAACAUGUGUUUAUGAUGGAUUAGUUAGGCCUAAUAAAUUCGUCUCACGAUUUUCAGACGAGCUAUGUAAUUUGUUUUUUGAUUAGUCUAUAUUUAAUAUUCUAAAUAUGGACCAGUAUUUCUGAUGUGACGACAUGGGAAAAAAUUCUUUUCGUCAACUAAACAAAGCCUUAGUUCCUAGCUACAAGAGCACCUGAUCUGAGAUUGAUUUCUACAGGGUUAUGCAUGUGGCAAUGGAACUGAGCCGCUGCUGAUUUGUUCUGUAUGUGAGCAGAUUCAGAAGUGUUCUGAUGAUCCUAGUUCCUCGCUCGAGGUGUUCUGAUGAUGAGCAGGCCGCAGGCGUCGGCCGGUGACGACGGCCGGCGGUGCACGCAGGACAUAUAUACAAAAAUUAAAAGUUUGACGUGCGCCUCCACGCGCUCUGGUCGGUGGUCGCAGCGAGCGAGUUUGCCCAGAGAUCGAAUUGAUAUCAUUGCUUGCGAAACGGGGAAUGGUACCACGGGCAGCGCCAGCCACUGCCAGCAUAUCCGUUCGUUCCAGGCAGCGUGGAGAGGCCGGCGGCCCGCGGGACAACAGCGCAUGCAACGGCGACCACCUCCGACGUGUGCACCGUCACCGUCCACGCCGCCACAGUUGGGUGCGUGCGUGGCGCGCCGCGCCGCAUCCUCUACGUCAUGCAUCGUCGGUUCAAGUGAUCAUGACGAACCACGGCGUGGUGCUCGAUCCCGAGGACGCCACCGCCGCCGUAGCGGUGGCGCGGCAUUUCUCGUUCCCGCCAUCGAGGACGGCAGGCCACUCCUUGCACCGGCGCCGGAGGUGGAGUAUCGUCAAGCUCGCCAGGAGGAGGAGGGUGUCGGUGAUCGGCGCGGCCAACGUGGGCAUGGGCAUCAAGCAGAUCAACCUGACGCGACACCUCGCCGGCGAGAUCGCGCUCCCAGACGAGGCUCCAGCGUCGGCGGCGGACUACGGGACGACGACGACCAUGCCGUACCUUCAGCAGCACGAGGCGUCGUCGACGUCGUUCCUGCCUCGCAAGUACUUCUUCGCCCAAGUCACCGGCGGCUCCUCCGACGAUCUCGCUAGUUUCGUCACCGAGUGCGGCACGCACGUCUGUGUUCGGGCCGGAACGAGGCUCAUCUGUGGGACGACAACGACAACUGCCUCCAGAACGAGUCACAGAUCGAGCUGCCAUGGCCGCCAGCAAGGUACGUACGUCGUCUAUCAUGCAUCUCUCGUAAGCGUCAUCAACAUGCAUAUUAGCAUAUCCGGUACGUACAUACGUACGUUCAAUUCCUGGUGAUAUAUGAAUGUGAUCGACCUCAAUUAUUCUCAAUUAAGGCCUUGUUUAGUUCGCAAAAUUUUUAGUUUUUUUUUGGCUAUUGUAGCAUUUUUGUUUUUAUUUGACAAAUAUUAUCAAUCAUGGAGUAAUUAAGCUCAAAAGAUUCAUCUCACAAAUUACAAGUAAACUGUGCAAUUAGUUUUUAGUUUCGUCUAUAUUUAAUACUCCAUACAUGCGACCAAAGAUUCGAUGUGACAGAGAAUUUUAAAAAAUUUUGUGAACUAAACAAGGCCUAAUUCCAUAUGCAUGCAUGCAUGGCACAUCUUGAAAAGUCUUUCGCCGCCGCAUGCGAUGUGGAGGUGUACAAGAGAGAGAGAGUGGGAUGGCACGCCGUCGUGUGCUUCGCCUACCGCCGGUUCUUCUGCGCCGAGGAGAUGCAUGUGCUCGUGCUGGACAACCAUGACGACAAGACUGGUGGCCCACGGCGCUGGGUUCAUGUCGAGGAGGUCGACACGCUCUACGCCCUUGCUGUGUAGUGUAGGUGUAGCGCCUGAUUUUUUGUGGCGUAUGUUUUCCAUUGUUGUGCUUGUUUGUACUGUAUAUUGCUAGAGUAAAUUAAAGGGUAUGUGUGGUACGCCUCGAACAAAAAUUUGAUCAACAAUUAGCUGUCCGGUCCGAGCACGACGACGUUCCCGGCCGCAUCGGCGUCAACGAUCACUGUAUCCCCAGCCUUGACGAUCUCCCCGUCGAGCAGCUUGUCGGCGAGGGUGUCCUCCAGCAGCAUCACGACGGCCCUCCUCAGCGCCCUCGCGCCGUACCACGGAUCGAAACCUUCCUCAACCACGAGGUCCAUGAACCUCUCCGUCACCCGCAGCUCCACCACCAUCAUCGUCUCCCUGCUGACACGGGCGGCGACGUCGCUCACCAAGACGGCGGCGAUCUCCUUGCCGUCGACCCUCGUCAGCGGCCUGAACACGAUCGUCUCGUCCAGCCGGUUCAGGAACUCGGGCCGGAAGUAGCGCUUCAUCUCCUCUUCCACCACCUCCUUGCUGCUGCUUCGGCUUCCAUCUCCGCUGCCGCCAUUGCCGCCGCCGAUGUUGGACGUCAUGAUGAUGAGCGUGUUCCUGAAAUCCACCGUCCUCCCCAUCCCGUCCGUGAGGCGGCCGUCGUCCAGGACCUGCAGCAAGACGUCCAUCACCUCCGGGUGCGCCUUGUCGACCUCGUCGAGGAGUACCAGCGAGUGCGGCCGCCGGCGCACGGCCUCCGUCAGCUGCCCACCACCCUCGCCGUGCCCGACGUACCCCGGGGGCGCGCCGACCAGCCUCGCCACCGCGUGCUUCUCCAUCAGCUCGCUCAUGUCCAGCCGCACCAUGGCGUCCUCCGACCCGUAGUAGUAGGCCGCCACCGCCUUGGCCAGCUCCGACUUGCCGACGCCCGUCGGGCCGGCGAACACGAAGCUCGCGAUCGGCCGGCGCGGGUCGCUCAGCCCCACGCGGGCGCGCCGGAUCGCGCGGCUAACCGCCGUCACGGCCUCGUCUUGGCCGAUGAUGCGCCGGUGUAGGCCUCCUCCAUCCUCAGCAGCUUGGUGGUCUCGUCGGUGGAGAGCUCGUGGACGGGCACGCCGGAGCAGAGCGAGACGAUGUGCCGGAUGUCUUCUUUGGUGACCACUGGUGGCACCGCCGACAUGCCAGGACUCACCUCGUCGUUGCCGAUCUGCAGGGUUGUUGUCAGCUGGGACUUGAGCUCCAGUUCACGAUCGCGAAGCUCCUUCGCCUGGUUGCAUUCAGAUGAUCAACUUGUUUUUUGAUGGAAAGAUGAUCACGAGAUGCCAAUUGCCAAAGAAAUGAAUCUGUAAUCGUUACCUUUUUAAAGUUCUCGAUACGGAUAGUAUCACAUUUCUCCUUAGUGAUUUUCUUGAUCUCUGUUACAAAGUCUUGAAGUUCCUUAGGUAGCUUCGGCUGUGGAUCAGUUCAACUGAGAUUUUGUAAGAAUGCAUGCGAAAAUAGGGGAUGAAAGUUACAUUUCUGAGUUUGUUGUACCUGGGCAUGCCGUAAUCUGACUAGGGAACCUGCUUCGUCAAUCAAGUCAAUGGCCUUAUCUGGAAGAAAACGAUCACUGCAAGCAAAAAGCAAUAGUAAUUAUGAAAACUGUACAACUGAGAAAUCUGCAGGUAGAGAUAGAUUAACCUGCGAGGAGGAGGAUCAACUUCAUUAAAAGUCAAUAGUACACCUAGCAACUAGCAUGAUAUCAGUAUGACAAAAACAUGGUGUAAGUUUACUUCAUCUUUAUUUAACUAUAAAUAAAUGUGAAAUCUUGGGAUCAACUUAUGGUUUUAUUUCAGUGUCAGCAGAAUCUAGUGUUCAAAUUACUCGAAGAACAUUUACGAAUAGGAUUCGGAACAAUGGCUGGUACUAUAGGUCCACCUUCCUUAAUCACAGACCUGAUGUACUUAUGUGAGAGCUCGGCAGCUGCACUUAGUGCUUCAUCCGCAUAUUGAACUUUAUGAUGGGUUUCAUAUCUUUCUCGAAGCCCUUUUAGAAUUUCUAUGGCUUCCUCAACCAUUGGCUCUGGAACCUUCACCUGUCGGAAACGCCUUUCCAGUGCUGGAUCUUUCUCAAUAUGUUUCAUGUACCCAUCAGUUGUAGUGGCUCCGAUACACUGACAACAUCGAUGCCAGAAAGACAUACUUAACAAACAAAAAAACUGAUCAAACAUAAUUCCAACAUAUGAAGUCCAACGUGAUAUACUGACCUGAAGUUCACCUCUUGCUAGUGCUGGCUUCAAAAUGUUAGCAGCAUCAAUAGCACCUUCUACUGCUGCUCCUGCUCCUACUAGGGUGUGAAGUGUGAACUUCAUCGAGGAAUACUAUUAUGUUGCCACAUUGCUUGAUUUCUUCCAAAAGAUUCUUUAAUCUUUCUUCGAACUCUCCACGGUAUUUUGUUCCAGCUAGAAGGCAUCCAAUAUCGACAGAGAUAACCUGUAUUAACAAGUGUUGGAAACAUGAAUUAACUACCGGCCGCUCCUAAUAGUAGUGUACAUAGGGCAGCUGAAAUAAAGCAAAAUAAAAUUACCAUAGAUAUUGGCCACGAAUCAUGUUUUAAUGUAUUCUUAGACCAUUUUUGUGGAUCAAUGAAUUACAGUGUAAUAACAUGAAUAUUUCUUCAAUUAAAUUCGUCAAGGGAUAGUGGUUCAAAAUUACCUAGUGAUUUACUUUCAAAAAGAUACGUAGUGAUUCAACUGAUCAUACAGCCAAAUGCUUAUUAUUAGUAAGAAAAAUAAGAUCUAAAUAACUGAUCUGGACAGGGAAAAAAAACAGGGAAAAAAAACAGGAAGGCAGCAACUGAUAAAUCUAACAGACACAAACAGGUACUUUUCCCCAUACAUUUAACUUUCAUGUAAAUAAAAUGGUUAAUAUUUGCAAGAUUACAACAAAUUCAGCUAUACCGAUAGUUGCAAGAUUACAACAAACUCAAGCUAUGCCAAAUAACAAUCAAAUAGAAUCGAGACAAAACGAAUCACAAAUGUUGCCCUAAAGAACCAAGAGAAAAACCUUUUUCCCUUGCAUUGUUUCUGGAACAUCCCCCAUGGCAAUGAGCUGGGCAAGGCUUUCCACUACUGCUGUUUUUCCAACACCUGGCUCUCCAAUCAGGCAGGGGUUGUUCUUCCCCUUUCUGCUUAAAAUUUGUACAACUUGAUCAAUCUGUUUUUGUCUUCCAAUAACAGGAUCCAACUUUCCCUAGUGUACAACAUGAUCAUGUCCCAGAACAUUAUAUUGUGGAUUGCAUUGCACUCUAGUAUAAAGUAGCUUAUAAGUCCAGAACAGUACCUUAUUAGCUAAUGUUGUUAAAUCAGUUCCGUAUUCAUCGAGUGUGGGUGUGGAUAUCUUGUUUUUUGUCUCAGCACAAGUUUUACUGCUUCUCUUUUCCAAAGAAUCAUCAUUGCUUCGAGUUUUCAAAGGAGACUCGCUGCUUCCUCUCCUAACUCUACCAUUGAUUAUUUGGAAAACCUGAGAUGCAAGAUAUGUUUAUGACCAUCAAUCAACUAAGCAUGAUAAUCUAAUCAAGAGUGUGAAUUUGCCUUCUAGCUAGAGGCAGAGACUUUAUUUGAAUAUAGUUUACCUCAUUGAGGCCUUGUUUAGUUCCCAAAAAUUUUGCAAAAUUUUUCAGAUUCCCCGUCACAUCGAAUCUUUAGACGUAUGCAUGGAGUAUUAAAUAUAGAUGAAAAUAAAAACUAAUUGCACAGUUUGGUCGGAAUUGGCGAGACAAAUCUUUUGAGCCUAGUUAGUCCAUAAUUAAACAAUAUUUGUCAAAUACAAACGAAAGUGCUACUAUUUCUAUUUUGCAAAAUGUUUUGGAAGUAAACAAGGCCUGAGUAUGAGGUCCAAGAGCAAAAUACAAAUGCAUUGUAAAAUGUGGCUCCACAGGACUUGGCUGAUUCCAGACUUGAGCGCUAAAUGCUGUGUUUCCUCUUGUGCAAGCGCGAAAAUGUUCUUAACUUCCCCGCUGAAACUGUUGAGAGUUGCCCUGGUGACAAGACGAGAAUUCUUUUGUCCUCUCUGUCUGCUGCGAAAUAUUGAUUUGUAGCCAAGUACUGGUGUCACCGCAGGUCUAUGCACUGCUCGUAGACAACCAAAUGCUUGUGUCUUGGUUGUGGUUCCAUGAUUUUGAGCCAUGGAAAGUUGGAAACUAUUGAGGAAGGUCUCCUGGUGCUCUGGCACUUCCAAUUGGUUUUCCUACCUCCAGCUGACGAUGGGAAAGAAGUGGAUCUACGCAAUGUUCCUGCCAUAAUUGCAAAUGCAGCUCCAUAGCCUGUUCAUGACAAGAUGAUUAGAGUAAGAGAUAAAACAUUCUAGAUGUUUCUUCUGAUAACAUUCUAUUUGGUAUGACGACAUAUAUAUAACAAGGAUUUCUGAAACCCACAGAACACCACGCAUUCACGCACAGUGUCUAUCAUGAAUUCAUGAUGAGACACACUACAAGAAUUAACCACCAAUACAGACUGGAGAAUCAGACCGCAAAACAUUGACAUAAGAAGCUGACGCACCUGCGACCCUUGCAACAUGUGCCGCGCUUAUGUCAGGGCGGACGGCAGCAUGGACAGGAGGUAGCUUCAGUGGAAGUGGAGUAGAGGGGCACAGUAAAACCAUGACUGCAAAUUAAUGUGUUGCCUGUGUAUGGCAGAUCAAUGGUUAGAGUAGACGACACUUGUUCGCUUGGCUGAUAAGCCAUGGCAAGAAGUACUUGGCUGAUUUAUUGUGAGAGAAAAACACUAUUGUAUCUUGGACACGCUUUUGUUUGAGCUCUCAGCUCAGAUUUUAGCCAAAGGUGAUUAAUGGCAUGUCAAAAGAAACCCAACAUUUCAUAUUUCAUUUUUAUCAGAUUCUUCAUGUCACGAUAAAUUCAGCUGGGUAAGUGAUUAACCAUUGGCUAGGCUCAGCUAAGCAGAACGAUUACUGUUAGGCCAUGGAUGAUCAGUGGCUACAAAGCGAGCACUGAAGCUGAACACAGGUAUUGUUUUUAAAAAAAAUCUGAACACAAGUACACAGAACCUGAAGCAAGCGCUCGCCCUCGGCGGCGAGGAGGCAAGGUGUAGGUACCUGCUGGGACGUGGCAACGGCGGCGGCGGCGGCGACGUGGAGGACUAGGACGUCGAAAGCGGGGCGCAGGAUCAAGGUGUGGCUGCCGCCUGCCGGAGGGUGAGCCGCUGAUGCCGAUCGAGGCGACGGCGGCGGGCGGAGGCAGGAGCGCGAAAGGAAAGCUCAUCCGGCGCGAAGCAACGGGAUGCGUAUAUAAUGAAGUAAAUUUGGAAAUUGAUCGCCAAUUCAGGAGACAUCAGUUCCAAUUCCAAAUCCGCAGAUUUGUUUAAGCGGCAAUAGAAUCGGCAAGAGAGUAGCAACGAGUUUGCAAGCACCUCCGCUGUCCGAAGGCACUCUCCAACGAAUUAACGGCAUAUUUUUUUUACUAUAAUAAACCUUUUUAGAAGCUUAUAAUUUUUUUGUGGUUUAAAAAAACUUAGCAGGUAUUUAUCAAAAUUUCCAACUAAAAAAAUGAUGAAACUACCUUGAAAAUAAAUUCUAACCCAGGGAUGGAGGUAAUUUAAAUGGUUUUGAGAGUUGAUUGGUAAUAUGUGUAGUUUCAGAGCUCGGGGAGGAAAAUUCAGUUGAAGGAGAUAUAAGAGAUAUUCUCACUCCCAUAAAAGGUUUCACUUUUUCGUAUCCCCAUUUUGGAUUUGUCCAUAUAUUCUGUUGAGUACUCUCUCUGUUCAGUUUACUAUAUUUGUAGAAAAUACGUGCAAUAUUUAUAUCUCUAAAUAAAUUUAUUAUAAAACUAAAUUCAAAGAUCUUUUCAAUGAUACUAAUUAUGUACCAUAAAUAUUAAUAUUUUUAAUAUAUAUUUAGUUAAAGUUAUUUUUUGAAAAUCAUAAACGACAAUUAUUUUGGGAUAGAGAAAGUACACGGACAAGCCAUAUCUCACUCCAUAUGUCAUACUGGCUUAUACUUUUUUUGGUAUUCAAAUUAUUUGUAGCAGCAUUAUUUUUAGCUAGCUAGUUUUCUAAUGAGCCAAAACAUACUACUUUAGAAAGUUAAAAUAAUCUAUGAUGUUUUUUUAGAUUUUGUGCAUGUGCAUUAGGCUAGUCUUAAUGCAUGUUUCAUGAGAGUGUCAUGCACAUUAAGUAGGAUGUCAUAUAAGCAAAAUUGCUGACUUGGCAGAGUCAUUAAGGCCCUAUUUAGAUGCAGCCAAAGAGCCAAAAACUUUUGGAGAAAUAAGCACUUUUUGGAAGAAUGAAUCUAAACAGGGGCUUAUAAAACUUAGUUGUAAAGAUUUGGAAUUUGGGACCUUGGAGCUCCAAAACUGUGUAAACUUGCUUAGGGAUCCGUGUCUUGUGUGUUGUAGACCAAAAAAUUUGGGAAAUAUCUAAACACCUAUUUGAAUGUAAAGUUUUUUUUUAUAAAGUUUACAGCCAAAAGUUUUGGGAUGUAAAGAUUUAGGAUCUAAACAGUUUCUAAAUGAAGGAGUUUCGUACCCAUGAAACUCAUGCGGCUCGUUAGUAGAGCAAAAGUUAGUAGAGCAAAAGCUAUUGUGCCCAAAAAAUUGCAUGGCUUUCUUCAAAAGUUAGUAGAGCAAAAGCUUGAUUAAAAACUAUAAGAUGCACUGCUAUUGCUAGCAAUACCUCAGGAAGAUGAGCCGACAGAAACCUGUUAGGAUUUUCGAAUUAAAACCAGGACACAAAGCUUGGAGCCUGAUAACCGGUUAGGUUCGAAUGUUUGCUCUGCUAGUGUUUCAUGAGAUGACUUUGCAUAUGCUGCAUCUUUAGCUGAAUACACACAUAUUUUUUUUUUCUGAUGAAAAAAUCUUAUUUGCUUCAAAAUAACAAUAGCAUAGUAAAUUUUGCCUAGCCAUUACUGAGAAUCACAGGAAAUGCUAUUUAAAGUCUUGUCCAAACAAAACAAAGUACGCCUCACAUUCUACAAGGAAAAAAAAAAUGGGACAAGCAGUUUAUACAGUAAGUUAAAUUUCAGUCAUGCAAUGUUACAGAACAAGCAAUCCAAUUUAUGGAUAAUCAAACUAAAGAACAUAGCUGCACAUUCUGCAAUCUACAAGAAAAAAAUGGGACAUGAAAACAUCACCACGUCCAUCCUGACGAUCUUGAAUCUGCUGCCAGAUUGAUGUCCAAAUUCAAAUCUCCCAGCUUGAUGUCGCAGUCCCACCGCAGUGGUCUCGUAUGUCUCUGCCCAAAUCCAAACCCAUCAGCUGGAUGCAAGCCAUGACAUGGAUGCAGCCAAGGACCUCACCAGCCGUGGCGGCGCCAUGUCUUCUCACUUGGGUCGGGCGACUGCGAGCGUGGGGCGGGGCGGGGCGAACGCGACCGGGCGUCGAUGGCCACGACUGGAGCGUGAGGACACGACACGACGGAGGGAGGGGAAGUUGAAGCGGCGAGGUGGGAGUCGCAUGUCUUUUGGAGGGAGAAGCAGGUAUCGAACCCUGGCCGCUGGCGCUGGCGCUGAAAAAACAAAAGAACCACCGCACCGCUACUCGGUGCUCACCAGACACAAAACAAAAGCAUGUCCCAGUGCAUUUUCUAUUUCACAGCAACAGCAGGUUACUGAAAAACCCUACACAAGCCAGCGCCGACGGGUCCCUUCAGCCCACCACACGCGUUAGAGAGCAUUACAUAUCUCACACACCACGCAUGCAAACAUCACACAACCAAAAACUGUGUCUGUUACGCUUACUGAGAUGGUAAGCCUGAAACUAAUCCUCUUCUUCAACACUACAUUCCGGUGCCGCAUCCGAGCUAUUGGGUGCUAUUUCUGACGUGAACAAGGUUCCUCAGCUCUUCAAAUGCAUCCAUGGUCUCCGGGUCGAAACCUCCAGCAAACUGCAAAAAUGAGGCCGGUUUUAAAAUUUUAAGAACACUUGCAGAUUUAAAUACUGGAGAGCAUGCAAACUUAAUGAGACAUUAGGUUCCUGUAUGUGUCAGAGGGAAAAACAAUCUGUUUAAUCACAUAUGGAACUGGCAAUGAUGGACAUGUGAAAUGCUUGUGUGUGUGAGAUAUUGUUGGCAGUAAGGGAUGCGCAACGUGCGUGAGAGUUUGCCUUGUCUUAAGUUACAGCUAUAAUGUGUUACCUGAUGCAUCCUGAAGGCAAAUCUCACAGCCUGAAGCAGCAUGUACUCCAGAGCUGGAUCCUUAUUCAGAGGGCCCAUGUAUUGAAGCUCCAUUGCAACCCUUUUCAUGUACAUCUUCGCUAAUUUCACAGAUGCAAACUUUAUCUGUAGUCAAGAAGAAAAAAAAUAAGGGAGCAAUCCAACAAUUUAAAGCAGGUCUUUUAUAAGACGAUACUGCUAUAUAGAUUUUCAUGACAGCAACAGAAUCUGCAACUGCAGAUAAGGAAAUAAAGACGGAUUCCCAGAGCUGUUUGAGAAAAACAUUCCUUAAGCAACAAUACACAAAAAUAAUGUAUUCAGUAUUCUCAAGGAAUAGGACUUUUAGUGGUCAUCAUACUAAGCACUCUAACUAUACUGAAAGAUAUAUAUGACAGCAGUGGGAAACUAAUCAAUAAUUAAAGUAGUACUAGACAACAAGCUUUGCUUACUCCACUAAAGUAGUGUGAUUCUGCAGGCCAUCUGCAGUUUCCAUGCCUAAUGGAAGUGCACACUCAUAAUUUAUUUAGACCGGAGAAGGGGCAGUCCGACACAUAAUAUUUACCUUGCUAAUAAGAUUGUUAUCAAGCAUCCAGUCGGUUGGAAUAUUAAACUCCUUGCACUGCCUCAUCAUAGCCUCUCUUGUCCUUAGAAGAUUGUAGACACCUCUCUCAGUCCUGAAUUAAGAAUGCCAAUCAAAUUUUCAGUAUUUUGUGCAACUUUAUGGGUAAUAAUUAUUAGGUACUUGCAUAUUUCAUUAUAUUUCGGUAAACUUGGACAUACUUUUCAGAUAGUGUAACCAUUUUCUUCAGCGCGAUUUCACAGGGUAGACGUGGAUCAUCUUUAUAGUUUGAAACUUCCGAUUCCAACUUCUUCAGGUCCUGGUAGCCAAAAGCUGCCUCUCGUAGAGUGUCUGCCUUCUUCUCAGGCCAAUCAAAAUGCUUCAACACUGCUCUCUCAUCCACCUGGGUGUAAGGCAAUUAAGUUAAAGGAAUAAUUUAAGUGGCAGCUCCAACUGAAAAUGAUUACUCAGAAAUGAGUGGGAUUGUAAUAAACAUACUAGGAAGCCAAGUUCAUCAUCUAGCCACUUCACAAAUGCAACCACAUCUUCGAUAUCUUUGUAGGCUGCACUAGUCACCUCCUUAAUCAAUGAUUUCACAAAUUCACCCUGAGUUUCAACAUCUGCCUUGAUCUGCAAAUUAAAUAAAAAGUUAAAGCACACAGUUAGUGCCAGAACCAGCCCCAUCAGAGCUAUUUGUAUGAUCACCAGAUUUCCAAUAAGCUAGACUGAGCUCACUACUUACAGCUUGCAAAUGGGACGAGCGGUUCUCGAUUUCACCAAUCAUGCUACUCCGCACAUUCGCAGAGUUAGCUGCUUCACAGAUUCCACCACUGGAAGUAUCCUUUUUGGUGUCCCUUCUCAUAAGUGAAUGGUAGAGCUCUGCGACCUGAGGUGCCCUCUUCAUGACCCCAGUACUUUUUGAGGAAAACUUUGGAGGAGGCGGUGGCGGCGGUGGUCGUGGUGGAUUUACAGUCGAUCCAUUUGAUGGACCAGAAUUUGACACGGAAACAGAAGGUCUUGGUGGAGGAUUAGGGAUGCGCAAUGCACGCUUUUCAACAUCCAGACACUGUGACUUGCAUACUUCUGGCUUGCUGAGAACAAAUCUUGAACUUUCAGAUCGACCAAAAUCAUACUUGUCCACAAGAAGGUCACGCUUCUCCCUGAUUGUAGGAUCCUUAUUACAGGCAAAUGACUCAUCUGUUGCAUCCAGAAGGCUGAUAAAGGUAUCAGAUUGCCUUCUUUUAAUGAUGUUGAAGUCUUGUGCACAUCCCUUUGGUCCACCAAGUGAAUGCCUACGUGUCGGGCUUCGUGCUUCUGCAGCUUCAAUCCACGCCCUAUCAAGAAGGGCUUCCUUUUUAGAUGCUUGGCAACUCUUAUCAUUCUGGGACCACUGCUUGAUGCGUUCUGCAAUGCUGAAUUUUAUAUCAGAACUGUCCUCAGCAUUUUUUGCAUCACCUUCACCACCAUCACCCUCAUUAAAAGCCAUGACACCAUUGCAAUCUAUAUCCGUCAUUGCUCUAGCUGCUUGAUCUGAGUUACAGAGCUCAUGGCGUAGACAUGAAUUGAUCCACCGAAGAUAAGCAAGCUCCUCAACCUCUGUUAGCCGACUCAUUUGCAAUCCCUCAACUUGCUUGCUUAGGUUUGCAUUUGUGUGCCUCAGCAACGAUGCCUCAGCUUGAACCUUGGCAACUAUAUCACUCUGGUGACAGUAUUUAAAGCACACGAAAGAAAAAUUAGUUGAAAUAUUUUCCAUACAAAGUACAAACAGAAAGAAUAAAGUUCAAGCAAUGGUACCUCUGCAUUCUUCUCAAGGCCAGCCAAUUUGGAUUCAGCUGAAGAGAGCUUAAUUGCAAGAUUUCGUUUCUGAAACUGUAGUUCUUUGUUUAACCGGCGUAGUUCAACAACUUCGAACUCCAAGUUUUCUGAAGGUGUAUUGUCCCCAUUUACACUAGGUAUCCGGUUGCCAUGGCCAUCUAACCUUACAUUUUCUUCAUGAUGUUCUACCAUAGAAGAUAGAGCUGAUAAUUGUUCAGAUAUGUUUGUUUUCUCAGCUUCUAAUGAAGUCUUCAGUCGUGCAAGCCUGUCAACUUCAUCCCUCAUAGAAUCAAGCUCCUUCUCAAGUUCUGAAACUUUUGGGUUUUCUCUGCAUUGCCGCAACUCUGACUGUAAUGCUAAUUCCCUUUCUUUCGACUCACGUAGUUGCUCCCUGAGAUGAUCCAACUCAAGAAAAAGAUCAUGGGAUGCUGGGGACCUAAUAUUGUGGCAAUCAAAGACAUGGGGGUGGACUUGAGCACCAGCAGGUGAACAAGGGAAGUCCCCGAUAAGGGAUCUUUUCACCCUAGAGUGGUACGGAAUCUGUUGGUUGGUCUGAUUGACAUUUUCGACAUUUGCAAGAGGUGGUUUUUUGCUUGCAAUUGCUGCUGUCUUCUUGGUUUUCUUGUCUGCUGUAAAACCUUUGACAAUUUGGGAACCCCAUGAGGAUCCAAACUUAGGUUUCAGAGAACUCGAAUUGCUUUUGGAGUCAACCCUUGAUCUGCAUGGCUUUGUUUGGUUGUCAAACAUGAUUUCCUCUUUCAUCUUUUCCCAGGGUUACCAGUUUACCACACUCCAAGCACCAUUCAGCACUGCACAUAAAUGAGGAAAGUUGUUGAUAUAUGUAGCAGGCAAUAUCACCACAAGAAAAAUAGAAAUAAAUAAUAUGGUCAGCUGAUUUGUGAAAGAAGUAGAGGAUUAUGUGCCCAUUUUCAAACUAUAUAUAUAGCCCCACAACAUCCAUCAAACUCAGUAUUCGGGCCAAAGGAGCUCUUAUCAGCAACUCUAUGUAUGGAACAGUUAAUACCGGAACAGACCAUUUAAGUUUUAAUCCGAAAAGCCUUCCCUUCUCUAGUCGCUCCCAUGAAUUUUUUAAGCCUGGCGAGAGCUGCACGGCAUUCCUUAGGGAUUAAAUUGACUACAACUAUCCAAGCACACUUAUGCGAAACAAAAGGAGAUUACACAGGCCUGAACAGUCAAGUUUAGCACUUUUGAGUAACCAUCUCAUUGUGAAUCGCUGGAUUCCAAAAUCUUUCUGGCAGAAGAAUAAAUAAAUAAUAAAGUUUUUGAGGUAAACCCAUGCUUUCUACUACUCCUACAAAGGAAAAGGAAAUGAGCAAGAAUAGGACAUGGAUACUGCGAUUGAGUCAGAUCCGGGUAAAAAUAGCUUGCAUUGAGGUUUGGGGGUGCCCCCCGUUGAGCACAGAAGGAAAGGAAGAGAGGGGACGGGCAUACCAGCAUAGUGGUCGUCGCCGGUGAACGGACUAGGAAAGGGGCGUCGCCGGUAGCCCAAUCGUCGUCGGCGGCAAUAAAGGAAGGCAAAGGGAGAGGGACCAAAAUUACAGCUAAAAAAGAUUGACACUGAAAUCCUCCAACCCCAACCCUAAGCAACUCAAAUCUGCAGCAUUCCACUCCACCAGAACGAACCUGGCUAUGCCGACAAAGAGCCCCGGAUCAGCUCAACCUACUUUAGCUACUCCAAAGACCGCAGCCACGACCGCGGUGGCCGCCGGCGUUUAGAAUACUGAAGCAACGAGCAACUGGCACUAGCAGUAGUGGCAGUGGCGCUCUAGUAGCCAAUAAAUAAAGAAGGAAAUCGCCCCAGCGCCCAGCGGAGUGUGGAGCCGUGGAGGAGGAGGAGGACGGAAACAAACAAGGGAUGGUGCUUCGGAUGCUUGCCUCGCCGGCUCGCCCCAAGACGGGGAGAGAGAGAAUCCGUCCGUCCCCCACGCGCGGAUUUUUUCAGUGGAUUCCUCCCGGGUUCCGAGACGCCACCGCGACCGCCUCGAGGUCUCUCGCUCCCCCCCGUGGAGAAGAGAGAGUGAGGAAGGGGGGUUUUGAAUUUUGAAAUCGGAGAUGGGGAAGAAAAAGGUGAGUAGCCGUAGCAUAGCUCCACUCCAGCACGCUGUCGCUAGCUGGGGGCAGAGGCAGAGCAGUGGAGCUUACUGACGUGUGGGGUCCUCCGUGUCCGGUGGUCGGCUUCGGCAUUUUGCCUGAUUUUUCGCUCCUGUGUCCGUCCACCUGUCCAUGUCCACGGUGUCACGCUCGGGAGCAACCACAAUGCUCGGAGCUUCACGACACGACACGGUAAGGAAAAAGUCCACACACGUUUCUCAACUUUUACGAAAAUCUAUUUUUCUUUUAAACUUUAAAACUGAUUAAAAUACCUCUCUUAAUUUUUAAAGUCAUUCAUCUUAUCAUCCUACCCUGGUUAAAAAGGUUUCGAAUGCGACUUUAUUUUUUUAUUUUUCAUUUAUUUUAACUGAAUCUUUAAUAAAAUCAUAGUAAAACAUAGAAAAUUAUAAAAUAAAAAUCUAUUUUUCUUAGACUUUACAUGAGUAGAUCUACAUAAUGAAUAUACAAUAUAAUAUGAUUUGAUAUAAAAUUUUGUUGUAGCUUUAGAUCUAUUCUUUUCUGUAAUUAAAAGGAAUAAUUCAUAGGUGUAGAUUCUAUUGUUCAAUUGUGGUGAAGUUUUUAUGGUAUGCUAAUUAUUGUAUACUUAAGCUGUACUAAAAUUCUAUACUCAUUAGAUUAUGUAUAACUUAGUUAUAGAUUUUAUUUAUAUUUAUACUUGUUAAAUAUAAAUAAAUCUAUAAAUAAACUAUACAUGAUUCAAUGAGUAUGAAUUUUUAACCAUAAUUCAGCCAUACAAUAGCUAGCCCACCCUAAAACUUUUCAUCGCAAUUGGAUCAUAGAAACUGCAGCUAUGAAUUAAUUACAGAAAAGUAUAGAUAUAAAGACACAACAAAAACUAUACUAAAACAUAUUAUAUUAUAUGUUUACUGUGUAGAUCUACUCACGUGGAUUCCCAUAAAAUUAGAUUUUUUUUUAUGAUUUUUUCUAUGAUUUACUAUAAUUUUUCAAAAAUUUAGUCAAAAUAAAUAAAUAAAAAAGAUAAAACCACCUUCAAAACUGAUUAUAACAAAGACCAACUGACCAAGGAGGCAAGAUGAACAGUUUUAAAAGUUGAGAGAUGUGUUUUGUCCAGUUUUAGAGUUUCGAAGAGGAAAAAGCAAACUUUUGUGAAAGUUGAAGGAGGUAAUAUAGACUUUUUUCCAACUUAAAAGACUAGGUGGAUAUCUUAAAAGGAUUCGAACUAGUUUAGAAUAUGUGAAAAAUAGAAACUUUUUGCUUUGUGGGCAACCAUGGUGAAGUCUUGCUUGAUAUUCGCCUCUUGCACAAUCAACAGACUAGUUAGGGCACUCACAAUGCAGACUCUAUCAUAGAGUCUAAAGUUAUUUAUUACCUCGAAUAAUGUGGACUUAGAGUCUAAAUAAGACUUGGAGUCUUAUUUUUUCUACCUUUUUCUCCAAUAAAUAUGCUGCCACAUCAGCAAAAUACCAUAAACAAUAUAUAAUUAAUUGUCUUGGACUCUGUGAUAGAGUCUUGCAUCGUGAGUGCCCUUAGACGCUACAAUGGAUGGUUCCAUUACUUACCUAUUUGGAUUUGACGCUCGCACUACCCAUUAAACUAGGCACUAGUGCUGACAAGGGGGUGGCGCCAUAGAUAGGGGUGGCAAUGAAGCGGAUGAAGGCCUUGUUAUCCAAAACUUUAUAAGAUUCUCCAUCACAUCGAAUCUUACACACAUGCAUGAAACAUUAAAUAUAGAUAAAAAAGAUAACUAAUUGCACAGUUUACCUGCAAAUCACGAGACGAAUCUUUUAAGCCUAGUUACUCCAUGAUUGAAUAAUGCUUGUCAAAUAAAAACAAAAGUGCUACAGUGUCAAAAUCCAAAAAAAUUUUGGAUCUAAACAAGGCCGACGUAUCCAUCGAUCUUAACCCGAACUCAAACUUAAAACUUGAAAUCGCCCAAACACCAAUUCGGAUGAAAAUCCAUCCAUCAUCAAAAUUAGCAGAUCCACAAAACCCACCACAAUAAGGAAUUGUUUGGCAACACAUGUAUGAUAUAUAUUACAUAUAUUCACAUGUAUAAAUAAGAGGCAACAAACAACAUACAAUUCUACGACUCAACUUAGAACAAACUUUGUAGCUUACGGACACAAUUUAUUAAUACAAGACAUGAGUUCUGAUUUAGAGUGGUGUAUUUGGGGUCACCAUUAGGAAUCCGUGGGUGAAACCAAAACCAAAGCCGAACUCAAGGCCCUGUUUAGUUUCCCAUCCAAAAUUUGAGGUGUGCAUUCAUGUAACCUUUUGGAGCCAAACUUUGUUGGAUGGUUCAAACUUUGUGCAAGACAAUGUAUUGUUAUCUAUGGAUUGAACUCCAUGUGAUGUAUGUGUGUCUAUCAUUAUGUGAUGGAACUUCAGUUUGAGUCUGGGUAUCAUAUAUGUGCUGGUUUGCAAUUGUGUUUUUUUUGUAUUUAUAUUGUCUGUUGGACUGUCUGACGCUGAAAUUGCUUGGACUGUUGGAUCAUCUGUCGCUGUAGGUAUGGUAACAGACUAUCUGCCGCUGAAAAAUAUCAAUGGACGGUCUGACGUAAAAUAUAUUCAGGACGACAGACUGUGUGACGCUAAAAGUAUGGUCUGACGCUGUAUGUUUUUAGUGUCAGCACUUACACCGUCUGCAGAAGUCUGACGCUAUAUGUUUUUAGCGUCAGACCAUCUGACGCUGUAGCCACUUUUAGCGUCAGAUCAUCUGGCACUAAUUAUGGUGUUGUGGUGUAGUGCGACACAUUCGAUGUGGCAUCCAAAAAAUUUUCAUCUCUAAUCUAAACAGGGCCUAAGUUUUGGGUCUCCAAACUUGAAAAUCGAGUUGAAAAUUGCUCCCUCACCUGCACCUGUUGGACCUGAAAAUCAAAAGGACCUAGCUCGAAACUGCCCCAGUGCAAUCCCUAAGUGUAGAUGCUUGUCGGUUGUUUUUUUGGAUGAAGCAAGUUCGCCUUGCAAUGGUAGGGCCAAAGUGUCAAGAGGAAGGACUUGAUCGUUCUAUUGGUGACGAGGAAGAAAGCGGUGAACAUAACCAACUCACCGUAGGACUGGGUGAUGAUAGUAUUGACUUAUGCAUCAUAGAUUAGCUGGUUAGGUUAUUUGUGAUAGAACCUUACCAACUGAGUUCAAGUUCUCGACUUGACACAGGUGUUUGUAUUUUUCUUGACUUAUUUUAAGAUUUAACGGCGCUGGCGACGUGUCCGUCGACAGCGAGGGCCUGUGGUGACUUCGUAAAUCUUGAGAUUUGCCAGUCCAACUCGAUUCUUUGGAGGUGCUCAUAGAGGUAGGAUGUGCAUGCGUACAUUUAUAGGGGUGAGUGUGUAUCUGUGUAUGCGAACGUCUGUGUUUGUAAAACUAUAUUCUUUUGAGAUAUCAUGUAUGAGCAGGAGUCAGUAUAAGACAACACGAGAAGGGAGACGGAGGUAGGGUGGAGAACUAUAGAUAACAUGCACACAGGAAGAUGAGAGAAUUCUCUAUCGUGAUUCCUUGUGAGCCACUUAAAAAGUUCAACAGACUUCAGUGCCACUACUCUAAAUUUUUUUUGCCCUCCAGACCACUCAAAACCGUAGGUGUGAAAAGUCAACAAUACCCUUAGGUGUAAAUAUGCUAUUAUUUUUUUGAGCAUCUUAACGACUUCAAAUGAAAAAACUCAAAACUAGAAAGUUGUAGAUCUUGUCAAAAUCUACAAUUUUCAUAUAAAAAAUAUUUUCAUUUAAUUUAGCAAAAAAAGAUUUGUUUUGAUAUGGUUAAAAUAUAUCUUAGAAAAACAUAUCUUUUUUGCUAUAUUGAAUGAAAAUAAUUUUUAUAUAAAAAAUAUAGAUUCCAAUGAGAUUUACAACUUUUUAGUUUUGAGUUUUUCUAUUUAAAGUCAUUAAGAUGCUAAAAAAUUAACAUCACAUUUACAUCUAUGGUAUUUUUGACUUUUCACACCCGUGGUUUGACACCGUUAGAGCCUAAUCUAACGGUAGUGGCCUGGAGGCAAAAAAAAUUUUUAGAGUAGUGACAGUGAAGUCCAUUGAACUUUUUCAGUGGCUCACAAGGAAUUGUGAUCUUUUACAGUGGCUCACAGGAAAUUCUCUCUAAUUUUCCUAUUUUAAUAUUAUGGAUAUACUCUCUCUCCGCCAAGAAGAAUAUAAUUUUAGAUUUGAGAGUAGUUAAACUUUCUCAAGUUUGACCUAGAGAAAAUAUCAACAUUUAUGUCUUUAAAUAGUUUUUUGAAUUACACAAGUACAAAUGUAAACACUCAAACACACGCACACUCGCUCCCUAUGAAUACACGUACGGAAAUCCUAUCUUCAUGAGCACCUCCAAAAGACUAUGUCGGCACAUCUCGAGAUCGACGAAGUCAUCCCAAGCGCCUCGCUGUCAACGGAAACGUUGCCUACCACUGAAAGCACAACACCGUUAAAUCCUAAAAUAAAUUUAGAAAAAUACAAGCAUACAUGCCAAAUCGAGAACUUAAAUUAUAACAACUAUUUCAUAAUAAUCAAUCUAAUGAACUUAUUUGAUAUAAAAAAUUUUAGUACUUUUAGUAGAGGUGGUCAAAGUUUAAAUAACAACUUUUAUGAGAAUUCUAUCUUUUUUUGAUAGAGGAAGUACUAGCAAACAUGCAUAAGCAUUGCAACGGAACAUACACUUUGUUGGGCGAUUAUUUGAAUGACUUGUGGCUUGGAUAUUUAUGUAAUAGAUGUGUCCUCUGUUCCAACAUGUAUGGGAACUAGAAUCCUGUACCAUUGUUGGAUACACAAACAUGUGCGGUUUUAAUUUUUAUGAGCAUGGGUCGUGAGUUUGGAUCUCAUAGGAGACAAUGGAGAUACUACUAGAAUCCACAAAAUCGGUAUGGGAAUAUGUUCCCUAGAAUUUUUCGCAGGAGAAGCCUCCUAAGACAAUUUCAACCACAGUUUGGAAAGAUGGUUCCCCUAGGGUUUCUUUAAUUUUCUUAGCAAAAAUUUUAAACUCUAGGGAAACCAAUAGAUUUUAUAAAAAAUGGAUGGAAGAAUGACUUGGUUAUAUAAGGCCAGUCUCAAUGGAGUUUCACGAAGGGUGUCAUGCACAUUAAAUAGUCUGCCACAUCAGCAAGAGCACACUUUUUGUAUGAAACUGGGAGGAGAGAGAAUGGAAAAGUUUCACCAUGGUGAAACGAACGUCGGAAACGGUGUGAAACCCGCGUUGAGAGUCGUGAUUCGUUUCAUCCCAUCGGUCUUCUUCGACACCAGCCCCGCGGACUCCGCCUCUGACGCGAGCCACCAUCCGCAGUCGCAGUCCGCCGAUCUGCAGUCGCUGCCUCCAUCAUGGCCAUGAGGGCGCGUGCAUCCGCACGCGACCGCGGAUGCCUCCCAGCGCGGCGAGCGUGAGCGCCGGGCAGGCUCCACCGCGCCGGCUCCUUCUGGCCUCGAACCAACCGACGAUGCGCCGCCAAAGGCCAACUCCUCGACGAUGCACAGGGCGGACCGCGGGUGCUGCUCGUCACGGCGACUCGUACCUCCUCGACGACACGCGGGGCGGACUGUCGUCGUGCAGAAGAGGCAACGUGCAACCAUGGCGAGCGGGAAGGCCAGGCGAGGGCGAGGGCGAGGGCAAGCUGCUGUCGGGCGCGGACCGGGAGAGCUGCUGUCGGGAGCGGACGCGAGCGAGCUGCCUUCGCUGCUGCCGGUCGUGGCCCCGCUGGCCACGAUGCCAUGAAUGAACAAAUAAAGGAAGUGGAGAAAAAAAGAGAAACACGUCAGAAGUUCGGAGAACUUCAUCUGAUGAUGAACACUGAGCUAGUCAGGCGGCGGUGAGUACGGCUCGGGAAGACUAGAAAAAACGGCCGCGAGGCGAGUUCCCCGACGUCGUCCGCUGGGCAUGGCUCAGCUGGCCGCGAGAGGGGAAAAGAGAACGAUGGGACCCACAAAAGUUUAGAAUAAUAUAUGAAACCGUGCUAUGAAAUUACACACUGUGGAGAAAGAUAUGUUCCAAGUUAAGUUUCGCAUCUUGGAAACUGGAAAGGUGAAACCUUCCAUUGAGACUGGCCUAAGAGGAGAAAUUAGAUGUAAGAUAUAUAUAUGUUGGAUCAUGUGGUUAUGCUAUUGGUCAUGUAGGGAUUGGAUAAGAAUCGGCCACCAACCACAGACAUAUGCAUGUUUAUAUGCAAUUGAAGCAACCCAUGCCUUCUUUUUCCAUCUUGUUUUUUAUUGACAAAGUGACAUUUGUUGACAGGUGACCACUGAGUGACGACUUGUAUAUUUUGGUUCGGUAGUGGAAAUGGACUAUGCAUGCUCGACAAUGAGUACAUUUAACCAAUGGGUUACCAGACUUGUACCCCUAUACUAGGAGUAGGAUUAUCAUGACUCAUGAUGAAUUGAAUGAAAGGUGAUUGGCAAGCUUAUUGGGUAGAGCUAAGAAUUAGUCUGAUCCAAAUUCGUAAUUCACAACUGAAUAUUUCAAGCAACAGUGAUGUAAACAAUGUUCUUCCCCAAUUAUUUUGUGGCAUCCCAUGGAAGGAACACAGAUGCAUGGCCAAGAUAUAGAUAGUACUUUUAAAAAAUGUUUCUACACUUCGAGAUAAUGUUUCUCUUAUUCUAGUUAGCUCAACUCAGAGAACAAAAUGUUUUUUAUACUAACUUUGUUGAAAUGGGCUCGGGUCCCAGCAUGUUAGUGUUCUUUGUACCUUAUGUUAAAGUAAAUUCUUCUUUUUUGCCUCACAAAGGUUCCUUUCUUCUAGUGAAAUUCUUCGAGUAUAUAGACUAAUAUAAUUUAAGUUUUUUUCUUUUGCGAGUGGUAUAAUUCUCUGUCUACUUGAGCUUUUUAGCAAAUGGAAUUAUAGUUAGGCCAAGAUGUGUCUUUAGAAUGAAGUAAGUUCUCAAUUUCAUGCGGGUCAUUGGAAAUUUAGAAAAAUGCUGUUGCUACUGUAGUGUUAUCUUUUGGGCCAGGCCGACUCCAUUUGCUAGUUGCAGCCCGAAAUGCAAAUAAGCACCAGUAUAAACUGGGAAUAUACUCUCAAAAAUAUCAUUAGGAAUAAAGGCAUAGUUAAAGUUCUAGGACAUGAUCGAAUACAGUAGAGAUUAGAAUCACACUACAGUUUAAUUAGAAUUUUAUAUGAACAUAAAAAUAAGACUACCAAAUUUCAUCUGGAGGACUCUUACAAAAAAAUCAACAGGAGGCAAAUUAAUUCCAAGAAUAAAAAGGGAACAAAACCUGAUGACCUCACAAAAUCAAAUAUCUCAUCUUAUGUCUAUUGGCUUAGAUAGACACCUCAGUCUGAACUAACUUAUCACGUGCGACGUGGUAAUUCUGCUAUGAUGGUAGAAAAUAAUUCACUCUGUUUGUUUUAACCUUUUAAAGCCAGAAGAUGACCAUUUCUAAGAAUUUAGGCGACACCAAUAUAACCUAUUACCAACGGAAUGAUAUAAUUGGGGGCAACACAUAAUGGCUGCCUUGGUUUUAUCUUACUGUCUUAACAUGUCAGAAAGCAAAACAUCAUGUAAUAGCCUACCUAUGAGCGAAAAAGAAAGUAACAACAAUAAGUAGGCAAAAAGCAUCGAUCAAGAUUCAAUACGAUAUAUUUAGAUUUACAUGUUUUGUCCGGAAGACAUGUGUUGUACGUACAUUUCUUUCAGUAUAUAUACUAGGAUGGAUGUGACAUAUAGAAGCUCUAUCUACAAAUACCUUACUUAAGCUAUGUGAGAAACUACCAUAGUAAUAAAAAUCAUGCUCAAAAUAGCAAGUGGUUAUGUGACUACCAUCAAAACAAGCUUAUUAACCAAACCUAUACUUCAGAUAAAGUGGUGAUGGAGUUUUAAGCUAUGUAAGAAGCUACCAUGGUAGUACAGAUCAUGCUCAAAAUAGAAAGUGGUUAUGUGACACUACUACAUGAAAAAAUUUACCGUGGCGGGCUAAAAUGCUUAACUGAGGCAGUUUUUCCAACCACCUCGGAGCAAAGGUCAUGGUUAAUGUGACCUUUUGCGAGGCGGUUGGAUGCGCGCCUCGGUUAAUCAAAUAAAAAGAAAAAAAACCCAGAGGGCUUGGAUCUGGGCCUCUUGCCCUACCGCUAGGGGAGCCAACUCUGCGUAUGCAUCGGCAGCUCGCUGCGUCCAUGCCCGCUUUGCCACCACGAAGAUCCACCGCCCACUGCAGUACAUCCGUCGCGGGUGUGGACGACCUCACGCACUGCCGUGGGUGAAGGCCUCCAAGCCCUGGACUGCGCUGCCAUGCCCUCGGCCCCGGAUCCGCGCCACCUGAGGACCUUGAGGCAGAGGGAGGAACUCCUUGCUGCCUAGAUCCACGCCGCCAGAGGAGACGGAGGAGCUCCUCGCCACGCCGUCGGUGGUGCUUGAGGGAGGACGGAGAAGCGUCGCCGCGAUAGGGGGCUCUGCCACCGAAUACGAAGGAGAGGAGGAGGGGCGUUAGAGGGAAGGGGUGCGGUCAAUGGGGAGGGGCGCUCAGGUGUCAAGUUUUGCGAGGAGGGGAAGUGAAGGGCGUCGGGCGUAUGGCGUCGCGAGCAGCCAAGGUGAGAGAGUGCGGGUGCGGCUGAGGAAGUGAAGGUGAAACCCUAGGUCUAGUAUAUAUAUGUGACCUUGAAAUUGGGCCUCUUGGGCUGGCAGGCUGGGCCAGAUUUACUGAGGCGGGUGGAGUUAUAAUACCCGUCUCGGUUAAUGAUUUUACCGAGACUGUUAUGUUAAGAUGUCCGCCUUGAUUAAUCAAUUUUGCGAGGCAGUUUAUGUAACCGCCUCGGUUAAUAAAAAAUGACCGUCUCGGGCGGUUGAAAUUUUUGCCCGCCUCGGAGGGUGUUUCAAAAGAUCACGGUAAAUCUUUUUGUAGUAGUGUGAUUACCAUCAAAACAAGCUUAUCUACCAAUCCCAUACUUAAGACAAAGUAGCCAUGGAGUUUAAGCUAUGUGAGAAGCUACCAUAAUAAUACAAAAUCACGCUCACAAUGGAAAGUGGUAUGCGACUAUCAUCGACAAGCCUAUUAACCAAUCCUAUACUUAAGAUAAAGUCCUCCAAAUAUAUUCCAUAGUUAGAGCAACUCUAGUGUCAUCUAAAAGUGAACUGUGGGAAGCAAAAAGAGAUCUAGAACAUUGGAGCAAUCAAACAUUGGGCGUUAGACCAAAAAGCGUAAUUUGUAGACGAGCCAAAUCAAGAAGAAAAAAAAAUCAUGCCGGGCAUGUCACCCCUCACGAUUCUUUUGUCCCCAAUAUGACUCAAAUAGAGAUGAUUUUUUAGUUCUAUUUGUGUGCAGAAGUCGAUGUGCACAUUGAAGGCAACGAACUUUGCUUUUAUUCGAUUCCACAGUUCGACACGAUGUUUUGCAUAAUUAAGUUGGUAUUUGUUGUUGUUUGCAAACUCUCAGAACAAAAUGCAAAGUCUAAAAAUAGGCCAUCUCUAAGGGUUUUACAUAACUGAGUUGGCAAUUAGCCAAAGUGGACCCGGUCGUGAUUUUUUUCCUUCGCGCGCGCUCGCGAUCGUCUUCCCACACGCGACUUUCCUUCGCGUGCAUAAAGUCGCCGCCGGUUCUCGUGUUUUCCUCACAGGUCGCGCCACCAGUUCUUCCUGCUCCCCACCGCUCGUUGUAGGUGCCACCGCGACGACUCAUAUCAGACUCGUUGCAGGUGCCGCUGCGGUGCCAGCCCGAUGGAUGCAACCUGCCUACGUACCCGGAUCAUCUUCCUGCUCUGCUCGUACAUUACCGUUCUAUGGCUUCGAUAGAUUGCCGAUGCACUGGUUCAUCAAUUUUAAAAUUCAUUUGAUUCAAUUCGGUCCUACUCUUCUGGCUUGUAGCAGAUGACGGCGAUGGUGUUGCUUGCGGUCGCGAUAUAUGGCGCGAAGAAAGUCCAGGUCGCGCGGGGGACCGGGAGACGCGCGGUCGGCCUUUUGCCAAGCCGUGCGCGGCUUGGCAUAUAUGCCAAGCUUGCUCUCUCAUUUGCCAAGUUGCUCAAAAUGCAAACUCUAAAUGCAAAACCAUUGGAUACCUCUUUUGUGAUUUUUGACAAAUUACAAGAAUGCAAAGUCCAAAUGCAAAACCGUUGGAGAUGCUCUUAGAGGUGCUCUUAGGCUAUCUCCAACAGCCUAUGCAUCACGCUAUCCAUAUCCAAAAUGUCUGAUCACAGUGAAAAAGCACUCCCAACAGAGUAGGCAAAGAGAGGACCUAUUUUGCGUCAUGGUGAGAGGAGACUCAAAUAUGCAUCUCUCUCUCCAUGACCCAAAUCUGCAGCAUCGAUCAUGGUGGGCCCGCGACAGGGAUCUGCCGCACAGCGAGGCGCGGUCGGUCCACCGAUGAGGACAGCGAGGCGGGCCCGUGACGAGGAGACGACGGCGAGGCGAGGCGCGGCGGGCCUGCGGACAACGACGGCGAGGUGGGUCCGCGACGGGGAGCCGCCGUCACGACGAGCGUGGUUGUCCCGCAGACGACGACGAGGAGCCGCCGGCGCAGACGACGAUGGCGAGGUAGGUCUGCAGAGGGGCGAGACUGUCUCGGCAGGGAGGAAAGGAAGCUCGGCGAGCGCGGCCGUCUCGCGCAGAGAAGGAGGGAAGCUUGGUUCUAGGCACAGUGGAGAGGGAAGAGAGCAGCGCAUGCGGUUCUGUUCGAUGGGAAGGAAUGGGGCGGCACAUUCAGUGGAUCUGCUCUCCUUUUAGGUCGGCUGUUGGAACACGAAAGAUUUGGUGUGUGUGACCCUUUUCUCCUGCGUGACCCAAAUAAACCGUAUGGAUCUCAUAUAUGGGUGAGGACUGUUGGAGACAGUCUUAGAUGAAGAUCAAUUCACAAAUCCUAUCCCUGGACCUGAACGUCACAGCCCACGACUCACAAACCAUGGGCCAUGGCCCGCAACUAACAUCCUUUUCCCCUAACCCAAGCAACCUCAUAGUCGGUCCCUAUUAGUCAUUGCCCCACCGAUCACUUGCUCCCGUCAUUUUUUCGAAACACUAUUUUACACUCUAUUCCUUAUACUCAAUAGUUGAUAUAUAUUACACGCUGUAGUUUAUCCCUUAUACUCAAUGAUCAACAUAUACUACCUUGCAUACUCUAUCCCUUAUACUCAAUAGUCGACACGUCGUCGCAACCGUGGUGUCUAUAUAUAUGCCAUACAUAAAGCUAUUCUUAACUUUGAUGUUUACCUCUUCUCCCAAGCAAGGACCAUCAUUCUCAAGCAUCAUCAGACGAAGAGAGGCCAGGAGAAGAGAUUAGGAAAAGAACCUGUGAGAAUUAGUGGGAGAGAUCCACAAGGAAGGUACUGGCGUCGCGUACUCCCCCUCUCUCUCUAGUCGACCCCUUUGUUUUCUCUCUCCUCUCUCCUCUCUCUCUCUCUCCUGGUGCUGCUGCCUGCGCCUGCUGUGUGUGUGUCCCUCCCCCCUGCCAACCCUUUUCUAUUCAGUCGGUUCCCCUCUCCUCUUCCCCCAAGCCAAACACCACCACCCCUCCUUCCUCCCCACACCCCCUCUCCCUACGCCUCCUCGCCGCUUUCCCCACCCAAUCCGACCGCCGGGCCGCCUCCUCUCCGCCGGGGCGGGCGAUUCCCCGGAGAUUCCGCGCGAUUCGCCGCGGAUUCGGGGCUCCUCCGGGGGUUUCUCGGCGAAUCGGCGGGGAUCGGGACUUCCCGGCUGGAGGUCAGGCCCCCCCUCCUCCUCCCCUCCGAUCGCUAACCCUCGCUGCUUCGUGCCCCGCCGCGUGGGGGCGGGGGUUUGCCCGGUUACUGCCCGCGCCGCCCUGUGCCUUAGGUGCGAUGAACAGACGAGUGAACUUUUGCUUCUACAUACAACUGGGUGCUGGGUGGGGUGGGGGAGAGCGAUUCCGUGAUCGGGGCGCCUUCUGCUGCGUGUCCUUGCCCGAUGUGCGGAGUGGGUUGCCGAGGGGUGCGAGUCGGCUGCGGGUUCUCCUGGUGGUUAAUUAAGCAAGUUGCUAGUAAUUGCACGAGUAGAUUUACCUGUUGCUGUUAAUGACUCUGUGCUGCUGAUCCAUUUGUUAGUUAUAUAUGCUUUGGUGGGCAAGGGAUGCGUGUCCCCCAGUGCGUGGAAUCUUCGGUGUGCAAGGAAUGGAAUGGUGUCUGUGGGAAGUAGCAUUACAGAGGACAGAAGAGGGCUGAUGCUGGUGCUAGGAAGUAGAUGUUGCGUGCCUUAUCCUGUACUGAUAUGGACAAAAAUAGGUUUGACUGGAUUGUUGGAGACUUUGGUUUACCUAAGCAUGCCACUCUAGCAGCAUACUUCUUGUUUGUACCAAAGUUACAACAGAACUGCAACUUAUGCAUCCCUAUGUCGAAUGUGCUUGCAGUACUGAUAACUUUACCAUCUGUAGGUGUUGCGAUUAGAACAGCUGUAGAACUUUUUCGCUGUUUCGAAGGCUGGCUGAUACUGAUUGGCAUAUCAGUCAUUCAAUAUGCACAUUCCUUUUAGUAUGUUCUAUUCUAUUAUUUGAUGAAAUCAGAUCAUAUCGUCACCUUUGGGUUCAAGUAUUAGCAGUAAUCACCGCUAACCAUUGGUGGUUUCUCCAACUACGUUGGUUGCCAAGCAACGUAGUUGGAAUGGCUACAUUGUAGCAAUGUUCUUUUAGUUUAGUGGUGCCUGGCACAAGAUAGUGUUGUCAUGGCUUUGCUUUGAUGUGAGCAUCCUAAUUUUUGUCACGCCUUUGAUUACACUGUGGGAUACGCUGCCAAGCAAUCAGACAAUUCUAGAUUGGCAAGGAAUCAUAUCUUGAUACCUUUAGACAUGAGGAUUAAUGACAAGAUCUAUGGCCCCCUUUGCUUAGUAGCAAAUGGGUGUUUUAUCCUCUUUGUCAAGUGAGUCCUAAGUCUGAGGCCAGGAUGAAUUUUGUAGUGGGGCUGGGGCCAAUUAUUUCAUGACUCUCACUUUUUAAUUCCUUCUCUGCAGAAUCCUCCAUCUGUUUCGGUAACUAUUUGGAACAAUUUACGUGGAGAUUGCAUACCAUCACCUUCCCUGAAGUGAAAAAUAUAUGGGCUGAUCGUGGCAUUUCAUGGGAGGUUUUGAAGAUGAUGAACCACCCUCAAAACGCGCAAGAGCAUCCUCAGUAGAAUCUGCAAGUUUACCAGAUUAUUUCUCGUUUUCGAAAUCCGUCAAUCCUUUGGGAAGUACAAUGGCUAGACCUUUGCCUUCCCAAGGGAAAGAAGUUAUGGUUGGUUCCAAGGGUGUUAUUAAGAAGGAGGAAUUUGUUAGGAUAAUCACCAAAACUCUGUAUAGUCUUGGAUAUGAAAAAAGUGGAGCAGUUCUGGAGGAGGAAUCUGGGAUUAUUUUACAUAAACCUAUGGUGAAUCUUUUCAGAGAGCAGGUGAUUGAUGGGAAUUGGGAUAAUGCGGUGGUUACCUUGAAUAAGAUUGGCCUUCAAGAUGAAAACAUCGUGAAAUCUGCGUCAUUUUUGAUAUUGGAGCAGAAAUUCUUUGAACUUCUAAGAAAUGACGAUGUCAUGGGUGCUAUGAAGACUUUACGAUGUGAGAUCACACCCCUUGGUGUUAAUAGAAAAAGAGUGCAUGAACUGUCGACUUGUAUGAUUUCUUGUUCUCCACAGCAGUUGUUCCUUGGUUUUUCAAAGCUUGGAAUUGAUUCUUCUAGUUCUCGGUGGAAGCUUCUAGAGGAAUUGCAAAAGGUGCUCCCUCCAACUGUGAUGGUGCCUGAGAGGAGGUUAGAAAAUUUAGUUGAGCAAGCACUUACUGUACAAAGGGAUGCUUGCUAUUUCCAUAAUUCUGUUGAUGGGUUGUCCCUCUACACUGACCAUCACUGUGGGAAAGACCAGAUACCGUCUCGCACGCUACAGGUAAAAAAGACUCUGGUACCUGCUUCGGUGUUUGCUUGGAGCGCUAAAACCCCACAUAAGUGCUAGUUCUGUGUCUGCUGGUCAGCCACUUAUGUACUGUAUUGAUUUGUCAUUUGUAUGUUAUUUAAAACACCUCAGUAGUUCUUUUUUUGUUCUGUAUUUCACUUCCAUUAGCUAUAUUUGGAUUAUGAUACACAGCAAUUUGAAUGAAAACAAUGGAAGUCCCAUUGUUGAUGCUGUAAUUUGCAAAUCUGAAGUCAUAAUCCAGCUUUACAGCAUGUAUGUAGACCACUUAAGCUUCCUUCUACCUUCCCCCUUGCUCCAUCUCCCUCCUUGUUCUCCCCACUUCUCACCAUUUGUUGCCAAAUAAUAAUUUCAGUUUACUGCAGAGGGUUUUUUUUCCUGAAAAAAGGUUGAUAAGAGCUGGGAGUGCCACUCAUCUUUGCACUUCACAAAAAUAUUGUAUUAGCUAUGUUUUCUUUGUUAAGAAAUCAUUCUUUCACUUGCAGUAAAAUGAAUAGAAACUUGCGACUUGUAUUUUGCCGUACAUUGUUGUCACUUUUAGCUGGAUGUGAAAUGUUAGAGAACUUGGUUAUCAAGACUAUUUUUUUCCUAGUAGCUGCAUAUCUUGAAGUUCGAUGCUUUGAAGUUCACAAGUAAAAAAAUUGUUGCAGGUUUUGCAUGCACAUCACGAUGAAGUGUGGUUUAUCCAGUUUUCAAACAACGGAAAGUAUUUAGCCUCAGCGUCAAAUGAUAAAUCUGCAAUUAUAUGGGAGGUAAACUUGUGAACCACUGAACUUAUGUUUCCAAAGUCUUCUUUUCUCAUGGUCUGCGACUCUGCGUACAAACUGGGUGGCCUGUUCCUUAGUUCCUAUUUUAAAUUUCAUGUCAAGAACUGAACUUGUCCAACCUUACUAAUGCUUUUCAUCACCUGUUCUUUAUUUUUUUUACCAAAAGUUGACUUUCAAAUCCAUUGUUAUUUUCAAAACAAAGACAGAAGUCUGCCAUUUCAUAUUACAUUUUUUCCACUGAAAGCCUACUGCUUAUUACUCCGUCAGUUCCAAAUUAUAAGACAUUUUGGCUUUUCUAGACACAUUGCUUUUACUAUGUAUCCAGACAUAGUGGUAUAUCAACAGUCAUUGUACUCCCUCUGGUCCAGUUUAUAAGGCACCUUCUAACAUGGUCUCCUAAAUUACACUUUGACCAUUCAUUUAUUUUAUAUUAUAUUAUUUGUUAUAAACUUAUGAUCAUUGGAUAGUACAUUUGAUUACAAAUCUUAUCAAUUUUGUUUUACAAUGGUUAAAAAUUCAGUCAAAUUAUUAGUCAAAAGAUUAUAUAAUGACUCUUGACCUACACAAAAUGCCUUAUAAACUAGACAGGAGGGAGUAUCUAGAAAAGUCAAAACAUCUUAUAAUUUGAAAUUGAUGGAGUACAUCUUGUAAGCUCCCUAGCUUGAAUACUGGCACUUCUGUAUGUUCUUGUUGAUCAUGAAAGUGUCUGUCCCCACUAUCUUACGGUUGCACUGCAGUAAGUUGGGUUGUAAUGGUAAUACAGGUAGAGACUUCAAUCGCGUAAUUUGCUACUGAUAAAUGAAGCUUUAGUUUUUACUUCUGUUUUGUUGUUAUUGACCAUGCUAUGCGGUUUACUUUUCCUCUUUUUUAUCCCUUCAUGAAUUAAUCUUUUCAUUUCGUAGGUUGAUGAAGAUGGAGAGCUAUUACUGAGGCAUACAUUGAUUGGUCAUCAGAAGUCGGUGAUGAUGGUCGCAUGGAGCCCUGAUGAUUGCCAGCUUCUCACAUGUGGGCAGGAAGAAGCCAUCAGACGCUGGGAUGUUGAAUCUGGCAAAUGUCUUCAUGUUUAUGCAAAGCCUGUUGGUUUGAUAUCAUGUGCUUGGUUUCCAGAUGGAAAACAAAUAUUGUCUGGUCUAGCUGAUGAAAACUUUUGCAUUUGGGAUUUAGAUGGUAAUGAAGUAGAUUGCUGGAAAGGGCAGAGAUCAACAAGAACAUCUGAUUUUGCUGUAGCAAAAGAUGGAAAUCUUAUAAUAAGCAUGAGUAGGGAGAGCACAAUUCUUCUAUUUGAUAGGGAGACAAAACAAGAGAGGUUAAUUGAAGAGGGUAGUACAAUUACUUCAUUUUCUCUAUCAGAAGAUGGUGAUUUCCUGCUUGUAAAUCUUAUAAGCGAAGAGAUUCAUUUGUGGAACAUAAGAAAUGAUCCUGUUCGAGUCAACCGGUACAAGGGCCAUAAGCGCAACCGGUUUGUGAUAAGGUCUUGUUUUGGUGGAUCUGAGCAGGCGUUCAUUGCUAGUGGGAGUGAAGAUUCACAGGUAUGGCGAUUGCCUUGUGACCCACCUAAUGGCUAUAGAAUCGAUAUUAUGUGUGCACUUACCUUUGUUGUCAUUGUUUUUAUUAAUAUGCACUGCUCCCAGACACAUGCUGUUUUAGACAAUUAUAUUUAUUGUCAGAUGAGUCAAAUCUAAUGGAGAGUGCAGCUAACAUGUUUGUCAUUUGAACCGUCCUCAUUGCAUUACAUUAUUCUUUUAUAUACGAUAAAGCAUUCAAACAUCCUGUGACACGGAAAUCAUUGGCUAACUCGGGGACGCUCUUGCAACUGGCGCCUAUGUCUAGGCCGGUCUCAGAUUUAUUAUAAUUUAAUAUGCAUGCCUAAUUGCUUAUGGCCUUGUUUAGUUUCGAAUUUUUUUUGGGUUUUGGUACUGUAGCACUUUUGUUUUUAUUUGGCAAUUAUUGUCCAAUCAUGUACUAACUAGACUCAACAGAUUCAGGUAAACUGUGUAAUUAGUUUUUAUUUUUGUCUAUAUUUAGUGCUUCAUGCAUGUGUCGUAAGAUUUGAUGUGAUGGGGAAUCUUGAAAAGUUUUGGUUUCUAGGGUGAACUAAACAAGGCCUGUCUGCACAUGCUAGUUUCCACCACUUUUCUUCUAUAGUUUCAUACAUUCGGCAUGCAGCAUAUUUGUUGACACUUUCUUCCAUGUCUUCUGACCAAAUCUUGCUGCUGAUUUAUUUUAUGCUAGGAGAUGCCACUAUAAAUACGUUGAAAUUAUCCUGUGUUUUUCAGCUGAUUGUCUUUUCUGAUGAACUAUUAUACUUCCAAGGGGUGUAAUGGAGGCAUGUAGUUAUGGCAUCCAUAUAUCUUGUAGGCAGUAGAAAAUAUGAUACUUUGCAUUUCAUCAGUAAUAAAAGAAGUAAAAAUGUUACUCCUGCCUUUCAAAUUGGAAGUUGUUUUUGUUUUUCUAGAUACAUUGCUUUUACUAGGAAAGUCAAAACGACUCACGAUUUGAAAUGGAGGGAGUACUUCUUAAAGUUGCAUUGGGAAACAUAAGAUUUAGCCUUUGCAAUGUCUAGAAGGCCUGUGGUUGGUUGGUCCAGCCCACACGGUUCAUUGCAUAUUUUCUUUUGUACCCUGCAAGGUAAUAAUGUGCAACACCUGGUCAUGUUUCCAGGUCUACAUAUGGCAUCGAGCCACUGGUGAUCUCAUUGAGACUCUUGCUGGUCACUCGGGCACAGUCAACUGCGUAAGUUGGAACCCUACGAAUCCCCACAUGCUUGCAUCAGCUAGUGACGAUCACACAGUUCGUAUAUGGGGGGCAAAGAAGGCCAGUCUUAAGCGCAAGGAUGUUGGGAGCAGCAACUGCAACAGUAACGGUUUCCACUCGAAUGGCAAUGCUCAUGGCAACGGUUUCGUUCACCAGUGCAAUGGGAACAGCACCAAAUGAUUGGCCAGGGCAAUGUAUCUCCAUGGAUGGUUAACUGGCAUCUGUAAAUCCCCCUUUCCUUUUACUUCCCUCCUGGAAGAAGAAUCGCCACCGCCAUAGUGAAAAAAAAAACAAAAAAAGAAAAAAACAAAGCUGCAGCACAAAGUGUGGGGAACCUGCUGGGUUUCGUGCGCCAUCUUUCCCUUGUUCCAUCAUGACUGUCAUCACAUUUAUUUCUUAAUUCAAGCUGGGAUGGAAUUAUGAUAUUGCUUAUGCAUCUUUCAUAUCUUGAUGUACCCUCCCUGAUUGAUUGUAACUGUAUUUUGGUGGUGAUGCUGAUGGUGGUCAAUUCCUCUGAUUGCAUUUUGCCUUGAGAAGAAACAAAUGUUGGCCUAGGAUGCUCCGCCUAAAAAAAUGGGAUGGAACAUCUUAUCAUAAAUUUAAAUAGAUUCAAUUAUUUGUUUCAAGGGAACAAGUGGUUUGUUUGCUUGCCAUAUUAUUCCUUGUAAGCAAAUAUCUAGGGUAAAUGGAAAUUUUGAAUAUUUUUCAAACCAAACAACUAACCAGUGUUCUAGCAUCAUUGAAAUAACUUGUGUGUUGUAGGUGAACUUUCUUAAAAAAAAACUGUUGCAUUUGAAGAUAUGAAAGUUGGGUAGGGGCAUUUACGGUCUGUUUGGUUAGGCUAUGGAGAAGUUGUGAGCUGUGAAAGUGAAAAAGUAGUUGUGAGUUGUGUGAAAAAAGUGGCUCUUUGGUUUAAAUAACUGAAAACCAAUCAUCUCUCUCUCUCUCUCUCCAAACAGCUGUAAAAUAUCUAUUUUCAUCCAUUUGGAAAAACUAAAAGGGGAGUUCAAGGUAUUGUGAAAAUUGUACUACGAGAAAGCAGCAACUUCCUUUUGUUCUAUCGUUUGGUUGGCUUUCUGCUUUUCUAUCGAUCAGCAGAAAUGUUUUCCAAAAGCUGAUUAAACAAAAACUUUACUAAAGAUGAACCUUGAGGCAGGUUAGGGCACGGCCAACGCACGCAGUUAAAUUUGUUAGCCUCGUGCAAAAGUACCAGUCUACAUAGAGACUCAGGGGGUGUUUAGUUAAAAAAAUACAAAAUGCAGAAUGUCAACUAUUUUAGAAUAGUAGAAUGUAAAAUGUUGAAAUUUUCUGGACAUGAUACCUUCAUAUAUGACCAUUGACUAUAAGAUGAGUUCAUUUCUAUAUUUGUAUAAUAAUUUUUGGUAUAAUUCACUUGGUUCCACAUGCAUAUAUCAUUAUUUGCAUGUAGGUAUGAAUGUGUCUCAAAGUGCAAGGUCAUCAAAGUUGAAUUUUUAGUUCGCUAACGGCCCGAUAGUGCUUUAUUGGGAAGGUCAUAACUCAUCCAUCUGGAAUGAGAUUGAGGUCAAUGAGCACUUGAUGGAAAGCUUGUUUGAUAAGCUUUCAAAUAGAUCUGGUCCUACCUCAAUAUCACAUCGGCAAAGCCUUCAAAUAGUUAUUAUAUUCUGUUGUUGUUUGUGCCGAGAGCUACAUCAUCAUUAUGGGUAUAUUUUUUUUCUUGUGACUCUAGUCAAGUGGGAGCACAUCUCAAGGAGAAGGAGAAGCCACAAAAGGAGCCCUUGAAUGUCCUCCUCUUUGCCCACCACCUUAGAAGGUCAGCAAAGUCGUUCAAGACAAGUCAGAGGCCCAAUCCAUAUCAAGUUUGAGUCCAUCUCGGGCUUCGGGACCAGCAUGAGGUAAACACAGACGUCCAGGACACAUCCGGACUCUGUUUUUGAUGAUCCAUAUAUGGAUGGAAAGAUAAUUUCAUAAGCUAACCAACGGCUUUGGUUUGAUGCCUAAAUUCCAUCGGCGUAAAGGGAAAUCGUCGAAACAAGUUGACAUUUAGAAUCCGUCGGGGCGUUACGUCGCCAUCUUUAGGGUUGUUGGGCCUUGUAACGUGUUAGACCACCUUAUGGACGUGAAGAGGAGUCCUUAGACGUCCCUUAGGCUAUAUAAUUAGUAGCCUCCACCUAUGUUAGGGUUUGGCUUUUGCUUAGAUUAUUUUGUCAAAAACAGUUUCGCCGUGAGAUCCUAACUCGUGAGAUUAAUCAUUCAUCUGCAAAUUGGUUGCAUUCUUCCUUGUUCUUGCUUGUAUUAUUCGAUUCGGAGGCAAGGAUUAGCCUUCUUGGUGAGGUCAACCGUGCAGCGCCGGUCGAUAACCAGAGGAGAUGUGGUGCUAAGGUUGCAGGGUUUGGAUCUUUGUGAUCUGAAGCCAGAUUGUGUGUCGUUCUCUGACCAAAUCGUUGUUUAUCUUGAAUCUGAUGGAAGAUCGGGACCCAUCCCCAUUAUUUAGUUCCAUCCGAAAUACAGAAUUCGUGCAAAAGUACCAGUCCACGUAGACUUAGGGGGUGUUUAGUUAAAAAAAUGCAAAAAGUCAACUAUUUUGGAAUGAUAGAAUGUAAAAUGUUAAAAUUUUUAGAGUCAUGUUUAGGUCCAUCUAAAAUGUAGAAUCUAUUGUCCCCAUGAGAGCCUCUUGAAGUUCUUUUUGGGUUUUUUAAGCCUCCUAAGGCCAAAAUCUACAAUGGAGAAUAACUAAUUUUUUACCAAAAAAUUUAUAUACUUCCUCCGCCCACGAAAGAAUCAAUUUCUAGGAUCCGUGCCAGUCAAACUUUUUAAAGUUUGACUAACUUUAUAGAAAAGAGUAACAACAUUUAUAAUAUAAAAUACACAUUAUAUGAAAAUAUAUUCUAUGAUGAAUCUAAUAAUACUAAUUUGAUACUAUAAAUCUUAGCAUUUUUUUCUAGAAAUUUGGUCAAAGUUUAAAAAGUUUGACUUAGGACAACUCUAGAAAUUGACUCUUUCGUAGACGGAGGGAGUAGUAUUUAGUUCCAUUUUACAAAAUGAUGGAUCAAAAUCUAAUUUUUUUUAAGAGAAAAGGGAAACUAAAAACCCUCCUAGUAAUCUAGUUGUACUAUUCACUCAAUCCUAACGUACUAUAGUUUGUGGUCCCAUGAAUUACUGUUUUCUUCCAUUGUCUUUAUACGUUAUGUUUCAGCUUCUCAACGCUGGCUGUAGCGGGUGUGUCUCAAACUUUUGUCAGAUGGGGAUGGGGAUAUUGUAGCCUCUUCAGGCACAUCUGAGGUUCUGCGCGAGGCCAUCAAUCGCUAUAACCUGGAUGGCUGACUCCGGUGUUAAUCGCUACAAUGUGGAUGGCAUCGUCGGCAACGGCUAGAUAUCGUUGGGGCACUUCAGUAUCUAACGUUGACAAGGCUAGAUAUAUCUUUCUUUCAUUCUCCCACAACGUUGCCUUAGAACACUGUGAAGAGCCUUAAAAUAGGGAUUGUUGGAUAUCUUGAAGGGCUCAAAUCAAUCGGGAUUCAAAAUAGGAAACACAAAUCCAUGUUGGUUAUUAGUGCCUUUUCAGAUGCUGAUUAGGCAAAAUAUUCUUUUGAGCAAUCUUGUGUCAUAUGGCGUGCAAUGAAACAAGCAACUAUCUCUAUGUCUAGAGCUCAUAAAGCUACAAUAAAUACAGCUACAAAUUAAGAUAGUGUGCAUUCACAAGCUUCUGCAUGAAUUGUGAAUCUCACAUCCGAAAGUAGCCUAUUAUAUUGACCAAAUAUUUAUAUUAUGUCAUUCUGGUCUUUCAUGCUAGGACAAACAUGUAGAGAUUAACUAUCGCGCUUUGUGGGAGGAUAAGGUCUGGUUGGAUGUUGGAGUAAAAUUUAGUUCAAGUUUGACUACAAUCCAUCCCAAACACAUGUGGAUUGAGAUGACUUCGACAUUCAAAGAAGAGCUGGAUCAGGCAACUUGAUAUAAGAUUCAUCGGCUCGACAAAUGUGCAUGUAAAUUGCCAUACAUCGGUAAUUAUAUUAUUACUCUUUUUUAAGGCGCAAGUCUUCCGAUGCAUAGAAGCUUAGACUUUUGGGGUCUAUUUGUACAUGUGUAACUAAUAAUUAGCUGCUAAAAUUAGCCAAAAAUCUAUUUGGAUAUUUAUCUAGUAAUAAGGUCCUGUUUGGAUCUCCUCUAAACCUAGCUCUAAAAAAUUUAGAGUAUUUUGGCUUAUUUUGAGGUGUAAAGCUCUAGUGUGAGAUACUGAGGUGGGAUAAAAUUUAGAGGUAACUUAAAACUAUCUAUUUGGAGAUUUUAGCUCUGAAGUUUAGAGCAGGAGAUCAAAAUAAAACCCUAAGUCUAACUAAUGUCUUACCUAUAACCUAGGUAACCAUUAUUGGUUUCUUUUAUCUAACACUGCUUAUAGCUAUCUGGAUGGAUCCAAAAAGAGCCUUAGUAAUUGAUUUUUUAUAAUUGCUUGUGUGGGACCCAUGCGGUGACACCUAUAACUCUUUCUCCUAGUGUUAUUAGAUUCAAACCACUAAAGUUUUUGAAAAUGAGUUAUUGGGCUCUGUUUGGAUCUAUUAGCUGCUGUUAAUUAGCUAGGUAAGUAUUAGUUGGUUUGCUCCAGUUAAUGACAUACUCCUUCUGUGCGCCCCCAAAAUAAGUGACUUUUUUUUUACUCACAGACAAGAUAUUUGAUCGUUUGUCUUAUUUUUUUUUUGUGUGUAAAUUAUAAAAUAAGUAAAUUAUUAUUAAUUAUCUCUAAUAAUCAAAUAGAUCAUAAUAAAAUAGAUAAUAUUUAUAUAAAAAAUUUGAACAAAAUGAAACGUCAAACAAAAAUGUUAAAGAAAAAAACGUCACUUAUUUUGGAGAAGGGGGAGUAGUUGUUAGUUGAAGCUUCAGUUAUGUGGAUCCAAACGAGCUAACUAUUACUAGUACCUAACCUAAUAUAUCACACACAGCUGUGUUCAAAGAACUUACUAUGGCUCAAAUGUUGCCGUCACUCUGGUUCCUGCCGGCCGGCUCCUACUGGGCCGGCUAUACAUGCCCAUCCGCACGCACUGAAAUUUUCGUCCAACAGUAGGGUACACCUAACACAAACAAGAUUUUUGACUGCACUUGUGCAAAUGAGAACGAUGCUGGAGUUUGGACAAAUCCAGCCAGUCCUUGUCACUUAUCAGUGACAACACAGAUGUCGCUACGUACCGCCACCAAUCUUGUUGUUUUGCUAUCCCUUGUCCAGUGCAAUCAUACAUAUACAAUCUCUCAUAUAUAUCAAUGGUCAUUAUAUGUUGGGAAUCCUUACAAGCAGAUAUAUAGCAGUGGCACCCCCUUGCAGUCUUGACAAGGUGUCAGGAAUUGAGCUUGGAAAUGGAGGAGUUCGCCCUGUGCCCAAAUCCUCAUUUCGUGGUCAUCCCAUGGCCAGUCACCAGCCACAUGAUUCCCAUGGUGGACAUCGCCUGCCUCCUCGCCGCGCACGGCGCCCCGGUCACCAUCAUCACCCCGCCUUCCUGCUCCCAGCUCGUCCACAGCCGCGUCGACCGCGCCCGCGCCGGGCAAGCUGCCGGCUCGGCGGGCAUCGGCAUCACGGUGACCGCGCUCCCGUUCCCUUGCGCCGAAGCCGGCCUGCCGGCGGGCUGCGAGAGGCUGGACCACGUCCCCUCGGUCGACCUCGUGCCCAACUUCUUCGACGCCAACGCGCAGUUCGGCGACGCCGUGGCGGACCACUGCCGCCUUCUCAUGGCGACGCCGACGCCGACGCGCCGGCCGAGCUGCAUCGUCGCCGGGAUGUGCAACACGUGGGCGCACGGCGUGGCGCGUGAGCUCGGCGUGCCCUGCUUCAUCUUCCAUGGCUUCGGCGCGUUCGCUCUGCUGUGCUGCGAGUAUCUCAACACGCACAAGCCGCACGAGGGCAAGUCGCUGGACGAGGCCAUCGACGUCCCCGUCCUGCCGCCGCCUCUCGAGCUCAAGUUCGCCAGGAGGCAGCUGCCGCUACAGUUCCUGCCUUCGUGCUCCAUUCCGGAGAGCCGCCUUCGAGAGCUCCGGGAGUUCGAGAUGGCCGUGGACGGCAUCGUCGUGAACAGCUUCGAGGAGCUGGAACACGACUCGGCCGCGCGCCUCGCGGCCGCCACGGGCAAGACCGUGCUCGCCGUCGGCCCCGUCUCGCUGUGCGGCGGCGGCGGCGGCGGCGGCGCACGCGCACCUCCUAGCCUCCUCGACGUCCGGGCCGCCACCGACAGCUCGGUGAACGAUGACGCCAGACGGUGCAUGGCAUGGCUAGACGCCAAGAAAGCCGAGUCGUCGUCGUCGUCCGUGCUGUACGUCAGCUUCGGCAGCGCCGGCCGCAUGCCGCCGGAGCAGCUGAUGGAGCUCGGGCUGGCGCUCGUGUCGUGCUCCUGGCCUGUCCUCUGGGUCAUCAAGGGCGCGGACACGUUGCCCGACGACGUCGACGAGUGGCUACAGCACAACACCGGCGGCGACGACGGCCAGUGUCUCGCGGUCCGCGGGUGGGCGCCGCAGGUGGCCAUUCUGGAGCACCCGGCCGUCGGCGGGUUUCUGACGCACUGCGGGUGGGGCUCGACGCUGGAGAGCGUCACGGCGGGCGUGCCCAUGGCCACCUGGCCGUUCUCCGCCGAGCAGUUCCUGAACGAGAAGGUGAUCGUUGGCGUGCUCGGCAUCGGAGUGUCUGUCGGCGUGACGAAGCCCACGGAGGGCGUGCUGACCGGCGCCAAAGACGGCGGCGGCGGCGGCGCUAGGGCGAAGGCGGAUGUGGGAAUGGAGCAGGUGAAGCGAGCGUUGGAUAUGCUGAUGGAUGGAGGAGUGGAUGGGGAGGCAAGGAGGACGAAAGCUAGGGAGCUCAAGGCCAAAGCGAAGUCGGCUUUGGAGCAUGGAGGAUCGUCGUAUAUGAAUCUGGAGAAGAUGAUACAAUUUGCAGCUUAAUUAGCUUGAAAAUGGAUUGGUCUAGCUUGGUCAGUUUCAGCAAGCAACUCAGUUUAUUUCUGCGUAAUAAAGGUUAAGAAACUACUAGGACUGCAAGCAGCUGGGGUAUAUUACAUGUAGGGUUCAGGAACGCUGUCGCUGCAGGCUGGGCAAUCUCUGUCCAGGAUUGCAACUAGGCAGGAGUAGACGAAAAAUGGCAACAUCGAUCAGAGAUACUUUGGAUUGAAGAUCAGUGACUCAUGUGCGUUGUCUAAGAUUUACUCCCUAGCUAUGUCCUGGAUAAAUACAGUACAUCGUGACUUCUAAAAUUUGUACUGCAAGCAGACGGGGGAGAAAGUUAUUUUUGCCCUUAAGGGCAUGUGCUCCCACUCUCUCUACCACUGGAUUCGCAUUGAAAAGUGUGCAAACACACAUCUCAAUGCGAAUCUGCUUUGAGAUGUGUGUUUGUACACUUCUCAAUGCGAAUCCAGUGGUGGAGAGAGCGAGAGCAUAUGCCCUUGAGAGCAAAAAGGUUUCAGGAACACUGUCGCUAGCUGCAGGAUGGGCAAUCAAUUGCAACUGGGCAGGAGUGGCACGGUAGAGGAUGAUUCAAUAAUGCUAUGUGAAUGAUGCUUUGAUCUAUUGAAGAAAAUGAAGAACACAAUCAUGCAAGCGAACAGCAUGAGCCACAAAUUGCUUUCAUGAAUCAUGAUGAGAAGAAUUUGCGCAUUAGUGUUGUGGUACUUGCAUUGAUAGUAUACAGUCUAUAGAGCUUAUGGAUUGCAUGGUGUUUGGAAAAGAAAAUUGUCCUGAUUUCUGAAUGCACGUUCCCGUUCUUAACAGCUACUGCGCAUAAAAUAUGUGGUAGUUAAUAACAAGAGAAUGAAGCCUACAAAAAUAAUGAAGAUGCAAAUGGUUAUUCAUGGGAAUGAGGAAUGAAUGCAAGAGUUCUAAAUUAUGAAUAAAAUGGGAACGUAAUAUUCUAGGUGUAAGGUAGCUAAAAAUGUAUUUUUAUGUAAGUGUUAGUGAAACUCUCUUGAUUACAUACCGAGGCCAUGAUACCGUUCAGAGAGACGGGGACAUCUGCACUAACUGGUCUAUUAACCGUAAUUCCAUAUCCUUAGAGCAACUCCAACAGUUUACGACUAAAACUCACUUGGCAAAUCUAUAAUUUUGCCAAGUCUCAAAACCAAAUGCUAAGUGAAAAAAGAGGUCUUCUCCAACAGUUUGUUAUUUAGGCUUGGCAAAAGAACUUGGCAUCCUAGGGUUUUUGCCAAAAUCACAAAAUUGAGCCUCCAACAAGUUGGCAAAACUAGUUGGCAAAUUGGGAUACACGUGAUGCCAAAUGAUGGAGGACUUGGCAUAUUUGCCAAGUGAAGGGGGGAUUUUGCCAAGCUCACAAAAUUGCCAAGUAGUUUUGCCAAUUUGUUGGAGGCUGUUUUUUAUGAUUUUGGCAAAAAUCCUAGGAUGCCAAGUACUUUUAGCAAACUGUUGGAGUUGCUCUUAGAGUUACAUGCCUGGCUCACCAUGGUGUCAACCUCAAAUAACCUAGUCCAUAAAGGAGAUCCUAGUUUCUCUAAAAUGAAAGGCCAAAUGGGCCAUAAAAAAAAAUAUUGUGGUGGACUUGGUGGACGCCAAGACCAGUGGCCCACGUAAGGGCGUAAGGCCCAAGCCCACAACGUUCUCGACGCUACCUGAUCACUCCUACUAGGGUUCCGCACCCCUCCCCACCUAUAUAUACCGUCAGCCGCCGCCGUCCUCCCAUUCCCCUCCCCUAUCGUGAACCCGCCGCCGCCGCCGCCGCAGGAGGAGGAGACGCGCCAAGGAGAGCACGCGAGGAGGCGACCAUGAGGGCCAAGGUAUCCUCCAUCCAUCUCCGCGCCUACUCCUCGCGCCUACCAUCUCGUCGAUUAGAUCCGUGUGUGGCGUAGCAACUCGUUGCCACGAGUAGUUCUCAACUCGGUUCGUCCAUGUCCCGGGGCUGUGAUUACAAAGAGAGAGGCUCGAGUGGCGCAAUUCUGGGGUGGAAUCUCUUAUGGGACGGCGGAUCUCGCCGUGCGCUCGUGGACGCCCCCCUCGUCGCGGCGGCCGGGUCUGGAUCGGUAGCUUGGGACGCGAGGUGCCGCUCUGCGCGAGGCUGAUCCUUAGACCAGUCUCAAUGCAUAGGGCCUUGUUUAGAUGCACAUGUUUCGAGCCGAGCUGUGACAAAUCGUGUCGCGCAGAGCUUGGUAUCUCUGUGUCCCGUGCAUCGUUUCCGCAUGGUCCAGCCGCUGCGGUCUCGGAGGCGUCGCGUGCUUGUGGCGCCGCCGUCUUCUAGGGUUCUUCCCUGGCCACGGUGAAGGUUUCUUAAUCGCAUACACUUGAUAUGAGCCCCGUGGAUGAUGGCCUUAAGCCUCUGCUUGUGAAAUGUUGUUAGGAGAUUGAAUUGCAUUUCUAGCAGCAUCUGAUGGUGACUGUAGUCCUUGCUCUAAAUUUUUAAAGAUUUAGAUGCUUUGUUACUUAUGAUUUGUUUGCACUGGAAUCUGCCUGGCACCGUAAAUAAGCAAUUGCACGUUGAUGCUUAUCAGUGUUUGUCAUUACUAAUGCUUAUCAGUGCAAUUGUACUGGAAUCUGCCUGGAGAGAUUUUUGUUCCGUGUUUACCUUUAAUCUGUGGAAUUGUCUACUUCCUCCACUUAACCUGCAGCACAAAAAGGUAGUAUGUUGCCAGGCACUUAAGAUAAGAAUUCUGUUUUGUAGUUAAUUGAAAAUUGUGUGAUGGACAGGAUAAGGAUAGCCCCGUUCUUUUGCAUAGUUGUUAGAUGUAUUCCUUACAGUAUGUCUUUAAUUGUCUUGUACUCCCUCAUUUCAAAACAUAAGCUGUUUUGGCUUCUCUAGGUACAUUGCUUUUGCUAUGUAUUUAGAUAUACACUAUAUCCAAGGGUAUAGUAAAAGCCAUGAAUCUAGAAAGCCAUAAAGUCUUAUAAGUUGGAAUGGAUGGAGUAUACAAGAAUGGUCCUGUUCUUCUUCAUUUUAGUUAGUUGCAUUCUUGUCUAUGCUGUGCUAUUAUUUUUCCUCUUAUCUAAUGCUCACUCAACUAAUGCAUUCUUAUCUGUCAAUCUUCAGUGGAAGAAGAAGCGCAUGAGGAGGCUGAAGAGGAAGCGCCGAAAGAUGAGGCAGAGAUCUAAGUAAGCUGGUGGAGAUGGAUGGUGGACGUGAUGGCAUGCUUGAGUACAUACAUUUCUUCGGAUGCGUUUGCUCAUGGAGAGGCGUGAACCUGGUGUGCAGUCACAGUUUGCCAUCUGUCAAUUGGCUUGUCUCGGAAACCUGCACUUCAGUAGGCUAUCGUGGUUCUAGUUAUAUCCAGAGUUUUGCACUAAGACAACUCGGUCUGUUUUGUGAACCUAUUAUGAUGGAGCUUUAUUUGCUGCUAAUAUCGACCUACCUAUCUACCUACCUGUUAAGUAAUUCCUGUGUUUGUUUAUGCUGUGCUUGCCUGAUCUUUCAUUGUGUUAUUGUGGUAUCUGCUCGUUGGUGCUGGUUUAUCUGGCCUGUUUCUGUAAAUCAUCAGAGAAACAGCGUCCUGCUGUGUUGAAGAGCACACCGAUCGCUAUGCUUCACAUUGAAGCUGAUGCUCAACAUUGACUCAUAGUCUCAUACAAGCAUUGAAGCUAUUGUUCAUUCUAUGACCGACAGUUUCUCUAUAAUGGUGCAUAUGAACAUUGAAGCAGACAACAUAUUUUGCAGCUCGAACCUCUGUUGCCAAGCUGAUGCUCUACAUCGAUUUUAAUUGCAGUAACGGUUUGCUGCUGUGGCACGUCUGCGUAUCUCUGACGUUAAACGUACCGCGAGGUUGUUUUGGUCUGCGAUCCAGUGUUACCGCGAGAUGGUUUUGUUUUAUCAUCAAUUUUUUUUCUUUGUGUGUGCAAUGCCUCGGUUCGCUGUAGGCCUGAAGCUAAAAACCAAAGUCCCAUUCUGACUCUGAUACUCGUUCUGAAUUUUUUAUUUUUUAUUUUUUAAAAAUAUUUUAAAAAUCACUUAUAAAAGGAAAUGGUUUUCGUUUUUAUUUUUUAAAAGUCCCAUUGUGUUGUUUAAACAUUUGCUAGUUUUUUUUUGAGGGGAUUAAACAUCGUCUUAUCAUCUAGUUGGACUGGCCAACCAAAGGAAAUGCACAAUCUACGGUCCAUUUCAAAACCGCGAGCGUGGACUAAUCAAGCCCACGAUAGGACCUUUCGUUUAGGCCCAAGUCCAACCGAAGGCUCACUAACCAAAUGCAAUGCCCUAUUCGGCCCAAUUAAGGCCCAACGCCGUCUCGCUCAUGUCUCUCUCCACCACUACGCUCGUGGUCUCUCGAUGGGACCACCACUCCAAUGGACGGCGCGGAUCUCCCCUCCUACUCCGCCGCCACGGCCGCCGACGGCGACCGGCCUCCGGAGAGCGCGGUCGACGGAGGCGUGGAGAACGAGCGUGCCGCCGCGCCCACUCCAGAGCGGUGCGAGGCGCCGCCUCCGGAGAGCGCGGUCGACGGCGGCGUGGAGGACGAGCGUGCCGCGGCGCCCACUCCGGAGCGGUGCGAGGCGCUGGCCUCCGCGAUCGCGGGGGUGCUGGCCGGCGCGCUGCGGGAGCACGAGGAGCGGGCGGCCGCUACUGCCCGGAGCCAGGACGAGGUCGCCGCUGCCGUCGACCGCCUCAACGGAGGUAGGUGCCUCUCCCCGCUCCCGCCUUCGACUUUGUCUGCUGCUGAUGCUGUCGUGUGGUGCGCGCGUUGUGGCUUAGGGUUCUCCAGCUUCGGAUGCGGUGUAUUGUGGCGUUAAUUCAAACCGAAGAGUAGUGGGAUUUAAAUGACAUACUAGCAAUUGAGUUGUGAGCUCUGUGUUUUAUCUAUCUACUUUGCCUCUUUUCUUGAACUAUUCAGUACUCUUCCGUAAUUUCGUCAUCACGAUGGCAAUGAAAUUCAGGGACAUCCCAAAAAAUGUACUUUGCCUCUUUGAGAUUCUAACAGAAGACUAGUGGGAUUUAGAUGACAUACGAACAAAUGAGUUGUGAGCUCUGUAUUUAUUUAUCUACUUUGCCUUAAACUACUCCAGCACUCUUUCGUAAUUUCCUCACCAUGGUAAUGAAAUUCAGGGACCAAAAAUGUACUUUGCCUCUUUGGGAUUGCAACCGUGACAGGGCGAAGUUGAAAUUAUAGCUCGUUGUAACUUGCUUCUGUAGUUUAAUUUAAUUUAACUAAUGCACCAUCGUAUUUCUUGUGCGAGAUUGCAUGUUAUGUUUCUUGCUAUGUUUUCAAUAUCCUUACCCAGGGACUUGAUUGAAUCUACUUCUGCUGUUCUAAGUUGCACUUGACAUUGUUAGAGUAUAACACGACUAGGAUAGAGUUACUUGGGAUUAGGAUCCUUGUGUGCUGGCUUGCCCCAAGUCAUGUAAACUCUCUAUAUACUGUCUGAGAGGCUCAAUUUAAAUAAUCCAAAUCCACCCAUAAACAUAGUUCUUAGUUGCACCUGAAUCUACUUUUUAUUUAGUCCAAUUUCAGUCUCUUCAUUGUCUCAAGCGAGUUAACAAAUAAAUGGAUGAACUAGAAAAUUCUAGCAGUUAAACAGUAUACAAUGAUUAAAAAUAUUAAACUGAGAUUCAUGAUUCUGUCAUGGGCACAUGUGUGAGUGUCCAACUUGCCUGCAGGUGACCAGGUUUCCAAUCCGGUAAAAAAAAUUGGGCACACCAAAUAACACUUGGAGAACCCUAAGCCACUUGGAGAAGUCUCUUACAUUUUCCUUUGCUCCAAGGCUCCAUGCUUUUAUUCAAUUUUUUUUCUCACCUAAUGUGCUAUUGUCUGCGUACACAUAAUUUUGAUGGAAAGUAUGUAUGUAUGUGUAUCCAAUAACUGUAUGAAACUAAGACUGAGUUUUUGCAGAGCUAGACAGGCUAUUAGAGAAUGCACCCUCAAUGAUAAUAAUGCAACAUUCAGCAAGGAUUUCCAGUAUCCGCAAGAGGAUUUCAGCAAUGAACAUGCUACUCAAGUCCAUACAGCGACGCAUAGAUAACAUUGAUAGAAUUAUUUCUACUGGUAUGUCAAGUGGUUCUGUCUAUCAUUACUCUCUGUCUGUGGGUCAGCAGAGUGAAUCAUUAUGGACACAUUGCUUUGUGUUUGCAGAUCAUUCAUCUCCUGUACAGAAAGCCGGUAAUGAACUUGGAUCAAGGUGCCCUCCUUUUUUUUCCUACCACUUUUCAUCGUUUAUCUUUGGGUGGUCAUGAUAAAUGUGAACAAGCAACGUUAAGAGUUAUGGCUUUCAAUAUCUCGAAGCUAGUGCUGAAGAUGAAGUCUUAGUAAAUUUCUGAACAAUAGAUGCAAUUCUGUAUAACUGGAGAGGUGGGCUUUUCUUGCUUUUCAGUGUCGUGGUAUGAAAUAUUUAUACAAUAAACAACACAAUAAGUAAAUCUCUGGUUCCCCCAGCCCAAUUUGCUACUUUAUUUAUCUAGUCCUUAUUAGUUGCAUCCUUACACAGUUCCUCUUAAUUACAGGUUUUAGAAUAAUUCUGGUGGUGUCCCAUCAAUUGCAACCAUUUCUGUUUUGGUAGAGUUACCAUCAAGCAAUCACACGGGGCUGUCCAUAGAAGUGAGACGUCAUAAUUUCAAUUUUUCCCAGAGAUGUAUGAUCAAAAUAUUCCAAUCCUUUUUGUCACAUUUUGGAGUGGGAAAAGCCUUUUGUACUGGAUGGUCAAUUUCUUUUCCUGCGUUCUUUUUGUUGCAGACAAUGAAGCGUGUUUUCAGCUUCGGCGUUCACCCUUGUAUUCAAAUAUGAAAUUAUAUUCAGAAAUCAUAUUAUCAUAUUGACACUGUUGAGUGGUUUUGAUAUAUAGUACUUGUUUAAGAUGGCAACAUCUGGAAUUCACAUUGUUAUACUUUAUCAGAAAUGUUGGUAGAUGCUAGUGUGCCAUGGAUAUAAUUCGUUUGAAGGCCUUCUGGCCAGGUUUGUCACCAAAUUCCAAACCAAAUGUCAACGUUCAUAUGCAGGUAUCGGUCUACUCGAUGGAUUCGAUCAACACACUUGCAUAAACAACUUGGCAACUUUCAUUGCUCGUGCAGGAGACUCAGUCAUGUUCUGCCGACCGCUGGCAAUGCAAAUUGCCAGGUAUGUGCAGUAAGGCUGGCGUGCAGCAAAGCAAUAGAAACAAACAUAUUUCAGAAGAAAAAGCUGGCAUGCAGCAAAGCAAUAGAAACAACAACAUAUUUCAGAAGAAAAAACAUAGGUGUUAUUCCGACUGUUUCAAUGUGCCGAAAACAGGCAGGAAUUUGCUGCGUACAACUAUGACCUUUUUUUUUCGAGAACAUGCGUACAACUAUGACCUGGAACAACAAUGACCAAUUGUCGUGGGUGGUCUUCAUUGAAGAAAUGUUUCAUUUUCAGAAUCAGAAUAAAUAAAGGUACAGUGACAGCCAUGAAUCUACAAGUUACCCCAGGACACCAAGACUACAACAAAAUAAACUAAGCAAUGAACAUGGUAUGAACCUCAAAUGGAGGUUCUCCUUCAAACCUGUACAUGUGUUGACUAUCUAGGAUCUUUUCUCCGCUAAUCUUACAACAUCACUGACAAUAACCUUACUGCUGAAAUGAACACCACAGUUUGCAAUAGUAUUGUCAUAGGCGCAUGUAACCUUCUUUGUGACCUUUGAAGAGUUUCAGAUGCCUCUUGUUCUGAGAAUUGCUCCGGGUCAGUUCACGGCGUGUUCUCCAUGACGUCACAUGAGAAUAUAAUGAAGGAAAUAAGAAACAUAGCAACAGAAGUAAUAAGAUCACAACACAUAUUAGCAUGACAUUCAUGAAGCCAUCCCGGUUUUUAGGGUUCUUGUUCUGCUCGGUCCAUGGCACGCCACCAACAUUCAUCCCGAAAACUGACAAAUUUUGCAACAUAAAUCAGGUAAAUAAGAACCCUGAAAAAGAACAGAAAUUAAUUCAGGAAAGUACACGAGUGAGCACCAGGACAAUGAACUUACCUCCAGUGACAAUGGAAAGAGGAAGGAAUAUUAUGGAGAGAAAUGAAAGGUAGUACAAGCUUUUGUUUAUCUGCUCUGAUUGCCAACUAUCGAGACUAGCCUGAAGUGUGGUAACUCUAUUUGUAAUGAAUCCUAGGUUUUCUUUGAGCCUUCUGAGGCGACCUAUCAGAUCUUCAAGGGCUGCUAUAUCUCCAGUUGCGAACCAACUCUUGCUCGCACAUUUUUCUUUCACGCGGGGGAAUACUUGUUCACCGUGAGAAACAACCUACACAAACAAAAAUAGUAGCAUUGAGUCUGUGACUUCUGUUCUAUAGAUUAGGCCUUGUUUAGUUUCCUAAAAAUUUUGCAAAAUUUUUCAGAUUUCCCGUCACAUCGAAUAUUUAGACGUAUGCAUGAAGUAUUAAAUAAAAAUAAAAAUAAAAAGUAAUUACACAGUUUGGUCGGAAUUGACGAGACGAAUCUUUUGAGCCUAGUUAGUCUAUAAUUGGACAAUAUUUGUCAAAUAUAAACGAAAAUGCUACUAUUCAUAUUUUGCAAAAAUUUUUGGAAGUAAACAAGGCCUUAACUGAAUUCAUGUAACUGCACUUUUAGAACCUGAAAGCCAAAUUAUAAGCAACACAGCAUGACAACCUCAAUGUCAUAUCAGCACUCACUUCAUGCAUGUUUGCGAUUUUGACUAAAGCAGUGCAAAUUAUAAAACAUUCCAGGUUCCCAAUAUAUUUCCCAGAAACUCGAGAGAAAACUCAUACCUGAAGCAACCGCUGUAGAUCGAGAUGCAUUUUUGGGAAUCUCCUGCCAUCCAGCAAAAGUUUCCUCAGAAAGUGACCACCUGCAACAAGCACAAUCCACACAGUUCAUAAAAUAAAAAGGCUAGUCAUUGGAGAGAAAAAGGUGAAAGUUCGAAACCUUGUUUGUUGAAUCCUGGAAUGCAAUAAGCAUGGAGAGUACAUUUGCCAUAUGGUACCCCUCUAUAUUUGCACAAUGCUAAUAAACCUUUGCUGAAGCAUACAUCAUUUAACUUGGCAUAGGUCGCAUAGCAUUGUUGCAAAAUUUAUAUGGUUUGGAAGAAUGAUCAGGGUCUACUUUGGAAACUCUACUGCCAUUAUAUAGGAUCCUGAUUCAUGAAAUUACAUGAAUACAUGUAACAGAGUCAUCCUCGAAGUUACAUUCAGGACCUGCAUUCAAUUCAACCAUUCCAAAAUGUCUGGAAUUUGUCGUUCUGAUGGAAUGCAUACCAACCCCACCCUUUCAAACCUUGCAACCUUUUGUUUAUUUUAUUUAAAGAAAACCUCGUAUGCAAUCAUGAGUCAAAUCUAAUUCUAUCACAUUGAUCUGAGUUCAUGCAGCAAGAGGUCAGCAUUUUCAGCGUCACCAACCAACCAAAGAAGCGUAGGUUAGCAGCAAUCGAAUAUCUUUUAUCCAGAUGAGGAAUGAAAGGGAGCUUUACGCGAUGAUUGACCAGCAAGAAAGCAACCUCCGACCACGACCUCCGACCGCUCACCUUUGUCGAGCUGCAGCUCGAUGGCGUCGAGGUCCAUCUCGAGGCGCGUGACAAUGUCGUGGACGUGGUCUACGUGCGUGCCGAGGACGUGCACGAGGAGGUUGGACACCGUCCGCGGCACCGGGUUGUCGGUGUGCGCGCCGUCGGCGUGGUUCAUGGCCAGCAGCGACUCGAGCAGGCGCUCCUCGAUGACGACGCCGCCGUCGACGGCGCAUCCCCCGCCGUGUCCCUCGUCGGCGACGACGCCGAGCGGCACCUCGGAGAGCAGCGACGCCUGCUUGGUCCCGAACGCGAGGCGCGGGACCCCGCCGACGGACACGGUGACGACGGAGCUCUCGGUGACGCGCACGGCGAGGCGGAGCGCGCACGCGCUGCCGACGGGGCCCGGCGAGCUGACCCGGAGCAGGAGCGCGCCUCCGCUGUCCCCGGAGGAGGAGCAGCAGUGCGGGCCCGUGGCGACGAACGCGAGGAUCUCCUGCAGCGUGAGCGGCGGGCAGAGGAGCUCGAUGAGCGCCUGCGCGUGGUGGAGCGGCUUGGCCGCGGAGCGCGGGAGCUCCACGUGGUGCCACGUGAACUCCCCGGGCCUGGGACGCCGCGCCGACCCGCCGGACGCCGACGGCGCCAGGCCCAGGCCCCAGGGCGCCUCGGAGAAGCCGCCAUCGCCGUCGAACACGAACGCGUGGCGCGGCACCGCGCCCGACGGGAGCGGCUUCCCGACCGCGGGGGACGGGGACGGGGGCGGCGGGCCCCGCCUCGGACGCAGGUGGUUGGAGCCAGAGCCAGAGCCGAAGCCGGCUGCCUCCGCGCGCGGGGCGGGCUCGCCGGCGCCGGCACCGGCCGCCAUUGGCAUUAGAAUUUGCGCCCACGCCGCGCCACGUGAAGGCGUAUUAUACCACGGCAUCGCACAAGCUCCAGGGACCUCGCGGUGAAAUCGCGAAAUAUCUCUGGACCUUUCUGCAAAAACGAUCUCGGCAAGCGUUUUGCUAAGCGCUAAGCUUAACCCGGGAAGGUUAGUUUCAAAAAAACUAUAAUACUCCGUGUUAGUGCAUAGUAGUAGUAAUAAUAAUACCAUUUUUAUAUUAGUGCCAAAUACUGCUACAUGGAUAUGUUUUGCAGUAGGAUUAAUUGUAAAGAUAUAUGUUUAGUUAGGGUUGGUGUCGGUGAUUAAUAAUAAACAUUUUCUAGGAGGUGAAGGUGAUUUGAUUGAUCUGGGGGAAGAGGAUGAGGAGGGUGGGUGAUCUUUGCAUGGGUUUGACUAAAUUUGGGAAUCUCUCUGGUUGUGUGCUUGGAGGCUGGAGGUGCAUCACAUGUGCACUGCAGCUGCAAUUGUUAUUAAUUAAUUCAUUAGUAUUAGCCAAACUAGAGUUUUUUUUUUGUUUCAAUGAAAGAUGGUUAUUAUUACUCCAUUUUGGCCUUGUUCAGAUGCAUGUGAGCCCAGUCAGCUUUUCAUGAGAUAAAAAAUGAAAGAAAAUCAGAGAAAACUCUUAGCAAAGGUUUGGAACGUGCCUAUUCAUUUGGCUGAAAGUACUAUUUGCUGAUUUAUUGUGAGAAAAAAUAUUGCUGAACGACUGACAGAUUCGGCAAAUAAGCUCAAGCGAACAGGCUUAGUCCAUUGGUUUGAAUGCAUACGAGUUUUAUUUAUAGAGGCUCUAAGGGUUUGGUUUGCAUGAAAUACUAGCCAGGUCACUCUUCUUUGAGAGAAAAAAAAUACAAAACUAAUCCAACCUUUGUUUUUCCAUGGAAUAUAGUUAACUAACGGUACUACUAGUAGUGUCUUAGUAUUUGUUUUCAAGGAAAAAAAAUGAAUUACUGGGGUCCAGCCAAUGCAGUCGUCGCUUGUGAUCGAGGCUCAGCCCAUUCCUAAAACGGGCCGUGGUCUCGUAGACGAGAAUAGAGCUACCACAGCCCAGCCCAGCCCACCGUGGAAAUGGGCUCCCCUCAUCCUCGCUUUGCGUCACGCGACGUGAACCCCCCGGCGGGCGCCGGCGGCUCCUCGCCGACGUCGUCAUCAGUAACGGAAAAGAGCCCACCCGCCACUCGAACGGGCCGGCGAGGCGGCGGCGCCGGCACGUGACGAGUGACAAGGACAAGCUGAUGAAUCCAUCCCGACCGACCAUGCGCGCAUGGUCCUACAUCCUCCGAGCCGCCCGGGGGUGGUGGUGCGGGCAGCCGCGCGCACCACGAAGCACGAUCUGCGGUCCUCAGGCGCGGGCGCGCGGCGGCGUUAAUGGUCGAGCUUCAUGGCGGGGCCGAGGCCGCGCCGCCGCGGGCCAGCACGGUCCCAUUCCCAUGCGUAUGGCGUUCCAAGCUCCAUGGGGACGACGGCGCGCGCGCCAUGGCGAGGAACAUCCAUGCACUGCACGGCCUUCGAUCGGUGUAGUCCCGUCUCGGUCUCGGCCGCGCCGCCACCGCAGCGCCUCCUUGAUUCCGUGCAGUGCAUAGCAAAGCUCAUUCAGGUGCCGGCUUGGUAGGUGACGCUGACGCAGAAGCAGAAGCAGAAGCAGUCAGUCAGGCCAUCGUCGCCCAGUCCGCGGAGGUGAAUUCAGGUGAGCUUGCCUUUGCCUGCGCCCCCCCCUUAAUUGUUCUCAACCUAUCUAGUACUCGCUAACAAUGGGCGAAAUGGAUUUCGCAUGAACUGAAAACUGUGCUGGGAAUUCGGUCAUGACAUCUUCCUGUUAUCUGAACUUUCAAUCUGGUUACUGCUUACAUCCCCAUCCCUACAAAAUGGAUUUCGCAUGAACUGAAAACUGUGCUGCACAAAGGCACAAACAGCGAAAGAGGCCUGCUUUUUUCUUUUUGUUCGUUUGCCUUCUGGAUAAUCACAUCCAAAUCAGCACUUCAAUCAGUUCAGCACUGUGAAAAAAGUAAAACUGAAAACGACCGACGCAGUUUCUGCAAAGAAAAAACUCUCUAGAGAGUUUCGGCUGCAGAAUCUUCAGCUGGUCAAAUCUUAUCAUGAGGAACGCUCGAAUUAGGAGUGCCACUUUUCUGUGCCCAGUAAAAAGAAGCAGGCAGGCAUACACCCUGUGGCUGGCUAUCACUAUCCUUUCUCCACAAACACAAAGUAGCUGUCUCCAUUUUUCAACCGGAGAAUCCGAAUUUGCAAAGCGCUAGAGUGCAGAGUCGACUCAGCGUGUCUAACAUUGGUAGGGCAAGAAUAAAAAUUCCAGGACACGAUGCUUGCUUCGCUCCUUUCCAUUCCUUUUCGGCUCUCAAAGUACACAGCAGGCUAGCGCACGCACACGGCUGGCUAGCGUAUUUACAUUUUUCAGAUCUUUUGCUGCUCAACAGUUACUUGUUUACUUAUAUAUAUAUGACAUCAAGCUUCAAAACACACUUGAUUUUACAUUAGCUGCUGUUGUUGUUGUUGUUGACGAUGAUAGUAGUUAUACAUGUCCACGAAGGGUUUAGUCUAUAGGCAACCCCUGGGACGAUUUCCGGAAGGAGUUCUUGGUCAUCUUUUCCAUGAGGUGACACCAACGGCGACAUUGCUCACCUGGAACAGAUCAGAAGAAACAAAACAGUCAAGUCUGAUUGAUUGUUCAUAGUUCACUUGGUGACUUUGACAACGAGGGAAAACCAACGAACUAUGGUCAUAGUGUUUGAGAUAAGCUCACCAGUUUGCCCUUUUCAUCCAGUGUCUUAGGAUUCUCCACCAGAACCGUCUGGGGCCGAGCAUCCUGCAAGGAGCAUGAAAGUUGAGCGAAUAAAGCCUGUUUCAUUAUCGACGAACAUUUGACAUCAGUCUGAAUUUAGACGGUUUGCUUCAACCCGAUGGACCAGUGCUUUCAUCGCAGCACUAGAUGGUCCAAGGAUUUCAAGCGAAAAAUCUCUCGGUGGGACGCGUGCGGAAUGUGCUAAUCAUUGGUACUUGCCUACUUGAGGAACUGAUUCCCAUGCAAACCAUGGAGCAACCUGAACCUACCAAAGUUGUGAUUUUUAUGAAGGACAACCCCACAAUUGAUGCAACAAAAGGGUGGUUGUGCUGUGGUCAUCAACUGCUUAAUGGUCCCAUCCCAUAGGGCCAUAGAAUUACUUUGGACACCAAUAGUACUACCUCCUAAUAACUUUUGGUGUUCUAUAUAUGUGUGGAACUGUACUGACUGUGGAGACUAGGCAAAAAAAAAAGAAAGACUAACCGAUGGCGCUGGCCGUGCAGAGCCACCGGUGUGGUUGUUCUGUAGGAAGUAGUUUGUAAACGGAAUAUGAGUUGCGAUUGAUGACAUAUGCAACGACGAAGAGAAGACAAAUUCAGUUGUGCAGUACACAUACCCUGACUGGAUUAAUGUUGCGGCAUGUUGGGCACCCGACUGUCGUCGCUCCCGGUGGGUAUGCCAGAGUUGUCCGGCAUUGCCCGCAUGACAGGUGACCCAUUUGGUUUCCUGCUUCAGUUUAGGAUCAGGAAACUUGUGUCAGCUGGAGGAAGAAACUUGCAUGAGAAUGCAGUUGUAGCCUGUUUGUUGCAGGCAGACUAAAGGGAAUUGGACAUGAGGUUUCACCUGAUCUUGUGGAGUUGAGCCUACUACAGUGAGGGCAGCGUAUGUUGGUGGCGCUGCGGGAGUGCACCAGCAUGGUGAAGCAGCCGCCACAGACGAGUUCAGACAUCUCCGGUCCUAGAGGAAACAAAAGCAGAGUUUUUCGCUGAGAAAACUGGACUGAACAGGCAAUUGUAUCUUUGCUUCUUUAGACUGUAGCAUCAUCACGAUCGGACAAGGGAAAAAAGGCUUUGUGCUUUAUGCUGAUAUGUGUAUAGUAUACCUGAUGGGUUGGCGGCUGUGAAAGUGUUGCAGGUUGGGCAGCAGACGCCGGUGGCUCCCCUGCGGUACUGGAGAAGACGCUUGCAGCCGCCGCAGACCAACUGGCUAUGCAUGCCUGCAGUUGGAAAUUAUAUUGGUGCGGUUAGAAUUCCAAAUCCCAGUUCAGGUGCAAGAAGAUGCAACACUUUGAUCUGACAAUGGUAAAACAGGCUACCCUUUCUCUCUGAACUUCAAGAAAAAAAAGAAAAGAAAAGGAGGAUGAACUACACAGCAUGUAUAUUUUCUACUGCAUUUGCGACCGUGUUUUGCUAUAUGUAUUUGAAGAAAAGGAAAGGAUGGUGGCAUGAACGUGGACUGGUCACAUUUUGCGGCGGGCAAAAUUCGACAUGCACACAAGGCAGGUGCGCUAGCUGUGUGCUGUGCAUGGAUGGAUCAACCUUGCCUGAGAUCUAUAUAUGAACUUGUUCUGUAUGCAGGUUGUUGAAGGUGAGGAGGAAUUGUAAAGCACGGUACGCACGCAAUGCAUAACCUGUUUGCUAGCUAUAGGCAGGUGAGAAACUCAGAGCUGCUGCUUGCUAAACCCAAGCAUGCAAGGUAGGUAUACAUAUCAUAGACCAAGAAUGGAAGAUGUAUUACCAAGGCAAGAACACCGGCCGAGCUAGAAUGGACGGCGCCUUUGAACUGCAGCUAAUUAAUGAAGCUAGCUCUGAAGGUGUGCAGCAAGCUAGCAAAGGAGAGAGGGGGAGAUGAUAACGAUGAUGGAGAGAGGGGUUUGGGUUGUGGAGCUCCACGGUGGCAGGAGACGGGGGGCAGGGAUCAUAUUUAAGGGCGGGCGGGAGCGCGGGGGAUGGCCGGCCGGCCGGCCAGCCGAGGUGGAUUCUCUCAUCUCUGGGGCAGGGGGAAUGGGAUGGGGGGAUAGAUUAUUAUUCUCGCUGGCCUGGCCUGGCCCUGGCCAUGGAGGAAUCCCGGAAAGAAACCGACGUCGGCGCCGGGGGAGAUGAUGCUGAGUGGAUGGAUGGGCGAUGCGUGUGCGUGUGCCUGCCUGGGAUGGAUGGAUGCCUUUCGGAUAUGGCCGAAUUCCCCUGCCCCCGCCAUCUCUCAGCUGCCUAGCUAGCUAGCUCUCUUCCCCGACCUCUCCUCCUCCUCCUUGCAUAGUUCCAUCGAAUCUCCACCCCCCGUUGGCGCCAAUAAUUCCUUCCGCUUGCUCCAUGGGGCGGCUUCCCUCAAGAACAAUAACCUGCUGGAAUUGUUAAUCCUCGCUAGAAUAGAUCGGAGGGGGCGGAUUCGGUUCUGACUUGUCAAGCCGGCCGCGACAAGUGUGUGCUAGGCUAGCUUUACACCUCGGUUUGGAAUUGCGGUUUGAAUUCCGCCUAGGGCCUAGCUUUAGCUUGGCGCGCCUUCCAACUAGAGCUUCAGAGCUAGAGGAGCAAACCUUUCCGUUGGAACUGUAGCUUGGAGGCCGUACGGACACCCACUUUGUAGGCCUUGUUUAGUUCACCCUAAAAUUCAAAAACUUUUCAAAAUUCUACGUCACAUCAAAUUUUAUGAUACAUGGAGCACUAAAUAUAGACGAAAACUGUAAUUUACGAGACAAAUCUUUUGAGUCUAAUUAGGCCUUGUUUAGUUGGCAAAAAAUUGAGUUUUUGGCUACUGUAGCACUUUCGUUUUGUCCAAUCAUAGAGUAACUAGGCUCAAAAGAUUCAUCUCACAAAUUACAUGUAAACUAUGCAAUUAGUUUUUAUUUUUGUCUAUAUUUAAAGCUCCAUGCAUGCGACCAAAGAUUCGAUGUGACGGAGAAUUUUGAAAAUUUUUGCAAACUAAACAAGGCCUUAGCCUAUAGUUGGACAAUAAUUGUCAAAUAAAAACAAAAGUAUUACAGUGUUAAAAUUUAAAAACUUUUCGCAACUAAACAAGGCUUUAUUCUGCCCCCUCACUCCAUCCACGAAAAACUUUCGGUGGAUUGUACUUUGAACUAUCUUUUUCUUUUUAAUGAAAUACAUGCCACGUAUGUUCUCUAAAAAAAACUCCAUUGACAAAAAAAAUGUAAUUACGGAACCACAUCUAAUAGUCCCUCACUCCAUCCACAGAAGAAUGUAACUACGGAACUGCGCUAGUCAAACUAGUUCAUGUCUUACCAAGUUUAAAGUAAAUAAAUUUAACAUUUGUGGCUUUAAAUAUAUUUAUCAUAAUUAUAUAUUCUAUAACUAAUCAAAUGGUACUUAUUUUGUAUACUUUAGUUAAAAUUUAAAUUGUUUGAUUUAUCGAAAAAAUGAAAAUUGCAAAUUUUUGUGGACUGGGGAGUACUACCCCCACGUUCCUCUCACUAGAUAAUGUUUAAGUACUCCGUGCCAUAAAAAACACUUGUUAGGUUAAGUCCCUGUUUAGAACAUGGGGAUUUUUUUUUCUGUAUUCCUACAUUUUUCUACAAAAUCGAACUGAUUUUUUUUUGUGAAAUUCAUGUAUGAUUCUUAGAAAAUUCAUGUAUAUUCCAAACAGAUUUUAAACUUUGUAUGGUCUUCGAUGUGCAUUUGUAUUUAUUGAUUUUUUCCUAUAAUAUGUAAUCUUGAAAUCAUUUUCCUUUUGGACUAUAUAUAAUACUGCUAUUUUCUUCUGAAUUGAGGCUGUUUGGAUAAGUCCAUUUCCUAUAUCACUAUAUGUAAAUUGAGUGGACUAGAAGAAAAUUUUCAUUUGCCUCUUCAAUCCACUUGUAUUGAUCUGCAUCUAUUAGUAAUUUAGUAUUGAUAAAUCCCAUGGCUAUUUCGUUUCAAAAAAAUCCCAUGGCCAUCGAAAAUAAGUUCCCGAAUUCUCCCUUUGAUAUCAUCUACUCCCUUCGUCCUACAAAUAAACGUAUUUAUUUGACUUCUAUGAUUCAUGUUUGACCGUUUGUCUUAUUCAAAAAUUUUUAGUAAAUAUUAUUUAUUUUUUAUGACUUAUUUUAUUGUUAGAUAUAUUUUUAUAAUGAUUUAUUUAUUUUAUUAUUUGCACAAAAAAUUUAAAUAAGACAAAUGGUCAAACAUGAAUCGUAAUAGUCAAAGAAAUGUAUUUAUUUGUGUGGCGGAAUGAGUUUGUUGCGCUGUCCUUCAUGCAGAAGUGAAGGAAAGUGAAGGAAAGGAUCCUACAUUGGAUGAAGCACUUCAAGCCUGCCGUGCUGGUGUCUACAGACAUUCAAGAAAUUUAGUUCUUGUUCUAGGCUGUUUAGUGCUUCUUUUGAUUUUAUGACAAACUGGUAUUCCCAGUAUGGUAUCUGACAUUUGCUUUCUUAAAUGCUGAGGUAAAACUCUUUAUAAAAAGUAUUGAUAAAUCCUAGGAAUAAUCAAAUCCCAGAAAUAAUCAAAGAAUAAUAAGGAUUUAGGGGGUAUUUGGUUUACUCCUCGUCUCCUAAAUCUAGUCUCAUCUAGUCACUUUUACUCGAACACUAUGACUAAAUGGGACUAAAAAGUGUAUUACCUAACUACUCACCCAAGUGUUGCUAAAUAGGACUAAAGCCCACCUUUUAGCCAAGCUGUGAAUCCAAACACCCUGACUAAAAGGUCUCUUUUAGUCUCUUUCCGUCCACCAAACUAAGGGGGUAUUUGGUUAUAUAACUAAAGUUUAAUAGGUGUCAUAUCAGAUGUUACAUAUGGUGGUCUAUAGGAUAUUUGGAUACUAAUAGAAAAAUAAAUUACAGAUUCCAUCUGCAAGACGAAUUUAGUAAGCCUAAUUAAUUUAUCAUUAGCACAUGUGUACUGUAGCAAUUAGUGUCUAAUUAUGGAGGCUUUAAAAAAUAGUCUCGCAAAUUAGUCUCUAGCUAUAUUUUUAGUCUCGUAAAUUAUUUAUAUUUAAUACUUCAUGUAUGUGUCCAAAUAUCUAAUGUGAUAUGGACUAAAGUUUAGCAACAGUAACCAAACGAGGUCUAAACAUGGGCAUGACUAAACUUUAGGAGCUGGUUUGGGUGACUAAACUUGAAGUGGUGUGAACCAAACACGUUCUUACUCAUGAGCUCGCAGAGGAACUUAUUGGGCGCCUAAGUGCAUGUCGUGAGGGUCAGCAUGGGUCUUUGCCUUUCACUCUCAUUGUAUAGACUAGACUUGUUUUCUUCUUAUGAAUGACAGAACUGUACUCCCACUCUCAUUUCCUAGAAUACAUAUAGAUCAAACAAACCCUGUAGUUACACCAUGGCUUAAUUACUUUUUGGUGCCAAUGCCAUCCAAAGCAUUUUGUCGUCGUCACCAUAUCGCGCUGCUCGUUCUCCGACAAGAACUAGAUGAGCUAUCUACGAUGAGCAUCUACAAGUCUACAUAUCAUCAAGAUGGGCUAUGGUUGCACGACUUUUAGUUCCCCUUAGAUAUUUUGGCAUUGCCCAUGCGUGCAUGCAUAGUAGUAGGCGAUGCACGCUACCACCAAUCUUAGGUUGCAGCAAAGGGCCAAAAUACUCUCUCCAUUUUAUAGGCUUCACUUUAAGCAUAUACAUUUUAAAAGAUCCGUGCUCGAGCAAGUUGAUACGAACGGCCCCGAUCUUUUACCAACGACGAUUUGAUGAAAACUAGACACUAAUCCGGCUUUAGAUAUAUGAAAAUAUCUAAAACCUUGUAACCUUAGCGCAACAUAUCCUCUAGUUAUCAACCAUCUAACUAACUACCCGGUUGACCUCAUUGAGAAGGUUAAUCCCUUCCUCGAAGAAUACAAGUGAAAAAUCUCGAAGAACACAAUCUAAAUCAAAGUGACAACUACCGAUGUAUGAUUAAGCACUCGAAAUUAAGGUCUCAUAAAUUGAUAACUGACAACUACUCAAAGACAAAUUAAUCUAAAUCAAAACUCAAAAUCUAACAUAAUCUAACAAAUGACCAAGUAUACCUAUUUGUGUCUCAGAGUCCUAACAUAUUACAAGCUCAAUGGUCCAAAAGAUGAUGGCAUAUUACCCUGACAGAUUCUGAAUGAUAACUUUUUAACAAUUUCCAUUGAUUUCAAAUGGAUUUUAAAGUAUGACCAAUGCCAUUGAAAAUAUUAUCUCUUUAGCUUUCCAUGCAUAGACAGAACAUCCAAAACGGAGUCCAUAUGUGACCUAGACAUCCGUUUUGGCAUGGACUGCUCCUAGAAUCUAAGAUAGACUCAAACAUAUGUAUUAGGCCUUCAACUUGUCUUGGACGUACAUUGGCCUUCUAAGGUGGUGUCCAAGGAGAAUGAUGUCCUUGGACAUCCUUGAAGGGUUAUCCACAUAGUUAGGGUGUGCUCCCACUUCUUCUAGGCUCCCAAGGGCGAUUAACAGGCCCACAACGGCAUCAUAGUACUCGACAUAAUUAGUGGAAAUAUUUCUUGAUUAUUUGGAGACCUUGUCAUGUGAUAUUGAGGUCAGAUCAGGUUUAUUUGAAGGUUUUCAAAUAAGUUUUUCAUCAAGUACUCAUGGACUGAUGGACCUUAAUCGCACUCCAAUGGAAGAUUUAUGGCCUUCAUAGUAGAGUAUUGUGAGUCUGUUGAUAAACCAAAUGUUUAGCUUCGAUGGCCUCGCACUCCGAGGUCGGUCUAAUUUUGCAUGGUGUAUCCACACCCCCAUCUGUUGUAGAGAACAUAGAAAGAGUCUUCCCCAUGUUUGCAUCGUCAUUAUCAUCACUCUUACUUAUAUCAUUGUGCAAACAUACGCACGAGCUCACUUGUUUUUAACUUUCAUGGGCACGUUUGUAGGUGUCUUGUCCUAAGAAAAAUAAUAAAAAACAUGUAAUUAUGUAUCUUCAAAAUUUAUUUCACUAAAACAAUACCAUUGCACUACACUAGAAAGAGAUAGAAAAUCCUAUCCAACGAUUGAUAACACUAGCAUAUACAAAGAUACAAUAACUUAGUUGGUUUAAUUCCAUUAUAUUAUCAUGCCUAUAGCUAAAACAACUAGAACUUUAAUCAUAAUUUGGUAACUGUACAUCCAAAGGAACUACCAUUCAUAACCCUAACUUUAGCCAAUUUAUUAUAGCUAUCUAAAUCUAAUUUAUUAUCCAUAUAAUUUUACCCAUAACCCUAGAUCAAAGAAAUGUAAAAAAAUAAGGUUUUGAUCUACACAAUGUGUAUUUUUACUAGGUGAAGUACUAAGCCUAGUACUAUAUGAUAACUUGGACUUCCUAGCAUAUCUGAAAAAAAAACACCCAUUAAAUUGCAAAUUUCCACCCAUCAAAGCAAACACAGUUGUAACAAGAGAAGAACUUGAUCCUGUAUAGGUCUUAUCGCGCUAGAUGGCGUGGUUCAACACACUGAUCCCCAGCCCAGUCGCCCGAUAGUGCCAGCAUGGCUAACUCUCGUGUCCCAGUCGCCUAAUAGUGCCAGCUUGGUGUAAUACCUGAUUGUAAGAACAAAACUUUUUACACCCAGCCCAAUUUAGAAUAUGGCCCGUGGUGACCUAUGUGCAUAUUAUGAGAUAACUAUGGAGGGUUUAGUCCCACCUUAGUUGUUAAGAGUGGGUUAGACCAACAUAUAAGAGCAUCUCCAGCAGACUAUCUAAAUGGACUACCUAUCUCCAAUCUGAGUAGUGGAGUCCUAAAAAUCCACUUCAGCAGACUACCUAUCCACCCAAUAGAUUUGUUGGCUACCCAAAUCUGAGUAGCUAGUUUUAGAAGUAUUGCUGGAGUUGAGAGCAAAAUCUAGAUAGUAUUAAAAUAGGUGGCUACCCAAAUAGACAUUUAGGUAGUUUGAUUUAGGUAGCACUGCUGGAGAUGCUCUAAGGCUUUUAGAGUCCAUCCCAUCAUCUUCGGGUUAAUCCUUUUACGCGAAGUGAGGGCCAAAGCAUAAGUGGGAUGAUAGUAAGUAAGUGGGAUGACGGUAAGUGUGGUUCGCUCAGUGUUUAGAGUAGUCCUGUUAUGCUAGACACUAAAAGGGUUAGAUUAAAAAUAUUUUUUUAGUCAGAUCAUUAAUAAAAUAAUAAUCAUUAAUAUUUUUUUAAAGAAAAAGAUCCUCCAACACAAGUGGUUGUCGAAGAUGUCUGUUCUUGGAAUGUUGGUGAUUAAUUCAGUCGAUACUAAUUAUCUGCCCCACCCAUAUGAAUAUGACGUGGCAAAGCAUAUGAAACCACUUGAGAGUAAGAAAAGAUCUUACUAAUAAUGAGCUCAAAGGUGGUUGCAUCUCUAGUACUGUAGCGAAUAGCAGUAGUUAGUUACAGAUUCUCCAUUUAGAGGCGUCGCCCUCGAUGCCAUGCACCUUUCCUAGUCAGACGACCAUUGCAGCUGCCAUGUGGCAGUGUGAUCCUUCAUACAGUUAUGCCACGUCGGCUUUGUUCUCUGGCGUCAAAUCAUUAGCAAAUGUCAAAGGGAAUACCUGUACAGGAGUCCAACGCGUGGAUGGCUACCAUUGCGUGCCCCUUUUAUGGGAAUCCCCGCGGGCGGCUCGUCAAUAAUCGUGCGAGCUCUCCUGGCAUUGCAAGUUUAGUUUACCCCAAAAUUUAAUUUUUUUGUUAAAGAUUCUCCUUCACAUCGAAUCUUACAACACAUGUAUGAAACAUUAAAUGUAGAUAAAAAAAAUAAUUAAUUAUACAGUUUGUCUGUAAAUCGUGAGACGAAUCUUUUGAGUCAAGUUAGUCUAUGAUUAAACACUAAUUACCAAAUAUAAACAAAAUGCUAUAGUAGCGAAAUCUAAAAAGUUUUUAGAUAUAAACAAGGCCUAAUAAAAUUAAAAAACUAUAAUUAAAAAUGACUAAUAAUGUUGAUUAAAAUAGUACUUCCUCUCCGUGGAUAAAUCAAUUCCUAGUAUUGUCUUAAAUCAAACUUUUCAUGUUUAACCAUGCUUAUAAAAAAUACAAUAAUAUUUAUGAUAUCAAAUGAACAAAUUCUAAAAUAUAUUUCGUAGCAUAUCAAAUGGUUAACUUAGUAUCAUAAAUUCUGGUGCUAUUUUUAUAAAAUCGGUUAAAUAUUAAAAGAUUUUACUUAAGAUAACUCAAAUUGAUUUAUCUAAGAACGAGGAGAGUAGUUUUUGUAAGGAAACUGAACCCUUUCUUUUAUCCUGAGCGGAUAAAUUAUAUUCUUCUUUGGCUAUAAUGCCCCCACUGAUUUUGAUUUUUUUUUUGUAUCCAUGGAAAGAUGCCACUGCAAAGUUAGUUUUGCGACAUUUGGAAAAUGAUGUAUAUCAGAUUCACUCGUGUGGGUCAUGGAAUCAUAUGUCAAGCUCACUCAACUUGCAUAUAUUAUCCUGGGUGCAUCAUUUUUUGCCACUGUGUUGUAUCUAUUUCUCAAAAUCCGUAUAAUUUGUCGCCACUCAGACUCAUUAAGAGAAUCUUUACCCAAUUUGGAUUAGAUUUUCCAUAUUAACAAAAGGUACAACUAAAUCAUGUUUGCCUUUUUUCACAAUAAAAAAAAUGUUAGGAGAAAAUCUCAUCCUCAUGUCUAGUUAUUAGAUCAUACAUGUAUAUGAGGCCUUCCCAAUUUUUUUGAGGCCUUCCCAAAUUAUUUUUAACCUCUUGUUCAAAUUUGGGGGUAUUUAAACUUUUUUUAGUAUAUUUCAUUAGUUUUUUUUGUUUCAUUGAUUUUUUUUGCAAACUUCAAAUUUGAACUGUAGGUGCAUUAAAUAAUGGAAUUUCUUUACCCAAUUUGAACAUCGGAUGCUUAAAACCUAGACAUCUCCAUAUGGGGUCAUAAGUGAUCACAUGUAAAGAUGUCUAGGUUUUACACAUCCAACAUCGCAACUUGUUCUAAACCUUCCCAAUUUUUUAUCAUAGUCUCUACAUGUGAUAAAAUGACCCCCAGACAAGUUUCUUGAUUUUUGGACUUUUUAUGGAUUUUAUAUAAUUUAAAAACAUUUUUUCCGCAAGUUGUUUCUAAUGUUACAGCAGGAAGAUGUUUCACAUUUCAUUGAGCUUGUGGAUAUGGUCUUAAAAUACACCAAAUAUCGUGAAUAUCAUUUUUUGAAUAAAGAAAUUUCAUUAUUUAAUGCACCUGCAGUUCAAAUUUGAAGUUUGCAAAAAAAUCAAUGAAACGAAAAAAACAAAUGAAAUAUACUUAAAGAAGUUUAAAUAUCCCCAAAUUUGAACAAGAAGUUUGAAAUAAUGUGGGAAGGCAUCAGAAAAAAAUUAGGAAAAAAAACUAAAAAAAAUCUUCCACGAGUGCCUUUGAGUGCCUUUCUUAGCUCUACAACACUCGGGGAAGCCAACAUUUUCCCCGAGUGUCAUGCAUUAGCACUUGGGAAAAGGCGCCUUCUCCGAGAGUUUUUUUGGCACUCAGGGAAGAUUUUUUUUUUAUUUUAAGCUCCGACGGCGUCGUUUGUUUGGGACGUCAAGAAACACUUUUCUUCCCCGAGUGCGGCUCUUCCCCGAGUGUUGCGCUCAGGGAAGAGGACUUUUUACGAGUGUCAUUCUUCCCUGAGUGCCAGGUAGGCUACGACACUCGGGGAAGCCUCUCUUCCUCGAGUGCAAUUCUUCUCCGAAUACAACACUCGGGGAAGAUUGGCUCCGAGUGCUCGAUUUUUAGCACUCGAAAAAGCUUGUGACACUCGAGAAAUUUCGAUUCUCCCGUAGUGUAUAUAUGGGCCACCUCAUGCACCGGUUCAUCGAGGAGAGAGACAAAAAUGUUGUCAGAAAGGAUGAGUCGACUCAAAGAGCACAAAUCCAUGGUGAGCCCCAUAUAGAAAUAAAAAACAUAUAUCUCUCUUCGUAGCCUGGCCUGAUGGUGUUCGUUUGGGCUUAUCAGUCGAAUCUGCUAGCCAUUCAACAGUGUUUUUCUCUCACAAUAAAUCAGUCAACAGUACUUUCUGCCUCCGCCUGGCUGAGAGGAAGGUUCAUUCUUCCCUCCUCCAAAACCUUUGUUUAUUCAUCAUGAAUCGACUCAUGAUCUUGCAUCGGUUCAAUUUCUCUCCUUCAUGAGUCGCCUCGUAUAGUGAUUAAGUUGAUUCAUCGGAACACCAUAUUGGACGAUGAAUGGGUUUCAAAAAAGCCACUGGAAAAAGGCCUAUUUCUUCUGUUACCUCCUAGAAGAUAAUUAUAUAUGAUAAUUGUUAUUUAGUUCAGUUCAAUGGUUCAUAAUUAUUUCGAAGGUAAUUAUUUCGAAGUACCAUACCUGUUUGACUUAGUAUAAAACUAAAUUGAGCUACAUUUUGGAGCCUAUAGAGCAAAAAACAUGCAAAUGCUUAUGUACGUACGCCCUCCACAUACAUGCUCUCCAUUACUCCUUCCGGUGACAAAAAAGUGAUAUUUGACUUUUGAGGUUGAUCUUCGAAGCUUUGACUACAAAAUACUACUUUUUACGUGUUGAGUUCAAAUGCUUGGAGUGGUAUGAGUAGAUUUGUGUUAUUCUCUCUGUACAAAAGGAUUUAAUAUGAGAUUUGUACCGGUUAAAUUAGUUUAAGCUUGUAAUAAAUAGCAUUCAUAACAUUCAUGCAUCCAAUGAAGUUUACUAUAAAAAUAUAUUCUAUAACUAAUUUUGAUACUUACUUUGUAUUAUGAAUGUUAAUACUUUCUUAUAUAAUUCAAAGUUCAAAUUGUUUAACUCAUCAAAAAGUGAAAAUUGCAACUUUUUGUGGACAAAGGGAGUAAAAAAGAGCUUCAUAAAAGUAUAUGAUUUAUUUGUUAGUUAUAGGUACAAACAAUAGCAAAAUCCAAUGUAUAGAAUAUAUCUUCUCAGAAUAUAUAAUCCAAAUACAUACACGUACACCAUCGUCAUUUGAGUAUGUUUGGUACAUGCCACAUUUGUCACGCCAAAUCUUCUACAAAUGUGGUUGCCAUAAAAAGUUUGGUGAGAAAAAUUAAAGCCACACUUAUGACAAAGAUUGGCAAUAAAAUGAGUCUAUGACGUGUGGCUUAGUGUGCUAAGAAAGUACGCGGCAUGUCAUAGUUGUGGCAGCGAACCAAACAAGGGUUAGAAAAAUUAUGACAUGACUAACGACGUGUGUCAUGGCAUGUUAUGGUCACGAACCAAACAGGCAUAUUGACUGGAGAGUAUAUUAUAUUGAUGCUAUAUGCAUAUCCUUGUGUGUAAAGUUGCAUGGAUGCAUGUCUGGAGGAUAAGCUAGCCGUCGACGUGUCUUUAUUGGAAGCUGGAACACCACGUAGCAAUUCUUAUCGCCAAUGUUAUCCUCCUCUCCGGCUUGUAGUAGCCCAGUCUUUCGACAAUUAUUCUCUCUACUAUCACGCUGUCCCUACAUUCAUGCACACGGCCAUAUAUUAUCAGCAAGCUAUAACUACCUAGAGUUCCGAUACUUCAUCUUAUCACGCGCCAUGCAUGAACCUAACUAGCAUAGGUAGGGUGAUUUGUACGAGACAAAUGGAACGUUCGAUGAAUUCAUGUACCAAAAUAUUAGUCCCUUUUGAUCCAUAGAGCUAACAAGUAAUAACUGCUAACGAUUAGUGCUGGAACUCUGGAUCCAAACGAAUACUAUGGCCCCGUUUGGCGCGGCUUCUCCAGCGGCUUCAAGAGCCGUUUGGAGCCGUUUUGUGCCAAACGGGGUAAAAUAGAAUGGCUCCACCAAUGAAGCCCCCUAAAAACAUGUUCUCACAGAGCUCUGGGGUGUGAAGGAGCCAAAAAUAGUGGCUUCUUCCGGCUUCACCUCAUCCUACAUGGCGUUAUGUGAGAGCAUAUUUUAAGGAAAGAGUUGUUUUGCCAAACGAUUUAUCAAAAUAGCUUAAACUCCACCGAUAGAGCCAUUCAUGGAGCUGAAGCCCCAAAAAACAGCUUCACUAAUGAAGUGGAGAAGGGCCUAUAGAUAACUAACAGGGUCGCUAGUUGUAAGUAGGGCACCUAUACUUCAUUCUUCCAACGAGUACAUACAUUAUUGAGGAUGGCCCUACGAGAAAAGCAAAUACGACCGAAUGUGGUAUAUAUAUUGAUCAUUAUAUCUCUACUUAUUUUCUUCAGAAAAGAUACUGCAUUUCAUCGAUUUCUGAAGAAUUAUUCAUGACAAAUUUUGUUAAUAAUGCUCAAUUUUUUUAUGGUGUUUCGGCCCAUGCAUACAUUAUCUACAAACUAAAAUGAGAUUAGCAAUUUAAUGCAAUCAGCUGUUCAUUCUAAUAGCCUAGGGAGAGCCAUUACUGGAACAACGCUCAUGCACCCAAGUGGAAGGAGAAAUAUGUCUAAGGUUUUGCUAGUGGAAUAUGCACUUGUGCCACAAAUUUCUUUAUGAGGCAACAGCAUAUUCUGUCUACUAGGAUAGCAUAGCAUACUAAUGCCUAAAGUAGAAAAGUGCGCACAUAGAUUGCCCAAUAAAAGAACAUAGAAUUUUAAGGGAUGCGAAUGCGAAUGAUUGAAUUUUUAAAAUUUCAUGCAUAGCACCCCCAGUUUUCGGCCUAUUGCACUUCAGAAUAGCUCCUUAGUUUGUUUUUCAAAUAAAGGAAAAAAGUUUCAGCUUGCAUCGUAUAAUGCAUACAACCACCCUCACUUAUUAUACCAUCCAAAACUUAAAACAAAAUAAAAUACAAAGUAUGUGCAACAUUCACUGCUAAAAAAACUUUUUUUAGAGAUGGCUAGAAUGAGUUUUGAGAGGCGAGUGCUUCAUCCGCCUCUAUCGUCUUUGUAUAUUUUUUACAUAGGUGGCUAUCCAGAAAUCCCUAAAAUCAAUUUUAGAGAUGGGUUGAAAUUACCAAAUCACCCUUAAAGUUUGAUUUCUAGAUGGGGACCGAAGUUGAGACAUCUCUAAAAGUUGCUCUCUGGAAUUUGAAAAUCCAGCCAAAAAUUAGCAAAAAAAGGUUUACCUCGGGAGAAGCUCACUACACAGCCCCCACGAUCACAUGUGUGGCCCAUAGGGGAUCAAAUUUAGAGAGCCUUUGACCUUGCAUUUUCCUUACCACGUACUCUAAGCUACUUGCAAUGGCGGAUCUAGAAAAAUAAGUCAGAAGGAGCUUAUCUUAUAAUAUUCCAUCCUUAGCCUCUCUUUGUAAACUUGAAUAGGUCUAAAUUAGUAGGAGGGGCUUAGGAAGGGCUUCAAGGUCCACUCUCUGCCCCGGUGCUGGAUCCGCCCUUGGCUACUUGUGACCAAGUGGCUAAUACAAUCCUUUUGUAUUUACUUUAACAAAUACUGUAAUAAAUAAAAUAUUUGACAUCCUAAACAAAUUUAAAUGAAAAAGAUUAAACUGAAAAAUUAGUGCAUCCUUUCUCCGUUUAAGUUGUUUGAAAAAAAUUAAAAGAAUUUGAAAAAUUGAAAACAUAGAAUUUUUUGGCCUUAAAUUUUUUCAAGUGAAAAAGGUCAUUAGAUACAAAAUUAUAGUCUCAUCGAGAUGUAUAACUUUGGUAUAAAGUUUAUCUUUAUUUGUCUGGAUUUUAAAAGUUAUGAAUUUUAUCGUGCUGCACAUAUUUUCAAAUGCGAGCCAAAUUGCGAACUGCCUCUAGAAAUCCAUUUCUAUAGACAUGGAUGUUGUAGAAUUUAUUGUUCUAGUAAUUGUGUAUCAUGGUAGCAAAUUAGAUGGGGGUAGCACAUCAGACACAGAUUUAUACUGGUUUAGGUAUGAAGUACCUAAGUCCAUUGUAGAUGAUGAUCUUUAUUGUUUGUGCGCCAAUUGGGCUGAGUUGCGAGUAGGGGAUCACAACAUUGUGGCCAUGGGUGGAGCUAUCUUGAGGAUGAGCUCGAUCUAUACUGGAUCUAAGUUGGGGUGAUCUUGGGGUGACCGAUCAAGGGUUCCCUGCCCCUCCUUACAUAGUCCAAGUGUAGGGUUAGAGGUAGAGUCCUAAUCAGUUGAUAUGUAUGUUUCCUAGUUUAUUACAAGAAAAUCUAAUAGUGGAGAGUUGGUUUAAUUUCUAAGUACAUUUUGGUAUGACUUGUCCAUCAAGUAGUCGAGGUAGCCUCAUCCAAUUUGUGUAACGAGUCAAAGUCUUUCCAAUUAAAACUUUUAAUAGAACCUUCUUGAUCACCUUGCACAGUCCCUCAAACUCCCAAGAACCAUCUUGUGAAUCUCUUUAAGGAUUCCUGGUAUUCUCUACAAGGACAAGGACUCCAAAUUCGCAACUCAAUCCCAUUGUGGGGGUAUAAACCCUCAUACCCUUACGGCUAGACUUGGGCCAGGAGGCUUGGUCCAUUACGAGAUGAGUUCGAGGCUUGAUCCGACUGCUCGGAGUUUCGCGCAAGGAAACAAGACGUGGAGAUCAAGCAGGAUUGUAGCCGGUUAGAAUAGGAAUUGAUAUUGAGCUAUCUAUGGCAAUUGUAACCGACUAGGAUUAGUUUCCAGAUCUGUAACCCUGCCCUCCAGACUAUAUAAGGAGGGGAAAGGGACCCCCCUUAAGACACAUUAUUCUCAAUCCAAUACAAUCAGACGCAGGACGUAGGUAUUACGCCCACACGGCGGCCGAACCUGGAUAAAAAGCUUGUCCGUGUCUUGCGUCACCAUUGAGUUCAUAGUUUGCGCACCGUCUACUGAUAAACUAUUACCGUGGUUAUACCCCAAGGUAGACUGCCGACUAGCUUUCGUCGACAGUGGCGCGCCAGGUAGGGGGUGUGCGUACAACUUUUCCAGCGAACAAGAUGGUCAUCGUUCCAGCUUCUGCAGCCGUGCCUGAAGGCCUCACAUUCACCGUCGGCCAGAUUACGUGGACAACCCGCGGCGGUGGCCCCACGGUCACGGUUUCGGAAGAAACCCAGAUCCGAUCUGGGAUGACGGCGACAUCGGCUCCGACCACGCGGACACCGGCACCGAGCACGCGACCACCGCUUCCGCGCUACAGGGGAAAGAAGAUCGAUGGCUCGGACCUUUUCCGAGCCCUUGAUCGCGUCGAUCUCAAGCUUCUCGAAGCUUCCCGACCAAUAGAUGGGAUCUCGCGCCAGCCUGACCAAGCCACGUCAACGGAUUUUUACAACUCCCACCGGCCAACUCGUGUCGUCACACACGAACAGCUGGGAACAUCUCUGACGAUAACCUCGACCGCCUCAGGACAGUCCGUCAAACUCGAGGCUGGUCCACAUCAAGGCUCUCCUUACGGGCUGAACAAUUCGGCCGUUCACUACUCACGGCACAUCUAAUCCCUCUUCAACGGGGCUGGUUGGUCGCCAAAGCGGAGCAAUCGACCAGCUCGUCACUACGUCAACAUGGUGACGAUCCGAGAACUACGGGACGGCCAGGCUUCCAGCACAAACUCUAGCACUAGCUCCGUUCCUACCGAAGUCAUAAAUUCCAAGGACGAAGACUACGACCUGGAUUUACCACCGUAUCCUCCGGGUUUCUCUUGCUUCCCGGUCUUUCCACCUCGGCGUGGAGACCUCGUUUUCAAUGUCAGCGCCAACGAGCCGGUCGUUGACGGAGAAACAGACGAGCAGAGGCAGCUCCGUGAGCAGCGCAAUGCUGACCGUGCCCGACGACGCGCGGACGAGGAGCGCCAACUCCUGCCACAUAACCUCACCGACGCUUUCGACAUGGUCGGGGAUCAGCCAGUCUACAAAACUCCAAGCGCCAACGUGGCUGUCGCCAUGGCCAACUUAGAUCGACUCCCUGAUACUCCCGAAUGCCAGGGCGUCCGAUCCAGCGUUCGAGCACACCUGAUCGCCACGAUGGGACAGACAGCCACUCUGCUCAAAAGAGUCCAAGCUAUCUCCUAUACAGAGGUCUCCUCCGACCAGACUCAUCGCAGCCGGACCUCACCACAACCCAGCAGGCACCACCGCAGCCGUUCUCCCAACAAUCAUCGAAAAGAUUCACGGCGUGACGAUGGCGGCCAUCGCGAGCAGAAUCGCGGGCGUGGUCAGGAAGUAAACCAGCACAGGGAUCUUCGAUACAACAUCCCUCCCAAAGACGCCUGGGACCGCAUCAACAGGCGCGCCACGGAGAGAGCAGUCCACGAAAACCUACGUCGUAUUGAGUACGAUGCAACUCACGGCCCCCCGGGCCUGAGACAGUUCUUCUCACACCCCCGCCAGGUCGUGUGGCCCAGAAACUUCAAACUUGAGAAACUCAAAAAAUACGACGGUAAGGAAAACCCAGAAAACUGGAUCACUCUAUACGAGAUCGCCGUCCGGUCAGCAGCAGGAGAUGAGCACGUCAUGGCCAACUACUUCCCAGUCGUCCUCGACCAGGCCGGUCACCAGUGGCUCCUAGGUCUGCCCGAGGACUCUUUCGACUCCUGGGAAGAGUUACGACAAGCAUUCAUCGACAAUUUCAUCGCUACAUGCGAACAGCCGGGGAACAAAUACGACCUCGAAAGAAUAUGGAACAAGAAGAACGAGCCUCUGCACGAUUACAUCCGACGAUUCUCGGAUAUGCGCCUUAAGAUCCUAAAAAUUUCCCAUGACGAGGCCAUAUAUGCUUUCAUCAAGGGGCUGCGCUUCCACGAAGCACUGAGGAACAAGCUACUGCGCAAAAGGCCAACAACGAUGGCCGAGCUUCUUGCCACGGCCAAAAACUACGCCGACGCCGACGACGCAGAAAAACUCAUCCGGGACGAUGCGAGAGGUCCCGACCAGCCCCCUCGACGAGAUGACAGUCGAGGUCGUUUCGACAACAGGAACCAUCGUCGCCCCGACAAUCGGACCACAGAGAAGGCUGGGACAGGCGGCGUGACAACCGCGAUGACUUCAGAGGCAAGCGCCCUCGUGAUCACGACCACGAGGUGAAUAUGGUCAAGCGUCCCAAUGGGCGGCGAGACUACCAGGAAGACUACAACAAGACGUUGAAGGGACCAUGCCAGCUGCAUCCAAAGUCCAACCACACGAUGGAAGAAUGUCGCGUCCUAAAAAGCAUCUACACACGGCGGGCUGCUCAAGACGACACAGCCAAGAAAAAUGGGAAACAGGACGGGCGCGAUCAUGAAGAUGAGGACGAGGACCAGGAUAGGGACCCACGACACCAGUAUGUCAGUCCCACCGACGUGGUCCACUCCAUCUUUAGGGGCAAGGUCUCCACCGAGUCUAAGCGAGAAAGGAAGCUCUUAAAAAGAGCCUGCCUCAAUAUAGACACCACGGAUGGACUAAUCGCUGACCCGAAAUUCCCUCCGUGGUCGCAUAGGGAAAUCUCCUUCAGCAGGAAGGACCAGUGGGCCACCAUCCCAGAACCAGGACGUUUCCCUCUAAUACUGGAUCCUUGCAUCAACACCAUCAGAUUCGAGCGCGUGCUCGUCGACGGGGGAAGCUCCAUUGAUAUCCUUUUUCGCAACAGCUUGCCUGCUCUCAAGUUAACCCCGGCACAGCUAAAGUCCUACGAUGCUCAAUUCUGGGGAGUCUUGCCAGGUCAAAGUUUAGUGCCCCUUGGACAGAUAACACUGCCUGUCCAAUUCGACACGUCCGACCACUUUCGAACAGAUUUCGUCAACUUCGUGGUCGCCGACUUCGACGGAACCUAUCACGCCAUACUGGGCUGACCAUCGCUGACAAAGUUCAUGGCAGUCCCACAUUACUCAUAUCUGGUCCUCAAAAUGCCUACAGAGAAGGGCGUCCUAAUUGUCAGAGGCAAUGUCUACACCGCAUAUACUUGCGAGGAGGAGAGCUUCAAGAUCACUGAAGCAAUUGAUCUUUCAAUUCUCAUGGCAGAAACAGCAACCCAAACCGCACAACUCCAUCCCGACCAGCUCCGACUACCCGAGCAGGAGACCCCCAGGAAGAAUUCAAAAUCCAAGGAGUACAAGGAAGUACAGCUGGUCGAAGGCAGCCCCGAGAAGACGGCCCUCAUCGGGGCCAACCUGGACCCUAAAUAGGAAGACGCGCUCGUCACGUUUCUAAGGGACAACGUGAACGUUUUCGCAUGGAAACCCGCAGACAUGCCCGGCGUCCCACGGAACCUGAUCGAGCACUCCUUAAAUGUCUCGAAGACCGCAAGACCCAUCAAGCAAAAGCUGCGACGGUUUUCUCGUGACAAAAAGGAGGCUAUUAGGACAGAAAUAACACGGCUUCUAGCAGCCGGAUUCAUAAAAGAAGUGUAUCAUCCCGAUUGGCUCGCCAAUCCGGUUCUUGUACGCAAAAAGAAUAAUGAAUGGAGAAUGUGCGUUAAUUACACUGAUCUCAAUAAACACUAUCCUAAAGAUCCUUUUGGUCUCCCUCGCAUUGACGAGGUAGUCGACUCAACAGCCGGAUGCGAACUCCUCUCUUUUCUAGACUGCUACUCUGGUUAUCACCAGAUCUCGCUAAAGGAAGAUGAUCAAAUCAAAACGUCUUUCAUUACUCCUUUCGGCGCAUACUGCUACACGACCAUAUCCUUUGGACUCAAAAACGCCGGAGCCACCUAUCAACGGGCCAUCCAGCAAUGCCUCCAUGACGAGAUUCGUGAUGACCUCAUCGAGGCUUAUGUAGACGACGUCGUCAUCAAAACAAGGGACGCAAGCACCCUAAUCGACAACUUAGACCGAACCUUCAAGGCACUAAACAAGUACAAGUGGAAGCUUAACCCCAAAAAGUGCAUCUUUGGGGUCCCUUCUGGUCUACUGCUCGGCAACGUCGUCAGCCGCGACGGCAUACGACCAAAUUCUUCAAAAGUAAAAGCAGUGCUCGACAUGCGACCACCUAAGAACGUCAAGGAUAUUCAGAAGCUCACCGGAUGUAUGGCCGCCCUCAGCCGCUUCAUCUCAAGACUAGGAGAAAAAGGCCUUCCCUUCUUCAAACUCUUGAAGGCGUCGGAAAAAUUCUCCUCGAUAGAGGAAGCUGACGCUGUGUUCACCCAGCUCAAGACUUUCCUCACCCUACCGCCUGUUCUCACAGUGCCUCAGCCCAAUGAAGACCUACUUCUUUACAUUGCAGCAACCGACAGGGUCGUCUCCACGGCAAUAGUGGUCGAGCGAGACGAGCCAGGCCACGUCUACAAGGUCCAGAGACCCGUUUAUUUCAUAAGCAAAGUCUUAAAUGAGUCCAAGGCCAGAUACCCACAAAUACAGAAGCUCAUAUACGCCAUUUUAAUAACGUCGAGGAAGCUAAAGCACUACUUCGACGGCCAUCGGGUCUUGGUAACCACCAGUUUCCCUCUUGGGGAUAUUCUGCGCAAUAAAGACGCCAACGACAGAAUUGUAAAAUAGGCAAUGGAGUUAUGCCCAUUCUACCUAGAUUUCCAGAGUCGCACCACAGUCAAGUCUCAGGCCCUGGUCGAUUUCAUCGUAGAGUGGACGGAUCUUAACGAGCCUCCCGUUUCCGACGUCUCCGAUCACUGGUCAAUGUUCUUCGACGGGUCCUUGAACAUCAACGGCGCCGGCGCUGGGAUACUUUUCGUGUCGCCUAACAAGGACAAAUUGCGUUACGUCCUUAGGAUCCUUUUUCCGGCAUCAAACAAUGUUGCUGAGUACGAAGCAUGCCUACAUGGCAUACAACUAUCCGUUGAGUUGGGAGUCAAACGCCUCUACGUCCACGGCGACUCCGCUUUAGUUAUCAACCAACUCAACAAGGAAUGGGACGCAACCCACGAGAAGAUGGAUCUCUACUGCAAAGAAAUCCACAAAUGGGAAUCCAACUUCUAUGGCAUAGAGUACAUCCACGUGGUCCGGGACAAGAACCAGGCAGCGGAUGCGCUGUCCAAGUUAGGGUCAUCUCGGGCCCAGAUCCCGCGAGGUGUUUUCGUCUAGGACAUCCAUGAGCCAAGUGUGGGCACAGACCUGGUCGAAAAGCAACCUAUUGAGGCAAUGCUCAUAGAUGACGCUACUCCGACAACCGGCAUCCGAGAUUGGCGCACUCCGUUCAUCAGGUAUAUAUCGGACGGGUCAGGCUUUCAGGAUAAAACGGAGAACGAGCGCCUCAUUCGACGAUCAAAGAAUUACAUACUGGUGGACGACAAACUUAUGCGAAAAAAUGCAAGUUCCGAAGUGCUGCUCAAAUGCAUAUCCCAAGAGGAUGGCAUCAAGCUCCUAGACGACAUACAGGCCGGAUCCUGCGGCAACCACGCAGCCUCCAGAACACUGGUCGGGAAGGCUUUCCGAGCAGGUUUUUACUGGCCAACCGCGGUCACCGACGCAGAAAAACUGGUCCGACAUUGCGAAGGAUGCCAGUUCUUCGCCAAAAGGACCCACGUACCUACUCAUGAGAUUCAAACUAUUCUGUCAUCCUGGCCUUUCGCCUGCUGGGGCCUCGACAUGAUCGGGCCAUUUAAACCGGCUCCCGGCAACUUCAAGUUCGUCUUCGUGUUAAUCGACAAAUUCUCGAAGUGGAUCGAAUACAUGCCACUGGUCAAAGCAACCUCCGAGAAGGCUGUGGAGUUCCUCAAUCAAAUCAUACACAGAUUCGGGAUCCCCAACAGUAUAAUCACCGACCUGGGCACUCAGUUCACUGGCACUACGUUCUGGGACUUCUGCGAUGACAGAGGCAUAGUCGUAAAAUACGUGUCAGUAGCACACCCACGAGCAAACGGUCAAGUCGAACGCGCGAACGGAAUGAUCAUCGAUGCCUUAAAGAAAAGGUUGUACACCGAGAACGACAGAGCGCCUGGUCAAUGGAUGAAAGAAUUACCGGCCGUGGUCUGGGGUCUCCGAACACAGGCCAGUCGCAAUACAGGUGUAUCAUCCUACUUUAUGGUUUAUGGCUCCGAGGCAGUACUUCCAUCAGAUAUAACCUUCAGAUCUCCAAGAGUUGAAAACUUCGACCAAUCAACGGCUGACAACGCCAGGGAGCUCGAAAUCAACUGCAUGGAGGAAAAGCGUCUAAUUUCAUGUCUUCGAACAGCAAAGUAUCUCGAAGCCAUCAGGCGGUACCACAACAGGAACGUCAAAGACCGUUCUUUCAUGGUCGGUGACCUGGUACUCAAGUGGAAAACAAGCCAGGAAGGAACGCACAAGUUAUCCACGCCUUGGGAAGGACCCUUUGUGGUCGCCGAAGUUACACGCCCUACAUCCUACAGACUGGCGUAUCAAGAUGGAACACGCGUGCCUAAUUCUUGGCACAUAGACAAACUGUGCCAUUUUUAUCCAUAAGUUCCAGUACCUUUUGCUUGUAAGUUUCUUAUAAUUAGCAAUAAUAAAAGUUUUUCUUUUUUGCUAUGUAUACACGCAGAGCUUCCGACGAGUACAACAGUCUUCCUCUGCGCCAAAGAUUCUUAACGACUAUCAAUCAAACACAGUGAUACGUCACUCAGAUAACAUUACAGCGCUCAAAUUCAUGGUCAUGACAAAAUUCAAACUUUAUUACAAACUUUACAUACAGAGUUUACAAUAAACACUCCAUCGGGUGGCUACUAGUCUACUCCUACAGACUAUCCUACAGGCCUACUGCUCGGGCUGAUCACCCGCUUGGCCUUGCUGCCCAGACGAAGGGGUCGGGGCCACCGGCGCCUGGCUGGUCGAGACCGCAGGCGUCGACCGCCCAUCUCCAGCAAUAGACGCCCCCGACAACUCCCUGGCCAAUCUGUCAGACCCCGACUGGUCGGGGGGAGUGGCCGUCCCGCACAGGUUAAUGUCGCCGAUCACCGUCGAUGACAAGUCUAGCAGGCCAGCUCGAAGGUCGUCUGCCUCCUGCGGGCCAACUUCCUUGGGGUACCCCCUCUCCCGCCUGGACAGGUCGACCAGGGGAUAGUGGGCGCGCACCAUGCUAAGGACAUGCGCGCCGGCGAACUCCCCGGCGUCCUUGACGAACUGCUGGAGCCAGUCCCACGUCCGUUGCGCUUUCUCGACUGGCGUCAGUUUCGGUGUGCGGGGCUGGUCUUCAGGAAGCUCGGGGCUGAUCAAGUCCAGAACUGGGGCUACUCCUUUCCAAAGCCUAAUGCAGUUAGUCUUCCAGGAGUCCUGAUCCUUGACCAGCUCGUCUAAGUGCUUCUUGGUAUUCACCUUGAGCACUACAAACCAAGCAGGAGGUCAGUUCAAGAACAAGGAAAGAAACGUUGAUCAACCAAAUAAAAAAGGGGUGCCACGCUUAUUACCAGACAGCUCCCGAUUCCUGUGGCUUAGCUCCUCGCGUGCUCGGCGCCCGGCCUCCAGCGCCCCGGCAAGCUAUUGGCCGAGCUGCUCUUUAUCUUGUCGGAGGCGCGCAACCUCUUCCUCCAAUUCUACAAGAACAAUCCCCUGGUCAACAAAACUAACCACGCGGCUAUAUACAACUGCUCGGAGUGCGCGACUGACUUGUCCUCUGCCGAUACUGGUCGGCUAAACGCCGAGUAAGCUCGAGACGGCGCUCUUCCUGAGCACUCAUCUCGGCCACCUUCUCCCCAACUUCUGACCGAAGCCGGUCCACCUCCGCGGACAGGGCCUUGUUCUCGGCCGCAAUCCCCUCGAUUUGGUCGAAGCACCUCUUCCGAUACUUCGCCCUUUUCAUCACGCCCUGCAAGAAGAACAUAUGUCGAACCCAGGAACACAGCAUAUAAGUGUCGAGCAGCACAAAGGACCACUUACCUUAACCUCAUCCACGAGACGCUUGGCCGCGCGCUCCACCCUUGCGGCCUCUUCCGUCUCCGCGAGCUCCUCGUGUCCAAUGAAGUGGUCCCCGUGUUGGCGCCACACGUAGACGUGCUGGCGGCCGUCACGGGGACGAUUCUGGAUCUCCUCCACGUCAUCGUCAGAGGCCGCCCGGGGCUCCUCGUUCGCCGCACUGCCGCCGGCCGCGGUCGCAGGCAUCACUGGCCCAUGGUCCAGGCCAGGGGAGCCUACGGGUGAAGAGGCCUCUGCUCGGGGCGGUGUUGGGACCCCCCUUUCUCCGGCUGGAGGAGUCGGGACUCUGUCUUCCUCCCCCACAACAUUACUCGGGGGAGGGGUUCUCGCUGCCUCUUCAUCCCUCGUCGGGGUGCUCGCCGCGGCACUCGCCGGGGCCGGUUGUUCCUCGGCACUCGUAGCAGCGGUUGUCACCGCAGGCUGCUCCGUGGCUUGCGGCGCGGCGUCUCCAACGGCGGCUACAGGCUCAGUUGUCCUCUGUUCAGCGACCUGGUCGGGGUUGACAUCUGACGCUAUGCUAGACAACGAAACAACAUUUAAACAAUGUCAGAAAUAGCAACAAAAAGCAGAACGUCGCAGUACGAAAGUAAGAUUAAGCACUUACAGGUCAGAUCGCCUGUGUGUUGCGGUGAACCUCCUCCUGGUCCUACCGGAUGGUGCCUGCGCCCCCGUCUCUACGACGCGCGGUGCAGGAGGGUCGCUGGUCACCCGAUCAGUAGUGGCGGGCGCUAUGUCUGGACGAUUGCGCGGCCUCCGGACCAGGGAAGGCGCGGCCUCCUCCUCCUCCUCGUCGUCGUCGGUGAUCCGGACGAGUCGACGGCACUUUGGCGCCUGACUGCUCUCCGCCGGCAGCGCUUCCGCAGGGGAGGGGUCUGCUGCUAGCGGCCUUUUCCCCACCACUCUGUCUUCGGUGGUCGGGGCGGGAUGGUUCUACUCCUCCUCACUGCUGGUGUACCGAGCACACCGAGCAGCGUCCUCUUCCGACGGGUCUACCCCCCCGGGGUUCUCCAUGCCGGGCGCCAGUGAUACGAAUACCGCGCACCGGUCAACGUCUCCAAUCUACAGCAAAAAUAAAAGACAAAUCAACAACGAUGGCGAACUAGUACUCGAAAAGCAAAAUCAGUUCGCAACAUUACCUUGGGAGCUGGUCGCCCCAGCUUGAAGGCCUGCGCCCGAUCACUACUGCGAACGAAGCUGCCGUCCGCAAAGUUGAACAGCUGGUUUAGCAGCUGUUGCACUUCCGCCUUCUCCAGGACCUCAGGGCUCAUCCUGGUCGGGUCCUGGCUUCCAGCAUACUCGUAUGCCGAGUGGACCCUCUUCUGGUAGGGCAUCACUCGACGACAGAUGAAGUUGCCGACCACCCCUAGUCCGUCUAAACGCGACCAGUCGAUCAGCUUCAUCAGGUCUUCUACCUGGCCGGUGAACUCUGGGCGGUCUGUCCAACUGACCCUCUUCUCGGGAAUGUACCCCACGUCGCAGAACGUGGAGCUGCCCGGCUCCUCCCUGACGUAGAACCACUUCUUGUACCAUUCGGUGAGAGAAGUGUUCCACGGGCAGCUGAGAUACCGAUUCUUCAUCCCGUCGCGAAGAUUGAGGUAUACUCCACCUGCAAUCUUGGAGCCUCCAACCGCUCCCUUCUUCCUCAAACAGAAAAGGUAGCGGAAAAGAUCGAAGUGCGGCUCUAUCCCAACAUAGGCCUCGCACAGAUGGAUAAAAGUGGAAAUAAGAAGAAUCGAGUUCGGGUGCAGAUUGCAGAUCCCGAUCUCAUAGUAAAGAAGAAGCCCCUGAAGAAAAGGAUGGACGGGAACCCCAAAACCCCUCUUGAAAAAAUCUUCGAAAACCACUAUCUCACCGGCACGGGGGUCGGGGUAGCUCUCCCCAUCUGGUGCCCUCCAGCCGCCGAGCUCUUGGCUGUGCAGUAGCCCCAUGCCGACGAGGUCGUUGAGGGACCUCACGCUGCUCCGGGACUUUUUCCACUCCUUGGCCAUCAGUUCGGCCCUCUUCUUGGAGUCGCUCUUCGCCAUUGACGCUGUGGAAAUGGAUGCGAGCUGGGCGGACUGAUGGAGGUUGCGGAAGGCAAGAGUGGAAAGCUUGAAGGCAAUGGCAGGGUAAGCAAUACGGAGGGCGAGGUCAAGCUUUUAUAACCAACAACUCCAUCCCUCCCACUUCCCGCAUUCUUGGGAAAUGGGAGGACCCAACAGUGGAUGCGGCGUUUCGGUUUUCAAUAAUUACCGGCAGUUAAUACGGCGGCCUUUUUUGCUUAAUUAAUGUUUUCCUUAUCUUGAACCGCGCAAAGAGCGGCUGUACAGUUACCGGGCGCAACUUUUCAUGCAGCCAUCUGACAGUGCGCCAGGAGGUCUCGUCACAUCACCCAUUUCCGUGAUAAGAUUCCUUUUUCAAAAUAACAGACACAAAUUGGUGGAUGACCAACGCCCCUAGGGACUGCACCGACCACCGAGCACCGUACGCUCGAGGACUGGUCGACCAGUCUGCCAGUUUGGAGAUCUGGGGACUGCACCGACCACCGAGUACCGUAUGCUCGGGGACUGGUCGACCAGUCUGCCAGUUUGGAGAUCUAGGGACUGCACCGACCACCGAGUACCAUAUGCUCGGGGACUGGUCGACCAGUCUGCCAGUUUGGAGAUCUGGGGACUGCACCGACCACCGAGUACCGUAUGCUCGGGGACUGGUCGACCAGUCUGCCAGUUUGGAGAUCUGGGGACUGCACUGACCAGCUAGCACCGUAUGCUCGGAGACUGGUCGACCAGUCUGCCAGUUUAGAAAUCUAGGUAUGCAUCAAUUACCAAGCACUACACGCUCGGGGACUGGAUAAUUUUAAUUUUUUAGACCUUGCUACAAGGCUCAUACUUCACCUUCCAGCAAGCUCGGGGACUACAUCGGUACGAUGCAUCUGGCGAUGCAUCUCAGUUUCAGAAUUUCUUUGAGGAUUUUUCUUUUGACCCUGGCACCACGUGCCUACGUCACCUACUACUAGGCUCGGGGACUAAGUGGGCACACUUCACCUUGCGGUGAAUACGCUUGCUUUUUGAAAGGCUAUACUUUUCAGAAAAGUAAAGUGGACACACUUCACCUGGAAAGAAAUCUUUUUUAAUUUAGAGCACCAUGCAUUCUUUGAACAACCUGCUUCUUCGAUGUCAAUGUUGAUCAACUGUCUUUUGAGUUGGUCAAAAUACCGUUGCAACUGUUUGGGCGACUUUCCUACUUAUUGAAGACGUCAAGCCUCACUGAUCGAAGAAGCUCAAGACGGCGUGUUACAUCACAAUACAUGGUGCUCGGGGACUAGCUGUGGGGGUAUAAACCCCUAUACCCUUACGGCUAGACUUGGGCCAGGAGGCUUGGUCCAUUACGAGAUGAGUUCGAGGCUUGAUCCGACUGCUUGGAGUUUCGCGUAAGGAAACAAGACGUGGAGAUCAAGCAGGAUUCUAGUCGGUUAGAAUAGGAAUUGAUAUUGAGCUAUCUAUGGCAAUUGUAACCGACUAGGAUUAGUUUCCAGAUCUGUAACCCUGCCCUUCGGACUAUAUAAGGAGGGGCAAGGGACCCCCUUAAGACAUAUUAUUCUCAAUCCAAUACAAUCAGACGCAGGACGUAGGUAUUACGCCCACACGACAGCCGAACUUGGAUAAAAAGCUUGUCCGUGUCUUGCGUCACCAUUGAGUUCGUAGUUUGCGCACCGUCUACCGAUAAACUACUACCGUCGGUAUACCUCAAGGUAGACUGCCGACUAGCUUUCGUCGACACUCAUCAAUUCUCUCAAGUCAACCAAAGUCAACAGAGAGUCAACCAUGGUCAACUUGAAGUUAACAUCGUAAGAAUACUCUCCAAAAGAUGCUAACCAACAACCCUAUCUCUAGGACAUGAAGAUUGGCCUCAAUACCAAAAAAAAACUCUCUUUAUCUAAAUCAUUUGGUAAAAAUAAGUGAUUUUACAGAGUGUCCAAUAAGAUUGACGGACUAUCCGACAAAUCUCUUAUUCAGCUGGUUGAGUGGAGAAUGAGCUGCCCUCAACUCAUCCAAGUGACCCCAUGUGUCAGCGUGCACCGGCAUAUGUAACAUCAAAAUACUUUUAUUGAAUCACUAGGAAAUAUGUCGUAGAUAUAAAUAUAUUUUUCUAUAAACUUGAUUAAAGUUAUAGAAUAUUGAUUUGGGAUAAAACAAAAAUGAUCUAUAUUUUAGAACGGAGAGAAUGGAUAUAGCUUGAAGUGGUGGGUUACAAUCUGUGCAUGCAAAGAAGAGCACAUGCGGUGCACCUACCCACAAAACUUUCAAAGAAAAAUUUGAGUAGUGGUGCUUGCAAGCAAGGGAACGAUUGAGAAGCAGAGAAUAUGAACUGUACACUGCUGCAACCCAAUCAACAGCAAUAUCUGAUAAAAAUAUGAUAUAGAUCCAAAGCGGCCGAAAGGCUAAACAUCGAGGGCCAUUCCAUCUCCAUUGCCAAAACAAUUCCUUCCUUCCUUUCGCUCUUAGGAAUCCAAUCAACUCGAUCAAUCAAGCUCAAAGUUCUAUCAUCAUCACACAAGCUCCGCAUUGCUUUUUAUUUCAUUUUCUAUGGUCUAUAGAGGUAGCGUCGUAGCUAGGUACUUAGGAAGAGAACGAGAAGAGAUUAGUGAUGCCUUACUUUGACAAAUGAGUAGAUAGAUAGACAAGCUACAAGUGAGCAUCGAACAAGACUACAAGAGUAUACAAUACCUUGGGCGAUGGAGGUUUCAACUUCCAAAUUAAGCAUGUGAAACACGAUCCCAACUGUAGAAAUUGCGACUUGUUUCAUGACAAAUGGGUAUCUACUAGCUAGGAGAAAGCUACAUUUUGAUUCACUCGAGUGCUUUAAAAUUUCAGUCUAAUUUGAAACGGAAUCUAAUUAUAGCUAGGCUCCUAAGUCUAGGUUCAUUUUUUUAAUAAAGGAUAGAUAUAGUCUAUCUGGCUUCAUUCACCCAAGCCGGAUGAACUCAAGCGAAAUUAUUAUAAGAUCUUACAAAGUGUUACAUCGAAAGCCAAAGACUAACACGACCAGGGUCGUAAGUAAACAAAGAAAUACCUAGUAACUGCAAAAAGUCCAACACACGAAGAUCAAUGUAAAGCAAUCCUAAAAACAGACGACCACACAAAGGAUGAAAACAUCCGGAGACAUGAAGUUUCAAGAGCCCGACAAGCGUCGACUAACUGUUGUUGACGGUCUUCAAGAUGCUGUAACAUUGUCGGUCCAGUAUGUCUCUCUGAAUAGCACCUACAAAAAAUAUUUAGGUCUACAUUUGUCAAAAAAAAUUAUUUCUUGAUAUCCACAGUGACCAACAUAAUGUAGCGGUGGCAGUCAAUAAGUUUAUAUUGUGAUUAGUUCCCCCUCCUUUUGACCAAUGAAUAAAAAGAUCAUUAGCAUCCGUGGGUUGGGCAAUGCCCAGAACCAUGUGUACUGCUGUCUACAGAAACUUAGCAUAGGCACAAUUAAUAAACAAGUGUUGGAUUGAUUGGAGUACUACAGAAAGAACAACCUGUAUCUGUAUGUCCCCUCUAAUUUCUUUUUGCUAAGCUGUCCUUUGUUAAAAUAACCCCUUUUUUAAGUACCACAUAAAGAUUUUUAUUUUCAUGGGUAACUUGGCGCGCUAAAUUUCCUGUGAGACAUGCACACCAUUAUUGACUAAAUACGCAUACAUUGAUCGAACUGUAAAUAACCCAUUCGAGUUUAGAGACCAAACAAAGACGUCAUUUUCUUCUUGUAACUGCAAAGUUGCUACUGUUCCAAUCCCUCAAAAGUUAUUUCCCACUAAUGUCCUUCGAAAAGAAACAUUAAGUGGAAUAGACGACAACACAUUUGACAUAGUGUCGUGUUUUCUAUGCACUAUGUUGAACAACCUUAGAAUUUUAGUUCGGAGAGAAUAACUCUCAAUCCAAAUAUCUUCCCACAUAACCUCGUUUGUUUUCUCUAGGUUGAUGGCGUCGGUUGUGUAAAUGCAUGCAUGUGUUUCACAUUCUUGAAAAAAAAGAAAGCUACAGCUGAUCUAUCCAAAUUAACUUGACGGUGAAGACACAGAAGAGUAUCGCCACCGCCACCCCCUUUUUCUCUCACCGUCGCCCCGUCUAGGCCCCCUUCUUCCAUCCGGGUUUAUUUGGAUUAAUAGGAUUAGCUGUUGGAUGAAGCUAAAAAGUACUUCAAAUUAUUUAGUGUUAGGGAGUAAUUGGCAACAACCUAGUUAAAAAAUUUCUUAAAAAAAUUAGCCUAUCUGUUAGCUCCCUGUUAUAGAUGGACUAAGACUUAAAAUUACCGCCUCCAUCCUGAAUUAUAGUGUAUUUUCAUUUGUUCUAAGUCAACCCACCUUAUGGUUGACUAAAAUUAUAGAAAAAAAUUAACCUCUACCACAUAAAAAAGGUAAGUUAUAAAAAUACAUUCCAUCAUGUUCUUAAUGGAGCUUAUACGAUGUCAAAAAUAUUAUUAUUUUUAAAAGACGGUCAAACUUAAGAUGAGUUAACUUAGAGCAAAUAAAAAUACAUUAUAUUAUUGUAGGAAGAAAAUUAAUAUGUCUUUCUAUAAUUUUAGUCAAGCAUGAGAUGGGUUAACUUAGAACAUAUGAAAAUAUGUUGUAUUUUAGAACGGAUGGAAUAACAGUUAACCUUCUAUAUCCAAUUAGACCCAUAGAGUUAGUUGUAUUCAAGGAAGAAAAGCCCCCCCCCCCCCCCCCCCCGACUUCAUCAAGAGAUUGACUCUCCAUGAUAAAUAUGAACCCGAAUUGUAAAGUGGUACUAGUGCAACCCGCGCGCCAUCGCGCGGCGGUGUUAGUAAAGCACACUUGAGUUUAUAUGCAUGUCUCGUAUGUUACAUAUGUUGCUGAUGUGUAUAGUAAGUCUAUGAUGAUGGGAGGUAUACGUAGAGUUAGUAGCUGGCAAAGGGUGUGCAUAAACACAUGUUAACCUAUGGGUUGUAACAUAACGGAUAAUAGUAUAGAUAGUAUAUAUGGCACAAAUUUAUGGACUGGUACAUGGUAGAGAGCAUUGCAUAAAUAUAUAUUACAUAUGUUCUAGUAUUUUUUUGUGAAAAUGCUGCACAUAGAUAAUUCAUGUGAGCAAACAGGUUACUCUGCAACAAAUAUUUCUAGAUAACAACCGAAGGGAAAUCAAGCUGUCAAAGAUGCCAAUCACUGCAUACCAAAUUCAUCGAUGGGGGCAUCAAAGUUAUAGGUGGCUGCAAUGAAGGGACUACCGGCUUGGCGCACGAAGGUUCUCCCUACAUGGAACUGCAUCAGAUUCAGAACAUGCAAUGUGGUCACAACAACAACAAAAAGUAGCAGACUGCAACGGGAAUAAUGGUCUGGCCCACAUGGGUUACUUAGUUUUCUUACCAUGUCCUUGACAACCUUAAGGAGUACACGGGGCCUAGAUUAAAAAUGGUCCAAACAUCUAUAUAAAAGGAGGAUAUGUCAUCUUAAUAACAUAUAGGUGGUUGUUGUUUCUAUACGAACCACAUACAAUUUUAGUAUUCUAGAAACCAGAGUGCAACCAGAUGAAUGUUGACAUGGAGGCACAUGUAUUGUUUCCUGAACAAUACAAGCACAAAGAACAUAAGAUAAAUAUAUAUUUUUGGCCUCAAACCAGGAAAUGGACAAACAUCUACAUGACUAAAAUAGACAACACACUAACAAUCAACAUUAGGUACCACGUAGCUUAAAACUGCAUGUUAUAUAAGCUGUUUGUGUGAUAAACCUACAGAGAAGCAAAUAAUACUUUUGAAAUAAAUGCAUCAAUUCACAAGAUGAAUCAAUGAUACAAUCUUAACUAAUUGCAAGAUGAGAAGUCACUACCGUGAAAACUAUGUAUGAAAGGAAAGUGCUAUAAUAUUCUUAAAUUAUGGAUGACAAAAGAGUAGUCAUCAAACUGUGUAACUGUUGUUGCUAGGUAAGCAGACAGGCAAAUUAAACCUGCAAAUAUAUGAACAUGCAUGACCCACACAUGGUUGUACAUGUUCCUUCAACUUGGAGCCAAUUAUAGACACUAUGGUAUGGAAAAAAUAACAUAACUUAAACUCUGAAAGACUGUAGGCGUAGGCAUACACUCUAUUAUGUAUGAGUGACCACAAGGCUGCCUGCCAGAAAUGUGUAAGGUGUGAAGAAGCAUCGUAAAUAGAUCACAGUAAUGUUGACAUCAAUUACCAAUUGUGCAUGAAGAAAAUUAUAACAAUGAAAGCCAAACUGAUGUCUAUGGCAAGCGAAUAGCCAUAGUGUCAUUGAGCAAUGGGCAUGAAAUUUUCAUCAUAGGCUAAACAAAGGGAAAAUAAUAGAUGGUAAACACUGACAACAUCAGAUCAUAACCAAUGAGAAAUGCAUCAUAUGAUUUGGCAAACGCCAAGAACAGCCUUUCGAAACCAAAGAGGCUUUCAACAUAAUUUUAGUGAUCCAAAACACACCGACACCAUCAACAUACAAUGGGCAUGUGUUUUAGAUAGCAAACAGUGGGCAUGUUUUUAGAGGGAAAAACCUAAUAAAAAACAAUUAGAGCUUUUUGAAGGCCUUAGUAAAUUGCCAACCAUCAUUUGUUUAUGAACUUGGAGCUUAAAGAUAUGUUCAGAAAUGGUUACUUUUAGAAAUUUCAUAAUAUAAGUAACAGGUCAUGCCUAGUACUCACAAGCGAAUGAACAUCAUAUCGUAUCAGUGAGCAAUGGAUAUGGACUUUGCAUCAUAUGCUAAAUAAGAGGGGGGUGAAAAUGGCAAAUGCUGACAACAUCAGAUAAAAAUAAAUGAGCAAUGUAUCACAUGAAUCCACAAAUGGCUACAAACAACCAUUUAUAAGCAAAGAGGCUUCUAGCAUAAUUUCAGCGAUCCACAGCACACCAACACCACAUAUAAUGGGCAUGGGUUUCAAAUAGUAAACAGUGGCAUGGUUUUAGAGAAAAACAUUUUUGUCAUAAAACAUGAAUUAGACUCACCGGGGAGGCACUGUGCCGCACACACGAGGGGAGCCUGUAAUACCCGAUUUUAAGGACAAAACCAGAUAUACACCAUAUGUGAGUUUUAAAAGCCAAAUCUCACAUAUAGCUACAAAAUAAGGGGUAAUAUCAAAAGACAAUGCAUAAAUUAUAUAACGAACGUAGUAUAAAAGAUAUAACCUUUGAUAGCAAACAGCGGAUAGACAACAUCAAACUUCGGGUAUUAACUUCUCUCCACAGGAUCCAACUGACUGGUUGAGCACAAGCCUAACAUCUCCUGAAGUGUGGGGGAAAUUGCAAGAGUGAGCACAUAUCGUACUCAACAAGUAUAACCAGGGGUUCAUGAGGCUCAAAUGGCUGACACUGGUUUAACUGCAUUUAGCUUUUAAUAGUAGAUAACAUAUUUAAUCAUUGGAUAGCAAUAUCAAGGUAGCAUACUAAAUCCCAUAACCACAUGAUCAAUGUGUACAAGAAUUAAGAAUAACACAUAUAAACAACAUAAUAAACCAUCAUUUAUCAUCAUUAGUCAUGUUCAUCAGAGUCCGCCUAUUCCGUCAGUUUUCCGGGCCGCCCGUAUCCGUGGGCACGGCUAGUAUACCAGAUUUAACACUCUGCAGAGGUUGUACAUCUUUACCCAUGAGUCGUGAUUUACCCUUUCGCCCGAGGUCAUGAGUCUCUUAACCCCCUUCCUAGGGAGGUCGGCAGGGAUCACUAUGAAGCCUUUCAAAGAUUUCGUCUAACAAGUUAGGGCCAUUAGAUUCACUCGGCAGGCAGAUAUAGAGCCCCCCUUCCAUGGCACAUAACUCGCAGCCUAUACACAUGGACAGAGGCCACACUAUACCCAACGUGUCUAGCCAUUCUUACGCCAUUUAAGGUAACCGCUAACAAGCUAGAAAAAGGUCCUCAUACUGAGCUAAAACCAGAGCCAUGUAGCCCUCAUGGUUGUACGAGUUGUCCCAACUUUUGCCAAGGGAUAAGUCCUUACGGAGGGUCAAGAUCAAUCUAGCAAAAGCUAGAGUUCUUUCCACCCUUUAUGUUCAAGUUGCUGAAAAGCUUAUUUUAUUGUUUAUUGCAUAUUCAAUAUUCAUGUUACAAGAUCAUGGAUUAAUAAUCAAGCACUAGCAAGAACUACCCAAAUGCAUAUCCAAAUAGGUAACAAGGAAUUCAGGAUAACAAUCAUCUAUGAUUUUGCUAAGGUUAUCAAGGUGAAAGCAUGCAUAUGAUAUAUAACGUAUUAAUUGUGUAUAGGUAACAAGGAUGAUCCCAAGUUAUACUUGCCUUGCUCAAAGCUCUCCUGAGCCUGCUGGUCUUUAAAAGCUUGGUCUUGAUCAACAACGCACGGCUCACCGUCUAUUCCCAAACAUCAAUCAACAGCACGCAAACAAUCGGAGACAAACAUACACGAAGCAAACAAGCUAUAAUUAGAACAAUACACCAAACAGUAGUAAAACAAAUAUAAAAGUUUAUCAAAAUAUUCUAUGCAGCGCUACGAUCACACAAACGUAAAGUUCACGAAAAUCGGAAUUAAAACGUGAAAGAUAUGAAUUUUCUAAGAUUUCCUAUAGAUAAUUAAUUAAUUAAAUAGGACCACGAAAUUAAAAAGUUUCAAACUGAGUAAACAAUUUUACUAACAUGUAGAGCUCAUUAAUAUGAAUUCAACGCAAUUUGAAUGGACAAAAACGGAAUUAAGAUGAAUAUUUUAUGAGCUAGAUAAAAUCAGUGGCAGUUUUGUAAAUACAAGAAAACGUAUUCUCGGAGUCAAUCUGGUUGUUUUCCGUUUUCUAAAAGAGAAAGCGUAUUUUUGAAAUCCGCUUUGGACUGCGGGUUUAUUCUUAAAAAGAGCAGGGGUUCUUUAGCAAGAGUUACACCGAACCGUUACCUUCUAAUCUCGUUCGCUGGUGCUUGAUCGGACGGUCCGCAGCGUCCCAAGGAGGUCACGGCAGGGGUCGGCCGCCGGGUGGAGCUCCAGCGCGGCGGCGCCAUUGGAGGCUCGCCGGAGUUCUCGGUUUGAGCGAUUCCGGCCACUAGAACGCAAAAAGAAUACACCGGGCGGAGGAGAAUCUCGUGCCGAACUCAUCUAGGGCCUAAUCUGGAGCCGAGGGAGAGCGAAGAGGGCUUGCCGCGGUCGAGAACAAGGUCGGCCUCGCCGAGAUCCAACUCAAGAGAACACGGCGACCUAGGGCUUGGUUUCGCAACAUGGAUGCAAAGGGGUGUUGCGGGGUGGAUUUGGGAGUUUUAUAGGGCUCGGUUCACCGUGGAUGGCAAGGAAUCCCGUGCGUAUCGGGUUUUGACACCCGGUCGAGAGUCCAGCACGACUCCGACUUGGGGUUGAAGAAGGCUGGCUGUCGGGUGGGGUCCACUGGUUAGAGAAAGAGAGGAGAGGGCGCGGGGUAGGCCAGGAGCUGGGCCGGUUGCGCGUACUGGGCCAAAGAGGGGAGCGGGCCGCGGGGGAGGGGAAGCAGGCCAGAGGGAAAAGGGAAGCGGGCCUCGGCCAGACCCAGGGAGCUGUCUCCUUUUUUUUCUUUUUAUUUUCUUUUGUUUCAAGGCCAUUUCAAAAACAAGUUUGAAAAAUCAUUUUAAAAUCAGUUUAACUUACCUUUAAUCAAAUCCACACAAUACAAUGAAAAUAAUGCUCCAAUAUGAAUGCACAACAAGUUGCUACACCCUAUGAUAAAUUUUAAUUAAAUGAAAAAUAUUAUUUUCCUAUGUUUCAUAAGCUCAAAAAUUCAUAAUUAAAUCAUUUUCACCUAUUUCAAAAAGGAGUCAAUUUUAGGGUGUUACAAUUCUACCCCCCUUAAAAUGAAUCUCGUCCUCGAGAUUCGAAAGAGACACGGAUUCCAACAGAGAAACAGAAAAAGAUACUGAUAACUAUUUCAACUUCACAACUGGCAUUCCAAAUGCAAACACUUGUGUCUCGGGAUCACAACUUGUGAACAAAAUUUCCAUAAAACGUCUAUUAUUCGUAAUUGAUCAAGGUCCAUCUUGACUACCAACUUUUCACUCAUACAACUCAAAGACGUGAUAACUUAGCAUGGAUAUGCCUCCUCAGGUAGGAGCGGACCACCUUGAUACUCAAUUCUUUUCCCUGAUGGUGCGGUUUAAAAAAAAAUCCACUGGGUAGCACAGAUCACUCCUUUGUUUGCACAUAACCAUAAGAUAUCUCAGAAGACAGUUAUCACUUCAUGAUAGUUUAAAAUGCAUCUUCCAGUGGUACAAAAAGUACUACCCCCCUUAAGACGAGGUUGGUUGGGGGACAUUAGGGAUUAAUUCUCCUAUCCUUUUUAGACGCUACACAUCAUAGUCUUUUAAAUUCCUUGUAUCAAGUCUCUUAAUCCAAGGUUGGUUUCAAUACUAAGUUCCAUCUAUUGGUACCUUUAUCACAGUUAAGUUGUUUCACUCUGGCAUCCCAAUUAUAACUUCGUAAACUUUGGUGUCAUCUGAUCCUCACAACUCUCAAUCCAUGAGUAUCAGCCAUGACAUAAACCUCCAUUGGUAUUAGCACACUCCAAGUGGAAUGAUAUCUUGAAACAAACCAACAUACCAAGCUCUUGAUGUCCUUGUAGAUGUUCCAGUUAUUAACCACUUCUUCUCCUUGUAGUUCUUUAAUUGGGCUACCCCCCUUAAGAAAAGUCAACUAGGGGACCAAGAAAGGUAGCUUGCAUACUUUCCAGACAAGUUAACAUUGAGAACUUCUAACAUCCUAAAGAACUUAUGUGCAGUGGAGCAAACAGGUAUCCUGAAAUUUCCUCGCGAUAUGAAAAAUACCAGCGUAGUAAAACAGGUAUAACUCUUAUUCCGUUAAUCCAAUAGAGUUGCAGAUUAUAUCGUUAGAAAACUUAUGAAAUUCCCUACAACUUUCAUGUAGAAGUCCUCCUUAGGUUCUGUCUUUAAGCAUAGGUAAUAACCAAACAUAAUAUCCUUCCUGAUAAUGUCUCAGCCAAGGUGCAGUAACUUCCAGAAAUUAUAUCUAGAGCUCCUUAAAUCAUCUGCAGAUGAUCCUUAUAUUGUUUAAAAGCUUAUGAAAUCCUCUACAACUUUCGUAUACAACUCUUUCCCAGCUUCUGACUUCAAGUUGGCCGAAAAUGGGGAAUACCAAAACUGCCCAGACUUUGAUACAGAACAGAAACAUCCAAUUGCAUCUGUCAUAUCUCAGGUUCUACUUAUCCAAAUAAGUUCUAGCUUACACCGUUGGAAAGCUUAGAAAAUUGUCUACAACUCUUCUAUAGAACACUUUUCCAAAUUCUACAGUUAUAUUUGUCUAGAACAGUAGGCAACCGAACUGAUCCAGAUUCCUGACAGCACAUAUGUAUCAUCUUGUGAUUUUUGUAACUUCCAAACCAUAAUAGAUAUGAGGGUGAUCCUUGCGGUCAGAGAAAUAUCUUGAAGUCUAGUUGUUCCCAGAAAAAUUUGAUAAACUUUGCACGAUCAGAUCUUGAGAUACACCAGAAUCAUUGCAGUCUGCUUCAGAAAACAGCAAAGGAUAGAAACAGGAUAUAACCAAACCCAACUACUUAUUUCACUACUCCUUAUGCCUUAGGCCUAUAAACUAAAUGAUAUCGUGGAGAAAACCCACAAGAUCAUUGCACUCAUUACAAAGAUCCAAAUCAAUCAUAAGCAUAAUAACAAACCAAACCAAGCAUCAAAGGUUCACACUUCAAGCAUUAACUCAACUUGCGGUACUAUCGUUCUCUUCCUAUUAAGGGCAAAGAUCCUAAAACUUAUAUUUCAAGGACACAAGAAGGUGGUAAGAAAAGGUUCUAAUAGCAUACCAAAUCAAGGAGUGAAGGUGAGAGCAAGUACUCUUAAAAUAAGCAACAAGGUAGAGAAAUAGCAAGGAUAAGGAUAUAGUAUGGAUGAAAAUAUCAAGGUUUAUAGAGCAAGGAUUUUAUGACAAUUCCAAAACCUUAAGAUGACCAAUUUCUAACUAGGCUUGCGUCCUACAGUCAGCAUUGCUUUGAUACCACUUUGUCACACCCAUAUUUUAAGGACAAAACCAGAUAUACACCAUAUGUGAGUUUUAAAAGCCAAAUCUCACAUAUAGCUACAAAAUAAGGGGUAAUAUCAAAAGACAAUGCAUAAAUUAUAUAACGAACGUAGUAUAAAAGAUAUAACCUUUGAUAGCAAACAGCGGAUAGACAACAUCAAACUUCGGGUAUUAACUUCUCUCCACAGGAUCCAACUGACUGGUUGAGCACAAGCCUAACAUCUCCUGAAGUGUGGGGGAAAUUGCAAGAGUGAGCACAUAUCGUACUCAACAAGUAUAACCAGGGGUUCAUGAGGCUCAAAUGGCUGACACUGGUUUAACUGCAUUUAGCUUUUAAUAGUAGAUAACAUAUUUAAUCAUUGGAUAGCAAUAUCAAGGUAGCAUACUAAAUCCCAUAACCACAUGAUCAAUGUGUACAAGAAUUAAGAAUAACACAUAUAAACAACAUAAUAAACCAUCAUUUAUCAUCAUUAGUCAUGUUCAUCAGAGUCCGCCUAUUCCGUCAGUUUUCCGGGCCGCCCGUAUCCGUGGGCACGGCUAGUAUACCAGAUUUAACACUCUGCAGAGGUUGUACAUCUUUACCCAUGAGUCGUGAUUUACCCUUUCGCCCGAGGUCAUGAGUCUCUUAACCCCCUUCCUAGGGAGGUCGGCAGGGAUCACUAUGAAGCCUUUCAAAGAUUUCGUCUAACAAGUUAGGGCCAUUAGAUUCACUCGGCAGGCAGAUAUAGAGCCCCCCUUCCAUGGCACAUAACUCGCAGCCUAUACACAUGGACAGAGGCCACACUAUACCCAACGUGUCUAGCCAUUCUUACGCCAUUUAAGGUAACCGCUAACAAGCUAGAAAAAGGUCCUCAUACUGAGCUAAAACCAGAGCCAUGUAGCCCUCAUGGUUGUACGAGUUGUCCCAGCUUUUGCCAAGGGAUAAGUCCUUACGGAGGGUCAAGAUCAAUCUAGCAAAAGCUAGAGUUCUUUCCACCCUUUAUGUUCAAGUUGCUGAAAAGCUUAUUUUAUUGUUUAUUGCAUAUUCAAUAUUCAUGUUACAAGAUCAUGGAUUAAUAAUCAAGCACUAGCAAGAACUACCCAAAUGCAUAUCCAAAUAGGUAACAAGGAAUUCAGGAUAACAAUCAUCUAUGAUUUUGCUAAGGUUAUCAAGGUGAAAACAUGCAUAUGAUAUAUAACGUAUUAAUUGUGUAUAGGUAACAAGGAUGAUCCCAAGUUAUACUUGCCUUGCUCAAAGCUCUCCUGAGCCUGCUGGUCUUUAAAAGCUUGGUCUUGAUCAACAACGCACGGCUCACCGUCUAUUCCCAAACAUCAAUCAACAGCACGCAAACAAUCGGAGACAAACAUACACGAAGCAAACAAGCUAUAAUUAGAACAAUACACCAAACAGUAGUAAAACAAAUAUAAAAGUUUAUCAAAAUAUUCUAUGCAGCGCUACGAUCACACAAACGUAAAGUUCACGAAAAUCGAAAUUAAAACAUGAAAGAUAUGAAUUUUCUAAGAUUUCCUAUAGAUAAUUAAUUAAUUAAAUAGGACCACGAAAUUAAAAAGUUUCAAACUGAGUAAACAAUUUUACUAACAUGUAGAGCUCAUUAAUAUGAAUUCAACGCAAUUUGAAUGGACAAAAACGAAAUUAAGAUGAAUAUUUUAUGAGCUAGAUAAAAUCAGUGGCAGUUUUGUAAAUACAAGAAAACGUAUUCUCGGAGUCAAUCUGGUUGUUUUCCGUUUUCUAAAAGAGAAAGCGUAUUUUUGAAAUCCGCUUUGGACUGCGGGUUUAUUCUUAAAAAGAGCAGGGGUUCUUUAGCAAGAGUUACACCGAACCGUUACCUUCUAAUCUCGUUCGCUGGUGCUUGAUCGGACGGUCCGCAGCGUCCCAAGGAGGUCACGGCAGGGGUCGGCCGCCGGGUGGAGCUCCAGCGCGGCGGCGCCAUUGGAGGCUCGCCGGAGUUCUCGGUUUGAGCGAUUCCGGCCACUAGAACGCAAAAAGAAUACACCGGGCGGAGGAGAAUCUCGUGCCGAACUCAUCUAGGGCCUAAUCUGGAGCCGAGGGAGAGCGAAGAGGGCUUGCCGCGGUCGAGAACAAGGUCGGCCUCGCCGAGAUCCAACUCAAGAGAACACGGCGACCUAGGGCUUGGUUUCGCAACAUGGAUGCAAAGGGGUGUUGCGGGGUGGAUUUGGGAGUUUUAUAGGGCUCGGUUCACCGUGGAUGGCAAGGAAUCCCGUGCGUAUCGGGUUUUGACACCCGGUCGAGAGUCCAGCACGACUCCGACUUGGGGUUGAAGAAGGCUGGCUGUCGGGUGGGGUCCACUGGUCAGAGAAAGAGAGAAGGAGAGGGCGCGGGGUAGGCCAGGAGCUGGGCCGGUUGCGCGUACUGGGCCAAAGAGGGGAGCGGGCCGCGGGGGAGGGGAAGCAGGCCAGAGGGAAAAGGGAAGCGGGCCUCGGCCAGACCCAGGGAGCUGUCUCCUUUUUUUUUCUUUUUAUUUUCUUUUGUUUCAAGGCCAUUUCAAAAACAAGUUUGAAAAAUCAUUUUAAAAUCAGUUUAACUUACCUUUAAUCAAAUCCACACAAUACAAUGAAAAUAAUGCUCCAAUAUGAAUGCACAACAAGUUGCUACACCCUAUGAUAAAUUUUAAUUAAAUGAAAAAUAUUAUUUUCCUAUGUUUCAUAAGCUCAAAAAUUCAUAAUUAAAUCAUUUUCACCUAUUUCAAAAAGGAGUCAAUUUUAGGGUGUUACAGAGCCUCUGGCUCGGCAACGUACGAUUCAAGGACCAGCCAUAUCAGGUGGCUCAGGGGUAGGCACGCCCACAGACACCUUGGAGCUUGCACACGUCUAACGGCAGUGGCCAAUCGCGCCGCCAUGCCGCAUACUGGGGGUGCUGCCAGCACAGGCGCCCGCAGCGUGGGCACAAGCGGUGCAGGGGAGGAGAAGCGUCGAAAAGGAGAAGAAGCUGGGUAUAUAUUUGUUUGACUGGAUUUGGACGAGAAGCUAGAGAAGCCAAAGACAAGCAGAGGAGAAGCUGGCUAGAGAGGAGAAUGAGAAGCACUUCUGGACAAAAGCAGCUCCAACCAAUCUGAGGCAUUCGACACGAGAGCGGACGAGCAAGGUAUUUUGGAUGUUGCUUCUGGCGGAGUUGUCUCAAAUUUCUUGAGCUAGUGCAAAAUAAUUUACCAUUGCCCGAGGUAGAUAGCCCCUCUCUUUAUACCAUGCAGAGGAAAAGAAUCAACAUGAUUUACUCUUAUGGCGUGUAUAAUAAGAAGAUACGGUAGCAGAGAUGUGAGAUAGAAAAUAAUCGAUAAGAUACCUGCUAAACAGAGGUAGCUCCAUGCUGUUUGGACAGUUUCCCUCUGUCAGGAGCCAGAUUGAGCGAAACAUGAGCAAACGAAGGCAUUGAGAAUCCAAGAGCCUGAAGAAGAACGCAACAUUCCAACAAAUAUAUUUUCUGUGAUAACUUCUCGAGGGGUCAAGAUUAUGUAUCAUGAAAAAAACAAAAUAACAAAAGGUAAAAGGUAUUACUUUGUAAAUUAGAGCCUAUUGCAAUGUGUCUGGUAAAUGCUCUUUAGCUCUGUAACAAAACAUGGUAAACACUUACUCCAAGGGUGCCUGACAUUUAAAAGAAAAGCAGCAACCUCAUGGGGCUUCACCCGUGUAAUCUGAUAUUGAUGAAUGGAAAGCAUUUAAGAUCAUUUCGGAUGAGUGGACAACAUUUAAGAUUAUUUCCUCAUGAUGAACUAAUCAAGGCUUUUGAAGAUAGGUGGAAGAACACAGGUAUUAUCCAGGAAUCUGAAACUGUUUUUCACUGAGGUAAAAUUGCAAGCCAUUUUAUUUUCUUGUGUACCUAGGGUGUCCUAUUUGGAUGUCUUUGUCCACAAGAUCAAAGCUAUUGGGAAGAUGAAAAACAUAGUGCCUUCUAUUUUGGAAUGACAAUAAAAAGGUUUCAUUUAUAACUAUCAAUUUUCUGAAGCUGUCUGGCUAUGUGCAGGAAUAAUCCUCAUACUGUGAGAUAUAAUUAAAAAAUAAUUAUCUCAAAUAGAACCUCACCUGGUUGUCGAAUAAGCAGAUACAUGCAUGCUGAACUAAAAUGUAUCAUUGAAUUAACCUGCAGAACCUUCAGAUUUAGAAAAACUAUAAGCAGCACCAUAUAUAUGCGGGUCAUUUGAAAUUAGAAUUAUGAAAAGAGGUUAACAUACAUAGUAAGCAUAUGAUAGCACAUGGUUUUACAUGAUGGAAAAAAUGGAAGCAUUAGUUUUUAGGAGAAAGGAACAGAGGCAUUAGUUUUUAGGAGAAAAGGAACAUGUAAUUCUGUUUUGUGUCUGUUGUAUACCUACAUUGAUUUGCAGGUGCAUGGCUGCUACAUUUUCUAUAGCCUUCUUUUUAUCAAAUUACCUGAUCAUAUCUCAAAUUACAUCGAUCGUAACACCGCAUAAAAUAGGUUCCAAAUCUGUCGAAAAAGUUAGGGGGCAUAUACAACUAUCACGAGCCUUGCCUGUGGCUUUUUAACCUGACAACUAUAAGAGCUCAAUGACAACAUAGACGAUGAAAUUAUAGUAGUGCAGCUUUUUAGUGGGAAGCUAAAUAUUUUUUUAUGGUCUAAACUAAGUAAAUUCAUGCAAUCCUAUAGUAGUGCAGGUUGUUACCUCGUGUAGUCUGUCUAAUCACACCUGUGCUGCUAGCAGUAGGAGGCGCAGGCAGCCGACAUGCUGUGAACCACACUUCGCUGUAACCUUGGCCCUUCAUAGAUAAACCACCAAAUGGAGCUGUUUUUAUUUGUAUCUAUACAAAUUGUCUUGUAACAAUAGUCAACAGGUUAGAAGGCGACAAACUCUUCUGCAAAUCAUGAAUGGAGCAAGGUAUGUAAUUUAUGGAAAGAAAAAAAAUAUGCACGGCAAACAAGGAUACAAACUAAAUCUAUGGAAAAUCAGGUAUCCAUAAAACAAAGAUCAUGAUCUAUAUAGCAGGACGUACAUGCAUUUGUUCCAAAAGUUUUCAUGUAAACUAAAAUCUUAGAUCAAACUACUCUUCAGAAGAACUAUAUAUGACAUACUAAUUAUUUUCCCUAUUUCCUUUCCGUACUGCUGUUACAUGUAUAUUUGAUCUGUAGGCACUGCAAAUUGCCUGCAUAUUGCCUAGGCAAUAGUACGCAUAGCAACAGAACUCAAACAACACUAAUAUUAGUAGACACAAUAGGUUGUAAUUAGACCAAAUCCGAGCAUUAAGGUAGGGUGUGGGUGCUCGGUUUUGCACUUUAGACAGGGAAGAGAAAGGGUUGCCGAACCUGGAGGUGGAAACGCAGAACGGCGCGGCCACGCAGCCGCCGAGGUGCGCCCAUGGAGGGGCCGCCGUGCUUGUGCACGGGCCAAGCGUGGGCUACGUACGACCUAGCGCCGGCGAGGCACCGGACCUCUGGUGUACCCACUGUCGGGUGCUAGGGCAAGCGCCCGUUGCUGGGAUUCAACCACGUGGAGGGGGAGGGAGAGGAAGGAGAAGUGGAGACGGUGGGGAAGGGAAGGACGGGGCGGCGAUGUGGCUCAGGAAGUGGCAGGUAGGGUUUCAGCGACAUGGCUGGGGGUGAUGAACCGAUGCACCGGUGCAAGACCCGGCGAGGGCCGCCAUGGCCCUACGCUUGCGGCGCGAGGAGGGAGGGUGUGGAGGAGGAUGAGGGUGGCCACCACCGCUCCGAGGGCCGGCCACCGCCGAGGUCACCUCGCCCCAUCGUCUCGGUGUUGUGGGAAGAGACGGAGGGAGCGAAGAGGACAGAGGAUGGGGAGAGAAGUUUCCUGAAGUCCUAAAGUAGGAGCAGAAGCCCUUGUAUAUAUUUGGUGGAUCGGAUUCAGAUGAGAAGCUGCAGAAGCUAGCAAAAUAAACAGAGAGCGACGAGGAUCUGCAAGAAGCCGAUUCUGACUGAAGCCGCUUCAGAUGAUCACAGCCACACGAUUCAAGAUCGGACGGCCACGGUAAUUUCGGGUGACGUGGACCCUGCUUCUCCUGGAAGCCGCCGGAUGGUUUAGGGGAGAAUUUCUUGACUAUAAACAACUAAUUAAGUAGGUCUUCUUAGUUGUAAUCGUUGAAACCUUAUUAGAUUGCAAACACCUGCAAAAACCUAAUCCCUCAUUUUAUUCACCAAGAUAAUACAAGAUCAUCCAAAUUGGCCAAACUUAGCGGCCUGAACACUGGUGGAGCCUCAUGGAUGCGAAGCUGGGCUGCUGACCCUUGCUGUCAAGAGAUUUCUGAAGACCAUGUAUGUACUCAGCUUUUUUUUUGCGAACUGUACUCAGCUUAUUUAGUACCAUAAACAUCAGUCUUAAACCAGAGCUCAUCCUUAAUUCAUCUCAUUCCUGCCUUGACCUUCAGCCAUUAUCGAUCUUCAUUAAGGGGACGUUUAGUUCUUCUUUUAUCCUAAAAUUUUUGGGUUUUAGCCCAUCAUUUUGUAUAAUAGAACUAAACAACAUGCAAAAAUUUUGACAAAAAUGUGACUAUUCUUCAUUUUGAAUUUUGGCCUCAAGAGGCCAAAAAAACCCAAAAGAGCCUCAUGAGGCUCUAAUGAAGACAAUAAAUUCUGUAUUUUUUAUGGAACUAAACAUAACCCUGAAAAUUUUAACAUUUUGCAUUUCAUUAUUCCAAAGUAGUUGGUAUUUUAUAUUUUUUGCAUUCUACGAAGAAUUAACACACCCUAAAAAAAUAUAUGGUACCCGUACGUGUCCAAAGCGCAUCACACUUAUGUGUGACUAGAGUAGACCAUUUUUUUGGUGACAUGUGUAAAUAAAUAAAAACCAUUGUAAAGUAAUGCAACUUUUACUUGUGUGGCAUCGAAUCAUCACAAUAUUUUUUGAAACUAAUCAUCACAAUUCGACACAACUUAUCCGCCGGAUAGAGCUUGUAUUAUAUUUGGUAGAUGGACAUUUUUUUUGGUGAGAGAACAUAUAAUUUAUAUAUGUUAGGUUUUUUUUUCCUGUGAGUAUAUAUAGGAUUUGAUUCUCCUAUGAAAAACAAAAUAAAAUUAAUGAAGUUCAGAAUCAAUUAUGGCAUGAACUAGAAUACCUUUUCAUAGUUAGGUCUCCAAGAGAAGCAAGAUCAGCUGUAAACAAUGGCCAAAAAAGAGAAAGGAUGAGACCUGUUACGUGGCAAAGGUCACUUUACAUUCAAUCAAAUAUUCCCCCAGAUCAGAUCAUCUUGUAGAAGAUAAGUAUAUGUAAAAACAUGUUUUUUUAAGAAAAGAAGAUCUUUUGCGUGGAAAAAAUAGCACAAAAUAACAUUAUUUCUAGGAAGGAUGAAAGGUCUGUUACAAGUUGGAGAAUAUUUUCUCGGUACAACAAGAUAUGGAGAGACUUGACUAGAAGUUUCAAAUUAGUGUGACACAACUGUAAAAUGUUAACAAACUGAAACUAUUGUCAAUAUAAAGUAUAAGUUCUUCAUAGUAAGUAGGUUCUACUACACAGAUUAUUUUUACAAUUCCCUUGCAUUUUUUAGGGGUGGUUGAUAUAGUAAACCACCUCGCUAUAUAAUUGUUAUGAUUUACAGUAGCAUAAAAACUGUCCCUAUAUAAACUAUUUCCAUGGUCGAUUAGCUUAAUAAAAUCAAUCUGCUCCUAAAAAUCUACCUAUUUUUAGGGCCAGUUGACAAAAGAAGCCACCUUUAAAAAUAUAGAUUUUUGUGAUUGGAGCGGCGGAGCUUGUUUAUGUCUACUGCCCCUAAAAAUAAAAGUAGGUGUAUUUAUAGGAACAAAAAAAAUCAUAUUUUUUCAAAUGAAGUUAUUAGAUGGAGACAAACAUUAUAUCAAAAUUAUAGUAGAGCUUAAUGAGACCGAAAAACUUUGUACUUGAUGAAUUUUGUAUUUGGGAUCAUUAUAUAGGACGAACUUUACAUUUUAAGUUUUUAGAUUUGAAAUUUAGAAUUUUGAAUUUUUCAAACGACCUCGAGUGCUCGAUGACGAGAUCAGCUGAGACUUUAUUUUUUUUCUCAUUUGAGAUUGACUAGGUGCCAACAUAUUUAAUAUAAAAUCUGUAGAAGUUUAUUCAAAAAAAAAAAUCAUCAUAUACUUGAUCAUAAGUGACACAAGGGUUCCCACACGAGGCAAAAGAUCCUAUAUUAGAAUCCUGGUGGA
rnacentral:lncRNA from 1 species